rnacentral:lncRNA from 1 species
ACAUGCUUGGAGAAUCUGGAGGUGUAAUAGUUGAGCCCCAUGAUGUCACAUGACGACGCUAGUUUCUCUUGCUCCUCCUUGGUGAACAUGGGUAGACGAUCUCCGAUCAGUGAUCUCAUGGAGAAGGGGUAGUCACCACGAACCACUGGCUCCAGGAACCAUCCCAUGUUGUAGUCAAUGGAUCUUUCCCGGGCCUGGUCGUCGAGGAAGGAGUCUUGGUAUGGCUCGUAACCCAUUACGUCAAAAGCCAUUCCUAUUUUGGAAUCUCCAUGCUGCAGUUGGUUCGUCAAUAUAAAUAAAUUAAAUAUACAAGUAGAUACCACUAGUUGUUACUUGUUUACUAGAUAAUGUAUAUCUCUCUCUUUGUGUAUGUACCAUGUUGUAACGAGCUUUGAACAGCUGAACAGCCUCAGCAUGAGCUAGGAGGAUGUGGUGACCAGCAGUGUAUGGCUCUCUGAGCGAGUCUCCUUCUGGGACGGCACAAUCCAUCCCCGGCGAGCACCUCCCAGGAGCAUGAAUCCCCUCUCCAUAGGAGAAACAACAAUAUGUAUGUGGCUCGUUAAAGGUGAACCAGUUCUUCACCCUGUCACCGAAGUUCUUAAAGCACACCUCGGCGAAUUGUUUGUAAUCAUCUCUGGAAAAAAAAUCAAACCCGAAGGAUGUUCAACAAAAUUGUUUCUUAGCUUAACAAUAAGUAGUUAUGUUAGUUUACUGAUGCAUCAUUGAAUGACAGUACAACAUUGUUUGUGAUCUGAAAAGAAACGUUUUUCUACUCAUGGUCCACUAAUGGCCUUCAUCCAAACCAAAUAGUGUAUAAGCAAAAUCAUAUAUAAAGUAAUCUUGUUCAAAUCGAAUUUAACAAUAUUAUAGUUCGUAGUUUUUGUACAUAUCGUGAUUGCAAUUACUGAUCUUUCUUCAGAACCAUUUUCUUACAAAUCAAUGUACUGUUGUUUGCCGCAUACUUACACAAUCUGCCUAUUUAAGAAGCCGCCGUACUUGUCUUCCAGUGCUUGAGGGGUGUCCCAGUGCCAAAUUGUAACAUAUGGCACUAUGUCUGAGUUUCAAAAAACAAAUAAUUAUUUGUGCGAGCUCUUAUGAGUCUGACUCAUUAAGCACUAAUCAAACAAAGAAAAAAAGGGUUUUCACCGUUAUCUAUCAGCGAGUUGAUCAGCUUAUUGUAGUAGUCGAUGCCUGCCUGGUUUACUUUUCCCGUCCCAUCUGAAAGCCAUAGUAAACAUGUGCUGAAAUUAGGACCCAAAUAUUACAACAAGUCUUAUCGGCUGCGUCUAAUUUGUAGAGGACAUCUUUAUUGUUCCUAACUUAUUCACCAUACAAAAUAUACAUGGUUAUUUUGUAUUUACCUGGCAGUAUUCUCGACCAAGAGAUGGAGAACCUAUACACUUUCAUGCCCAUGUCCUUGAGCGCUUUGACAUCCUCCUGUCAGUCAUAAAUGAUGACAUGAAUAAUGAUGACAACAUAUUAUCAUGCAUAUUUCUAUUUUUAUUAGAAGUGCAUAUUCCAAAUGGUUUUUCAAAAAAAAAAUGCAACGACAUAAAAACAGUCCUGUCAUAAUUGAGAUUUGUUAGAUUUUUGUUUGGAAAAACCAUUGGUCCCGUCAGAGUACUUACUUCAUAUAGAUGGUAGGAGUUUGCUGCAACAUCCCCAUUGGUCAUGUCGGAUAUGCGCUCUGUUCGUAUAUAUACACAUGAAAUUAAGGAGAAGGACGCACGAUAGACUAAUAUGAGUAUGUUUGUAAUAACACUGAAAAGGUAUAUGUUACCAGGAUAUGUGUGGCAGAAGUGGUCCCAAGUGCUUGGCCCCUUGCCAUCUUCAUUCCAAGCACCUUCAAUCUACACGGAUGACGACAUAUAUAACAUUUUGUGCAAUCGAACAAACCACUAAACAUGCAUUUUGACAUCAUGUUUUCCCUUAGGUAUUUGUUAUCAUUGAAACAGUUGACACCAUUAUUUUAUUUUAAAUUAACAGAUAUAAGGUUGUGCAAGAAAAUAAUUAGUACCUGGUACGCUGAAGUGGAGGCACCAAAUAGGAAGUCCUUGUCGAACCAGUCCCUUUUAGGGAUUUGCCACGGCUUGAGCUUAGUGAACACAGGCCCAAUGGGCUCUGCUGGCUUUGACGGUGUGCCUGCCCUGAUGGUGAGGUUACAGAACCUUCCCUUGCUCUUCUGUGAUGAAGCAGUAGACCGGAGCCAUAGGUUCUCACUGUUGCGUCCUGCACGGCUUCUAAGGCUAAGGUGGGUGGUGGGAUUCAGGGUAGCAGCAGCAAGUAGAGCCAUCUCUUGCUAGCAGCUGGCUGGAGUGUUGUGAGCAGCUUGAGGAGUGAGUUCCCUUGCAGGCUUAUGCAUCUAUUUAUAGAUGAGGAUGGAGAAUCUGUCAAGUGGGCGUGGUGGUGGGAUGAUAAUGAAGCUGCGGCUGGAACCCUAGCUAAGACACAAGGCAGUUGGCUAACCUGGUGGGAGCUCUUUGUAACUUACCACUGGGCAUUCCUGCAGCCCACCCCCAAAAAAUAUGGCAGAGGAACAUAUCCUUCUGCUGGGUCAAAUGCAACAAAAAAAAUGUGUUUUGUACAUUAACUAAAGAGAACAGUGAAAAGUUGUGCCUGUAGACAUUCGAAUGGCACACAUAUAAACUUGAACACACAAAGUUAAAGAGAAAUUGCCAAACUGUUUUCUUUAAAUAUCAAUCUCUCUACCCCAAUAGACAUGUUGAAACUCUUCUUAUCUUAAGCUAAUUAACAGUAGUGUCAAAUCUUUACCCCCACGUAGUGCCUGUAAAAUUUUUUUCUUCGAAAAGGGACACUUUAUUACUUAAAAGGUUUAUAAGCAUUACACCCAGCCUCUGCAUAACUAAGAUGCACACAGCCAACAAAGUCCUCACGACAAGCCAAAAUAAAAGAAGAAGGUGAAAUAGAAAGAAGAAUAUUUGUAUAACACCUAAAUCGUAGGUGGCCCAAUUCUAAGAUCAUGCUGCCACCCAUGUUGGGUGAAUGUAUCCCUCGCCGUAGCCCCCAAUCGUGUACACACCACCGUAAACAGGUCUCGAUUCUCCACUCGCUAUAGAGAGGACCAUAAACGAAGCAUCUCGGUACAUCUGUAGGUAACUUGCAUAAGAGAAGUACUUUUAUCGUUAAAAACCUUAUCAUUUCUACAUAACCAAAGCGACCAAAUCACAGGAAGCGCUCCCACCCUAAGAAGAAUUCUAAACUUGUGAUCAAUACCAUGCAACCAGUUGCCAAAUAUAUUAGCAACACUACAAGGAGGAUACAAGCUAGAAGCUAUUUGGAUGACUGACCAUAUAGAACGAUCCAAUUUACAUUGAAAGAAUAAAUGCUUUAUUGUCUAAUCAUGCGAACAAAUGUUUUCUUGUAGUGCCUCUAAUAUGUCCGGAAACAAUUUUCUACACACAUUCUUGUGGGGCGGCUGCCUUAUGUUAGGCAUUGUUGCCCACUAGGAAUGAUGUGGUUCUUAACAAUAAUUGUGUUUUGUUUCAUACCUUAUGAAGGUUAUUCAUGCAUGUACGCGAUGACCCCAUACUUGGUCUAUCCUGCACAGCCCGGAGGACUGAGACCUUUCUAUGAUGGUGUCUACCCGACUGGAGCAUACGGUCAAGGAGGUUUUCUCCCUUCAUGAUGGCGGUGUAAUCUCCAGAUAUGAUCCACCCCACCUUAGGUUGGACUCUUUAUUAUUUUCGUAAAAAGGCAUUUUAUUUUUGGUUGUGUUGGACGUGUUGGCUGCGUGCAUCGUGCUAUGUAGAGGACGCUUUUUAAUGUGGUUGUAUCACCUUGAUAUAUCAAUUAAAUGAAAUGUCCUUUAUAGAAAAAUAACAGUAGACAAAAAGCAUGACUUGACUCUACUUCCUAUAGAAAGUACAAAAUAUAUAUGUUCACCUAGAGGACCUCGACACUAUAUGUUGCAAGUAUUUCAGAAACUUGUUGUUCACAACUUUUAUUGCAUCACUCCAGUUAGCUUAACUUAGCGGCGUGGCCCGAUGCUAGCUCUGCCCCUGAUCAGAUCUAUUGUCUUUCCUAAAGAAAUACCCACCCUUUUCACUUCAAAAUCUUACAUUCUUAAGAAAUUGCUCCCCACUUCUACCAAUUCUCUCAACAUGCACGCUGUCCAUGUCAGCUUCAUGCCAUGUCACCAAUUUCCACAACGGCAUGCAUUUUGUUUGCAGCCGUUAAGACAUGCAACCUUCCAGCUCAGCUUCCUUUACUUCGGUCUAUGGUCUGGGCCGCAAUAUCUUCCACGCAAAUGAUGCAAAAAGAAACGGAUGGUUCUUAAUAUCCCCACUAUCUCACGGCCCUUCAACUUUUCCAUGUACGUUUAAGAAAGAAAAAAACUUCUCCAUGUAAAGAGCAACCCAAGAGGCGUUGAGAAAUUAUUUUCACCUUUAAAUACCUCAUUAGACCACAGAUGUUGCAUGCCCGUCGUCCCCAUUCUUCUCACACAACGUCUUCCUAGAUAGCAACGAUUCAUUGUUGAGGUCGGUUUCUCCAUAAAAGACUGGAGAUGAUGGAGACGGAGACACCAACGAGGGAGUGAGGCAUUGCAUGCAUGUCUUCCACCAUACCGGCCAAGUUGGAUGGCCGGACGCGGAGACGCGGCUGCCACUACUGAUUAUGUUGCCGAUGCCAUGAAGCGUGGGGUGAAACCAUGAAGCGCUCAAUCUAGGCCAUCCGCCCCGCCUUCUACCGAAGCGUCAUAUGCAACACAACAGGUCGCUCACACAUGACUCCCUCAUCACUUAAUUUCUUUCCUUCAAGUACCUGUCUGAUUUCUAUCCCCUACACGAGCAGGUCACCAUGCUGCCACAGACCGUUACGAUGCCAGUUGGCCUUCACAUCCGCUGCGUGGGCUGCACAUCCAGUUGCUGUGGGGAGAAAGAGCCUACAAGUCUUUAUACUAUUUUCAACACAAACGUCAGAAUUUUGUUUGCAACCUGGAUGCUAGAUAGUAGAUGUACUUGCAGCACUAUAUAGAAGUUGAGUGUAGUCACGUUCCAAGAAAUAUUAAAGCAAGGAAUUCAUUCAAGGUGCGGGCAGAGCAAAUUCAUGCCGUGAUGGUCAUGUUGUUUCCUUUAUUUCCCUUCUCUGAUUAGUAAUACAUUUUAUUUACAUAAAUUAUGUGCUAAUAUUUUUACAUUAGCAGAACAUCAGUUUGAAUUGCUUUCGUUGCCAUUGAGAUGAACAAAAUACUUUUGAUGAUCCAAUGAAUACGAAGAUCAUGUACAAGUUUGGUCACAAGCUUAUCAUACAGAGAAAGAUGGUUUCAGAGUUAGAUUAUAUAUGCACCAUCUUCUCCAGUUGUCUUUAUCAAUGAAUAUAAAGAUCAUGUACAAGUUUGGUCACAAGCUUAUCAUACAGAGAAAGAUGGUUUCAGAGUUAGAUUAUAUAUGCACCAUCUUCUCCAGNNNNNNNNNNNNNNNNNNNNNNNNNNNNNNNNNNNNNNNNNNNNNNNNNNNNNNNNNNNNNNNNNNNNNNNNNNNNNNNNNNNNNNNUGUCUUUAUCAAUGAAUACAAAGAUCAUGUACAAGUUUGGUCACAAGCUUAUCAUACAGAGAAAGAUGGUUUCAGAGUUAGAUUAUAUAUGCACCAUCUUCUCCAGUUGUCUUUAUCAAUGAAUACAAAGAUCAUGUACAAGUUUAGUCACAAGCUUAUCAUACAGAGAAAGAUGGUUUCAGAGGUUGAUUAUAUAUGCACCAUCUUCUCCAGUUGUCUUUAUUUUUUUUCUUUUCUUAUUAAAGUGCCCUUCUACUUUGACCUCUUUGUCACACUAGCAUCCCGCUGCAACGCGCGGGGUAUUGUCUAGUUAUCUAAACUAAGUCACCCUUAAGCAUAUACAUAUAUCCCACCAUAACACCCUAUAGAAGAAAGAAACCCCCUAAAUCCUCAUCUAAAUCACCUACCUACUACAUGAUCAGAAUAGUCUAGCCCCCUAAAUUUGCAUCUAAAUCACGUACCCAUCUCUGUGAGGAAUAUGCCGACGAUGCUAACGAAUCAAGGAUUUACCGUGUUCUGUGGUGACAUGCAUGGAUCCGAACACAGUGGCCCUUUUAACCUUCUUGCUACUCACAGUUCGUGGUUCUUGCAUUUGUCAGUACAGUCCACACAUCCAGUGUGUGGUUGUCUGUCAUCACAUGCAUGUGGGGGAUGUAGGAUUCUCGCCGCGUUUCUCAGCGGCGUCAGUUGAGAUCAAGACAAGGCGAUCUUACACUGUCCCUAUAAAAAAGUUUAUCUUGCACAUCAGUUGGUACCAUAUCUCUAUAAGUUAAACGUACCUUGCUUGAUUGAUUGUACGUAAUAUAUUGCAUCGCAUAGCGUACAGCUAGCGUAUCGCAUAUUGAUGUCACCGGCAAGUUCUUGAAUCUAAGGGUAUUAAUCUACAUAUUGAUGUCACCGGCAUGUUGUCAGUCCAGCUAGCGUAUCGCAUCGCAUCGCUAAACGAACCUUGCUUGAUUGAUUGUACGUAAUAUAUUGCUGCUUGAUUCACAAUAACACAUACAGUAGUACGAACACCGUCCUGAUUUAUUACCCCUCUUCGUAUUUAGAGUCAUAUUUUGACCAUACUUAUAACCAAUAAAAUAUAAGUUAUAUAUAGCAAAAAUAAUAUUAUCAAAAAAUAUCUUAAAAUGCGAAUCCAACGGUAUUAUUUUUAGUGACAUGCAUUAAUAUUUAUAAGUUAAAUUUAUGCUUAAAAUUUGACACAAAAUAUGAAGAGGCUAAUAAAUCAAGACCAAGAUAGUGCUACUACUCCCUCCGUUUUUAUUUACUUCGCAUAUUAGCUUUGGUCAAAGUCAAACUUUGUAAACUUUGACAAAGUUUAUACACAAAAGUAUUAAUAUAAACAAUAACAAAUCAAUACCCUUAGAUUCAUUAUUGAAUAUACUUUCACAUCAUAUAGAUUUGUUAUUAUAAAUGUUCAUAUUCUUUUAUAUAAACUUGGUCACACUUUGUGAAGUUUGAUUUUAGUCAAAUCUAAUAUGCAGAGUAAAAAACGGAGGGAGUAUGUCUUUGUUAGUGGUGAGGAUCAAUGCGCCACGUCAGUAUCACAUGGCUAGGAAAGAAGAAUCUGCCAUGUCACUAAUAUUGUUUGGCCUGAUCACAGCAGGGCAGAUGUGCUAUAUUAAUUGUGCUACUAAUGAAUUUGUUCGCUCUAGUGGGAGUCUCCGCAAAUUACGCUGUGGUUAGGCUAGUUGUCAUGGAGAGUAUCGUAGUAUCAUACAUAUAAUACUAGUGUAUAAUAGUACCUUCCUAAUGUAUAGUAUCAUAUAUUAGUAUCAUGUAGUACUUUAUUUAUUGCCAUGCAUGAUACGUAGUAGCAUAGCAUUUAUUAUGAUAUGGUAUCAUGAUAUGAUACUCAACCGUCUCUUUCUUCAUUUAAUUUCAUGACACCUCAUCAAAAUUGCCUAGUUGGCAUGCAUGAUACUUCCAUUACGACCAGCCUUAGCUCGGUUUUUACAGCGGAAGCGAUUACUCCCUACUGUAGACACCACAUUUUGCCACGACAAAAACUUCUAUAAGAUGAACUCAAAUGGGAAAGUGUACAAUAUCAAAAAUCAUCAUGUGUUUGAGAUGAACAAUUUUGAUGUUUGGUUCAUGGCCCUCCGGUCUCAUCUCAAGGGCCAAAGUUGUGAUCAAAGUAAUAAUAUUUGGUAUUCAGAGUACUGUUCGGUCAAAUAUGCCUCCAAGCUAGCUCAUAUGAAAAAAGUGCUCUAUACAGAUUGUUUUUGCCUCAUCAAGUCGAUCGAUUUUGAUAUUUGGAUCAUCUUAAUCCGAGAUCAUACGCAAAAGUUAGAGCCAGCGCAGUGCGCCCCUACCAUGAGCAUUAAGUGACGUCCAGCACCCGACACUCAUAUGACUAUGUCUGAUCGAUAGUACGAGUUAUUGCCUGUUUUGCACUAGUUAUUCGGUGCUCAAUAUGAUCUCGAAUAAAAAAUGUCCAAGACAAAAGUUGCCUCAAAAGUGGCCCGCAAGAUGCAGCCAGGUUUUAAACCGAACAAUUUUGAAAAGUUUGAACCAUACAUCGCAGGAAACAUGUAAGUGCUAAGAUACAUUUGGUUCCAAUGCGGUUAAUCCGGGACCAUCUGCAUUGGGCACGCAGGAACACAUGUCAAGUGCUAAUAUACAAGUACGGUGGGCACACGAAAGUGCGGUGCAUUGUCGCCACUGAUACAGAGACGUGCUAGCGUGGAUCACGCAGCAAUAAUGUACUCCUCCCAUCCAGCCAACUACCGUCGUUAGCGAUGAAGAUAAGGAGGGUACCUGCAGUGGAAGAUCCUUUAUGUCAACGGUCAUGUGAUGUGAUGUGUGUUCUGCCUGCCUGGCAAAAUUAUAGUAAACGAGAGACAUUAAUGUUUAUUUGCUAAUUAAUAGUAUUGCAUGCAAUGAACUAACCACUGUAUGUCGUGUUUGAUAGUCUCAAGUCAUUAAAAGCAUGCACACCCUCAUCUUUUAUUGGUUGAUAUGUCAAGAAACAAGAACGAGGUAGAAGUUAAUGCACCGCGCCUAAGUGUUUUGUGAUUAUUUGGUUUUUGUAAGAUGAUUUACACACCUAGACGGAGGGAGUAUCUGUUCAAGCCUACUACCGUCAAUGGAAGAUCCUUUAUGUUUCCCAUGCAUGCAGAUCCAGAACAACCCGACUGCAUGCCCAAUCCGCUGCACCUUGUUGACCCCCAAAUCCUCGCCGCAUUCUGUAAAUAUCGCAGGAACUCCACUGCAUGCCCUCAUCACCCAUAGAAUCUCGAUAGACUAUUUUUUCCUCCUUCGAAUAAUGGAUGUGAUUUCCUUUUCGGGUUAGAAAGAGGGUGCGAUUAUUGCACACGUCCUUUUAUUAUUGCAAAGUUUAUUAAAACCCAACAUCUCACACGGUGGUACAGAUGGCCACAAGGCUACGGUCGACAAGGCUAAAACAGCCAAAACGAAAUAAGAUCGUAUGGUGACGAGUGGCCACUGAUGCAGACCUGCUAGUGUGUGGAUCAGGCAGCAAUAUAUCACCAUCAGCCAAGCUUACGUCCAUGACCAAAGUUUUCAAUCAGUCAAAUAUAUUGUCUUAUGAGAGCAUCUAGGACCGGACCUCUCAAACCCGCCACAUACAUUCAGGCGGGCUGCCCGGUCACUGCUCGGUCACGGUUUUUUGUCCAGACGGGUCUCUCAAACGCCCGGACUGACCGGCACUUCCCAUAUCCAACCCAAAUAUGGGGCGGAUAUAUGGGAGCCCGCGCACACCCGGACACGCCCGUCACGGCGGUCUGACGGCAUGGCCCCACAUGGAAACGUCCGGCAGCCCGGCGGUCCGACAGGUGCUGCCUCCGUCGCCGCGGUGUGAACGUCGCAUGAUUCCGCUCCGGCUUGCCGCCCAAGACGAAAUCGGGUUAUUUUCGCCGACCGGCGUCCCACAGCCCUAACCCACCCCCACCCCCCUCUCUGCGCCGCCGGUCUGAACCCAUCCACCUCCUCCCUCUCUGGCUCCGGCGCUCUGCCCACACUCCCGCACUCUGCCAUGGCGAGAGCAAGAUCACCUAUUAUGUCAUGCUGACGUCGGAGCGCCGCUACGAGAUCCAGUAGCGGAUCCGGAGUCGGACGCACUCUUUGUCGAGCUCGACAUGAACAUAGAGGCGGAGGAAGCCGGAGCGGAGCAGCUGGAGGCGCAGGAGGAGUCGGAGCUGCAGCUGCCGCCCAUGCUUCCGGAGCCGAGAACGGAGAUCGCCGUGAUCUCUGACGAGGAGUAGGUAGGAUCAACGUAGUGCAUAGGUUUAUUUUAGUUUGCAUGUCUUUGUAUGGAUUUAAGAAUCUGGUAGAAGAUGUCCGGAUGUAACAAGUGAAAUUUAGGGUGUGUCUGGUCACUGAGAAUGACGCGUCCGUGGGCAUUUAAGGGGCUGGAUGUGCCAUAUGUGUCUCUAGAUGCUCUGAUCAAAUGUUGAUUUAAAAUACGAGGGGCACAAUAAACCAAGAUGGAGGAAGUAUGUGUCAGUGUGGAGUAGCAUACAGCCAUAUAUGUUUAUGGAUGUGAAACACUAGCUGGACCGACUACAUACCGGUGUCAUCAAUGCAUGUGACUGACAACCACUCGGUGCCAUCAUUCACUUUGGUACUUGUUGUGAUUAAUUAGCAUAUAUUAAUUAGAGGAAAAUCUCCUCUUGUCUAAUAGUGCGUGCGGUUCUCUAUAGCAACCGACGCGUCUCCUUUUCUCAACCGUCAUGACUUCUAACCUAUGACGGUUCAUGUAAAGACGUCUCCUACUUGCGUCCCUUGUACGCAUAUAAAUAGCUACUCUAUCAAUACAAAGAUCAGUCGAUCAUUUUUCAUUCAAACAGUACUGUUAUCGACAUGGUCAUGCCAGCACCUGUAUAGGAGUGGUGACCGCGGCACAUCGCACGACUCGUUCACACAGAGUUUAUUUUUUUUUAGCCUGUUUCAAGUGCUUUGUAUUCUUUGGUGAACUUUUGGAAUUUACUUGAUUCUUUUUCAGAAGAACAAAAGAAAAAGGAACACGCAGUUUGAAUCCAUUGGGCCUGGAGGGAACGUGGCGAAUGUCUCCUGGCCAAGAUACAAGCGCCGUGGGCACGGUGCAAGGGCGACGUGGCAGUUUGGACGCCGAUGCGGCGCAUUGUCGCCACCAAUACGGACGGCCUGGCGUGGAUCACGCACCAAUUUAGAUGCCAUCCAGAUCGAGGACAGCUACGUCGAGCGAUGCGAUUGGCCAGCUCGACGAUAUGCCGGCGCAAGGAAAUAUGCCGAUCCACACAAGAAACACGACGGCGAGAAUCGCGCGUACGCCCCACAUGCAUAUGCAUGCGACUUCGGACAGCCCCGCUCACCGAGUACCACUAUUAUUGGGGUCCAUGCACGCACGGCACCACACACCACACGUAAAUGCCAUGUGAUGCCUGGCACCACAGCAGGCCACAGACCAUCCAUGGACCGCGAUCACUGAGUACGUUUACUCUCUUUGGUAUUAUGCUUAAUAUGCCAUGUGAUGUGUACGUGUUUAGCCUUAAUUAGGGGGGCAGAUCCUUCAUGCUCCCCCAUAUGCAGAUCCAGAUCGAGCCGACCGCCCAAUCAGUAGCCACGGCUGACCACCAUAUCCUCAGCGGCUGGUUCUCUCUAGGACUCGGUCGACUUAGACAUCGCGAAGUGUAAGUCGGCUGAUGUCACCUGUUCAUAUUUUUUCGUUCCUGUCCAAACUAUAUCCCCGUCGUUGCAUCUUGUGGCUUUUUGGGCUGGCCCCCCUUUUUUGUCUUUGGUCUGUGCGUUUAUCAAGUUGUGUUGAGCCAGAUAUUUUGGGCAGUUAUUUCUUGUUUGGUGCUGCUGCUCGUUGAUUAUGUAAUCUUUAGCUAUUGUUUGAGCAUUUUUUCUGAAACCUUUAGCUAUUGUUCGAGUAUAUUAGCUUUGUGGUACACCGGCCAGCUAUAUUAGUUGUUGUUCCUACAGUUUUCUUAACAUGCUAUUUCUUUCGUUUUGUUUGGAUUUCUUUUUCAUUUUUAUUUACAUUUUCACAUUUUGUUUCUAAAAAUUGUAAACAUUAGUCAAAUUUUUUUCGUGCAUUUUCAUAAAUACUCAUCGUGUAUUUGAAAAAUAUCUAACGUGUCACUAGAAAAUGUUUAAUAUUAUUUAAAAAUAUUCUUCAUGCCAUUACAAAAAUAUUCAAUGUUAGUUAACGCUCGUUUUUAGCUUGCAUUUUCUUUGUUUGAUUGGGUUGAGUCGGGCAUUGUUUUACUCGUCUGUUUGUAAUUUCUCUAUCAUCCACAAAUUGAAAAAGGUACUAACAAAAAUAAAGAGAGCUCAUCAUAUGUUGUUUCACAUGCGAUGCGGGCAUGCAACUAGGUUUGUGUGGCAUGCUUUUAAAAAAUUCCAAAUGUCUCUUUUUAGAUAAAAAACAAAUAUAAUAUAAUAUAAAAUAUAAAAUUCAUUUAAUAAUAGGAUGUGGAUACGGCUCGGUCGACUAAGACUUAGAAAGAAGUCUCAGGCAGCUGGCAUCAUGGCGGGGUGCUGUAGUAGCCCGAGGCAACACUUUCAGAUGCAGGUCUAGUUGCAUGCAUGCAAUUGUCCAUCUUCCGAGAAAAACACCAGGAGUUGCAGUCCUGGGCGACACAUGUAGUUGCAUGCCAAGUGUCGGACUUGCAACUUCUCCCUCCCAGACAAAAUACCACAGAGAUGCAGUCUGGUUUAAGACAUGCAGUUACAGUUGUCGGAUACCGGGUUCCGGCAAAACCCUUAAGGUUCGAACAUUGGGGUGCGCACGAAGAUUUCUCCCUAUCGAAUCUUGCUCUCUCUGCCUCAUCGCGAUCACUAGGCUUAGCUAAACGAAAUCACAGAACAAGAGACACAAGGUUUAUACUGGUUCAGGCCACCAUUGUGCUGUAAUUCCCUACUCCAGUGUGUGGUGUGGUGGAUUGCCUCUUGGGCUGAUGAUGAACAGUACAAGGGGAAGAACAGCCUCCUGAGGCGAGGUGUUCUUGUGAUCUAUGGGUGGUUCUGGUCCGAAUGGAUCUCUUCCUUUUUAUGGUGGUGGCUAGCCCUAUUUAUAUAGGCCCUGGUCCUCUUCUCAAAUAUUGAGCGGGAAGGGAUUCCACAACGGCGGGAUUUGAAAGGGGAAAACCAGUACAGGCUAUCCUGACUAAAGGUGGUCUUCGCCUGCCAAAGGCUCUGGUGAUGACGACGUCUUGGGCUUCACCGUGACCUCCAUCUUGCCGUCCUGCUAGUCCUGGUCUUGUUGCACCGAUAUGGAAACCUUUGCGUGAUGCCUCGGUACUCCGCGCCUGCGCUUGCCCCCUUAGCACCAAAGGGGAACGAGUACACUGUGCGCGCUGGAGCCCGCCUGGCGUUGGUCGUCAUGGCUUGCGUCAGGGGAACCUCGCGAGGUACCCCGUGCCUUGAUCUCUCCGCCUCCCUCGUGAGCCUGCCUGAUGAGGCCGCUCUUGAGGAGGCCUUGCGUCGUCCGCUCCACGAGGCUUGGCCCCUCGCGAGGGUCUUGAGUGCUUGGUUGAUGAAGACGGGCCGCACUGGACCGCCCGUGGAGUCACGCAGCGGGCCGCAGGCAGGCAAGUCUGGAUACCCCCAUAUCCAGAACGCCGACAACAGUCUGGGGCAACACUUGCAGUUGCAUGCGUAGUGUCGGGCAUGCAACUACCCCCGCCUCUCCCCGUUGCUCUUCGACAAAAACACAAAGGACAUUUGCAGUUGGGAGGGAUGCGUGCAAUUGCAGUCGAGGGCAGCACGUGGAGUUGCAAGCCUAGUGUUGGCCAUAGAACUGCCCCCCUCUCACGCUGCCCACCGACCAAACAAAAGGUUGGGUGCGGUUGGGUGUGUUGACAUGCAGUUGUAGUCGAAGGCGACACUUGAGUUACAAGCCUAGUGUCUGGCAUGCAGUGUUCUGCAUUAAUUGUGGCCACUGAUGCAGACCUACUAGUGUGAAUCAGGCAGCAAUAUAUUCCUGUUAGUCAAAUAUAUUGUCUUAUGAUCAAAAUUUGACUUAAAAUACAAGGGGCACAAUGAACCGUGAUGGAGGAACUGUAUGUGUCAGUGUGGAUCACGCAACAAGGUAUUAGAGCAUCCACAAUGUAGUGGUUUUCAACCUCGUUAGCUGCCUCUAAAGGCUUGGAGCCCGCCUCUACACACGGCAGACAUUGCCUCUAUGUUUUUUAAGCUUGGCGUAGGCGCUAGCCUUGGAGGCUGCCUCCAAGGAUUAAACAACAACAUGGUCCUACUAGUCAGUGGAUAACUGAGCGUAGCUUAGAUGCAAGGCGCGGGAAUUCGCAGUUAGACCAUCAAGGUUUAAGUCUCGGCUUGAGAAUUUGGAUCUCACGGGGUUUUCUUUUAUAAAAAAAUGUCAACUGGAUAGUCUAGCCCGGGUUGGUCUCUUUCAUUUUUUUCCCUACUAGUCAGUGUAUGGUUGUGGCUAGGCCAUGCAAAUUGAUCAAUACACUCUUCAUUGUUUAUUCUAUUAUGGGACCAUUCCUUAGAGUCAACAGCCGAUGCUACACACUACAUGGUUUCUAGAUCUGAUUAGAGGCUGGAGGUGGGGCCCAGGAUAGAGGCAGCCUAGUGCCCUUAUUUACACCAUCCAACCAUCUAUGUUUACCGAUGUGAAACACUCACUACUAGGGAAAACCCUAGCAGUAGCGCUGGUUUUGUGCUCACUAGUAGCGCGGGUAGGCGCGCUACUAAUAAGGCGCUACAACUAUUGCUUAGCAGUAACGCGUGCCCGCACGCGCUACUGCUAGGACAAAUAGCUGCAGCGUUUGUUCAGUACCACGCUACUGCUAAGGUAACUACUUGCAGCGUGUUUUUUGUCCAUCGCUACUAGUAUUUUUUUAUUUUUUAUUUUUAGUGUAUUUAUGCGCCAUCGUACAAAUAUUGGUACAAUACCAGUUAUGAGGUUUACAUCAUUAUGUCCAUAACAGUGUGUCAAAUGAAGGUGGAUUAGGUUCAAGUGGAGGCAAUAUGUGGUGCAUGUCAAAAGUAUACUACUAAUCCAAACUUGAUCUAGUUUGGACUAGUAGUACUUUCGAUGUGCACCACGUGUUACCUUCACUUGAAUCUAAUCCGCCAGCAGAAGCUAUUUAAUCAUCAUCAUAGUCAUUACCACCAACAUUAUUUAUUUAAUCACUACUAACACUAGCUAAUAAUAAUCAUCACAGUCAUUACCACCAACACUAGCUAUUGUAUCAUCAUAUAAUAGUGUAGCACAUCAUCAUCCUCAAACUCAUUUCUAGCUAGCUAAUCACUCCUGCUGCUCUCUCUUAGUUAAAUAAUAUAAAACAUGUAUAGCUCUCCUCCUUGAUCAAGCUAGAGCAUGCAGAUGAACCUGUCUCCUAAUCGUGGGUAGCACAUCUGUUUGCUGCCCCCUAGUACUUCUCUGUGCUCCCCUAUCACAUAUUUGGUCCAGUCUUGCACUAUUAAGCAUCCGUCGCUAAUCUUGAAUGCACUAAAGUAAUCUGUAGGAUAUCUUGGCCGUAAGCUGGUAAUACUCAUGGUACCUUUAGUCUCGAUUUCAUAAGGCACAACAUUCAUCGGGAGUCCCUGUUGAAGAACAUCGUAUGGUAACAUACUUAGCAAUGAAGUUUAGCUUCAAAAAUAAUGUAUGGAAAAGAUGCACUGAUGACAAAUAGUAAAAAUCUUAUCAUCCUUCCUAAAUGGAUGUGACCGUAGUUCAUUACAAACACUAUUGGUCGCACAUUUUCAGUACUAACAUUUCUAAAUGCAGAAAGAAAAUUUGUCUUGACAGUAUCAAGAUCCUCAAGCCAUGAAACAUAAUGACUGAGCUCCUCGCAGUUGAGUUCAGCCCCAGGACAGUAUACGGCUCUGUCUACCAAGCGCUGGACAUGUUUGUUUGCACCGAAAUAAGCUGACAAUACAAAUUAGUUGUCAACUAUUUUUGAAUAAACAAUAUCAAAGACAUAAAAUAUGGUUGAUAAACUUACAUAAUGGUAUAACUGGAGGCGUUUGCACAUCGACCCAGAUGCCGGUAUUACCUUCAAUAUCAUCUUCCGGACGAAUAUCAAUGGUGAUAACCAUAUCAGGAUCAAAUGCAUAAGUCUUGCAUAGUGCUCGCCAUGUUUUGCAUCCAAAAUAGGUGUAGUCGUCUGAAUUGUACAAUUUUGCAUGGAAAAUAUAACCAUGCUCGGUCUUCAAGUAAACUUUCUUUUCCUCCAUACUAUGACUGAAACCUAUCUAAUCCAAUACAAAAACUCUUGCAUGGCAGGGGAUAUGCUAGUAGAAUAGUAAAAAAAAAAUAUAAGUUGAAGCUAAUGAAGCAGAUGUCAUGCUUAAUUACGAAAAAAGACUUGUCGUUGUGACUUACUGUAUCAACUUCGAAGUUCUCGUCCAGCUUGAUGCUGAAGCGCCUAUCAUCAUCUAGGAAGAUUCCGUCGCACAGGCCACGCUCGUCUUCGCAGUAUUUGCAAAUACCGAAAUCCUUUUCAUCGUCAGACAUUUCCUAUGUUCAUAGUUAAAACAUUAAUUAAAAAUUGAUCAAAGACAACUACCAAGAUACUCAACACACAAAUUCGGGGCACUCGAUAUUUCCUACAUAUUCUGGCACAAGUCAUGCCAAAAUUCACGGAAAAAUCCGGCAUGACCUUUGCUAAAAUAGGACAUAUCGAGUGCCUGAAAUUUGCCGGAACGGAAAUGAAUCAACACUCCGGCAAAACAUAGGCCACUCGGAGGUGUAACCUGCAAACAUGACCGGCCACUUGGAUAUUGAGCAACACAAGAUAUACAUUUCAAAAAAUCUUAUAGGACUCAAAUUAUCAUGCAUUCAAUAAGCAAAAGUUAAUCAUCUCAUGCGUCUGUACAUCGUCGAAUAUUAUCACUAAUACAUCACGAAUAGUGUCAUACAUAUAACAUCACUAAUACAACUAAAAACCUAGCACACGACGGGUAUCGGCGCGGGCGGUGGACACCCAGAGAGAAGGAACCAUCACGGGAUCAUAGCUGCAGUGAGAUCCCCGAAGAACCUGCCAGGUAUUGGAGAAUGGCCUGUGCUCCAACGCAAACAAGUAGCGACGGACAUGCGCGUCCUCCUCACUGACACGGUGAUGCACCACCUCCGUGGAGUCCUCGAGCCUCUGGAUCAUCACUGGCCCAUGCAACCGCCACCAAAGAAGGUUCGGGUCAACGACAGGCUGGAUCCUCACCAACCUACGCCCCCCGGUAGGUAACGCCUCCUAGUACCACCCCAGCGGAGCCCAGUCCCGUACAUGGCCGAUCUGGUCAAGCAGGUGUCAUCCUCCGCCGACUCGACGACGAGGAUGCGGGAUAGGCAUCGUCCACGUCGAGGCGGGAAAAAUUGCUUUAACUAAAAAAUAGAAACAAGUUCUUACUAACUAGUUCUAUUAAUUCAACUAGUUCUUACUAAAAAUAAACUUACUAUAAAUAAAAAUAUUCUAGUACCUAAUUAGUACCUAGUUCUUACUAACUAAUUAGUACCCAGGAACUACUGCCCUAAUUACCAUCUAAUUUGAUGAACCUAUAGGGGUGGAAAGUGGUAGCGGAUAUUUCAAUUAUCCAACUAUAAAGUGAAAUAAGUGGUCAAAUUUUACUCGUUUUAUGAUUCAUCUUAGAAAUUUGAUUCGUUUUCACCCUUACAUGAACCCUAACUCAUUUGAGCCGCAUCCGCAUCCGAUUUGUUUCCGCUCUUACAUGAACCCUAACUAAUUUGAUGCAACUAAAAUAUAAAGAAACCCUAGGCAGAGGUAGGGGAGAGGGAGGAGCGGGCGUGCUCACCUCGGGUGCCUACGACGAGGGAGGGGUAGGGCGGCGUCGAGGUCGGGGUCGGGGCUCGGGCGCGCGGUGGAUGGCGCCCGGCAUCGAGGUCGGGGUCGGGGCGGCGUUGAGGUCGGGGGCGGGGGCGGCGUUGAAUCUGGGGUCGGGGCGGCGUAGAGGGUGCGGAGAGCGCGCGGCGGCCGACGGGCGACGGCGGCGGCGAGAGUGGAGAGAGUUGAAUUUGGGGGAAGUGGCCGCGUGGGGAAGGACGAACCCCGUGGUUAAGUUAGAAGUAGCAGUAGCGCGUUCCAGGAAAAGCGCUGCUGCUAACUUAGCUACAGCGCGUUCUGUGAUACACGCUACUGCUACUCCUUUCUUUUUUUCCCUUUUUUCAUUUAGUUUUCUUCACAAUUUAUUUGUUUCCUUUCACCUUAUUCUAUUUCUUUCAUUUUCAAUUACCUUUCCAUUUUCUUUCCAUUUAAUUUUAUAACCUUUAGCAGCAGCGAGUUUAUAUUAAAACGCGCUGCUACAAACAAAGUAGCGGUAGCGCGGUUCGUCAUAGAUCGCUACUACUAUGUGUAGCCUAUCCGCUAAGCCGUGGGAAUUUUAGUAGUAACGUGUGUACAGCAAGACACGCUACUGCUAGAUCUUUAUCUGCAGCGCGGUUUCCUCAGGCGCGCUACUGCUAAUUAGCACCAGCGUGCUUUUUUGACCCACGCUACUGCUAAAGUUCUGUGUAUAAGGUUUUCCCUAGUAGUGACUAGCUGGACUGACAUGUCGGUGUCAUCAAUGCCAUGUGACUGAGAACAACUCACUCAAUACCAUCAUUCACUUUCCGACUGUUAUCAACAUGGUCAUGCCGGCACCGGUAUAGGAGUGGCGAACACGGGAGUUAAUUGCAGAAAACCACCAUAAUUGUGGCUAGGUAUGUAGAGAACUAUCUAGUCCCUAUUUUUUUCCAAAAGCCACUGCGUUUCUAGUAAAAUUUCUAUAGAAAGCAAUGACCAGGUGAUUUGGUGCAUUUGAUCACUACCUGACAAGUAGGGCCAAUUGUAAGGAGCCGAUUUGGCAAAAAAUGACGUACACCCCAUGGAUUUCACAAAGACACCUUAUCCAAAACAAAAAGCAAUCACCCCCCCCCGCCGGUCGCACGUUGCGUGCCUCCUUAGAGGUGGUGGCUGGACAUUGGGAGCCGGCCUCCGGCAGGACCUUGCUCGCGGGGCAAGACGGCCUCCCUCCUCCCUGGCCGUCGUGGCUGGCCAUCGACUCACCCCUAGCUGCAAGCUCACAACCCUAGCAUGGACACGUGAUGACCCACAAGUAUAGGGAAUCAAUCGUAGUCCUUUCGAUAAGUAAGAGUGUCGAACCACAUGAGGAGCAGAAGGAAAUGACAAGCGGUUUUCAGCAAGGUAAUGUCUGCAAGCACUGAAAUUAUAAGUAACGAGUAGUUUGAUAGCAAGAUAAUUUGUAACGAGCAAGUAACAAUAAUGGUAACAGAAGUGCAGCAAGGUAGCCCAAUCUUUUUGAGGCAAAGGACAGGCCAAAACGGUCUCUUAUGAUAAGCAAAGUGUUCUUGAGGGCCCAUGGGAAUUUCAUCUAGUCACUUUCAUCAUGUUGGUUUGAUUUGUGUUUGCUACUUUGAUAAUUUGAUAUUUGGGUGGAUCGGUGCUUAGGUGUUGUUCUUACAUGAAGAAACCUCCUACUUAUGAUUAAACCCCUCGCAAGCAUCCGCAACUACGAGAAAAGUAUAAGAAUAAAUUCUAACCAUAGCAUUAAACUUUUGGAUCGAAAUCAGUCCUUUACAGAAUAACACAUAAACUAGUGUUUAAGCUUCUGUCACUCUCGCAACCCAUCAUCUAAUAACUACUCCACAAUGCAUUCCCUUAGGCCCAAAUAUGGUGAAGUGUCAUGUAUAGUCGACGUUCGCAUGACACCACUAAGGGAAUCACAACAUACAUACCAUCAAAAUAUCGAACACAUAUAAAAUUCACAUGAUUACUUGCAACAAGAUUUCUCCCGUGACCUCAAGAACAAAAGUAACUACUCAAAAAUGAUAAUCAUGCUCAAGAUUAGAGGGGUAUUAAAUAGCAUAAUGGAUCUGAACAUAUAAUCUUCCUCCAAAUAAACCAUAUAGUAAUCAACUACAAGACAUAAUCAACACUACUAGUCACCCACAAGCACCAAUCUAUAGUUCCGGUACAAAGAUUGAACACAAGAGAUGAACUAGGGUUUGAACGGAGACGGUGAUGUUGAAGAUGUUAAUGCAUAUUGCCCUCCCCAAGAUGGGAGAGUUGUUCGUGAUGAUGAUGACGAUGAUUUCCCCCUCCGGGAGAGAAGUUCCCCUGGUGGAAUCGCUCUGACGGAGGGCAAAAGUGCUCCCGCCCAAGUUCCUCCUCGAGACGGCGGCGCUCCAUCCCGAAAGUCAUCUCUAUAUUUUUUUUCUAGGUCAAAACGACUUAUAUACCGGAACAAGGGCACAAGAGGUGGGCAGGGCUGAGCAAAACCCACCAGGGCAUGCCCUGGUAUCUUGUGCUCACCAGGUGGCCCCCCUCCGGUACUUAUUUGCUGCAUUAUUUCUUAUUUAUUCUAUAAAAAAUUCUCGUGAAGUUUCAUCUCAUUUAGAGUUGUGCAGAAUAGGUAGCCUGCCGAAAUUCUCCUUCUUUGUGUGAACCUUGCAUAUUAUGAGAGAAAAGGCAUUAGAUUUACUGCAAAAGGCAUUAUUAUGCAUAAAAAUAUUAUAAAUAACAGUAGGCAAACAUGAUGCAAAAUGGACGUAUCAAGAGGCGGCCAAUCCCACAUGUUCACCCGGCCCUGUUGUUGUGCUACCAGAGCUCCACCGGCCUACGAGCGCUCCGCCCCACUGCCAACCGCCUCCUGCUCUACUCAUCUCCUCGAUCCUCUUGCCGGCGAGCUCGCCUCGCGCGUCGGACAUCCAUGACCAUGGCGCCGCCUGCCAUAAACCUAACCCCAAAUGUGGUGGUUUUCUGCUUUUAACUAAGAUCGCGGCGCAUCUCCCGGCUCGUUCAUACAGAGUCAUUGGGUGGUUCAAGGACCUCAAUGAAUUUUUUACCAUGUUUGGAGUACUUUAUACUUUUUGGUGAACUUUUGGAAUUUAUUUGAUUCUUUUUCAGAAGAACAAAAAAAAAGGAACACGCAGUUUGAAUCCAUUGGGCACGGAUGGAACGUGGCGAAAGUCUCCUGCCCAAGAUACAAGCGCCGUGGGCACGGUGCAUGGGCGACGUGGCAGUUUGGACGCCGAUGCGGCGCAUUGUCGCCACCAAUACGGACGGCCUGGCGUGGAUCACGCACCAAUUUAGAUGCCAUCCAGAUCGAGGGCAGCUACGUCGAGCGAUGCGAUUGGCCAGCUGGACGAUAUGCCGGCGCAAGGAAAUAUGCCGAUCCACACAAGAAACACGACGGCGAGAAUCGCGCGUACGCCCCACAUGCAUGCGACGUCGGACACCGCUCACCGAGUACCACUAUGAUUGGGGUCCAUGCACGCACGGCACCACAGGCCACACGUAAAUGCCAUGUGAUGCCUGGCACCACAGCAGGCCACAGACCAUCCAUGGACCGCGAUCACUGAGUACGUUUACUCUCUUUGGCGUUAUGCUUAAUAUGGCCAUGUGAUGUGUACGUGUUUAGCCUUUAUUAGGGGGGCAGAUCCUCCAUGCUCGCCCAUAUGCAGAUCCAGAUCGAGAGCCGACCGCCCAAUCAGUAGCCACGGCUGACCAUCAUAUCCUCAGGACAAAUUUGACAAAUUUGACCUAUAGACGGAAUUAAAUCAUAGAAUGAACUAUCCGUGAAACUAUUUUACGCGGCUGACCUUUUUGUGUGACGCCCGCCACGAAGGCGCCACACUACACUGUGCAACGCCUCACAGAUAGGCGCUACACAACCAGCGUCGCACACGUGUGAUCAGAAAAUUACUAAGUCGUGUGCAGCGCCUGAGAGCUAGGCGCCACAGGUCAGCCGCGUGAAAUAGUUCUAUGGACAGUUCAUUCUGUGAUUUAAUUGCGUCUAUAGAUCAAAUUUGUCAAAUUUGCCUAUCCUCAGCAGCUGGUUCUGUCUAGGACUCAGUUGACUUGGACAUCGCGAAGUGUAGGUCGCUGAUGUCACCUGUUUAUAUUUUUUGUUUAUGUCCAAACUAUAUCCCCGUCGUUGCAUCUUGUGUCUUUUUGGGCUGGCCUCCCUUUUUGUCUUUGGUUUGUGCGUUUAUCAAUUUGUGUUGGGCCAGAUAUUUUGGGCAGUUCUUUUUCUGUUUGGUGCUGCUGCUCGUUGAUUAUGUAAUCUUUAGCUAUUGUUUGAGCAUUUUUUCUGAAACCUUUAGAUAUUGUUCGAGUAUAUUAGCUUCGUGGUACACCGGCCAGCUAUAUUAGCUGUUGUUCCUAACAUGCUAUUUCUUUCGUUUUGUUUGGAUUUCUUUUUCAUUUUUAUUUACAUUUUCACAUUUUGUUUCUAAAAAUUGUAAACAUUAGUCAUUUUUUCGUGCAUUUUCAUAAAUACUCAUCGUGUAUUUGAAAAAUAUCUAACGUGUCACUAGAAAAUGUUUAAUAUUAUUUAAAAAUAUUCAGCAUGCCAUUACAAAAAUAUUCAAUGUUAGUUAACGCUUGUUUUUAGCUUGCAUUUUCUUUAUUUGAUUGGGUUGAGUCGGGCAUUGUUUUACUCGUCUGUUUGUAAUUUCUGUCAUCCACAAAUUGAAAAAUGGUACUAACAAAAAUAAAGAGAGCUCAUCAUAUGUUGUUUCACAUGCGAUGCGGGCGUGCGACUAGGUUUGUGUGGCAUGCUUUAAAAAAAUUCCAAACAUCUCUUUUUAGAUAAAAAACAAAAUAUAAUAUACUAUACGACUAAUAUAUCCACCAGUCGACUGUUCAUUUGCUUCAAAUCCGCACGACUCGACAGCCGUCCGAUCCAGAUCCAACGGACCGCGUCGCUCCUGGUGCGCGCAGCGCGGGUGGCGGUAGCCGUUACCAUCGAUGUGUGUCGCUGACUAGUGGGUCCACUGGAACCGCCCAUAUCGCCCAAUGCCACGAUCCCCACUCGUCCCCUCUCGCGUUCGCCCGCACUACUUCUUCUUCCUCUGAUUCCGGCCUCUCCAUUCGAAUCUCCUCUCGCUCCCCUCCCCCUCAUGCGCGACGGUUGCUGCUGGUGGCGCGUUCCGGUUCGCGGCGGACGGCGACUGGUGGAUACGGUGAGGAACGCAUGCCCCGCGCCCUGUUUUCCUUCUCUUUUUGCUCCGCCGCUCUGGUCCGCCAUUGAUUUAGGUUGGAGCCGUCGAAUCUGGUAGAUUGUUGUUCCUAUUAGGUUAGAUUAAGGACGGCUUCUAAUUUCUGAGUCGAAGUUGAGUAGCGCAUCCCCCAUUCCCCCACCCAUCCACCCGCCCCAUUCUGUAUUUCCUGUUGCUCCGCCUCCAUGCUUCGCCGUUAAUUUUUGGUGCUCGGACUCUUUGAUUCUGGCGGUCGUUGUUGCUAUUAGGCUAGGUUAUGUCGCCUUCUAAGUUCAGUUUGAAUAUGGUUCGGACAUCUGGUUUAAUUUUGUGGUAAUCGUGGGCGUGGAUAGGUCUUAGUGGUGGUAAGUGUGGUUGGUUCUAAUAGGGAUUUUGUUAUGGUGUUACUGUUGUGGAUGUGGUUGUUUAGUACAUCCAAUAAUGUUUGGUGUUUAUGAAUUUCAAGUUGUGCAUCAGUGGAUGAGGAUUUAAAAAGCAACCAUAAGUUUUUUCACAUAAUGUUGUUUUAUGUUGGUUUUGUUAGAUGCGGUUUGUCCAUUGAUUAGGCUUUUGUGCUGCUCCAAUUAGCUUGUUUACAUUGCUUGAUUUGCUUGUUAUGUUUUGUUCCGUUCAAUUAUCAUGAUGUCUAUAUUGAACUUACCAACUAUAUUGCACUCAAAUUAUCAGAUGCUUUAAACUCAGUUAUUUAUCAUUGUUGUCUUGUUAUGGUUGAAUUAUCAUGGUGAUGGUUUUACACUUACCUCUGUCAUCUUACCGUAGUUUCCAUAAGUUUUUGCUAGACUAACUAUAUGUAGCACAACCCUUAUUUCUCAAUCAUUUUGUUUUGGUUGGGUUAUUAAUGAGCAUGUGUGAAUGCUAUUUCUUAUCAUUGGUAAUUUGGUUGUAACUUACCAAUUGCAUUGUGCCUCAAUUAUCAGUCUCACAUGCUUUUUAUAUACCUGUGCUAUCUGUUUUACUUUUUUUUAGCAUGUGCGACCAAUUUGCGGUUUGCUUGUUUCCUUUUAUCAGCUGUAUUAUUGCUUUGUCAAACACUGGUUUUAUAAACAAUGUAUUCAUUUUUUUCUUACGUGUCAGGGAGACAAUGCCGAGGAAGCGUAAAGGAGAUGGUGAUGGAAUCGAUGAGGUUCCUUCGAAAAAGGCGAAACGCCCUCCUCCGCGGAAUAGAGCCUCACCCGGUUCGCUUCUUCUAGCGUGCAAGGACAUGAAUGAUGACAGGAAGGGUGCCAUUGAUGAUAUGGAUUUAACUAGCCUUCGAAAUAUCCAAUGUGACCAUCUAUUCAACAAUCUCAGUGUGUGGCUUGCUGAUCUCUACGACCCCAAUUCGCGUGAGGUGGUCGUACCAGGCCGAGGCAGGCUUCCGGUCAAUGAAGAAUACGUGCAUCGUGUUAUGGGUGUGCCGUGUGCAGGGAAUGAUGUCCCUUACAACCUCCCAUCUGAAACUGAUAUUGAGUUAGGGCUUGAGUUGUUUGGCGAGCUCGGAUAUGCCCCUAAAAUGACUGAUCUUGUUGAUCUCAUAAAGGGUUCUGAAAAUUCUGAUGACACUUUCAAGCGUAUGUGGUUUCUUCUUGCGGGGAAUACAGUCAUUGCCCCGACCACCUCCAACAAAGUUAGCCCCCAUUGGUAUGUUGUGCUGGUAAGUUUUUUUGUGAAUAUGUCAUUUUCUUUCUUGUGUGCCUCAUAACUUUUAUAUAUGUCAGUGUGAUAACUUUCGUUUUUUUUGUGGUGCAUUCGGUGAACUUCAGUGCUGUUUUUUAUAUUGCAGCGUGACAUCAAUGGUGUUAAGAAUCUUAAUUGGUCCAAAUUUAUUGCUGAUGAACUGCACAAGGCGAUGUUGAAACGCAAGCCUACCAGGGGUUGCCUUCUUUUCUACAAUGUAAGUGACGAUGCUUUCCUCUUACCUUCUCUUUUGUCAUUUAUCAUUUUCCUUGUCAUUUUGUGGCUGGUUUUUGUAAGUGUUUACCAUGGCGCUUCUGUUUUUCUUAUCAGCUGUUGUACAUUCAUGCGAUUGAUCUUUCUGGACUUGGCAUCGAACUGCCUGAAAGUCCUUUUCCCAUCAAUGUAUGGACAAAGAAGCUGAUAACUCUUGUCCUCAACAAGGAUGUUCAGACUGACAAAGUUUCUUUCGGGAAACUACCGGUAUUAUAUAUCUAUGUUUUUCAGUUCACAGUCUGCUUUUCAACUGCAUUUUAUUUUCAUUGUUUGUUUGUUGUUACUUAUCUGUGAUGGCUACAUUUUUUUCCAGUUGAAGCCUGAGUUUGGCAUGAAUUUCUGUCUCUUUGGUGGUGUGGAAGGUCUUGACAAGUUUAUGCGUGUUCAUACUGCCCCAAGCUGCAGUGAAGAGGUGAGCAUGUAACCUAGUUUCUUGAUCUUUUUUUUGCUAUUUUAUGUUCUUUCAUUUGCUGAUAAAUUAUUUUUUGCACCCAUUUGUGGUUACCCUGAUUUGUUGCCAACUUGUCACUCUUUUAGUAAUCUGGAUGAUUUCCAUUGUGGCAUAUCCUCUAUAUAAAAUAUAAUUAUGAUGCAACCAUGUGAUAAUUAUUAGUGCAAUGCCUUGAUAACUUUGCAGCAUUUCUGUGAUAACUUGAUAUCAUGAUAACUUUUGGUUGCAUUUAUUAUGAUGAUUGUGGCAUUCCCGUGAUAACUUGAUAUUCAUGAUAACUUUUGUUGCAUUUUUGUGAUAACUUACUAGUUAUUUCCAUUCUUUUUUCAUUUUUUUAUGUUGAACAGAAAUUUGCCAAAUCAACUGAGAUAGUUGCUCGAUUCACGUCCGCCAUGGCUGGCAUCCUAGGCAAUCUUGUGGAAUCAUUCACCGCUUUAGAUGAUGAGGGCCAUUCACAUGCAUCUCGUCAGCUAGACGCUGGAUUGAACGUUAUCUCCUCUGCCGCCCGUACGAUGUCAAGGACUACGCGGUCAUCGCAAGGCAGGCGGACAGAAAGUGCUGGAAAGAAUGUGGCUGAAGAUUCUGACAGCGAUGACGAUUAUCACGGAGGUGAUGAUUCUGAUUCUGACGCUGACUCCGAUGAUGAUGAUGAUGACUAUCGAGUUGUUCCUCGUCGCCCUAAAGAUCCUUUUGUUGCUUCAGGCAGUGGUACCGUGGAUGUAGACAUGGGCAGCGGUCCAGCUGAUGAUGAGACCACACAUCUUGAUGGUGCAACUGUCAAAGCCCAUGAUGGCACAGGACCAAAUGUUGAAGACACCCCUGUCCGCUCUGUCGGCAAUAACCUCGUUGAUUCAUAGAUCUUACUCACUGGAACAUCUCAUGCAGCAUCCGUCGAAUCAGGUGAUCGAGGGAUUAGCCAGCAAGGUCUGACAGACACGCAAGCUGAGGCGGCCACUGACUCUUCUGUCAAGCGGUGCGGUGCUGAGCUUUUGAAAAUUUUGGCUUACCAGAGGCGCAAGAAGCUGAGGCUACCAUCACCCNNNNNNNNNNNNNNNNNNNNNNNNNNNNNNNNNNNNNNNNNNNNNNNNNNNNNNNNNNNNNNNNNNNNNNNNNNNNNNNNNNNNNNNNNNNNNNNNNNNNNNNNNNNNNNNNNNNNNNNNNNNNNNNNNNNNNNNNNNNNNNNNNNNNNNNNNNNNNNNNNNNNNNNNNNNNNNNNNNNNNNNNNNNNNNCCGUCUUCACCAAUUGCACUGUCAGCAUCUGAGAUUCAUGUAGCUGUGAAGAAAGUUGUGGUCCAGGAGCUUGGUAUACGCGUGGCUGAAAAGGGAACCGGUGCCUUCGUCCCACUGUCCACUUUGCGGAAGGAGGCCCCACGCAGGUGAAUUAUUACUUUCCAAUGUCCUUCUUAUCAAUUGUGUGCCUGAAACAACAUGGUAAAUACAGUCAUUUGUUUAAGGUAGUUUGGGUAAUUUCAUGCCGGUGAUCAACUUGCUUAUUUUUCAUCUGCAGGGCCCCCGGCAAACAAUCUGUUGCUGCUAAGGAUUCAGGGAUUGCACCAGUGAAAAGGUAUUCAAAUUGUUACUUUCGUUUAUGAUCAGCAGUUAUUUUGUUCUUGUUGUCUGAUAACUCAUUUUGAUGAACAUUGGUAACUCAACUUUGCCCCCCUGGUAAUUUAGAGUUACCAAUCUUGAUAGUUGUAUGUGCUUGUAACAUUUGGUUAUUUUUUCAUUCAGUGCACCUAUGAAACAAGUUGCUGCUGCUAAGGGUUCUCCAAGUGAACCAGGAAAAAGGUGUUCACAUACCUAUCUAGUUUGCAGUUAUUCAAAAAUAAUUGUUGGUUUUUUUGUUCAUAUGAUUUGAUAACUUUAUAUUUAUAGUCCUUGAGUACUUUGUAAUUUUUUCCCUGGAUGCUACUUAUACCUGAAGUAUGUGACAUCCUUUUUUGAUUGAAGCAUGUGGUAACUCAGGUUUAACAACAUGUGUAAUCUCACUACUACCCUUGUGUAUCAAUUUUUUCAGUCGUUCAAAAGAUAAAAGUGCAGUGAAAAAGGUGAAAUUCUCCAAGACCAGAUCCUCUCCACGAUUAAGGGCAACAUUGUCGUAGACAACGUCAUCGGAGACAACAGAAGUUAUCCAUCUUGAUGAAUCUCCCACGGCGACAUCUCCGUCUGAAAAAGCAGCAGCAUCUAGCGAGGGUGCAUCUGAUGCUGUUGCGGCGACAUCGGCUGGUGUUUCUGAUGAUGCUGUUUUUCAGCUAGCUGCAGCAGCAACUGUUACUGCUGCUGUUGAAGAUAUCGCCAGUGUGGCUGUAGCUAUUGAAUGCGAAAAUGAAGUCGUCCCUAAUAUAGCGCAUGAUGGAAGUGAAGGUAGUUCUGUUCGCCAUCACAUUUGUUUUUUGUUUCUUGUGUUUUUAUGAUGUUUUUUGUUGACGAUGUGUUUAAUCUUUUUCCGCUGUAGCUGAGAAAGUUGUGGGAAAUACCAGAGAUAAUAUGCCUACUGAUACGGCUACAGCUGGAGGUGAAAAGAAUGAUGCCGAUAAUCCUGUUGUCACAGGUUGGUAACUUAAUUUUCUUAUGUUGAUAACUUGUCUGUCUAAUACAUGAUAAUUCAAGAUAUUGUUUCUGCCACUAACAAAUACAAUGUCAUCUACAUGUUUUCCUGAUGCCUUUUUUCCUUAUUUGUGUGUUACUUGUCAUGUUUUGAAGCAGUAGCUCACCAUGCAUUGGAGUUGAGCACCACUGGAGCUGGAAACUACGAUGGUAAUUUUACGCCACCCAGCUGCUCUCUUGGGCUGGAUGACAUCUUUGGUGCGAGUCCUCAAGUGCCACCAUCUGCUGAAGCAACUGCAACAGCUCAAGCUGCACCAACGUUGGCUCAAGUACCACCUGCAGCACCAGAAGCACCUGCGGCGGCGCCAUAUGCUCAAGUACCACCUGCAGCACCAGAAGCACCUGUGGCGGUGCCAUCUGCUCAAGUACCACCUGUAGAACCAGCUACUGGCCCUGACGCCGUUCUAGGGCUCGCAGCUCCUGUUGAUGCCGACUCGAAGGGCAAGGCAUUGAUGAAAGUUACCAAGGCUCAACCGGUUGCUUGGGCUCCGCCACCCAACAACUCUAGUAAGUGAAGACCUUGUGUCUUUGCUUUUAUGCCGCGAGAGUGAUGGAUUGAGAUAUGUCAGUGUUCAUCGUAUUGUUUUGUUCCUUGGUGUGCUCUUUUUAUUUAUGUGUUUGGAACUUUCUAUCAUUCCGUGUGUAUGGAUGAAUGUAAUACUACUUGUAUGCUUUGUGUGAUGUAAAUGAACAUAUGUGCUUUCAGUACCCGUAAUAUAUAUUUCUGUUGUGUCCGCUACAAUAUUUUGUACGAUGCUAGCAUAGACGAUAAGUCCAUCCUCCUCCCCCCGGUAACUUUGUCAGUUUUGAAAGCCGAUGUUAUCUGUUACUGGCUUUUAGUAAGCGCGUGAUACAUACAUCUCCUAUCAUUGCCUAUUUAUUUUCCUUAAUUCAUUGUCAUGCUUACAAAACAGUACUAUACUCGUAGUUAUUCAUCUGACCUUUUUCAUUACUCCUUCAAUUUUUUCCAAUCACCCUGAUAACUCCAUAUGACAUAUCUUGGUAACUCAAAUGUUCAAAUCCUGUCAAUUUAUGAUCCAUUGACACAAUAACUCCAGCCAUAUGCAUUCUUUGCCAAUUUUCUGGGCUAUACAAUUCUUUUUGGUCUUCUUUUUAACAUGUUAUGAUGAUUAGUUUAUAUCACAGCUGUUGCUCGUUAUGCACCAGUGUUAUCUAAUUUGUUCCUUAAAAGGCCCAUACAUGUGUGCUGGUAAUCCACAUUCACAUUGCCUGGUAUAUUUUAUAUUGUGUUCCUGAUAACUUCUUGUAUCUUGUCUCAAUUUUUAAUACCUGAUUUUUUUGCAACAAUUUAUGUUGUUUAUCACUACUGUUCAUGUCCUCAUCGCUGUUUUUUUAUUUAAGUAACACCGGAAGCUGGUCGUGUGCAAGUGUAUGAUGUUGAGAUUGACGAUGAUGAGGUUCUCAUGUGGUGGGAAGAAUUUGAACAUGGCAAUCCAGCAUUAAAAGGGAAAUCUAAUGUUCAAAUAGGUGAUUUUUUUCUGCUCCAUGAACAUUGCGACCCUUGCACAAACCACUUUCUUUGUUUUUUCAAUUAUGGACCACCACUUGAUAAUCAAAACAUGUGGCAGUUGAUAUGUUUUGACCCAUCACUUGAUAAUUCUUUCUCCCAUCUGAUGAUAAUUCAUGGUUUUCCAUUUUUUCUAUUUCUACCAGACAACCCCCAAAGUCCAACAUUUGUUACACCAGAGUUACCACCUCGCACAGAGCAUUUAGUACGCAGUUCAACACCUAAAUCCUUUAUUCGGAAAGUUAGGGUCACCCACCCGUCCAAAUACCUGCUCCCACCUUUUGCCUCCCUCACACCGAGCGAGGAGGCAGAGUACAUUUACAAUGAAGUUAUCAAGCAUACUACUGAUUCUAACUCUAAGAUUAAAGAGUAUGUUUCCAUCCUUUUUCUCAUCUUUCUUAACACAAAUCAUUAUUUUGUACGCCUUUUUUUAAAUGUAUUUUUUAAAUCUUUUUUUUGUUUUUUUGUUUUUUGUAGUCUUAGGGUCAUCAACAUUGAUGGUAGGUGGGUUACCCUUGGUGAGCUUGCCAAUUGUGUGAAGGGAGUUGGGCAACUAUCAACCAGCAUUGCCGAUCGAGUUACAUGUUCGCGUUCUCCAGUAUAAGGAAACGCCAAACAGGCUCAUCUUUCCUUGGGUGCUCUCUGUGUAUCUGUUGUGAGGAGACUUCAAAUCCAAGUGUUUACUGAAGUAUUUUUGACAGGACAAGUUUUACAUUCUUAGUCACCAGGAUCAGGUAUGUUAUGUUUGAUGGAUCUGGUAACUGUACAGUUAGUGUCUUGGUAACUUCCUGAUAAUAUCAUGUAACUUCCUGUUAUUUGCGGAUAUUGUUUGUUCUUCAUGUCAUGAUAACCUGUUUCAUGCACACUGAUAACUUUUGACCUUUCUGCCCUGAUAACUUCCUUUUCUAGUUGCCUCCCGUUGUGAAUUUCAUCACCAUUUGUUAUCUUGGUAAUUUUGUUUCUUUUCCAACUACUUUUAUGCUUACUGCCUAUUAAAUUUUUUCAGCUGCUAUUCCCUGCUUUGCAAAAGUUGGCCCGCGGUCUAGAUGACGGGCAUUGGUAUGUGUUGUCACUAAAUCUUAGGGCGAAGCGGUUUGAAGUUCUAGAUUCAUUGCGUGACCAAGAUAGUCCUUCUCUUCUCGAGCAUGUGACAAGAUACAUGAACGCAAUAAAGAAGGCCUGGUUGAUAAAUUACAAGGACUUGCAUAAGCAGAUUGAGGACUAUGAACUUGUGUACAUUGAUGUGUUGAAACACGAAAAUGGGUUAGUUGUGGAUUACUCACUCUCUUUUUAACAUCCCAACUAUAUGUUUGUCAUCCUUGUUUAUUUUGACCCGGUCUGAAACUCCAAUUAAACUGAUUUUGUGUUGUUUUUUUCAUCACAAAUGUUUCAGCAUUGAUUGUGGAUUUUUCGCCAGUGGCGCUAUCAUCUGUUUGGCAGCGGGUGAUGAGGUGAUAUUUUUUACUACAUCGUGAUAAGUUCUACCAAACUGUGAUGACAACUUUUUUAUUUGAAUCUGUCAUGACAAUGCCAUGGAGCAAAGUGUUGACAUGUUGUUUUACUAUAGUAUACACAGUCCAAAAUCACUGACUAUAUGAUAUAAUUCACUACUAUGAUUAUAAUUUGUUCAUAAGCAAUUUUUAGAAGUGCAAGGAGGACUAAUUUUUUGUCCAUAAGUAAUACAAUGCAGUGCUGGUAGCCUUCAAAAAAUGUAGAUAUAAAAACAUUGGCUUUUACAAAUCCAUGUCAAUUCCAUCAUACAUUGCUGGUAAAUGGCAUAAUAAUGUACUGAUAGCUUGGUUAAGAAAUAAAAAUUUUGGAUUUACAAAUCCAUGUCAAUCCCAUCAAACAUUUGCUGGUAACUGGCAUAACAGGGUACUGAUAGCUUGCUUAAAUUAUAGAGAUACACUUUGUUUUUGCAUUACAAAGCCAUGAUAAAAUCUAUGAUACAAUGUUGAUAACUGGAAUGUUAUGGGGCUCGUAGCUUGCACAUUAUGGUCCAUGAAAAAAAAUGCAGCCACCAUCUUCCAUUUUAAUAGCACCUUCUUCAUUUAUCUUGCUAGGGGAGAUUUGCAUGUGCGUUUGUCAUGUUCCAGACUCCUGCACACACCACAUUUCCUUUUUGUCUUUGGUUUUGCAAUCUCAAAACCUGAUUGCUUUCUUUUUAACUUUGGCCGCCCUUUCAUUACAGUCUUGGGAGGGUCUAGUAUCAACUUUGCGUUUGAGGAUGGAGCUGCAUCAGGAUGUGGGGGUUGGAUGACAAAAGCGUGAUUGUUUUUGCUAGCAUGUAUCAUCACCCGCACACUUUCUUGCUGUGUGGCAGGGUUACCCUGUCGCUGCACAUUAGUAGCACUUUCUUGUUGUGUGGCGGUGUUCUCCUGUUCAUUCACAUUGGUGGCACUUGUUUGCUGUGUGGCUGGGUUCUCCGGAUGUCUUGCAUCGGGGGUGUUUUGGUGAUAUGUGACAGGGUUGUCUUCAUUCAUCCGCCCCACAUGUAUCGAGCAGGGAUCCGGCUGUCCUUGAAACAAUCCUUUUGCUUCUUCCUUUUCCUUUCUUGCUUUUUUAAGUUGAUUGUUCUUCAGGAUUUCAAGCUCCUCCUUGAAAUUAUACAGGUGCUUUCUUGCCAAUCUGGUCUCGUCAUCUGUUAGGCAAGCAUCUUUGGCCGAUGCCUUAAAUUCUUUAAGAAUUGACGUGUAUCGCAUGACGCUUUUCCCCUCCUCUGGCAUCGACUUCUUAACUGUUGGCUGUUCGAAAUCAGGUUGAAUAAGAUCCUCCUCUGGAUCCCAGGUCCACCUCUUUAGGAUAUACUUUUCAGGUAUCUCGUAUACCCCAAUUUGGUCCAUAACUCGUAGUACGUGCGCGCACAGUAGCCCGUCACGAUCAAACUUGCAGCAACUACACGAGUAUGUCUCUUCAACCAUGUUUGCUUGCACAUGGUAGUCCCUGUCUUCAUAUUUCAGUAUUAUCCCGCGCACUGAGCUGACCUUGAAAGUACCAUCAUCCAAUGCGUCGCAUCUGUAUGCUGAUUUCACCUUCAUCUCCACCUGGAACUUGCAAAACAAGUUAUGUGUGUAUAGCCCCCGCACCUGCAUCUCCAGCGAGUUCAUCGAGUACAUUUCGGUUUCUUUGUACACUAUUUCCAACUGCUCUCUUGACACGCUAGCCAUCACCUUAUCCUGUAUCGCAGUGUACUGUUAUGCGAAUUCGACCAAUGAGUUGUUUGGGUUGACAUACUUCUUGAGCACAGUGUUAAAUCCCUCGCUUCUUGCCGUGGUCUGCAAGAACGGGAAAAAGUCGUGCAUAUAGUAUACCGGGACCCAACACUUCCUGUUCUCCCACAGCCAAUGGAAAUGCUCGUUGUCAGUCUGGCCAUACGCUUCGAUCAUCACCCACCACUUGUGCUCAAACUCAUCAACUGCAUUCAUAAUAUAAACAUGGUAACAUCAAUUAUUGGAGGAUGGUAACAUCUGUUCAAACAUAGCUGGUAACUAGGAACACCAAUGCUGUUGAUAAUUAUGUCACACACACAUGGUUACUUUAGUUGAAGGAUCAAGGUAAGUACUUUGCAGACAGGAUAAGAUUUUAUUUUUCCAAAGCGAAUACCACUCUCUGUGUGUAGUACAAGCAACAUUUUUAACUAGCAACAAAAAGAUACUCAUAUUAAUCAGACUAGCUGGUGAUUGAAAAGUUUUGUUGUAACUAGUGGGAUGAACAACUGAAAUGUGUACAUCAAACACGGACAUUAUAGGGGUAGUACAGAAAGCAACUAAUGUAGGUAAUUUUGUUAUAAUCCUCUGGUAACUUGUCACUUUGUUAGAUGGUAACUGUUGUUAUCAUGCAUCUAAACCCAUUUUCUAUGUGCCCAUUUUUUAUGUGUUUUAAGCUAGUGAGGGGUGGGAAGUAAAAUACCAGUCAGGCUGUUGUCAACACAAUCCUUGAAUGCAUUGUUUAGUGGGUCAUUGUUAGCCAUCAGCUUCCCAAGCUUCUCUUGUGCUUUUUUCAUUAUAUGCUAGCGGCAAUUCCUGUGUACUAUCCCGAUGAAGACCUCAUCAAUAGCACUCCUCAUUGCAAAAUCUUGAUCUGUUAUUAUGUUCUUUGGCGCAAUUCCACCCAUUGCAUGCAAGAAUGCAUUAAACAGCCACACAAAGUUACCAGAUAGUUCGUUUCGAACAAACCCACAACCAAAUUGGAUCGACUGCCCAUGGUUAUUAAUGCCAAUGAAGGAUGCACAGGGCAUUUUGUACAUGUUUGUCAUGUAUGUUGUGUCAAAUGAGAUGACAUCAUUGUAUCUAGCAUAUGCCCUGCGCGACGCACCAUCUAUCCAGAAUAAAUUCUCCACUCUGUCCUCAUCAUCAAGAUUUAUUCUCCAAUAGAAAUCUGGAUCUUGUGCCUUCAUAUCUUGGAAGUACGAGAUUGUGCUCCCCACAUCAGCAUGGCGGUACUCCAUUCGGAAUUUAGCUUGCUGGUUUGCGAUGUCCUUUGUUGUGUAUGGUACAUCUUUAGGAUUUCCGUAGAACCAUUCCAUUAGUUGCAUCUGUCUAGCUGUCUCUAUGUUCCAUCCGUGCAAUAUCUUCAAGAAGUCCUGCUCAUCUUUUGGAAUGUUCCUAUGUGAUGAUAGGAACUUUGUCAAGGACGGCUUUCUUAUUAGAGGGUGGUUGUGGUCGUCGUUGAAGCAUUUGACUCUCCACCACGCAUCCGUGUGGGUGAUGUAAAGGUGGGUCGGACAUCCCGACCUCACAACCUUCCCUCGUUUCGUCUUCUUCACGAUGCCUUUUGGGUCAUGCACAUCCUCUAUCUCUUCCUUGUUUGUUUUUGGCUUGCCGUAUUUCCCACAAACCAGGAGGACUCUGCUUACAGUAUUAUCUUUGAUUGUUUUUCUAUUCCAGUCUCAUUCCAAACCCAUGUCUCUAUGCAUAUUGCCUGUAGUGUUCAUAAGCUUCCUCAAAAGUAUCAAACUUCAUCGUUUCAUCAGGAGGUUUCGGUGUGGAGUAUGCCUCAGUAUUUUUGUCUCCCUGUUCAGCAUUCUCUCCCCCUGUUUCUGGACUCGCUGGCUCACUGACUGAAUGAUCAAAGAAGCUUUCUCUCCCCCCUAUGCUGCUAGUAGUCGGUUCUUUGCUUGUUUCUCGAACCAUCGGGUUGCUUCUAGAAGUAGCACCUGUAAUGUUUUUGAAAGUUGUUAUUUUGUGUUAUAUUUUUCUGCAUCCCAAAACUAGUGGUAACUUGUACUCCAGUUGCUUGGUAAAGUUUGCAUGCCAAAACAGAUGUUUUUUUUCUGUGGCUGUAAAGUGAAAGCAUGAAAUUCCAAUUGCAAUACAUAUUGCAUGAUAAUUCGUAUGCAGCAAGUGAGGUAACUAUGCCUAAAUUCAUGGUAACCAGCGAAAGCAUGUAAUACCAAUUUCAAUACAAAUUGGAUGAUAAUUUGUAUGCAGUAAGUGUGGUAAUUGUACCUAAAUUCAUGGUAACCUGUGUUCAUCAAGCUACGUCAUUUGUCAACUGUUUCAUGGUGAAUGUGAUAGUUGUAAAUAACCUAAGGUGGUAGUUGCAAUUCAAGUAUGAUGGUAACAAAUUUGUGUACAAAAUUGUGGUAGCAUGGUAAAUGUUUUACCUUCAUCUGUUUUGGCAGAACCAAAGCUUGCCGUGUGUGCAUAUUCACACUGUUGGUUUGUCCCCACACCACUCAUCAUGACAUCCACAUUACCCCCGUUGUCAUGCGCCAUUUUCUUGUGUCGUAGCACCUGCUAGUACAUAUGAUUGCACCAAUUAAUUUUCCACAAUUACUAGCAAUCUUGAUUAUUUUUUCACAACAACUAUAUUUUUUCCUUUUAAUGCCAUGAUAACUUCUGUUUUAUAACAGGUAUCGUUUUGGCAGUAACCAGCAUAUGGGAGUAUGACUGCGACAGUUUCUAUGAACCUCAUUUCAUGAACAUCAUUUUUAUCAAAAAAGAAUGGUGGCAACAAUGUAAAUCAACACAUGGUAUUCUUGUAGUGUUUUUAGCACCUUUGGUUCUGAGUUUUUCCUGGUAAUUUGUAAUGAAUUAGCACGAUAACUUGUUCUGACAUGGGUGUGUUCGAUAUAUAAAGGAUGGGUGUGUUCAAUAUAUAAAGGAAGAAAGGGAUCUUUUUUUGUGUUGAAUAAGUCUUACAGGAUGCUGAUUACUCAAUGCACAUACUCUGGUAAUCUAUUUUCAAUCGAGAUGGUAUGUCAGUUUUAAUGAGAAAAUUCAUACAUGUAUUUUCUAACUUGACUGUAAAAGAUGAAAUUUAGUCAAUCUUUUUGUUGGUAACCUGAUUGAAUUUGAGUGGUAACUCAAUUUCAACAUGGGAAUUACACACAUGUAGUAAAAAUACUACCUUUUCUUGCAUGCUUUAGUUCUUGUUGUUUUUUCCCCAUGUUUUCCCCGCUUGAUUUUAUUGGUAUGAAAUGCAAAUGCAGCAUGGGUAUAGAGGUAGCAUGGGUAUAGAGGUUGAAUCAGUUACCUCCUUUCUUUUUUGACUGAUUAUGACGAAAUAUGGACGAAUUGAUGAUAACCCCUGUGAUGUUCUUGUGGUAAACCGGGGCCCUCCCUCAAAUCCUUGUGUUUUGGUGUUGUUUUUUCAUGGUUUCCCUUUUUUUUGGUGGAUCUGAUCCGGCGUCGAUGUUGCCGGCGAUGGUGGCGCGUCGGGGAGAGAGGAGAGAACUGAUCGGGGCAGGUGGCUGUUUCUUGCGAUGGAGGUAAGAAAGUAGGGUUUGGGUGGUAAGUCACGUGCAGGAGGGGGGAGGUGGGCCAAAUUGGGCUUCGAUCCGUUGCACGGGGAAGGACGCAGUAGGGGGGAGGUGGGCCUAGUGAGAGAAGUCUGGGUCGUGGGUGGAGCUACCGAAUUGGAUCACGCGCGGGAGGGACUCAGGUUCCCGAUCGUGCGGAUCUGUCGCUAAACCACCAGUAGGCUGGUGGUUAGUCGCGUCCUAUACUAUAAUAUAUAAAAUUAAUUUAAUAAUAGGAUGUGGAUACGGCUCGGUCGAUUAAGACUUAGAAAGAAGUCUCAGUCAGCUGGCAUCAUGACGGGAUGCAGUAGUAGCCCCAGGUGACACUUUCGGAUGCAGGUCUAGUGGCAUGCAUGCAAUUGUCUAUCUUCCGACAAAAACACGAGGAGUUGCAGUCGUGGGCGACACCUGCAGUUGCAUGCCAAGUGUCGGACAUGCAACUUCCCCCUCCCAGACAAAAUACCACAGAGAUGCAGUCUGGUUUAAGACAUGCAGUUACAGUCUGGGGCAACACUUGCAGUUGCAUGCGUAGUGUCGGGCAUGCAACUAGCCCCUCCUCUCCCCGUUGCUCUUCGACAAAAAUACAAAGGACAUUUGUAGUUGGGAGGGAUGCGUGCAAUGGCAGUCGAGGGCAGCACGUGGAUUUGCAAGCCUAGUGUCGGCCACAGAACUGCCCCCUCUCACGCUACCCACCGACCAAACAAAAGGUUGGGUGCGGUUGGGUGUGUUGACAUGCAGUUGUAGUCGAAGGCGACACUUGAGUUACAAGCCUAGUGUUUGGCAUGCAACUGCCCCUCUCUCCCCCCGCCCUCAUACAAAAACACAUGGCCAAUUGCAAUUAGGGCGGAGGCGUGCAACUGCAUUCGAGGGUGGCACUUGUACUUGCAGCCAUUUUGGGAGACAUGAAGUUGAAGCCAUGGUGACACUUGCAGUUGUAUGCCUAGUGUUGGACAUGCAAUUUCCCACCUCUCUCGCCGCUUACUUGAAAAAAGGUCAGUUGUAGUCAAGUGUGUAGGCAUGCAAUUGCAGUCAAGGGCGACACUUGCAGUUGCAAGCCUAGUGUCGGAUAUCUAACUACCACCCCCUCUCUCAUUGUCCACCAUAAAAAAAGGUCUGUUGCGGUCGGAUGUAUGUACAUGCCGUUGCACUCGAGGGCGACACUUGCAGUUGCAAGCCUAUUGUCAGACAUGCAACUUCCCCCUUCUCCCACUGCCCUCCGACAAAAACAUAAGGCUAGUUGCUGUCGAGAGGGAGACAUUCAGUCGGGAGUGACACUUCUAGUUGUAUUGCUAGUAUUGGACAUGCACCCCCCUCUCCAAUAGCCCACUUACAAAACAAAGGUCAAUUGCAUUUGGGGUGUGUGGGCAUGCAGUUUCAAUCGAGGGCAACACUUGCAGCUGCAUGCCUAGUGUUACCCCGCCUCUCCCCACCGCCCACUAACACUUGCAGUUGCAAGCCUAGUGUCGGAGCUGCACCUGCCCCCUUCUCCCGAUAAAAAAAAGGAGGAAAUAUACGCAAAAGCCAGUCCUUCAUCAAUUGCAUGAGGAGUAAGACGUGUGUAGUUAUGCAUGGAUAAGCGAACUUGCUACAUACACUCAAUAUUUCUUUUGAGGCUAAAAAGUAAAGAAUAAAUAACAACAUAGUUACAUGCCGAUACGAUGUGUGCGGUCACAUGUGGAUGGAUGUACAUGUAGCUGAUAGUAUGAUUUGAGAAAUGACAAAAACAAAUGUGAACAAUUAAGAAUUAAUAAAAUAUAAAAUAAAAAUGAAAAAGCACACAAACAUACUUCAAAGAAAGAAUUAUGAGAGAAAAGAGAACAAGAAAAGAAUGAGAAGAAUGAAAUAUGUAAUAAUUUCAAAAGAAGCAACAAAAAAAUUUAGAAAGGAAAACUAUCCUUGAAAUCCAAAAUGAAUUGGCUCAAGCCAUUUUGAAAAAUAUUAUAAACAAUGUUGCGAUCGGAAAAAGGAAAUGCAACACAAAUUUGCACCAAUCUUGGCGCAUAAAGAUUGAACGGUUUUUCGUAUAACCAAAUCGUAUAUGAGCAAACCUUGACAUACAACAUGGUGGAAAAUAAAAAAACGUGGAGCAAAAUUAAGAGUGUGCAUUGAUCAUGACAUGCUAAAAGAUAUAGGGGAAGACACUGAGCGUGGAGGACACACAUGCUGGUCUAGUAGAGAAAAUGAGUAAAAACAAGACAACACACAACACCGCUCCCGCAUCCGUCCAUGGACAGGGGGACCAGUCCACGGACACGAAUGCGGGAGGCGGCCAUCCAACACUGCCAGUAUACAUUUCAACAACUUUUUAAAUCAGUCGAACGAAAUUUUUGCAAACAUGAUGUAUUUCAUUCAAGUUCGGUUAUAAUUUACAUGAAAAGAUCAAUAUUUCAAUUGUUUAACAAAACAACUAGGAAAAAACCCUAAACCCUAUACCGAACAACCACCAUGUAUGUGUGGCCGCCCUGCACUGCCGCACCGCCGUCGCUGUCCGUGCCACCGAUGUCAUUGUCGUUGUCGUCCCUCUAGCGGCGAAGCAGCGCAGGACGACCGUGACAGUCUUGUCCAACGGUUGCCUGCCGCUCGCGGAGGAGCCGCUCCGCCUCUUGUUGCGCGGUGCAGAGAGCCGCCGUGGACACUGUCUUGAUCGGCGUUGGCAGAGUAGUGGCUAAGAUACCACUCCUCACUGUCAAGGCGGCGGCGGCGCCUGGCGACCGUCUCUAUGGUGGUGAUGGAGCUGUCGUGCGUCCAUGCGGCAGAAAGGUCAGGGUCAUUGCCGGAACAUUCUGGCGCCACGUCCGACUUGGCGAACGCGGAGCGGUGACCGACAUUGCACAGGUCGUAUCUCGCGCCCUGCCUCGCUGCGAGCUCCGCCUCGGAAAUAGUUGGUUCGUCGGUCGUUUUGCCCCGUUUUACAAAUUCACUAACUUUUUUUGAUAUUUUGUAAACAAUUGUAUUGAGCCAGCAAACAUCUUUCGAAAUUUGGGAACAAUAUUUGAAAUUUAGGUACAUUUUUUUGUUUCUGACGAAUAUUUUUUUGAGUUCAUGAAUACUUUUUAAAUCAGCAAACAUUUCUAAAUCUUUUGCACAUUAUUUGAAACUCGGGAAUAAUUAUCAAAAUUCCUUCAUUUUUUUAAUAUUGUGAUAUUUUUCUAAAUUUCUAAAAAACUCAAAGAUUCAUGAACAGUUUAUGAAAUCAUGAAUUUUUUUUGAAAUAUUAAAAAUUUAAUAAAUUCACUACCAUUUUUUACCAAUUCGUGAACAUUUAUUUCAAAUGCGUUGUUUUUUUUGAAAAUUUGAACACUUCCAAAAAAUCCUCAACUUUUUAAGAAAAUUCAUGAACAUUUUUUUAAUACACGAACAUGUUUUGGAAAUCACAAACCUUUUCUGAAUCUGUGAGCAUCUCUCAUUUCCUGAACAUUUUUUUAAUCAUGAAUUUCUUUGAAUUUACAAACAAUUUUUACAGUAUGUAACUUUUUGGAAAUCGGGAAUUAGUUUUUGAAUGGAAAAUACUGAUAACAGAAAGAAGAACAAACAAAGGGACAACCCACCGCCACAUGGGUCGGCCGAUGAGGGUUUGUUGUGGAGACGGGUGGGGUAUAAGCGCGGGCGUGGGGAGCUCCAAUUGCGUGCAUCAAAAAAAAGGAAAAGAAAGGUAAAAGAAAGAAAAAGUGGAAAGUUACCAGAUCAUGCUGGUGGCGGGUUGGUUACGCUACGGUACAUGAUUAAGGUGGUUGCUCAACAUGGCAAUGAGUACCCGCGAACCCGACGGGUAAAAACUCUAUUGGGUAAGGGUUUGAGAAAGUUAAAUACCCAUGGGUUUUUAAAUGUGAUAAAAAUUUAACCUUCGGGUAAGCCGGGUAUGGGAACAGGGAGGCAAUACCCAUACCCGUGUACCCGCCUACCCAUCGCAUAUUAGUACAUCUUAUAGGUAGGUCCCCUAUGUCAUUCACUAAGAAAAGGAAAACCCUAGCCUAACCCAGCCGCAGCUUGCACACAAAAUGCCCUCCCCUCACCCACCCAUCGCUUCCUCACACUCAUAGAAUGCAAACACCGUAUCUCCAUCUCACCUCGGCUGAAAUGCUAAAUAAACAUGCUGAAAUGUUGUGUUUCAUCUACUGAAAUGCUGAAAUUAUACAUUGUACAAUUUGAAUUGAAAGGUGACCGAGAUGGGUAUUACCCGCACCCGGUCGAGAUUGGCAAUUUGAAUUGAAAGGUGACCUAGAUGGUUGUGAAAAAAGUUGAUCAUGUAUUUAAAAUAUGUUAAAGAACUAUUUGAAAAAUGUUAAUCAAGCUUUAGAAAAAUGUUGAAUGUGUAUAGGGAUAAUGUUGACCAUCUAUUAAACAAAUGAAAAAAUAUUUUAAUCAUGUGUAUGAAAAUAUGAAUCAAGCAUUUAAAAAAAUGUUGAACAAGUAUUUCAAAAAUGUUAAUCAAGCCUUCGGAAAAUGUUAAAUGUGUAGAAAAAAUGUUUACCAUGCAUUCAAAUAAAUGCUAAUCUUGCAUUUGGAAAAUGUUGGUAAAGCAUUUGAAAAAUGUUAAUUAUUCAUUCAAAAAUAUUUGACCAUGUAUAAGAAAAAUGUUGACCAUGUAUUAGGAAAAUAAUAACCAUGUAUUUGAAAAAAAUGUUAAUCAAUCAUUUGAAAAAAAUUAAAGUGUGUAUAGGAAGAAAUGUUGAUCAUGGACACCAAAAAUGUUAAUCUUAUAUUUAACAUAUGUUAACCAAGCGUGGUGGUGAUGGUGGUGCUGGAGUCGGAAUACAGGCAGGGCUGCGCUAAGCGAAAAAACCAUGGACGAGAACUAUGCCGGGAGGGAGAGACGGGGCAGCAGCUAAGGCCAAUGUAUUGGGUACCUUUGCUGCGCCCCCUCCCCCAUAUUUAUAUGCAUGUGGGGGGAGGCUUGGAGUCCAGCCCUACUCCUAAUAGGAGUUGGGGCCAAAGGGGUAGAGGACUUGGACUCCAAGUCCAAUUCUAUUCCUACUAGUAGUCCCCCUUUUCCCUUCCCUAGCCAUAUGGGCUUUUGAGAACUUGGUGCGCCUAGCCCAAUAAAGCCAGGGCUCCUCCCCUUAGCCCAUGCCAGCCCUUGGGACUUGGUGAACCCACUUGUGGACUUCCGGACCCCUCCGGAACCUUCUGCAAGCUUCCCGAUACAAUACUGAAAAAACUGCAUCAUUUUUCUAGAACCCAAAAAUAUGAAUUCUCAUAUAUAAAUCUUUACCCCUCAACCAUUUCUGGGACUCCUCGUGACGUCUGAGAUCUCAUCCGGGACUCUGAACAACAUUUGGUUACCAACAUACAUAUCCCAAUAUUACUCUAGCGUCACUAAACGUUAAGCGUGCGGACCCUACGGGUUCGAGAAUGAUGUAGACAUAACCGAGACACUUCUCCAGUCAAUAACUAAUAGCGGAACCUGGAUGCCCAUAUUGGUUCCUACAUAUUCUAUGAUGAUCUAUAUCACCUUUAUGACAAUGAUACGUCUCCAACGUAUCUAUACUUUUUAUUGUUCCAUGCUAUUAUAUUAUUUGUUUUGCAUGUUUUAUAUGCAUUAAUAUGCUAUUUUCUAUUAUUUUUGGGACUAACCUAUUAACCUAGAGCCCAGUACCAGUUUCUGUUUUCCUUGUUUUUGAGCCUCGAAGAAAAGGAAUACCAAACUGAGUCCAAACGAAAUAAAACCUUCUCAAUGAUAUUUCUUGUACCAGAAGACACCUGUUGGAUCUGGACUCCUAGUCAGAAGACCUUGGCGUAGACGACAAGCCAUUGGGGCGCGCCCUACGGCGGUGGGCGCGCCCCUACCUUAUGGCCUACUCCAACACCCCCUGACCUAAUUCUUCGUCCUAUAUAUUCACAAAUAUUCCCAAGCCACUAGAGACAUCAACAAAACACAUUUCCACUACCGCAACCUUCUGUUCCCAUAAGAUCUCAUCUAGGGGCCUUUUCCGGCAUCCUGCCGGAGGGGGAUUGGAUCACGCAGGGCUUCUACAUCAACUCUAUUGCCCUUCCGAUGAAGCGUGGGUAGUUUACCACAGACCUAUGGGUCCAUCGCUAGUAGCUAGAUGGCUUCUUCUCACUCUCUUUGAUUCUCAAUACCAUGUUCUCCUUGAUGUUCUUGGAGAUCUAUACGAUGUAAUCUUCUUUUGCGGUAUGUUUGUCGAGAUCCGAUGAAUUGUGGAUUUAUGAUCAGCUUAUCUACAAAUAUUAUUUGAAUCUUCUUUGAAUUCUUAUAUGCAUGAUUUGAUAUCUUUAUAAUUUUCUUCAAACUAUUGGUUUAGUUUGGCCAACUAGAUUGGGUUUCUUGCAAUGGGAGAAGUGCUUAGCUUUGGGUUCAAUCUUGAGGUGUCCUUUGCCAGUGACAGUAGGCGCAUCAAGGCACAUAUUGUAUUGUUGCCAUCGAGGAUAAAAAUAUGGGGUUUACAUCAUAUUGCUUGAGUUUAUUCCUCUACACCAUUUCAUCUUACUUAAUGUGUUACUUUGUUCUUUAUGAACUUAAUACUCUAGAUGCAGGCAGGAGUCAGUCGAUGUGUGGGGUAAUAUGUAGUAGAUGCAGGCAGGAGUCGGUCUACUUGGCACGGACAUGAUGCCUAUAUUUCACAAUCAUUGCCCUGGAUAUCGUCAUAACUUUGCGCUUUUCUAUCAAUUGCUCGACAGUAAUUUGUUCACCCACCGUAUUAUUUGCCUUCAUGAGAGAAGCCUAUAGUGAAACAUAUGGCCCCUGGGUCAAAUUUCCAUCAUAUUAGUUUCUGAUCUACUAUUUUGCAAUCUUUUACUUUUGCAACCAAAAAACCCAAAAAUAUUUUAUCUGUUGUUUAUCUAUCUCUAUCAGAUAUCACUUUUGCAAGUGACCGUGAAGGGAUUGACAACCCCUUUAUCGUGUUGGGUGCAAGUUGUUUGAUUGUUUGUGCAGGUAUUGGUGGCUUGUGCGUUGUCUCCUACUAGAUUGAUACAUUGGUUCUAUAAUUGAGGGAAAUACUUAUGUCUACAUCGCUGCAUCACCCUUUCCUCUUAAGGGGAAAAACCAAUGCAAGCUCAAGAAGUAGCAGGAAGAAUUUCUGGCGCCGUUGCCGGGGAGAUCUAUGCCAAGUCAAGACAUACCAAGUACCCAUCAUAAAACUCUCAUCUCUUGCAUUACAUUAUUCGCCAUUUGCCUCUCGUUUUCCUCUCCCCCACUUCUAAAACAAAUUUCGAAAAGAUUUGCCUUUUUAUUCGCCUUCUUUCCGUAUGACUUUUUGCUCGUUUGCUAUCUUUGCUUGUGUUCCCGUGUGCCUUCUAUUUGAUUGAAUCUUUGCUUGCUAAAAAUCUUUCGAUAUGGAACAACUUAAAGUUUUCUACUUGGAUCAUCUUCGAUCCAUAUGUGCUCGUGCUCAAACCCCAACUAGUUUAGUUGAGGGAAAAUCUUUAGAUGAGCAUGCGCAUUUUGUGCGUCAGCGUAUGUCAGAAAAGGGAGACUCUUAUGGAAUCAAAUAAAUUAUUUGCUAUGUUAUGCUUCGAAUCUUUGUGAACUUUGUGAUUUUACUUGUUGCUCUAAGAACCCUAAAAACACCUUCCGUACCUAUCUGAGUUUAAUGAUAAUGAAAUCUUAUCUUCUUAUGAAAAGGGUGUUUACAGUUAUUAUGAUAUCGAACAAAUUAAAGAAUUUGUUGCUUUUAAGGGUGCUUAUGAAGUUGCUUCUUUCUUUGAAAAGUAUGAUAUUACUCUCUACAAAUCUGAAAAUUUUGACAUACUUCAAUAUUGCUAUCAGUACUAUGCUCAUAAUGUCUAUGUUAAGGAAUUUACUGAGAGAAUGACUGUUUCUUUCGAAGAAAAUAAUGAUAUGCAUGAAUCUAUUGAUCAUUAUAAUUCCGAUGAUUUGAUUGAAAUAUCCUUUGAUGAACAUGAUGCUUGCUAUUCUUAUGGACAAGAUGAAAAUAUUAAUUAUUCUUAUGGACAUGAACUUGUUGUAGUUCCUUAUGUUAAACAUGAAAUUAUUUUUAUUGCAACCACACUUGAUAGUUCCUUCGAUGAGAAGCAUGAUUGUAAUGAUGUUAUCCCAAAUUCUAUUAAGGUCAAUUGUGUUAAUGAUAUGCAAAACCCCAAGCUUGGAGAUGCUAGUUUUGUUAUGUCCACUACUUGUUGCAAUGAUCAUGAUUGGGGUGAUUCUUCUUAUGAUCUUGAAAAUUUAUUUAAACCUCAUGAUGAAUAUGUUUGCUAUACUAUUGAAAGUAGGUUUGGAAGAGUGUCAACUUUAGAUCCCACAUAUUUGGGUAAUUUUCAAUCUUAUGAAGUUUUUGAUAAAAGUGGGUUUGGAGAGGUCAUGACUUUAGUUAAUGUUAAUCCCACUAUUUUGGAAAAGUGUCAACUUCACAUGCAUGCGGAUCUUGUUGAGAAUAUGUUAUAUGAUAGCUAUAUUGUUGAAUUUGAAUAUGAUCCCACAUGCAAUUAUUAUGAAAGAGGACAAUAUGGUUGUAGAAAUUUUCAUGUUACUAAAUCACCUCUCUUCAUGUUGAGAUUGUCUAUGUUUUAUUUUUCUUCCUUGCAUAUGCUAGUUUUUGCUUUCCUUGAUAAUUUGUUUGCUUAUAAAAUGCCUAUGCAUAGGAAAUAUAUUAGACUUAGAUGUGUUUGGCAUGUGUUCUAUGAUGCUCUCUUUGCGCAUCAAUUCUUCUCUUUUAUGUGAGCAUCAUUGAAAUUAUCAAUGCGUAGCUAAAGGCUUUAAAGAAAAGCGCUUGUUGGGAGACAACCCAAUAUUUUUCCUUCCUGUUUUUCAAUAAAUAAUUCAUCUAGCCUCUGGUUAGAUGUGUUUUUGUGUUUUAGUUAGUGUUUGUGCCAAGUAAGACCUUUGGGAUGGCUUACGGUGAUAAUUGAAUUGAUCUUGCUAAAACCAAGAAACUUUUGUGCCCAGGAAAAUAAUUUUCAUUUUUACAGAAGAGUGCUUUUGAUCUCAUUAUUUUUGCACAAGAUUGGUACACAAAUUUCCCAGUGUGUCCUAAUAUUUCAGAAUUUUUGGAGUUACAGAAGUAUUCGAAGUUUCCAGAUUGCCACAGAUUGUUCUGUUUUUGACAGAUUCUGUUUUCUAUGUGUUGUUUGCUUAUUUUGAUGAAUCUAUGGGUAGUAUCGGGGGGUAUGAACCAUGGAAAAGUUGGAAUACAGUAGAUAUUACACAAAUAUAAAUAAAGAAUGAGUUCACAACAGUACCAAAAGUGGUGAUUUAUUUUCUUAUACUAACGGAUCUUAUAUGAUUUUUUGUUGAGUUUUGUGUUUUGAAGUCUUCAAGUUUUGGGUAAGGAUUUGAUGGACUAUGGAAUAAGGAGUGGCAAGAGCCUAAGCUUGGGGAUUCCCAAGGCACCCCAAGGUAAUAUUCAAGGAAAACCAAGAGCCUAAGCUUCUGGAUGCCCCCGAAGGCAUCCCCUCUUUCGUCUUCGUCUAUCGGUAACUUUACUUGAAGCUAUAUUUUUAUUCACCACAUGAUAUGUGUUUUGCUUGGAGCGUCUUGUAUAAUAUGAGUCUUUACUUUUUAGUUUUCCAUAAUCAUCCUUUCUGUACACACCUUUUGAGAGGGACUCGCAUGAAUCAUAAUUUAUUAGAAUACUCUAUGUGGUUCACUUAUAUCUUUUGAGCUAGGAAAUUUUGCUCUAGUUCUUCACUUAUAUCUUUUUAGAGCACGGCGGUGGCCUUAUUUUGUAGAAAAUGUUGAACUCUCAUGCUUCACUUAUACUAUUUUGAGAGUUUCUCUAAGCAGCAUGGUAAUUUGAUUUGGUUAUAAAUUUAGUCCUACUAGUGGAGUAUUAUGAGAAGUUUGAUACUAUGAGAAGUUUGAUUCCUUAUGAUUGUUUAUGAUUGUUUUGAGAUAUGAGGAUGAUGAUAAAGUGCAUUGAAUACUAUGAGAAGUUUGAUUCCUUAUGAUUGUUUUGAGAUAUGAGGAUGAUGAUAUUAGAGUCAUGCUAGUGGAGUAAUUGUGUGUUGUAGAAAUACUUGUGUUGAGGUUUGUGAUUCCUGUAGCAUGCACGUAUGGUGAACCCUUAUGUAACGAAGUUGGAGCAUGAUUUAUUUAUUUAUUGUCUUCCUUAUGCGUGGUGGUCGAGGACAAGCGAUGGUAUUUUCCUACCAAUCUAUCCCUCUAGGAGCAUGUGCUUAGUACUUUUUUCGAUGACUAAUAGAUUUUUGCAAUAAGUAUGUGAGUUCUUUAUGACUUGUGACACCCACGAUUCAAUCGUAGACUAAUCAUACAUGCAAAUGUGUACAAUGAACAUCAGGGACUCACGGGAAGAUAUCACAACACAACUCUAGGCACAAAUAAAAAUUAAUACAAGCUUCAUAUUACAAGCCAGGGGCCUCGAGGGCUCGAAUACAAGCUCGAUACACAAGAGUCAACGGAAGCAACAAUAUCUGAGUACAGACAUAAGUUAAACAAGGAUGCCUUAAGAAGGAUAGCACAAAAGAAAUAUGAUCGAAGAGGCAAGGCCUCCUGCCUGGGACCUCCUAACUACUCCUAGUCGUCGUCGGUCUCAACGUAGUAGUAUCCGUCGACGGUGGCAUCUGGCUCCCAGGAUCCACUAUCUGGUUGCAACAACCGGAAAGGAGAAAUAAGGUGGGAAAGGGGUAGCAAAGCAAUUGUGAGUACUCAUCCAAAGUACUCGCAAGCAUCAGAUCUGUACUAAGUAUGCAUUGGUAUCAAAUGGAAGGUUGUAUAUGUCGACUGGACUACAACAUGCCAGAAUAGAGGGGGAAGGCCUAGCCUAUCAAAGACUAGCAUCUUCAAGCAGCUCCAAGCAACUUGCAGCAUGUAGAAGAGUAAAGAAUAGCAUUUUAAUAUUAAACAAACAUGUUGUAGAACCAACACCCAGAUAUCCUUCCUCGACUCCAUGCGAGGAAGCAAUCCCGGAGCCACAUAUCCAUCACAUAUCUCAAGUGUCCAUAUAUAGUUAUAUAAGAUCAGGAUACAAGUUUGAACGUCCAUUACCACGGACACGGUAUUCGAAUAUAUAUCUUCCCUGCAGGGGUGCACCACGUUACCCAACACGCUGGAUAACUCUGGCCGGACACACUUUACUGGUUUAAUGCCCGGCCUCGGAAGAUCAACACGUCGCAGCCCUACCUAGGCUUAGCAGAGAGGUCCCCGUCGGUCUACAUCCUAAGCACUCCGGGGUCUUGGGCCCAUCGCCUGCAGCACUCUGGGUCGUUUUGUGCAGGGUGGAUACCAGCACCUCCUCGGAUGGCCAACACGAUUCGACCAUGCCACAAUGUUGAACUGGACGUCUAACAAAGCUUCGGCUGGUACUGUGACGUCGUGGCCCAUAACUAUACUCGCAUGGUGGUUAGUGCGUAAAUGCCAGAGGCCAACACAGAACAAAUCCCCGAACCUGUUAGUGUAUUGGGGGCUCGCGAGGACGAGCACAGACUUACAUUAAGGUGACCCCGUCGCCCCGUCUCGUGGACUUACGGCAAGGGCCCAGACUGCCUGGUUGUGCCACGUGGAAAACUCGCGGGUGUGCUCUCUGGGCCCACCCGACAUUCACAUCAACUCGCGGGUACCCCUUAGGGCCGACCCGACUUCAACAAAGGUCUCAAGUAUAGUCAAGGUAACUGUGUGUCCAUAACAUCAAGGAGGAAAACCCGAGGAAUCACCCCCCGUGGAUUCCACUCGAUGUAACCAUCAAGGUGAACGUAAGAGGAAACACCCUCGAGGUUCACACUUGAGGGUUGCUCGACGGAGUAUUAUCGGGAGUGGUCUAGCACUACAAGAAAUAUGUCAACUUGUGACCACCACUAUUGGUCACUGAAAGGUCAUGGUUUGUCAUUUACGACCUUUUUGUGACCAAAAACAGAAGGUCAAAAGCUGGCGGUCGUAAACUAACUAUAGCGACCUUUCUUCUGGAAUGGUCGAAGACGUUUAUGACCAAAAUAUGUCCACUGUGGCGUUUUGGUCACUAGCAACCUCCCUAGGCCACUUAGGCAUCCAGCGUGGCAAGCUGAUGUGGCACAAGAUUCAGCCCGGUCCAAUUUGGUUUUCUACAUGGGCCUAGCCCACCAAUUCGGCCUUUCUAUAUUUUUUUCCUGUGCUUUUAUUAGCUACAUGGGCCUGGCCCAAGAAUUCAGCCUUUUUAUUUUCUAGGCCAUGGCCUUUUUUAUUUUAUUUUUUUCCAAAAUAUGAGCCCACUAGUGAGGUGGGACCCAGUUGUCAGGUUCUAACAAGUGGGUCCCAGGUGUCGCUGUUAUAUUAUUCAAAUCUCAAUUUUCCAGUAGAUAAAUAACAAUAUUUAAAUCCGAACAGAGAGAAAACAAAAUGCUUCAAACAGAGCACGACUAAUCAGGAAAAAUAUGGUACACAUCACGAAUACAAUCAGAAAGAGCCAAACUUGGCACAUUAUUACAAUCAAACUUGUUCAUCCUGGUAACACAGCAAGGAUGGUUCAUCCUAGUAACACAUUAUUACAGCAAAAUAUGGUUCACAUCAAGUUUACAAUAAACAAAAAUGUUCACAACAGGUAACACAAGUAUCACAGUAUAACUUGCUCCAAUGCUUCUCCCAACUUGUUCAUCCUGGACCUCACAACAAAACAUGAAUGAAGGCCAGCAUCUGCAAGUUAUCAAGAAAAAUGCUUAGAACAAGCAAAAUGCGACAUUUUUACCAUUUAAGCAUAGAAGAACAGGGUCAACAACAUUUCGAUCUUUGAAAAUGAACCAAGAUUUCAAUCUUUGAACAGCAAAAAAUUGAUACAGUAGAUCAUCUGCGGUUCAAAACAACCCCUAAGAAGAGACAUGUUGACACAUUCAUUUGGCAACAUCUGUAGAAAUUGAACCUCGUAAACAUGCAAUGUGAAAUUUGUAUCUCAAAGAAGUAUACAUACUUAUCAGAUUUUGAUGACAUUAACAUGCAGUACAAGCAAAGAUGGCAUGAUUGAACCUUGCAUAGUAAAAACUUGCAAGUAAAUAAGAACAACAAUGCUAAGAAGAUAAAACAUGCACAUUUCAGCCUGCAAUUGUGAAAAGGUCGAAUGGAUCCAAAUUAACAUACAAUUCAGAAAACAAUCAAUCUAUCUAUUAUAUACUUAAAACAAUAGAAAAGUAACGGUGGAGAUUAAGCAGUCUAAAGUUAUGGUAUUUGAAUGGCUGGGAUUAAAAGUUCCAAAAGUUUUUUAUAGGUAAAAGUUCUAAAAGUUACUUAGAACAUUAUCCUGUACAGUUCUUAGAAUCCGACACGUAACUGUCACAAAAAAACAGAAGACCGUGUACUUUAAUUAGGUGAAAAAAUAACAUGUACGUACGUCCUAUCAACAGCCAAUCGAAAUAAGUAAAAAAAAACCCUGCAAAUAUCAACAUGUGUCGUUAACACGUACUACUACAAGUUGAGUCCAACACGGAUAAGUAAGGAUUAGAUCACAUAAAGCCAAGUCCAACACGGACCAAAUAGGAACCAGAUCACGUACGUGUUAAAAAGAAACAUGCAUGUGGUGACCGUACCAAUUAGAUAAGAGUUGGAUUAGCAUUGGAUGCAACGACCUCAGGAUGAUGUCAUCGGGUAAAUAACAUGUACUGCUAAUUUGCUUCUAUUCCGAUUCACGUGGCCGGACGUCUGAUGGUGGUUGUACAUUGAGAUUAAUUCACUUCGGCAUAAAUAACUUAAUUAUUAGCAAAUUUACGUAAAAGUAUUUAAAUAAAGUUUUAGAUAAAUUAAUACAGGUAUACUUCACAACGAACACUGACAAUAAUUAGUAAAUAUAUUUAUAUUUCGUAGUACAUGAAACUCAGUGUAAAAUUAUGUGAAAUAAAAAAUUAGAAAGUUGAAUUGAUUGGAAGAAAAAAUAAUUUUGCAUUAAUAAUAGUAAAGUAAAAAAAGGUUUCAUAGGAAUAAAAUUCCACAAAUAGCUUAAUUUAUUACAAUGUUUUAAAUCAAAUAAAGAGUUAAUAUUGCAUAAAAAACUAAUCAUGUUUUAGAUUAUAUAUUAUCACAUAAAAAACUAAUAGUUUAUUAAAACAAGACACAAAAAUCCAUCAUGUUAAUUCAUAUACGCUUAAAAAUACAUGUUCUGUUGAUCCAUAUAACAAAGACUGAGAUUAAAAGAUUUGAAGACUUUAAUACAAGUCCUGUUAGAGAUUAAAAAAAAACUACAUACCGAUGUAUAUAGACAUAUUUUAGAAUAUAGAUUCAUUCGUUUUGCUCCAUAUGUUGUCCAUUAUUGGAAUCUCUAAAAAGACUAAUAAUUAGGAACAGAGUGAGUACAAUGAUAUUGAAGUGUAUACACGUGUUUCAUUGGAAACGUACAACACAUGUAUACAUUUUUUUUUCUAAACACAGUAGCAUACACAGGUUUAUUGGAACGGAUUUGCUAAUAGAAAAGUAAAAACCAUUAUGCUACUCGGAAGGGAGAUACCAUGUCUACGUAUGUGGAUUGAAAUUGGUGUCCGGCAAUAAUUUAGAACUAAUACAUCGUCCAGAAAAAGAAUUACAACUAAUACGGUCACAGACAAGAAUUACAGCUAACUAAUAUAGUUGCAUGAACCUACCAAGAAGUAUAUGCAUGCUCAACUUGACAUGACCUUAACUGAUUCAAAUAAUAUUUUUUAACAUUGUAACAUUACGCAACAAAAACAAACGUCUCAUAGUCGCUAGAGACAAUUUGGAAAGAAAAUAUUGGAAACUGACAUUAGCGUGUAAAAGAAGGGCAAAUUAAAAAAACACUAAUACCUCAAGACGUCCAAACAACGCUAUGGAAUCACAUGAAGCGAUGUGGGGUGGAAAUCACGUUGCGUAAACCUCCGGGCAAGGGAAAUUUCACGGAAUACAAUACAAUUCCAAAAAAACAGACAAGGAAACGAACACACAUGAUGAAGACAUGGAGUGAUUUGGGGCCGAAAUCACGUCGCGCAAAUGUGGUGCCAAGGGAAUGUUGAAUACAAUUUCGGAAAAGAUACAAAGGAAUCAGGACAUCGACACACAUAAAAAUGGAUAAGGACAAAAAUAUUCACUUUCUACAUUACGGAUUUGUAACAUGUACAUUAACCAAGUACCAGGAAGCAAUGCAAUUUUGUAGUAAGCAUCGGGAAAUAAUGUUAUGGCAACAAUGAAUAGUGUUAUGCAUGCAAAAGACCUACAACCGUGGACACAUUUUUAAGUCGAUGCGAAAUAACCUGAGUGCGACAAGGAUUAGCUAUAGAGAGACCGAGUGAGUAAGUGAGAGGUGAUGUUUUACGUAUAUUCAUAUUAAUGGAAACCGGUAUCUAUAUUCACUACUAGAAAAAGGGUCAAAUGUGAGACACAUUAGUCCCGGUUUGUAAUAGAACCGGCACUAAUGUGUCCAUUAGUGCUGGUUCCAACGGCUAGGUGGGAGGAGCUCUUUAGUACCGGUUCGUGGCGAACCUUUAGCACCGGUUCGUGCCACGAACCGGUACUAAAGAAAGUGGUGGCAGGAUGUUGUCAGAGUGGGGCCCUUCCAGCACCUUUAGUACCGGUUCGUGGUACGAACCGGUACUAAGGUCGUCCUAUAUAAACCCUUCGUCCACCCGCACUCUGUUCUUCCCCCUUUCCCCUCUCCCUCUCCUCUGUUCUUCCCUUCUUCCUCUCGAGUUCAUCACAAAAUUUGCCCCAAAUUUGUCAAGAUUUGCAGGCCCUCAUCCAUUCAAAUGAUCACCAAGGUUAGCAACUUUGUCCUUUCAUCUCUCAUUGCUAGAUUAGCUCUUGCAUUGGUUUAUAUAGUGAUUAAUUGUGGGUUUUAGUAAUUUGGGAGGAAUUAUAUGUGGUAGUAUUUGAUUUAUAUGCAAUUUGAGGUCAAAAUAACACUUAGGUUGCAUAUGUAGGUGUGGUUUACUUAGUGCCUUCUAAAUCUCCGUCGUAACCACCGUCGAUCGCCCGCACCGUCCCGUCGCCGGCACCACCUUGUGGUGAGCCUCUUGUUCAUGAAAUUUUAUAUAAAAAAUUGAUGUUUGUGUGAUUUGGAUAUAUAGUUACUCGUAUAAUAAUUAUCUUACCCGUACGUUGUUUGUUAUACAUACUGCCAUGGUUUUGAUAUCCGUCCCCGUUGGCCCUCGUCCUUGUUAUGAUUCGGAUGUGGUAUAUUCUCUUUUAAAACUAUUUGUUGCAUUUCGUGUUUAUGACAAAUUAUGCCCAUCAAGUUGACAUAGAUAUUUUUAUCUAGGAGGUAUGUGAACCGGAAAUUCCAACCGACCAUAUUGUCGAGAGGUUAAAUUUAGUUGAAAGAGAAAAUGAGUACUUGAAAGAAAAAUUGAAAAGAAUUGAGGGGGAGAGGAUGGAAUUGGAGUUGCAUGUUGCCGAUGUCGUCGAUGAUCACAAGAUCAAGAUGGAGAAAAUGCUCUUGAAGAUUAGAAAGAUUAGAAAAUAUGCCAUCGAUAGUGAGGCUUGGUAUCAUUAUGCUGUUGGAUCAAUUGUUACCUUAGUUGCGAUCUUGAUCGCAUUUGUUGUUGCAUUUAAAUGCUUUACCUAGAGAGUUAUUUGUUUGUUGCAUUUAAGUGUUGUAUGAACUUUAUGUAUGAACUUGUAUUAAUUUGGUCUAUUCGGUGUUGUGUAAUGAAGAUGAGCCGGCAAUGGAUGUACGAUGACCGAUGCUCUCCCCAGUUCGUUGAGGGCGUGCAUACUUUUCUGCUUGCGGCUGAGGCAAACAAGCGGGCGGAUGGUUUUAUGCCUUGUCCAUGUGGUGGCUGUAAGAAUGGUCGCAAUUACUCUACGUCAAGAACCAUUCACGUCCACCUGUUUAAGUCCGGUUUCAUGCCCCACUAUAAUGUUUGGACCAAGCACGGAGAAAGAGGGGUUAUGAUGGAAGACAAUGAAGAAGAAGAGGACGACAACAGCUAUCCUGGCCAUGGGUUCCCUGAAUACGAUGAUACAACAAUGGGGGAAGAAGCUGAGCCGAUAAUGCGGAAAGAAGCUGAGCCGGCAAUGCGGGAAGAAGCUGAAGAAGAGGCAUCAGAUGAGCCCGUUGAUGAUCUAGGUCGGGCCAUUGCCGAUGCAAAGAGAAGUUGCGCAAGUGAUUUGGAGAAGAAGAAGUUGCAGCACAUGUUAGAGGAUCACAAAAAAUUGUUGUACCCGAAUUGCGUAGGUGACAAGAAAAAGCUGGGCACCACACUGGAAUUGCUGCAAUGGAAGGCAGAGAAUGGUGUAUCUGACAAGGGUUUUGGAAAGUUGCUGGUAAUGAUAAAGGAUAUGCUUCGAAAGGACAACAAAUUGCUCGAGAGUACGUACGAAGCAAAGAAGGCUGUCUGCCCUCUAGGGUUAGAGGUGCAGAAGAUACAUGCAUGCCCUAAUGAUUGCAUCCUCUACCACGGUGAGUACGAGGAUUUGAACGCUUGCCCCGUAUGUGGUGCAUUGCGCUAUAAGAUCAGCCGCGAUGAGCAUGGUGAUGUCGAGGGCGAGCGCCCCAGGAAGAAGAUUCCUGCCAAGGUGAUGUGGUAUUCUCCUAUAAUACCACGGUUGAAACGUUUGUUCCAAAAAAAAGAGCAUGCCAACGCGAUGCGAUGGCACAGAGAAGACCGUAAGAAAGACGGAAAGUUGAGAGUACCCGCUGACGGGUCGCAGUGGAGAAAACUCGAAAGAAAGUACGGGAAGGAGUUUGCAGAUGACGCAAGGAGCGUAUGGUUUAGUCUAAGCGCAGAUGGCAUUAAUCCUUUUGGGGAGCAGAGCAGCAACCAUAGCACCUGGCCUGUGACUCUAUAUUUGUAUAACCUUCGUCCUUGGUUGUGCAUGAAGCGGAAGUUCAUUAUGAUGCUAGUGCUCAUCCAAGGCCCUAAGCAACCCGGCAACGACAUUGAUGUGUACCUAAGGCCAUUAGUUGAAGAACUCUUACAACUGUGAAAUGAAACAGGUGUACGUGCGUGGGAUGAGCACAUGGGGGAAUAAUUUGACCUAAAGGCGUUGUUGUUCAUGACCAUCAAUGAUUGGCCUGCUCUCAGUAACCUUUCAGGACAGACAAACAAGGGAUACCGCGGAUGCACGCACUGUUUGGAUGAUACCGACAGUAUAUAUUUGAAUAGUUGUAAGAGGAAUGUGUACCUGGGACAUCGUCGAUUUCUUCCGAGCAGGCAUCCCGUAAGAAAGAAAGGCAAGCAUUUCAAAGGUGAGGCAGAUCACCGGACGAAGCCUCACCACCAUACUGGUGCUGAUGUACAUGAUAUGGUCAAGGAUUUGAAGGUGAUAUUUGGAAAGGGUCCUGGCGGACAACCUGUUCCGAAGGACGCUGACGGACGCGCACCCAUGUGGAAGAAGAAAUCUAUAUUUUGGGACCUGCCAUAUUGGAAAGACCUAGAGGUCCGCUCCGCAAUCGACAUGAUGCACGUGACGAAGAAUCUUUGCGUGACCCUGCUUGGCUUCUUGGGCGUGUAUGGGAAGACAAAAGAUACACCUGAGGCACGGGAGGACCAGCAACAUAUGCACGGAGAAGACGACAUACAUCAGGGUCAUGGAAGCUACGCUCUUACCAAAGAAGAGAAGGAAAUCUUCUUUGAAUGCCUGCUCAGUAUUAAGGUACCGUCUGGCUUCUCAUCGAAUAUAAAGGGAAUAAUAAACAUGGCAGAGAAAAAGUUCCAGAACCUAUAGUCUCAUGACUGCCACGUGAUUAUGAUGCAACUGCUUCCGGUUGCAUUGAGGGGGCUUCUACCGGAAAACGUUCGAUUAGCCAUUGUGAAGCUAUGUGCAUUUCUCAAUGCAAUCUCUCAGAAGGUAAUCGAUCCAGAAAUCAUACCAAGGUUACAGAAUGAUUUGGUGCAAUGUCUUGUCAGUUUUGAGUUGGUGUUCCCACCAUCCUUCUUCAACAUCAUGACGCACGUCCUAGUUCACCUAUGCGAACAGAUUAACGUUUUGGGUCCUGUAUUUCUACACAAUAUGUUCCCCUUUGAGAGGUUCAUGGGAGUCUUAAGGAAAUAUGUUCAUAACCAUGCUAGGCCAGAAGGAAGCUUCUCCAAGGGCCAACAAAAUGAGGAGGUCAUUGAGUUUUGUAUUGACUUUAUUCCUGACCUUAAGCCGAUUUGUGUUCCUGAAUCGCGACAUAAGGGCAGACUGGAUGGAAAAGGAACUCUAGGAGGGGAAUAAAUAAUAUGUAUGGACAGACAUUCUCUCACUGAAGCACACUACACAGUUCUACAGAAUUCCGCCUUGGUGGCUCCAUAUAUGGAUGAACACAAGAAUUUGCUAAGCUCCAAACACCCGGAGCGAUCUGAUGACUAGAUUACACGUGAACAAACCAGGAGUUUCGCCAGCUGGUUGCAGACACGUACCAUGCAUGACACCUCUAUUGAAGAUGACCUAUACUUGCUGUCCCAGUUACCAUCUUCGAAUAUAAUGACUUUCAAAGGGUACGAGAUAAAUGGUAAUACAUUUUACACGAUCGCCCAAGAUAAGAAGAGCACCAACCAAAACAGUGGUGUCCUCUUUGAUGCAGAAACCAAGACGGGAAAGGAAACAUAUUAUGGUUAUAUACAGGACAUAUGGGAACUUGACUAUCGACGUGGUUUAAAGGUCCCUUUGUUUCGGUGCAAAUGGGUCAAUAUGACACGAGGCGGGGUAACGGAAGAUCCGCAGUACGGAAUGACAACAGUGGAUCUCAACAAUCUUGCGUAUGCAGACGAACCAUUCGUCCUAGCCAAUGAUGUGGCACAGGUUUUCUAUGUGAAGGACAUGUCUACCAAGCCAAGAAAAAGAAAAGAUAAGGAAGCGAAUGCAUCGUACGAUGAGCCAAAGCGGCACAUAGUUCUUUCUGGGAAGAGAAACAUCGUGGGACUGGAUGACAAGACAGACAAGUCAGAAGAUUAUGAAAAGUUUGAUGAAAUUGCUCCAUUCACAGUGAAUAUUGACCUGAGCAUCCCGUUAAAUGAUGAAGAUUUUCCAUGAUUACGGCGCAAAGGGACACACGCGAAGAAAAAGUUUCACACCCAAAGUUCUGGGAUGUGAUCGGCUUCACUAUCAUCACUUUCUUCUGUGUUUCACACCCAGAGGGGAAUCGCUGUAAUAGUUAGGGUAGUUAUGUGUUUUGGCAUUUGAAACGCGAAGAAAUUUUAUGUGCAAAUAAAUUCUUUCAUGCCUUUACUGAUUUUUAAAGUUAAGUUAUUCACAAACUAGUGAUUCACACUAAUUUCAAAUAAUUCAAAAUUUAAACUAUUCAAAUUUGAAAAGUACGGGCACUAACAGAAAGUUUGUAAUUUUUUGUACCUAAAGCAAAAAUAUUCACAAAGAAACUCUAAAUACACAAAAAAAAAACAACACAAAAAUAAAUAAAGCAAAAAAAAUUAAAAAAAAGCCUGCCUACUAGGCCAGAGCGGCCUACAUACGACUGGAACCCCAACCUGUUGUUGGGCCAGGAUGCAGGCCCGCAAAGGCCAAGUGGGCCCACAUGGCAGCAAAGAACACGUAGGCCCAGUAGGCCUGCUUUGGAGAGGAGCUCGAGAGAGCGACCGCAAGGGGGUUUAUAAACCAGUGCGGUCGCCCCUCGGCUAGCGAGGUGGGACUAAACUUGCCGCACCGCACCUGCGCCAGCGCACCCCCUUCAGUACCGGGUCAUGGCGAAGGGUCAAAUGUGAAGCACAAUAGUGCCGGUUGGAAUUUCAGCCGGCAGUAAUGUGUACACUAGUGCCGGUUCGUGGCGGCGAUGAAUAGCAACGCUUCGUGGCGAACCUUUAGUACCAGUUCAUGCCACGAACCGGUACUAAAGAGGCUGUGUCAGCCUCCGGUCAGGCUAUGGCCCCACCAUCACCAUUUAGUGUCGGUUCGUACCACAAACCAGUAGUAAUGAGGUUGUGUCAGGUAAGGCUGGGGCCCCACGAGCACCUUUAGUACCGGUUCAUGGAUGAACCAGACAUAAGCUGUUUUUUAGUCCCACCUCGCGAAGUGAGAGGGACUAGGAGCGGUUUAUAAGCCCUGAGUGCAGAGACGAUGAAGAAGAGGCUCAAUGCUCACGUUGCUUAGCUUCAAGCCUUCAGGAAUACGGUAGACUACACGGAGCUAUGCGCAGUGCAGUUUACACUAUUCCGAAAGGCUUGAAGCAAAUUAACGAGCAUUGCACCUCUUUUUUAUUUUAAUAACUUAUUACAACUCCGGACUUCUUCUGUUAUGGCAAAAACUAAUUGCACGUCGACAUUUCUUUUUUUAAGUUAUAACUCCAGACUUUGACCAUCAAGUUUUGCAGAAAAGGAAAAAUAGCAGAAAAGAAGAAAAACUAUAGCUGAAAAGAAAAAACUAUAUAAAAAAACUACUCAAAAAUAAAUAGAAGAAAAUAAAUAUAGCAGAAAAGAAAAAACUACUCAGAAAUAAAAAGAAGAAAAAAUAAAGCAGAAAAGAAAAAAAAUUAUAUUUGCUAUUUUUCAAUCAUUUACAAAAUGACCGUGAAAUUGAAAAUCACUACAAAAUGAACUCUGAAAUUGUUGAAUUUUGGCAAACUAGAUGAAAAACUACUCACAAAUAAAUAGAAGAAAAUAAAUAUAACAGAAAAGAAAAAACUAUACAAAAAACUACACAAAAAUAAAUAGAAGAAAAUAAAGCAGAAAAGAAAAAAACUAUAAAAAAAAUUGGGGCGCUGCCCUGUGGGCCUGAUAGGCCACAGGUGUGUAAUUACAGGCCUUAAAGGCCGAGCAGACUCACAGGGCAACGCGCAGAGUUUAGGCCCACAAGCCUGCUAUAUAGAGGAGUUCGAAGUGGUAGGCGCGGCUGGGUUUAUAAACCAGUGUGGCUGCCCUUCGCCCGGCGAGGUGGAACUAAACUUUGGGGUGGCAGCGCGAGGCCUUUAGUACCGGUUGGUGGCUCCAACCGGUACUAAAGACCACCCUUUAGUACCGGUUGGUGGCUCCAACCGGUACUAAAGGCCUCGUCUUCCCGCCUCUUCGCCUGGCCAAAGUUGGCCUUUAGUACAGGUUGGUGGCUCCAACCGGUACUAAAGGCCUCUCCUAUAUAUACAACACUUGCGAAAAUUUCAUUCUCCCUCUGUUUCUUCCUCUGUUUCCCCAUUGAAGCACCGCCCGCGCGCCCCGAUCGAUCGACGCCGUCGCCGUCGCCGCCCCCGUCCCCGUCGUUGCCCCCGUCCCCGUCGCCGCCCCCNNNNNNNNNNNNNNNNNNNNNNNNNNNNNNNNNNNNNNNNNNNNNNNNNNNNNNNNNNNNNNNNNNNNNNNNNNNNNNNNNNNNNNNNNNNNNNNNNNNNNNNNNNNNNNNNNNNNNNNNNNNNNNNNNNNNNNNNNNNNNNNNNNNNNNNNNNNNNNNNNNNNNNNNNNNNNNNNNNNNNNNNNNNNNNNNNNNNNNNNNNNNNNNNNNNNNNNNNNNNNNNNNNNNNNNNNNNNNNNNNNNNNNNNNNNNNNNNNNNNNNNNNNNNNNNNNNNNNNNNNNNNNNNNNNNNNNNNNNNNNNNNNNNNNNNNNNNNNNNNNNNNNNNNNNNNNNNNNNNNNNNNNNNNNNNNNNNNNNNNNNNNNNNNNNNNNNNNNNNNNNNNNNNNNNNNNNNNNNNNNNNNNNNNNNNNNNNNNNNNNNNNNNNNNNNNNNNNNNNNNNNNNNNNNNNNNNNNNNNNNNNNNNNNNNNNNNNNNNNNNNNNNNNNNNNNNNNNNNNNNNNNNNNNNNNNNNNNNNNNNNNNNNNNNNNNNNNNNNNNNNNNNNNNNNNNNNNNNNNNNNNNNNNNNNNNNNNNNNNNNNNNNNNNNNNNNNNNNNNNNNNNNNNNNNNNNNNNNNNNNNNNNNNNNNNNNNNNNNNNNNNNNNNNNNNAUUAGUUUAGAUUAUUUAGAUUAUUAUUUUUUCACUAUUAUAUAUGUAUGAAUGCAUGUUAGAUGGAUAUAAUUAGUGUUUAAUUAGUAUGGAAUUUUUUUAUAUAAUGUUGUUUUUCAGUUUUUUAAUGGAUGUAUAGAAGUUGUGUUUUCUAUUUUUAGUGUUAGAUGCUUAAUUAGUAUGAAAUAGUAUAUAGAUUUUUGACAUAUGCAAUGAUAGCAUAAUUAGUGUUAUAUAGAAAUGUUAGAAAUUUUAGUUAUCAAAAUCCAAUCAUUAAAAAAAUGUUACUUUUUGCGGGCAUAUAGCUAGUAUUUGUUCUCAACGAUGCCCGGCCCGCAUCCUCGCCGUCGACCCGUCCGCGACGACGUCCGGCUGACCCAUGUCUGGGACUGGGCUCCGCCGGGCUGGCACUGGGAGGUGCUGCCUGGAGGGGCGCGCCGCUUGAUGAGGAACCCGGCCCCGGGUCCCGUCGUCGACCCUGAUCUCGUUUGGUGGCGUUCACGUGGGCCAGAUUCGGUGCGGAGGGCCCCGGCCCCGCCGGAGGUGGUACGUCACCGUGUCAGGGAGGAGGACGAGCACGUCCAUCGCUACAUGGUUGCAUUAGAAGGCGGCAGGUUCUCCAAUACCUGGUAGUUUCUUCAGGGAUCUCACUUUAGCUAUGAUCCUGUGAGGGUUCCUUCUCUUUGGGUGUCCACCGCCCGCGCCGCAGGAACCGCGAGUGUCCUAGAUUCUUCUGUAGUAUUUGAUCUUUAAUUAGCUACCUAGCCAGUGAUGUACUAUUCAAUAUUAUAUAUUAUUCGAGACGAUGUAUUCGAGAUUAUAUCUAUUAUUCUAGACGAUGUAUUCGAGAUUAUAUCUAUUAUUCGAGACGAUGUAAUUUGAAUACUAAAUUGUUUUAUAUUUCUUUUGGAUUAGUUAAAUAAAAGCUAUGGCAGACAAUACCGACAGAGAGGGAGAACAGACCAUGUUCGAUAUGAUACGCGGGCCAGAUGAUGAUCAGAAUGAAGAAGAAGAUUAUGACGGCUCCGAAUCUCUAAACAACACCGAAGAGGGUGAUAUGAUAUUCGAUCGCGAUGACCGAAUUGAUGAAGUCCUGAACUACGAUUAUGACGAUGACAAAGAACAUGUUGAUCCUGAAACAACAAAGACCGGCGAGGUAUAUUUAUAUAAGCAGGCAUCUGGUGAUCAUCACAUGUUUUAAAUGACUUGAAGAUAUAUUAACGAAUUGAUCUUUGUUCUUUCAGCCAUCCGGAUCGAGCAAAUCUUCAGGCAAAAGGACGAAACGAGGCCCGAACAAAAAGUUGAAGGAGGGCAUAAAGUACAAUAUCGAGGUAGCCAGACCUAAUGGCGAACCAUUAGCACCUAAGAAGAUUGCGGACAAGUUCGUUCGUCAGUGCGGAGUUCUUGUGAAGGACAAACUCCCGAUCAAACUUCAAGAAUGGAGAGAGCCAGCAAAGCCACGUCCAAAUGUUACUUUCGUCGAUAAGAAUCAAAAAGAUCUGCUUUGGGAUACUCUCAUGGAACAUUUCACCCUACCAGAUCAUUUCACAAAAGCAGAUGUGCAUAAAGUCAAGGACGCUGCUCUUAGGAAGAUGGCGGUUGCAUUCAAGAACCACAAGAAUCGUGAAUGGGACAAGUACGUCAAGGGAGGAAGGAAGACUCCAGUAUUCGAGGGAACACUAGAGAACCAACGUGCUCAUUGGGACGAUUUCGCGAAAUUCAAGGAUUCGGAAUUAGCUAAGGAACGGUCGAGAAUAAACAAGAAGAAUGCCGAAAAAAAUGAUAAGUUCCAUAAGCUGGGGCCAGGUGGCUAUGCGGUGGCAAUGCCUAAGUGGGAUAAGUCUGAGAAAGAGAUGGAGGAUGCAGGUGUCACUCUGGUUACUAAGAGCUGGCCCCCCAGGUGCAGGACUUGGUUCUAUGCGCAUGGGGGGAGUUGGACCCGAAGACAGGCAAUGUUUCGACGAAGGCAAGUCUGAAGGGAGCCGACGAUGCGAUACUUGUUGCAAUAGAAGAGGCACGAUCGGGGGUGUUCCAGCCCAACAGAGAGAACGACGAGCUUACACGUGCCCUGGGAAAUCCUGAUCACCCGGGAAGAACACGAGUCAAGGGCGCUAUUCCGUGCUAUGAGGGGUUUUCAGACUGGAACACCGACUACAGAACCCGUGCGAGAAAGAAGAUUGCGGAGGAGAAGAAGAGGAAGAUGGAGGAGGAGCAGAGGAAGCGGGACUAUGAACGCCUUCAAGGCCUAGAAGCAAGUCAAGCGGAAUUGGCAGUCAAAUUCCAGCGGCAGCAUGAGCAGAUCGACUCACUUACCCAGCAAAGGGGGUCUCAGCAGCUGCAGCAGCUAGCGGAUGAUCCAACAUUGGAUAGCACCGCCCCAUCCAUGCCGAGAAGCAGCAUGGGUUCCGCCCCGGAUAACGCAAUGCUGGGUAGAUACCCCGUGGAUGACAUCACGGAGAACACUAACUGCGAGCUACACGUCAAAAUAACGAACAUAUCCAUGAAGGUGGCGGACGCCGUUGCUUUUACAAAUCCCCCCGAGGCAACCUUCCAUGGCAACCCGAUUCCAGCGGGCUAUGCUCGUGUCUUGGUUGAUGAGGUGGUGGACCCACCAUAUUCGGAGCUACAGCUUGACAUUCCUGGAGGUGACGACGAGCGCUUUCUCGGAGAGUCCAAACAUCGUAUCAUCCUAUGGAAAAAGGAUUGCAUCAUAUUUCGAAGGCCACCGACACCACGUCAGCCGACUCCUCGUCGAAGUCCGUCACCGAGUCAGCAGACUCCCGCUCCUGCAAGUCCACCAAGUCCGGCAAAGUGUCAGGCCACUCCUCCUCCUCCAAGUCCACCACAGCGUCAGACGUCCACUCCUCCUCCUCCAAGUCCGGCACAACCUCAUGCCACUCCUCCAAGUCCGGCACAGCUUCAGGCCACUCCUCCUCGUCCAACUCAGCACCGUCAGCCGUCUCCGCCGCCUCAGCAAUCGCAAAAGAGACACCCCGCAGCUAUGGUGCGUAGCGGUACGAGUCGAGGUAGUACAGGAAGUACAGGCGGAGGCAAGCGAUAUAAAUAUGGUCCAAGCCUCACGCCUCUUCCGCAGAGGCCUUAUGACAAGUCCGAGGAGGAAAACGCAGUCAUAUCGAAGGCCGAGGUGGAAGCCCAUUUUGCACCGAAACCGCCACCGCCGCCAAGGGAGAAAGUGCCUGAGGAAACGAUUGACCACUUCAUUCGUAUGGCUCAACCACCAGCUCCCAAGCCUGUUGACACAGACUGUGAGCGCCACAUCAGGAAAUUAAAUCGAGCACGUCUACGUAAGGAGGCGAGCUCGGGAUCGAGCAAACAACAAGCAGCUGUCAAAAAAUGCGGGAAAACCAUUCCCCGGCUGGGAGAACAGGCGGCGCAAUCGAUCCCCUCGCUUGUUGUGCCAACAACACGUGACAAUACGCGCGCCCAAUAUUAUUGUGGGCAAACAGUUUACGUUCCCAAGGUGGGCAAUGUGGUAAUAACCAAGGACCAUAUAAUGCAGGCUGAAGUUCUCAACAUCACUGUUGGACAACUCCUCGAGAUCGAGCCCAUGCCUGUGCUUAGAGAGGAUGAAAUAAAACGGAAAUAUGUCCGGGGCCAACCUUUAGUCGAGCCAGACAAGGUCAAGAACCUCCCAACGAGAAUGUAUGAUUUGCAUCAAUGGUACAUGAACAUUACCAAGAUUUCAGAUCGAUUGUCCCUCAUGGUGAAUGUCAAGGAGGAUCAUUACUUCCAUGAGAAAGCUCUGUCCGUUGAGUAUUCUGAACUGUUUCAGUUAUACAAUCAAGACGCACUCGACAAAUCUAUCGUCAGUUGCUAUUGUCUAUAAGUGAUUUCUUUCUGUAAUUUAAGUCUCAAGCUAGCUGCAGUGAUCCUUUUGAUCAAUCAUUACCUGUAAUUAUCGUCACUAUAUUCUUUUCUGUGGUAUUAUGCAGGAUGAAGAUGUAUGAAAUGAGAAAAGGUGGACGCUUUGGCAUUGGGUUCGUUGACCCAAACACUGUUAAUGAAUACACAUGGCGGAUAAAUCCACAUCAUCAAAAGGACGUAGAGGACAACAUGCUAGAGUUCUUGAAGCGCCUCAAAUACAAUGAAGAUAUACUACUUCCUUACAACUUCUAGUGAGUCAAACUGUCUUGUACUACAAAUUCUCUGUUUUUGCCUACUAGCUAGCUACAUGUUUUUGCUUACAUAUGCCCGCUUAAUUAAGACAUGCAAACGUGUGUGCAUGCAGAUUUCACUGGGUCUUGUGUAUCAUUAAAGUUGACGACGGAACAGUUGAAAUACUGGACUCCCUACUCAAAGUGAAAACUGACUAUAACAUCUUGUUUGGGAGAGUCAACAGGUAAUUUCAAUCAUUAUUAACUAUAUAUCUCGGCCUAUUUAGUUCUUCAUUUCAUGAUAUGAACUAUUUAAUAACCCCUUUAUUCAUUUUCUUUGUCGGCGGGCAGGGCUUGGGCAAGGUUCAUCAGCGUCACGGAAGGCGAAUGGAAAAAAAGUUUCAAUAGUUUCGACCCAAGGUAAGUAAUUAAGUAGUACUAGCUAGCUAGCUAGCUGCCAUCUCUUUAAUUAUCAUGCUUGAUUAAUUAUUAUCUGAUCAAAUUCCAUUCUCGUAAAGGCCCUGAAGCAGGCGCAGGGGACUGAUCUGUGUGCAUUCUGAAUUUGCGACAACAUUCGCAUGAUGGCGUCCGAAAGGAGCAGAUCUCAAAGACAAGAAUGGGUACGCUUGUCAGAACAGUAUUCACAAUUUUUACACCAUUAUUGAUAUCUAGUCACACAAGUAAUACACAUGCAUAUGGAUCUCCUUCUUAACAGUUCAGAGAGGUGCGGGAGAAGCUCCUAGAAACGGAGCGCGUAGAAGCACUUCAAGAGGAAAUAGUGGGAUUUUUGCUCGACUAGGUCAUAAAUCCGAAGGGAGAAUACUAUUACCCGCUACCGCCCCCAUGAAAACCACUUCCAAUUGUCAUCGUGCUCCGAAGGCACCAAUUAGGCUAAUGCCACUGGCUCCGAAGGCAACAUGCAUAUGUAGGAGAAAUUGUAUAUAGCUAUACAUGUGUGUAUGUGUGAAUUAAUUAAUAUGAUGGUUUGUGAGACAUUGAUGAUAUAUAUAUGCAUNNNNNNNNNNNNNNNNNNNNNNNNNNNNNNNNNNNNNNNNNNNNNNNNNNNNNNNNNNNNNNNNNNNNNNNNNNNNNNNNNNNNNNNNNNNNNNNNNNNNNNNNNNNNNNNNNNNNNNNNNNNNNNNNNNNNNNNNNNNNNNNNNNNNNNNNNNNNNNNNNNNNNNNNNNNNNNNNNNNNNNNNNNNNNNNNNNNNNNNNNNNNNNNNNNNNNNNNNNNNNNNNNNNNNNNNNNNNNNNNNNNNNNNNNNNNNNNNNNNNNNNNNNNNNNNNNNNNNNNNNNNNUACCAGCAAACGAAAAAGAAUUAAAAUAGAAACACAAAAUUAAAUGAAAAAGAAAUCAUAAAACUAAAAAAACCCCAAAGCUUAUAGUACCGGUUGGUCUUACCAACCGGUACUAAAGGGCUCCAGGCCCCCGGAGCUGGCUCGUGCCACGUGAUUGCCCUUUAGCACCGGUUCGUGCUGAACCGGUACUAAAGGAGGGGGGGGCUUUAGUGCCCACACUUUAGUGCCGGUUACGGAAUCGGCACUAAAGGGCCUUACGAACCGGUGCUAUUGCCCGGUUCUGCAUUAGUGAUUGUCUUAGAUGGGCGAGGGAGAUAGUGUAAGAUUAUCAUGUUUUCAAGCUUCAAUAUGAGAGAUGACGAGUCAAGUGGAGAAAGAGAAAGCAAGUAUACGAACUAUAAGAGUAUAUAUUUAAUAUUAUUAAGUAAUCCGUAUUAAAUUAUAGACGGUCUCCACGAUAAUUGAUGCAAAGUUUAUAUUUAAGAACCGAUGUACAUUUAAUUAUUUGAACGACAUGGAUCAUUAGUCAUACAGAAAAAGAGGCUUAUAUUUUCUGUAGGCAAUAACCAUUGAGCGGUUACAAUUUUAAAAUUUUAACAUUUUAAAAUAUAUUUAUGAAUGAAUCUAAAUUCCAUGACACAUGCUAAAAGAUGCUUUAAACUAUUUAUUUCCAACAAAAUAAAAUUUCACAUUUAAAUACCAAAUAAAAUAAUAAUACAAUCUAGCCGUGCAAAUGCGCAGGUGACCCUGCUAGUUUAGAUUUGAUUUUCAAAAAUUGAUCGUGAUUGAUUCUUUCACAUAAAGAUAUUACUAACUUGGGCCAACAUGGAAAGUUCUUCCGCUCUCUUUUGUUGUGUGAGAGGCUCACACGAAACUAAACCGGUGGGGUGAGGGAGGGGCAAAAAAACUAGCAAAAUAAAAUGGUUGAAAAUGGUGGGACGAAAAUAAAUCGUGGAUACUAUUCUACCAACUCGGACAUUAGAAAUAGAGAUAUUGAUGUCACUGGCAUGUUGUCAGUCAAGCUAGCGUAUCACAUUACAUCACCAAACGUACAUGCCUUGAUUGUACGUAAUAUAUUGUUGUCUGAUCCACGCUAAGAGCAUCUCUAGCAGACCCCAUAUAUCGCCGACCCACAAAACUCAUUUAAAGUUUGCUGAAAAACAGUUUCGCGGGCCGGCGCGGGUCGCGGUCGAGCAGACCCCGCAUAGCGGAACUGUAAAACGGGAUAUUCACGAAUAUUCCGUCUUACAGUUCCGCUAUGCGGGGUUUGCUCGGCGCAGCCCGCGCUAACCCGCAAAUCACAUGUGUUUUUAUCCGAAUUUGACACAGAUGCCACAUAUUCAGAAUUAUUAAUUCAAUAUAAGAUAAAAUUUCAAUAUUACCAUACAACAAUCAUCCAAAUUACAAUAAUUAUUGAAAUCACCUAAGCAAACUAAAUAAUUCAAUAGAAAACUUGCCUCGAAUACAAAUCAGACAUGAAUUAAAUGAAAUGAAUGCAAAAAUGGAAUGUCUUACCGCCAUCCCUUUGUCAAUCACUAGUAGAAAAACACCUAAUAGUCCCGGUUCGUAAGGGUCUUUAGUCCCGGUUCAUGAACCGGGACUAAUGGGUCGUUACUAAUACCUCCACCCAUUAGUCCCGGUUCAAACACGAACCGGGACCAAUGUGCCUCCACGUGGCCCUGUGCGCCGAGCCCAGUCAGGGGGCCUUUGGUCCCGGUUGGUUGUACCAACCGGGACCAAAAUGCAUCCACGCGUCAGCAUUCCAGUGGCUGGGGUUUUUGUUUUUUUUAAAGGAGGGGGGUUGGGGAUUUUGGGGGGUUAAUUUAGGUGUUUCAUAUAUGGUGUUAGCUAGCUAAUUAAUAGAGAGAAGUGUCCUCUCUUACGUCCGUGCUUGAUCGACGCUACGUACUAUAUAUACAUAAGUGAUGAGAGAACCAUUGAGUACAGAAGUUUGUCAUGCAUACCGAGAGAAGUGAUUGAUCGACCUCUCCUUCUCCGAGAGAUUGGUCGAACAACAAGUUUUCGUAUCAUGUAUCCAACGCUACUGGCUACAUACAUGUACAAUAUGUAUAAGAUCUCUUAAUUACAAUCCCCUAGCAAUUGAAUUCAAUUUCCACAUGGUAUUCUCCGACUUUAUUGAUGACGUGGUCAAGAAAGAAUCCCGCCAAUUCCUCUUGAAUUGCUUUCAUGCGAUCUGGUUCUAGGAGUUCAUUCUGCAUCUGCCACAUCUAAUUUGAAGAAGGGGGUUAAUUAAUACAUAUAUAUGAAUGAAACUCAACAGAAAUGAUGGUGUAAUAAAAUGAAAUUGUGAAUAUUAUUGCUUACGCACUUCAUAUUGUCUUUUAGAGUAGCCCCGCUUGUUUUUCAAAGUCGCGUUGUGGAUGAACUCGCACACGUAGUAUCCACAUAAAUCAUUCCCUUCUUCCUGCCACAAGCACUUUACGAGAAAUAGAGGUCAAUCAAACUGAUAAUGAAGCAUUAUAAAUGGCAUUGAUGAAAGUAUAGCUAUAGAAUCAACGGGAGAUGCGUGCAACUAGCUAGCCAGUAGUACUUACUUUCGGGUAUGUAUAUCGCAGCUCCUUCGGCAGUCCCGGAGCUUCUGCGGUGAACUGUUUCCAAACCCUGCAAGACAAAGCAAAUAAUUAUUAUUACUUGAUAUAUCAGGAAAUGAACAAAAAGUUGCCGAUAUGGUGCGAUAACGAUCGAUUGAACUUACUUGUUGAGAAAUUCAGUCAUGUCCGCAUAGGUUUUGGGAUCUUUCCGUCUCGAGUCUAAGACGGUUACUAGUCCCCGCUCAAUAUUAAUCUCCAGAAGAACAUAGUGGUACCUGCGCACGCAUGCAUUACUCAUCAAUUACAUUACUAUAACCACGCUGAAGUAAUAAGGGAAACCGAAUAUGCACACGACAGUAACACUCACUUGCCGUUGUAAGGAAAGAGUAUGGUAUCUUUGUUUUGUUUUUUGAUCAACGAUCGUAGCAAGUUUUCCUCAGCCUCUUUGACGUCCUUUUUAACCAGAAAUUCAUCUAUGAUAUUUGUGUUAAUGAACCCAAUAUCAUAAAUUUCUUGUUUUUUGCACUCGACGAUCUUCAAUCUGCAUAAUAUAUUGAGGAUAAUUAAUUAUAAAUACAUGAAAUGAAAGAGCCGAGCUAUAUAUAGAGACUUAAUGACAGAAAUAGUACUUACAGACAGUAGCAAAAGACCAUUAGUUUAUCGAGGGCCUUUUGAUUGAAGAACGCGAAGAACUCAUCAAAUGGAACAGUCAACAGAUCAGUUGCAACGAGGUCUUGCUCCUCUUUAAUAUUCAGAUACAAAGCAUUCGUACCCCAGACUCUCUGCAGGUUUCCAUGUUCCAAUUAUGGAAUCUUCGCAUCGUUGUUGUCAGAGAUUUUUCAUCUUUGACGAGAGGCUUCCCGUACUCGUAUCUGUGUUCGUCCACCUCCAAGAAAUCAGGAAGUUGAUCGUCAGGAAGGUAAUCUGCAAGAUUGCCAUAACCGGCCACCGUCCCCGGAGCAUUAGACACAUUGAGCGGGGGGCACGAUUGCUGUGCUUGUUCACCGAGCUGGGCAAUUUUUUCCCCUUUGCUCGUUUUUUUAUCCUUUUAGCACUGACAGUAGUUCCCGACCGCUAGGCUUGGAGAUAUGUCUGUUCAGUAAUGCGCUCAUAGUUGGUUCUCGACGGAGACUUUGGUGGUUUCCUCAGGGCAUCGAUAGUGCGCUUUGCUUUCACCGGAUCUACCUUCUCCUCCGGAGGUGGAUGUCUCUUUGCUUUCACCCCUUCAAAGAACUCCUUCACGUGAGUCCGCACAAUCGUAUCGUUUUUCUCCUCGGUCCUCUCGUACGGUAACUUCUCUAGAGGCUUGAGAGGUGGACCGUAUAUGUAUUGCCUCCCUCCUCUGGUUGUGCUGCCAGACGCCGGAGCAGACGGAGCGGCUGCGGCGUCUGUCUUCUUUCGUGCUUGCUUACGAGGCGGAGGAGAAGGAGUACGACGCGCCGGAGCAGCCGGGGCGGCGGUGGGUCUCUUCCGCCCUUGCUGGCGAGGCGGAGAAGAAGGAGGCUGCUAGCUGCUCCGGAGCGCCGGCGUAGGCGGAGAAGGAGGCAGAGUGCCGCCACGCGCCGGAGAAGGAGGCGGAGUGCCGCCACGCGUGCCCUGAUCGUCACUCGCCGGAGGAGGAGGCGGUGGAGGAGGCGAAGUGCCCUGACUCGCCGGAGGAGGAGGAGGAGGUGGAGGCGUCCAGUUCGGAAGGUUGAUGAGCUCCUUCCGCCAUAGGCAUGGAGUCUUCAGAGCAGAACCCAGCCUAGUCUCCCCUUCACCGGUAGGGUGGUCAAGCAGGAGGUCCUCAAAUCCCUCCAUUAUUUCACCCACCAUCACCUUAGCAUAUCCUUCUGGAAUCGGCCGGCAGUGAUAAGUUGCUCCGGAUCCAGUAGGAUAAACAGAGCCAACAGCCUCCUUGACCUUCAAAUUCAUCCAUCACGCCAUAAUGUGGCAAUGUUGAGACUUCGUGAUAGCAUCCACGGGAUAGCUGGCAGGAGCCGUCAAGACAUGCUCCGGCUGAAGCAGCUUGGUGGAAGCCACGCCGCUUCUCCGCUGAGAUGGCGGGGUAGCUUCGGGGGAAGCUUUGGCAGGUCGUUUGCUGCGAUCUGCUGCUUCUCGUUCCUCUUCUCGUUCCUCUAGCCCCAUUACCCUUUCGUGCAGCGCCUGCAGUUGGCCCUGCUCCAGUUUCUUCCUCCUCUCGUGGGUUUUGUAACCCCCUGCGUCCGGAAAACCAACCUUCCACGGAAUGGAGCCUGGCGUGCCUCGUGUCCGUCCAGGGUGCUAAGGAUUCCCGAGGGCCAUUGUGAGCUCGUCCAUCUCCCUGUCUGGUACGAACGUCCCUUUCUGCGCUGCAUUGAUAUAGUGUCGAAGGUUCUUGACUGGUAUUUCCAGUUGCUCGUCCGUCCAACGGCACAUCCCUGAUACGGGGUCCAAGGUUCCGCCAGCCCCGAAGAACCAAGUCUGGCCAUCUCAUUGUCUCUGGUUCGAUCCCUUUUUCAAGCAGAUCAUUCUCCUCCUUGGACCACUUAGGCCGGGCUUUGAGGUAGCCACCUGACCCCGUGCGAUGGUGAAGCUUCUUCUUCGCAGCAUUUUGCUUGUUCGUCGCCGACAUCUUCUUACUCUUUUCCGAUGUCUUGUGGGCCACAAAUGCGGGCCAGUGAUCUUUGAUCUUCUCAUAUUUGCCGAUGAAUUCUGGUGUCUUUUUUUUCGACAAAAAUGUUUCAACUCUUUCCUCCACCUUCUUAAGAGCACGAGACUUGAUUAAUUGCUCUUUAACUGGCUUCUCCGGAUCCUCCUCUGGCGGUAGGGUGAAAUUUGCCUUCAGCUGAGUCCAAAGAUCUUCUUUCUGCAUAUCAUUGACAUAAGACACCUCAGGGUCGUCCUUAGGAUUAUACCAUUGUUGGAUGCUGAUCGGGAUCUUGUCCCCAACAAGAACCCCGCACUGAGCAGAAAAUGCGUUCUUUUUCCGGAUGGGUUCAAUCGGUUCGCCGUCGGGUGCGAUUUCUAUGAUCUCAAACCUUUCAUCCGAGCUCAACUUUUUCUUCGGGCUUGGUCUCCUUACCGAAGUUGUGCUCGAUCCGGAGGGCUAGAAAUGAAAAGGAAGAAAGACGAGAAUAAUUAAUAUGUGUACAUAUACCAAAACAAUGAAUGCAUCAAUUAACUAGUCAGCACGGGCUUAACUUAUAUAUAUAUACCUGGCCGGACUCGGUUCGGUCACCGGAGCAGUCAGCACGGUCUCCUUCUUGUACCUACAUUGGGUCAUCAUCGGAGCCAUCACGAACAUAGCACUCUUCUUGUACCGGCAUUAAUGGGCCGGAUCCAUCAUGAACAUAGCCCUCUUCUUCACCCAGUCCUUCCUGACCAACGACGUCGUUGAAAAAUGACGCAAUGACAUCAGUUCCUUCUGCAAUCAUCUCCCCCAACAUUGCUUCUGUUGCUUCGUCUUGGUAGUGCUCCAUAGUUUCUGCAAAUAUUUACAACAUGUCAAUUAUUAUUCAAACAUGGUACAGAUGGAUACAUAUUAGUGGCAAACAUAGAACUAGCUAGCUAAUCACAAUAAGGAAUCAUGUUAGUGGCCUCGACGCUGCUUCUCUAGGGUUUGGGAUCGCCUUGACACAACGCUUCAAGGGUUUGGGGUGGCCUCGACGACAACGCUCUUUUAACUUGGUAAAUUUGGGUGGCCUCGAGAGUUUUGGUCGAGCGAGAGGGCCGAGGGGGGUGCUGCCGUUGUAUAGGUUAUCACGGUCGAGAGGGGGUAUAUAUAUCGACCGCCCCUCAUGUCGAAGUUAUCUCGAGGGAGCGGCGAGGGCGAAGGCGAGCAGCUUGACGGUGAUAGACCCGAUAAAACAUAAGAAAACGAAGAAGAAAUAAAAAGAGGAGAAGAAGAAAGGAAUAGAGGAGAAGAUCGAAGAAAAAAAAAGAAGAAAAAAAAAGAGGAGAAGAAGAAAGGAAUAGAGGAGAAGAAGAAAGGAAUAGAGGAGAACAAGAAAGAAUAGAAAAAUUCUAUUUUUUCUUCUUCUCCUCUAUUCCUUUCUUCUUCUCCUCUUCCUUUUCUUCUUUUUUGUUCUUCUUAUUUAUUUCUCCUCUAUUCCUUUCUUUCUGCUUCUCCUCUUGCUUCUUUUUCUUCUUCUCCCUCGAGAAAGGAAAACAAUUAAGGAAAAGGAAGAAAAGAGGAAGAAGGAAGAAGGAAGAAGAAGAAGAAAGGAAUAGAGGACAAGAAGAAAAAAUAGAUUUUUUUUCUAUUUUUUCUUCUUCUCCUCUAUUCCUUUCUUCUUCUCCUCUUCUUUUUCUUCUUUUUUCUUCUUCUUAUUUAUUUCUCCUCUUCUUUUCCUCUCCUCUUCUUCCCCUUUCUUCUCUUCUUAUUUUCCUUUUUCCUCUCAUUCUUUUUCUUCUUCUUCUUCCUUCUUCCUUCUUCCUCUUUUCUUCCUUUUCCUUAUUUUACUUUUUCCUCUACACUAACCUAAUUAAAAUGCACUAACCUAAAAUCGAUAUCUACUAACAACCUAAAUAAAAAAUUAAUACAUAUAUGAAAAAACNNNNNNNNNNNNNNNNNNNNNNNNNNNNNNNNNNNNNNNNNNNNNNNNNNNNNNNNNNNNNNNNNNNNNNNNNNNNNNNNNNNNNNNNNNNNNNNNNNNNNNNNNNNNNNNNNNNNNNNNNNNNNNNNNNNNNNNNNNNNNNNNNNNNNNNNNNNNNNNNNNNNNNNNNNNNNNNNNNNNNNNNNNNNNNNNNNNNNNNNNNNNNNNNNNNNNNNNNNNNNNNNNNNNNNNNNNNNNNNNNNNNNNNNNNNNNNNNNNNNNNNNNNNNNNNNNNNNNNNNNNNNNNNNNNNNNNNNNNNNNNNNNNNNNNNNNNNNNNNNNNNNNNNNNNNNNNNNNNNNNNNNNNNNNNNNNNNNNNNNNNNNNNNNNNNNNNNNNNNNNNNNNNNNNNNNNNNNNNNNNNNNNNNNNNNNNNNNNCAGGGGCAACGACGGGGGCGUGCGGACGGCGUCGGGGCGGCGCGUGGACGGUGCUGGGGCGGCGGGCGGCGUCGGGGCAGCGGACGACGUCGAUCUGGGCAGCCUGGCGGCGUCGAUGAGCUCGGCGUCGUCGGGCGGGCCGGGGGAAACUGGCGAUGUGUUCGUCAAAUUUUCCUAAGUGUUGUAUAUAUAGCAAGAGCAUUGGUUCCGGUUCGUGAGACCAAUCGGGACUAAUGCCCCCUUUAGUCCCAGUUGGUACCACCAACCGGGACCAAAGGCCUCAUUUCAGCAGCCCAAAGGGCGGGAAGAGGUGACCUUUGGUCCCGGUUGGUGGCACCAACCCGGACUAAAGGGUGGGCAUUGGUAUCGGUUGGUGCCACGAACCGGUACCAAAGGACCCUGUGCUGCCAGCGUCGGGGCCAAAAUUUAGUCCCACCUCGCUAGUUGAGAGGGGCGCACAAUGGUUUAUAAGCCCCACUGCCGCACCCCUCUCGAGCUCCUCUCCACCGUAGGCUUGCGGGCCUAUUUCCUACUGCUUUGCCUGAUGGGCCUUCUGGGCCUACUGCGGGCUUGAAUCCUGGCCCAUGGUAGGGUUUCUAGUCGUAUUCAGGCCGUGGGGGCCCAGUAGGAGGCAUUUUUUUGUUUUCUUUCUUUCUUUAUUUAUUUAUUUUGUUUCUACUUACAACAAAAUACUUAUUGUUGAUAUUUUAAUUAUUUUCCAGUUUUUUUGUUUUAUUUUCUACAUUAUUUAUUUUCUUUUGUUUUUUGCUUUAUUUUUUAAUUCUUUUUGAUUUUAGUUUUAGAAAAAUUAUAAACUUUCUGUUAGUGCCAUUAGUUUUCAAAUUUGAAAACACUUUUUUUGUUUUUUGUUUUUUUGUUUUCUUUCUUGCUUUAUUUAUUUUAUUUUGUUUCCACUUACAACAAAAUACUUAUUGUUGCUAUUUUUACUUAUUACGAGGGCCGAACCAUAAGACAUUAAAGCAUUUCAAAUGAACUAUGAAAAAGUUGAAAGUUGGCAUGGUAUCAUAAAUUCACCCACAUAGCAUGUGCAUGUACAAAAUGGACAAUGGUAUCAUAUUCGUGUGUUACAAAGUUGGCAUGGUAUCAUCAUAAUAGUUGCGGGAGAAAGUCUUCACUUUUUCUUCGCUUGUGUCAUUUCUUAUUGCGCCGUAACCAUGGAUAAUCUUCACCGCUUAUCAGGAUGCUGGGGUCAGCCUUGACUUUGAAGGGAGGAGUUUCAUGAAACUUUUCAUAAUCUUCAGAUAUGUCUGUCUUGCCUUCCACUCCCACGAUGUCCCUUUUUCCUGAAAGAACUGUGUGGCGCUUUGGCUCAUCGUAUGAUGUAUUCGCUUCCUUAUCUUUUCUUUUUCUCGGUCUGGUAGACAUGUCCUUCACAUAGAUAACCUGUGCCACAUCAUUGGCUAGGACGAACAGUUCAUUAGUGUACCCAAGAUUUUUCAGAUCCACUGUUGUCAUUCCGUACUGUGGGUCUACCUGUACCCCGCCUCGUGACAGAUUGACCCAUUUGCACUUAAACAAAGGGACCUUAAAAUCAUGUUCGUAGUCAAGUUCCCAUAUGUCCACUAUGUAACCAUAAUAUGUGUCCUUUCCCCUCUCGGUUGUUGCAUCAAAGCGGACACCGCUGUUUUGGUUGGUGCUCUUUUGAUCAUGGUCAAUCGUGUAAAAUGUAUUCCCAUUUAUCUCGUAUCCUUUCCAAAUCGUAACAGUCGAAGAUGGUCCCUUGGACAACAAGUACAACUCAUCACAAACAGUGUUGUCACCUCUGAGACGUGCUUCCAACCAACUGCUGAAAGUCCUGAUGUGUUCACAUGUAAUCCAGUCGUCACACUACUCCGGGUGUUUGGAGCGCAGACUGUUCUUGUGUUCAUCGACAUACGGGGUCACCAAGGUAGAGUUCUGUAGAACUAUGUAGCGUGCUUGAGACCAAGAAUAUCCGUCCCUGCAUAUUAUUGAGUCCCUUCCAAGUGUGCCUUUUCAGUCAGUCUCCCCUCAUACUGCGAUUGAGGGAGACCUAUCUUCUUAAGGCCAGGAAUGAAGUCAACACAAAACCCAAUGACAUCCUCUGUUUGAUGGCCCAUGGAGAUGCUUCCUUCUGGCCUAGCGCGGUUACGGACAUAUUUCUUUAGAACUCCCCUGAACCUCUCAAAGGGGUACAUAUUGUGUAGAAAUAAGGGGCCCAGAAUGACAAUCUCGUCAACUAGAUGAACUAGGACGUGCGUCAUGAUAUUGAAGAAGGAUGGUGGGAACACCAGCUCGAAACUGACAAGACAUUGCACCACAUCACUCCUUAGCCUUGGUAUGAUUUCUGGAUCGAUCACCUUUUGAGAGAUUGCAUUGAGGAAUGCACAUAGCUUCACAAUGGCUAAUCAGACGUUUUCCGAUAGAAGCCCCCUCAAUGCAACCGGAAGCAGUUGCGUCAUAAUCAUGUGGCAGUCAUGAGACUUUAGGUUCUUAAACUUUUUCUCUGACAUAUUUAUUAUUCCUUUUAUAUUCGACGAGAAGCUAGUCGGGACCUUCAUACUAAGCAGGCAUUCAAAUAAGAUUUCCUUCUCUUCUUUGGUAAGAGCAUAGCUGGCAGGACCUUCAUACUGCUUUGGAGGCAUGCCGUCUUUUUCGUGCAAACGUUGCAGGUCCUCCCGUGCCUCAGCUGUAUCUUUUGUCUUCCCAUACAUGCCCAAGAAGCCUAGCAGGUUCAUGCAAAGGUUCUUCGUCACGUGCAUCACGUCGAUCAAAGAGCGGACCUCUGGGUAUUUCCAGUAGGGUAGGUCCCAAAAUAUAGAUUUCUUCUUCCACAUGGGUGCGUGUCCCCCAGUGUCACUCGGAACAGCUAGUCCGCUGGGACCCUUUCCAAAGAUUACGUGUAAAUCAUUGACCAUAGCAAGUACCUGAUCACCGGUAUGCAUGGCGGGCUUCCUCCGGUGAUCUGCCUCGCCUUUGAAAUGCUUGCCUUUCUUUCGACAUUGAUGGUUGGUCGGAAGAAAUGGAUGAUGGCCCAGGUAAACAUUCUUCCUGCAGCUUCCCAGGUAUAUACUAUCGGUGUCAAGUAAAUAGUGCGUGCAUGCGUGGUAUCCCUUGUUUGUCUGUCCUGAAAGGUUACUGAGAGCGGGCCAAUCGUUGACGGUCACGAACAGGAACACCUUUAGGUGAAAUUCCUCCUGUUUGUGCUCAUUCCACGUACGUACACUGUUUCCAUUCCACAGCUGUAAAAGUUCUUCAACUAAUGGCCUUAGGUACACAUCAAUGUUGUUGCCGGUUUGCUUAGGGCCUUGGAUGAGAACUGGCAUCAUAAUGAACUUCCGCUUCAUGCACAUCCUUGGAGGAAGGUUAUACAUACAUAGAGUCACGGGUGAGGUGCUGUGAUUGCUGCUCUGCUCCCCGAAAGGAUCAAUGCCAUCCGCACUUAAAGCAAACCAUACGUUCCUUGGGUCACCUGCAAACUCAUCCUAGUACUUUCUCUUCAUUUUUCUCCACUGCGACCUGUUAGCGGGUGAUCUCGACUUCCCGUCUUUCUUACGGUCCUCACCGUGCCAUCGCAUCAACUUGGCAUGCUCUCCGUUUCUGAACAGACGUUUCAACCAUGGUAUUAUAGGAGCAUACCACAUCACCUUCGCAGGAACCCUCUUCCUGGGGGGCUCGCCGUCAACAUCACCAGGGUCAUCUCAUCUGAUCUUAUACCGUAAUGCACCGCAUACCGGGCAUGCAUUCAGAUCCUUGUACGCACCGCGGUAGAGGAUGCAGUCAUUAGGGCAUGCAUGUAUCUUCUGCACCUCCAAUCCUAGAGGGCAUACGACCUUCUUUGCUGUGUAUGUACUGUCGGGCAAUUCGUUAUCCUUUGGAAGCUUCUUCUUCAAUAUUUUCAGUAGCUUCUCAAAUCCUUUGUCAGCCACAGCAUUCUCUGCCUUCCACUGCAGCAAUUCCAGUACGGUACCGAGCUUUGUGUUGCCAUCUUCGCAAUUGGGGUACAACCCUUUUUUGUGGUCCUCUAACAUGCGAUCGAACUUCAGCUUCUCCUUUUGACUUUCGCAUUGCGUCCUAGCAUCGACAAUGACCCGGCGGAGAUCAUCAUCAUCGGGCACAUCGUCUGGUUCCUCUUGAUCUUCAGCAGCUUCGCCUGUUGCAGCAUCAUCGUGCACAUCGUCUGGUUCCUCUUGAUCUUCGGUAGCAUCACCGUAUUCAGGGGGCACAUAGUUGUCAUCGUACUUUUCUUCUUCGCCGUCUUCCAUCAUAACCCCUAUUUCUCCGUGCCUCGUCCAAACAUUAUAGUGUGGCAUGAAACCCUUGUAAAGCAGGUGGGUGCAAAGGAUUUUCCAGUCAGAGUAAGACUUUGUAUUCCCACAUAUAGGGCAUGGACAACACAUAAAACCAUUCUGCUUGUUUGCCUCAGACACUUCGAGAAAUUCAUGCACGCCCUUAAUGUACUCGGAGGUGUGUCUUGAACCGUACAUCCAUUGCUGGUUCAUCUGCGUGCAUUAUAUAUAAUUAAGUGUGUCAAAAAUCAUUACAAAACAUCAUGAAUAGAUAAUUAAGUGACCAAAUUAAUAGAAGUUCAUCAUCACAUUAAAACCAAAGUACAUACAUAGUUCUCAUCUAACAACAUAAAGCUCUACAGAGCAUCUAAAUUAAUUAAACCAUACAUUGAAACUAUGUAAAACAUUUCAAUGCAAAAACAAAUGCGAUCAUAAUCGCAACCAAUGUAACAACUGAUCCAACGGCAUAAUGAUACCAAGCCUCGGUAUGAAUGACAUAUUUUCUAAUCUUUCUAAUCUUCAAGCGCAUUGCAUCCAUCUUGAUCUUGUGAUCAUCCACGACAUCUGCAACAUGCAACUCCAAUAUCAUCUUCUCCUCCUCAAUUUUUCUAAUUUUUUCCUUCAAGAAAUUGUUUUCUUGUUCAACUAAAUUUAACCUCUCGACAAUAGGGUCGGAUGGAAUUUCCGGUUCAACAACCUCCUAGAUAAAUAAAAUCUAUGUCACGUUGGUCGGCAUAAUUGUCAUAAACAAUAGAUGAACCUAUAGUUAUGAAAAUAUAAUAUAUACCUCAUCCGAAGCAUAGACAGGACGAGGGCCGACGGGGGCGGAUACCAAAACCAUCGCACUAUAUAAGAUGCAAUAAUAAAAGUAAGAAAAUUAUACAAGUAUCUAUAUAAACAUACAAGUAAGAAUUUUUUUCCCUUUUAGAAAUAAGAUAAGAACAAGAGCCUCACCACGGAGGUGUCGGCUACGAGAUCGGCGCGGGCGAUCGACGACGGUGAAGACGGGGACGGGACGUGACGGACCGCUAAACCUAGACAAAUAUUGAGGAAAAUGGAGCUUGGAGGUUGAGCUUGGAGAGGAGAAAGCUUAAGUAGUGUGGCUCGGGCAUUCCAUUGAACACCUCUUGUGCAUAGGAGGUGAGCUAGAGCACCACAAAGCUCUCUCCUCGCCGGCCAUGAAAAACAGAGCAGUGAGAGUGCUCUGCUCGAGGGCGAGGGGUAUAUAUAGGCAAUUAAUUGGUCCCUUUUCAUUGCUUGAACCGGGACUAAAGGGAAGCCUUUGGUCCCGGUUCAGGCCACCAACCGGGACCAAUGGUGGUGGGCCAGGACCAAGGCACAUUGGUCCCGGUUCGUCCCACCAACCGGGACCAAAAGGUCCAGAGGAACCGGGACCAAUGGCCCAUGUGGCCCGACCGGACCCUGGGGCUCACGAACCAGGUCCAAUGUCCCCAUUGGUCCCGGUUCUGGAUUGAACCGAGACUAAUGGGCUGACCCGGCCAGGACCAUUGCCCCCUUUUCUACUAGUGAAUGGUGCUCAAUGAGAUCCUCUUGAAGCUGAAAGUGGGUGUUUGCAUCUUCAAUCUUCCGGUAGGUUUGAAGAAAUUCUCUAAUGCGGUUAGAGUCUCUAGCUAGCUUCACACGGCUACCCACAUUGUCGUAGAAGAACUCCAAAUUCAUGCCUCUCUCAUCUUCGAGAAUCAUAUUGUGAAGAAUCACACAUCAUGUCAUGAUGUUUUUGAGGGAUCACUUGUCCCAAAAACGAACAGGACCAUGAACAAUGGCAAACCUAGAUUCCAAAACCCCGAAUGCUCUUUCAAUAUCUUCUCGGGCUGCCUCUUGUACCCUUGCAAAUUCACAAUGUUUCUUAGUUUUGGGCUUUUUGAUGCUCUUGACAAAUGUGCACCAAGAAGGGUAGAUACCAUCUGCAAGAUAGUACCCCAUUGAUAGUGUACUUGCAAGCAGGAGCAUCACCAGUAGCAAGCCUAGCAAACAAAUGAGAUCGUUGCAACAUAUUGACAUCAUUGAGAGUACCCGACAUACCAAAAAAGCAACGCUAAAUCCGUAAAUCAUCAUAUGGUACGGCCUCUAGCGCAAUUGUUGCAUCACGAGACUUGCCACAAUACAUUCCCUGCCAUGCCCUCGGGCAGCUUUUCCAAGUCCAAUGCAUACAAUGAAUGCUUCCUAGCAUGCCAGGCCAACCUCUACUCAUACUUGAUGCCAUCAACUUUUUUGUGUCCUCCUCGUUGGGUGACCGAAGAUAUUCAAGAGUAAAGACAUGGAUGAUUACUUUGACAAACAUAGUCACUGACUUAAUUGUAGUAUCUUCAACAAUGCGAAGGUACUCAUCGGCAUAGUCAGCCGGAAUGCUGUAUGCAAUUACCGGCAUAGUUGCCGAGAUUUUUUGAUAUGCACUAAAUACCUUCAAGCCCACGACAUUUCUUUUUUGAGUAAAAUAGCGACAAUUAGCCUCGCAAACUUGCACUAUUUUUACAAAGAGGGAUCGACGCAUUUGAUACCUUCUCUGGAAGAGGUGCGGCGGAUAUGUUGGAUUGUCUGCGAAGUAAUCGUCCAUCAACAUCUCGUUCCCGAGAUAGCGAUUGCGAGGAAUGCAAAGACGGCUGAUGGCCAAUCCUCGUCAUCUCUUUCAGUUCUCAUCAUUGUGCUCCUUCACGGUAAGGGCCAUCGCCAAGAUCUUCUGCUGAUGGUUCUCAAGAAGCAUCUCAACAUUCGAGUCGUCCAAAUCGGACGAAUCCUCGAGAAAAACCUCUUGCAAGGGCUCAGUUCCAUCUAGAAACAAAAAUAUGAACACCGCAUGAACCAAUUAUGCACAUCGCAUCCGAAAGCACAAGAACAUGUACUCAUCGACGGCUCGAGGCGGUGGCUCUGCGAUGGUCGAUCCCAGGGCGGUGAUGGCGACUCGGGGCGGCUCGGCUCACCGGAUCCGGGGAGCCGGUGAAGCGGCUAGGUGGAACCGGGUGAGGGGCGGCCAGGCGGCGUGAUUCCGUCCGUAGAUAAGGCCGGAAUCACUGGCGGUGUACAGGCAGAACCGAUGGCGGGCGACUGUGGAAGGGGGUGGGGAACGCGCACGGGCUAAAAUGUCCCUCUCGCCAACCGCUUUUCUAAGAUACAGGGCACCGUCGGGUCGAGGGGAAAACCUGUAUUUUUGCGGGUUGGAGGUUGGAUUUUAGCGCCCCCUAAAAUUUUUUCACGGGUCCGACGCGUUUACAGUGUCGGAUCGAGCGGCUUUUUUCACGUGGACCCAUAUUUUAGCGGUUAUUUUGCUAGUCGGGGCAUUAUACGGGGCUGCUAGAGAUGCUCUAGCCAUAGUGGUGGUAUAUAGCCGGUAUCAUGCACUCACAAGGAAAUACACUGAUGUGGCAGAUAAUUAAAUAAGAGAGGGUUAGGCUACUCAUAGUGGGGAAUAUCAUAUACUAGUAUCAUGCACAUGAUAUUAGUGUAUGAUACUAUCUUCAUAGUGCAUAGUAUCAUAGAGUAGUAUCAUAUUUAUUGCCAUGCAUGACUUAAAGUAUCAUAGCAUUUAACAUGAUAUGGUAUCUACCUAUGUUAGGCUGGCCAUAGUUUGUGGUAUCUUAGCGAGUAUCAUGCACUUGGGAAUAGCAAAUAUGCUAAUGUGGCAGAGAGUUAAAGAAGAGAGAGAGGGUUAGAGUAACAUAACUAGAUAUUGUAUCGUAUUAAAUGCUGUGCUACUUUGUGUCAUGCAUGACAAUAAAUAAGAUAAAUAAAUGAUAUGAUACUAUAAACUAUGAAAAUAGUACUUCCUCCAUCUAGGUGAAUAAGUCUUCUUAGGUUGUGCACCGUGACCAAGGUGGAGAGGAAAAUGAGAGAACUUAAUGCUUAUUUGCUAAUUAACACCAUUGCAUGCAACGAAAUGACCACUGCAAGUCAUGUCUGGUAGUCUCAAGUCAUUGAAAGUAUACACGCCCCACGUCUGUUAUUGGUUGAUUCCUUUAUUUAUGUCAAAAAACAAGAAACAAUGUGUCAAUUAAUGCACCAAGCCUAUGUGUUUUGGACUAUUUCGUUUUCGUAAAAUGACUUACUCACCUAGACGGAAGAUCCUUUAUAUUUCCCAUGCAGAUCCAGAUCAUCCCAACUACCCAAUCCACAGACACUGUUGAUCACCAAAUUCUCACCGCAUUAUGUAAAUAUCGCAGGAGCUCCACUGCACCCAUCAACCCUAGAACCUCGAUAAAUGAGGUUUUUCCCUUUCGAAUAGAUGAUGCAAUUAUUUUUUGGGGUUUAGAAAGAGGGUGUGAUUAUUGCACUUGAAAGUUUAAAACCCAGCAUCUCACGGGGGGUACAAAAGGCCAGAAGGCUAAAACAGCCAAAAGGAAAUAAGAUUUUUCUUUUGAGGGAAAAAAGAAAUAAGAUUUUAUGAUGUCGACUGGCACACAGUGCUAUGCAUUAAUUGUGGCCACUGAUGCAGACCUGCUAGUGUGUGGAUCAUGCAGCAGUAUUUCACCAUCAGCCAAGCUUACGUCCAUGACCAAAGUUUUCAAUUAGUAUUGUCUCCAAGGCGGACAUUCAAACGCCUGUUGCAUGUUCGGACCACUUUUACCAUUUAACGGGGAAUUGUCCGCUUAGCAGUCCGGACAUACGGAUUCUGGUAUCUUAGAGACCAACAUGAUAGGCUUUGCCGAAGUCCGGACAUGCACUUGACAAUUCACAUGGAUGCCCCCCCCCUCUUCUCUCCUUCUCCCAACCACAUAUGCAUUGCCCCCUCUCCUCUCUCCUUUCAACCAGACACCAAACCAUUAAUAUCUUAGCACAUGCAUGAUCUCAUCUACUUUCUCCCCUUCCAAUUAAAUUACUUUAUGAUUAGCAUUAGAUGACUCCUUCCGACAUCAUUUCCGCGUGAUGGUGUCCUGGACUAUGGGUACUGACCAUGUCGUCUCCUGACCAGUGGGUCAAGCUGAGGACCCCCAUGGCGGUCCAUUAAUGGGCCAGUUCAGAUAGCCGAUAACAUAUAUGAGGAAGAUUCCACAAGACUUGGUGAUCAAUACAAGGACUCCUAUCCACCGACUUAUUCGACUAGGACUCUUGUUAUCCUAGGCCUCUGGUAUAUUAUAUAAGCCGAGGCUAGGCUAGUCGAUAGAUCAUUAUGAAAUUACUCAACACGCCCCUAGGGUUUAGAACACAACAUAUUAUCUCGAGGUAGAUCAUCUCUGUAAUCAUACACAUCGAAUAUAAUUGAGCAGGAGUAGGGUUUUACCUCUUAGAGAGGGUCCGAACCUGGGUAAACACCGUGUCUCUCGUCUCCUCUUAUCCAUCGAUCCUAGGACACACAGCUUGGGACCCCUACCCAAGAUCUGUCAGUUUUGACACCGACAUUGGUGCUUUCAUUGAGAGUUCCGCUGUGUGAUCGGCAAAGGAUCAAUGGCUUGCCUGCAGAUCAACUGCAAGGUCGGUAUCUUCGUCUCCGGCUCAACUGUUUACCUUGGCUCGACCGAGGACUGUCCUCUGCCACCGAUCGUCAUGUUCGGAUGAGGGCCUUCAACAACAUCAACUCCGAUCUCUAUCAAGAUCGUGGAGGAAUCAUCCAUGCAGCUCGGGGCUCAACUUUGACAUUUCCCUCGAGCAAUCGUGCUGUUUUUUUGGAAAGCGAACUCAUAUCCGCUGGCACCGCCUCCUCGAGCAUCGCUUUGACAAUUACUUUUGUGGAACUGUGUGGAAUUGAGUCUAAUAACCCUGCAAAAUUUCGCCGCGUGCCGAUGAAGCAAUCUUCGUUGAUCUCUGAUAUACCGGAGCCCCGACGAAUCUGGACGAGAAACCAGACCAGUUUGGAGCGUGGUGUCCAGCAUCUAGCUCGGACGUCCUUUGGAAGAUCCAACCGUUUAUCGGCUGCGGAAUUCCGAUAUGUACCGCCCCUCAAAAUUUCAGCUCGAUCUGACCGUUCAAACUCCGAGGAACCUCCGAUGAGCGCACCAAUUUUCAGAUAUGUUUACUGCGCGAAAAUGAAUCCAACCCAAGUUCAUCUUUCUUCAUGAACAGGAUAUUGGACAACCUUUUUUGAGGAAUCUCUUUCUAGGGUAUUGUGUUUUGUUUCUGAUAACAUGCUCAUAAUUUUUUCUCCUUUUCGGAGGUAACAUUCACCGUUGCGCCGGUGUCAAACCAGCCCGACAACGUUGCUGGCCGGCUGCCGACCUACGCUAGAGGGGUCGUCGCUUCAUCAACUGGACUUAACCUCUUCGGAUCAUUAUCUCGGCAAGACGAACAAGAGUUCGGCAUUGUGAAGGGUAAAUCAUCACCAAAUUAUGCGGAGCGGGCACACUGGCAUCAUUGCAUGGCCACUUCAUCAAGUGGGCAUCGACCGCGUCGCAAGAUAUGGUCCGCGUCGGCAUCGUUGCACUAUUGCUUCUUCAAGCCUGGAUGGACCUCUACGUCCGAAGAUCGGGAGUCACUUCCGGCCGGACUCGCCUCUCUUAUCCCGUAUCCAGCUUCAAUCCUGGACGAGACUUCGGUGUCCGAACACCAGGAGUCAACCCUGGCCGGACUCGCCCCUUGCACCAUAGUACAUGAGGACGAUUCCGAAGAAAUCCCGAAUACUAAUCCGGCUGACCAAGCCGAUGUCCACCAUGCCGACUUGCUUCGACACCUUGGCCGGCAUGGGGUUGCAAACAUCAUAAUACCGACCUGCCCCGUCACCUCGGCUAGAUCGGGGCUUCGCCAUCUCUUCAUCAACUUACUCCGGUGACUUCCGCGUCACCAGCCGACCAGCUUCGUCACGUUAGCUGGACCAGGGGAUUCGCCUCGCCACAUCGACCGUGUGGCAUCACCACCUCAUCAAGUCGAACUCCUCGCUCGGUUACCUCGGGCUUGGGGGCUGGGACCUUGGCUAGGCUGCGGACUACGUCUUCGUCCCGCCAUGAUCUUGGACCUCGUCAACAAUACCGAGCAUAUUAACCAGCUAAGUCGCCUCCAUGCUCUGGUUUUUUCUUUAAUUUUUUUAUUUCUUGUUCGGUUCAACCAAACAUUAUAUUUGUGUUAAAAAAAGUUGUUCAUUCAAACAUUGAUUGUUAAACACUUCUUUUUUCCGCCAAGCUCUUCAUCACCUCUAUCAUGAGGGUUUUUGUCACCUCGGCUGGACCAGGGGCUUCGGCUCGCCACGCUGAUCUUGCGCCAUCGCCACUUCAUCGAGUCGAGCUCUUCGCUCGGGCACCUCGGGACCGGCUUGGGGGCUAGGACCUCGACCCGCCGCAAGCUCGGCCCACAUCAUCAACACCGAACCCAUUAACCAGCUAAGUCGCUUUCAUGCUCAAAGCUUUUUCAUUUUCAAUUUGUGUUCAGUUCGACCAUGCUCACAUUCGUUGUUUGUUAAGACACUUCCUGUCAUAGGUUAACUGGGGGCUCUUAAAUUUAUACGAGCCAUUUUAUAAUGAAUGUUUUUCUUCUCAGUCGUUGCAAAGUCUUUUUCUACCACUCCUUUCUCGGCUCGAGUGUGUGGUCAAAUGCCGGAUAGCCUGGUUUCUCCAUAAAGCCGCUCGAUUUUAGUUUUCUAAAGUGGCCUAACGAGAAGUACUCCGCCUUCGGGAUAGGAGGUUGAAGCUGUAGGCUGACCCACUUGAAGUCUUGAGAUCGGAUGUGUCAUGUUACAACACGACAGAAGCACAAACUAAUUUAAGACCAAUCUUCGGAUUGGCACCAAAAAACCUGAUUUAGUUCGGCGUCAAGUUUUUGCAUAAGUUUUUUGGCUUUUCGAGCUUAUGGCACUUUUUAGCUAUUUGUAUAUUUUUCUUUCAGGAAGCAGGAUAUCCUCAUGAUCGAGGUUCCCUGCACAAUAAUUCUGCUCGGGAGAUCUUUUCUGACCCAUAGCUCGACAUCUUUCGCACCAAACUAUACCUCGGGCGCCACAUCAGGACUACUUCCUGAGUAGUGCAAUGGUAGACGCCUUUAAAACAUUGGCAAUAUUAACGGGGGGGCUGCAACUGAAGCUGAACCCACCAAAAGCCAAGGUGCUCCAUGGACUCCUCGGCAAAAUGUUCUCGGGUAUUACUUUGUAUGCAUCGGUUUCGAAUUGUGUCUUUGGUCAAUAUUUGGAUUGUCUGACUCCUGUUCUUGCCUUCUACGUUUCGCUUUGUUCCGCUAGGUGUGCAAAGGAGAACCACUGUGAUUGUGCUUCCAUCUGCAUGGUUAAAGUGCCUCAUUGGAGAAAGCCGAAAACUGUCUGUCACAAUAAGCACAAACUGGUCAGCGAUCCGAUGACAGUGUUAAACUAUAAGAUCGAUAGGGGUCACUCCGUGUUAAAUGAUGGGCAGAUCAUAGCAUUGGCCGAAGUGUUUACAACUUGACUUCGGUUGUCUCCGAACACUAACCGGGGCUAGUAACUGGCCUCCCAACUUUACGCUCCUAUGACUAAGUGAAAGUUAUAAAGCCCGCAUAUAUGAUUGCCUCGUUUCCGCUAACACAACCGCCUUCGGGCACCGAGACGUCGGCUAAGGGUUCUUUUUUUUAUUGUGUAUACACCCUACAUAGCAUCUACAAAGGGGUAGAAGCCGACGAUGGUCCACUUUCAACUGAUAAGCUGUCACAACGGAGUCAAAAUAAGCAUAUCAUCAACAUUUGCUUUCAGUAUGGAAGCGUUGCCUUCCGUAAUUAUCGUUAUAAAGCCAUAAAUAUGCAUCAAUUUGACUUAAGAUUUUGGACAAGCUGGGUUGCCUGGCUGCUGUGCUUACCCCUACAUUCCCGAUUGUUCGGCUAGGCGGUAAAGGGAGCUCCUCUAUGAUUGUUACUAUCGGGUCAUUCGAGUUAGUACCUCAGACUAGGUGAAGCCAAAAGCUAGCCAUCUUAAAGGAUAUAAUUGGUCGACAACGGCGGAAGUGAAAAUCUCGGUUCAUUAGACCAUAGAGUUUGGGAACUUUCCCCAAACUAAAUCCUCAAUAUUUUUCUCACACAUUGAUCGGAGGUGAGGUUUCAUUAUCAUGGUCAGCAUGACAAGCCAAAGAAAGGAACCGAUAGUGGGACUAUUUUCUUUGGAAGAUGUUUCUUACGUUAGUAGUAAUAUAACAUAUCUCUCCAUGUACCUUUGUUUAUAAAACCAUAUCGCCGGAUUGCCUUGUUUGCUGUAAAUCUUUGCCCUUAUAAAGGCUUUGUAAAGUAGGACAAACACUCCUCGGCUACUGACCCAGGAGGUUGAUUCCAAUGGUCGGUCAACAAAGUUUUGUAUUGUGCGGAUCCGAGCAUUAAUGAUGUAGAGUACUUGGAUACAUAGAAUCAUUGAACAUAAUUUGUGAUUUUACUCCGGAUAUCAAUCCUUCAUUCGGCCACCCAUGCCCACAUUAAGGCUCGGGGGCUAUUGGGCUUCGCACUUAUCAUUUAAAAGUAGUAAAUGGACUAGUGUUUGGGGGCUACUGCAUUGCCUAUUCAAUGGAGAAAAUUCAAAGUGUCUGUUGUUCGGCUUGACUGAACUAUGGGCAAACGUGUCUUCGAACAACAAUAGAUACCAUCUGGACCUAUCCGGCAUGAAGCUAAUAUAUUACGGAACUUCUCAAGACCCUCUCUCAAAGGCCCGUUCGCUGAUCGCUAUUUCCUCUAAUAUAUUGCAUCGCAUUUCUAUUGCUAAGUAUGUUGUCGAGAUGGGAAUUGGUCCUCGGGCCGAUUUCAUGAAUGACUCAGUGCUAUUGGGGUCUGCAGUUUGAUUUUAUCCUUCAGGUGCAUCCCAGAUAUUAGGCCAACACGCACCUUGAGGGCUACUGGCUAUACAUCUCGGCAGAAAAUACAUUGCACAAAUUGGAAUUAAAUUCAUAAAAAUCAGCCCAAACCCGAGAUGGUGCAUCACCUCGGAAGCAGUCCGGCAUAAAGCUUGGUUGCAAGUGGCUGGCCACAUAGAGGGCAUCUCGAGCAUUAAGCUCGUUUGAACCCUUUUAACUCUUUCAAGAUCGAGGUAAUCUAUGACACCUUGGAUACAGUCGGGCAUUGGAGCUCGGAUACAUUCCGACAUUGGAGCUCGGAAGCGGUCUGGCGGUUGUACUUGGCUCCAAAAAGAUACCUCAAAUGCAGCCCGACGUUGGAGCUCGGAUGCAAGAGGACACUGCCGCACGAGAAACACUUCGAACCCAAGGUGUGGCCUAAAAAAUAAUAAAGACAUUGAUAAAGGCCGAUAACUUAAAGGGGCUCCUCGGAUACCUGGCGUGUAAGCUCUUCGGAUUCACUUCUGCGAUCCUCAAGAUCGAAGAUGAGAAGAUUUGUUGAACCAGUUUUCAAGACCGACGGCCGAAGAUGAAGAAUAGUUCGGAAGAAUCGAGGAGCGUCCCCAACUUGAAGACCGGUUCAGGGGGGCUACUAAUAGUGUCCUAGACUAUGGGGUACUCACCAUGUCGUCUCCUGACCAAUGGGUCAGGCCGGGGACCCCCAUGGUGGUUCAUUAAUGGGCCAGUUCGGGCACCCGAUGACAUAUACGAGGAAGAUUCCACAAGACUUGGUGAUCAAUACAAGGACUCCUUUCCACCGACGUAUUCGACUAGGACUCUUGUUAUCCUAGGCCUCUGGUAUAUUAUAUAAGCCGAGGCUAGGCUAGUCGAUAGAUCAUUAUGACAUUACUCAACACACUCCUAGGGUUUAGACCACAACAUAUGGACUCGAGGUAGAUCAACUCUGUAAUCAUACACAUCGAAUAUAAUCGAGCAGGAGUGUGGUUUUACCUCCUAUAGAGGGCCCGAACCUGGGUAAACACCGUGUAUCUUGUCCCGUGUUACCCAUCAAUCCUAGGACACACAGCUUGGGUGCCCCUACCCGAGAUCUACCAGUUUUGACACCGACACCGCGGACCACGCCUAGACAUAAAAACUAACAUAUACCGAAGACAUUUGCGUGUCAGCUUUGGAGAUGCCCUUGUGAUCAAAAUUAGACUUGAAAUAUGAGAGGCACAAUAAACCAAGGAGGAAGUAUGUGUCAGUGUGGAUCACAUAAUAAGGUAUUAGGCCAACUCUAAUGAACGACCCCAGACGGACGCCCGUUUUGUCCGGAUUCUGUCCAUUUAGUUUGGCUAGAGGCGCAUUGUCCGGCCGCGCCUGACCAAACCUGGUCAGUGCGACCAACCGUCCGACGUAUUUCGUCGGGCGCCAGAAUUAUUUGCAAUAAAAUAAAAUCUGAAAUUAGGGCUCGCGACCAUAGUCAUGCCAAGAGCCGUCAUUCAUGCUAGCCUACAACAAGAUCACCCCUAGCUCGCGUCGAAACACUUGCCAGCAACCGCACACUUACCAUCGCACAUAAAAUGACCAUAGUUUUUGCAUUGCGGCCCUAGUUCAUGACGGCCAUACAAAAUGAUGUCGCUCUCGGCCAUAGCUCAAUCAUCUAGCUCAAGCAUUUCCUUCUGCUUCUUCUAAAACCAAACUCUUCUCCUGAGGGACACCUUUCUCAAGUCCCCUCCACCUCCUUCGCCAAAAAAGCGAGUGCCAGCUCUUUUACUUUGGUCUUCGCAUUGGUUGACUCAAUCACAAGCUUCUUGGUUUGGACGUUCUCCUCCAUCUUGAGUUUCUUCUUUUGUAUCUCUAUGUAGGCCUUCAUUUGCUCCUAUUUCUCUUGGCGCUUCCUCUCCUACCUUGCUUCCUUUUGGGUCAUCAUGCCUUGCAAUGUUUCUUGGAAGGCGAAUAUCUCCACAUCACCCUUCUCAUCCACCUUGGACUUGGUCUUGCCCCUCGUUCGCUUCUCCCCUUCUUCAUUCUCAAUGAUGGUCGUUAGCCUUCCAUUCUUCUUUUGGGUGACAUAUUGCUCCUUGAACUAGGGGCAAUUGCAAAUGAUCGUCCAACAGUGGGUGAUGUUGAAUGGCUUGUUCCCAUGUUGGGAUUUGAAGGCUUCUAAAGUUUGGAAUGCCUACAAAUAAAAGGGAAGGCCACAAUGUAAUAGUGAAGGGCACAAUGCAACAAACAUGAAUAGGCAUAUGAACAAAGAGAAGAAAUUGUAUACCAUAUGGCUCAUGCCUAGGCCACUCAUGGGACAGCCUUGGAUGCUCUCAAGGGCGACACAAAACUUGUUGCAUUCUUAUUGGAUGAAACCCCCACCACUUUUGAAUUGAACCAAACUUGGUCAGUAUCUUUCAUACUAGAUAGGUUAUUCUCACAAUGAGUGUUUAUUCACUUGUCAUUGCACGAGAAAGUGGUAGGUAAUAGGGAUUUUCCAGUCUCAUAAUCAAUCAAAAAAUAUAAAAAAUAAAUACCCCCCCAUUGAAAGUUUGGAAGGCACCUGUGGAUACGGCUAGCCAUGAAUUAUGGAAGAAUGGUGGAGGGGGAGUAAAACUUUAUUUUCUGUUUGAGAACUGCAUAUAAUGUGUCUAGCCUGGGAGAUAUUGGAAACUUUUGGUCAUGACAUUGACAGGAAAAGCAUGCCUCUCAAAAUAAUUCCUCUCUGAUAUAGGGUGUGAGCUCUAGCACCUCUAUAAAUCGAUGCUUCCCUCUGCGUAGGACCCAUCUCACUAUUGCAGGAAUGCCUAGCAGUGGCGGGUGGGAAAACCCCAGUAGUGGCGGGCAAGGCUCUGAGGGCUGCCCGUCACUCCUAGAAUGCCAUCAGUGGCGGUCGCCCACCCGCCAUUGUUAGGCCAUGAUCAAUGGUGGGCUCUAGGUCGUGCCCUCCACAACACUCCGUGUUGCCCGCGAAAUGAUUUUCAUGCUGUCAUGGUGGUCCUUUUCUACCGCUUGCCACUGCAAUUGUUGCAUGUCGACAUGAUUCAAUUACAACAUAUUGCAGCUGGAUCAUAUCAUCAGGUUACAUUUGGUACAUAAAUUCUGGUUUGAACCUUCAUCCACAUAUAUGCACCACAUUACAAUGAUUUCAGUUUAAUGAAAUGUAGUAGUCAUAAAAUAUAACAAGUGCAUUAUAGUAAUUAAUAAGCAUAUAUAUUUCGCGAUCAUCACAUAAUGAAUGGUUUGAUGAGUUUUUUUGGAGUGAAGUGAGUGUUGGCCAAUGUUCGUCAUGUAGACUGUUAGUAUAAGCCGCACAUACUACAUGAAUUAGUACUUGAUGGAAUGAACGGGGACCAAUGGGCCGCCGGCUCUAGAAUUGGAAUUUUUUCUUCUCGAAGAGGCCAUUGCACAACCUCGGCGGGCGUGGGUACAGUGGUUGGACUCAUACCCAGCCAGAUCCUCAGUAUCUCAUCCAGGGUCGCCUCCACAAGGAUGCACACUAGGAGGUCAGUGGGCCGCCUCUCUACAAUCUUGUCAAUCGCUGGGAGAGAACAAUGGGCCAUUGGAACACUUUUGACCCAAGCUAACAUCACCUCCUUGAGGUGCUCUAUGGGUCCAUAGCUAGUAGCUAGAUGGCUUCUUCUCUCUCUUUGAUUCUCAAUACCAUGUUCUCCGCGAUGUUCUUGGAGAUCUAUCUGAUGAAAUAUUCUUUUGCGGUGUAUUUGUCGAGAUCCGAUGAAUUGUGGAUUUAUGAUCAGCUUAUGUAUGAAUAUUACUUGAAUCUUAUCUGAAUUCUUAUAUCCAUGAUUUUAUAUCUUUGUAAUUCUCUUCAAACUAUCUGUUUAGUUUGGCCAACUAAAUUGUUUUUUCCUGCAAUGGGAGAAGUGCUUAGCUUUGGGUUCAAUCUGGCGGUGUCCUUUCCCAGUGACAGUAGGGGAAGAAAGGCAUGUAUUGCAUUGUUUCCAUCGAGGAUAAAAAUAUGGGGUUUACAUCAUAUUGCUUGAGUUUAUUCCUCUACACCAUGUCAUCUUACUUAAUGUGUUACUCUGUUCUUUAUGAACUUAAUAUUCUAGAUGCAGGCAGGAGUCAGUCGAUGUGUGGAGUAAUAGUAGUAGAUGCAGGCAGGAAUCAGUCUACUUGACACAGACAUGAUGCCUAUAUUUCAUAAUCAUUGCCUUGGAUAUCGUCAUAACUUUGCACUUUCUAUCAAUUGCUCGACAGUAAUUUGUUCACCCAUCGUAUUAUUUGCCUUCAUGAGAGAAGCCUAUAGUGAAACCUAUGGCCCUCGGGUCUAAUUUCCAUCAUAUUAGUUUCUGAUCUACUAUUUUGCAAUCUUUUACUUUCAGAUCUAUCAACCAAAAAGACUCAAAAAUAUUUUAUCUUUUGUUUAUCUAUCUCUAUCAGAUCUCACUGUUGCAAGUGAUCAUGAAGAGAUUGACAACCCCUUUAUCGCGUUGGGUGCAAGUUGUUUGAUUAUUUGUGCAGGUAUUGGUGGCUUGUGCGUUGUCUCCUACUGGAUUGAUACCUUGCUUCUCUAACUGAGGGAAAUACUUAUCUCUACUUUGCUGCAUCAUCCUUCCUCUUCAAGGGAAAAACCAACGCAAUAUCCAGAAGUAGCAGACAACAUACUUAGUUCCAUUUCUCCGUCGGUGUGUUACUUUAUCUCGGUAUCGGCAAGUCUCUUUCCUCUUUCCAUAAUAGAUUAUCAUGUAACUAACUCCUUAGUCAUUUCAUGAUGUUGUAUUACCAAGAGGGCCCAGAGAUACCUCGUACAGAGUGAAAAAUCCCAGUCUUGACCCAUGCCGACUCAACAAACACCUUCAGAGAUACCUGUAGAGCACCUUUAUGAUCACCCAGUUACAUUGUGAUGUUUGAUAGCACACAAGGAACCUCCGGAGUCCGGAGUUGCAUUAUCUAGUGGUCGAAGAAACAUCUAUUUGAAAUUACGAAAGUAGUAGCAAUAAACUGAAAGAUCAUAUGCUAUGCUAACGGUUGGGUCUUGUCCAUCACAUCACUCUCCUAAUGAUGUGGUCCUGUUAUCGAAUGACAACUCAUGUCUAUGGUUAGGAAACCUUAACCAUCUUUGAUCAAUGAGAUAGUCUAGUAGAGGCUCACUAGGGACAUGGUAUCUGUUUAUGUAUCCGCACAUGUAUUUAAGUUUCGGGUCAAUACAAUUCUAGCAUGAAUAAUAAACCUUUAUCGUGAAUAUGGAAAUAUGAUAAUAACAACUUUAUUAUUGCCUCUAAGGCAUAUUUCCAUCAUUUGAAUUGAUCUAUGAGUGCUAAGUUUGAUCUCCACCAGAAAGAGCCAACCUUAUGAUAUCCUGGGAGUUGUCCAUUACUAUAGUCUCUCUCCCAAAUUAAAUUAACCGAGGGUAUGUCAUGCCUAUUGAAGAACUUAUGAAGGUUUGUUAUGAGCAGAGUCUUGUUUUGUUUGUAGAUAUCCAUAACUCCUAGGCCUCCUUGAUAUUUGGGUCUACAAACAGUGUGCCAUGCAACUAAAGCUGGUCUGUGAUCUUCCAAAUCAGGGCUUCUCCAUAGACAGUGUCUCAAGUACUUAAUGAUCUGUUCCUUGAUGGUAAUAGGUAUGUCCAGGCAACACUUGCAGAAAAUUGGUAAUGAUGCAAGCACUAAUUUUGACUAGGAGCAACCUUCCUACGUGAGUCAUAAAAGUAGAAAUACCUGCUAAUCUCUUAGCAAUUCUGUUGACUAGGGGCAAACAUUGUUCCACAGUUGGUUUAUAGAUUCCUAAAGGAAGGCCCAAGUAAGUAAAAGGGAAUUGUCCUCUUACACAUUGCAGUGUGUGAGUGAAAAUAUUUAUUCUGUCUUCUGCAAUGUUUAUGGGCACCAUGAUUGAUUUCCAAUAAUUGACUUUUAGUCCAGCGGCUGAGGCAAAUGUGUUUAACAGGGCUUUGAGACAUAUCAGCUACUUUGCAUUUGCUUGCAUAAGAACCAGGGUAUCAUCUACAUACUGUACUACUCGAGAAUUAGGACAGGAGUAGACUUGCAGUGGUGGAGUAAUUAUACUCAGUAUGCUGGCCUUAUUAAGUAUUGAUUGUAGGAGAUCAGCAGACAACACAGAAAUCAAUGGGGAAAGGGGAUCACCCUGCCUCACUCCUCUUCUAUAGUAGAAUUUUAUUGGCAUGGAAUCCAUUCAACAUCACAGCAUAUGUGGCAGAUGUGAAAACUAAGUGCAUCCAGAAAAUCUACUUGUCUCCAAAUCCCUUUACUCUGAGUAUAUCAACAAUUUCCUGAUGUUCGAUAGUGUCGAAAGCUUUCUCAAAAUCCAUUUUAAUCACCAGCAUCACUUCUUUUGAUUUAUGACAUUGAUGGAUAUAUUCAUAUUGUUGGGGAACGUAGCAUGCAAUUUCAAAAAAAUCCUAUGCUCACGCAAGAUCUAUCUAGGAGAUGCAUAGCAACUAGAGUGGGAGAGUGUGUCCAUGUACCCUCAUAGGACGAAAGCAGAAGCGCUAGCUUAAUGCGGUUGAUAUAGUCGAAAAUCUUCUCGAUUCAACCGAUCAAGCACCGAACGUAUGGUACGUCCGUGUUCUGCACAUGUUCAGCUCGAUGACGUCCCUCGAACUCUUGAUCCAGCAAAGUGUCAAGGGAGAGUUUCGUCAGCAUGAUGGCAUGGUGACUGUGAUGGUGAAGUGAUCCGCGCAGGGCUUCGCGUAAGCACUACGACAAUAUAACCAAAGGAGUAAACGGUGGAAGGGGGCACCGCACACGGCUAAGAACAAUUGAUGUCCGUCGAGGUGCCUCCCCGAACCCAUAUAUAAAGGAGGGAGAGGGGAGGAGGCCGGCCUAGGGCGCGCCAAGUGGAGAGGAAUCCCACUUGGACUCGUAGUCCUGUUCGCCCCCACCCCUCUUUCCUUCUAUCAGAGGGGAAAAGAUGGAAGGAGAGGGAGUAGGAGAAGGAAAGGGCGUGACGCCCCCUUCCCUUGUCCAAUUCGGUCUCCUUUCUUGUGGGGGCACACCAGCCCCUUGUGGGCUGGUUAGCCUCCCUCCUACGGCCCAUAUGGCCCAUAUCUUCCACCGAGGGGUUCCAGUAACCCCUCCGGUACUCCAGUAUGUACCCGAUACACUCCGGAACCCUUUCGGUGUCUGAAUACUACCUUCCAAUAUAUCAAUAUUUAUCUCUCGACCAUUUAGAGACUCCUUGUCAUGUCCGUGAUCUGAUCCGGGACUCCGAACAACCUUCGGUCACCAAAACACAUAACUUAUAUAAUAUAUAUCGUCAUGUCAACAUACGUUAUUCCCUUUGUCAUCGAUAUGUUACUUGCCCGAGAUUCGAUCGUCGCUAUCUUCAUACCUAGUUCAAUCUCGUUACCGGCAAGUCUCUUUACUCGUUCCGUAAUGCAUCAUUACGCAACUAACUCAUUAGUCACAUUGCUUGCAAGGCUUCAUAUGAUGUGCAUUACCGAGGGGCCCUAGAGAUACCUCUCCGAUACUCGGAGUGACAAAUCCUAAUCUCGAUCUAUGCCAACCCAACAAACACCUUUGGAGGUACCUGUGGAGCAUAUUUAUAAUCACCCAGUUACGUUUUGACGUUCGAUAACACACAAGGCAUUCCUCCGGUGUCCGGGAGUUGCAUAAUCUCAUAGUCAGAGGAAUAUGUAUUUGACAUGAAGAAAGCAGUAGCAAUAGAACUGAACAAUCAUUAUGCUAUGAUAACGGAUGGGUCUUGUCCAUCACAUCAUUCUCCUAAUGAUGUGAUCUCGUUCGUCAAAUGAAAACACAUUUCCAUGGCUAGGAAACUUAACCAUCUUUGAUCAACGAGCUAUUCAAGUAGAGGCAGACUAGGGACACUAUGUUUUGUAUGUGUAUUCACACAUGUAUCAAGUUUCUGGUUAAUACAAUUCUAGCAUGAAAAAUAAACAUUUAUCAUGAAUAAGGAAAUAUAAAAUAACAACUUUAUUAUUGCCUCUAGGGCAUAUUUACUUCAGUCUCCCACUUGCACUAGAGUCAACAAUCUAGUUCACAUCGCCAUGUGAUUUAACUCCAAUAGUUCACAUCUUUAUGUGAUUAACACCCAUAGUUACAUCGCCAUGUGACCAACACCCAAAGGGUUUACUAGAGUUAAUAAUCUAGUGUCACACCCUGAUUUUCAUGGCACCACACUUAAGCUAAUAAAUCAUGAUAAAUUGUGGUUUGACUAAAAACUUUUGUGUGUUUUGGUCUUUGUUUGAUUUGAUUCUUUUCUGUUGUUUGCAAGUGCUCUAAAAAUCAAAUACAUCCUCCAACUCUUAUACUCCUUCUCCUUGAUCCAGAAACCUUGCCCAGUGAACAUGCCAUGUGUAUAGGACAUAAAAAUAAUUUCUUAUAAAAAUAAUUUGGCCAAAUAGUAUUUUCAAAAAUUAGUUUUCCAAAAACCCCUGAAUUGAGAUUUGCACUGCAAGUACUUAAUUAAGGGCAGUAAAAAUCUUUACAAAAAUAUAUUUGACUCCUAUGAGGUAUAGGACACCCAUAAACCCCAAAAAUAUAAUUUUAAAACUUAUUUUAUUAUUUUAUUUAAAGGAUUUUUCUUUAGGCCAGAAAUGAUCUUUAAUAGGUUAAAAUUGUUUUAAUGGUUUAAAAAUAUUUGUGAAAAUUUAGGGAAACGAAGUGGACAUAUAUUGUCCAGAUAUAAGAGUUUCAAUAUAGGGUCAUGUUCAAAAUAUUGGUCAAAUCUCUCAAAAACCCUUUCUGGAUAUUUCAAGCUUUUGAAAUAUUUACAAAGGAAAUAUUCUCCAAAAAUUCCAAGAAAAUUCUAUCAUGUCACAUAUGACACGUUGGAUGAUCUUGACAAGUCUCAUGUCAUGCAGAAUAGUAUAACCCCAUGAAACCCUCUCAAAACCAUUUCUGCCCUUUUUCAAGUUUGAACAACUUUGCAUUAGAAAACUUGUCCAAAUACUCUCAAGCUUGGUCCACAUGCUACAAUGGUCCAAUAAAUAAUCUAGACUAAGUAUAAAAAGUUGGAGAACAAGUUAACUUGCUCAAAGUGCCCUAAAACCCUUCCUAUCCAGAACCAAAUUUGAACAACUCAACAUUGGAAACUAUCUCUUUUUGAUCUCAACUUUUGUGGACAUGUUCAGAAUCUCAAAUGAUGACACUACACCAAGUAGUGCACCAAUGAGAAGAGUUUAGCUUAGCUAGAUCUAAGCAAGUCCAUUUUUGUUAAUUUCUAGAGUUUACAAAAGUUGCAUUGGCAACUUUGCCCAAAUGGACUCAACCUUGGUGGAACCUAUUAUUAUAUCAUGCCAUUUGACCCUGUCAAUCCUCAUGACAAGAGGAGUUCAUCUUAUUUCCCAAACCAGCAACAAACACCUUCUCCCAUUUUAUUAAAACCCCUGUUUUGACCAUUUCCACUCUUCUCCUUCCUCUCUCUUCAUCCACUGGCCACCCAAAGCAUCCAAGGAGAAGAUCCCUUCCUUAGCACCCCCAAAGACUACUGGACAUGCAAGGGCGCGCCCACAAGCAUAGAAAAUGGCCUGGACAGCCAUAUGGGCGCUCUGGAGCGCGCUACAGUGCGCCCUUGCACUGUAGCCGCUCUCUGCCCAAGCCACCCGACGACCUCGGGGGCCGGGAGCGUGUCCCUCGAGUCUGUCUCGGCGUGCGUGACACGCCUAGCUGUCGGGCCCGUCGCCCAUCGGCCUCCUUUGCCCCUGUCGAGCUCACCCGAAUGCCGCCCAAGCUCACCGGUCGUUGCACUCGUGCGGGACCUUCUCUGGCGUCGCCCCGCUCCCCCUCUCACCUUACUCGCUCCUGGAUGAACUCCACGAGUGCCACUGACCCAUCCAAGAACCCUCCCUCGACCACCACCAUGAUUUCCGCGAGCACCCGUGAGCUUGGCUCACGGUGCACCAUGGCCUCGCCUUAUAGGGCCUCCCCUGGUCUCUCCCUCGUCUCCAUUCACUCUCCCCCUCCCCUAGUCCUGCUGGACCAACCCUCUCUCUCUCCCGCGUCCCCUAUCCUCCCCCACAGCCAAAGAAUCGCCGCCGGCCGCCGCCAAAAUUCGUGGUAUCCCGAGCUCCUCCGCGGGUGUGAAGCACAUGGACGGGAUCGGCGCAUUGCGCUGAGUCCUCCGGUGUGCUGGGCACCGUCGCAGGUGACCGGAGCCGCUGCAACGGGCACCGGUGCCGCUCGGCCGCGCCUCCCCUGUCGCUCCUCUCCCUCAGGUGCAAGGUAGGGCACGACCACUCCGCCAGCUCGCAGGGGGCCCGCCCGUCAGCGGCAGAGGUGACCGAGCCGGCCCACCAGUCGGGUUAAGUUGAAACGGCUUCGGGCCGACCCGCUUGCCCCGCUGGGUGGCGCCCUCCUGCAGUGCGCCUUCGACGUCACCUCCUCCCUCGCGCAGCUGAGCCACUGGGCCGAGCCCAGUAGGCGCUGUUUAGCUGGGCUUCGCCCAUGCGCUUUAUAAGCUUGACAUCUUUUCUUCCUUUUUCUUUUUUUAAAUAUUGUAAAAUCUCUAGAGAAUUCAAAUGGACUCCAUAUUUGAUGAUUCAAAUUUCUGGUAGCUCAUAAAAUCAUGGUGUAUCUUAUGGUGCAACUUGCACAUUUUUCCAGAAACCUUUUUUUCACAAAUAUUUAUAAUAUCCUAUUUUUCCUAUUUUUGUGAUAAACUUUAGAAAAUCACAGAGAGCUCAAAAUUGAUUCAAAUGCCUUGAUUCGAAUUCCUAGAUGCUUCUAAGUUCAUAACUUAGUUUAUGAACAUUUUUAUUAAUAUUUUCUGUGCCCCACAAAAUAAUGAGCCAUUUCUUCAUAUUAGCCAACUUUGCCAAUUCCUAGGAAAAUCAUUUGAACUCCAAAUCCAGUAAAACCAACUCCGAGAGGCUUCUAAAAUCAUGCUUUGUUAAAUGGGUGCCUUUGCUCAUUUUUCAAUAUAAUGUUUCUAUGCACUUAUUGCAAAUGCAUAAACCCCUUGAUUCCAUCAUAUCGAAAUGUUUCGAAAUAUCCAUUGAUCCACUUCCAAUGAAACCACCUUGGUCAUUCCUCAUAUGACCAGAGGUAUCCUAGAAAAGUCCAACUCACAUUUUUUUAGAGCACUUUUAUUUUGCCUGGUCGUGUUGCUUAUUAUGGUUGUUUUCGGCGAUAUUUGACGAAGUAGAUGAAAUGCUCGGAGUUAGACCAGAGAUAUUUGAAGACCUCGAAGACUUUGUUAAAAUAGGAAAGCAGCCCUUUGACCAUGUCUAUGAUACCCUUUUUAUGCAUGUCAUAUAGCACUUUUAUUGCUUGCAUCAGAGACAUGAUACUGUGGUAACCACAUGGGGUGGUUUGCCACCGUUACUUCCUCGUUGAUACUUGCAUUGUGCAUGACCCUACCUUCUUAUGAGGGUUAUGCCGGUGGGAGUAGAUAGGAUGCUAAAGUAGAUGCUACGCAAAAAGGGACGGGUAUAUGCAUGGUGAAGGAGACAAAGUAUUUUCAAAAGACUUUUCGAAAACCCCGUCGGGUGCCACUUAUGCCCGAGGGAGAUGAUGAGAUGGGUAACCACUUGAUGACAAAGUGGUGUACCGAGGCAAGUGUGUUUUGUUUUCGAAAACGGAUUAGAUUUAAGAUUUGUCGACUGUCCCAACCUUACAUGCGCAACCACUCUACCCUUGUAUGGGAAAGGGCAUUAUUGAUUUCCUAGGCCGAUACUAGCUUGGAGCCCGCAUUACUAGUGACGGCGGAGAGUUGGUGCUCUCCCUCGGGACGGGGUCGUGCCAGGUAGGGCGGCCAUGACUGUUUUCAUAGGGCACCAGAUACACCGUUGUGUCCCCUCUCGGAUGUUACGAUCUCGAGUGACUCUCGUAUGAUGUACAUCGUGAGAAUACGGAACAACGAGUGGACUGCUUGUUAGUGUCGUCUAGGGAAAGAUAGUGAUCGGGUGCUUACUCCGGGUACUUGAGGUAUCGCGGGUCGUGGAUGACACGGAAGUUCCCCGGAUCUUGUGGGUAAAGUGUGCAACCUAAAACUAUUCGAAUAGCCGUGUCCACGGUCAAGGACAGUUGGGCGGUGCUGCUUAAACUACAUCCAGAGCUUCACAAACCAGUGUGUGUGUUCGGAUAAUUGGGGAAAACUACUUGGGUCAAGUCAAGGGACUUGACAUGAUUGAGUUGGGUUGAUGCCCACUCUAUUUAUGUUGAUAUCUGUAACCUGUCCUCAUGGUUACUUGAAUUCUCCUGAUGCAUGUCUUACAAGUUGUUGAACAUGUCAUUGCACUCAAAACUAGCUUUCUGCAAAAUUUACCUAUAUCAUGCAUUGUUACAUCUUGGACCAAAACAUGGGUUGCUUGCGAGUACAUUCAAAGUACUCAUUGGCCUGCCACUAGUUAUUUAAUUGGCCAGGCAUGGAAGAACCAGAGUUUGAAGAAGAGUUCUUUGGAGACGAACAUGCUUUAACUAGGAUGUUUCCCAGUCAGAAUACCUUUAGGGUUAAGGCAGAUGGCAUGGGUUCUACUUAUCGACAAAGAGUUCCGCUGCUUAUAUUUCAUUUGAUGCUCAACCCUUAAGGCUUUAUCAAUGUAAGACUUGACCAUAAUGGUCAUAAUUUGUGUAAGACGGUAUGAAUGGAUGUAAGACUCUUGUUAUUCAGCUUCUGUGUGUUCAGUGAGCAUUGAUCUCUGGGAUCACUGUACACUUGCAUUCGGUGAUCAUGACUUAUGAGUCGGGGUCCCCACUAGUUCACAUCGCUAUGUGAUUAACACCCAAACAGUACUAAGGUGUGAUCAUGUUUUACUUGUGAGAGCAGUUUAGUUAACGGGUCUGCUACAUUCAGAGCCGUAUGUAUUUUGCAAAUUUGAUACGUCUACAUUUCUCUACAUGGAUAUAGUCUAGCUAAUUGCUCCCACUUUCAAUAUGUAUCCAUAUUGAGACUUAGAGUCAUCCGGAUUGGUGUAAAAGCUUGCAUCAACGUAAGUCGUUACGACGACCUCUUUAUCACCUCCAUAACGGAGAAAUAUUUCCUUAGUCCUCUUAGGUAACUAAGGAUAACUUUGACCGCUAUCUAGUGAUCCACACCUGGAUCACUAUCGCACCCCCUUGCCAAACUCAUACCAAGACACACAACUGGUCUGGUACAUAGCUUGGCAUACUUUAUAGAACCUAUGACUGAGGCAUAGGGAAUGACUUUCAUUCUCUUUCUAUCUUCUACCAAGACACACAACUUUACACCUUGUAAUACAGGCAAGAACUCCUUCUUUGACUGGUCCAUUUUGAACUCUUUCAAAAUCUUGUCAAGGUAUGUACUCAUUGAAAGUAUUAUCAAACGUCUUGAUCUAUCUCUAUAUUUUCUUGAUGCCCAAUAUGUAAGCAGCUUUCACCGAGGUCUUUCAUUGAAAAACUUUUAUUCAAGUAUCCUUUUAUGCUAUCAACAAAUUCUACAUCAUUUCCAAUCAACAAUAUGUCAUCCACAUAUAAUAUUAGAAAUUCUAUAGAGCUCCCACUCACUUUCUUGUAAACACAAGCUUCUCCAAAAGUCUGUAUAAAACCAUAUGCUUUGAUCACCUCAUCAAAUCGUAUAUUCCAACUCUGAGAUGCUUGCACCAGUCCAUAGAUGGAUCGCUGGAGCUUGCACACUUUGUUAGCACCUUUAGGAUCGAGGAAACUUUCUGGUUGCAUCAUAUACAACUCUUCUCAGAGAUAUCCAUUCAAGGAUGUAGUUUUUGACAUCCAUUUGCUAGAUUUCAUAAAAUGUGGGAAUUGCUAACAUGAUUCAUGCAGACUUAAGCUUUGAGAUGGGUGAGAAAGUCUCAUCAUAGUCAACUCCUUGAACUUGUCGAAAACCUUUUGCAACAAGUUGAGCUGUGUAGACAGUAACACUAUCAUCAGCGUCAGUCUUCUUCUUGAAGAUCCAUUUAUCCUAUGUGGGUCGCCGAUCAUCGGGUAGAUCAACCAAAGUCCACACUUUGUUCUCAUACAUGGAUCCUAUCUCAGAUUUCAUGGCUCAAGCCAUUUAUCGGAAUUUGGGCUCAUCAUAGCUUCUUCAUAGUUCGUAGGUUCAUCAUGGUCAAGUAAGAUAACCUCCACAACAGGAUUACCAUACCAAUCUGGUGCGGAUCGUGCUCUGUUUGACCUACAAGUUUCUAUAGCAACUUGAUCUCAAGUUUCAGGAUCUGUAUCAUUAUUUUCCUCUGCAUUUGGUGUAGGCAUCACAAGAACUGAUACGUCUCCAACAUAUCUAUAAUUUUUUAUUGUUCCAUGCUAUUAUAUUACCCAUUUUGGAUGUUUAUGGGUUUUACUAUACACUUUUAUAUCUUUUUGGGACUAACCUACUAACCGGAGGCCCAGCCUGAAUUGUUGUUUUUUGCCUAUUUUAGUGUUUCGCGGAAAAGGAAUAUAAAACAUAGUAAAAAUGGAAUGAAACCUUCGGGAGCAAUCUUUUUGGAACAAACGCAAUCCAAGAGACUUGGGGUGGACGUCAAGAAGCAGUCAAGGCGGCCACGAGGGUGUAGGGCGCACACCUAGGGGUGGGAGCCCCCUGCCUCGUGGGCCUCCCGUGCCUCCCCUGACCGACCUCCUUCGCCUAUAUAUAUCUAUGUACCCCGAAAACAUCCAGGGGCACCACGAAAAACUAUUUCCACCGCCGCGACCUUCUAUACCCAUGAGAUCCCAUCUUGGAGCCUUUUCCGGCGCUCCGCCGGAGGGGGAAUCGAUCAUGGAGGGCCUCUACAUCAUCAGCAAGGCCUCUCCGAUGAGUUGUGAGUAGUUUACCACAGACCUUCGGGUCCAUGGUUAUUAGCUAGAUGGCUUAUUCUCUCUCUUUGAAUCUCAAUACAAAGUUCUGCUUGAUCUUCUUGGAGAUCUAUUCGAUGUAACUCUUUUUGCGUUGUGUUUGUCAAGAUCCGAUGAAUUGUGGGUUUAUGAUCGAGUUUAUCUAUGAGAAAUAUUUGAAUCUCCUCUGAAUUCUUUUAUGUAUGUUUGGUUAUCUUUGCAAGUCUCUUCAAAUUAUCAGUUUGGUUUGCCCUACUAGAUUGAUCUUUCUUGCAAUGGGAGAAGUGCUUAGCUUUGGGUUCAAUCUUGUGGUGUCCUUUCCCAGUGACAGUAGGGGAAGCAAGGCAUGUAUUGCAUUGUUGCCAUCGAGGAUAAAAAUAUGGGGUUUACAUAAAAUUGCUUGAGUUUAUUCCUCUACACCAUGUCAUCUUACUUAAUGCGUUACUCUGUUCUUUAUGAACUUAAUACUCUAGAUGUAGGCAGGUGUCGGUGUCAAAACCGGCGGAUCUCGGGUAGGGGGUCCCGAACUGUGCGUCUAGGCGGAUUGUAACAGGAGACAAGGGACACGAUGUUUUUACCCAGGUUCGGGCCCUCUCGAUGGAGGCAAAACCCUACUCCUGCUUCAUUAAUAUUGAUGAUAUGGGUAGUACAAGAGUUGAUCUACCACGAGAUCAGAGAGGCUAAACCCUAGAAGCUAACCUAUGGUAUGAUUGUUGUUCGUCCUACGGACUAAAACUCUCCGGUUUAUAUAGACACCGGAGAGGGCUAGGGUUACAUAGAGUCGGUUACAAUGGGAGGAGAUCUUCAUAUCAUAUCACCAAGCUUGCCUUCCACGCCAAGGAAAGUCCUAUCCGGACACGGGACGAAGUCUUCAAUCUUAUAUCUUCAUAGUCCGAGAGUCCGGCCAAAGGUCAUAGUUGGCCAUCCGGACACCCCCUAAUCCAGGACUCACUCAGUAGCCCCUUAACCUGGCUUCAAUGACGACGAGUCCAACGCGCAAAUUGUCUUCGGCAUUGCAAGGUGGGUUCCUCCUCCGAAUACGUCAUAGAAGAUGUUGAACACAAGGAUAGUGUCCGGCUCUGCAAAAUAAGGUCCACAUACCACCGUAGACAGAAUAAUAUCUGCACAAAUCUAAUCUGUUGACGUAUUCUGCAGCGUGACAUCACGCCACGGCCAGGCCUUUAUUUGAAUCAUUUUACUGUUCCACCUCAGCGCGUUUAGCGAGGCGGUUUCCUAGGCACGUCUUGUCAAAGCAGAGAUCGUGUCCCCUUAUUCCGGGAUUCUCAUCAAUACGAGCGUGGGUAACCCAACCGUGCCUUUGGUAUGACUCCCUAAUUGAAAGUGCGUCCCAAACGGUUACGGGGAGGGCUCUUGGUAUUCAACCCCUAUAUAAAGAGACCAAGGCUCGACUCCUUUCUUUUCAAUUCAAUCGAAUCCGCCCCUCGCCUCGAGUUCCAACACUCAAAGCUCCAGUUUUAGGCGCUUCGGACCUUCGAAGAUGUCCGGCUCCGACCUUCAAGGCCGGUGGAUGCCUUCCUCCGUUACGAAAGAAGACGUGCGAAAGCUGAGAGAUCCCAGGUAUCUAACCGGCGAAAUCUCGCAUAGGCUGCCUGCUCAAGGGCAGGCCAUUCCCACUCCCCAGCCCGGUGAGAGCGUGGUGUUCACAUCUCACUUCCUUCGGGGGCUAGGCUUCCCGAUUGAUUCCUUUGUGAGGGGGCUUAUGUUUUAUUACGGGCUGGAAUUUCACGACUUAGCUCCGGAGUCCAUCCUCCAAAUCUCAUCGUUCAUUGUCGUGUGUGAGGACUUUCUCCAUAUUACUCCUCACUUCGGAUUGUGGCUUAGAACCUUCAAGGUGGAACCGAAGAUGAUCGAGGGGCAGCACGCUGAGUGCGGAGGAGCUAUCAUAAGCAAGAUGGCCGACGCUCCAUGGCCCGAGGGCUCUUUCCAAGAGAGUUCGGCUUAUGGCAACGGGACUAGUUUUACAUCACAGCCCCCAGGGGCACCACAUGGGUGGCGCCACCUGCUUUUCGGUCGGGUCCCCCACCACGGCUAGCGUCAUGGGUCAAUGAAGGGCUUAUCUGGGGGACGUCCCAAGACGUGCCCUUGCUGCAGGACCGCAUUCGAGAUCUCCUAGAAAGAGAUAUCAACUUGACCGUAGUGGCGCAAGUUAUGCUGAUUCACCGCAUGCUUCCCUACAAACGUCGCCCUCUCCGCCUGUGGGAAUUUAAUCCGGAGGGACCGCGAGUCCUUCAACACUUUAUGGGCACGACGCCCAUGGAGAUGUACAAAUUGUUCUUCGGAACAGAAGCAAGGUGUCCGGACUUGUCCGAGGACGCAGGUCUGAGCUGCAAUCGCCCGGAUGCUCAAGUAAGUCGCCCCGUAUUUGGACACGCCAUCCGUAUUUUCAUCAUAGAAUUGCCCUUAACAGAGCUAUCCUUUGAACAGGAGUGGAUAGCGAAGGCAAAGCUUAUCAGGUGUCCAGCCCCCCUGCCUGAGACCGUGCCGGAUCCCGUGUUAACCAGGAUGCUGGAGAUUGUGCUUUCGGCAAAAGGAGAAGAGGGGAACCAAGGAGCUACCGCCUCCAUGAAGGAGGCUGUCAGGAAGGGAGGAAUCGAGAAUUCCCCCAACCCGGGAAAGAAAAGGACUGCCUCUGAAGACCCGGAGGGGAUGGCCUCAAAACGGGGGAAGAAAUCUUUGCCAGAGGAUCCGACGCCGGAGAAUGCCCCGGCUGCAUUGCGCCCUCAAGGGGAUCAGCUCUCCUUCGAGACGUUAGUAAAGAGAGGGGUUCCAAAAUGAGUGGCAUCCCUGUUUUAUUUCUGAGGAAGAUAACUGAAAUAUUACCUUGCAGUUCGGAUCUCAACCCUUCUCAACAGAGGUCAUCUUCAGGGGAUCUUCGUCCAGAGAUGAUGGAGAGCGAAACGUCUCCCCUAGCUGCACCAUCUUACGAGGCAGGCGACCCUGAGGUGUCGUCCCGGGGGGGUUUUCCAAGUCCGGACCCUAAAAAAGGUCGUCAGGCUAGUCCGGCACCCUCUGGUGCGCGGUCGGAGGGGCUGAAGGGUAUGCUCGGGCGAGCGUACAUCUCAGAAGAACACCGUAUGUUGAUGAACAUGGUGAUAGGAAGGAUUUCAUCCGCGGAAAGCGGAUUGUACGAGGCCGCCAGGAGUUUACUGACAGGCUUUGAGGUACGUGGAAAGGUGUACCUUUUGGUGGAGCCGCAUAUAUAAAAUGCGCCCUGUAUAAAUAGUAGCCCCUGAGACUCUGUGUGUCGUCAAAAGUGACGGCGCACAGAGGAUCAUAACCCCAGGUAUAAUAUGUCACCUUUUUAUGAAAGUGGCGAGGCGUUCGGUGGCUAGCCGGACUGAUGAAUCUGUCGAGCUAAAGCGGCAACUUAAUGUGGCAGAUGCCGACAUCGCGCUUGUAAAUAAGUGGCUAGACGAGGCACAAGGUAUGUUCCAAAUACAUCUGAUAAGAGGAGUUCGAUUCUCGUGCCUUAUAGGAUAUGUGCUUAAUGUAGAUGGUGCUGCUGCCGUGGAGAACCUUUGGGCCGAACUUGCCCGAGCCAAGGAGCAAGCCAGGAAAAGUGAUGCGGCUGCCAUUAAGGCGGCUGAAGAGCUAAAAGCCGAACAGGCUGCUCACUGCCAGAGCAAGAAAGUAAUAGCCGAGAUGGCUAUAAAAUUGAAGGAUGCUGCCGAUCGCUGUAAAUUUCUUGAACAAGAAGAUAGGGCGGCUCAGAAGGACCUUGAAAAGAUCACUGCCGAGGCCAAGGAUACUCGGUCUGCAAUAAGAGUUAUGAAGGAGGAGCUACGUCAGGCCGGAGAUAUCAUGGUUGGAAAGCCCUAUAUGCUGCGGAUGAAGUUCGGGGAUCCUAAGUAUGUCCGUUAGACCGGCAGUGGAGUGCGGAAAACACUUAUCUGGAUUUGGCAGCGAGUGCGGCAGACGCAACCGAACACUUCCGAGGUCGAGGUGACCAUGAAUUGGUAGAACUUUUUUGGUCGUAGUUCCACAAUCCAGAACACCCACUUUCGGUAUCCGACCGUUUGGCCGCCUGGGCGGAGCUAAACAGGUUAUCCGGACUCGCCACGAGGUAUGUUGCGAGUCGUUUGUGGCCGGAAGAGCCAGAGCCGAAGAGUUAGUUUAGCUUGGUGCAGCAGUUCCUUGGUUCGGUGCCGCAUGUUGAUGCAAUGAAGAGGUCGGCGUGCAUAGAGGGUGCAUAAAUGGCUCUUGCCCGUGUCAAAACAUACUGGGCGGAUAUGAAGGCCAGUGUUGUUGCAUCCCGGGAUUCGGACGAAAGCCGAGUACCUUCCAAGCACUACUUUGAGGAAGUUCUUCCUGGCGCUCGUUUAAUAGAGGCGCAGUGCUCGAAGGAUGUUGUGUUCGAAUAGCAUGUGCUAUUGUAAAAUGAAUAUUUUGAUAGAAUAUAAAAGCUUUUUAUACUUGUGCUUGCAAGAAUUAUAAUACCUCCUGCGCGGCCGUUAAUGUAUAUGUGUAUAUAACCUGAAAGAUGGCAGUCGUUGGCUUCAGCCCCCACGCAUAUAAUGCAGGGGUGUUUGCAAAAAGGCGUCUUUUCACACAUAAUAGAACGUCUUGGUCCUACAAAGGAGGUGAUAGCGCAGCGAACUAGGCAACCGGACUAUAAUGCUUUAUCACUUUCACUUAGCCAUAGGAGUUGGACAGUGGGGCUACUUAAUAGCCCCUAGGGGCACCGCGCUCGCCCGAAUUCAGGGCGCGUGUGUGCCUGACCGGAAAGCGGCCCUUCGUUAAUGCGGAGGAAUCCUAAAUAUUCCGAGAGUCAUCGAGUGGUUGACCAGUCUCUCGCUAUAUCAUGACAGUCAGUUUUCGGCUUUUCUCUACUGAGGUGCUCGCCUGGCUGAACCGGGGCACAAUCGCAGUAGUUCUCCUGGUGCCGCCUUAGCCAAUAGAGCGCAACGUAAGGUAGCAAAACACAGGAGCCGGGCAAACCCAACAUUUGACCAAAGACAUGUUUCGGAGCUGAUGCAUAUAAGGCCAAACUCGCGACGCCGAACACUCCCUAAGGUAUUCGGUCUUUAUGAAGACGGGCCGAACCAAAGCCCUUGGUAAAAAAGCCCCUGGUGUCCAGGUACGCGCAAAAUUCUGGCAUGGCCACAUGCCAAGACGCCAGCCUCCUCCUCGGUUAUAGUGAAAACCAGGGGAUUUCAUCAACAAGAGAUAGUAAAAAAGGUUUACACAGGAUCUUAAUCUGAAAAGAAUCCUUAAAACGGGUCCCUACUGCACGUCUGUGCCUGUGUCUCCGUUGUGCCGUAUCCUGGACGGGCGUAGCACGGUGUUCAUCUGCGAAAGAGAGGAACUUAGUAAAAAGUAAUCAUGCGAGAAAUCUGUAUUAAAAUAAACAAAAUAUAAUCCAGAGACAUGAGCAAAAUUGAGCUGUGUUGUCUCCUGGUGUAAACACGCGGAGCCCCUUGUACAGGGUUAUGCGGCUAUUAAGCCUUUGUAUGUUUACGCCGGACUCGUCGAGCCGUGUCCGGGGUAGUAGGGCUGGAUUAGUGUGCGGGUGUUCAGGCGGCCGCACCAUUACCCGUACUUUGGGGAUCAAUUGAUAUUUCCCUUUAAAGAGAUGAUGCCUCGUGGACCGGGCAUUUUGAGUGUAAGGGAUGCAUAAUGCAGUAUUGCGUUAAAGCGGGCGAAAGCUUCACGUCCCAGUAGUGCUUGAUAGCGACUUAUGAAUGGGGCGAUAUGGAAGGUUAGCUUUUCGCUUCGGAAGUUGUUGGGUGAGCCGAACAUGACUUCUAACGAAAGGGAACCCAUAAUCUGGAUAUCUCGGCCCGGCGUGACUCCUUGAAAGGAUGUGUUGCCAUGGCGAAUUAUUGCUGGGUUUUGUCGCAUCCCUAGUUCUGGUAUGACCUAGACUAGCUAGCCAGUUGUGCAUCAUUUUUAAAUUCCUUUUAAUUUUGAAAUGAGGACUUGUGAAACCCUCAGAAUCAUCUCUGAAAAUGACCCAAAUAAAAAAUUGUUCCAAAAAGGUCCAAGAAAAUGUUCAUGUUGCUCUCUGAAAAUAUUGGUCAGAGGUAAAAUUCAAACAAAUAUUUUAGGAGCUCAUGGAUAUUUAUUUUGGCCAUUUGGAUUAAUCCGAUAAUUAUUUGCAUUGGAUAUAUAUAUGUCAUAUAUAUAAUAUAUGUCCAAAAAUUAUGCCAUUUGCUGAGGAGCUCUGGAAUAAUAUAGUUAGCUCCUGCAAAAAUUGGCAUAAGGUAAUAAAAUGAUUUUGUAUUUUAAUUAAAGCAAAACAAAUGUCAGAAAAAUAGAAAAAGAAAUAAAAGAGGAAAACCCUACCUGGACUUACCCGCGGCCUGGCACUGUGUGGCCUGGCCUAGCGGGCCAGCAGGCCGGCCCAGCCAGCUGGCCGACGCCAGUCGCCCCCUUCCUCGCGCCAGUCGUCCCCUUCCAACGGCUGGGGCCACGUCUCCCCGCCACCUCCUGCUUCUCCCCCUCGUCGUCUGGAUGCCCUGGGCGACGCCACGUGCCCUCCCGACCGCUCUCACUCUCCCCCUGUUCACUCCCUCGCCGUUUCCCACCGUGCCCGAACGCUGCCGUCGCCGCCGCACGCCGUUGCCGUAGCCACCGCCUCCCCCUCGCCUCUCCGACACGCGCAGGAGCUCCGCCUCCUCGCUCUGAAGCUCUCCGCCGAGCCACACAAGCCGGAGCGCCUGUGGAGCCGUCGUCGUCGCCUUCAUCACCUCCGGCCGCCGCAGAUCGCCAUCGCCGCUUUGUCGCCUCCCGCGCGUCCCUGGCCACAACGAGCAGCCCUGCAAGUCCACCGUGAGCCCUGCUUCUUCUCCCCUCUCUCCCCUGGUCGCGCUCUCCCUCUAGCUAUCGUCUCCACCGUGGCUGAACCUUCGCCGCCACUGAGCUCGCCGUCGACGCAGCUCCGGUGACCAUUUGGUCACCCCGGCGAGUCCAACAAGCUCGUAAGGCCCCGUAGAGCAUCCCUAGCGCUUUGCUUCUCUCGUCUUCGAGCUCCAAACGCGCUCUCGUGCACGACCAAACUCCGGCGCCCGCAACCGAGAUCGCCGCCGCCGACUCCGGCCAUCCCAGGCCCAGCCACGGCCACCGGCCGACACGCCAUCGAGCUGGCUCACCAACGCGCCUAGCCGCGCGUCAUUUGGAGCACCACAGAGGAAACCCGGGGCCCAAGUACGCCGCGGAUCUCGCCGGCGACUAACCGCCAGCGGGUUUGACUUGUUUGACCUGGGGUUUGACCCGCCCAGGGUCACUGACACGUGGGCCAUGCCCCUGUUUAGUUUAGGUGUUAGUUUAGUUAGCGCUAAUUAACUUAGUUAAUUAGUUGUCUCUCUGACAGGUGGGCCCAGGCCCUAAUUAACCUAGGUUAGUGCUAACCUAACACAAACUAACUCUGUUAGUUAGAUGUUCCACUGACAUGUGGGUCCCAGCCAUCAGGUUUGACCUGGUCAGCACCGUUGACCUGCUGACGCAGGCAUGACGUCAUGCUGGCGCAAUAAUAUAUUUUCUGGAAUUAAAAUAAAUCAGGAAAUUCCAGAAAAUGUUCAAAACUUCAAAAAUUCAUAUCAAUUCCACUGUAGCUCAGAUUGAAAUAAAUUAUAUAUGAAAAAUUAUCAGAAAAAUGCAACUUAUCCAUCUGUACCAGUUUCAUGCAUGAAAAACCAAGUUAUACCUGCUGGAUAAGUGAAACACUAAAAUGGCUUAUAUGAAGAGCUUAUUUGGAGAUGCAUUUGAACCUUUGGUUCAAAUGGACUUCAAACCAAAUGAAUACUAGUUGCAUUAGCUCAAACAGCAUCACAUCUUCAUGCCAUGUUCAUGCAUCAUAUUGUUGCAUAUGCUUGUGUAUUGAUUGUUGGCACCGUUCCUUCUCGAUAGGUCCUGCUCCGGAGACCGUUCCAGAGUACCUGUCUGAGGAGCAGUGCCCCCUUGUUGAUCUACCAGGCAAGCAAAGCCCCUUGUUCAUUCCGAUACAAUCCUACUCUCUCGCUCCUGCUCUUAGUUAUUGCAUUAGGACAACAACGAUUCAUCUGCUACUUUGUGCUGCGGUAGUUGAACCCAUUCCUCUGCAUGACCCGUCAUUGCCAGAGUAAAUAGUUGAAACCCACUAGCAUGUGUAGGAGUUGAUUGAGCCAUGUUGUGUUCCUACCAUGCUAUGCCUGCUAUUGCUUAGAGUUGUGUCAGGUCUGGUUCAUUGGGAAUGAAUUGGAGUGUUACGAUAUGUUCUGAUGCUGAGAGUUAAGUGUGUGAACACGAUUUGGUAAAGGUAGCGGUGAGAGGCCAUGUAGGAGUACAUGGUGGGUUGUCUCACUGGAACCGUCCUUAAGCACUUAGUUCUGUGUAUGUUGUCCAAUGACCAGCUACUACCACACAUUGGAAUGCUUAAGUGCCCCUCUCGACUUGUUAACCAACUUGGUCUCUGUCCAGGAGUCGCAACUAGUUUCUGGUGUUUGUAGGUAGUGUUAGUAGUCUACCAAGUGGCACACGGCCAGGUGGGCUUGGGACAAACUAGGCACAGUGGCAUGGUGUACCAAGUGGCACCCGGAUGGUGGGCUUGGGAACCCUGCACACAUCGUUUGGGGCCAUGAGCGACACCCCGGCCGGAUCUCCUUGCGGAUAGAACCCGAAUAGGCGAUAAACCUGGACUAGAGUCUUGUGUGGUUAGUCAGGUCAUGGCCGACACCCUCGCCAGGCUUCCGCUUGAAGGUUGCCGAGAUACAUGACGUGUACAUGGUGGUAAGUGGCGAGAGCGUGUGUGAAGAAGUACACCCCUGCAGGGUUAACAUGAUCUAUUCGAAUAGCCGGGUCCGCGGUUAUGGACUUCUUGGAUGCUUACAUGGUACAUAGACAACUUGUAGUGGAUACUCUAAAAUGCUCAAGACAAGUGUGUGUACUAUGGAUGGCCUUCUCGUAGGGAGACGGGGAUGAAUCCAUAGUAGUGUAUUGCAUGGUGAUUAGUGGACUCGUGUGUGCCAUAUCACCUCAAAGAAGUUCUGGUAGUCGUAGAACAGGAUAGCCACAGAGUCAAAGCUGGCUUGCUGCAACUAAACCCCACAUUACCCUCUUGAUACAAAUGCAUGUAUGAUAGGAUCUGAUGUAAGUCUUGCUGAGUACCUUUGUACUCAUGUUGCUUUAUUUAUGCUUUUGCAACGGAGACUUCGGUCUUACUAGUGUUCUCGUGGACUUCAACGAGUAGCUUGUACCUCAGCUACGAUCUUGAUCGGAUGUUGUAGAUAGCCAGACUCUUCAGCCUUUUUCAUUUGUAGAUGUAUGUACUCAGACAUGUAAUGCUUCCGCUUGUUGCUUGAUUGCUCUGAAUGUUGGGUCAUGUGACCCCUGUUUGUAAUAAAUGCUAUGAUGGUUCUUUGAGCCUUAUCUAUAUGAGUUGUUGAGUUAUGUGGUGAUGCCAUGUUGUACAGCACAUACUUGCAUGUUAUGCGUACGUGUAAUGUGUAUUGCUAUGUGUGGGAUCUAACUAUCUAGUUGUUUAUCCUUAGUAGCCUCUCUUAUCGGGAAAUGUCUCCUAGUGCUUCCACCGAGCCCUGGUAGCUUGCUACUGCUCCGGAACACUUAGGUUGGCCGGCAUGUGUCCUUCUUCGUUCCUGUGUCUGUCCCUUCGGGGAAAUGUCACGCGGUGUCUACUGGAGUCCUGUUAGCCUGCUACAGCCCGGUUUACCGGAGUCCUGCUAGCCCAGUUGCUACAGCCCGGAUUCACUUGCUGAUGACCGACACGUUCGAUGUUGGGUCAUGUAUGCCUGUCCCUGUAAGUUAGUGCCACUUUGGGUUCACGACUAGUCAUGUCAGCCCGGGUUCUUUAUCAUAUGGAUGCUAGCGACAUUAUCAUAUACGUGUGCCAAAAGGCGCAAACGGUCCCGGGCAUGGUAAGGCGACACCCGUGGGAAUACCGUGCGUGAGGCCGCAAAGUGAUAUGAAGUGUUACAUGCUAGAUCGGUGUGGCAUAGAAUCGGGGUCCUGACAGCUUUGGUAUCAGAGCCUGACUACCUGUAGGAUUACCAAGCCAAACUGGUCGAAGUUGAGUCUAGAAAUUCUUUAGAUAUGUAAGGGAAUUGAUUGUGGGAAGGAACGUAAGGCUCUUUUUACUCCUUAUACCUCAUGGCCUUCUGAUCUGAGUCAUCCUAUCUUUCCUACGGGGUUAAGGAAUUAGGCAUUCUCUUCCGUCUAUCAGGAUCACGUGUUACUACUCCAUAGUCCCAUAGGAUUGGUUGAUCAGAGUCUUACCCCAGUUUCGAGUACUUCCGGUGUAGCCUGUUUAGUAGGAUCUUAGAACCUUGAGUGAUGAUGUUGAGUAUGUUACUACCCCAUCUUAGCAGGAUGUCUCAUUCUGAGCAUUUUACUGCCGUUAUGCCGCCGGAAUUGCCCUAGGAGUUCGAGAGAUACUAAUUUCCUUGUCCUACAUUCUGUAGCCUAUAGUUGAUGCUGAUUCCGUCCUUGGUUUCGUUUCUCAGGAUGUCAUCAGCUAAGAGAAGUUCCAUUGCUCGUAAACAGAACCGCGGAGAUGGUAGGGAUGAGGAUCCUCCCGACCAGCCUUCGUUGGCAGAAUUCAUGUUAGAAAUGGAGAGGAACAAGCGUGAGUCUAACCGCUUGUUGGCACGUAUCGAGGAGAACACCGCACAUCAGUUCAAAGGGCCUGCUAUCAUUCAUGACUUCAUUCGCUUGCACCCACCCACCUUUCAUCAUUCUAUUGAGCCACUCGAUUUAGAUGACUGGCUCCGUAGCAUCACUCAUAAGUUGCGUUCCGCAAACGUAUCUGAAGAUGACAAGGUCACCUAUGCCACGUUCCACCUGGAAGGUCCUGCUAGUCUUUGGUGGCAGAACUAUGAGGCUAUGCUUCCUGCUGGUCAGAUUCCUACCUGGAGAGAUUUCACUGAGGCUUUUCGCGAGCAUCACAUUCCUGAAGCCCUCAUCGAUCGCAAGAGAGAAGAGUUCUGUAGUUUCACCCAGAGUAAGAUGGCUGUUGAUGCUUAUAGUAGAGAGUUUGAGAACCUCGCCCGCUAUGCCACAGAAGAGGUGUCCACGGACGCCAAGAAGCAAGCUAGGUUCCGGAAGGGUCUCAACCCCAAGUUGCGUCGUGAUCUCCACCUGCAUCAUUGUGAUACAUUCCAAGCCCUUGUGAACAAGUCCAUUAAUGCAGAGACAACUCAGCUCACUUACGAGGAGUCUCAUAAGCACACCCGUGAUCUGGGAUCUUCCUCCGGUUCUAGUUCUUAGAAGCGCCGGAUUUGGGUUCGAAACUCCGCUCUUCCUUCCAGAUAUGCACCGAGACCAUCUUAUGUGGUGCCAUCCCCAGCUCAGUCAUAUGUUCCACCCAGGCCUAUUGGUAGACCGCUUGUCAGUGCGGGUCAACGUCCAACUUCAGGGACUUGCUUCACAUGCGGGAAGCCAGGACACUAUGCACGUGACUGCUCUCAGACUAGUUAUUCUCCACCCCAGCCCGAGAAGUCUGUUGACUAUGUUAAGCCAUCACGCAAGAUGAUCAAUGUUAAGUCAGCUCCCACUGAACGUGGGCGUGUGCAUCACGUCUCAGCUAAAGACGCUCAUGAUGAUCCGGAUGUCGUUCUUGGUACACUCCUUGUCAACUGUCAUCCAGCAUCAGUUUUGUUCGAUACUGGAGCGUCUCACUCCUUCAUUUCUGAAAGCUAUGCUAACUUGCACAACAUGUCUUUUUGUGUUAUGCCCUCCCCACUAGUCAUUCAAACUCCUGGAUCCAAAUGGCAAACUUCUAGUGUAAGCCAUGGUAACGGAAUCCUUGUAGACAGACUUGUAUUCCUUGCAUCUCUUAUAGCCCUCAAGUCUACAAAUAUUAACAUCAUCUUGGGUAUGGACUGGAUGACAGCUCAUUAUGCCAAGAUUGAUUGUUACGCCAGGUCCGUUCAGCUUACACACCCAUCUGGCCAGAUAGUCACUGUCUCCACUAGAGUUGCAAGGCGUCAACUCUAUUCUGUUAAUGCCAGCCCUCUUCCAGACCUUGAAGAUAUCCCGGUUGUCCAUGACUUUCCGGAUGUCUUUCCAGAAGAACUGCCAGGUGUUCCACCUGACAGAGAUGUAGAGUUCAUCAUAGAUCUUAUCCCAGGAACUGCUCCAAUCUCUAGGAGACCUUACAAGAUGGCACCCUUAGAACUAGCCGAGCUUAAGAAACAACUUGAUGAGUCCUUGCAAAAGGGUUUCAUCCGCCCUAGUUCUUCCCCUUGGGCUUGCCCCAUCCGCUUUGUCAAAAAGAAGGAUGGUACGGACCGGAUGGUUGUAGAUUAUCGUCCCGUUAAUUUGGUCACGAUAAAGAACAAGUAUCCGCUCCCCAGGAUCAACGACCUGUAUGAUCAGCUCGCUGGAUCCUCAGUCUUCUCCAAGAUGGAUUUGAGGUUAGGCUACCACCAAAUCAAGAUCAGAAAUGGGGACAUCCCCAAGACGGCCUUUGUCACUCGUUAUGGCCAGUACGAGUACACCGUCAUGUCCUUUGGUCUAACCAACGCUCCAGCUACUUUCUCCCGCUUGAUGAACUCGAUCUUCAUGGAGUACCUAGAUAAAUUUGUCGUGGUUUACCUCGAUGAUAUUCUUAUUUACUCGAAGAAUGAGGAAGAGCAUGUGGAACAUCUUAGACUUGUGUUAGAAAAACUCAGAGAGCACCGUCUUUAUGGCAAGUUCUCCAAGUGCGAAUUUUGGUUGCCAGAAGUGACCUACCUAGGCCACGUAAUCUCUGGUAAGGGCAUUGCUGUCAAUCCCGAGAGAGUUAAGGCCGUUCUCAAUUGGACUCCACCUGAAACAGUCAAACAAGUUAGGAGUUUCCUUGGUCUAGCCAGUUAUUGUCGCCGCUUUGUUGAAAACUUCUCUAAAGUGGCCAAACCUCUCACGGAACUUCUCAAGAAAGAUAAAAAGUUUGAGUGGUCCCCACAGUGUGAGUACAGUUUUCAGGAACUGAAAAGACGCCUGACUUCUGCUCCCAUACUUGUGCCACCGGAUUUCACUAAAGACUUUGUUAUCUAUUGUGACGCCUCACGACAGGGACUAGGUUACAUUCUUAUGUAGGAUCGUCAUGUGAUUGCCUAUGCAUAUCGGCAGUUGCAUCCACAUGAGGAGAAUUAUCCUUCACAUGAUCUAGAGCUUGCAGCCGUAGUCUAUGCACUAAAGACUGGCCUGGCGACAUUACCUCCUUGGUAAACGUUGCGAGAUCUACACUGAUCACCAGAGUCUCAAGUAUAUCUUCACCCAACCAGAUUUGAGCCUUAGGCAAAGACGUUGGUUGGAAGUGAUCUCAGAUUAUGAUCUAGGGAUUACUUACACUCCAGGCAAAGCUAAUGUCAUGGCUGAUGCGCUAAGUCAUAAAUCCUAUUGCAACAAUCUCAUGUUGCAGCAGGGCCAACCACUUCUGCAUGAGGAAUUCUGUAAGCUUAACCUUCACAUUGCUCCUCACGGAUUCCUUUCUACCUUGGUGGCGAAACCUACCCUCAAGGAUCAGAUCAUUACUGACCAGAAGUUUGAUAGGGGUGUUAUCCGCAUCAAGAGAAACAUUAAGAAGGGAGUUGGUGGAUGUUUUUCUAUGGAUGAUCGAGGUGUUGUUUUCUUUGGGAAUCCCUUGGUGGUUCCCAAAAAUCAACAUCUGCGACAAUUGAUUCUUAAGGAGGCGCAUGAAUCCCCUCUCACGAUUCAUCCCGGUAGUACGAAGAUGUAUGAAGACCUACGCCAAAGGUUCUGGUGGACUAGGAUGAAGAGAGAAAUCGCUGAGUUCAUUGCUAAAUGUGAUGUCUGUCGUCGCGUUAAGAUAGAGCAUCAAAGACCUACUGGCACUCUUCAGCCUCUAGCCGUUCCUGAGUGGAAAUGUGAUAAAGUUGGUAUGGACUUCAUCACCGGCUUUCCCAGGACCAAAAAAGGGAAUAAUGCUAUCUUCGUAGUCAUUGAUCGUCUCUCCAAAGUGGCUCACUUCCUUCCUGUUUGAGAGAGUAUCACUGCUAGUCAGCUCGGUGACUUAUAUAUUUCUCGAAUAGUGUCACUUCAUGGUGUUCCAUUAGAGAUCAAUUCAGACCGUGGCAGUCUUUUCACUUCUCAUUUCUGGGAGAGUUUCCAAACUGCCAUGGGAACCCAUCUUUCCUUCAGUACCGCUUUCCACCCUCAGUCGAGUGGUCAGGUGGAAAGGGUCAAUCAAAUCCUGGAAGACAUGCUUAGAGCUUGCGUUAUCUCAUUCGGUAUGGAUUGGGAGAAAUGUCUUCCUUUCGCCGAGUUUGCUUAUAACAAUAGCUAUCAAUCCAGUCUCAAGAAAGCUCCUUUUGAGGUUCUCUAUGGACGAAGAUGUCGAACACCUUUGAACUGGUCAGAAACCGGUGAAAGACAAUUCUUUGGACCGGACAUGAUCCAGGAGGCAGAAGAGCAAGUUCGCAUCAUUCGUGAGAAUUUGAAAACAGCCCAGUCUCGUCAAAAGAGCCAGUAUGAUCGUCAUCAUAAGGAUAUGACUUAUGAAGUUGGCGACAAAGCUUACCUUCGGGUUACUCCUUUGAAGGGUACCCAUCGUUUCGGUAUCAAGGGCAAGUUGGCUCCUCGUUACAUUGGUCCUUUUCGUAUUCUCGCUAAACGAGGAGAGGUUGCCUACCAGUUGGAACUACCCACACAUCUUUCUCGAGUUCAUGAUGUCUUCCACGUCUCUCAACUCAGGCGUUGCUUCUCGGAUCCUAUCCGCGGAGUGGACCACGAAACGCUUGAUCUCCAAGAUAACCUCACAUACCGAGAGUACCCGGUUCGCAUUCUUGAUCAAGCAAAGCGUGUUACCCGACGUCAGAAAAUCAAGUUUCUCAAGGUUCAGUGGUCUCAUCAUUCCGAGAGAGAAGCUACUUGGGAGCGAGAAGAUCGUCUUCGAUUGGAGUACCCCACCUUCUUUCCGUCGACCCCUGAAUCUCGGGACGAGAUUCUUUCAAGUGGGGGCGAGUUGUCACAUCCCUAGUUCUGGUAUGACCUAGACUAGCUAGCCAGUUGUGCAUCAUUUUUAAAUUCCUUUUAAUUUUGAAAUGAGGACUUGUGAAACCCUCAGAAUCAUCUCUGAAAAUGACCUGAAUAAACAAUUGUUCCAAAAAGGUCCAAGAAAAUGUUCAUGUUGCUCUCUGAAAAUAUUGGUCAGAGGUAAAAUUCAAACAAAUAUUUUAGGAGCUCAUGGAUAUUUAUUUUGGCCAUUUGGAUUAAUCCGAUAAUUAUUUGCAUUGGAUAUAUAUAUGUCAUAUAUAUAAUAUAUGUCCAAAAAUUAUACCAUUUGCUGAGGAGCUCUGGAAUAAUAUAGUUAGCUCCUGCAAAAAUUGGCAUAAGGUAAUAAAAUGAUUUAGUAUUUUAAUUAAAUCAAAACAAAUGUUAGAAAAAUAGAAAAAGAAAUAAAAGAGGAAAACCCUACCUGGACUUACCCGCGGCCUGGCACUGUGUGGCCUGCCGACGCCAGUCGUCCCCUUCCUCGCGCCAGGAGGACAGGGGCACGCGCCGGCGCACGCGGCCACGCGUCCGGCUGGGGCCACGUCUCCCCGCCACCUCCUGCUUCUCCCCCUCGUCGUCUGGAUGCCCCGGGGGACGCCACGCGCCCUCCCGACCACUCUCACUCUCCCCCUGUUCUCUCCCUCGCCGUUUCCCACCGUGCCCGAACGCUGCCGUCGCCGCCGCAUGCCGUUGCCAUAGCCACCGCCUCCCCCUCGCCUCUCCGACAUGCGCAGGAGUUCCGCCUCCUCGCUCUGAAGCUCUCCGCCGAGCCACACAAGCCGGAGCGCCCGUGGAGCCGUCGCCGUCGCCUUCAUCACCUCCGGCCGCCACAGAUCGCCUUCGCCGCUUCGUCGUCUCCAGCGCGUCCCCGGCCACAACAAGCAGCCCUACAAGUCCGCCGUGAGCCCUGCUUCUUCUCCCCUCUCUCCCCUGGUCGCGCUCUCCCUAUAGCUGUCGUCUCCACCAUGGCCGAACCUUCGCCGCCGUCGAGCUCGCCAUCGACGCAGCUCCAGUGACCAUUUGGUCACCCCGGCGAGUCCAACAAGCUUGUAAGGCCCCGUAGAGCAUCCCUAGCGCUUUGCUUCUCUCGUCUUCGAGCUCCAAAUGCGCUCUUGUGCACGACCGAACUCCGGCGGCCGCAACCGAGCUCGCCGCCGCCGACUCCGGCCAUCCCAGGCCUAGCCACGGCCACCGGCCGACGCGCCAUCGAGCUGGCUCUCCAACGCGCCUAGCCGCGCGUCAUUUGGAGCACCACAGAGGAAACCCGGGGCACAAGUACGCCGCGGAUCUCGCCGGCAACUAACCGCCGGCGGGUUUGACUUGUUUGACCUGGGGUUUGACCCCCCAGGGUCACUGACGCGUGGGCCAUGCCCCUGUUUAGUUUAGGUGUUAGUUUAGUUAGCGCUAAUUAACUCAGUUAAUUAGUUGUCUCUCUGACAGGUGGGCCCAGGCCCUAAUUAACCUAGGUUAGUGCUAACCUAACACUAACUAACUCUGUUAGUUAGAUGUUACACUGACAUGUCGGUCCCAGCCGUCAGGUUUGACCUGGUCAGCACCGUUGACCUGCUGACGCAGGCAUGACAUCAUGCUGGCGCAAUAAUAUAUUUUCUGGAAUUAAAAUAAAUCAGGAAAUUCCAGAAAAUGUUCAAAACUUCAAAAAUUCAUAUCAAUUCAACCGUAGCUCAGAUUGAAAUAAAUUAUAUAUGAAAAAUUAUCAGAAAAAUGCAACCUAUUCAUCUGUACCACUUUCAUGCAUGAAAAACCAAGUUAUACCUGCUGGAUAAGUGAAACACUAAAAUGGCUUAUAUGAAGAGCUUAUUUGGAGAUGCAUUUGAACCUUUGGUUCAAAUGGACUUCAAACCAAAUGAAUACUAGUUGCAUUAGCUCAAACAGCAUCACAUCUUCAUGCCAUGUUCAUGCAUCAUAUUGUUGCAUAUGCUUGUGUAUUGAUUGUUGGCACCGUUCCUUCUCGAUAGGUCCUGCUCCGGAGACCGUUCCAGAGUACCUGUCUGAGGAGCAGUGCCCCCUUGUUGAUCUACCAGGCAAGCAAACCCCCUUGUUCAUUCCGAUACAAUCCUACUCUCUCGCUCCUGCUAUCAGUUAUUGCAUUAGGACAACAACGAUUCAUCUGCUACUUUGUGCUGCGGUAGUUGAACCCAUUCCUCUGCAUGACCCGUCAUUGCCACAGUAAAUAGUUGAAACCCACUAGCAUGUGUAGGAGUUGAUUGAGCCAUGUUGUGUUCCUACCAUGCUAUGCCUGCUAUUGCUUAGAGUUGUGUCAGGUCUGGUUCAUUGGGAAUGAAUUGGAGUGUUACGAUAUGUUCUGAUGCUGAGAGUUAAGUGUGUGAACACGAUUUGGUAAAGGUAGCGGUGAGAGGCCAUGUAGGAGUACAUGGUGGGUUGUCUCACUGGAACCGUCCUUAAGCGCUGAGUUCUGUGUAUGUUGUCCAAUGACCAGCUACUACCACACAUUGGAAUGCUUAACUGCCCCUCUCGACUUAUUAACCAACUUGGUCUCUGUCCAGGAGUCGCAACUAGUUUUUGGUGUUUGUAGGUAGUGUUAGUAGUCUACCAAGUGGCACCCGGCCAGGUGGGCUUGGGACAGACUAGGCACAGUGGCACGGUGUACCAAGUGGCACCCGGAUGGUGGGCUUGGGAACCCUGCUCACAUCGUUUGGGGCCGUGAGCGACACCCUGGCCGGAUCUCGUUGCGGAUGGAACCCGAAUAGGCGAUAAACCUGGACUAGAGUCUUGUGUGGUUAGUCAGGUCGUGCCCGACACCCUCGCCAGGCUUCCGCUUGAAGGUUGCCGAGAUACAUGACGAGUACAUGGCGGUAAGUGGCGAGAGCGUGUGUGAAGAAGUACACCCCUGCAGGGUUAACAUGAUCUAUUCGAAUAGCCGGGUCCGCGGUUAUGGACUUCUUGGAUGCUUACAUGGUACAUAGACAACUUGUAGUGGAUACUCUAAAAUGCUCAAGACAAGUGUGAGUACUAUGAAUGGCCUUCUCGUAGGGAGACGGGGAUGAAUCCAUAGUAGUGUAUUGCGUGGUGAUUAGUGGACUCGUGUGUGCCAUAUCACCUCAAAGAAGUUCUGGUACUCGUAGAACAGGAUAGCCACAGAGUCAAAGCUGGCUUGCUGCAACUAAACCCCACAUUACCCUCUUGAUACAAAUGCAUGUAUGAUAGGAUCUGAUGUAAGUCUUGCUGAGUACCUUUGUACUCAUGUUGCUUUAUUUAUGCUUUUGCAUCGGAGACUUUGGUCUUACUAGUGUUCUCGUGGACUUCAACGAGUAGCUUGUACCUCAGCUACGAUCUUGAUCGGAUGUUGUAGAUAGCCAGACUCUUCAGCCUUUUUCAUUUGUAGAUGUAUGUACUCAGACAUGUAAUGCUUCCGCUUGUUGCUUGAUUGCUCUGAAUGUUGGGUCAUGUGACCCCUGUUUGUAAUAAAUGCUAUGAUGGUUCUUUGAGCCUUAUCUAUAUGAGUUGUUGAAUUAUGCGGUGAUGCCAUGUUGUACAGCACAUACUUGCAUGUUAUGCGUACGUGUAAUGUGUAUUGCUAUGUGUGGGAUCUGACUAUCUAGUUGUUUAUCUUUAGUAGCCUCUCUUACCGGGAAAUGUCUCCUAGUGCUUCCACCGAGCCCUGGUAGCUUGCUACUGCUCCGGAACACUUAGGUUGGCCGGCAUGUGUCCUUCUUCGUUCCUGUGUCUGUCCCUUCGGGGAAAUGUCACGCGGUGUCUACCGGAGUCCUGUUAGCCUGCUACAGCCCGAUUUACCGGAGUCCUGCUAGCCCAGUUGCUACAUCCCGGAUUCACUCGCUGAUGACCGACACGUUCGAUGCUAGGUCAUGUAUGCUUGUCCCUGUAAGUUAGUGCCACUUUGGGUUCACGAAUAGUCAUGUCAGCCCAGGUUCUUUAUCAUAUGCAUGCUAGCGACAUUAUCAUAUACGUGUGCCAAAAGGCGCAAACGGUCCCGGGCAUGGUAAGGCGACACCCGUGGGAAUACCGUGCGUGAGGCCACAAAGUGAUAUGAAGUGUUACAUGCUAGAUCGGUGUGGCAUAGAAUCGGGGUCCUGACAGGUUUACCCCCAGUUUGCGGAUUGUGUCCUGAUAUAACAGGUUUAGGUCACUGUUGCCGUCGAUUAGGACUUGUGUAUAUUGGAGUCUGUCAAUAAUCGAAUCCAAGACCAAGUCAGUCCAGCCUGUGUUCCGGACCCCUCUGGAGUAAUCAUGAUGAUCGAAGAUGAUUGGUUGUAACAACCAGUGGCGGUGCUCCUCUGGGGCAGGCCGUAUGGUGCGUAUCUUCGCAAGCGCCGUUCUGUUUUUCCCUUUUGUCAUCUGAAGUGAAUUUACUGUUUUGACUUCGCGUGGGAACUUCUUUUGUUCUCUGGUGUUCUGCUUGUGGGGUGUGUCGUCAUCCUCGUUUGGUGUGUCGAGCCCCUUGUGUGCGGCGUGAAGUUUGCCGGACUGCUUGAAGACCCAACAAUCUCUGUAGGUGUGGUUUGCAGGUCUCCCGGGAGUACUGUGGAUUUGAAAUAUUUUGUCCAAGAUUUUGUUGGGGUUAGAUAGCUCGUCCCUGUCAUCUUUGGGGGGUGGCUUUUUCUGAUUUGCCGAGAGCUUUUGAAUCCGGCAUUGACUGUCGUGCUCAUUGGGCUGUUAUCCUUGAUCCGGCGCUGUUCUUUGUUACGGCACGGUUUCCCAUUUCCAUCUCUGAGUUCGGAUGUACUUGGGUCGCUGGUGCUGCUUCUUGCCAACCAGCUAUCCUCUCCUGCGCAAAAGCGGGUCAUGAGGCUUGUUAAUGCGGCCAUUGUUCUUGGCUUUUCUUGGCCGAGGUGUCUGACGAGCCAUUCGUCUCGAACGCUAUGUUUGAAAGCUGCUAGGGCCUCGGCGUCCGGACAGUCGACUAUCUGAUUCUUUUUAGUAAGAAAUCUGUUCCAGAGUUCCCGGGCUGACUCUCCGGGUUGGUGAGUUAUAUGACUCAGAUCAUCUGCAUCCGGAGGUCGGACAUAGGUCCCUUGAAAAUUUGCCCGGAAAGCAUACUCGAGCUCUUCCCAACUUCCCAUGGUGUUUUCGGGAAGACUUUUAAGCCAAUGCCGGGCUGGCACUUUGAGCUUAAGGGGUAAGUAUUUUAUGGCGUGAAGGUCAUCUCCUCUGACCAUGUGUAUGUGGAGGAUAUAAUCCUCAAUCCAGACUCUAGGGUCUGUUGUUCCAUCGUAUGCUUCUAUGUUUACGGGCUUGAAUCCUGCUAGAAAUUCAUGAUCCAGUACCUCAUCGGUAAAACAUAGGGGAUGUGCGGCGCCCCUGUAUGUUGAUGUGCCGCGAUGUUCGGAUAUUUUUUGCGUUGCAUUGCUCACUAGAGCUUGCUUUCUUGGCCCAUAGAUGGAUCUGGUUGGACCGGUUUUUUGAUGCGAAUCCUUGGGCGGAUCGCGUGCCGUAUUGAGUGCGGCGCCCUUUGUCGCUUGAGAUCGAUCGUGGGGUCAUCUAUCCGACCUGGUGGCUUCCUUGUUUUUUGACUGUGGGGCCUCUAAGGCCUCUUCAUCAAAUUCCGGUAGUAAUUUCCGCUUCGGAUAGCUCUUUGUGUGAUGACUGUUGCCGUACUUGUGUGCGGUAUUGAGUACUUUCCCCCAUCUAAUUCUGAGUGCAUCUUCCGCUGCCUUGAGCUUCCGCUUCUGCUUUUUCAGGCUACGUGUAGUGGCGACGAGCCUUUGGUGGAGGUUCUGGUGUUCGAGCGACUUGUCCGGCGUGAGGUCGUCCGGACUAUUAUCUUUCCCGGGGACGGAUUGUUCGGUUUGUCCGCCCUGUUUGGACGGUUGCUCAAUGGCAUGUUCGUCUUCCGUUGAUUCGCCCUGCUCUAUGGCUGGGUCUCUGUCAAGGUGGGGCUUGGCGCGGUGCUUACGCCGCCGCUUUGAUUGUUUUUCGAGGGAGCGAUCCCUGGUUGCGCCCUUUUGAUCCUCGUCGUUGCUUCUUUCAGGUGUGUCCACCAUGUAUACAUCAUGUGAUGAGGUGGCUUUCCAGUGCCCUAUAGGUGUUGGUUCUUGGUCGUCUCCUUCAUCGGCGUCCAUACCGUCGAUGUCUUUGGAGUCGAAGUCGAGCAUGUCGGUUAGAUCGUCGAUAGUGGCUACAAAGUGGGUGGUGGGUGGGUUUCGAAUUUCUUUGUCGUCCGCAUCCCAACCAUGCUGACCGUAGUCCGGCCAGGGCUCUCCUGACAAAGAGAGAUACUUUAGUGAAUUCAGGAUAUCGCCAAAGGGAGAGUGCUGAAAGACGUCCGCGGCGGUGAACUCCAUGAUCGGAGCCCAAUCGGGUUCGUUCGGAAGGGGUGCGGAAGAUUCGGAGUCUGGAACGAAGUACGGCACCUUGGAGUCACGGGCCUCGCGAAGGACUAGGCUAGUAUUUGGCUCUAUCGCCGUAGAGAUUGCGGCUCCUGGGACGGCGUCCAACCGUCCGUCUCCGACUGCCGCAGUCGACUCCGAGCUAAUGGUCGGAGCGGGCACCUGAUCGGUGCUCUGGGCGCUGUCCGGCGGCACAGCUAGAUCAUGCUCAUCGUGACAGUGCGGCGCACUCGGCCGUGGCUUGAAUCCAUCGGAGAUCAAGUCCCCGCGGAUGUCGGCCGUGUAGUUUAAGCUUCCAAACCUGACCUGAUGGCCAGGGGCGUAGCUUUCGAUCUGCUCCAGAUGGCCAAGCGAAUUGGCCCGCAGUGCGAAGCCGCCGAAUAUGAAGAUCUGUCCGGGGAGAAAAGUAUCACCCUGGACCGCGUCGUGGUUGAUGAUCGAAGAAGCCAUCGGGCCUAAAGGUGAGGACACAUAGGAACUCUCAAUGAAAGCACCAAUGUCGGUGUUAAAAUCGGCGGAUCUCGGGUAGGGGGUCCCGAACUGUGCGUCUAAGCGAAUGGUAACAGGAGACAAGGGACACAAUGUUUUUACCCAGGUUCGGGCCCUCUCGAUGGAGGUAAAACCCUACUCCUGCUUGAUUAAUAUUGAUGAUAUGGGUAGUACAAGAGUUGAUCUACCACGAGAUCAGAGAGGCUAAACCCUAGAAGCUAACCUAUGGUAUGAUUGUUGUUCGUCCUACGGACUAAAACUGUCUGGUUUAUAUAGACACCGGAGAGGGCUAGGCUUACAUAGAGUCGGUUACAAUGGGAGGAGAUCUUCAUAUCAUAUCGCCAAGCUUGCCUUCCACGCCAAGGAAAAUCCUAUCCGGACACGGGACUAAGUCUUCAAUCUUGGAUCUUCAUAGUCUGGGAGUCCGACCAAAGGUCAUAGUCCGGCCAUCUGGACACCUCCUAAUCCAGGACUCCCUCAGUAGGAGUUAGUCAAUGUAUGGAGUAAUAGUAGUAGAUGCAGGCAGGAAUCGGUCUACUUGACACGGACGUGAUGCCUAUAUUUCAUAAUCAUUGCCUUGGAUAUCGUCAUAACUUUGCGCUUUUCUAUCAAUUGCUCAACAGUAAUUUGUUCACCCACCGUAAUAAUUAUGCUAUCUUCAGAGAAGCCACUAGUGAAACCUAUGGCCCCCGAGUCUACUCUUUAUCCUAUAAGUUUCCAAUCUACUUUAUUUUGCAAUCUUUACUUUUCAAUCUAUAUCAUAAAAAUACCAAAAAUAUUUAUCUUAUCAUAUUAUCUCUAUCAGAUCUCACUUUUGCAAGUGGCCGUGAAGGGAUUGACGACCCCUUUAUCGUGUUGGUUGAGAGGUUCUUGUUUGUUUGUGUAGGCGUGAGGGACUUGUGUGGAGCCUCCUACUGAAUUGAUACCUUGGUUCUAAAAAACUGAGGGAAAUACUUACGCUACUUUGUUGCAUCACCCUUUCCUCUUCAAGGGAAAAACCAACGCAUGCUCAAGAAGUAGCAAGAAGGAUUUCUGGCGCCGUUGUUGGAGAGGUCUUCGCUCAAGUCAAGACAUACCAAGUACCCAUCACAAACUCAUCUCCCUCGCAUUACAUAAUUUGCCAUUUGCCUCUCAUUUUCCUCUCCCCCACUUCACCCUUGCCGUUUUAUUCGCCCUUCUUCCGUUUGAUCUUAUGUUUUCUUGUCUCUCCAUGUGCCUACUAUGUGCUUCCAUCUUUGCUUGCUAAAAAUCUACUGAUAAGGAUCCGCUUAAAGUGUUCUACUUGGAUCAUCUUCAAUCCUUAUGCGCUCGUGCUGAAACCCCAACUAGCCUAGUUGAUGGAAAAUCUUUAGAUGAGCAUGCUCAUUUUGUGCGUCAUCGUUUGUCUGAAAAAGGGAAGCUCUUAUGGUAUCACAUAAGUAGUUUGAUUUGCUAUGAUUGGAAUCUUUGUGAAAUUUAUGAUUAUACUUGUUGCUCUAAGAACCCUAAAAAACACUUUCCCUACCUAUGUGAGCUUAAUGAAAAUGAAAUCUUAUCUUCUUAUGCAAUGGGUGUUUAUAGUUACUAUGAUGUUAAACAAAUUGAAGAAUUUCUUGCUUUUAAGGGUUCUUAUGAAGUUGCUUCUUUGAUGGAAAAGUAUGAUAUUACUCUCUACGAAUCUGAAAAUUAUGACAUACUUAAAUAUUGCUAUGAAAACUAUGCUCAUAAUGCCUAUGUCAAAGAAUUUAUUGAGAGAAUGACUGUUGCUUUGGAAGAAAAUAAUGAUAUGCGUGAAUCUAUAGAUAAUGAUUCCAUUGAUUUGAUCGAAAUAUCCCUUGAUGAACAUGAUGCUUGCUAUUCUUGUGGCCAGGAUGCUAAUAUUUAUGAAGAUGAAUUUGCUAUAGUUCCUUAUGUUAAAUAUGAGAUCGUUGCUAUUGCACCCAUACUUGGUAGUUCCUUCAAUGAAAAGCAUGAUUGCAAUGAUGUUAAUAUAAAUUCUCUUGAUGUCAAUUGUGCUAAUAAUAUGCAAAACCCUAAGCUUGGGGAUGCUAGUUUUGCUAUGUCUACUACUUGUUGCAAUGAUCAUGAUUGGGGUGAUUCUUCUUUUGGUCUUGACAAUUUAUUUAAGCCCCGUGAUGAAUAUGAGAUUGAUAAUAGUGUUGGCAAUAAUAUUGGAAGUGGGUUUGGAGAGGUCAUGACUUUAGUUAAUGUUAAUCCCACUAUUUAGGAAGAGUGUCAACUUUGCAUGCAUGUGGAUCGUGUUGAAAAUAUUUUAUGUGAUAGCUAUUUUGUUGAAUUUGCUUAUGAUCCCAUGUGUAAUUAUUAUGAGAGGAAAAUAUGAUUGUAGAAAUUUUCAUGUUACAAAAUUUCCUCUCGUUAUGUUGAGAUUGCUAUUGUUCCUUUCUUCUUCCUUUCAUAUGUUAGUUUUUAUUUGCCUUGAUAAUUUGUUUGCUUAUAAAAUACCUAUGUAUAGGAAUUAUGUUAGACUUAAGUAUGUUUGUCACAUGUUUUAUGAUGCUCUCUUUGUGCUUCAGUUCUUGUCUUUCAUGUGAGCAUCAUUGAAAAUUUAUGCCUAGCUAGGGGCGUUAAACGAUAGCGCUUGUUGGGAGGCAACCCAAUUUUAUUUUUGUUCCUUGCUUUUUUCUCCUGUUUAGUAAUAAAUAAUUCAUCUAGCCUCUGUUUAUAUGUGGUUUUAUGUUUUAAUUAGUGUUUGUGCCAAGUAGAACCUAUAGGAUCAUCUUGGGUGAAAGUUAAUUUGAUCUUGCUGAAAAACAGAAACUUUUGCGCUUACGAGAAAAAAAUCUAAUAAAUCACAGAAACGUGAUUUUGAGUUGAUUAUUUUUGAAGUAGAUCAGUAGGAAACAUACCUAGGACUCCCUAUUUUGGUACGAUUUGUAGAGUUCUAGAAGUAUUUGAAAGUUAUAGAUUGCUACAAACUAUUCUGUUUUUGACAGAUUAUGUUUUUCCUGUGUUGUUUGCUUAUUUUGAUGAAUCUAUGGCUAGUAUCGGGGGGUAUGAACCAUAGAGAAGUUGGAAUACAGUAGGUUUAACACCAAUAUAAAUAAAGAAUGACUUCAUUACAGUAACUUAAGUGGUGGUUUUCCUUUCUUGCACUAACAGAUCUCAUGAGAUUUCCUGUUGAGUUUUGUGUUGUGAUGUUUUGAAGUUUUGGGUAAAGAUUUGAUGGACUAUGGAAUAAGGAGUGGCAAGAUAAUAAGCUUGGGUAUUCCCAUGCCCCCCCCCAAGAUAAUUCAAGGACAACCAAAAGCCUAAGGUUGGGGAUGCCCCGGAAGGCAUCCCCUCUUUCGUUUUCGUCUAUCGGUAACUUUACUUGGAGCUAUAUUUUUAUUCACCACAUGAUAUGUGUUUUUCUUGGAGCGUCUUGUAUGAUUUGUGUCUUUGAUUUUUAGUUUACCACAAUCAUCCUUGCUAUACACACCUUUUGGGACAGACACACAUGAUUCGGAAUUUAUUAGAAAUACUCUAUGUGCUUCACUUUUAUCUUUUGUGCUAUACAAUUUUGCUCUAGUGCUUCACUUAUAUCUUUUUAGAGCACGGCGGUGGUUUUAUUUUGUAGAAAUUAUUGAUCUCUCAUGCUUCACUUAUAUUAUAUUUAGAGUCUUUUAGAACAGCAUGGUAUUUGCUAUGGUUAUAAAAUUGGUCCUAAUAUGAUGGGCAUCCAAGUUGGGUAUAAUAAAAACUAUCAUAGAAAGUGAAUUGAAUACUAUGAUCAACUUGAUGCUUGAUAAUUGUUUUGAGAUAUAAAGGUGGUCAUAUUAGAGUCAUGCUAGUUGAGUAAUUCUGAAUUUGAGGAAUACUUGUGUUGAAGUUUGUGAUUCCCGUAGCAUGCAUGUAUCGUGAACCGUUAUGUGAUGAAGUUGGAGAAUGAUUUAUUUUUUGAUUGUCUUCCUUAUGAGUGGCCGUCGGGGACGAGCGAUGGUCUUUUCCUACCAAUAUAUCCCCCUAGGAGCAUGCGCAGAGUACCUUGUUUCAAUAACUUGUUGAUUUUUGCAAUAAGUAUAUGAGUUCUUUAUGACUAAUAUUGAGUCCAUGGAUUAUACGCACUCUCACCCUUCCACCAUUGCUAGCCUCUCUCGUGCUGUGCAACUUUCGCCGGUACCAUACACCCACCAUAUAACUUCCUCAAAACAGCCAUCAUACCUACCUAUUAUAGCAUUUCCAUAGCCAUUCCGAGAUAUAUUGCCAUGCAACUUACCAACGUUCCGUUUAUUAUGACACGCUCCAUCAUUGUCAUAUUGCUUUUGCAUGAUCAUGUAGUUGACAUCGUAUUUGUGGCAAGGCCACCUUUAUAAUUCUUUCAUACAUGUCACUCUUGAUUUAUUGCAUAUCCCGGUACACCACCGGAGGCAUCCACAUAGAGUCAUAUUUUGUUCUAAGUAUUGAGUUGUAAUUCUUGAGUUGUAAGUAAAUAAAAGUGUGAUGAUCUUCAUUAUUAGAGCAUUGUCCCAAGUGAGGAAAGGAUGAUGGAGACUAUGAUUCCACCAUAAGUCGGGAUGAGACUCCGGACUUUAUUGAAAAAUAAAAGAGGCCAAAGAAGCCAAAAUAAAAAAAGGCCAAAGAAGCCCACCAAAAUAAAAAAUGAGAUAAAAUGAGAGAAGGGACAAUGUUACUAUCCUUUUACCACACUUGUGCUCCAAAGUAGCACCAUGAUCUUCGUGAUAGAGUGUCUCCUCUGUUGUCACUUUCAUAUACUAGUGGGGAUUUUUCAUUAUAGAACUUCGCUUGUAUAUUCCAAUGAUGGGCUUCCUCAACAUGCCCUAGGUCUUCGUGAGCAAGCAAGUUGGAUGCACACCCACUUAGUUUAUUUUGUUGAGCUUUCAUACACUUAUAGCUCUAGUGCAUCCGUUGCAUGGCAAUCCCUACUCACUCACAUUGAUAUCUAUAAUGGGAAUCUCCAUAGCCCGUUGAUACACCUAGUUGAUGUGAGACUAUCUUCUCCUUUUUGUCUUCUCCACAACCACCAUUCUAUUCCACAUAUAGUGCUAUGUCCAUGGCUCACGCUCAUGUAUUGCGUGAAAGUUGAAAAAGUUUGAGAACAUCACAGUAUGAAACAAUUGCUUGGCUUGUCAUCGAGGUUGUGCAUGAUUUAAAUAUUUUGUGUGAUGAAGAUAGAGCAUAACCAGACUAUAUGAUUUGUAGGGAUAGCUUUCUUUAGCCAUGUUAUUAUGAGAUGACAUGAUUGCUUUGUUAGUAUGCUUGAAGUAUUAUUGUUUUCAUGUCAAUAUGAACUUUUAUCUUGAAUCAUUUGGAUAUGAACAUUCAUGACACAAUAAAGAAAAUUACAUUGAGAAAUAUGCUAGGUAGCAUUCCACAUAAAAAAUUCUGUUUUUAUCAUUUACCUACUCGAGGACAAGCAGGAAUUAAGCUUGGGGAUGCUUGAUACGUCUCCAACGUAUCUAUAAUUUUUGAUUGUUCCAUGCUAUUAUAUUACCCGUUUUGGAUGUUUAUGGGCAUUACUAUACACUUUUAUAUCAUUUUUAGGAUUAACCUACUAACCGGAGGCCCAGCCCAAAUUGUUUUUUUUCUUAUUUCAGUGUUCCGCGGAAAAGGAAUAUCAAACGGAGUCCAAACGAACUGAAACCUUCGGGAGCGAUCUUUUUGGAACAAACGCAAUCUAGGAGACUUGGAGUGGACAUCAAGAAGCAGUCGAUGCGGCCACGUGGGUGUAGGGCGCGCUCUAGGGGGGCGCCCCCCUGCCUCAUGGGCCCCCCGUGGCUCCCCUGACCUAUCUCCUUCGCCUAUAUAUAUCUAUGUACCUCGAAAACAUCCAUGAGCACCAUGAGAAACUAUUUCCACCGCCGCAACCUUCUGUACCCGUGAGAUCCCAUCUUGGAGCCUUUUCCGGCGCUCCGCCGGAGGGGGAAUCCAUCACGGAGGGCCUCUACAUCAUCACCAAGGCCUCUCCGAGGAGUUCUGAGUAUUUUACCACAGACCUUCGGGUCCAUAGUUAUUAGCUAGAUGGAUUCUUCUCUCUCUUUGAAUCUCAAUACAAAGUUCUCAUCGAUCUUCUUGGAUAUCUAUUCGAUGUAACUCUUUUUGCAGUGUGUUUGUCGAGAUCCGAUGAAUUGUGGGUUCAUGAUCAAGUUUAUCUAUGAGAAAUAUUUGAAUCUCCUCUGAAUUCUUUUAUGUAUGAUUGGUUAUCUUUGCAAGUCUCUUCGACUUAUCAGUUUUGUUUGGCCUACUAGAUUGAUCUUUCCUGCAAUGGGAGAAAUGCUUAGCUUUGGGUUCAAUCUCGCGGUGUCCUUUCCCAGUGACAGUAGGGGCAGUAAGUCCUGUAUUGCAUUGUUGCCAUCGAGGAUAAAAAGAUGGGGCUUACAUCAUAUUGCUUGAGUUUAUCCCUCUACACCAUGUCAUCUUACUUAAUGCGUUACUCUGUUCUUAUGAACUUAAUACUCUAGAUGCAUGCUGGAUAGAGGUUGAUGUGUGGAGUAAUAGUAGUAGAUGCAGGUAGGAGUCGGUCUACUUGUUGCGGACGUGAUGCCUAUAUACAUGAUCAUGCCUAGAUAUUCUCAUAACUAUGCACUUUUCUAUCAAUUGCUCGACAGUAAUUUGUUCACCCACCAUAAUAAUUAUGCUAUCUUGAGACAAGACAUUAGUGAAACGUAUGGCCCCCGUGUCUACUAUUUAUCAUAUAAGUUUCCAAUCUACUUUAUUUUGCAAUCUUCAUUUUUCAAUCUAUAUCAUAAAAUAGCAAAAAUGUUUAUCUUAUCAUAUUAUCUCUAUCGGAUCUCACUUUUGCAAGUGGCCGUGAAGGGAUUGACAACCCCUUUAUCGCGUUGGUUGCGAGGUUCUUGUUUGUUUGUGUAGGCGCACGGGACUUGUGUGGAGCCUCCUACUGGAUUGAUACCUUGGUUCUCAAAAACCGAGGGAAAUACUUACGCUACUUUGCUGCAUCACCCUUUCCUCUUCAAGGGAAAAACCAACGCAUGCUCAAGAGGUAGCAGGAACAUGUUUCUCGGAUGAGCUACCUUCCAAAUUGAGAGUAGGUACAAUUACCUCAUCAAGUGUUACUUUCCUCCCACUCACUUCUUUUGAGAGAAACUCCUUCUCUAGAAAUGUUCCGUUCUUAGCAACAAAAAUCUUUCCUUUGGACUUGUGGUAGCAGAUGUAACCAAUUGUCUCCUUAGGGUAUCCUAUAAAGACACACUUCUUCGAUUUGGGUUCGAGCUUAUCAAGCUGAAUCCUUUUGACAUAAACAUCGCAUUCCCAAACUUUAAGAAACGACGGCUUAGGUUUGUUGCCAAACCAAAGUUCAUAUUGUGUCGUCUCACCAGACUUUGGUGGUGCCUUGUUUAAGGUGAAUGCAGCUGUCUCUAAUGCAUAACCCCAAAUCGAUAGUGGUAAAUUAGUAAGAGACAUCAUAAAUCGCACCAUAUCUAAUAAAGUGUGGUUAUGACGUUCGAACACACCAUUACGCUGUGGUGUUCGAGGUGGCGUGAGAUGUGAACCUAUUCCACAUUGUUUUAAAUGAAGGCCAAACUUGUAACUCAAAUAUUCUCCUCCACGAUCAGAUCGUAGAAACUUUAUUUUCUUGUUACGAUGAUUCUCCCGUUGAGGGAGUCCUGGAUUAGGGGGUGUCCGGAUGACCGGACUAUAACCUUUGGCCGGACUCCUGGACUAUGAAGAUACAAGAUUGAAGACUUCGUCCCGUGUCCGGAUGGGACUUUCCUUGGCGUGGAAGGCAAGCUUGGCGAUACGGAUAUGUAGAUCUCCUCCCAUUGUAACCGACUCUGUGUAACCCUAGCCCUCUCCGGUGUCUAUAUAAACCGGAGGGUUUUAGUCCGUACGACAAACAACAAUCAUACCAUAGGCUUGCUUCUAGGGUUUAGCCUCUCUGAUCUCGUGGUAGAUCUACUCUUGUACUACCCAUAUCAUCAAUAUUAAUCAAGCAGGAGAAGGCUCGAACCUGGGUAAAGACAUCGUGUCCUUUGUCUCCUGUUACCAUCCGCCUAGACGCACAGUUCGGGACCCCCUACCGGAGAUCCGCCGGUUUUGACACCGACAUUGGUGCUUUCAUUGAGAGUUCCUCUGUGUCGUCAUCUUUAGGCCCGAUGGCUCCUCCGAUCAUCAACAACGAUGCAGUCCAGGGUGAGGCUUUUCUCCCCGGACAGAUCUUUGUAUUCGGUGGCUUAGCACUGCGGGCCAAUUCGCUUGGGCAUCUGGAGCAGGUCGUAAGCUACGCCCCUGGCCAUCAGGUCAGAUUUGAAAGUUUGAACUACACAGCUGACGUCCGCGGAGACUUGAUCUUCGACGGGUUCGAGCCACAACCGAGCGCGCCGCACUGUCAUGAUGGGCAUGAUCUAGUUCUGCCGCCGAACAGUGCCCAGGAGGUUGCACCACUGUCCUCUCCGACCCUUAGCUCAGAGCCGACUGCGCCAAUCGAGGACGGGUGGUUGGACACCACCUCGAGGGCUGCAAUCUCUACGGCGAUCGAGCCGAACACCAGCCUUGUCCUCUGCGAAGCCCAUGAUUCCAAGGUGCCGGACUCCUCCCCGGACUCCGAACCUUCCACGCCCCUACCAAUCGAAUCCGAUUGGGCGCCGAUCAUGGGGUUCGCUGCCACGGACAUCUCUCAAUACUCGCCCUUCGGCGACAUUCUGAAUUCACUAAAGUCUCUCUCUUUAUCAGGAGAGCGCUGGACGGACUAUGGUCAGCAAGGAUAGGAUGCGAAUAACGAAGAAAUUCAAAGCCCACCCACCACCCACUUCGUAGCCACUGUCGAUAAUUUAACCGACAUGCUCGACUUCGACUCCAAGGACAUCGACGGUAUGGACGACGAUGUAGGAGAAGAACAAGAACCAGCGCCUAUUGGGCACUGGACAACCACCUCAUCUCACGAUGUAUACAUGGUGGGCACACCUAAAAGAAACGACGACGAGGAACAAAGGGACGCAACGAGGGAUCGUUCCCUCGAAAAGCAGUCAAAGCGGCGGCAUAAGCGCCGCUCCAAACCCCACCUCGACAGAGAUAGCAGCCAUACAGACCCAGCCACAAAGCAGGGCGAACCGGCGAACGACGAACACGCCAUCGAGCAACCGUCCAAACAGGGCAACUUGGGUAAACAAACCGAACAACCCGUCUCCGGCAAAGAUAAUAGUCCGGCGACCUCACGCCGGACAAGUUGCUGGAGCAGAAGAACCUCCACAAAAGGCUCGUCGCCACUGCGAGUAGCCUUAAAAAGCAGAAGCAGAAGCUCAAAACAGCGGAAGAUGCACUCAGAAUUAGAUGGGGCAAAGUACUCAACACCGCAGACAAAUACGGCGACAGUCGCCACACAAAGAGCUAUCCGAAGCGAAAAUUACUGCCGGAAUUUGAUGAGGAGGCCUUAGAGCCCCCGCAAUCAAAAAAUAAGGAAGCCACCAGGUCGGAUAAACAACCCCAUGGCCAACAUAGAGCAGCAAAUGGGGACGCACACAAGAUGGCACGCGAUCCGCACAAGGAUUCGCAUCAAAAAGACGGCCCUGCCAGAUCUAUCUACGGGCCAAGAAAGCAAGCUCUAGUAAGCAACGCAACGCAACAAGUAUCCGAACAUCACGGCACACCCAAAUAUAGGGGUGCCGCACACCCCCUAUGUUUCACCGAUGAGGUGCUGGACCAUGAAUUUCCAGCGGGAUUCAAGACCGUAAACACGGAGGCAUACGAUGGAACAACAGACCCUGGAGUCUGGAUUGAGGAUUAUAUCCUCCACAUACACAUGGCUAGAGGAGAUGACCUCCACGCCAUAAAAUAAUUACCCCUCAAGCUCAAAGGGCCAGCCCGGCAUUGGCUUAAAAGCCUUCCCGAAAACACCAUCGGAAGUUGGGAAGAGCUCGAGGAUGCUCUUCGGGCAAAUUUUCAAGGGACCUACGUCCGACCUCCGGAUGCAGACGAUCUAAGUCAUAUAACUCAACAACCGGGAGAGUCAGCCCGGAAACUCUGGAACAUAUUUCUUACUAAAAAGAACCAGAUAGUCGACUGUCCAGACGCCGAAGCCUUAGCAGCUUUCAAACACAGCAUUCGAGACGAAUGGCUCGCCAGACACCUCGGCCAAGAAAAGCCAAGAACAAUGGCCGCAUUAACAAGCCUCAUGACCCACUUUUGCGCAGGCGAGGAUAGUUGGUUGGCAAGAAGCAGUACCAGCGACCCAAGUACAUCCGAAGUUAGGGAUGGAAACGGGAAACCACGACGUAGCAAGGACCAGCGUCGGACCAAGGGAAACAGCCCGAAGAGCACGGCAGUCAACGCCGGAUUCAAAAGCUCUCAGCAGAAUCAGAAAAAGCUGCCCCUCAAGGAUAACAGGGACGAGCUAUCUAACCUAAACAAAAUCUUGGACAAAAUAUGCCAAAUCCACAGUACUCCAGGGAAGCCUGCAAACCAUACCCACAGAGAUUGUUGGGUCUUCAAGCAAUCCGGCAAACUCAACGCCGAACACAAGGGGCUCGACAUAUCAAGCGAGGACGAUGACGAACCCCACAAGCAGAACACCGGAGAACAAAAGAAGUUCCCACAAGAGGUCAAAACAGUAAACUCACUUCAUGUGACAAAAGGGAAAAAUAGAGUGGCGCACAUAGAGAUACGCGCCAUACAGCCUGUCCCAGAGCAGUCCCGCCACUGGUUGUUAAAACCAAUCACCUUCGACCAUCAGGAUUACUCUAGAAGUAUCCGGAACGCAGGCUGGACUGCCUUGAUAUUAGAUCCGAUAAUUGACGGACUCCAGUUUACAAAAGUCCUAAUGGACGGCGGAAGUGGUCUAAACCUGCUAUAUCAGGACACAAUCUGCAAAAUGGGGAUAAACCCAACAAAAAUUCGCCAUGGCAACACUUCCUUUCAAGGGGUAACGCCAGGCCCAGAUACCCAUUGUACAAGUUCUCUCCUGUUAGAAGUUAUGUUCGGCUCCCCCGACAACUUCCGCCGCGAAAAGCUAACCUUCCACAUCACCCCAUUUACAAGUGGCUAUCAAGCACUACUAGGACACGAAGCUUUCGCCCGCUUUAAAAUGCCCGGUCCGCGAGGCAUCAUCUCAUUAAAGGGAAAUAUCGAGUGUUCCUCAAGCGCGGAAGACUGUGCGGCUGCCUUGCCAGCCACACACUAAAUCGGCAUCACUAAUCAAAGCACCUAAACAGGUCGUGCAGACCCAGACAUGGCUAGACGAGUCCGGCGUAAACAUACAAGGGCUUACUAGCCGCAUACCCCCGUACAAGGGGCUCCGCGCGUGUACAACAAGAGACAAUAAAACUCAAUUUUACCCAUUUUCUAAAUUAUACUUUGUUUAUUUAAUAUAACAUAGAUUUUUGCAUGAUCUUUUUCAACUAAGUUCCUCUCUUUUACAGAUGAACAUCGUGCUACACCCGUCCAGGAUACGGCACAACGGAGACACAAGCGUAGACAUGCAGUAGUUACCCGUUCCAAGGAUUCUUUUCAGAUUAAGACCCUGCGUAAACCUUUUUCACUGUCUCUUGUUGAUACACAUCCCCCGGUUUCUUGUUAUAACCGAGGAGGAGGCUGGCGUCUUGGCAUGUGGCCAUGUCCGAAUUUUGCGCUUACCUGGACACCAGGGGCUUCUUACCAAGGGCGUUGUUCAGCCCGUUUUCAUAAAGAACGAAUACCUUAGGGAGUGUUCGGCGUCGCGAGUUUGGACUUAUAUGCAUCAACUCCGAAUCAUGUCUUUGGUCAAAUGUUGGGUUUGCUCGGCUCCUGUGUUUUGCUGCCUUACGUUCCGCUCUAUCGACUAAUGCGGCACUAGGAGAACUACUGCGAUUGUGCCCCGGUUCGGCCAGGCGAGCAUCUCAGUAGAGAAAGCCGAAAACUGACUGUCAUGAUAUAGCGUGAGACUGGUCAACCAAUCGAUGACCCGCCGGAAUCUUUAGGAUUCCUCCGCAUUAACAAAGGGCUGUUUCCCGGCCAGGCACACAUGCGCCCCGAAUUCGGGUGAGCGUGGUGCCCCUAGGGGUUAUAUAGUAGCCCCACUGUCAAACUCCUAUGGCUAAGUGAAAGUGAUAAAGCAUUAUAGUCUGGUUGCCUAGUUCGUUGCGCUAUCACCUCCUUAAUAGUACCAAGACGUUGGAUCAAGUGUGAAAACGCGCCUUCUGUGAACACCCCCGCAUUAUAUGCGUGGGGGCUGAAGCCGAAGACUGCCAUCUUUCAGGUUAUAUACACAUAUACAUUAACGGCCGCACAGGAGGUAUUCUAAUUCUUGAAGGCACAAGUAUAAAAAGCUUUUAUAUUCCAUCGAAACAUUGUUUUACAAUAAUACAUGUUAUUCGAACAUAACAUCCUUCGAGCAUUGCGUCUCUAUUAAAUGAGCGCCCUGUAGAACUUCCUGAAAAUAGUGCUCGGCAGGUACUCGUCUCUCGUCUGAAUCUUGGGAUGCAGCAACAAUGGCCUUCAUCUCCGCCCAGUAUGUCUUGACACGGGCAAGAGCCAUCUGUGCACCCUCUAUGCACGCUGACCUCUUCAUUGCAUUAAUAUGCAGCACCACACCCAAGAACUAUUGCACCAAGUUAAAAUAACUCUUCGGCUCGGGCCUUUUCGGCCACAGAUGACUCACAACAUACUUCAUCGCGAGUCCGGAUAACCUAUUCAGCUCCGCCCAUGCGGCCAAACGAUCUGUUAAUGGAAGUGGGCGCUCUGGGUUGUGGAACUGCGACCAAAAAAGCUUUUCCACUUUGUGGUCCUCUUGAUCGCAGAAGUGUUCGCCGCACUCCACUGCCGGUCCAACGGAGCAUAUUUAGGAUCCCCAAACUUCAUCCGUAGCAUAAAGGGCUUUCCAGCCGUGAUAUCUCCAGCCUGACGUAGCUCCUCCUUCAUAGCUCUCAUCGCAGAGCGAGUAUCCUUGGCCUCGGUAGUGACCUUUUCUAGGUCCUUCUGUGCCACCCGAUCUUCUUUUUCAAGAAGCUUGCAGCGGUCGGCAGCAUUCUUCAACUUUACAGCCAUCUCAGCCACUUCCUUCUUGCUUUGGCUGUGAGCAGCCUGUUCGGCUUUUAGCUCUUCAGCUGCCUUUAAGGCAGCCACAUCGCUUUUCCGGGCCUGCUCCUUGGAUCGGGCAAGUUCCGUCCGAAGGUUCUCCGUGGCAGCGGCACCAUCUGCAUCAAGGACACAUGUUGUAAGGUACGGGCAUCAAGAUCCUCUUACCAGGUGUCUUCGGAGAAAUUACAUACCUUAUGCCACGUCCAGGCGCUUGUUGACAAGCGCGAUGUCGGCAUCUGCCACGUCAAGUUGCCGCUUUAGCUUGGCAAAUUCAUCAGUCCGGCUAGCCACCGGACACUUCGCCACCUAGAUAGGAAAGGCGGCAUAUUAUACCUGGGAUUAUGAUUCUCAGUGCACCGUCAUUUUUUGACAACGCACAGAGUCUCAGGGGCUACUAUCUAUACAUGGCGCAUCUUAUAUAUGCGGAUCUGUCAAAAGGUACAUCAUUUUGUGUACCUCAAAACCUGUCAGUAAACUUCUGACGGCCUCGUACAACCCGCUCUUCGUGGAUGAAAUCCUUCCAAUCACCGUAUCCAUCAACGCACGGUGUUCUUCUGGGAUAGACGCUCGCCCGAGCAGAUCCUUUAGCUCCUUCGACCGUGCACCGGACGGUGCCGGACUCGUACGAUGGCCUUUUUCGAAGGCCGGACACGGAGGGCCUUGGGGGGGCAUACGACUGCCUUCCGGCCCUGCCGGAUUUGGAGAAACCCUCUGUGACGACACCUUAGGGCCGCCCGCCUCGCAAAGCGGUACGGCAGGGGGAGGCAUUCCGCUCUCCAUAAUCUCCGAACGAAGAUCCCCUGAAGAUGAGCUCUGUUGAGAAGGGCUGAGAUCCAAACUACAAGGUAAAAUUUCGGUUAUCUUCCUCAGAAAAUAGAACAGGGAUGUCUCUCAUUUUGAAACCCCCCCUCUUUACUUACGGCUCGGUAGAGAGCUGAUACCCUCGGGGGCGCAAUGCGACCGAGGCACCCCCCCGGCGCCAGACCCUCUGACAAAGAUUUCUUCCCCCGCUUUGAGACCAUGGCCUCCGGGUCUUCAGAGGCGGUCCUCUUCUUCCCCUGGUUAGAGGAAUUCUCGAUUCCUCCUUUCCUGACAACCUCCUUCGGGGAGGCGGUAGCUUCCUUGCUCCCCUCUUCGCCUUCGUUCAAAGGCGCAACCUCCAGCAUCCUGGUUAACACGGGAUCCGAUGUAGUCUCAGGGAGGGGGGCCGGACAUCUGAAUAGCUUUGCUUUCGCUAUCCACUCCUGUUUAAGGGACAUCUCUUUUAAGGUCAAUUUCAUGAUAAAUACAUGGAUAGCGUGUUCAGGUACAGGGCUACUUACUUGAGUAUCCGGGCAAUUGCAGCUCAGACCUGCAUCCUCGGACGAGUCCGGACACAUUGCUUGUGAUCCGAAGAACAAUUUGUACAUCUCCAUGGGCGUCGCAGCCACAAAAAGUUGGAGGGAUCAUGGUCCUUCCGGAUUAAACUCCCAUAGGCGGAGGGGGCGACGUUUGCAGGGCAGGAUGCGGCGAAUCAACAUAACCUGCAUCACUACGGCCAGAUUGAUAUCUCUAUCUAGGAGAUCUCGAACGCGGCCCUGCAACAAGGGCACGUCCUUGGAUGACCCCCAGUUAAGCCCUUUAUUGACCCAUGAUGCUAGUUCUGGUGGGGGACCCGAGUGAAACGCAGGUGGCGCCACCCAUUUGGUGCCCCUGGGAGCUGUGAUAUAAAACCACUCUCAUUGAAAAGAGCCCUCGGGCCAUGGAGCGUCGGCAUUCUUGCUUAUAACAGCACCUCCGCACUCUGCGUGCUGCCCCUCGAUCAUCUUCGGCUCUAAUUUGAAGGUCUUAAGCCACAAUCCGAAGUGAGGAGUAAUACGAAGGAAGGCCUCGCACACGACAAUGAAAGAUGAGAUAUGAAGGAUGGACUCCGGAGCUAAGUCAUGAAAUUCCAGCCCGUAAUAAAACAUGAGCCCCCUCACGAAGGGGUCCGUCGGGAAGCCUAGCCCCCGAAGGAAGUGAGACGAGAACACCAUGCUCUCACCAGGCUUGGGAGUGGGAAUAACCUGCCCUUGAGCAGGCAGCCUAUGCGAGAUUUCGCCGGCUAGAUACCUGGCAUCUCUUAGCUUUAGCACGUCUUCUUCCGCAACGGAGGAAGGCAUCCACCGGCCUUGAAGGUCGGAGCCGGACAUCGUCGGAGGUCCGAAGCGCCUGAAUCUGGAGCUUUGCGUGUUGGAACUCAAGGUGAGAGGCGAAUUUGAUUGAGAUUGAAAGAAAGGAGUCGAGCCUUGGUAUCUUUAUAAAGAGGUUGAAUACCAAGAGCCCUCCCCCUGGCCGUUUGGGACUCGCCUUCGAUUGAGGAGACAUACCAACAGGCACGAUUGGGUUACCCACGCCCGUAUUGGUGAGAAUCCCGGGAUAAGGAGACACGAUCUCUGCUUUGACAAGACGUGCCAAGGAAACCGCCUUGCUAAACGCGCUGAGGUGGGACAGUAAAACGAUUCAAAUAAAGGCUUGGUCGUGGCGUGAUGUCACGCUGCGGAAUACGUCAGCAUAUUAGAUUUGUACAAAUAUUAUUCACUCUACGGUGGUAUGUGGAACUUAUUUUGCAGAGCCGGACACUAUCCUUGUGUUCAAAAUCUUCUAUGAAGUAUUCGGAGCAGGAACCCGCCUUGCAAUGCCGAAGACAAUCUGCGCGCAGGACUAUGAAGCCUGGUUCAGGGGCUACUAAGGGAGUCCUGGAUUAGGGGGUGUCCGGAUGACCAGACUAUAACCUUUGGCUGGACUCCUGGACUAUGAAGAUACAAGAUUGAAGACUUCGUCCCAUGUCCAGAUGGGACUUUCCUUGGCGUGGAAGGCAAGCUUGGCCAUACGGAUAUGUAGAUCUCCUCCCAUUGUAACCGACUCUGUGUAACCCUAGCCCUCUCCGGUGUCUAUAUAAACUGGAGGGUUUUAGUCUGUAGGACGAACAACAAUCAUACCAUAGGCUAGCUUCUAGGGUUUAGCCUCUCUGAUCUCGUGGUAGAUCUACUCUUGUACUACCCAUAUCAUCAAUAUUAAUCAAGCAGGAGUAGGGUUUUACCUCCAUCGAGAGGUCCCGAACCUGGGUAAAGACAUCGUGUCCUUUGUCUCCUGUUACCAUCCGCCUAGACGCACAGUUCUGGACCCCCUUCCUGAGAUCCACCGGUUUUGACACCGACACCCGUUCACUCUGAAAUUCUUGGAACUAUUCAAAUGUUUCAGACUUGUGUUUCAUUAAGUUGAUAUACCCAUAUCUGCUCAAAUCAUCUGUGAAGGUCAAAAAAUAACGAUACCCGCCACGAGCCUCAACACUCAUCAGAACGCAUACAUCGGUAUGUAUUAUUUCCAAUAAGUCAUUGAAUUGCUCCAUUGUUCUGGAGAAUAGUGUUUUAGUCAUCAUGCCCGUGAGGCAUGGUUCACAAGUAUCAAAUGAUUCAUAAUCAAGUGAUUCCAAAAGUCCAUCUGCAUGGAGUUUCUUCAUGCGCUUUACAACGAUAUCAGAAACGGCAGUGCCACAAAUAUGUUGCACUAUCACUAUCAACUUUGCAUCUUUUGGCUUCAAUAUUAUGUAUAUGUGUAUUACUACGAUUGAGAUUCAAUAAACCAUUCACAUUAGUUCUACGACAAUGGAAGAUUUUAUUCAUGUAAACAGAAUAACAAUUAUUCUCUAACUUAAAUGAAUAACCGUAUUGCAAUAAACAUGAUCUAAUCAUAUUCAUGCUCAACACAAACACCAAAUAACAUUUAUUUAGGUUCAAUACUAAUCCCGAAAGUAUAUGGAGUGUGCGAUGAUGAUCAUAUCAAUCUUGGAACCACUUCCAACACACAUUGUCACUUCACCCUCAACUAGUCUCCAUUUAUUCUGCAACUCCUGUUUCGAGUUACUAAUCUUAGCAACCGAAUAAGUAUCAAAUACCUAGGGGCUACUACGAGCACUAGAAAGGUACACAUCAAAAACAAGUAUAUCAAAUAAAACCUUUGUUCACUUUGUCAUCCUUCUUAUCCGCCAAAUAUUUGGGGUAGUUCCGCCUCCAGUGACCACUUCCUUUGUAGUAGAAGCACUCAGUUUCAAGCUUGGGUCCAGCUUUGGGUUUCUUCCCAGGAGUGACAACUUGCUUGCCAUUCUUCUUGAAGUUCCCUUUCUUUCACUUUGCCCUUUUCUUGAAACUAGUGGUCUUGUUUAAGUACCAACACUUGAUGCUUUUUCUUGAUUUCUACCUUCGUCGAUUUCAGCAUCACGAAGAGCUUCGGAAUCUCUUUCAUCAUCCCUUGCAUAUUAUAGUUCAUCAUGAAGUUCCAGUAACUUGGUGAUGGUGACUAGAGAACUCUGUCAAUCACUAUCUUAUCUGGAAGAUUAACUCCCACUUGAUUCAAGCGAUUGUAGUACCCAGACAUUCUGAGCACAUGCUCACUAGCUGAGCUAUUCUCCUCCAUCUUUUAGGUGAAUUCCUUGUCAAAGGUCUCAUACCUCUCGACACGGGCAUGAGUCUGAAAUACCAAUUUCAGCUCUUGAAACAUCUCAUAUGCUCUGUGGCAUUCAAAGAAUUUUGAAGUCCCGGUUCUAAGCUGUAAAGCAUGGUGCACUAAACUAUCAAGUAGUCAUCAUAUUGAGCUAUCCAAACAUUCAUAACGUCUGCAUGCGCUCCUAUAAUAGGUCUGUCACCUAGUGGUGCAUCCAGGACAUAAUUCUUUUGUGCAACAAUGAGGAUAAACCUCAGAUCAUGGAACGAGUCCGCAUCACUGCUACUAUCAUCUUUCAACUUAGUUUUCUCUAAGAACAUAUCAAAAAAUAUAGGGGAGCUGCAAUGCGAGCUAUUGAUCUACAACAUAAUUUGCAAAUACUAUCAUGACUAAGUUCAUGAUAAAUUAAAGUUCAAUUAAUCAUAUUACUUAAGAACUCCCACUUAGAUAGACAUCCCUCAAGUCAUCUAAAUUAUACGUGAUCCAAAUCAACUAAAUCAUGUCCGAUCAUGACAUGAGAUGGAGUAGUCAUCAAUGGUGAACAUCUCUAUGUUGAUCAUAUCCACUAUAUGAUUCACGUUCGAUCUUUCGGUCUCCAGUGUUCCGAGGCAAUAUGCAUAUGCUAGGCUCGUGAAGUUUAACCUGAGUAUUCUGCAUGUGCAAAACUGGCUUGCACCCAUUGUAUUUGAACAUAGAGCUUAUCACACCCGAUCAUCAUGUGGUGUCUCAGCACGAAGAACUUUCGCAAUGGUGCACACUCGGGGAGAACACUUAUACCAUGAAAUUUUAGUAAGGGGUCGUCUUAUAAUGCUAUGGCCGUACUAAGCAAAAUAAGAUGCAUAAAGAUAAAUAUCACAUGCAAUCAAAAAUAUGUGACAUUAUAUGGCCAUCAUCAUCUUGUGCUUUUGAUCUCCAGCACCAAAGCAAAGUCAUGAUCUCCAUUGUCACCGGCUUGACACCUUGACCUCCAUCAUAGCAUCGUGGUCCUCUCGCGAACUAUUCCUUCUACGACUAUCGCUACCGCUUAGUGAUAAAGUAAAGCAAUUACAUGGCGUUUGUAUUUCAUACAAUAAAGUGACAACCAUAAGGCUCCUGCCAGUUGCCGAUAACUUUUAACUUUCACAAAACAUGAUCAUCUCAUACAACAACGUAUAUCACAUCAUCUCUUGACCAUAUCACAUCACAACACGCCCUGCAAAAACAAGUUAGACGUCCUCUACUUUGUUGUUGCAAGUUUUACGUGGCUGCUACGGGCUUCUAGCAUGAACCGUGCUUACCUAUGGCACAAAAGCCACAACGGUGAUUUAUCAAGUUUGUUGUUUUAACCUUCACAAGGACCGGCUGCAGUCAAAUUCGAUUCAACUAAAGUUGGAGAAACAGACACCCGCCAGCCACCUUUAUGCAAAACUAGUCGCAUGUCUAUCGGUGGAACCGGUCUCAUGAACUUAGUCAUGUAAGGUUGGUUCGGGCCGCUUCAUCCAACAAUACCGCCGAAUCCAAAUAAGACAUUGCUGGUAAGAAGUUGACGAUCACUGCCCACAACUCUCUGUGUUCUACUCAUGCAUAUCAUCUACGCAUAGACCUGGCUCGGAUGCCACUGUUGGGAAACGUAGCAUGCAAUUUCAAAAAAAAUCCUACGCUCACGUAUGAUCUAUCUAGGAGAUGCAUAGCAACAAGAGGAGGAGAGAGUGUCCACGUACCCUCGUAGACCGAAAGCGGAAGCGUUAGCUUAACGAGGUCGAUGUAGUCGAAUGUCUUCUCGAUUUAACCGAUCAAGCACCGAACGUAUGGUACCUCCAAGUUCUGCACACGUUCAGCUCGAUGACGUCCCUCGAACUCUUGAUCCACCAAAGUGUCAAGGGAGAGUUACGCCAGCACGACGGCGUGGUGACGGUGAUGGUCAAGUGAUCCACGCAGGGCUUCGCCUAAGCACUACGACAAUAUGACCGGAGGAGUAAACGGUGGAGGGGCACUGCACACGGCUAAGAACAAUUGAUGUGCUUAGAGGUGCCCCCCGCCCCCAUAUGUAAAGGAGGGAGAGGGGAGGAGGCCGGCCUAGGCCGCGCCAAGUGGGGAGGACUCCCACUUGGACUCCUAGUCCUAUUCGGUCCCCUUUCCUUCUAUCGGGGGGGGAGGAGGGGGGAGGAGAGGGGGUUGGAGAAGGACAGGGGGUGGCGCCCCCUUCCCUACUCCAAUUCGGCCUCCUUCCUUGUGGGGGGCGCACCAGCCCCUUGUGGUCUGGUUAGCCUCCCUCCUAUGGCCCAUAUGGCCCAUAUCUUCCACCAGGGGGUUUCGGUAACCCCUCCGGUACACCGAUAUGUACCCGAUACACUCUGGAACCCUUCCAGUGUCUGAAUAGUACCUUCCAAUAUAUCAUUCUUUACCUAUGGACCAUUUUGAGACUCCUCGUCAUGUCCGUGAUCUCAUCCGGGACACCGAACAACCUUCGGUCAGCAAAACACAUAACUCAUAUAAUACAUAUCAUCAUCGAACGUUAAGCGUGCAGACCCUACGGGUUUCAGAACUAUGCAGACAUGACCGAGACACCUCUCUGGUCAAUAAAUAACAGCGGAACCUGGAUGCUCAUAUUGGUUCCCACAUAUUCUACGAAGAUCUUUAUCGUUCGAACCGCUAUGUCAACAUAUGUUAAUCCCUUUGUCAUCGGUAUGUUACUUGCCCAUGAUUCGAUCGUCGGUAUCUUCAUACCUAGUUCAAUCUCGUUACUGGCAAGUCUCUUUACUUGUUCCGUAAUACAUCAUCCCGCAACUAACUCAUUAGUCACAUUCCUUGCAAGGCUUCAUGUGAUGUGCAUUACCGAGAUGGCCCAAAGAUACCUCUCCGAUACUCAGAGUGACAAAUUCUAAUCUCAGUCUAUACCAACCCAACAAACACCUUCGUAGUUACCUGUGGAGCAUCUUUAUAACCACCCAGUUAUGUUGUGACGUUAGAUAGCACACAAGGCAUUCCUCCGGUGUUCGGGAAUUGCAUAAUCUCAUAGUCAGAGGAAUAUGUAUUUGACAUGAGGAAAGCAGUAGCAAUAAAACUGAACGAUCAUUAUGCUAUGCUAACGGAUGGGUCUUGUCCAUCACAUCAUUCUCCUAAUGAUGUGAUCCCGUUCAUCAAAUGACAGCACAUGUCCAUGACUAGGAAACUUAACCAUCUUUGAUCAACGAGCUAGUCAAGUAGAGGCGUACUAGGGACAUAGUGUUUUGUCUAUGUAUUCACACACAUGUGUAAAGUUUCCGGUUAAUACAAUUCUACCAUGAAUAAUAAACAUUUAUCAUGAAAAAGAAAAUAUAAAAUAACAACUUUUAUUAUUGCCUCUAGGGCAUAUUUCCUUCACAUAUGCCCAAUCAAGGCAGUCCUGGAUAAUUCUAGCUUUGAGGAACCCAUGUUGAUUGAUAUGUAGCAUCUAGAGAAUAACUCUUUGUAAUCUAUUGGCCAACAGUUUGGUAAUUAUCUUAAGUACUCCAUUGAGUAGUGAGAUUGGUCUGAAAUCAUUGGGUGAUACUGGCACUUGCUUUUUUGGAAUCAAUGUAAUGAAGGAUGUAUUGAUGCUUUCAAGAUUUAUAUUACCAUCACGAAAAGCCAUGAUAAGCUCAGUGAUAUCCACUUUAAUGAUGUACCAACAAGCUUUGAUGAACUCAUUAUUAAAUCCAUCAUGACCUGGAGAUUUAUUUGUAGGAAUGUUUUUUACCACUUCAUCACUUUCCUCCUGUGUAAAAGGCUUCUCAAGAUCUUGCAAGAUCUCAGGCUCAACUCUAUGUUCAUCUAGAUCAUUCAAAUCAAAGUGCAUUGUGUGACCAUUAGAUUGUCCCAAUCUUUUUUUAAAAGCCUCCCAAAGAAUAGUUGUUUUUUUCUUCAUGGUCAAUAAUUUUCACUUGAUCAUCAUUCAGUAGUAUAGCAAUUUUAUUAUGUCUAUGAUUAAUAGUGGCUUUGGUAUGAAAGAAUUUGGAGUUCUCAUCACCAAACUUAUGACCUUUUAUUUUCCCUCUUUGCUUCCAAUAAAUCUUCUGGCUAUUAAGUACUGGUAAUAGGAGUUCCUUCAGCAUAGUUCUAAAAUUCCCAUCAAAUACUGAGAGAUAUCUAUAUUCCUCAAUCAAGUCCCAAAGGAAAAUACAAGCAUUUAAAUCCUCAAACUGCUUUUUAAGACAUGACAAACUCUUAGCCCACAAUUUUAAAGAUCUUCUCAAAUUCUUAAACUUUGCGUUGAUUUUUUUGGCAGGAUCAGUGUAACAAACAUGAAUAUUCCAUGCUACUUGAACAAUGUCUUUGAAAGAGCUGUGUUUCAACCAAUAAUUUUCAAACCUGAAUACCUUGGACUUGGGAAUGCAAACCAAACCAAUAUUCCACAGUACACAAUUUUUAUUUGCAGACCGAUUUCAAAAUUGUCGCCUCUAUUCAUUUCCGUUGUCUAAUCUACUAGCCAAUUAAGUCUGAACCGAGAACCGAACCUAAAUCUCAGUCGACCGAAUCUUUGGUUAGGAAUUUUCCCAAAUGACCAAUCGGCCGUCUUUUUUUGAAAACUGAAUUUCUUCAAAAGCUGAAGAACCAAACAAAACGGUUCGGUUACACAGAAUGCCCAGCUCUCCAAACGCCUCCACUUUCUCCCAGUUGAACAUGUGAUAUUUCUUACACCGAGUCUUCUUGCCAAAGCAAUCUUCUCCCAAAACAAUCAAAUAUUUUCUUUACUCCUACUAGCACAUAUGCCCUUGCGUUGCAACGGGAAAAAUUGAUAUUUUAUGCAAACAUAAUGUCCCAUAAUAUCAGAUUCACUAUGAAGAACAUGCUGCAACGCAACAUCGUUCUACAAAAUGAACAUAAAAAAUACGUUGCAAUUUAGCCGUGUUCAUAUUUUCUAUGUCGGGCAUAAUCUCCCACUGAUUUCAUCUAAGUUUUAUCCCUUUUAAUGGCAUUUAAGUAUUAUCCUUUCGUUAGUUACCAUGACAUCCUGAUCUGUUUUAGUCGGGAAUCGGAUCCUUACUUUUCUAAUUUAGUAGCCCCAACACAUUGAAGCCUACAAUUUUUUUUAAUUAUCCUACCUUUUUACCUCAAAUCCUUCAUGUAAAAUUUAUUAAGAUCACAAUCUUUCUUUUAUUUAUUCCACCGGUUUACCCAUAGUCCUUUCUUUAAUUAGCCACAUCCAUUUAAAUAUUCUAUUCAAGCCCACAAUCCUUCCUUUAUUAGCUCAUUCACUUAGUUAGAUCGCUGUAAACAUGAUGAUUGUCACUCGUAUAUUUAGAGCGAGUUUGGAUUAGUAAAUGUGAAAGACGCAUAGGUCGUUGGUAGUUACAUCGAAGAGCCAGACAUGAGAUCACGUGUUUAAUUUCCACAAUGUUGAUUUAAUUUGUCCCAAUUAUUUUUCGUGGUUUCUAUAAAAGCCCAUAAAAGGUCCAUCAAUGUACAAGUACCUGGCCCAAAUCGCUUAGCGUGUAAACCAAACGAAAAAUACUAAAUCAAACCAAGAAUACCUAUUCCCUUUAAUUGUAGGUAUAGAUAUAGAUUGGCAAGCCAUAAAAGGAAAGCAUGCACAACAGUUUAUAUUUUCUAGACUACUUACUCUGGAGCAAAGCCCCGGUCCUUUAUUCAAAACCAAAUAGUAUGUACAGGGGUCAAGUAGUCAGCUACAUAUACAAAACAUACCUACUUACCUAGCAAAAAGGAAAACUAAGGGAGGCUGGCAAUCUAAGCCAGAAGAUUCGGCCUACCACAAGCCCUGACUCUACAAGAAAUAAGGGUUAUAUCAUGUACAAAUUUACAACACCAUGAGCCAAAAGUGGCAUAGCUCCAAAUGUCCUUCCAUUUAUGACAAUCCAGAUAUUUCAUUUCCAAGCAGAGUCAGCAUAACCUCGAAGAAGAAAGGAUGGGCAAACCUCAUGUUUGCCCCGACAAUGCAUGGUCUGAUCUCAGACCCAUGUGCCGGAUCUAUCUGCAUGUAAUUCCAGAUCCUAAGGCUGAACUAGCGGGAGAAGAAGAGAAGUCUGUAACACAUUACACAUGGGUUUAUUGCUCAAAGAAGCAGUGAGAAAAGAGAACAUGCCUCCAAUGGAUGCUAAUUUUCCUUGCCAAUAUUCUAAUCUUACAAAAAAACAUGCCAUCAUUAAAAUAAAUUUAUGGAUGGUUGAGCCUUUGAGGCUUUGAGGGAAGAAUCCAACAACAAAUAUGCCCAAUUUUCCCUUUGAGAUUUACUUUUGCCCCUGACAAAUACAGGCCAUGAAUCGUCAAUACUAAAUCAACAUCAGAAAACAGGCACAAGGCUUGACUUUAUAGAUAAAUCGACGAGCUCCACAAGAACACAAUUAUUGAAUACAAAGGUUCAGCAAAAAAGUGAAAUAGUUCACCAGCCAACAUAAAAAAACACGCAAAUGGCCUCAGUUUAUAUAGAUAAAUCGACGAGUUCCACAAGAACACGAUUAUUGAAUACAGAGGUUCAGCAAGCAAACAGGAAAUAGCUCGGGCUGGCGCAACAGCAUAGGUAAGCCCAAAAUAAAGAAAAAGAAAACAAACUACGGAGCCGGAAUCUGGUGAGCCACCCUCCGGAAGCCAAGAAGGAGCCCAUCCAGUCCUCCGUGAUCCCGACGCCAAGCGAGCACCUGCCAUUGCAGAAUCGAUCGAGGCUACUAGCUAAUUCAACAUCCCCGGCAGUGAGCUGAAACGGUCACAUCCCUUCAUUUUAUUGCGUCCAUCCGAUUAUUGAUUUCUUGAAAUAAACAGCAUGCCAUGCAUUCAGCAUUGUUUUAUUUAUUUGAACAUAGCACAACCAUCAUAUGGAAACGGAAGCAGGCACGGCUGGCGAGUUAUUGGUAGUCUUAACCAAGACUUCUGGGACGGAGUUGAACUUGGCAAACCACUUGGCUGACUUCUUGAGCUUGCGCUUGUUGCUGUCCGUCUUGUCGAUGUAGACGAGGCUGAAUCGUGUGCUGUAGCCAAGGGUCCAUUCGAAGUUGUCGAUCAGACCCCAGGUGAAGUGGCCCCGCACGUCCGCGCCCUGGCUGAAAACACACAUACAUGAAAGCGCGCUUAGCUAGACUUCAACCAUGUGUCUGUGUGUAUGUAUACAUGUGCAUGCAUGAUAACAUACGUAGUACUACCUCGGUCCUGGUUUAUUGGUCCCUAUUAUAUUUCGUGUCAAAUUUGACCUUAGAUUGAACUAAUAAAAUGUUCAUGCAUGUCAUAAAAAAUUAUGCCAUUGAAAACUAUGUUCAAAUACGAAUCCAAUGAUAUAAUUUUUGUUGACAUGCAUUAACAAUUUGUUAGUUAAAUCUUUGAUCAAAAUUUGACACACAUUACAAAGGGGUCCAAUAAACCAGCACCGAGGCAGUACCUUACAUUAAUCAAUGUGCUAUUAGAGUAAUGUAGGUAAGAGUGCAAAGUAAGUGAAACAAAAAAGAUAGGAUUUUAGGGUGGGUAGUUACUCUAUUGCGUCCUUGACGGCUGAGAUGUGGCGCUGGAGGUAGUCUAGCCUUUUCCAGUCAUCCAAUGGAUCCGGCAUGCUUUCGUCGCCUUCCACGUCAGCGAUUCCUAAGUGCAUCCAGGAAAUCCAUUUCUCUCCAAAUCCCUUUGCUCUGAGUAUAUCAAUAAUUGUCUGAUGUUCAAUAGUGUCAAAAGCUUUCUCAAAAUCCAGUUUAAUCACCAUCAUCUCUUCUUUUGAUUUAUGACAUUGAUGGAUAUAUUCAUAUGCCCCACCAAGGCAGUCCUGGAUCAUUCUAGCUUUGAGGAACCCAUGUUGAUUGAUAUGUACCAUCUAGAGAAUAAUUCUUUGUAAUCUAUUGGCCAGUAGUUUGGUAAUUAUCUUAAGUACUGCAUUGAGCAGUGAGAUUGAUCUGAAAUCAUUGGGUGAGACUGGCACUUCCUUUUUUGGAAUCGAUGUAAUGAAGGAUGUAUUGAUGCUUUCAAGAUUUAUAUUACCAGCAUGAAAAGCCAUGAUGAGCUCAGUGAUAUCCACUUUAAUGAUGUUCCAACAAGCUUUGAUGAACUCAUUAUUAAAUACAUCAGGACCUGGAGAUUUAUCUGUAGGAAGGUUUUUUACCACUUCAUCAAUUUCCUCCUGUGUAAAAGGCUUUUCAAGAUCUUGGAAGAUCUCAGACUCAACAAUAUGUCCAUAUAGAUCAUUCAAAUCAAAGUGCAUUGUGUGACCAUUAGAUUGUCCAAAUGUUUUUUUAAAGCCUCCCAAAGAAUAGUUGUUUUCCUUCAUGGUCAGUAAUUUCCACUUGAUCAUCAUUUAGAAGCAUAGCAAUUUUAUUAUGUCUAUGAUUAAUAGUGGAUUUGGUAUGAAAGAAUUUGGUGUUCUCAUCACCAAAGUUAACACGUUUUAUUUUCCCUCUUUGCUUCCAAUAAAUCUUGUGAUUCUUAAGUAAUGUCAAUAGGAAUUCCUUCAGCAUAGACCUACAAUUCCCUUCAAAUACUAAGAGAUAUUUAUAUUCCUCAAUCAAGUCCCAGAGGAAAAUACAAGCAUUUAAACCCUCAAACUGCUUUUUAAGAAAUGACAAACUCUUGGCCCACAAUUUUAAAGAUCUUCACAAAUUCUUAAACUUUGCAUUGAUUUUUUUGGCAGGAUCAGUGUAACCCACAGGAAUAUUCCAGGCUGCUUGAACAAUGUCUUUGAAAGAGUUCUGUUUCAACCAAUAAUUUUCAAAGCUGAAUACCUUGGACUUGGGAAUGCAGACCAAACCAAUAUUCCACAAUACACAAUGUUUAUUUGCAGACCAAUUUCAGAAGUGUCGCUUCUAUUCAUUUCCGUUCUCUAAUCUACUAGUAAAUUAAGUCUGAACCGAGAACUGAACCUAAAUUCCGGUCCACCGAAUCUUUGGUUAGGAAUUUUCCCAAUGACCAAUCGGCCAUCCUUUUUUGAAGACCGAAUUUCUUCAAAAGCUGAAGAACCGAACCGAACGGUUCAAUUACAUAGAAUGCCCAGCUCUCCAAACGCCUCCACUUUCUCCCAGUUGAACAUGUGAUAUUUCUUACACCGAGUCUUCUUGCCAAAGCAAUCUUCUCCCAAAACAAUCAAAUAUUUUCUUUACUCCUUUUGGCAAGCCAUAAAAGGAAAGCAUGCACAACGGUUUAUAUUUUCUAGACUACUUACUCUGGAGCAAAGCCCCGGUCCUUUAUUCAAAACCAAAUAGUAUGUACAGGGGUCAAGUAGUCAGCUACAUAUACAAAACUUACCUACUUAUUACCUAACAAAAAGGAAAACUAAAGGAGGCUGGCAAUCUAAGCCAGAAGAUUCGGUCUAUCACAAGCCCUCAUUCUACAAGAAAGAAGGGUUAUAUCAUGUACUCCCUCUGUUCCGAUUUACUCGUCGUGGUUUUAGUUCAAAUUUGAACUAAAACCAUGACGAGUAAAUCGGAAUGGAGGGAGUACAAAUUUACAACACCAUGAGCCAAAAGUGGGAUAGCUCUGAUUGUCCUUCCAUUUAUGACAAUCCAUAUAUUCCAUUUCCAAGCAGAGUCAGCAUAACUUCGAAGAAGAAAGGAUGAGCAAACCUCAUGUUUGCCCCGACAAUGCAUGGUCUGAUCUCAGACCCAUGUGCCGGAUCUAGCUAUCUCCAAGUAAUUGCUGAUCCUAAGGCUGAACUAGCGGGAGAAGAAGAGAUGAAGUCUGUAACACAUUACACAUGGGUUUAUUGCUCAAAGAAGCAGUGAGCAAAGAGAUCAUGCCUCCAAUACUAAUUUCCUUGCCAAUAUUCUGAUCUUAAAAACAUUAGAAAACAAGCACAAGGCCUCACUUUAUAUAGAUAAAUCGACGAGUUCCACAAGAACACGAUUAUUGAACACAAACGUUCAGCAAGCAAAAGGGAAAUAGUUCGGGCUGGGGCGGCAGCACAGAUAAGCCCGACAUAAAGAAAAAGAACACAACCUACAGAGCCCGCCGGAACCGGAAGCUGGCGAGCCACACCCUCCGGAGGCCAAGAAGGAGCCCAUCCAAUACGCCGUGAUCCCGACGCCAAGCGAGCAUCCGCCAUUACAGAAUCGAUCGAGGCUACUAAUUCAACAUCCCUGGCAGUGAACUGAAACGGCCACAUCCUCCCUUCAUUUUAUUGCACCCAUCCGAUUAUUAAUUUCUUCAAACUAACUGCAUGCCAUGCAUCCAGCCUUGGAUUAUUUGUUCGAACAUAGCACCACUUCGUUCUCCAUCAUACAGAAACGGAAGCAGCUGUCAUGGUUGCGUUGUUAUUGGUGGUCUUAAGCAAGGGUUUUGGGACGGAAUUGAACUUGGAGAACCACUUGGCCGACUUCUUGAGCUUGCGCUUGUUGCCGUCAUUCUUGUCGAUGUAGACAAGGCCGAACCGUGAGCUGUAGCCGAGGCUCCAUUCGAAGUUGUCGAUCAGACCCCACGUCAAGUGGCCCCGCACGUCCGCGCCCUGGCUGAAAGCACACAUACAUUUGAGUAAUCAGUGUGCUAUAUUAGGGUAUGUAUGUAUGUAGGUAGGUAAGAGUACAAAAUAAAUGAAAAAAAUAGGUAGGGUUUUAGCGUGGGUAGUUACUCUAUUGCGUCCUUGACGGCUGAGAUGUGGCGCUGGAGGUAGUCUAGCCUCUUCCAGUCAUCCAAUGGAUCCGGCAUGCUUUCGUCACCUUCCACGUCAGCGAUUCCUGCACACACACAAGUUAGAGGUAAUCCAUCACACUUCCUUUAAAAAAAACCUCCAAUGAACCAUUACAUCAUAUCUCCAUGGAUUAGGUUCUUGUCUGAUUUGAGGGAACUAGUGCCACUCGAACACAAAGAUUGUUUACAGAUUAGUGUGUGUCAAUCUUCAUGAGGAUUAGGGUAAUGAGGAUCAUGGAAAUUUGACUAGUUACUUUUGAUGUCAGAUUUUCAACCUUUUUAUUAACGGCAAGUCAACUAAAGUUUGAUAUGAACCGAUGACUGGUCAUUCGAUUACUACAAAAUCCAAUGCUAUAUACACACACACAUAUCACUACUUACCGUUCUCAGUGAUGAAGACAGGUGGGUUUCCGUAUUUCUCCUUCAUGAUCAGAAGGAGGUCCGUUAGGCCUUUUGGGUACAUGUAGAUCCAAUAAGUCCCGGUCUGCAAAUGGAUGUCCAAAAUUUUAAUUAGUAACGACAAAAAACUUCAGAUUUGUUUAAGCUUUAUUGCAGAAACAAAGCAUUAUCAUGUCUAUGCGACUUAACCAUUUUGUUCAAAAGUUUAACUAAAGUCCUGGCUGACUAGUUCUACCAUAAGAUUUUGGUGAAAAUAAUCUACAUUAUCACUAUCAUCAUAUAUGUCGUAUGCAAAAUUAACCAGGUAGUAGGAAGAUACAUACUAUAGGACCGAUGUCAUUCCCAUCACUCCCUGUAGCUGCUCGAACAGAAGGGAAAAAGUCCAGCAUUAGUAUGAGAACAUCAAAUUUCUCAAAGGAUCUGUAAAGUAUACUAACUAAGGUUUGUCCUCAACCAUAUUUUCUUACUUUCUGAACUGGCGUAAGCGUCGUCGGUGUUCAGCGUUGGCGUAAAGUCUGGUGACAUGUCAACAUGCUUGGAGAAUCUGGAGGUGUAAUAGUUGAGCCCCAUGAUGUCACAUGACGACGCUAGUUUCUCUUGCUCCUCCUUGGUGAACAUGGGUAGACGAUCUCCGAUCAGUGAUCUCAUGGAGAAGGGGUAGUCACCACGAACCACUGGCUCCAGGAACCAUCCCAUGUUGUAGUCAAUGGAUCUUUCCCGGGCCUGGUUGUCGAGGAAGGAGUCUUGGUAUGGCUCGUAACCCAUUACGUCAAAAGCCAUUCCUAUUUUGGAAUCUCCAUGCUGCAGUUGGUUCGUCAAUAUAAAUAAAUUAAAUAUACAAGUAGAUACCACUAGUUGUUACUUGUUUACUAGAUAAUGUAUAUCUCUCUCUUUGUGUAUGUACCAUGUUGUAAUGAGCUUUGAACAGCUGAACAGCCUCAGCAUGAGCUAGGAGGAUGUGGUGACCAGCAGUGUAUGGCUCUCUGAGCGAGUCUCCUUCUGGGACGGCACAAUCCAUCCCCGGCGAGCACCUCCCAGGAGCAUGAAUCCCCUCUCCGUAGGAGAAACAACAAUAUGUAUGUGGCUCGUUAAAGGUGAACCAGUUCUUCACCCUGUCACCGAAGUUCUUAAAGCACACCUCGGCGAAUUGUUUGUAAUCAUCUCUGGAAAAAAAAAUCAAACCCGAAGGAUGUUCAACAAAAUUGUUUCUUAGCUUAACAAUAAGUAGUUAUGUUAGUUUACUGAUGAAUCAUUGAAUGACAGUACAACAUUGUUUGUUAUCUGAAAAGAAACGUUUUUCUACUCAUGGUCCACUAAUGGCCUUCAUCCAAACCAAACAGUGUAUAAGCAAAAUCAUAUAUAAAGUAAUCUUGUUCAAAUCGAAUUUAACAAUAUUAUAGUUCGUAGUUUUUGUACAUAUCGUGAUUGCAAUUACUGAUCUUUCUUUAGAACCAUUUUCUUACAAAUCAAUGUACUGUUGUUUGCCGCAUACUUACACAAUCUGCCUAUUUAAGAAGCCACCGUACUUGUCUUCCAGUGCUUGAGGGGUGUCCCAGUGCCAAAUUGUAACAUAUGGCACUAUGUCUGAGUUUCAAAAAACAAAUAAUUAUUUGUGCGAGCUCUUAUGAGUCUGACUCAUUAAGCACUAAUCAAACAAAGAAAAAAAGGGUUUUCAUCAUUAUCUAUCAGCGAGUUGAUCAGCUUAUUGUAGUAGUCGAUGCCUGCCUGGUUUACUUUCCCCGUCGCAUCUGCAAGCCCUAGUAAACAUGUGCUGAAAUUAGGACCCAAAUAUUACAACAAGUCUUAUCGGCUGCGUCUAAUUUGUAGAGGACAUCUUUAUUGUUCCUAACUUAUUCACCAUACAAAAUAUACAUGGUUAUUUUGUAUUUACCUGGCAGUAUUCUCGACCAAGAGAUGGAGAACCUAUACACUUUCAUGCCCAUGUCCUUGAGCACUUUGACAUCCUCCUGUCAGUCAUAAAUGAUGACAUGAAUAAUGAUGACAACAUAUUAUCAUGCAUAUUUCUAUUUUUAUUAGAAGUGCAUAUUCCAAAUGGUUUUUCAAAAAAAAUGCAACGACAUAAAAGCAGUCCUGUCAUAAUUAAGAUUUGUUAGAUUUUUGUUUGGAAAAACCAUUGGUCCCGUCAGAGUACUUACUUCAUAUAGAUGGUAGGAGUUUGCUGCAACGUCCCCAUUGGUCAUGUCGGAUAUGCGCUCUGUUCAUAUAUAUACACAUGAAAUUAAGGAGAAGGACCCACGAUAGAAUAAUAUGAGUAUGUUUGUAAUAACACUGAAAAGGUAUAUGUUACCAGGAUAUGUGUGGCAGAAGUGGUCCCAAGUGCUUGGCCCCUUGCCAUCUUCAUUCCAAGCACCUUCAAUCUACACGGAUGACGACAUAUAUAACAUUUUGUGCAAUCGAACAAACCACUAAACAUGCAUUUUGACAUCAUGUUUUCCCUUAGGUAUUUGUUAUCAUUGAAACAGUUGACACCAUUAUUUUAUUUUAAAUUAACAGAUAUAAGGUUGUGCAAGAAAAUAAUUAGUACCUGGUACGCUGAAGUGGAGGCACCAAAUAGGAAGUCCUUGUCGAACCAGUCCCUUUUAGGGAUUUGCCACGGCUUGAGCUUAGUGAACACAGGCCCAAUGGGCUCUGCUGGCUUUGACGGUGUGCCUGCCCUGAUGGUGAGGUUACAGAACCUUUCCUUGCUCUUCUGUGAUGAAGCAGCAGACCGGAGCCAUAGGUUCUCACUGUUGCGUCCUGCACGGCUUCUAAGGCUAAGGUGGGUGGUGGGAUUCAGGGUAGCAGCAGCAAGUAGAGCCAUCUCUUGCUAGCAGCUGGCUGGAGUGUUGUGAGCAGCUUGAGGAGUGAGUUCCCUUGCAGGCUUAUGCAUCUAUUUAUAGAUGAGGAUGGAGAAUCUGUCAAGUGGGCGUGGUGGUGGGAUGAUAAUGAAGCUGCGGCUGGAACCCUAGCUAAGACACACGGCAGUUGGCUAACCUGGUGGGAGCUCUUUAUAACUUACCACUGGGCAUUCCUGCAGCCCACCCCCAAAAAAUAUGGCAGAGGAACAUAUCCUUCUGCUGGGUCAAAUGCAACAAAAAAAAUGUGUUUGUUACAUUAACUAAAGAGAACAGUGAAAAGUUGUGCCUGUAGACAUUCGAAUGGCACACAUAUAAACUUGAACACACGAAGUUAAAGAGAAAUUGCCAAACUGUUUUCUUUAAAUAUCAAUCUCUCUACCCCAAUAGACAUAUUGAAACUCUUCUUAUCUUAAGCUAAUUAACGGUAGUGUCAAAUCUUUACCCCCACGUAGUGCCUGUAAAUUUUUUUCCGAAAAGGGACACUUUAUUACUUAAAAGGUUUAUAAGCAUUACACACAGCCUCUGCAUAACUAAGAUGCACACAGCCAACAAAGUCCUCACGACAAGCCAAAAUAAAAAAAGAAGGCGAAAUAGAAAGAAGAAUAUUUGUAUAACACCUAAAUCGUAGGUGGCCCAAUUCUAAGAUCACGCUGCCACCCAUAUUGGGUAAAUGUAUCCCUUGCCGUAGCCCCCAAUCGUGUACACACCUCCGUAAACAGGUCUCGAUUCUCCACUCGCUGUAGAGAAAACCAUAAACGAAGCAUCCCGGUACAUAUGUAGGUAACUUGCAUAAGAGAAGUACUUUUAUCCUUAAAAACCUUAUCAUUUCUACAUAACCAAAGCGACCAAAUCACAGGUAGCGCUCCCAUCCUGAGAAGAAUUCUAAACUUGUGAUCAAUCCCAUGUAACCAGUUGCCAAAUAUAUUAGCAACACUACAAGAAGGAUACAAGCUAGAAGCUAUUUGGAUGACUGACCAUAUAGAAUGAUCCAAUUUACAUUGGAAGAAUUAAUGUUUUAUUGUCUAAUCAUGUGAACAAAUGUUUUCUUGUAGUGCCUGUAAUAUGUCCGGAAACAAUUUUCUACACACAUUCUUGUGGGGCGGCUGCCUUAUGUUAGGCAUUGUGGCUCACUAGGAAUGAUGUGGUUUUUAACAACAAUUGUGUUUUGUUUCAUAUCCUACGAAGGUUAUUCAUGCAUGUACGCGGUGACCCCAUACUUGGUCUAUCCUGCACAGCCUGGAGGACUGAGACCUUUCUAUGAUGGUGUAUACCCGACUGGAGCAUACGGUCAGUGAGGUUUUCUUCCUUCAUGAUGGCGGUGUAAUCUCCAGAUAUGAUCCACCCCACCUUAGGUUGGACUCUUUAUUAUUUUUGUAAAAAGGCAUUUUAUUUUUGGUUGUGUUGGACGUGUUAGCUGCGUGCAUCGUGCUAUGUAGAGGACGCUUUUUAAUGUGGUUGUAUCACCUUGAUAUAUCAAUUAAAUGAAAUGUCCUUUAUAAAAAAAAUUAACAGUAGACAAAAAGCAUGACUUGACUCUACUUCUUAUAGAAAGUACAAAAUAUAUAUGUUCAGCUAGAGGACACCUCGACACUAUAUGUUGCAAGUAUUUCAGAAACUUGUUGUUCACAACUUUUAUUGCAUCACCCCAGUUAGCUUAACUUAGCGGCGUGGCCCGAUGCUAGCUCUGCCCCUGAUCAGAUCUAUUGUCUUUCCUAAAGAAAUACCCACCUUUUUCACUUCAAAAUUAUCUAAAUUAAGUCACCCUUAAGCAUAUACGUAUAUCCCACCAUAAUACCCUAUAGAAGAAAGAAACCCCCUAAAUCCUCAUCUAAAUCACCUACCUACUACAUGAUCAGAAUAGUCUAGCACCCUAAAUUUGCAUCUAAAUCACGUACCCAUCUCUGUGAGGAAUAUGCUGACGAUGCUAACAAAUCAAGGAUGUACCGUGUUCUGUGGUGACAUGCAUGGAUCCGAACACAGUGGCCCUUUUCACCUUCUUGAUACUCACAGUUCGUGGUCCGAACAGUAAACUGCUGGUGCAACGCACGCGUGGGCGUGGCUCGUGGUUCUUGCAUUUGUCAGUACAGUCCACACAUCCAGUAUGUGGCUGUCCGUCAUCACAAGCGUGUGGGGGAUGUGGGAUUCUCGCCGCGUUUCUCGGCGGCGUGAGUUGAGAUCAAGACAAGGCCAUCUUACACUGUCGCUAUAGAAAAGUUUAUCUUGAACAUCAGUUGGUACCAUAUCUCUAUAAGUACACUAUUAAUCUACAUAUUGAUGUCACCGGCAUGUUGUCAGUCCAGCUAGCGUAUCGCAUCGCAUCGCUAAAUGUACCUGGCUUGAUUGACUGUACGUAGUAUAUUGCUGCCUGAUUUACAAUAACACAUACAGUAGUACGAACUCCGUCCUGAUUUAUUAGCCCUCUUCGUAUUUAGAGUCAUAUUUUGAUCAUACUUAUAACCAAUAAAAUAUAAGUUAUAUAUAGCAAAAAUAAUAUUAUCAAAAAAUAUGUUAAAAUGCGAAUCCAAUACAUAUUAUUUUUAGUGACAUGCAUUAAUUUUUAUUAUUUAAAUUUAUGCUUAAAAUUUGACACAAAAUAUGAAAAGGACUACUAAAUCAAGAUCAAGAUAGUGCUACUACUCCCUCCGUUUUUAUUUACUUCACAUAUUAGCUUUGGUCAAAGUCAAACUCUGUAAACUUUGACAAAGUUUAUACACAAAAGUAUUAAUAUAAACAAUAACAAAUCAAUACCCUUAGAAUCAUUAUUGAAUAUACUUUCACAUCAUAUAGAUUUGUUAUUAUAAAUGUUCAUAUUAUUUUCUAUAAACUUGGUCAAACUUUGUGAAGUUUGAUUUCAGUCAAAUCUAAUAUGUAGAGUAAAAAACGGAGGGAGUAUGUCUUUGUCAGUGGUGAGGAUCAAUGCCCCACGUCAGUAUCACAUGGCUAGGAAAGAAGAAUCUGCCAUGUCACUAAUAUUGUUUGGCCUGAUCACAGCGGGGCAGAUGUGCUAUAUUAAUUGUGCUUCUAAUGAAUUUGUUCGCUCUAGUGGGAGUCUCCUCAAAUUACGCUGUGGUUAGGCUAGUUGUAAUGGGGAGUAUCAUAGUAUCAUGCAUAUGAUACUAGUGUAUAAUAGUACCUCCCUAAGGCUGCUUGUAAUGGAUAGUAUCAUAAGUUAGUAUCAUGCAUAUGAUAUUAGUGUGAUAUACUACCUCCCUAAUGCAUGGUAUCAUGCACUAGUAUCAUAGAUGACUUUAUUUAUUGCCAUGCAUGACACAUAGUAGCAUUGCAUUUAUUAUGAUACGGUAUCAUUGUAUGAUACUCAACCAUCUCUUUCUUCAUUUAAUUCUAUGCCACAUCAUCAAAAUUGUCUACUUGGCAUGCAUGAUACUAGCUAUGAUACUACCAUUACGACCAGCCUAAUGCAUAGUAUCAUAUAUUAGUAUCAUGUAGUAUUUUAUUUAUUGUCAUGCAUGAUACGUAGUAACAUAGCAUUUAUUAUGAUACGGUAUCAUGAUAUGAUACUCAACCCUCUCUUUCUUCAUUUAAUUUUAUGACAUCUCAUCAAAAUUGCCUAGUUGGCAUGCAUGAUACUCCCAUUACGACCAGCCUUAGCUCGGUUUUUACAGCGGACGCGAUCACUGAUGAAGCAAUGUACUGUUAGGGAACGUAGUAAUUUCAAAAAAAAUCCUACGCACACGCAAGAUCAUGGUGAUGGCAUAGCAACGAGAGGGGAGAGUGUUGUCUACGUACCUUCGUAGACCGUUAAGCGGAAGCCUUAUGACAACGCGGUUGAUGUAGUCAUACGUCUUCACGAUCCGACCGAUCCAAGCACCGAACGUACGGCACCUCCGUGUUCAGCACACGUCCAGCUCGAUGACGUUCCCCGGGCUCCAAUCCAGCAAAGCGUCGGGGAUGAGUUCCGUCAGCACGACGGCGUGGUGACGAUGAUGAUGUUCUACCGGCAUAGGGCUUCGCCUAAACUUCGCGACGAUAUAACCGAGGUGGAAUAUGGUGGAGGGGGGCACCGCACACGGCUAAGGAACGAUCCGUAGAUCAACUUGUGUGUCAUGGGGUGCCCCCCUGCCCCCGUAUAUAAAGGAUCAAGGGGGAGGCCGGCCGGCCCUUGUGGGCGCGCCGAGGAGGAGGAGUCCUCCUCCUAGUAGGAGUAGGACUCCCCCUUUCCUCCUCCUACUAGGAGGGGGAAAGGAAGGGGAAGAGGGGGAAGGAAAGAGGGGGGAGCCCCCCCCCUCCUAGUCCAAUUCGGAGCACAGGGAGAGGGGGCGCGCGGCCCACCCUGGCUGCCCCUCUCUCUUUCCACUAAGGCCCAUGUGGCCCAUUAACUCUCCCGGGGGGUUCCGGUAACCCUUCGGCACUCCGGUUUUCUCCGAAAUCACCCGGAACACUUCCGGUGUCCGAAUAUAGUCAUCCAAUAUAUCAAUCUUUAUGUCUCGACCAUUUCGAGACUCCUCGUCAUGUCCGUGAUCACAUCCGGGACUCCGAACAAACUUCGGUACAUCAAAACUUAUAAACUCAUAAUAAAACUAUCAUCGUAACGUUAAGCGUGCGGACCGUACGGGUUCGAGAACUAUGUAGACAUGACCUAGAAUUAUUCUCGGUCAAUAACCAAUAGUGUAACCAAGAUGUUCAUAUUGGUUCCUACAUAUUCUACGAAGAUCUUUAUCGGUCAAACCGCAUAACAACAUACGUUGUUCCCUUUGUCAUCGGUAUGUUACUUGCCCGAGAUUCGAUCGUCGGUAUCCAAUACCUAGUUCAAUCUCGUUACCGGAAAGUCUCUUUACUCGUUCCAUAAUACAUCAUUUCGUAACUAACUCAUUAGUUACAAUGCUUGCAAGGCUUAAGUGAUGAGUAUUACCGAGAGGGCCCAGAGAUACCUCUCCGACAAUUGGAGUGACAAAACCUAAUCUCGAAUUAUGCCAACUCAACAUGUACCUUUGGAGACACCUGUAGACCACCUUUAUAAUCACCCAGUUACGUUGUCACGUUUGGUAGUACACAAAGUGUUCCUCCGGUAAACGGGAGUUGCACAAUCUCAUAGUUGUAGGAACUUUGUAUAAGUCAUGAAGAAAGGAAUAGCAACAUACUAAACGAUCAAGUGCUAAGCUAAUGGAAUGGGUCAAGUCAAUCACAUCAUUCUCCUAAUGAUGUGAUCCCGUUAAUCAAAUGACAACUCUUUUGUCCAUGGUUAGGAAACAUAACCAUCUUUGAUAAACGAGCUAGUCAAGUAGAGGCAUACUAGUGACACUAUGUUUGUCUAUGUAUUCACACAUGUAUUAUGUUUCCGGUUAAUACAAUUCUAGCAUGAAUAAUAAACAUUUAUCAUGAUAUAAGGAAAUAAAUAAUAACUUUAUUAUUGCCUCUAGGGCAUAUUUCCUUCAGUCUCCCACUUGCACUAGAGUCAAUAAUCUAGUUCACAUCAUCAUGUGAUUUAACACCAAUAUUCACAUCUGUAUGUGAUUAAUACCCAUAGUUCACAUCGUCAUGUGAUCAACACCCAAAGGGUUUACUAGAGUCAAUAAUCUAGUUCACUUCGCUAUGUGAUUAACACCCAAAGAGUACUAAGGUAUGAUCAUGUUUUGCUCGUGAGAGAAGUUUAGUCAACGGGUCUGUCAUAUUACAGAGUCAUAUGUAUUUUGCAAAUAUUCUAUGCCUACAAUGCUUGUCACGGAGCUACUCUAGCUAAUUGCUCCCACUUUCAAUAUGUAUCCAGAUUUAGACUUAGAGUCAUCUGGAUCGGUGUAAAAGCUUGCAUCGAUGUAACUCUGUACGACGAACUCUUUUAUCACCUCCAUAAUCGAGAAACAUAUCCUUAUUCUACUAAGGAUAAUUUUGACCAAUGUCCAGUGAUCUACUCCUAGAUCACUAUUGUACUCCCUUGCCAAACCAGGGAAGAGUAUACAAUAGGUCUGGUCCAUAGCAUGGCAUAUUUUUAUAGAACCUAUGACUGAUGCAUAGAGAAUGACUUUCAUUCUCUUUCUGUUUUCUACCGUGGUCGGGUCUUGAGUCUUACUCAAUUUCACACCUUUGCAACACAGGCAAGAACUCUUUCUUUGACUGUUCCAUUUUGAACUAUUUCAAAAUCUUGACAAGGUAUGUACUUAUUGAAAAACUUAUCAAGCGUCUUGAUCUAUCUCAAUAGAUCUUGAUGCUCAAUAUGUAAGCAGCUUCACCGAGGUCUUUCAUUGAAAAACUUUUUAUUCAAGUAUCCUUUUAUGCUAUUCAGAAAUUCUAUAUCAUUUCCAAUCAACAAUAUGUCUUGCACAUAUAAUAUCAGAAAUGCUACAGAGCUCCCACUCACUUUCUUGUAAAUACAGGCCUUUCCAAAAGUCUGUAUAAAACCAUAUGCUUUGAUCAACUCAUCAAAGCGUAUAUUCCAACUCCGAGAUGCUUGCACCAGUCCAUUGAUGGAUCGUUGGAGCUUGCACAUUUUGUUAGUACCUUUAGGAUUAGCAAAACCUUCUGGUUGCAUCAUAUACAACUCUUCUUUAAUAAGUCCAUUAAAGAAUGUAGUUUUGACAUCCAUUUGCAAGAUUUCUUAACAUGUGACAAUUGCUAACAUGAUUCGGACAGACUUAAGCAUCUCUACAGUUGAGAAAAUCUCAUUGUAGUCAACAUCUUGAACUUGUCGAAACCUUUUCGUGACAAGUCGAGCUUUCUAGAUAGUAACACUACUAUCAGUGUCCGUCUUCCUAUUGAAGAUCCAUUUAUUUAACAUGGCUUGCUGAUCAUCGAGCAAGUCAAUCAAAGUCCAUACUUUGUUCUCAUACAUGGAUCCUAUCUCAGAUUUCAUGGCCUCAAGCCAUUUCGCGGAAUCUGGGCUCAUCAUCGCUUCCUCAUAGUUCGUAGGUUCAUCAUGGUCUAGUAACAUGACUUCUAGAACGGGAUUACCAUACCACUUUGGUGCGGAUCUUAUUCUGGAAGACCUACGAGGUUCGGUAGUAACUUGAUCUGAAGCUUCAUGAUCAUCAUCAUUAACUUCCUCACUAAUCGGUGUAGGCAUCACUGGAACUGAUUUCUGUGAUGAACUACUUUCCAAUUUGGGAGAAGGUACAAUUACCUUACCAAGUUCUACUUUCCUCCUACUCACUUCUUUCGAGAGAAACUCCUUCUCUAGAAAGGAUCCAUCUUAGCAACGAAUCUUGCUCGGAUCUGUGAUAGAAGGUGUAUCCAAUAGUUACCUUUGGGUAUUCUAUGAAGACGCACUUCCCCGAUUUGGGUUCGAGCUUAUCAGGUGAAAACUUUUUCACAUAAGCAUCGCAGCCCCAAACUUUAAGAAACGACAACUUUGGUUUCUUGCCAAACCACAGUUCAUAAGGCGUCGUCUCAACGGAUUUUGAUGGUGCCCUAUUUAAAGUGAAUGCAACUGUCUCUAAUGCAUACCCCCAAAACGAUAGUGUUAAACCGAUAAGAGACAUCAUAGAUCGCACCAUAUCCAAUAAAGUGCGGUUACGACGUUCGGACACACCGUUACGCUGUGGUGUUCCAGGUGGCAUGAGUUUGUGAAACUAUUCCACAUUGUUUUAAUUGAAGACCAAACUCGUAACUCAAAUAUUUGUCUCCACGAUCAAAUUGCAGAAACUUUAUUUUCUUGUUAUGAUGAUUCUCCACUUCACUCGGAAAUUAUUUGAACCUUUCAAAUGUUUCAGACUUGUUCUUCAUUAAGUAGAUAUACUUAUAUCUGCUCAAAUCAUCUUGUGAAGGUCAGAAAAUAACGAUAGCCGCCACGAGCAUCAACACUCAUUGGACCGCAUACAUCGGUAUGUAUUAUUUGCAAUAAGUCAGUAGCUCGUUACAUUGUUCCAGAGUACGGAGUUUUAGUCAUCUUGCCCAAAAGGCGCGGUUCGCAAGCAUCAAAUGAUUCAUAACCAAGUGAUUCCAAAAAUCCAUCUUUUAUGGAGUUUCUUCAUGUGCUUUACACCGGUAUGACCCAAACGGCAGUGCCACAAAUAAGUUGCACUAUCAUUAUUAACUUUGCAUCUUUUGGCAUCAAUAUUAUGAAUAUGUGUAUCACUACGAUCGAGAUCCAACAAACUAUUUUCAUUGGGUGUAUGACCAUCGAAGGUUUUAUUCAUGUAAACAGAACAACAAUUAUUCUUUGUCUUUAAAUGAAUAACCGUAUCGCAAUGAACAUGAUCAAAUCAUAUUCAUGCUCAACGCAAACGCCAAAUAACAUUUAUUUAGGUUCAACACUAAUCUCGAAAGUGUAGGGAGAGUGUGAUGAUGAUCAUAUCAAUCUUGGAACCACUUCCAAUACACUUCGUCACUUCACCCUCAACUAGUCUUUGUUUAUUCUGUAACUCCUGUUUCGAAUCACUAAUUUUUAGCAACCGAACAAGUCUCAAAUACUCAGGGGCUACUAUAAACUCUAGUAAGGUACACAUCAGUAAUCUGUAUAUCAAAUAUACCCUUGUUCACACUGCCAUCCUUCUUAUCCACCAAAUAUUCAGGGUAUUUCCGUUUCCAGUGACCAUUUCCUUUGCAGUGUAAGCACUCAGUUUCAGGCUUUGGUUCAGAUUUGGGCUUCUUCGUGGGAGUGACAACUUGCUUGCCAUUCUACUUGAAGUUUCCCUUUCUUUCCCUUUGCCCUUUUCUUUAAACUAGUGGUCUUGUCAAUCAUCAACACUUGAUGCUCUUUCUUGAUUUCUACCUUCAUCGAUUUCAGCAUCACGAAGAUCUCGGGAAUCGUUUUUCGUCAUCCCUUGCAUACUAUAGUUCAUCACGAAGUUCUAGUAACUUAGUGAUGGUGACUAGAGAAUUCUGUCAAUCACUAUCUUAUCUGGAAGAUUAACUCCCACUUGAUUCAAGUGAUUGAAGUACCCAGACAAUCUGAGCACAUGCUCACUAGUUGAGCGAUUCUCCUCCAUCUUUUAGCUAUAGAACUUGUUGGAGACUUCAUAUCUCUCAACUCGGGUAUUUGCUGUAAAUAUUAACUACAACUCCUGGAACAUCUCAUAUGGUCCAUGAUGUUCAAAACGUCUUUGAAGUCCCGAUUCUAAGCCGUUAAGCAUGGUGCACUAAACUGUCAAGUAGUCAUCAUAUUGAGCCAGCCAAACGUUCAUAACGUCUGCAUCUACUCCUGCAAUUGGUCUGUCACCUAGCGGUGCAUUAAGGACAUAAUUCUUCUGCGCAGCAAUGAGGACAAACCUCAGAUCACGGAUCCAAUCCGCAUCAUUGCUACUAACAUCUUUCAACACAAUUUUCUCUAGGAACAUAUCAAAAUAAACAUAUCAAAGCAACAAUGCAAGCUAUUGAUCUACAAAAUAAUUUGCAAAAUACUACCAGGACUAAGUUCAUGAUAAAUUAAAGUUCAAUUAAUCAUAUUACUUAAGAACUCCCACUUAGAAAGACAUCCCUCUAAUCUUCUAAGUGAUCACGUGAUCCAAAUCAACUAAACCAUAACCGAUCAUCACGUGAGAUGGAGUAGUUUUCAAUGGUGAACAUCACUAUGUUGAUCAUAUCUACUAUAUGAUUCACGCUUGACCUUUCGGUCUCCAUGUUCCGAGGCCAUAUCUGCAUAUGCUAGGCUCGUCAAGUUUAACCUGAGUAUUCCGCGUGUGCAAAACUGGCUUGCACCCGUUGUAGAUGGACGUAGAGCUUAUCACACCCGAUCAUCACGUGGUGUCUGGGCACGACGAACUUUGGCAACGGUGCAUACUCAGGGAGAACACUUCUUGAUAAUUAGUGAGAGAUCAUCUUAAAAUGCUACCAUCAAUCAAAGCAAGAUAAGAUGCAUAAAAGAUAAACAUCACAUGCAAUCAAAAUAUGUGACAUGAUAUGGCCAUCAUCAUCUUGUGCCUUUGAUCUCCAUCUCCAAAGCAUCGUCAUGAUUUCCAUCGUCACCGGCAUGACACCAUGAUCUCCAUCAUCUUGAUCUAUAUCAAUGUGUCGUCACAUGGUCGUCUCACCAACUAUUGCUCUUGCAACUAUUGCUAUCGCAUAGCGAUAAAGUAAAGCAAUUAUUUAGCGCUUGCAUCUUAUGCAAUAAAGAGACAACCAUAAGGCUUCUGCCAGUUGCCGAUAACUUUAACAAAACAUGAUCAUCUCAUAGAACAACUUAUAUCUCAUCACGUCUUGACCAUAUCACAUCACAACAUGCCCUGCAAAAACAAGUUAGACGUCCUCUACUUUGUUGUUGCAAGUUUUACGUGGCUGCUAUGGGCUUAGCAAGAACCAUUCUUACCUACGCAUCAAAACCACAACGAUAGUUUGUCAAGUUGGUGUUGUUUUAACCUUCGCAAGGACCGGGCGUAGCCACACUCGGUUCAACUAAAGUUGGAGAAACUGACACCUGCUAGUCACCUGUGUGCAUAGCACGGCGGUAAAACCAGUCUCGCGUAAGCGUACGCGUAAUGUCGGUCCGGGCCGCUUCAUCCAACAAUACCGGCGAACCAAAGUAUGACAUGCUGGUAAGCAGUAUGACUUGUAUCGCCCACAACUCACUUGUGUUCUACUCAUGCAUAUAACAUCAACACAUAAAACCUAGGCUCGGAUGCCACUGUUAGGGAACGUAGUAAUUUCAAAAAAAUUCCUAUGCACACGCAAGAUCAUAGUGAUGGCAUAGCAACGAGAGGGGAGAGUGUUGUCUACGUACCCUCGUAGACCGUUAAGAGGAAGCGUUAUGACAACGCGGUUGAUGUAGUCGUACGUCUUCAGGAUCCGACCGAUCCAAGCACCGAACGUACGGCACCUCCGUGUUCAGCACACGUCCAGCUCGAUGACGUUCCCCGGGCUCCAAUCCAGCAAAGCGUCGGGGAUGAGUUCUGUCAGCACGACGGCAUGGUCACGAUGAUGAUGUUCUACCGGCGCAGGGCUUCGCCUAAACUCCGCGACGAUAUAACCGAGGUGGAAUAUGGUGGAGGGGGGCACCGCACACGGCUAAGGAACGAUCCGUAGAUCAACUUGUGUGUCAUGGGGUGCCCCCUGCCCCCGUAUAUAAAGGAGCAAGGGGGGAGGCCGGCCGGCCCUUGUGGGCGUGCCAAGGAGGAGUCCUCCUCCUAGUAGGAGUAGGACUCCCCCUUUCCUACUCCUACUAGGAGGGGGAAAGGAAGGGGAAGAGGGGGAAGGAAAGAGGGGGGCGCCGCCCCCACCCCUCCUAGUCCAAUUCGGACCAGAGGGAGAGGGGGCGCGCGGCCCACCCUGGCUGCCCCUCUCUCUUUCCACUAAGGCCCAUGUGGCCCAUUAACUCUCCCGGGGGGGUUCCGGUAACCCUCCGGCACUCCGGUUUUCUACGAAAUCACCCGGAACACUUCCGGUGUCCGAAUAUAGUCGUCCAAUAUAUCAAUCUUUAUGUCUCGACCAUUUCGAGAAUCCUCCUCAUGUCCGUGAUCACAUCCGGGACUCCGAACAAACUUCGGUACAUCAAAACUUAUAAACUCAUAAUAAAACUAUCAUCGUAACGUUAAGCGUGCGGACCCUACGGGUUCAAUAACUAUGUAGACAUGACCUAGAACUAUUCUCGGUCAAUAACCAAUAGUGGAACCUGGAUGUUCAUAUUGGUUCCUACAUAUUCUACGAAGAUCUUUAUCGGUCAAACCGCAUAACAACAUACGUUGUUCCCUUUGUCAUCGGUAUGUUACUUGCCCGAGAUUCGAUCGUCGGUAUCCAAUACCUAGUUCAAUCUCGUUACCGGCAAGUCUCUUUACUCAUUACAUAAUACAUCAUUUCGUAACUAACUCAUUAGUUACAAUGCUUGCAAGGCUUAAGUGAUGAGUAUUACCGAGAGGGCCCAGAGAUACCUCUCCGACAAUCGGAGUGACAAAACCUAAUCUUGAAUUAUGCCAACUCAACAUGUACCUUUGGAGACACCUGUAGAGAACCUUUAUAAUCACCCAGUUACGUUGUGACGUUUGGUAGCACACAAAGUGUUCCUCCGGUAAACGGGAGUUGCGCAAUCUCAUAGUUGUUGGAACUUUGUAUAAGUCAUGAAGAAAGCAAUAGCAACAUACUAAACGAUCAAGUGCUAAGCUAACGGAAUGGGUCAAGUCAAUCACAUCAUUCUCCUAAUGAUGUGAUCCCGUUAAUCAAAUGACAACUCUUUUGUCCAUGGUUAGGAAACAUAACCAUCUUUGAUAAACGAGCUAGUCAAGUAGAGGCAUACUAGUGACACUAUGUUUGUCUAUGUAUUCACACAUGUAUUAUGUUUCCGGUUAAUACAAUUCUAGCAUGAAUAAUAAACAUUUAUCAUGAUAUAAGGAAAUAAAUAAUAACUUUAUUAUUGCCUCUAGGGCAUAUUUCCUUCAUGUACCUAGGGUAGGCUCAUGGACCUGUCCAAGAUACCCUCCCCAAGGACAUCUCUAGAAGAAAUCACCUUUCAAUCGACCUGGAAAUGUUCCACUCGACGGACUCAAAGACACUCGACCAUGAAGCCAUCCACUCGACAGCCAGGAGACCUAAAGUCACUCUGCACGCCAACGGUCGGUCAUUAAGUAGCUUUUAUGGUCAUCAUAGCACUUUAUUUGUAGCGUUAUCAGUAACGCCCAAUCUUAAUGUAUCUUAAACCCUGCAUAACUGAGGGCCGGAGGGGUCUGGUGGACUCUAUAUAAGCCACCCCCCUCCUCAGUGUAAAGGGUUCGCACCCCUGUAACUCAUACGCAUAUAAUCUAGUCGACCGCCUCCGGGCUCCGAGACGUAGGGCUGUUACUUCCUCCGAGAAGGGCCUGAACUCGUAAAUCCCUUGCGUACACAACUACUCCAUAGCUAGGAUCUUGCCUCUCCAUUCCUACCCCCUACACUACUGUCAGACUUAGAACCACGACAGUUGGCGCCCACCAUGGGGCAGGUGUCUUAGCGACUUAUUGGAGAAGUUGCGAUUUUUUCCGAUCUCCUUCAUCAUGGUUUCAGGCGGAGUUUUGGUUGAGAGCCGCCAGAUCCUUCUCGGCGCGCUCACGUUCAUCGCCGACGACUCUACUUGGCUUCAGGAGGCUCCGCUCGACAUCGACGCGCUCCUAGUCCGCGGAGCGACGCACUUUCACGCGUGCAUCCGCGGUGUCCUCCUGCGGCAACCGUCGACCCAGUAUCGGUCGGUCCUUGUGUCGUCCUCCCACCCUGUUUCCUACCGGCGCAAGCGCUCCGGUCGGUCGAGGCUUCAGCGAUGGGUGAGACACGCGGUGGAUCGCCAGUCGGCCACCCCCCAAGUCACGGCAAUCAAGCCCGACGAAUCUCUAUGGCUUGUUCGACCUGUCGACUGGCUCCGCAGAGACUGCAUCCGAGUGCGACAGCAGUGAUCCAGCGGCGGAGGUUCUGAUGGUCGAUGCACCACACGGUCCUCCCGGUUUUCCUGGCACCGACGAAGGAGAUAGCGGAGGCGAUCCGCCACAUGCCCAUGAAGAGUAUCUCCUCGAGCCCCUCACUUCGCUACAAAGGGAAGAACUUCGCUGCUGGAACAUGGAUGCGCUUCAUACUCCUAUCAUUGGAGAAACUCCCGAGGCUCGUGCAUUAGAGGACGCGCUUGGCCAACUUGGCUGAGCGCACUCGACUGGAGAACCUCCAGCGAGCACUCGACGAGCGUGCGCGGCAACGGGUUCCAGAAUCCAGUCGAUGUCAACUCUUUCCACCACCGCCUCAGGUAUAUCGAACUCCGAUUCAGAAUUUAGCAGCUGCAGCCCGAAUAGCAGAGUCGAUUCAGCCUUCCCAGUCAGAGGCUGGCAGAGGCUUGUUACAGAUCAAAGAUUUACUCUGGGCAGCCGGAGAUCAGAAUUCAGUUGUAUCGUAGUCGCGGAAUAGGAUUCACAGCAGGUCCAUAACUUCAAAUACAGUCCAGUCGGCCCAUAGCCCCAGAUCGCCCCCGAGGCAUGAGGAGCGUCGAGACCGGCGUGAUCAGUAAAAGAACCGUGAGUAGUAUGAUCACCGAAUCGAUCGCGAUGAUCGACGUCGAGUGCCCACCCCUCCCCCAAGGGGUGGAUCGUACGCACCUCGACAACAGGAUGAUAGACGCCAUCACAGUGUUGGGCGAAGGAUUCCAGUCGACCCCAGGGAACCAGGCUUUGAUGCGAGAUCCAUUAUCAUUCAAGGUUUGGUCGACAGGAACAAAGCUCACCGAGAAGGUCACGACAGAGAUGUACCCACCAGCAGCAGAGUGCACGUCUUAGGACCGGAGUGUUUCAGCAGAGCCAUCAGGGCCGCGGUGAUGCCUCCCAACUUCAGGUUGGCGACUGGAGUUAGUAAGUUCACUGGUGAGUCCAAGCCUGAUACUUGGCUUGAAGACUACCGAGUGGCUGUUCAUAUUGGCGGCGGCAAUAAUGAGGUGGCCAUGAAACACCUGCCUCUUAUGUUGGAGGGCUCGGCCAGAGCAUGGUUGAAUUAGUUAGCACCCACCAGCAUUUACACUUGGGAAGAUCUUGCCCGAGUGUUUGUCAGAACGUUUGAAGGAACUUGCAAGCGACCAGCAGGAUUGAUAGAGUUGCAAUCUUGUGUGCAGAAGUCGAAUGAGACUUUGAGAGAUUACAUCUAGAGAUGGAUCACAUUGCAUCACACGGUAGAGAAUGUGUCUGAUCACCAGGCAGUCUGUGCCUUCAAGGAAGGCGUUAACUGCAGAGAGCUAAACCUAAAAUUUGGUCAAACCGGAGACAUGUCUCUGAGUCGAAUGAUGGAGAUAGCCACCAAGUAUGUCAAUGGUGAAGAAGAGGAUCGGCUCCGGAGUGGCAAGCACAAGUCAGUCGCCCACGAAACCGGAGGAGGGAACUCCAGUCGGAAGCAAAAGCGGAAAGCCGAGCCAGCUACUCCUGGAGAAGCCUUGGCCGUGACUCAAGGAAAGUUUAAAGGGAAGCCCAAGGGGUCUUGGAACCCUAAGAAGGUGUAGGACAAGGAAGGAUAUGACAUGUUGGAUUUGUCGUGCCACAUCCACACGAACAAAGAUGAAGAACGUAAACUCAUUUACCCGAAACAUACCACUCGAUAGUGUCGGCUCUUGAUCUAGCAAUUCCAGGGGAAACAGCCCAAGGAUAAGGAAAAGGAGUCGGACAAAGUUGAGGACGAAGAAGAUAGUGAUGAUGGAUAUCCCCGGGUCAAUUCCACCCUGAUGAUUUUUGCUGACGUUGAAAGCAAAAGUCUAUUGAAAGUUAUAAACCGAGAAGUGAAUAUGGUUGCUCCGGUGAGACCCAGUUAUCUAAAAUGGUCUCAGACUGCCAUCACAUUCGACCAGUCUGAUCACCCGACACGCAUAUCCACCCCUAGGAGGCAAGCUCUGGUGCUCGACCCAGUCGUCGAAGGCACUUGACUGACUAAAGUUUUGAUGGAUGGCGGCAGUGGCCUGAAUAUAUUGUAUGCAGAGACGUUGAAAGGGAUGGGCAUUCCGAUGUCCAGACUCAGUACCAGCAACAUGAUCUUCCAUGGAGUCAUUCCUGGAAAGAAAGCUGAGUCACUCGGUCAAAUUGCUCUUGAUGUGGUUUUUGGUGAUUCCAAAAAUUACCGCACAGAAAAGUUGACGUUUGAAGUUGUGGAUUUCCAGAGUGCUUAUCACGCUAUUUUGGGCAGGCCAGCUUAUGCGUGUUUUAUGGCUCGACCAUGUUAUGUGUAUCUCAAAUUGAAGAUGCCUGGCCCCAAAGGUGUGAUCACUAUUACUGGCAAUCGGAAGAAGGCGGAAGAGUGCUUUCAGAAAGGCUCAAAGAUCGCCAAUGCUCAGAUGGCAGCGGGAGAGUGGUUGGAAUACCAGAAAACUGUAGACCCGAGUUAUUGUUGCGAGCCAAGAAGCCCGCUACGGAAUCAGCAUUUCAGUCGUCUGGUGAGACAAAACCGAUUCACAUUCACCCGACCGACCCUAGUGCUGCUCUGACUCAUAUCUCUACAACACUCGACUCCAUAUAGGAAGAAGCGCUCAUCCAGUUCCUCCGUGAGAACUGGGACAUCUUCGCAUGGAAACCUUCUGACAUGCCGGGUGUUCCCAGGGGGCUGGCUGAGCGCCGUCUACGAGUCGACUCAAAAGUGAAACCUGUUAAAGAACAUCUUCAACGGUCCGCCGUCCAGAAAAGAAAGGCCAUUGGCGAGGAGGUGGCUCGGCUCUUAGCUGCAGAGUUUAUCCGAGAAAUUUAUCACUCCGAGUGGCUCGCCAAUGUUGUCAUGGUCCCCAAGAUGGACAAGUCACUUCGCAUGUGCAUUGACUUCAAACAUAUCAAUCGGGCCUGCCCGAAAGAUCAUUUUCCUCUGCCCCGCAUAGACCAAAUAGUCGACUCGACUGCGGGAUGUGAGCGCAUGUCUUUCUUAGACGCCUAUUCCGGGUACCAUCAGAUCCGUCUGUAUGGACCCAAUGAGAUCAAAACAGCUUUCAUCACUCCAUUCGGGUGCUUCUGUUAUGUCACCAUGCCAUUCGGCCUCAAGAAUGCCGGAGCCACGUUCAUGAGGAUGAUUCAGAAGUGUUUGCUCACUCAAAUCAGUCGGAAUGUGGAAGCAUACAUGGAUGAUAUUGUGGUCAAGUCACGGAAACGUUCCGACCUGCUGACUGAUCUUGCAGAGACAUUUGCCAACCUCAGGAGGUAUGAUAUCAAUAUUAAUCCAUCAAAGUGCACAUUCGGAGUUCCUGGCGGAAAGUUACUCAGUUUUCUCGUUUCCGAACGAGGAAUCGACGCUAAUCCAGAAAAAGAUGGUACUAUACUCCGAAUGAAACGUCCUGUGCGUGUGCACGAUGUCCAGAAGCUUACUGGUUGCUUGGCCGCUUUAAGUCGAUUCAUCUCUCGUCUCGGUGAAAAGGCAUUGCCUCUUUACCGACUGAUGACGAAGUCAGACAAGUUCGAGUGGACUCCUGAAGCUGAUGCAGCGUUUGCAGAGCUAAAAACCCUGCUUUCCACCCAGCCGGUGCUUGCUGCCCCGAUCAGCAAAGAGCCUUUGCUGCUUUACAUUGCAGCCACGGGACAAGUCGUUAGUACAGUACUUACGGUCGAGCGGGAAGAAGAAGGAAAAGACAUUAAAGUUCAGCGCCCAGUGUAUUAUAUUUCUGAAGUUUUGACCCCAUCAAAGCAAAAAUACCCUCAUUAUCAGAAGCUUGUAUAUGGGAUUUAUAUGACCACGAAGAAGGUUGCUCAUUACUUCUCUUACCAUUCCAUUACAGUUGUCAGCGACGCUCCAUUGUCAGAGAUUUUGCACAACAGAGAUGCAACCGGUCGAGUGGCAAAAUGGGCGAUUGAACUCCUUCCCCUAGAUAUCAGGUUUGAGGCAAAGAAAGCCAUCAAAUCCCAAGCAAUAGCAGAUUUCAUCGCCGAGUGGACCGAACAGCAACUGCCGACUCAAGUUCACUCAGAGCACUGGAUCAUGUUCUUUGNNNNNNNNNNNNNNNNNNNNNNNNNNNNNNNNNNNNNNNNNNNNNNNNNNNNNNNNNNNNNNNNNNNNNNNNNNNNNNNNNNNNNNNNNNNNNNNNNNNNNNNNNNNNNNNNNNNNNNNNNNNNNNNNNNNNNNNNNNNNNNNNNNNNNNNNNNNNNNNNNNNNNNNNNNNNNNNNNNNNNNNNNNNNNNNNNNNNNNNNNNAGGAGAUAAGCUAAGAUAUGUGCUCUAGAUUCACUUUGGUUCCUCCAAUAACGAAGCAGAAUAUGAAGCACUUUUGUAUGGGUUGCUUAUGGCCAUUUCACUUGGCGUCCGUCGCCUCAUGGUCUAUGGCGACUCUGAUUUGGUGGUUAACCAAGUGAUGAAGGAGUGGGACAUCAGAAGCCCAGCCAUGACUGGUUACUGCAAUGCAGUGAGAAAGCUAGAGAAGAAAUUCAAGGGGUUAGAGCUUCAUCAUAUACCCCGACUGAAAAAUCAAGCAGCUGAUGAUUUGGCAAAAAUAGGUUCCAAGAGAGAAGCCAUUACCAGUAAUGUGUUUUUGGAACACAUCCACACACCAUCAGUUCAAGAGGAUCCUUUCACCGAAGAAGCCCCGCAGCCAAAAAGUGCCACGGAUCCGACUGAAGUUGAGGUCCCAGCUGUGGUCGACCUGAUCAUGGAAGUUUUGGUCAUCACUCCCGACUGGACAGUGCCGUACAUCGCGUAUAUCCUAAGGAAAGAACUCCCAGAGAAUGAAGAAGAGGCUCGAUAGAUCGUCUGUCGAUGCAAGGUCUUUACUGUGAUAAAGAGACAGUUGUACAGGGAAAGCACGACUGGAGCCAGUCAGAAAUGUAUAACGCCAUAAGAAGUUCGGAUAAUUCUUGACGAUAUCCACUCGGGGACCUGUGGCCACCAUGCGUCCUCUCGGACUAUUGUGGCUAAAGCAUACCGAGCGGGGCUUUACUGGCCCAGAGCAAAUGAAAUGGCGAAGGAGAUAGUCGACAAGUGUGAAGGAUGUCAGUUCUAUUCCAAUAUGUCACAAAAGCCCGCCUCAGCCUUGAAGACCAUUCCACUCGUCUGGCCCUUCGCUAUUUGGGGAUUAGAUAUGGUUGGACCACUGAGAACUGGCAGGAGCGUCUUCAGCCAUGUACUGGUGGCAGUCGACAAGUUCACUAAGUGGAUCGAAGCCAAGCCUAUCAAGAAUCUUGAUGCCUCCACUGCUAUCAGCUUCAUUAGAGACUUGAUAUUUAGAUAUGUAGUUCCGCAUAGCAUCAUCACUGAUAAUGGGUCAAACUUCGAUUCCGACCAAUUCAAAGCCUUUUGUGCUUCUCAAGGCACGCGAGUCGACUACGCUUCCGACGCUCACCCCCAGUUGAAUGGACAAGCAACAAGAGCAAACGGCCUAAUUCUCAAAGGACUGAAACCCCGGUUGAUGCGUGAUCUCAAACACACAGCAGGCGCGUGGGUCGACGAACUUCCAUCAGUCCUUUGGGGAUUGAGGACUACUCCUAAUCGGUCGACUGGGCAAACUCCAUUCUUUCUGGUCUAUGGAGCUGAAGUGGUUCUGCCGAGUGACCUGCUUCACAAUGCACCCGAGUCGAGCUCUACUCUGAAGAUGAAGCAGAAGAAGCUCGGCAGGACGCAGUCGACCUUCUAGAAGAAGAAAGGGAGAUGGCCAUGAUCCGAUCGACCAUCUAUCAGCAGAACUUGCGUCGAUUAAAUGCCAGAAACGUGAAGAGUCGAGCCUUCCAAGAAGGAGACUUGGUCCUCCGAAUGGAUCAACAGAAGCCACACAAACUCGCCCCUACUUGGGAAGGCCCCUUCAUCGGCACCAAAGUUCUCCACAAUGGAGCGUACCAUCUUUACAAUGUCGAUCGCCAGAUUGAUGAGCCUCGAGCUUGGAAUGCGGAGCUGCUCCGCGCCUUUUAUACUUAAGUACUCACUCGGAUGAGAUGUAAUAAAAAGUACCUCUGUAGUUCGUUUAUCAAAGACAAGAGGGCUAUAAUUUUCCCAUUGUUUGUUGUUGCUUUUGUUUACAUGUGAAAUCCCCCAGUGGGUGGCUUAGCUGCAAACCCGUUUCGCCUAAGUUUGUAAAAAAAAAUCUUCUACCGGGUAACGAGCAAGCCUCUUGCUCGGGGGCUUAGCUGCGAAUCCGUUUCGCCCAAGUAUUUGAAAAUCGAAGCGAGUGACGAGCAAGCCUCUCACUCGGAGGCUUAGCUGCGAAUCCGUUUCGCCUAAGUAUUUGAAAAUCCUACCGAAUGGAGAGCAAACCUCCCACUCGGAGGCUUAGCUGCAGUCCAGUACUCGCCUAAGUAUUUGAAAAUCCUACCGAGUGGAGAGCAAACCUUCCACGCGGGGGCUUAGCUGCAGUCCAGUACUCACCUAAGUAUUUGAAAAUCCAACCGAGUGGAGAGCAAACCUUCCACUCGGGGGCUUAGCUGCAGUCCAGUACUCGCCUAAGUAUUUGAAAAUCCUACCGAGUGGAGAGCAAACCUUCCACUCGGGGGCUUAGCUGCAGUCCAGUACUCGCCUAAGUAUUUGAAAAUCCUACCGAGUGGNNNNNNNNNNNNNNNNNNNNNNNNNNNNNNNNNNNNNNNNNNNNNNNNNNNNNNNNNNNNNNNNNNNNNNNNNNNNNNNNNNNNNNNNNNNNNNNNNNNNNNNNNNNNNNNNNNNNNNNNNNNNNNNNNNNNNNNNNNNNNNNNNNNNNNNNNNNNNNNNNNNNNNNNNNNNNNNNNNNNNNNNNNNNNNNNNNNNNNNNNNNNNNNNNNNNNNNNNNNNNNNNNNNNNNNNNNNNNNNNNNNNNNNNNNNNNNNNNNNNNNNNNNNNNNNNNNNNNNNNNNNNNNNNNNNNNNNNNNNNNNNNNNNNNNNNNNNNNCUCGGGGGCUUAGCUGCAGUCCAGUACUCGCCUAAGUAUUUGAAAAUCCUACCAAGUGGAGAGCAAACCUUCCACUCGGGGGCUUAGCUGCAGUCCAGUACUCGCCUAAGUAUUUGAAAAUCCUACCGAGUGGAGAGCAAACCUUCCACUCGGGGGCUUAGCUGCAGUCCCGUACUCGCCUAAGUAUUUGAAAAUCCUACCGAGUGGAGAGCAAACCUCCCACUCGGAGGCUUAGCUGCAGUCCAGUACUCGCCUAAGUAUUUGAAAAUCCUACCAAGUGGAGAGCAAACCUCCCACUCGGAGGCUUAGCUGUAGUCCAAAGCGCUCGCCUAAGUAUGAAAUCCAACGUGCUCUCUGCAAGGCCGACGAGGUGCAGGUCGACUGCUAACUUCUCCUUCAGAGCUACGCCACAAAUACAAUGUGCGCUCUGCAAAGACGACGAGGUGCAGGUCGACUAAUACCUUCUCCUUCGGAGCUACGCCACAAAUACAAUGUGCGCUCUACAAAGACGACGAGGUGCAGGUCGACUGCUAGCUUCUCCUUCGGAGCUACGCUACAAAUACAACGUGCGCUCCAUCUCGAUCCGCAAGGACGCAGGUCGACUGCAAUCUGUGCUCCGUCCCUACCUGCAAGAGCGAUGAGGCGCAGGUCGACUGGAUUCUCCACCUCGGAGUUGCGUCUCAAGCAGUAAAGUAUAUUCCGAGUGAAGAACAAAGUUUGCUCGAAGGCAAAUGCAAGCAUAUUCAACGAUAAGCCAAGUUCAGAUAACAACCUACGGAUUCAGAAGUGCUUAGGCAUCAAGCCUAUAAAAUUUUAUUGGUUAAAAAACCACUUGGCAUUCCGAGGCAAAUUUAAGGCGAAGCAUAGAAGUUUUUCUUACUCCUUGGGUGGAGGACUGGAAGGCGCGACAAACUGGUCCAGGUCGAUUCCAUCAGCAAUCCGAGUAGUAGCAGCAAUGAAGGUCUCCAUGAAAGGUUGGAAGUCAUGCUUCUUUGUAUUGGCCACUUUGAGGGACGCCAGCUUGUCCUCUCAUGCAUCCUUGCAGUGAACACGGACCAGGGAUAGAGCAACAUCAGCACCACACCUGGCAGAAGACUUCUUCCAUUCUUGCACUCGACCUGGAACUUCAUUCAGUCGAGUCAUUAGAGACUCGAGGUCAUUUUGAAGCGUCUCUCCCGGCCAGAGUGUCGUGUCCAUUCGCGACGCCUCAACCUUCAGUUGAGCAAGGUAGUCAACCACACCAGCAACACGAGACUCCAGUCGGAGCACAUUCAUGGCAGUUUCAUCCUUCACAGGAGAGUUGAUGGGAUCCAAGCCUGUCUCUACUCGGCUGGUCUCCUCCUCGAAGUUUUGGCAGAAUUCUGUAAACACAAUUCAAAGAUAAACCAGCAGUUCUACGUUCAGUCGACGGUAACAAGUCAGUCAGGUAGGAGAGAUUACCCUCAAGCAUGAUGAAUAACUUCUUGGCAAGCCCCCAGAUAGACCUCCAGAUCGUUCUUCUUCCCCGCCAGUUCACUAGCCUUGUCACUCAGAGCUAUCUUGUCAUUCUUCAGACGGCUGACCUCCUUGUUGGCCGCGUCGAGAGCAGCUUUCAGAUUGGCGUUCUCCUCUUCAAGUUUACCGACUGAAGCCAGUUUUUCUUCCGCAAGCUUCAUUUUUUCCAAAGCCGCCUUCUGCGCCUCGGCAAGGUCAUGGUCCUUCUUUUUUAGAGCCUCCUUUAUUUUAUCUGUAAAAUGACAAUGAGAUCAGAAUUAGGAAUGAGCAGAAAGAUAAAGACAGUUGUCAAGUUCUCACCAAUCAUACCUUUUGCUUCGUCCUUCGCCUUCUGAAAGUUCUCCUGAGCAAGCUUCAAGUCAAGGUCGAGCUGGAUAUGUUUUUUUCCAACUCAGUAUAGCGAGCCACAAGUUCGCAAGAUUUCUGUGAAGAGUCAGUCGACAAACAUCAAAGAGAGGUUGCUUCUAAGUAACUAAGAGAAAAACCAUAGCAUUUCUAAGACUACAGUCGAAUCAAAAUAUUCAACAGUAGUCUCGGAGACUACACCCAGUGGGUGCACUCAGCGUGCCCCCACUGGUUCUACCGACUUGGUCCGAUCAGUCGGCCGAAAAGAGACAAAGAGGUUAUGAUCCUAAAACUAUAGCUCUAUAGCUAACUACCAGCAGUCAGCCUUGGUCUCAUCAUGAUCUACCAAAAAAACAGGUUCUUCAGACUACAGUCGACUGCCAGCAGUCCACCAUAGUCUCGGGGACUACACCCAGUGGGUGCCCUCAGUGUGCCCCCACCGGUUCCAAGAUUCCAUUCGACAUGGUCCGACCAGAUCGAGUGAAAAAGUUGGAGUGAAGAAAUUUAAAAUACGAAGACUACAGUCGACUGCCAGCAGUCGACCAUAGUCUCGGGGACUACACCCAGUGGUACACUCAGCGUGCCCCCACCAAUCCAAAAAUUCAAUCGACACACCCAGUGGGUGUACAGAUACAAAGAUCUUCGGAAAGAAAGUCUUCAGAUAGCAUAUCCUAACAGAACAAGCGGUGACCAACUAACCUGGACGUUGCUCUGAAGAGAUGAGCUAGCAUCAUAGGCCGCUUGGCUGGCUUCCCGGAUCGCCUUCACAUGCUCCAUCAUGAUCCCCGCCUGGCGUAUAGCCUCCUUAGCAGCACCCGCUUGGUCCUCUGGGACAUGGUGUGUGGCGAAAAGGGAGGGCGGGUCAGCAGUCGACGACGACGGUCGGGCACUCGUCAGCGGCACAGCGAAGGACACGGAAUGCCGAGUGAUGUUGUCACCCUCUUGAACCAACGUCUCAGGCAUUGACGCAGUCUGAGUAGUCUUGCCAUUCGGCACCUUUGUAUUUCUCCUCGACCUCAGCGGCGCCUCGUCAUCAUCAUCAGGGAGAUCGAUGACAUGAGGGUGAACUACAGGAAAAAUCCAAAGUUGAAAUCAAAAAUCCAAUUGACCAAAAGUGAAAUUACAUAAGGCAUACCAUGGUUGGAGGUGGCAGCGUCUUCCAUUUCCUGGUCUUCGUUCUUGGCAGAGGUCUCGGAGGUAGCAGCACUGCAGGUUUCAGAAACCAGUCGGUUAAUCAAUGAGUCGACCAAGAGUUCGUCCGUGCUAAACAAGGAAACACAAGUUCUGCUGUUACCCAGAAAUGGUGGGAAUGGCCAUUCUCAUCUUGGGCAAGGCCUUCGGCGGCUUUGAUGGCACCGCUCAUGGAUGCUUCGGUGCUUUUUUAGUCGGCGCCGGAGAAGCCGCCUGAGGGCGCUUUGACGAUUGCACAACGGGCACAACCGCUUUGCCGCGCUCGCUCACGGGGUCGUGGGCGAGCUUGGAUCGCCUUUCCGUGUGAGGAGGAUCGACUUCCUCCUCCUCCUCUUCGCUGGAGCCGUCGUCAUCCUCUUCCCCCUCACCAUCAGAUUGCCACUCCUCCUCACUUUCACCUCCACUCGCCUCUCCCUCCUCGGCAUGUUCUUGCGCCCCGUUGGGCAUCGAGUACAUCUCAGUCGUGGCCUAGAAGAAAACAAACAACAAGAAAGUCAGUCGACUGAUUUUAAGCAAACAGAAUGAAGAAAGCACGAUCACAGUCCGAGAUGCAGAAUGGGACCUUGUCUACUUCGUAUGAUUGGUCGAGUGGAGGAAUCCUCAUGGAUCCUCGGGGGUUGUCUUUGUUCCCUGUGAUGCUCCCCAGCCACCACUUCAGUGUGGCAUCGUCAAUCUCCUCUGGGUCGAUCCGAGUGGUGUCCUGAGUACUAGAAUACAACCACAUCGGAUGGUCUCGGGCUUGAAGCGGCUGGAUGCGUCGGAGGAGGAAGACCUCCAAGAGGUCCAUGCCGGUCACCCCGUCACGGAUAAGCUGGAUGACAUGCUCGACCAGCACCUUAACCUGCGCCUUCUCUUCCGGGAUCACCUUCAAAGAGGAAGGCUUCCUCACUCGUUCCAUGGAAAAAGGAGGGAGUCUGGUCGACUGCCCUGGCGUCGGCUGGUCUUUGCAGUAGGACCAGGUCGACUGCCAUCCACGGACCGAGUCAGGAAGGAUCAUGGCCGGGAAAGAGCUUUUUCCUCUCAUUUGAACCCCAAGACCCCCACACAUCUGAAUCACUCGUGUUCUCUCAUCACUCGGAUUGGCCUUUUUCACCGUCUGGGAGCGACAGGUGAAGAUGUACUUGAAAAGACCCCAAUGAGGCCGGCAACACAAGAAAUUCUCGCACAAAGACACGUAAGCAGCGAGGUACACGAUGGUGUUGGGGGUGAAGUGGUGGAGUUGCGCCCCAAAGAAAUUUAGAAAUCCCCGAAAGAAAGGGUGAGGCGGCAAAGAAAACCCACGGUCGCAUGGGUGGCCAAGCGAACGCACUCACCCUCCUGAGGCUGCGGCACGGACUCCUUCCCCGGGAGCCGCGCCGAUCCAUGGGGGAUCAGUCCUCCAUCGGCCAGGUCAUCAAGAUCUGCUUCACGAAUCGUCGAGCGGAUCCAGUCGCCCUGGAUCCAGCCCUGCGGCAGGCCGGCCCUCGAUGAAGAUCCGCCUCGACUGGUCGCCCUUCCCUUCACCUUCGCCGUCGCUUUCUUCGCCCGCUCCAGGGCCGCCGUCUUCUCUUUCACCAUCGUCGCCGGCGAGACGCGCAUGGGGUAGCGGCGCUGAGGCGGAAGCGAAUGCGGCGGAUAAGUCUGGAGAAGAGAGGAGGAAAUGAGAACGCACUGUUCAAACACCCCCGUCCGGCGCCUUAUAUGAGGAUACUUCUGAGUGACUGACUUGUAGGCCCGGACGAUCCUGUCAAAUCCCGCAACAGUCGCGCGUGCGAUACGUGGCGAAAAAGGUGGCACAGAGAUUGAGGCGGCCCUGCCUUACCCCAUCCGAUUACUGCGGCCUCCUCCGCCCCGCGCGUGUGACACUCCAAAUUUUUUUUUAUUUUUUUUCAGAAAGAGCCCUUGCUUGGUUUGAAAGAAGGUUAUUUAAACCCUUCCUAAAAACCAUCUUCUAAAUUUGCCCUCUCAAAAAUCCUUUUCUUGGAUUUGGUUUCUUUUAAAAAUGAAAACCCUUUUAAUUUUGGACUUUUAUUUGGUUUUGGUCCCUUCAAAAAUUUCACCAUGCCUCCUAUGCUGAAAAUUUUCCCAAACCCACUCCUUCCACUUUGGUUCAACCCUAACAAUCUGUCCAAACUAAUAAAAUCCAUUUUUGGAUUUUAUUCCAACUAUUUCUCCUCCCAAAAUAAAUCUGUCUAUCCUUUUGAGCCUAGGUGGAUUGCAAAGCAACCUCAACUCAGCACCCUUGGAUAGUCCUUUGUACCCACAACCCAGAACCAUCUUGAUCCACUCUUCUCCUGUUCAAAUAUUUCAAAUUGCACUCACUGCAAGUUUCGACAAGAUUUGCCAAAUUUGGUGAAAUUCAUAUCUAUACCUCUCCAAAAAUUCCACAAAUAUUCAAGCAGCCUCUAGAUGCAAUGAGAGGCCCCUCCACCAAAAACCAGCUCAAGGAAAAAUCCCUACAUGCCUAGAUCAUUCUGUCUAACACCUUGCAUGCACUGUUCUGGCCAUAUUCAGUUAAAUUCAGAAGUUCAGUGUCGAUCUUCGUCAGUAACUUCAGUCACGAGCCCACAGUGCGCUUGGCACGUAGCUCGCGGCCAGCCUUGCUUGUCCGGAGCCUCACACGCGCACUUGGCGCCUUCCUGGCGUCGGUGGCACCCUGGCCCGCCUGCGCAGGCGUGUCUUGCGGCGGCCGUAGCGCCAUAGCGGCCGACAGGAAGCAGAACGGCGGCGCGCAUGGCCCAAGCGUCCUGGUGGCUCCGCGUGGCCACCUCCUUGCCAGCGCACGCAUGCAGCACCGUCGCCGUGGCGCCCCAUUCCAUCGAACUCACCCUAAACCCCCAAAUCCCGACGUGGUUAGCACCAAAACGGAACCAUGGGACACCCACGACGACGUUCAGCCUCUGAAACCUCCCGUGCAACCGCAGCACCGCCGUAAUCACCUCGCCGGAGAACCCUGUUCUCGGCAACCGCCUCGGGGCGGCUAUAUAUAGCACCCCGAGCCUGCUCUCGCCCCCGGCGCACCUCCUCUACCUCAUCAGACCCCGCACAGCCAUUGAAUGAGCCACGAGGAGCUCUCCUUCCCCGACUCCGGCCACUCCGUUCCGCCUCGGCCCCCACCGUGAUUCACUCUGGUAAGGCCAUCUCCGGCGCCCUAGCCUCGUCAGAUACCUCCUCAUACUAUCGCGAGUCUAACCCCCUCACCAUUCCACCUCCGCAGCUCUCUCCGGCGAGAUCCACGGCCACCCGAAUCACCGUCCGCCGGAGCAAGCAUCGCCGCCGACGUGGUACUCGCCGGCGACCACCACCACCUCCCACAGACGCGGAAUGGCGCCCUGAUCACGGAGGUACACUCCGAUCUCCCUGCCUUGUCGUGGAUCACCGCCGGCGACCACCGCGGCUCUCGGGCGCCGACGAGCCCUGACACCCCUGUUUGAACUUUCAAACCUGACGGGUGGGACCCGCCCAUCAGCCUCUCUUUAGUUUUUUUAAAAUCAUUUGCAGAAGGCGUACUCUGGCAAAUACGCUUUCUCUCUGAACCGUUUUUUUCUGGAUUCUUCUACAUAGCCCCCUGGAAGAUUUCUGUUUCAUUACAGAUGGGUCCUUGGACCAAAACUCUUAUAACUUUUGAUCAGAAAAGUAUUUUUGAUUAAUUCUUUUUUUGUUCUCUUCAGAUUUUUGUCUAGUUUUUUAUCAUAUUUAUUUGAAAAAUAUUUGGAACACUUUUCUGUACACUCACGGUAUUUACGUUGCGUACAUAUUUUUCUUAUACCGUAGAUACCGGAGGAGGUGACGGAGCCGCAAACUUCGCACAGUUAGACUCCGACUACUCCGAACUAGGCAAGCAUGUUUGAACUCUUGAUAUGAUGAGUGUUGUUGCAUGUUUGCAUUUUAGUAUAGUCACGGCAUGUUUAUGAACAUCACUUUGUAUGAUAUAUCUCAUGCACAUGAUCGGAAAGUAGGUUUUGGAAAGCACUAUGUUGUUGGAUACAUAUUUGCAAAGCCAUGUGUUGGUAUGUGGAUGGGUAAGAUGGUAGUGUUGUGACAUGCCAGUCUUAUGCCAGAUUAUUUGACUUCCGUGUCGUCAUGACACAAUUCACAUUCCCAUUCAUUCCAUCCUAUACUGUCACAUGUUUUCCGAAAGGAAUAUGGCAUAGUAAGUUGCAAGUCGUUUUCCUGGUACACACCAAGUGGAGAGGCCGGGAUGAGGGUUCCAUGGCCCUGGAUUAAAGCCCGUCAUCCGGUCAGGGGGCAUGGGUGUUUCCGGUUGGGACCGAGAGGGGGGCACCCCUUAGAGCGCGCGUAUAGAAAUUCGAUCCCAUGCUAUUCGAGGUUGUGGCCUCCCCGUCUCAAAGUUUUUCUUGGACGUUGUCCAGGGUGAUUCCUGGCAUCGUGAGGUGAAAUGGGUGUGUACUAGUUAAAUGUGUUUCUACUGAAAUGCCGUAAACGGAACUAGUCCUUCGUGACUACGGAAAUCCGUUGGCUGUGUUCAGUUCUUCCAAACUCUGCAGAGUCUCAAUCUUUCAAUUAUCUUGUACUUUGUUCAAGUACUAUAAUUGUCUUAUCUUGUCAGGUAUUCAGCCUCAGUGAGAAAAACUCCGGUGGGAUUUAUGUGUAAUAAAUCCGGUUAAAAGAUUAUUCUUGUGGAUGAACUAAUCUCGUUAUUUACAUUUGUUACAAGGCCCUGUCUGUGAUGUCGCUCAGACGUCCGACGGUGGCAUACCUAUUAUUUUGCUAUUGUUAAAGCCCUGUCUGUGAUGUCGCUCAGACGUCCGACGGUGGUAUUUCUUAUAAAGCCCUGUCUGUGAUGUCGCUCAGACGUCCGACGGUGGUAUUUCUUUUUAAAGCCCUGUCUGUGAUGUCGCUCAGACGUCCGACGGUGGUAUUUCUUUUUAAAGNNNNNNNNNNNNNNNNNNNNNNNNNNNNNNNNNNNNNNNNNNNNNNNNNNNNNNNNNNNNNNNNNNNNNNNNNNNNNNNNNNNNNNNNNNNNNNNNNNNNNNNNNNNNNNNNNNNNNNNNNNNNNNNNNNNNNNNNNNNNNNNNNNNNNNNNNNNNNNNNNNNNNNNNNNNNNNNNNNNNNNNNNNNNNNNNNNNNNNNNNNNNNNNNNNNNNNNNNNNNNNNNNNNNNNNNNNNNNNNNNNNNNNNNNNNNNNNNNNNNNNNNNNNNNNNNNNNNNNNNNNNNNNNNNNNNNNNNNNNNNNNNNNNNNNNNNNNNNNNNNNNNNNNNNNNNNNNNNNNNNNNNNNNNNNNNNACUGUGGUAUUUCUUUUUAAAGCCCUUUAUGUGAUAUCGCUCAGACGUUCGACUGUGACAUUUCUUUUAAAGCCCUUUACGUGAUGUCGCUCAGACGUCCGACUGUGGCAUUUCUUUUAAAGCCCUUUAUGUGAUGUCGCUCAGACGUCCGACUGUGGCAUUUCUUUUAAAGCCCUUUAUGUGAUGUCGCCCAGACGUCCGACUGUGGCAUUUCUUUUAAAAGCCCUUUAUGUGGUGUCGCUAAGACGCCCGACUGCGGCAUGUAUUUUAUUUAUUUACCUUUCGAGGUGUCGCUCCAGACACCCGAUCGGUUUUCAAUUAUUAAAUUUUGAUGCAUCAAGUUCUGCAUAUUACCGUGGUUAUUUGAGUAUCAUACCUCAUUCAUGAUGCAUUCAUGCAUUCAUUGAUUAUAUCUUUAGUCCGAACUGUCUUGCGAGUACUUUCAAGUACUCACCUGGCUUGUUGAUUUGGCCAGAUGCUGAUGAAGGCGAUCUCUUGGAUGAAGAGUUUGAUAGCGAGUCCGACGCCUAGAGGAAUCCCAGUCAGUCCCGUGCGAUCCUGUCUUGGUCAUUGUAUUAUCUGCUUCCGCAACCCCGAAUAAAUUCAUCGAGCCUCACCUCGACGCACGAUGUACUGCCAGUAAAAGUCAAGUUAUCCACCACCACUUUUCCUCGAGCUAGUAGCAUGCCACCCCACCCCUGUGUCAUAACCUCCCACAUGUAAUAUAUUGGCGAGUCUAUAAUAAAUUGUUGAGCAGCCUCAGCUCAACCUUGUAAUAUAUUUGAUGCUACUGGUUCUCUGUUUAUCAAGCUUUUUGUCUACCAGAAAGGAUGACUUUUCCUAUACUGGGAUUUAAAGAUUGGUUUUCUCAAUAAACAUUUUUAAUGAAAAACCGGUCGUGACAGACUUGGUAAUCAGAGCCAGGCUGACUGUAGGAAGCCACUAGGUGCGAUUGCUAAUUGGUUAUUAGCAUGAUAGAAUUAUUCAUGUUUUUACAACUAUAGUUAUUUUCUGACAGUCAGCAUAAAAUUUAUGAUCUGACCACUCAGAAUUUUUGCCUACUUUUGUAGAUGGCCGGCAAUGACUGCGAGUCUCAGAUGUUCGCCAACGUGCCUGAGGGGUUCGUCAAACUCCUCUCCUUCAUCGUUCAGGUCGCGAUGGGGCCAUCCGUGCGCCCGGUCUUCACGCUUUAUCCACACAAGAUCAACGACAGUCUGACUAUGCACCAGGCCGCGGUGCAAUUCAGGGGAGGCCAUGCUGAAAUACGCCGUCUCCGAUUCGUGGGGAGAGCCAUGCCUACAGAAAGGCAUGCUAUGCAGAUGGCUGCCCGCGAGACGAUAGCCCGUCUUCGGGAUGUUCUUCCUGCAAUGAAGACCCGUCGCUACCGCUACCUUCCAUGCCAUGUGCCUUACACCUGUCACUACUCGUUCUCUUGCCCAGAGGAGAGCGAGACGAAGCUUUUGAGAUGCUUGUCGAGUACCUCCGAGCCCUGGAGGCAGCAUUCGACUGCAUGGUGGAUGACCUCGUAGCUGCACGCAUGGACUCAGUUCAUGGUUGUGCUGCUAACAGGAGGGAACUCCUGCACACCGCUCCACCACUGACUUUUGUGUCAUCCACAGCCUCUCACUCACCUACCAUACUCGCCUCUGCUCGUCGUCUGCCUACCACAGAGGAAUUUAACCAGGCUAUUGCACCCACUCCCGUCCGCUCUGCACCACUUGUUGCACCCACUCCCGUCAGCUCUGCACCACUUGUUGCGCCCACUCCCAUACGAGCUACCCCACCUAUUCCACCCACUCGUAUUCGUGUUAUUCCGCCUACGGCACCUGCUCCAUCAGCUCAGCACAACGUUUCUCGUCUGGAACCUAUUAGCGAGGAGGAGGUCGAUUCCCCAGCGUCUCUGUGUCUCACCCUCGGUAGGCCAAGGGAGAUCCUCACCAUCUCCGACUAAGUACGCAUAGACGCCAUGCGAUGUAUCAACUGGUGUAAUAUGUUUUUAUGUUCUCAGGUUAUGAGAAGUAGCCUGUUUGCGCAUCAUGUAGGAUCUGGAGGAGUGCACUAGUUUAAAUAACAUGUCAGUAUUAUGUACGCAUAUCCUGAGUGAUGUAAUGUAUAAUUAUGGCCGCGUGUAAGAUAUGCACUAGUCCUUCUCCGCGCGCAAUUGUGUGUUUAAAAAAACCAUGGAGUUUAAAAAUGUUCUUUGUGUGUGAUUUUAUUGACUUUUGCGACUCUUCUUCUUGUCUUACGAGUUCACAAAAAUAUAUCCCCAGAGUGAAAGAUGUCUCGUCCUUGGACGUGCUCCAUGCCAACUCAGCCAGAAGAAAAUUAUGGCACACCGCAGAACCAGAAUUUCACUCAGGGUCAGACAAGUCAACAGGAGAGUGAAACAGCUUUUACACAAGUUUGUCGUUUGUAUGAACAGAGUCAGCAGCAACACCUGGAAAUGAUGAACCAAUUCAUCAAUAUAGGAAGUAACGGUGGUCAGUAUCAACCGCAAUCCAAAUUAUCUGAGUUACAAAAGACGCGUCCUCCAACAUUUUCUCAUACUGACAAGCCUCUUGAGGCCGAGGACUGGCUUCGAGACAUGGAGAGAAAAUUAAUUAUCGCACAGUGUUCAGACCGUGAAAAAGUACUGUAUGCACCACAUUAUCUCAUAGGUGCAGCUGCAUCGUGGUGGGAAAACUUUCUGCACAUACACCUCAACGAAAAUGAAAUCACCUGGGAAAAUUGCAAAGAAGGUUUUCGUGGGGCACAUAUUCCUAAGAGCGUCAUGAAAAGCAAGAAGAAGGAAUUUGAUGAACUCAAGCAAAGAGCCAUGACAGUGUCAGAAUACAACAGCCAAUUCACACUGCUGUCUCGCUACGCCAAUGAAGAACGCAUGACCGAAAGCAAGAAGAUGGAAAAAUUCUUGGAAGGCCUGGCACCCGCCCUUAAGUGCCAGCUAGUUGUGCACACCUUUCCAGAUUUUAAAACACUGGUGGAUAAGGCCAUUACCCUGGAAAAUGAGCGACGUAGCCUGGAAGAUAUCCGCAAAUGGAAAAGGGACCAGACUAAUUUUUCUCGCAAUCCCGGAAGCAAGAAGGAAUUUCAGAAGGGGGAUUCACACAAAACCCCGGCGAAUAAUUCACGUCCAACCAAGAAUUUCCAUGCAAGAGACAAAGAGUUCACCUAUCGCCCAGGCGUUACCUGUUAUGCUUAUGGAGAAGAAGGGCACUAUGCCAAGCAGUGUCCCAAGCCAAGGAACUCAAACCCGAAGCUCAAUAAUGGUGGAAAUAAUACAGCACCAAAGCGAAGCAAUUUCAACCCCAACAACAACCACCGGAAAGGUCACUUGAACCACGUGACCAGAGAGGAAGCACAGAACGCCCCAGAUAUCGUACUCGGUACGUACCCCGUCAACACAAUACCUGCCAUGGUUUUGUUUGAUUCUGGAGCUUCUCACUCAUUCGUUUCGAAAAGUUUUGCUUUGCAAAAUAAUUUUUCGAUGCUUCCCUUGGAAAAAUCAAUGAUCGUCAAGUCCCCUGGGAUUAAGCAAGUGACCCAGAGUUACUGUCAAGGUGUGGUUAUUGAAUUUGAAGGAUUGAAAUUUUUCGCCAACCUUAUUGUACUGGAAAGAAAAGGACUGGAUGUCAUCCUAGGAAUGGAUUGGUUGACCACCAACAAAGGUUUUAUUGAUUGCUUCAACCGUACCGUGAUUCUCACUCACCAUCAAGGGAAGAAAAUAAAAGUUUCAGCCAAGGAGAGACAAAUACCUCGGCAACCUAGAUUAAACAAGGUAGACGUUUCUGAGCUGAACAAGGUUCCAGUGGUAUGUGAAUUUCCAGAUGUAUUUCCAGAAGAACUACCAGGCAUGCCACCAGACCGAGAGAUAGAAUUCAGCAUUGAGCUCGCACCCGGAACCACUCCUAUUUACAAGAAACCUUACAGAAUGGCACCAUCCGAGUUGGUAGAGUUGAAGAAGCAAAUAAAAGAAUUAAUGGAGAAAGGAUACAUACGAGCCAGCUCCUCACCUUGGGGUUCUCCAAUUUUAUUUGCCAAGAAGAAGGAUGGAACAAUGAGGUUGUGUAUUGAUUAUCGAGCUCUCAACAUGGUCACAAUCAAGAACAAAUACCCAAUGCCCCGAAUAAAUGAUUUAUUCGAUCAGCUCGCACAGGCCAAAGUCUUCUCAAAAAUUGAUUUGAGAUCAGGAUACCACCAAUUAAAAGUAGGAACAGAAGAUAUUCCCAAGAUCGCUUUCACCUCCAGAUAUGGGCUGUAUGAGUUCACAGUAAUGCCAUUUGGGCUAACCAACGCCCCCGCAUACUUUGUUCACCUCAUGAACAAAGUGUUUAUGAAGUAUAUGGACAAGUUUGUUGUGGUAUUCAUCGAUGAUAUUCUGAUAUAUUCCAAAACACCAGAAGAGCACGCCGAACAUCUCAGGAUUGUACUCGGAGAACUCAGGAAACAUCAACUGUACGCCAAAUUCAGCAAAUGUGAAUUUUGGCUAAGGCAGGUGGGUUUUCUGGGCCACGUGCUAACCCAAGAAGGUAUUGCAGUAGAUCCAGAAAAAGUCAAGGCCGUACUUGGCUGGAAACCGCCAGCUAACGUAACGGACGUACGGAGUUUCUUGGGAAUGGCAGGCUAUUAUCGGAGAUUUAUUGAAGGAUUCUCCACUAUAGCAAAGCCCAUGACACAAUUGCUCAAGAAAGGCAAAAAAUUUGAAUGGACAGAAGCAUGUGAGAAAAGCUUCCAAGAGCUAAAAAGAAAAUUAACAACGGCACCAGUACUAAUUGUGCCAGAUAUACACAAGAACUUUGAGGUAUAUUGUGACGCAUCCCGGAAAGGCCUCGGAUGCGUAUUGAUGCAAGAAGGCAAGGUAGUUGCGUAUGUCUCCAGACAACUACGCAAGCAUGAGGAAAAUUAUCUCACUGAUGACCUAGAAUUAGCGGUCAUCCAUGCACUUUAGGAAUGGAGACACUUCCUACAUGGGAAUCGUUGUGAGAUAUACACAGACCAUAAGAGUCUUAAGUAUAUUUUCACACAGCCAGAGUUAAAUUUACGGCAACGACGCUGGUUAGAGUUGGUGAAGGAUUAUGAUGUUGGAAUCCACUAUCAUCCCAGAAAAGCAAAUGUUGUGGCAGAUGCACUUAGUCGAAAUCCCAUCACGGAAGACGACAAUAUACCAAAAUUGAGGCCAGAAUUUCAACAAGAAUUUGCCCGACUCAAUCUAAUAAUGGUUACCGAAGGCAGUGUGUCGAAUAUAGAAAUACAGCCUACCCUAAUGGAAAGCAUCAAGGAAGCCCAGCACGGACACCCCAGCAUUGAGGACAUUAAAAGAAAAGUGAGUUUGGGAAGAGCCUCAGAAUUCAACAUAGAUGAGCAAGGAAUAUUGUGGUACGGAGAAAGGCUAUGCGUACCAAAUGUCAAGGACCUCAAAUAGCAGAUAUUAACUGAAAGUAACACCGCUCCGUAUUCAAUCCAUCCUGGAGGGACAAAAAUGUACAAAGACCUUCAGGAAAAUUUUUGGUGGCACGGUAUGAAGAGAGAUAUAGCCACAUUCAUUGCAUGCUAUGACUCUUGUCACCGUAUCAAGGCCGAGCACUAGAAACCAGCCGGACUAUUACAGCCAAAUAAGAUACCCGAGUGGAAAUGGGACGAGAUUGGAAUGGAUUUUAUCGUUGGACUGCCACGGUCACAACACGGAAACAAUGCCAUAUGGGUCAUAACCGGCAGAUUAACCAAGGUGGGACAUUUUAUUCCGGUAAAAACAACUUACACCACUCAGAGACUAGCCAGACUUUAUCUUGCCCGUAUUGUCUGCCUACAUGGAGUCCCUAAGACUAUCAUCUCCGAUAGAUGCACACAGUUCGUCUCUACAUUCUGGGAUCACCUACAACAGGCACUGGGAACCCAACUAGCCAUCAGUACCGCAUACCAUCCCCAGGCUGAUGGACAAACGGAACGCGUAAACCAAAUCUUAGAAGACAUGCUAAGAGCCUGUGUCCUCACCUACGGGAACAGUUGGGAAGAAAGUUUGCCAUAUGCAGAGUUCGCAUACAACAACAGCUAUCAAGCCAGCUUGCAAAUGGCACCCUUUGAAGCUCUAUAUGGGAGAAGAUGUCGUACCCUGCUAAAUUGGUCAGAGACCGGAGACAGCCAUAUCUUUGGCCUAGAUAUGCUCAAGGAGGCCGAGGAGAAAGUUAAGACGAUUAGAGAACGACUCAAAACAGCUCAAAGUCGGCAAAAGAGUUAUUACGGCCGAAAGCAUCGGGAAAUCAGUUUUGAACCCGGAGAAUUGGUAUACCUGAGAGUUUCUCCUAGGAAGGGUCUGCAACGAUUUAAGAUUAAGGGGAAACUAGCACCAAGAUUCAUUGGACAAUUUCAGAUAGUGGCCCGACGAGGCAAGGUAGCCUACCAGCUGGACCUACCCGGAGACUUGUCUGGUAUCCACAACGUGUUUCACAUCUCGCAGUUGAGAAAAUACAUAAGCAACCCAGAGAAGCAAGUUUCACAUGAGUAUAUUGACGUGCAAUCAGACCUCACUUACCGGGAACACCCAAUAAAAAUAUUAGAAGAAUCUGAGAGGAGGACCCGACAGAAAACCAUUAAGUUUUUCAGAGUUCAAUGGAGCAAUCACACCGAGAAUGAAGCAACUUGGGAGAGCAAGGAUUUUCUUCGGAUAGAACACCCACACUUGUUUAAGGAUCAGCUGAAAUUUCGGGGAUGAGAUUUUUCCUAAGGGGGUAGGUGGUGUGACACUCCAAAAUUUUUUUUGAUUUUGUUUUCAGAAAGAGCCCUUGCUUGGUUUGAAAGAAGGUCAUUUAAACCCUUCCUAAAAACCAUCUUCUAAAUUUGCCCUCUCAAAAAUCCUUUUCUUGGAUUUGGUUUCUUCUAAAAAUGAAAACCCUUUUAAUUUUGGACUUUUAUUUGGUUUUGGUCCCUUCAAAAAUUUCACCAUGCCUCCUAUGGUGAAAUUUUUCCCAAACCCACUCCUUCCACUUUGGUUCAACCCUAACAUUCUGUCCAAACUAAUAAAAUCCAUUUUUGGAUUUUAUUCCAACUAUUUCUCCUCCCAAAAUAAAUCCGUCUAUCCUUUUGAGCCUAGGUGGAUUGCAAAGCAAGUGCCUUAAUGCUUUUGAUUUUUGACCUCAACUCAGCACCCCUGGAUAGUCCUUUGUACCCACAACCCAGAAGCAUCUUGAUCCACUCUUCUCCUGUUCAAAUAUUUCAAAUUGCACUCACUGCAAGUUUGGACCAGAUUUGCCAAAUUUGGUGAAAUUUAUAUCUAUACCUCUCCAAAAAUUCCACAAAUAUUCAAGCAGCCUCUAGAUGCAAUGAGAGGCCCCUCCACCAAAAAACCAGCUCAAGGAAAAAUCCCUACAUGCCUGGAUCAUUCUGUCGAACACCUUGCAUGCACUGUUCUAGCCAUAUUCAGUUAAAUUCAGAAGUUCAAUGUCGAUCUUCGUCAGUAACUUCAGUCACGAGCCCACAGUGCGCUUGGCACGUAGCUCGCGGCCAGGCUUGCUUGUCCGGAGCCUCACACGCGUGCUUGGUGCCUUCCUGGCGUCGGUGGCGCCCUGGCCCGCCUGCGCCGGCGUGUCUUGCGGCGGCCGUAGCGCCGUAGCGGCCGACAGGAAGCAGAACGGCGGCGCAACGCCGUUCGGCGCCGCCCAAGCGUCCUACUAACUUCGCGUGGCCACCUCCUUGCCAGCGCACGCAUGCAGCACCGUCGCCGUGGCGCGGCACGCGCAGAGCACGCUCCCUGCCGCUGACGGGCCCGCGCCGCCCCGUUCCGUUGAACUCACCCUAAACCCCCAAAUCCCGACGUGGUUAGCACCAAAACGGAACCAUGGGACACGCACGACGACGUUCAGCCUCUGAAACCUCCCGUGCAACCGCAGCGCCGCCGUAAUCACCUUGCCGGAGAACCCCGUUUUCGGCAACCGCCUCGGGGCGGCUAUAUAUAGCACCCCGAGCCUGCUCUCACCCCCGGCACACCUCCUCUACCUCAUCAGACCCCGCACAGCCACUGAACGAGCCACGAGGAGCUCUCCUUCGCCGACACCGGCCACUCCGUUCUGCCUCGGCCCCCACCGUGAUUAACUCCGGUAAGGCCAUCUCCGGCGCCCUAGCCUCGUCAGAUACCUCCUCAUACUAUCGGGAGUCUAACCCCAUCACCAAUUCCACCUCCGCAGCUCUCCCCGGCGAGAUCCACGGCCACCCGAAUCACCGUCCGCCGGAGCAAGCAUCGCCGCCGACGUGGUACUCGCCGGCGACCACGACCACCUCCCACAUACGCGGAAUGGCGCCCUGAUCAUGAAGGUACACUCCGAUCUCCUUGCCUUGCCGUGGAUCACCGCCGGCGACCACCGCGGCUCUCGGGCGCCGACGAGCCCCGACUCCCCUGUUUGAACUUUCAAACCUGACGGGUGGGACCCGCCCGUCAGCCUCUCUUUUGUUUUUUUAAAUCGUUUGCAGAAGGCGUACUCUGGCAAAUACGCUUUCUCUCUGAACCGUUUUUUCUGGAUUCUUCUGCAUAGCCCCCUGGAAGAUUUCUGUUUCAUUACAGAUGGGUCCUUGGACCAAAACUCUUAUAACUUUUGAUCACAAAAGUAUUUUUGAUUAAUUCUUUUUCUGUUCUCUUUAGAUUGUUGUCUAGUUUUUUAUCAUAUUUAUUUGAGAAAUAUUUGGAACACUUUUCUGUACACUCACGGUAUUUACGUUGCGUACAUAUUUUUCUUAUACCGUAGAUACCGGAGGAGGUGACGGAGCCGCAAACUUCGCACAGUUAGACUCCGACUACUCCGAACCAGGAAAGCAUGUUUGAACUCUUGAUAUGAUGAGUGUUGUUGCAUGUUUGCAUUUUAGUAUAGUCACGGCAUGUUUAUGAACAUCACUUUGUAUGAUAUAUCUCAUGCACAUGAUCGGAAAGUAGGUUUUGGAAAGCACUAUGUUGUUGGAUACAUAUUUGCAAAGCCAUGUGUUGGUAUGAGGAUGGGUAAGAUGGCAGUGUUGUGACAUGCCAGUCUUAUGCCAGAUUAUUUGACUUUCGUGUUGUCAUGACACAAUUCACAUUCCCAUUCAUUCCAUCCUAUACUGUCACAUGUUUUCCGAAAGGAAUAUGGCAUAGUAAGUUGCAAAUCGUUUUCCUGGUACACAGCAAGUGGAGAGGCCGGGAUGAGGGUUUCAUGGCCCUGGAUUAAAGCCCGUCAUCCGGUCAGGGGGCAUGGGUGUUUCCGGUUGGGACCGAGAGGGGGGCACCCCUUAGAGCGCGCGACUAGAAAUUUGAUCCCAUGCUAUUCGAUGUUGUGGCCUCCCCGUCUGAAAGUUUUUCUUCAACGUUGUCUAGGGUGAUUCCUGGCAUCAUGAGGUGAAAUGGGUGUGUACUAGUUAAAUGUGUUUCUACUGAAAUGCCGUAAAAGGAACUAGUCCUUCGUGACUACGGAAAUCCGUUGGCUGUGUUCAGUUCUUCCAAACUCUGCAGAGUCUCAAUCUUUCAAUUAUCUUGUACUUUGUUCAAGUACUAUAAUUGUCUUAUCUUGUCAGGUAUUCAGCCUCAGUGACAAAAACUCCGGUGGGAUUUAUGUGUAAUAAAUCCGGUUAAAAGAUUAUUCUUGUGGAUGAACUAAUCUCGUUAUUUACAUUUGUUACAAGGCCCUGUCUGUGAUGUCGCUCAGACGUCCGACGGUGGCAUACCUAUUAUUUUGCUAUUGUUAAAGCCCUGUCUAUGAUGUUGCUCAGACGUGCGACGGUGGUAUUUCUUUUAAAGCCCUAUCUGUGAUGUCGCUCAGACGUCCGACGGUGGUAUUUCUUUUUAAUGCCCUGUCUGUGAUGUCGCUCAGACAUCCGACGGUGGUAUUUCUUUUUAAAGCCCUUUAUGUGAUGUCGCUCAGAUGUCCAACUGUGGUAUUUCUUUUUAAAGCCCUUUAUGUNNNNNNNNNNNNNNNNNNNNNNNNNNNNNNNNNNNNNNNNNNNNNNNNNNNNNNNNNNNNNNNNNNNNNNNNNNNNNNNNNNNNNNNNNNNNNNNNNNNNNNNNNNNNNNNNNNNNNNNNNNNNNNNNNNNNNNNNNNNNNNNNNNNNNNNNNNNNNNNNNNNNNNNNNNNNNNNNNNNNNNNNNNNNNNNNNNNNNNNNNNNNNNNNNNNNNNNNNNNNNNNNNNNNNNNNNNNNNNNNNNNNNNNNNNNNNNNNNNNNNNNNNNNNNNNNNNNNNNNNNNNNNNNNNNNNNNNNNNNNNNNNNNNNNNNNNNNNNNNNNNNNNNNNNNNNNNNNNNNNNNNNNNNNNNUCUUUUAAAGCCCUUUACGUGAUGUCGCUCAGACGUCCGACUGUGGCAUUUCUUUUAAAGCCCUUUAUGUGAUGUCGCUCAGAGGUUCGACUGUGGCAUUUCUUUUAAAGCCCUUUAUGUGAUGUCGCCCAGACGUCUGACUGUGGCAUUUCUUUUAAAAGCCCUUUAUGUGGUGUCGCUAAGACACCCGACUGCGGCAUGUAUUUUAUUUAUUUACCUUUCGAGGCGUCGCUCCAGACACCCGAUUGGUUUUCAGUUAUUAAAUUUUGAUGCAUCAAGUUCUGCAUAUUACCGUGGUUAUUUGAGUAUCAUACCUCAUUCAUGACGCAUUCAUGCAUUCAUUGAUUAUAUCUUUAGUCCGAACUAUCUUGCGAGUACUUUCAAGUACUCACCUGGCUUGUUGAUUUGGCCAGAUGCUGAUGAAGGCGAUCUCUUGGAUGAAGAGUUUGAUAGCGAGUCCGACGCCUAGAGGAAUCCCAGUCAGUCCUGUGCGAUCCUGUCUUGGUCAUUGUAUUAUCCGCUUCCGCAACCCCGAAUAAAUUCGUCGAGCCUCACCUCGAUGCACGAUGUACUGCCAGUAAAAGUCAAGUUAUCCACCACCACUUUUCCUCGAGCUAGUAGCAUGCCACCCCACCCCUGUGUCAUAACCGCCCACAUGUAAUAUAUUGGCGAGUCUGUAAUAAAUUGUUGAGCAACCUCAGCUCAACCUUGUAAUAUAUUUGAUGCUACUGGUUCUCUGUUUAUCAAGCUUUUUGUCUAUCAGAAAGGAUGACUUUUCCUAUACUGGGAUUUAAAGAUUGGUUUUCUCAAUAAACAUUUUUAAUGAAAAACCAGUCGUGACAGUGCGCUUCCCGAAAUAUGAAUCCCGCUAAAUCCGCGAGCUGCAGAAGAACUUGUCGGAUGAAAGAUCUCCUCCGCUCUAUCGCUCGGAGCUCUCCAAGUAAAAAACUUUAAUCGACGGAUACAAAGAAUGGAUCAAGGCGACUGAAAAAGAAGUUGGUGCCGUGACCUAAAGUUCAUUGUUCCAGAACAAGACAUACGCAUAACACGGAAACGAGUCGGAAGUGUGUCCAACUCCUUCUCCACUCAAACCUCGAUCCAUUCGGGGGCUAAUGAUGAAGCUAUGUACUUAGGGUAGGGUCAUGGACCUGUCCAAGAUACCCUCCCCAAGGACAUCUCUAGAAGAAAUCACCUUUCAAUCGACCCGGAAAUGUUCCACUCGACGGACUCAAAGACACUCGACCAUGAAGCCAUCCACUCGACAGCCAGGAGACCUAAAGUCACUCUGCACGCCAACGGUCGGUCAUUAAGUAGCUUUUAUGGUCAUCAUAGCACUUUAUUUGUAGCGUUAUCAGUAACCCCCGAUCUUAAUGUAUCUUAAACCCUGCAUAACUGAGGGCCGGAGGUGUCUGGCGGACUCUAUAUAAGCCACCCCCUCCUCAGUGUAAAGGUUUCGCACCUCUGUAACUCAUACACAUAUAAUUCAGUCGAUCGCCUCCGGGCUCCGAGACGUAGGGCUGUUACUUCCUCCGAGAAGGGCCUGAACUCGUAAAUCCCUUGCGUAUACAACUACUCCAUAGCUAGGAUCUUGCCUCUCCAUUCCUACCCCCCUACACUACUGUCAGACUUAGAACCACGACAAUCACUCCCUACUGUAGACACCACAUUUUGCCACGACAAAAACUUAUAUAAGAUGAACUCAAAUGGGAAAGUGUACAAUAUAAAAAAUCAUCGUGUGUUUGAGAUGAACAAUUUUGAUGUUUGGUUCAUCGCCAUCCGAUCUCAUCUCAAGGGUCAAAGUUGUGAUCAAAGUAAUAAUAUUUGGUAUUCGGAGUAUUGUUCGGUCAAAUAUUCCUCCAAGCUAGUCAUAUGAAAAAAGUGUUCUAUACAGAUUGUUUUUGCCUCAUCAAGUCGAUCGAUUUUGAUAUUUGGAUCAUCUUAAUCCUAGAUCGUAUGCAAAAGUUAGAGUCGGCGCAGUGUGCCCCUACCGUGUGCAUUAAGUGACGUCCAGCACCCGACACUCAUAUGACUAUGUCUGAUGGAUGUGAUUUUCUUUUCAAGUUAGAAAGAGGGUGCGAUUAUUGCACACGUCCUUUUAUUAUUGCAAAGUUUAUUAAAAUCCAACAUCUCACACGGUGGUACAGAUGGCCAUAAGGCUACGAUCGACAAGGCUAAAAUAGCCAAAACGAAAUAAGAUCGUAUGGUGACAAGUGGCCACUGAUGCAGACCUGCUAGUGUGUGGAUCAGGCAGCAAUAUAUCACCAUCAGCCAAGCUUACGUCCAUGACCAAAGUUUUUUUUCCAGAGAGUACGCCAAUGACAUACCAUAUCUUUAUAGAAGGGAGAAAAACAAUUUACAAGAUUUGUGCGAUCAAUGCAAACAUCGAUCACCCGAGCACCCACUCACACCUACCGAAAGAUCAAACAUGAUCUCUCACAAAACGAUCUAAUCCACCCACACCAACACUUGUACUGUGCCACUCGUAAAUUUCCUCAAGGAUGACUCUAGCUAGCUCUCUGCAGUCUUUGACUUGUUCUGGCCGGUUGAACACCCUAGCGUUCCUCUGCUUGCAUAGCAACCAAGCCGUGGCAAUGACGACUGAAUCAAAGCCUUGCUUGUGCUUUCCUUAAAAGCCAGAUCGAGCCCUUAGCCACCAAUCAGCAAAAGUGUCCGUGCUGUUAGGGGGGGAGACGGUGAUUUGCAUGGAGUCAAAACACGUGUGCCACACCUGUCUUGCAUAAACGCAUUGCACCAUGAUAUGCUCAACCGUGUCCUCAUCCUGCAAACAAGUGUAACAAGGCGAGGGGCUGUCCUGCAGUCCAGGUCAUGCCCGUCUGUCGGAUGUCCAUAAUCGAUGCUGCACCGCGAGCCAGGCAAAGAUCUUUCAUAAUCGAUGACCAAAGUUUUCAAUCAGUCAAAUAUAGUCUUAUGAGAGCAUCUACGACCGGACCUCUCAAACCCACCACAUACGUUCGAGCGGGCCGCCCGGUCACUGCUCGGUCACAAUUUUUUGAUCCAGACGGGCCUCUCAAACGCCCGGGCUGACCGGCACCCCCUCAUAUCCAGCCCAAAUAUAUGGCGGAUGUGUGGGAGCCCGGGUGCGCCCGGGCAUGCCCUUCAUGUCGGUCGGACGACAUGGCCCCACACGGAAACAUCCGGAAACCCAGCGGUCCGACGGGCGCUGCCUCCAUCGACGCGGUGUGAACAUCGCGUAACGCCGCUCCGGCUUGCCGCCCAAGACGAAAUCGGGCUAUUUUCGCCGAUCGGCCUCCCGCAACGCUAACCCACCCCACCCCCCUCUCUGCACUGCCAGUCUGAACCCAUCUACCUCCUCCCUCUCCGGCUCCGAUGCUCUCCCCAUGCUCCAGCACUCUGCCAUGGCCAGAGCAAGAUCACCUACUAUGUCAUGCUCACAUCGGAGCGCCGCUACGAGAUCCAGCAGCGGAUCCGGAGUUGGACGCGCUCUUCACUGAGCUCGACUCGGAGAUAGAGGCGGAGGAAGCUGAAGCGGAGCAGAUGGAUGCGCGGGAGGAGUCGGAGCUACAGCUGCCGCCCAUGCUUCCGGAGCCAAGAAUGUGAUCGUCGUUGUCGGUGUCAAAACCGGCGGAUAUCGGGUAGGGUGUCCCGAACUGUGCGUCUAAGGUUGAUGGUAACAGGAGGUGGGGGACACGAUGUUUACCCAGGUUUGGUCCCUCUCUAUGGAGGUAAUACCCUACUUCUUGCUUUAUUGAUCUUGAUGAAUAUGAGUAUUACACGAAUUGAUCUACCACGAGAUCGUAAUGACUAAACCCUAGAAGUCUAGCCUGUAUGAUUACGAUUCUGUGUAUGCCUCUGCGGACUAAGCCCUCCUGUUUAUAUAGACAUCGGAGGGGAAUAGGGUUGUACAAAGUCGGUUACAGAGAAAGGAAUCUUCAUAUCCGGUCGCCAAGCUUGCCUUGCACGCCAAGGAGAGUCCCAUCCGGACACGGGACGAAGUCUUCUGUCUUGUAUCUUCAUAUCCCAUCAGUCCGGCCCACAUCAAUAGUCUGGCUGUCCGAGGACCCCUUAAUCCAGGACUCCCCCGGUAGCCCGUGAACAAGGCUUUAAUGACGAGGUGUCCGACGCGUAGAUUGUCUUCGGCAUUGCAAGGCUGGUUCCUCAUCCGAAUACUACAAAUCUUCCUUCAAACACAUGAAACAUGUCCGGCUGUGCAAAACAAAUACCACACACAACCGCAGAGAGUAUAAUAUUUUACGAGUCCAAUCUGCUGACAACUUUUUGUAGCGUGCCAUCACGUCGCCGCCCGGUCUUUAUUCGAACCAUUUUUUAGCCUGCCGCUCCAUAUUUCGAGAUGCGGCUUCAUUGGCAUGUCUUGUCAAAGCAGAGAUCGUGUCCCCUUAUAGUGGGAUUCUCAUCAAUACGGGCAUCGGUAAUCCCACCAUACCGUUUGCACGGCCCUCGGGGAUAAGCGAGUUUUUGGGGCGAGUGGGGAGGCGCUUGAUAUUCACUGCCUUUAUAAAGAGAUAAGGAUCCACCUCUUUUCACCCAUGCCUUAUUUCUCUCUGCUUCCCCCCAUUCUCGAGAUCCAGCGCCCAAGUUCUCAUCUUUUUCGCCCCCAAAAAACAAUUCAGCCAUAUCCAGAUCCGGAGCGCAUGGCAAGUGGAUGGUCUCCUCCGUUAAGGACAAGGACAUUACAAAGCUCUGGGAGGCCGGGUAUCUGGCCAAGGAAAUCGCCCACCGACUUCUGGCCGAGGGACAGAUCGUCCCCACUUCGGAACCCCAGGAGAGGGUCGUAUUCCUCUCUCACUUCAUUCGCGGGCUGGUAUUUCCUCUCCACCCCUUCAUCCACAGACUCAUGUACUACUACGGGUUAGAUUUCCAUGACCUAUCCCCAAAUUCAUUCCUCAACAUAUCGGCAUUCAUCAUCGUGUGUGAGGCUUUCCUCCACAUCCCACCACACUUCGGAUUGUGGCUAAAGACCUUCAUGUGAAGCCGAAGGUGGUGGGCGGCCAACACGCAGAGUGCGGAAGCUCCAUGGUGAGCAAGAUGCCUAACGUUACAUGGCCAUUAGGUACAUUUAUUGAGACCGUCAAAGGGUGGCAACAAUAGUGGUUCUAUGUCACUGAGCCGCGCGACACCACCUGGGUCGCAGCCCCCGAAUUCCAAUCUGGAGCUCCGAUGCGGCUCACCUCCUGGCCCGAGAAGGGUCUGGACGGGUCUUCGUCAGACGAGCUGACAGUGCUUCAGGAGUGCAUCAAGAGCAUGGUGGACAAGAACAUCAAGCUUGUCAACAUGAUCCAGGUGAUGCUAGCUUGCCGAAUACUUCCAUGCCAAAGUCGGACUUGCCAUCCAUGGGAGUUCGAUCCGGCCAAGCACCAGACACUACUGGAGUUCUUUGGCACUAUGCACGAAGACAUCUGGAAGGUGCUAUUCAAGUCAAGCAAGACAUGGCCGGACACGGACGAGGAUCAUGGGCACAACUUGGCCCGUCCCGCUAGUCCGGUAAGUCUUUACAUGUUUUCAAGGUGUAUCCUUUACUUGCAUACUUGAGGAAAACGCCUAAACUUCCCUACCGAUUCUCUCGGGGAUAGACAAAGAUGGCGGAGUAGAUUUACUAUCCGGCCCCGCUGCCGAAGACCCAGCAAUUCUACUUCUGACGAAGAUGCUGAUUCUGGCGCCCUAUAAAGCGCCGGAGAAGAAGGCCAAGAAGAAGGCCAAGGAGACCAAGGAGACCAGAAGCGGUCUCCAUCACAAGAGUGCUUCGGACAUGACGUCCGAAGACGCCGAGACUCACUCCUCCGCCUCCGAGGACGACAAGGAAGAGGAGGAAGAAGAAAGCCAUUCCCCUCCUGGGGGGGGGGAGGAAGAAGAUGGCAGCCUCCAUGCGUCUGGAGGCCGAAGCGUCCAAGAAGGGAAAAACUACCUUCCUGGACAACUCCACAAUGGCCACCGACAGCAGCUCGGAAUGGCGCCCGAGGGUCAACCCCCUGGCCAAAUCGUGAGUACUCAAAAACCCAAACACAUUCAUAUAUCUGGCCUCUCUACUUUAUAGUCUUAACAUGUUAAGUUAUUCAUCUGCAGUCUGGCUCGGUCCGACCUUGAGCGGUCCUCGUCUUUGGGAGAUUCGCUGGACCUGGAGGCAAUGGACAGUGGGCCCUCCCGGCGGUCUCCUCUCCCAAGGCCAUGGAUGGUGCCGAGGCGCUGUCCUGAAGGAUCCCAGGCCAAGAAGAGACUCGGGAGGCCGUCAAGGCGGUGCCGAAGGGUGAAACCUCGGCCGCCAGACACAUGGAGGAGUAGAUCCCCAGGGAGACUGGCAAUGAGGGCCAUAUCCAAUUCAGUCCCCAGCCGAAUACGAUUCCGGAGAUCUAUACGGCUCCGGAAUCAGGCAAGCAGCCUCUUUCAAAAGAAGGAGGUGUGCCUAUUCCAUCGGUAUCCUCUGUCCAUCCGGAGGCACCGAAUCAUUUGCUGGAAGCGCUGCGAGGCACUUCCAUUGUUGAGGAACACCGUAAACUUAUGGGUGCGGUGGUUGAGAAGGUCCAGUCUACGAAGAGCGGACUGACCGAAGCCUGCACAAGCCUUCUAACAGGCUUUGAGGUAAGCAAAGAAAUUAUGUAAAAAGAAUGUCACAGUUUAGACAGUAGCCCCUUAGACGAUGUCCGGUGUUCGGAAAGAAAAGCCAAACAGAGGAUCAAAUAACUAUCGCAGGAGAACAAACUAACAUGUCUAUAUGUAUAAGCAGGCAUCAUUGCUGGUUGCAACCUGUCAUGCUACUGAGGUCUCCGGACUGAAGCAAAGUAUGGAGCGGACCGAGGGAGAGCUCGGCCAUGUGAAGAAACAGCUGGAGGAUAAUCAAGGUAUGCAAUAAUGCGAUAACCUUGUCCAUAUUUCAGGAAGGAUGAAUGUUUUGUACUGACUAAAGUGCCAUGACAUUUAUUAGGCGCGGCGACCAAGGUGGAGACCCUUAAGAAGGCGCUGGACGAGGCCGAGGAGAGAGCGGUCAAGGAAAAAGCCUCCCGUGAAAGGCAUGAGGCCAGGGUCGUUGAGGUCCAGCAGGAGAUCCAGGACGCCGUGAAGAGAUGUGAGUCCUUGGAGCGCGACAUUACAAAUCAAGAGACCGAACUGACCAAGGCUCGCCAAAGCGCACACGAUACCCGGGUUGAAGCCCAGGGCACCCUCCAAGAAGUCCAAGAGGCAAGAAAAAUCACGGCGGGUAAGGCAUUCAUAAUGCAGAGCAAAUAUGUAAGAAAAGGUUCCUCUUAUUGACCCGAAUUUGGAGUUCUCCAGGGGCAUUCGCGGAUCUUCCGCGCAGCAUUUUAGAUGCUGCGGAGUUCUUCCGAGCCGAAGAGGGGAGCUCUACGGAGAAGUUGUUUUGGUCGCAAUAUCUUGCGCCAGAACAUCUGGUGCCCUUUAGCGACCAGUUAAAACAGCUGGUCGAACUGCAUAGGGUGGCCGAACUAGCCAUGAAGGAUUUAAUAAUCUGGCUAUGGCCUGCCGAAGCCAUACCCAGCAGCUACUUCGGGCUCAUGAAGCGGUUGGUCAAAGCCUGCCCUUGGCUUAAUGACAUCAAGCGGUCGGUCUGCAUCGAAGGCACGCGAAUGGCCUUCGCACGAAUCAAGAUGCAUUGGGUCAAGAUGGACGCCGUGAAGCUUGUAACCGAGGGACCACCCGUGGGCAAGGAGCAACGCACGCCCGAGCUGUAUUUUGACAAUGUCCUGGAGGGGUCCCGCAUUGUAGCAGAGAAAUGUACGAAGGAUAUUAUCUUGGAGUGACUACAUUCAUGUUAUCCUGUCCUGUACAAUGAAACAGAAUCGCUAUGUAAUAUAAUGCCUGUUACUUUAAAAUUUUACCUCAUGUGUGGCCCUUUUGUUAAAUCUGAGAGUUGGCCAGUCAUCGGCUUCAGCCCCCACGUAGAAAGUACGGGGGUGUUCGGGAUGAAUCUAAACAUUCUUUACUCCAGAGUUUGGUCCUUCAAGGAGGUGUUUAGCGCGACGAACCAGGCAAUCAUACUAUAUGGCUUUAUCACUCUCACUUAGCCAUAGGAGUUUGACAAUAAAAAUUUAGGCACAACCCCUAGUAUUCGGACUUGGGGUACUGUAAAUACCUCAUCGGGUAAAAACCGAUUCGUCGUAUAAUGCGAAAAAAAUCGCAAAAGAUUUGUGACCUCUCAAACAACUGACCGGCUCAUGUCGCAUCAUGACAGUCAGUUUUCGGCUUUCUCUACUGAGGUGCUCAUCCGGAAUAAUCAGGACACAAUCGCAGUAGUUCUCCCUUUACUACCUUAGUCGAUAUAGCGGAAUGUAAGGUAGCAAGCACACGAGCAGGGAAACCCAACUAUUGAGCAAAGACAUGAUUCGGAGCCAAUGCAUAUAAUACUAUAAGUUCGGGGUGCCGAACUAUACUUAAAAAAGCAUUCAGACUUUGUUGCCGUAUUGUGGGGCGUAAUGAAGCCCCUGGCGAAUUUAAAGUGUACCAAAGUGUACGGGUGCAUUCAAUAAGAAUAACGAAAUAAAAUGAAAAAGCAAGUUAAUGCCACAUAAGUUGGGCCGCAGACUAUUUUUAUCGUAAUUUCAUUGAUACGUCGAAGCGUAUUUGCAUAGAUAGUGUGUUAAACAAUAUAGCUGAUUAACCUGCCCAAACCAGGGGGAGCUGCAUGCGGUUCCCAAAGACAGGUUGAAUGAUCAUAGAAGAGAACAUCUAUAGAUUCCCUCGCGAGUCCAUACUGCUUCCCGCCUUGGUAUGUGUAUAUCAUUCGAAAGGAUCGACAAUCAGGACACCAGGAAAACCUGGAAAAAAGAAACCUGAAAAGAAAAAAAAAGUAAAAGUAUGUGGGUCCACGGGAGGUUGAGCCGUAUUAGGGACCACAAUAAUGUUACGCUCCGUCUAUGCCCAUGGUAUUUUGUGUGCCUAGUUAUGUACGCCCGGUACGUAUGCCGCCAUUUGAUCGGGAUUACGGCGGUGGCCAAAUUGCUUAUCGAGCUCUUGAUGAGCUGGGUUGUCCUUCUGCAGAGUAGUCCGGACUCGUUUGACGGUGUCCGGGAGCCUGGCCGCCGAAUUGAAGUUCUACUUGUUAAGGCUGCUCUGUAUCUCUGCUGCCAGCGCGGCGGUGCGCUCCUCAGUAUGAAGGGAGAGUUCUGUGUUUCCAUUGACUGUUAUAACACCGCGUGGUCUGGGCAUCUUAAGUUUGAGAUAAGCAUAGUGUGGCACCGCAUUGAAUCGGGCAAAUGCUGUUCGUCCGAGCAAUGCGUGAUAGCCACUGCGGAAGGGGAAGAUAUCGAAGAGCAACUCUUCGCUUCGGAAGUUAUCCGGGGAUCCAAAGACCACUUCUAGUGUGAUUGAGCCCGUACAACGGGCCUCUACACCUGGUAUGACUCCUUUAAAGGUGGUUUUCGUGGGCUUGAUUCUUGAGGGAUCAAUGCCCAUUUUGCACACUGUAUCCGGAUAGAGCAGGUUCAGGCUGCUGCCACCGUCCAUGAGGACAUGUGUGAGAUGGAAUCCAAUAAUGAUUGGACCAAGGAACAAAGUGGUUGAACCGCCAUGAUGGAUACUGGUCAAAUGGUCCCUGCGAUCGAAAGUGAUCGGGCAGGAUGACCGUGGGUUGAAUUUUGGGGCGACUGGCUCCAUCGCAUAGACAUCCCUGAGCGCGCGCAUGUGCUCCCCCUUGGGGAUAUGGGUAGCGUAUAUCAUGUUAACCGUUUUAACAUGGGGGGGGACUUCUUCUGUCCCCCUGUGUUCGGUGGCCGGGGCUCCUCAUCAUCUUCCUCGCUUUGUGACCCCUUCUCCUUAUUCUCGGCAUUUAACUUGCUGACCUGUUUAAAAACCCAACACACUCUGUUGGUAUGAUUGGCUAGUUUAUCAGGAGUGUCGUGGAUUUGACAUGGACGAUCGAGUAUGCGCACCAAGUUGGACGGGCCCAGAUUGUUUAUUUUUUAUGGCUUCUUCCGCUGACCGGACUUAGAGCCGCUGAAUUGGUGUUCACCGCCGUGUAUUCGGUGUUGUCACCGUUGCUUCGACGCUUGUGUCUGUUGCGUCGGGGCUUGCCAUUGCUAUUUCUGGCUUCAGAAAUGCCAGGUUCGCUUAUAUUGUUGUUGCUACAGACCAGCCAGCUAUCCUCACCCGCACAGAAGCAGGUCAUAAGCGUCGUGAGGGCUGCCAUAGACUUCGGCUUUUCUUGGCCGAGGUGUCGGGUGAGCCAUUUGCCGUGGAUGGUGUGUUUAAAGGCCGCUAGGGCUUCGGCAUCCGGACAGUCGAUGAUCUGGUUCUUUUUAGUUAAGAAUCUAGUCCAAAAUUUCCUAGCGGACUCUCCGGGUUGAUGAACUAUGGGACUCAAGACAUCGUCGCUUCGAGGUCGGACGUAUGUGCCUGGAAGUUAUCGAGGAAGGCAUCCUCCAGGUCGUCCCAACUGCCAAUUGAGUUCUUUGGCAAACUGUUCAACCAGUGCCGAGCAGGUCCCUUGAGUUUUAGCGGGAGGUAUUUGCUGGCGUGAAGGUCAUAACAGCGGGCCAUAUAUAUGAAUAUGUAGGAGAAAAUCCUCGAUCCAUACCGCGGGGUCUGUUGUCCCAUCAUAUGAUUUGAUGUUCAUGGGUUUAAAUCAUUCUGGGAAUUCAUGUCCCAUUACUUCAUCAGUGAAGUAGAGGGGGUGUGCGGCACCUCUAUGUCGGGCCACGUCGCGAUGUAGCUAGGAUGGAGUUAGUCUGCGGUAUUCGGCCCGUACGGGGUUAUAUUUGUCACGUCCAGCCUGAUAGGCAUCGUCGUGCAUCGAGGCACGCCCCCGCGAUGCAUAGAUUGAUCUGGUCUGACAUGCUCUGUUUUCCAGGAAAUGCCGCAGGUCAUAUGUGUAUCCUCGAGCUGUUGUGUCUUUGUUUUUUCGGAAAAGUAAUGCGAGAUGGUGUUCGGCUUGAGUUGCCGCUUUGUCCCGUCCACGCGGUGGCCGGUCAGCCGCAUUGUGCGCUCGUAGGACGGGCUCCAGCCCCUCGUCAUUGAAUUGGGGCAGCAAUUCGCACUUUGGGUAACUUUUGGUUGGCGCUCGAGAUCUUAUUCCUUGGCUGCCAGGACAUUAGUCCAUCUGUCAUUGAGUAGAUCUUGAUUAGCUUGAAGCUGCUGCUGCUUCUUUUUCAGGCUCAUUGCAGUGGCUAUUAGCUGGCGCUGAAAGCGCUCCUGGUCGAUGGGCUCCUCAGGCACGAUGAAGUUUUCGUCGCCGAGGCUCGACUCAUACUUGAAGGGUGGAAGAUAAGUGCUGUCCUCCGAGUCUUCGUUAGUGGCCUGUUCGUUAGGGCUGACUCGCCCAUCCUCCCGUUCAUCCUAUUCGGAAGUUGGCUCAACGGGGUCUUCGUUGUCUUCGGCAUCGUCCGGAGUAUUUUCUCCUGUGCCGAUGUUGCUGUUUUUCCCAUGGCAUGGUCUAGAGCGGCGCCGCUGACGUCGGUGCUUUGGCUGCUACUCAAGAGGCUUAUCCUCAACUGGAUCCUUUCUGUUGUCCUUGUUAUCUUUGGGUGUAUCCACCAUGUAUACGUCAUACGAGGAGGUGGCUGUCCAGCGCCCUGUACGCGGUGGUUCUUGAGCCUGCUCCUCUCCGGCAUCGUCGUCCAUACCGUUAAUGUCUUGAUACGUCCAUUUUGCAUCAUGCUUUUAGAUCAAUAUUUACUGCAUUAUGGGCUGUCAUUACACAUUAUAUCUCAAUACUUAUGGCUAUUCUCUCUUAUUUUAAAAGGUUUACCAUGAAGAGGGGGAAUGUCGGCUGCUGGAAUUCUGGCUGGAAAAGGAGCAAACGUUGCAAACCUAUUAUGCACAACUCCAAAAGUCCUGAAACUCCAUGAAACAAAUAUUUGGAUUUAUUAAGAAUUUAUGAGCGAAAGAAAUAGGCCACGGGCCCACACCCUGUCCAGGAGACAGGGGGCGCCCCCCUGUAGGGCGCGGCCCCCUAUCUCCUAGGCCCCCUGGUGGGCCUCCGGUGUCCAUCUUCUGCUAUAUCAUCACUUUUACCCUGGAAAAAAAUUGGGGGCAAGCUUACGGGAUGAAACUCCACCGCCACGAGGCAGAACCUUGGCGAAAUCAAUCUAGGGCUCUGGCGGAGCUGUUCUGCCGGGGACACUUCCCUCUGGGAGAGGGAAAUCAUCACAAACAUCAUCACCAACGAUCCUCUCAUCGAGAGGGGGUCAAUCUCCAUCAACAUCUUCACCAGCACCAUCUCCUCUCAAAACCCUAGUUCAUCUCUUGUAUCCAAUCUUGUAUCAAAACCAUAAAUUUGUACAUGUGGGUUGCUAGUAGUGUUGAUUACUCCUUGUAGUUGAUGCUAAUUGGUUUACUUGGUGGAAGAUCAUAUUUCCAGAUCCUUUAUGCAUAUUAUUACUCCUCUAAUUAUGAACAUGAAUAUGCUUUGUGAGUAGUUACGUUUGUUCCUGAGGACAUGGGUGAAGGCUUGCUAUUAGUAGUCAGGUGAAUUUGGUAUUCGUUCGAUAUUUUGAUGAGAUGUAUGUUGUCUUUCCUCUAGUGGUGUUCUGUGAACGUCGACUACAUGACACUUCACCAUUAUUUGGGCCUAGAGGAAGGCAUAGGGAAUUAAUAAGUAGAUGAUGGGUUGCUAGAGUGACAGAAGCUUAAACACUAGUUUAUGCGUUGCUUCGUUAGGGGUUGAUAUGCACCCAUAUGUUUAAUGUUGUGGUUAGGUUUACCUUAAUACUCUUUUUUGUAGUUGUGGAUGCUUGCAAUAGGGGUUAAUCAUAAGUGGGAUGCUUGUCCAAGUUAGGGCAGUACCCAAGUGCCGGUCCACCCACAUAUCAAAUUAUCAGAGUACCGAACGUGAAUCUUACGAACGUGAUGAAAACUAGCUUGACGAUAAUUCCCAAUGUGUCCUCGGGAGCUCCUUCCUCAUUAUUAGAAUUUGUCCAGUCUUAUCCUUUGAUACAUAAAGGAUUGGGCCACCUUGCUGCACUUUAUUUACUUUAUUUACUUUUUGCUCGUUACUAUUUAUCUUAUCACAAAACUAUCUAUCACCUAUUAUUUCAGUGCUUGCAGAGAAAACCUUACUGAAAACCGCUUAUCAUUUCCUUCUGCUCCUCGUUGGGUUCGACACUCUUAUUUAUCGAAAGGACUAUGAUAGAUCCCCUACACUUGUGGGUCAUCAAGACUCUUUUCUGGCGCCGUUUCCGGGGAGUGUAGCGCUUUUGGUGAGUGGAACUUGGUAAGGAAACAUUUAUAUAGUGCGCUGAAAUUUUCUAUUACUUGUCACUAUGGAAACUAAUCCUUUGAGGGGCUUGUUUGGGGUAUAUUCACCCCAAACAGAAGAGAAAAGAGAUGCUCCUCAACCUACUGAACCUUAUGAAAAUAUUCAUUUUGAGAUUCCUUCGGGUAUGAUAGAAAAACUGCUAGCUAAUCCUUUUGCAGGAGACGGAACAUUGCAUCCCAACUUACACCUUAUCUUUGUGGAUGAAGUUUGUGGAUGUUGUCAAAAGGAAGGUCUUCCCUUUAUCUUUGAAGGGAGAUGCAAUGACAUGGUAUAGGCUAUGUGAUGAUACGAGAUUUUGGAAUUAUAAGCGACUAAAGUUGGAAUUUCACCAAAAGUUAUAUCCUAUGCAUCUUGUUCAUCGUGAUCGUAAUUACAUAUACAAUUUCUAGCCUCGCGAAGGAGAAAGCAUCGCUCAAUCUUGGGGGAGGCUUAAUUCAAUGUUAUAUUCAUGCCCCCAAUCAUGAGCUCUCUCGGGAAAUGAUUGUUCAGAAUUUUUAUGCUCGGCUUUCUCUUGAUAGUCGCAACCUGCUCGAUACUUCCUGUGCUGGUUCCUAUAUGCUGAAGACUAUUGAUUUCAAAUGGGACUUAUUGGAAAGAAUUAAACGCAACUCUAAAGAUUGGGGUUCCGACGAUGGUAAGGAGUCAGGUAUGACACCUAAGUUCGAUUGUGUUAAAUCUUUUAUGGAUACCGAUGCUUUCCAUGGAUUUAGCUCUCAGUAUGGACUUGACUCUGAGAUAGUAGCUCCUUUUUGUGAAACUUUUGCUACUCACGUUGAUCUCCAUAAAGAGAAGUGGUUUAAAUAUAAUCCUCCUGUUGAAGUGAAGGUAGUUGAACCUAUUACAGUCGAAGAAAAGACUAUUACAUAUAGUGAUCCUAUUAUUCCUACUGCUUAAGUCAAAAAACCUCCUUUUCAUGUUAGGAUAAAAGAUCAUGUUAAAGCUUCGACUGUUGUUCUUAAGAGUAAUACUAGGACUUAUACACCUCCUGAGGAAAUUAAUGUUGAACCUGGUAUUGCUAUGAUUAAAGAUCUCUUGGAUGAGGACUUAGAUGGGCAUUUUAUCUCUUUCUUGGGUGAAACUGCUAAUAUUGCUAGGCCCGAUACUAAGACACGUCGGCCUGUUGUAGGCACGCCUGUUAUUUUUGUUAAAAUAGGAGAUCAUUGUUAUCAUGGCUUAUGUGAUAUGGGUGCUAGUGCUAAUGCGAUACCUUAUGAUCUUUAUAAAGAAAUUAUGCACGAUAUUGCACGUGUUGAAUUAGAAGACAUUGAUGUUACUAUUAAGCUUGCUAAUAGGGACACCAUUAAACCUAUUGGGAUUGUUAGAGAUGUUGAAGUCUUGUGUGGGAAGAUUAAAUACCCUGCUGAUUUUCUUGUUCUUAGUUCCCCACAAGAUGAUUUUUGUCCCAUUAUUUUUGGUAGACCCUUCUUGAAUACUGCUACUGCUAAGAUUAAUUGUGAAAAGAAUAUUGUCACUGUUGGCAUAGAUGGUAUGUCUCAUGAUUUUAAUUUCGCUAAGUUUGGUAGACAACCUUGUGAAAGGGAACCACCUAGUAAGGAUGAAAUUAUUGGUCUUGCUUCCAUUGUUGUUCCUCCAAUUGAUCCAUUAGAACAAUAUUUUUUAGACCAUGAAAACGAUAUGUUUAUGAAGGAAAGGGAAGAAAUAGAUGAUGUGUUCCUUAAACAGGAACCUAUGCUGAAACAUAACCUUCCGUUGAAAUUCUUGGGGAUCCCCCUCCACCCAAGGGUGAUCCCGUGUUUGAACUCAAACCAUUACCUGAUAAUCUUAAGUAUGCUUAUCUUGAUGAAAAAGAAAUAUAUCCUGUUAUUAUUAGUGCUAACCUUUCAGAGAAAGAAGAAGAAAGAUUAUUGAAAACUCUGAAGAAGCACUGAGCAGCUAUUGGAUAUACUCUGGAUGAUCUUAAGGGCGUUAGUCCCACGUCAUGUCAACACAAAAUUACAUUGGAGGACGAUGUCAAACCAGUUAGAGAUCCCCAAAGACGAUUAAAUCCCAAGAUGAAGGAAGUGGUAAGAAAGGAGAUACUAAAGCUCCUUGAGACAGGUAUUUUUUAUCCCGUUGCUGAUAGUGAAUGGGUAAGCCCUGUCCAUUGUGUCCCUAAAAAGGGAGGUAUUACCGUUGUUCCUAAUGAUAAACAUGAAUUGAUCCCGCAAAGAAUUAUUACAGGCUAUAGGAUGGUAAUUGAUUUCCGUAAGUUAAAUAAAGCUACUAAGAAAGAUCAUUACCCUUUACCUCUUAUUGAUCAAAUGCUAGUAAGGCUAUCCAAACACACACAUUUUUGCUUUCUAGAUGGUUAUUCUGGCUGCUCUCAAAUACCUGUGUCCGCGAACGAUCAAUCUAAAAUUACUUUUACUUGCCCUUUUGGUACUUUUGCUUAUAGACGUAUGCCUUUUGGUUUAUGUAAUGCACCUGCUACCUUUCAAAGAUGCAUGAUGGCUAUAUUUUCUGAUUUUUGUGAAAAGAUUUGUGAGGUAUUCAUGGAUGACAUCUCCGUCUAUGGAUCCUCUAUUGAUGAUUGUUUGAGCAACCUUGAUCGAGUUUUGCAGAGAUGCGAAGACACUAGUCUCGUCCUGAAUUGGGAAAAGUGUCACUUUAUGGUUAAUGAAGGCAUUGUCUUGGGGCACAAGAUCUCCGAGAGAUGUAUUGAAGUUGAUAAAGCCAAAGUUGAUGCUAUUGAAAAGAUGCCAUGUCCCAAGGACAUAAAAGCUAUAAGAAGUUUCCUCGGUCAUGUCAGCUUUUAUAGGAGGUUCAUUAAGGACUUUUCUAAAAUCUCUAGGCCUCUGAUUAAUUUAUUGCAAAAAGAUAUUCCGUUUUUCUUUGAUGAUGAUUGUGUAGAAGCAUUUGAAACACUUAAGAAAGCCUUGAUCACUGCACCUAUUGUUUAGCCACCUAAUUGGAAUUUACCUUUUUAAAUUAUGUGCGAUGCUAGUGAUUAUGCUGUAGGUGCUGUUUUAGGACAAAGGGUCGAUAAGAAAUUGAAUGUUAUCCAGUAUGCUAGUAAGACUCUUGAUACUGCCCAGAGAAAUUAUGCUACUACUGAAAAAGAGUUAUUAGCAGUUGUGUUUGCAUGUGAUAAGUUUAGACCUUAUAUUGUUGAUUCCAAAGUUACUAUUCACACUGAUCAUGCUGCUAUUAAAUAUCUUAUGGAAAAUAAAGAUGCUAAGCCUAGACUCAUUAGAUGGGUUCUCUUGCUCCAAGAAUUUGACUUGCAUACUAUUGAUAGAAAGGGAGCUGAGAACCCCAUUGCAGACAACUUGUCUAGGUUAGAGAAUGUUCUUGAUGACCCAUUGCCUAUUAAUGAUAGUUUUCCUGAUGAACAAUUAGCGGUUGUCAAUGCUUCUCGUACUGCUCCUUAGUAUGCUGAUUAUGCUAAUUACAUUGUUGCUAAAUAUAUACCGCCUAGUUUCACAUACCAGCAAAAGAAAAAUUCUUUUAUGAUUUAAGACGUAACUUCUGGGAUGAUCCACACCUUUAUAAAGAAGGAGUAGAUGGUAUUAUUAGACGUUGUGUGCCUGAGCAUGAACAGGAACAAAUCCUACGCAUGUGUCACUCUGAAUCUUAUGGAGGACACCACGCUGGAGAAAGAACUGCACACAAGGUACUACAAUCUGGUUUUUAUUGGCCUGCUCUUUUCAAAGAUGCUCGUAAGUUUGUCUUAUCUUGUGAUGAAUGUCAAAGAAUUGGUAACAUUAGUAGACGUCAAGAAAUGCCUAUGAAUUAUUCUCUUGUUAUUGAACCGUUUGAUGUUUGGGGCUUUGAUUAUAUGGGACCUUUUGCUGCCUCCAAUGGUUAUACAAAUAUUUUAGUUGCUAUUGAUUACGUUACUAAGUGGGUAGAAGCUAUUGCAACUAGUAGUGUUGAUCAUAACACUUCUAUUAAAAUGCUUAAACAAGUUAUUUUUCCGAGGUUUGGAGUCCCUAGAUAUCUUAUGACUGAUGGUGGUUCACACUUUAUUCAUGGUGCUUUCCGUAAGAUGCUUGCUAAAUAUGAUGUCAAUCAUAGAGCCGCAUCUCCUUAUCACCUGCAGUCUAGUGGUCAAGUAGAGUUGAGCAAUAAUAGAGAGCUCAAAUUAAUUUUGCAAAAGACUGUGAAUAGAUCUAGAAAGAAUUGGUCCAAAAAAUUUGAUGAUGCAUUAUGGGCCUAUAGAACUGCAUACAAAAGUCCUAUGGGUAUGUCUCCAUAUAAGAUGGUUUAAGGAAAAGCAUGUAAUUUACCUCUUGAACUUGAACAUAAAGCAUAUUGGGCUAUUAAAGAGCUCAAUUAUGACUUCAAACUUGCCGGUGAGAAGAGGUUGUUUGAUAUUAGCUCACUUGAUGAAUGGAGAACCCAAGCAUAUGAGAAUGCCAAGCUUUUCAAAGAAAAAGUCAAACACUGGCAUGAUAAGAGGAUACAAAAGCGUGACUUUAACGUAGGAGAUUAUGUGUUAUUAUUCAACUCUCGUUUAAGAUUUUUUGCAGGAAAACUUCUCUCAAAAUGGGAAGGUCCCUACGUUAUCGAGGAGGUCUAUCGUCCUGGUGCUAUAAAAAUCAACAACUUCGAAGGCACAAAUCCGAGGGUGGUUAAUGGUCAAAGAAUUAAACAUUAUAUUUCGGGUAAUCCUAUCAAUGUUGAAACUAAUAUUAUUGAAACCAUAACCCCCGAGGAAUACAUAAGAGACACUUUCCAGAACGUUCCAGACCCCGAAAAGGCAUAGGUACAUGGUACGGUAAGUAAACUGACUCCAAAACAACUCUAAUGGCAAUUUUUAUCAGUUUUGGAUUAUUUAAGAAUUUUAGGAAGAAAGAAGUAGUCCGAAAGGGACACGAGGCUCCCACGAGAGAGGAGGCUGCGCGCCACUUUGUAGGGCGCGCCCCCUGUCUCAUGGGCACCUCGUGUGCCUCCCGGACUCCAUUUUCUUGUAUGUUACGUAUUUUGGUCGGUAAAAAUUCAUUAUAUAUACUCCCGAAGGUUUUGACCACCGUAUCACGCAAAUAUCCUCUGUUUUCAUUUCGAGCUGUUUCCGUUGCAGAUUUAGAGCACCAUGACUUCUCCAUCCUCCAACAACGAAGACAAGGAUGCUUGGCUAUUGAAGAUAGAGUUGAAAAGAGAGGAACCAGAAGAGAUCAACAAGGAUGAAGGUAACAAUAAGGCCAUGGCGGUUCAAGCUCCGGUGGUAAAAAAGAAGACAUCCCUCAACCUUUACCUAACCUUUUCACUCCAACAGAGAUUGAAGCUUUCAAGAUGAUUGAGUUAGCCCGCAUACAGAACAAGUAUCUCACACAGGAGAAUAUUUUGUUGAAGGAUGAUAUUGUUGGGCUCAAGGGCAUUAUCCGCAAGUUGGAGGAGCUUUUACGCUCGAUGUGCGAUUAUCCACCGUCAUCAUCACCACCUCCAUCUCCUCCGAGGAAAUAAUCACAUGGGUAUGGGCACUCCCCUUGGCAACUGCCAAGCUUGGGGAGGUGCCCCGAUAUCGUAUCACCAUCACACUCCUAUCUUUACCGCUUUAUUUAGUUUGAUCCUUUUAGUAGUAUCUUGAUCUAGUAGAUUGAAGUUUUGAUAUCAAGUAGUUUUGAGUUUUGCAUUGUGAUCUCUUUAUGUAAGCGAGUCUGUGUGCUAUCUAUAAUAAAGGUUAGUGUUGAGUCAAGGGCUUUGCUAUCUUGCUAUGAUCUUAAGAAAGUAGAAAGAACAAAAGAGUUCAUAUUGAUCUUAUGGAUAGUGAUAACUUCACACAUAGAAAGUAUGAGGCAUAAAAAUUGUUGAGAGUUGAUGAACGUAGCCUUGGUCAUCGUUGCAAUUAAUAGGAAGUGAUAAGGAAAGAGGGGUUCACAUAUAGAUAUAUUAUCUUGGACAUCUUUUAUGAUUGUGAAUCACUCAUUAAGUAUGACAUGCUAAAAGAGUUGAUGUUGGACAAGGAAGACAACGUAAUGGUUUAUGUUUUCCGACAUCUCAGUUAAAGUAUAUUGUCAUUGACCUUCCAAACAUGUUGAGCUAGCCUUUCCCCCUCUUGCUGGCCAAAUUCCUUGCACCAAGUAGACAUACUACUUGUGCUUCCAAAUAUCCUCAAACCCAGUUCUGCCAUGAGAGUCCACCAUACCUACCUAUGGAUUGAGUAAGAUCCUUCAAAUAAGUUGUCAUCGGUGCAAGCAAUAAAAAUUGCUCUCUAAAUAUGUAUGACUUAUUAGUGCAGAGAAAAUAAGCUUUGUAUAAACUUGUUGUGGAGGUAAUAAAAGCGACGGAUUGCAUAAUAAAGGUCCACAUACAAGGGGAAAUAUAAAGUGACGUUCUUUUGCAUUAAGAUUUCAUGCAUCAACCCUAAACGCGCAUGACAACCUCUGCUUCCCUCUCCGAAGGCCCUAUCUUCUACUUUAUGUUUUCACUUUAUGUUUGAGUCAAGGUGAUCCUCACCUUUCCCCUUUUUCAUCUUAUCCUUUGGCAAGCUCCUCGUCUUUGAAAGAUCAUGAUACAUAUAUCCAAUUGGAUGUAAGUUGGCAUAGGCUAUUAUUGUUGACAUCACCUAAAGGUGAAUACGUUGGGCGGCAACACAAUAAGCCCCUAUCGUUCUUAGUGUCCGGCUGAAACUAUAUAACCACGAGUAUUGAGUGAGUGUUAGCAAUUAUGGGAGACUACGAGAUAGUUGAGUAUGUGAGCUUGUUGAAAAGCUCUAUUAUUGACUCUUUCUGAUGUUAUGAGAAAUUGCAAUUGCUUCAAUGACUGAGAUUAUAGUUUGUUAGUUCCCAAUGAAGUUUAUGAACCAUACUUGACAUUGUGAAUUGCUUAUUACUUUAGCAUAGGAGAUCAUAUGACAAAAUCUAUUUAUGUUACUGUUAUUAGAAUGAUCAUGAUGCCCUCAUGUCCGUAUUUUAUUUUUAUCGACACCUCUAUCUCUAAGCAUGUGGACAUAUUUUUCGAUUUCGGCUUCCGCUUGAGGACAAGCGAGGUCUAAGCUUGGGGGAGUUCAUACAUCCAUUUUGCAUCAUGCUUUUAUAUCAAUAUUUAUUGCAUUAUGGGCUGUCAUUACACAUUAUAUCUCAAUACUUAUGGCUAUUCUCUCUUAUUUUACAAGGUUUUACCAUGAAGAGGGGGAAUGCCGGCAGCUGGAAUUCUGGCUAGAAAAGGAGCAAACGUUGGAAACCAAUUCUGCACAACUCCAAAAGUCCUGAAACUCCACAAAACAACUUUUCAGAUUUAUUAAGAAUUUAUGAGCGAAAGAAAUAGGCCAGGGGGGUGCCCCCCUGUAGGGCGCGGCCCCCUAUCUCCUGGGCCCCCUAGUGGGCCUCCGGCGUCCAUCUUCUGUUAUAUCAUCACUUUUACCCUGGAAAAAAUCGGGGGCAAGCUUACGGGACUAAACUCCGCCGCCAUGAGGCGGAACCUUGGCGGAAUCAAUCCAGGGCUCUGGCGGAGCUGUUCUGCCGGGGACACUUCCCUUUGGGAGGGGAAAAUCAUCACCAACGUCAUCACCAACGAUCCUCUCAUAGAGAGGGGGUCAGUCUCCAUCAACAUUUUCACCAGCACCAUCUCCUCUCAAAACCCUAGUUCAUCUCUUGUAUCAAAUCUUGCAUCAAAACCACAAAUUGCUACUUGUGGGUUGCUAGUAGUGUUGAUUACUCCUUGUAGUUGAUGCUAAUUGGUUUACUUGGUGGAAGAUCAUAUGUUCAGAUCCUUUAUGCAUAUUAUUACUCCUCUGAUUAUGAACAUGAAUAUGCUUUGUGAGUAGUUACGUUUGUUCCUGAGGACAUGGGUGAAAUCUUGCUAUUAGUAGUCAUGUGAAUUUGGCAUUCAUUCGAUAUUUUGAUGAGAUGUAUGUUGUCUUUCCUCUAGUGGUGUUAUGUGAACGUCGACUACAUGACACUUCACCAUUAUUUGGGCCUAGAGGAAGGCAUAGGGAAGUAAUAAGUAGAUGAUGGAUUGCUAGAGUGACAGAAGCUUAAACCCUAGUUUAUGCGUUGCUUCAUUAGGGGUUGAUAUGGACCCAUAUGUUUAAUGUUGUGGUUAGGUUUACCUUAAUACUCUUUUUUUAGUUGCGGAUGCUUGCAAUAGGGGUUAAUCAUAAGUGGGAUGCUUGUCCAUAUUAGGGCAGUACCCAAGUGCCGGUCCACCCACAUAUCAAAUUAUCAAAGUACCGAACGUGAAUCUUACGAACGUGAUGAAAACUAGCUUGACAAUAAUUCCCAAUGUGUCCUCGGGAGCUCCUUCCUCAUUAUUAGAAUUUGUCCAGGCUUAUCCUUUGCUACAUAAAGGAUUGGGCCACCUUGAUGCACUUUAUUUACUUUAUUUACUUUUUGCUCGUUACUAUUUAUCUUAUCACAAAACUAUCUAUCACCUAUUAUUUCAGUGCUUGCAGAGAAAACCUUACUGAAAACCGCUUAUCAUUUCCUUCUGCUCCUCGUUGGGUUCGACACUCUUACUUAUCGAAAGGACUACGAUAGAUCCCCUACACUUGUGGGUCAUCAUGUCUUCGGUGCCGUAAUCGAGCAUGUCGGUUAAGUCUUCGAAAGUGGCUAUGAAGUGGGCGGUGGGUGGGAAGCGGAAUUCUCCACCCUCAGCUUCCAAUUCGAAAUGGAUAUAUUUCGGCUGAGAGUUCCCCAACAAGGAGAGGGCUCUUAUUGAGUUUAGCACAUCGCGGAAAGGUGAGUGCCGGACGAUGUCCACGGAGCUAAACUCAAAGAUCGGCGCCUGAUCAGGUUCGAUGGGCGCGGAUGUACGCAGUUGGGAACUUAUGACCGGAGACGAUUCUGAAAUUCCGGUAACACAGGUUCCGCUCGAGGUCGGAUCUGUGUGCGUCUCUAACGCCGAUGAGUCAGGGGCUUCCGUGGCGGGGUUGAGCUUCCCGUCCUCGGACGAUGCAGUCUGCUCCAGACCUGGGAGCAGAGCAGUUACAGGAGCUAUCUCCUGGGCAUGAUCCGAUGACAGAUUUAGGUCAUGUUCAUCGUUGAGGUGGGGAGCGGCUGUCAUGGGCUCGAAUCCGUCGAAGAUCAAGUCUCCGCGGAUAUCGGUGACAUAAUUCAAGCUUCCGAACCUAGCCUGAUGGCCAGGGGCGUAGCUAUCGAUCUGCUCUAGAUGGCCAAGCAAGUUGGCCCGUAGUGCGAAACCGCCGAAUACGAAGAUCUGUCUGGGGAGGAAAACCUCACCCAGGACUGCAUUGUUGUAGAUGAUUGAUGGAGCCAUCAAGACCUUCUCGUGAUGACGCAGCGGAACUCUCAAUGAAAGCACCAAUAUCGGUGUCAAAACCGGCGGGUCUUGGGUAGGGGGUCCCGAACUGUGCGUUUAAGGUUGAUGGUAACAGGAGGUGGGGACACCAUGUUUGCCCAGGCUUGGACCAUCUCUAUGGAGAUAAUACCCUACUUCCUGCUUGAUUGAUCUUGAUAAAUAUGAGUAUUACAAGAGUAGAUCUACCACGAGAUCGUAAUGACUAAACCCUAGAAGUCUAGCCUGUAUGAUUAUGAUUGUGUAUAUGCCUCUAUGAACUAAGCCCUCCUGUUUAUAUAGACACUGGAGGGGACUAGGGUUGUACCACUACAAGAAAUCUCCUAAUACAUGACGGACCUUGUCCGUCACAAAUCAAUGGAAAACUGUCAUGGGUAACCUUUCAUGACGAACUUGCAACCCGUCAUGUAUAUCGCGUCAUAAUUUGACAUCGCACCUUACAUGACGGUACUUGUCCGUCAUGGAUCUGCCCCAAGCCCGCCCUGGCACAAUUCAUUGUGACGGAACAAACCGUCACCGAUUAACGCCACGUAGGAUUUUUUAUUGACCAAUUUGAAUGACCUGGCUGCCUACGUGGAUACAUUUUCCGCCACAAAAUUCGUCAUGGUUGAGCACAUUAACCCAUAUCAUUUGGCCCACUUUUUACAUGAUACAUUUUUAGCAUAAUGCGUUACACAAAUUCCAGUGCCAAUUUUGGCCGAAGAAGAAGUAUUUGCAAAUUGUAUAACAUUACACUGAUCAACCAAUAUGCACCCAUCUAUAUAUAUGUAAAACGUAGCAGUUAACAAAAUCAUCUACAAAAAUGAUAACUUACAAUAUAGAUUGAAAACAAAAUCACACAUCAGGGUUAUGAAUGAGUACAAUUCAUUUUAUAUCAAUGUAACAUACAAACUAUAGAGGUCAUUAUUUAGGUUCUUGCUAUCGGCCCUCCUGAUGGCAACCAUCAUAUCGUGGCUGAUUGUGAUGUGCAGAAACAAGUAGCCAGCUUCCCAAUCUUACCUGCAUGUUUAUAAGAACCUUAGAUUUUUUUUAGGGAUAUGACUAGAUACUAGAAAUAAUAUAAUUGCAAAAAUAUAAAAAUGAAUUACAUGUCCAACAUUCUUAAAUCUUAUAGUUCCUACAAAUGAGAACAACAUUGUAUCCACUAUAAAACAAGAGUAAACAUGAGGUUUCUUAAAAUUAAUCCAAAGAAAAGUGUGCGAAGUAACAAAACACACAUCACAUCUAUAUCUAUCUAUCUAUCUAUCUAUCUAUCUAUACCUAUACUAAUUUGUGACUCCCUAGAAAUUACCAUGUUAAUCAGUAAUUAGGAGCCGUUAAUCUGGUGGGACCAAAUUAUUAUGGUGUAGAUCUCUCUUCAAUCUCUCCCAAAAAGAAAAAAAAUCUCAUGGUUAUCUCCCCCACGAUUGAAAUCUCUUAGGUGUAAAAAAACUCACGUACCUAUCUCUCUCCCACAACCAAAUCUAUCUAUCUAUUCUAUACCUAGGCUAACAAAAAAAAGAAUGCUAACUAACCACGUAAUAGUCUUGCGAGACCGUCUCUCCUGAUUAUGUGCUCGACCUAUACGCGGCGACGUACCACAAAGCCCGCCGCCGCCGCCGCCGCCGCCGCCAGUGCCAUCCAUCGUCCGCAGGCACAACCCCAUUGCCGGCAGCAUAAGAUGUGUUGCAGCCAAGAAGUAGAUUCCAUCGCACAGGAGAAGGUCAGAUUCAUAUCCAUAGCAUAAACAUCAUCACGUUAUGGAUGCACAUGCAUAUGUGAAUAGUGGCGUCAAUUGGGCGUAUUUUGUACAUGUACAUGUCCAAGUAGUAGUCUAAGUCUGUAAUCAAUGCAGUGAUUCUGCGUGCGUGUAUUGUGUGUGCAUCUUGCUAGAAUCAAGCACUCUAUGUUAGCUAGCUAGCAACCUUUACGUUGAUGCAUCCUUCUUCGAUUAAUACAGAUUUUAUCACAGAGGAACUGUCGCCGUCGACGUCGUCAUCGGGCCUUGCCGGGAGUAUCAACAGGUUUGCGCUGGUCCAUGUCUCUGGGCAUCAGGAGCUUCACAUAAGUGCUAAUUCCGUGACUGGGAUUUUCAAUAACUUUUAUACAUUAUCUGUAGUUGCACUAUGAUAAAAUUUAGAUUGCUUUACUAAUGUUCAAGCAUGCAAAAUAAUGCUUAGUUUAAUACACCGGCAUGUGGUUGUCAUUAUUUCUGAACUUAUUCCCUGCAGAGACUGUAGCAACAGAUCAAUAGCCUGCAUGUUACUACUUCGAUUCUGUUGUUUCCUAGAGACAAUAGCUAUGUAACCUAGCCGUCCUCUCUAACCUCAUCUAGGAAUUUGGUUUAUUAGAGUUCAACCAUGUCUUUCAAAAAUCAUACUUAAACAUAUUCCUUUUAUUUAUCACACUGUUUAUAGGUAAUGUGGUCAUCCCUUUGUAGUUCAAUUUGGAAGACAGUCACAGAACAUUAUUAGCUGGCAAUAGCAGCACUGUUUUAUGUCCGGCCAGGACAUCAAUAUGGCUGCUGCGAGCAGGCCGGUAGAGACCCAGAACAACAGUUUCGGGACUCCACCUCCAAUCAUCGUCAUGUGGUAUCUUGAGGUGCCCAAGUGUUAGGCCGUGGUGCAGCAGCUGGCGACGGCGUGUCUGGACGCCAUGGGCAGACAGUAUAGAUGUAUGUUUUUCUCACUUUAGCUGGUUUAUGAUGAAAUUGGGGAUCAUGUAUCCUAUGCAUGCAUGAUAACUACGUACAGUUUUUAUGUACAGAUGGUGUGUUGCACUGCUAUUUUGUUGAAAAGACAUUAUCCAUCAGUCCUUUUAUUUCUUAGUUUCUUUCCCUUCUAAUAAUUGAUUUGGUUGGUUUCUAGACUAAAGUAUUUGAAGGCAUGAAUAAUUGGUUAGAAGUAUAGUAUGUCUUGCGAUCUAAGUUUCCAAUUGUAUGUCAGAUCAACAUUCUGUAGGUGGCCGAUUGCUAUGUCUGCACGUAAACAUGCUAAAUUAUACAUGUUAUCUUCCAGUGAAGAGACGAUAAAAAUAGAGGAAUUUAAAUCUACGGACACUAGCAACUUCCAGUUUUAUAUAUGAGCACAUGGAGCUCUUUCAGAUCAAUCUGCAAUAUUUAUUGUUCUGCUAUGUCUAAAAGUAUAUCGAAAUUUUGUCCCCCUCUGUUCUUUAAAGAGCAUAUUGUGCUAGGCAUUAAUUUGAACAAGCCUGUGAUUGGGAAUUUUACGUUACUCAUAUUUUCUAAAUGCCUACAGUUUUGUCCUAUAAUUUGUACUGCAUAUAAUUAACUUAGGCUUGAGCAGCAGUUUUUCCAUAUUUACAAUUUAAUUAGGUGUAUGCAAAAAUAUGACAUGAUGUUAUUAAGGCAUAGGAAACACAUGGAGGACAUAUUUGUGAUAAGAAAAAUCAAACUUAUCUACCUAUACAUUUAUUAUUUUGUUUUCAUUAUCUUCCUUAAAAAUAUACUAAUAAGACCAUAUCAAGUGCAAACAUUUUUCUCACAGCCUUCUUUUAGACAAAAAAUUCAACAAAAUAAUACCAAUCAAAUCCCUCUUUAAAUAUGAGAAAUCCUGACUUUUUUCCUCACAUGUAAAUGUUUAUGCUAUCAUUUAAAUAUGGAAUACAUUUAUUUGCACGUUACACAAACAAUACUAAUGUGUGGGUCAUAAUUAUGAGACAAUAAAUGAAAUACGCACUCAUUUGUAUUUUUGUUAACAUACACACAAAAAUAUUAACUAUAAAGUUUUAUUAUUUCAGCCAACUACAUUAAUAUAUUUUUCUGAAACUUAGCAUGUAAACAUCUACAUUUGCAGUUUACAUGCAAUAUCAUGACAUUUGUUGCCAUUUAUGUUUAUACAGUGAAUUUUGCAAGCACGCGAGAUUUUGACUCACCUUUUUAUGAGAGGAAACGAUAGUAACUUUUCGUAAUGAAAACUUAUUUUCCCUUUUUCAGAGUAUAAGGUAUGUUACAAAGAAUAAGUUUGAGUUCUAGGAAAGGGAGAGAAAUAUUGUUUUUGCCACUUUCGUAGUAACAUGCAUUCAUGUAUACGAUAUUUCCUUCCAUUAAAAUUGUCACGAGGAAUAAAAGCAGAGAUGAGUCAUGUACUAUACUCUACAUGUGUGUAUUCCUUCCACAUAUAUUAAUUUAAAUAUUUAAUGAAGCUUCACACUUUACUGCAGCAUCAACAACUUACAUCACAAAAUAUUUUUAUGCUUGCUAUAGGUUUGGUAGUUGGCACUGGAUCAUUGAUCAUGACUUCAUUGCACCAAGGCGUAAUUCUUCACCUCAUAUUUAUAUAUUAAAUUAUAUACUCUAUGAAUUACGUGAGCUAUAAUUUAUUUUGGAGAGUAAUUUUGAAAGUUAUAUUUACAUUCCUCUUUUAUCCCCCCUUCAUGUACAAGUACCUAACUUCUAAAAAAUAUUGCAUGCAGCAAAAUGUUAAUAGAAGUACAAUGUAUAUACGUCUACCUAAAAUAGGCUAGCCCGCGCGCAUGCACGGGUUGACGACUAGUAACUAAUAAUAUAGCAGGAGUAGUUGAGCCAUAUAAAAAUGUCAACAAAAUUUGGUAUAAUCAUUUCGUACCAGAAGUGCAAACAUAACGCCUACUAAUGAUGCCUACACUCAAGAUACCUAUGCUCAUUAUUAAACGAACAAAUGAAAAUGAACAAUUUUAUCUUACAGUCAAUGCACUAACGCUCACUGAAUGAUAAAAGCUACGAAGAAGACCAUUUACCUGGUAUAGUUAAGAGUUAGCUUUUGUCAGGUUUAUAAGAUUACCAAAUGUUGGGCACCGUAUAUAAUUAGGAGGAAGAAUCUUCAAGCACUACACAUAUCUAACUCUGCACCAGUUUCUACUGUAAAUAAAUAAAACAGAGUAAAGGGUGGGAAAAGUUUAUGUCUACAACUUGUCUAGAUGGAGGCAUUUAGUACGUAACAUCCUCAACAUGGUGACAUGUACUAGGAACAAGAAAUUCAUCAUUGUGAUAUAUAUUAAAUUGAGCAAAAAUCUGGAGCUACUUGUACGCAUCAAUUAUAUAAGCUGAUAAAGUAAAAGGACAACAGCUACUUGUAGUUAUGCAUAUAAAAAAUAAUACCAACGAUUUGUAUAAGCAGCUUGGCAUUAACCCAGGAACAAUCAAGAGUGAGUUGUACCAGAUUUUGAUGUUAACAAUAACCAAGAAAUCAGGGGGCGACUGUUUGGUUUGUGCCCCAACUUGCCCUGCCUAAAUUCUGGCAUAACCAAAGCAAGGGCAAAAAAUUUGUGUGCUAGUGUUGUUUGGAUUAUAGCCAUAGCAUCUAUCAAUUUUUGGGCAAAAUGGCUGGGUCUCUGUUUUGUUUCUAGCAAAUUAACAUGCCACAUAUCUGUAUCUGAGGUAUUUUUUCUUUUUCUUUAGCAAAUGAGCAUUUGAGGUCCUAACUUGAAAUGUUGAUAUAAGGAGCCAAUAAAUCAUGAUGACCAAAUAGAAAAAAGGGCAGAAAAAGGUUCGAUGAAGCAGCAUGCACACGUGUUUGCCGAGUGAAACACACACAUAAUAGCUGGCUGACCGGUACGAUCGAUGGAGGCAUAAGCGUAUGGGCUAGCUAAUUGAUUUUCUGGCUCAUGUAACAGCCAAGCAUAAAAUAGCUUUGGCUCAAAACCAAACACACCCCAGAAUACAUAGUCAUCAGCUAUUUUGGCUUCCCCCUUUUCUUCAAGUAGUGUUUUUCUUGCAAAGGGACAUGUCUUUCAUAACAAAACAUACAAAAAAACACGUAUAUUUGCAGAUAACAAAUGUGAUCAACCAAGCAUUCCACCAUCAUCUCGGUACAAUAGCAUGAAAAUUCAUGUGGUGUAAAUUUAUCAACUUAGAUUGUGUGGAAACUGAUAUGAUGGCUAUUUUCACCACAUAACACAUAGAAAGUUUGCACAUAAUAUAUAACAGAGAAGCAGUGUAAUAGCAGGCCUAGUUAACAAACAAUCUACUCUUGGUCAAUGGAUUCAGUGAGAUAGAUGAAUUGCUUUCCCUCCAUAAACAAGAAAAUUCGAAGGAACCAACAGGAGCAUCUCAUGGGCAUUUACUUAUAAACUAGUACUCUCUCUGUAAACUAAUAUAAGAGCGUUUAGAUCACUACUUUAGUAUUCUAAACGCUCUUAUAUUAGUUUACGGAGGGAGUAGUUGCUUAACUAACUAGCAGAUCUCACAAAUUUUACAUUGCUAGACUCGCACCGUGAGAGACGAAAAAUAAAAUAGCCAGCAGUGCUAAUCUAUCGCUGGCUGUAAUAUGCGAGUAUCAGGAAAGGAAGUGGCCACGUUUUCCGCAUCAGGUUCAGUCCAAGCAAAUUUGAGAGCCCCCGGAGAAUUAUGCUAGAGCAGAGCAGCCAUCAUUUGGAAAGAAAAGAAAAAAAAACAGAGCGAGAGGAUCGACCUUCUUGUUCUGUGGGGAAUCAUAGUGGGCAGGGCGGACGACCUUGCCGUCGAGCUCGCCCAGCUCGUCGGGCUUGAGCGUGGGGUCCCAGUCAUCGCAAUCCAUGGAACUGGAGAGGCGGAGAGCUCCUGUUCAUCUAAAUCAAAGCAAAAAAAUUGAUUGGGGAUGGAGAGAGAAUGAAAGAAAGAUGAGACGAGGGGGCAAGUAGGGAGGGACCUUGUGCAGGGUAUCAUCAAGCUCGGGCCUCCGGCAGGUCACGGUCGUCAUCCUCUGCUAGUCCGACCCUUGCUGCUCCGAAUCUGCAUAUGGCGAGCCAAAUGCGGGGCCUGGGAGUCGGAGGAGGGAGGCCCGUGGUGAGAUCCAUGGCCCUGGCAGUUGGUUUUGAGCAGCAGAGGCACGCUGCGGCGGCUAGUGUUGGCCCCCGCUCCCAUGGGGUUGCUGCAACCGCAGCCACAAUGGAUCUCGGGCCACCAUCAUCGGUUGGAGUCGGGGAAGUGGAAGCGGGGAGGUGGAGGCGGAGGACGGGGAUGAGGAGACGAGAGGUGUGGUGGCGGAGGACGGGGAUGAGGAGACGAGAGGCGUGGCGGUGAGGACAGGGACGAGCAGAGGCAACGUGUGGCGGCGGCGGAUGGAGAAAUAGACUGGGGACGGGAAAGUGUGUUAGGGUUAGGUUUUAUAUGGGGCAAAGUUUAGGGCUUUAGGCGGGCUUUUCGCGGGUUUGCGGAGCUGUACUGGGCCGUUCAUGACGGUUUUAGAACUGUCAGCGAAAAUUUGUCAUGCAUUAACAGGUUUCUUGUAGCGUACGAAGUCGGUUACAGAGGAAGGAAUCUUCAUAUCCGGUCACCAAGCUUGGUUUCCACGUCAAGAAGAGUCUCAUCCGGACACAGGACGAAGUCUUCUGUCUUGUAUCUUCAUAGCCCAUCAGUCCGGCCCACAUCAAGAGUCCGGCUGUCCGAGGACCCCUUAAUCCGGGACUCCCUCAGUCAUGAUCUCCGACAAGGAGUAGGUUGGAUCAACGUAGUGCAUAGGUUUAUUUUAGUUUGCAUGUCUUUGUAUGGAUUUAAGAAUCGGAUAGAAGAUAUCCGGAUGUAACAAGUGAAGUUUGGGGUGUGUCUGGUCAGAAUGACGCGUCCGCCGGCAUUUAAGGGGCUGGAUUUGCCAUAUGUGUCUCUAGAUGCUCUGAUCAAAUGUUGAUUUAAAAUACGAGGGGCACAAUAAACCAAGAUAGAGGAAGUAUGUGUCAGUGUGGAGUAGCAUACAGGCAUAUAUGUUUACGGAUGUGAAACACUAGCUGGACGACACUAGUAGAAAAAGGACCUUAUAUGAGACACAUUAGUGCCGGUUUGAUUUUGAGCCGGCACUAAUGUGUCCAAUAGUGUCGGUUCCAACGGCUAGCCGGCCGUUCUCAUUAGUACCGGUUCGUGGCGAACCUUUAGUACUGGUUCGUGCCACGAACCGGUACUAAAGAGAGUGGUGGCAGGGGGUUGUCAGUCUGGGGCCCCUCCAGCACCUUUAAUACCGGUUCGUGGCACGAACCGGUACUAAAGGUCGACCUACAUAAACCCUUCGUCCACCCGAGCCACUCUGUUCUUCCCCUUUCCCCUCACUUCCUCUAUUCUUCCCCUCUCUUCCUCGAGCUCCUCACAAAUUUUGCCCAAAAUUUUUCAAGAUUUGAAGGCCCCCAUCCAUUCAAAUGAUCACAAAGGUUAGCAACUUUGUCCUUUCAACUCUCAUUGCUAGAUUAGCUCUUGCAAUGCUUUGUAUAGUGAUUAAUUUUGGGAGGAAUUAUAUUAGCUAGUAUUUGAUUUAUAUGCAAUUUGAGGUCAAAAAUAACACUUAGUUUGCAUAUGUAGGUGUGGUUUACUUAGUGCCUUCUAAAUCUCCGUCGUAAGCACCGUCGAUCGCCGGCACCGUCCCGUCGCCGGCACCACCUUGUGGUGAGGCUCUUGUUCAUGAAUGUUUUACAUUACCAAAUUGAUGUUUGUGUGAUUUGGAUAUAUAGUUACUCGUAUAAUUAUCUUAUCCAUACGUUGUUUGUUAUACAUAGUGCCAUGGUUUUGAUAUCCGUCCCCGUCGGCCCUCGUCCUUGUUAUGAUUCAGAUGUGGUAUAUUCUGAUUUAAAACUAGUUGUUGCAUUUCGUGUUUAUGACAAAUUAUGCCCAUCAAGUUGACAUAGAUAUUUUUAUCUAGGAGGUAUGUGAACCGAAAAUUCCAACCGAGCCUAUUGUCGAGAGGUUAAAUUUAGUUGAAAGAGAAAACGAGUAUUUGAAAGAAAAAUUGAAAAGAAUUGAGGGGGAGAAGAUGAAAUUGGAGUUGCAUGUUGCCGAUGUCGUCGAUGAUCACAAGAUCAAGAUGGAGAAAAUGAGGUUGAAUAUUAGAAAGAUUAGAAAAUAUGCCAUUGAUAGUGUGGCUUGGUAUCAUUAUGCUGUUGGAUCAAUUGUUACCUUACUUGCGAUCUUCAUCGCAUUUGUUGUUGCAUUUAAAUUCUUUAGCUAGAGAGUUAUUUGUAUGUUGCAUUUAAUUAAGUGUUGUAUAUGAACUUUAUGUAUGAACUUGUAUUAAUUUGGUCUAUUCGGUGUUGUGUAAUGAAGAUGAGCCGACAAUGGAUGUAUGAUGACAGAUGCUCUCCCGAGUUCAUUAAUGGCGUGCAUACUUUUCUGCUUGCCGCUGAGGCAAACAAGUGGGCGGAUGGUUUUAUGCCUUGUCCAUGUGCUGGCUGUAAGAAUGGUCACAGUUACUCUACAUCAAGAACCAUUCACGUCCACCUAUAUGAGUACGGUUUCAUGCCCCACUAUAAUGUUUGGACCAAGCACGGAGAAAUAGGGGUUAUGAUGGAAGACAAUGAAGCAGAAGAGGACGACGACGGCUAUCCUGGCCAUGGGUUCCCUGAAUACGAUGAUACAACAAUGGGGGAAGAAGCUGAGCCGACAAUGCAGAAAGAAGCUGAAGAAGAGGCAUCAGAUGAGCCCGCUGAUGAUCUAGGUCGGGCCAUUGCCGAUGCAAAGAGAAACUGCACAAGUGAUCUAGAGAGGACGAAGUUGUAGCGCAUGUUAGAGGAUCACAAGAAAUUAUUGUACCCGAAUUGCGAAGCUGACAAAAAAAAGUUGGGCACCACACUUGAAUUGCUGCAAUGGAAGGCAGAGAAUGGUGUAUCUGACAAGGGAUUUGGAAAGUUGCUGGUAAUGAUAAAGAAUAUGCUUCCAAAGGACAACAAAUUGCCCGAGAGUACGUAUGAAGCAAAGAAGGUUGUCUGCCCUCUAGGGUUAGAGGUGCAAAAGAUACAUGCAUGCCCUAAUGUCCUCUACCCCGGUGAGUAUGAGGAUUUGAAUGCUUGCCCAGUAUGCGGUGCAUUGCAUUAUAAGAUCAGUCGCGAUGACCCUGGUGAUGUCGAGGGUGAGCGCCCCAGGAAGAAGAUUCCUACCAAGGUGAUGUGGUAUGCUCCUAUAAUACCAUGGUUGAAACGUUUGUUCCAAAACAAAGAGCAUGCGAAGGCGAUGCGGUGGCACGCACAAGACCGUAAGAAAGACGGAAAGUUGAGUGUACCCGCUGACGGUUUGCAGUGGAGAAAAAUCGAGACAAAGUACUGGGAGGAGUUUGCAGGUGACCCAAGGAACGUAUGGUUUGGUCUAAGCGCAGAUGGCAUUAAUCCUUUUGGCGAGCGGAGCAGCAACCAUAGCAUGUGGCCUGUGACUCUAUGUUUGUAUAACCUUCCUCCUUGGUUGUGCAUGAAGCGGAAGUUCAUUAUGAUGCCAGUGCUCAUCCAAGGCCCUAAGCAACCCGGCAACGACAUUGAUGUGUACCUAAGGCCAUUAGUUGAAGAAUUCUUACAACUGUGGAAUGGAACAGGUGUACGUGCGUGGGAUGAGCACAUGAGGGCAGAAUUUGACCUAAAGGCGUUGCUGUUCGUGACCAUCAAUGAUUGGCCUGCUCUCAGUAACCUUUCAGGACAGACAAACAAGGGAUACCGUGGAUGCACGCACUGUUUGGAUGAUACCGACAGUAUAUAUUUGAGUAGUUGUAAGAAGAAUGUGUACUUGGGACAUCGUCGAUUUCUUCCGAGCAGGCAUCCCGUAAGAAAGAAAGGCAAGCAUUUCAAAGGUGAGGCGGAUCACCGGACGAAGCCUCGCCACCGUACUGGUGCUGAUGUACAUGACAUGGUCAAGGAUUUGAAGGUAAUCUUUGGAAAGGGUCCUGGCGGACAACCAGUUCCGAAGGACGCUGACGGACGCGCACCCAUGUGGAAGAAGAAAUCUAUAUUUUGGGACCUGCCAUAUUGGAAAGACCUAGAGGUCCGCUCCGCAAUCGACGUGAUGCACGUGACGAAGAAUCUUUGCGUGACCCUGCUUGGCUUUUUGGGCGUGUAUGGGAAGACAAAAGAUACACCAGAGGCACGGGAGGACCAGCAACGUAUGCACGGAAAAGACGACAUACAUCAGGGUCAGGCCAGCUACGCUCUUACCAAAGAAGAGAAGGAAAUCUUCUUCCAAUGCCUGCUCAGCAUGAAGGUACCGUCUGGCUUCUCGUCGAAUAUAAAGGGAAUAAUAAAUAUGGCAAAGAAAAAGUUCCAGAACCUAAAGUCUCAUGACUGCCACGUGAUUAUAACGCAACUCCUUCCGAUUGCAUUGAGGGGGCUUCUACCGGAAAACGUUCGAUUAGCCAUUAUGAAGCUAUGUGCAUUCCUCAAUGCAAUCUCUCAGAAGGUAAUCGAUCCAGAAAUCAUACCAAGGUUACAGAAUGAUUUGGUGCAAUGUCUUGUCAGUUUCAAGUUGGUGUUCCCACCAUCCUUCUUCAACAUCAUGACACACGUCCUAGUUCACCUUUGCGAAGAGAUUAACAUUUUGGGUCCUGUAUUUCUACACAAUAUGCUCCCCUUUGAAAGGUUCAUGGGAGUCUUGAAGAAAUAUGUUCAUAACCGUGCUAGGCCAGAAGGAAGCAUCUCGAAGGGCCAUCAAAAUGAGGAGGUCAUUGAGUUUUUUAUUGACUUUAUUCCUGACCUUAAGUCAAUUGGUGUUCCUGAAUCGCGGCAUAAGGGCAGACUGGAAGGAAAAGGCACGCUAGGAGGGCAUCAAAUAAUAUGUAUGGACGGGCAUUCUCUCACUGAAGCACACUACACAGUUCUAUAGAAUUCCGCCUCUGUGGCUCCGUAUAUGGAGGAACACAAGAAUUUUCUACAGUCCAAACACCCGGAGAAGUCUGACGACUAGAUUACACGCGAACAAACAAGGACUUUCGCCGCUUGGUUGCAGAAACGUGCCCUGAAUGAUGGCGAUAUUCAAAAUGACCUGUACUCGCUGUCCCAGUUACCAUCUUCGAAUAUAAUGACUUUCAAAGGGUACCAGAUAAAUGGGAAUACAUUUUACACGAUCGCCCAAGAUAAGAAGAGCACCAACCAAAACAGUGGUGUCCGCUUUGAUGCAACAACCAACACGGGAAAGGAAACAUAUUAUGGUUACAUAGAGGACAUAUGGGAACUUAACUAUGGAUCAGGUGAUUUGAAGGUCCCUUUGUUUCGGUGCAAAUGGGUCAAAAUGACACGAGGCGGGGUAACGGAAGACCCGCAGUACGGAAUGACAACAGUGGAUCUCAACAAUCUUGCGUAUGCAGACGAACCAUUCUUCCUAGCCAAUGAUGUGGCGCAGGUUUUUUAUGUGAAAGACAUGUCUACCAGGCCGAGAAAAAGAAAAGAUAAGGAAGCGAAUGGAUCAUACGACGAGCCAAAGUGCCACAUAGUUCUUUCAGGUAAAAGGAACAUCGUGGGAGUGGAUGACAAGACAGACAUGUCAGAAGAUUAUGAAAAGUUUGAUGAAAUUGCUCCAUUCACAGUGAAUAUUGACCCGAGCAUCCAGUUAAAUGAUGAAGAUUUUCCAUGGCUACGGCGCAAAGGGACACACCAGAAGAAAAAGUUUCACACCCAAAGAUCUGGGAUGUGAUCGGCUUCACUAUCAUCACUUUCUUGUGUGUUUCACACCCAGGAGGGAAUGUCUGUAGUAGUUAGGGUAGUUAAUUAUGUGUUUUGGCAUUUGAAACGCGAAGAAACUUUAUGUGCAAACAAAUCCUUUUCAUGCAUUACUGAUUUUUUUUUCCAGCUAAAUGACCCUGAAAUUGAAAAGCAUUUGAAAUGAACUCAGAAAAGUAGAGAGGGUUACGGCAAAAACUGGAUACACUUCGUGUGCAAAAUGGACAAUCUUUUUCGAAGUAUCAGGGUUUCCGACGAAAACUGAAAUGUUACAAAGGCAUUUCAUUUUUUAAAUAACCUAAGCAUUACCAAACUGAAUAUAAUGAUAAAACACACUAAUAUUAAACAUAAAAAAAAGAAUCACUGAAAAAAAAAUUCAAAGUUAAGUUAUUCACAAACUAGUGAUUCACACAAAUUUCAAAUAAUUCAAAAUUUAAACUAUUCAAAAUUAAAAACUACCGGCACUAACAGAAAGUUUGUAAUUUUUUGUACCUAAAGCAAAAAUAUUCACAAAGAAACUCUAAAUACAGCAAAACAACUCAAAAAUAAAUAAAACAAAAAUAAAUAAAGCGGAAAAAAUUAAGAAAAUAAAAAAGCCCACCUACUGGGUCAAAGCGGCCUGCAUACGACUAGGAACACAACCUUUAGUUGGGCCCGCAAAGGCCCGCAAAGGCCUAGUAGGCCCACAGGGCAGAAGAGGACAGGUAGGCCCAGUAGGCCUGCUUAGGAGAGGAGCUCGAGAGAGCUACCGCACUGGGGCUUAUAAACCAGUGCGGUAGCCCCUCGGGUAGCGAGGUGGGACUAAACUUGCGCACCGCCUGGAGCCAGCGCACCCCUUUAGUACCGGCUCGUGGCUUCAACCGGUACUAAAGACUCCCCUCCCCCUUUAGUUCCGGUUGGAGCCACCACCCGGUACUAAAGUGGGUGCGCUUCCCGCCGCUUGGCCUGGCCAAAACAGACCUUUAGUACCAGUUGGUGACUCCAACCGGUACUAAAGGUCCAUCCUAUAUAUACAACACUUAAAAAAAUUCAGUUUCCCUCUGUUUCUUUCCUCUGUUUCCUCCCUCCGUCGCGCCGCCCUACCCCGAUCGACGCCGUCCCCGUCGACGUCGCCGCCCCCGCCCCUCGUCACCGACCCCNNNNNNNNNNNNNNNNNNNNNNNNNNNNNNNNNNNNNNNNNNNNNNNNNNNNNNNNNNNNNNNNNNNNNNNNNNNNNNNNNNNNNNNNNNNNNNNNNNNNNNNNNNNNNNNNNNNNNNNNNNNNNNNNNNNNNNNNNNNNNNNNNNNNNNNNNNNNNNNNNNNNNNNNNNNNNNNNNNNNNNNNNNNNNNNNNNNNNNNNNNNNNNNNNNNNNNNNNNNNNNNNNNNNNNNNNNNNNNNNNNNNNNNNNNNNNNNNNNNNNNNNNNNNNNNNNNNNNNNNNNNNNNNNNNNNNNNNNNNNNNNNNNNNNNNNNNNNNNNNNNNNNNNNNNNNNNNNNNNNNNNNNNNNNNNNNNNNNNNNNNNNNNNNNNNNNNNNNNNNNNNNNNNNNNNNNNNNNNNNNNNNNNNNNNNNNNNNNNNNNNNNNNNNNNNNNNNNNNNNNNNNNNNNNNNNNNNNNNNNNNNNNNNNNNNNNNNNNNNNNNNNNNNNNNNNNNNNNNNNNNNNNNNNNNNNNNNNNNNNNNNNNNNNNNNNNNNNNNNNNNNNNNNNNUAUAGAAAUGUUAGCAAUUUUUUUGUUUUUUAGUUAUAUAAAUAUUAGAAUUGUUAUAGAAAUGUUAGUUAUAUAAUCAGGGAAUUUUAGAAUUAGUUUUAGUUAGAUGAAUUAGAUUAAUGUCAAAUUGUUAGAAUUUGCAUAUAUAUAUAUAUAUAUAUAUAUAUAUAUAUAUAGAAUUUUAGUUAUCACAAUCCAAUCAUUUAAAAAAUGUUACUUUUUGCGGGCAUAUAGUAUGUGUUGUCGACGAUAUGCCCGGCCCGCAUCCUCGCCGUCGACCCAUUCGCGACGACGUCAUGCUUCAGAGGACCCAUGUCCGGGACUGGAAUCCGCCGGGCUGGCACUGGGAGGUGCUACCUGGAGGGGCGCGCCGCUUGGUGAGGAACCCGACCUCCGGUCCCGUCGUCGACCCUGAUCUUCUUAUGUGGCGUUCACGUGGGCCACAUUCGGUGCAGAGGCAGCCGGCCCCGCCGGAGGUAGUGCGUCGCCGUGUCAGGGAGGAAGAUGAGCACGUCCAUCGCUACAUGGCUGCUAUGGACGACGUCAGGUUCUCCACUACAUGGCGGGUUCUUUGGGCAGAUGACCGGAGAUAUGAUCCUGUGAUGGUUCCUUCUCUUUGGGUGUGCACCGCCCGCGCCCCAGGAACCGCGAGUGGCGCCCUAGAUUCUUCUGUAGUACUCGAUCUUUAUUAGGUACCUAGCCAGUGAUGUAUUCGAUAUAUAAUAUUCGAGAUGAUGUAUUCGAGAUUAUAUAUAUUAAGACGAUGAUGUAUUCGAGAUUAUAUAUUCGAGACGAUGUAUUCGAGAUUCAGUUUUUCCUUAUUGAUUAAUUGCAUCCAUGCAUUGUAAUUUGAAUACUAAAUUGUUUUAUAUUUCUUCUGUAUUAAUUAGUAAAGUAAAAGCUAUGGCGGACAAUACCGGCAGAGAGAGAGAAGAGGAAUUGUUCGACAUCAUACGGAGCCCUCAUAGGCUAGAUGAUCUGAAUGAUGACGGCUCCCAAUAUCUGAACAAUACCGGAGAGGGUGAUGAAAAGAUAUUCGAUCUCGACGACCGAGCUGAUGAAGUCAUGAACUAUGAUUAUGAUGACACAGACAAUGUUAGUGAUGACAUAGACAAUGCUGAUCUUCAAAUAACAAAGACUUCCGGCGAGGUAUAUAUUUAUAUAAGCAUGCAUCCUGGUGAUCAUCACAUGUUUUUUUAUUGAAGAUAUAUUAACGAAUCGAUCUUUCUUCUUUCAGCCCUCCGGAUCGAGCAAAUCUGCUUCUACAGACAGCAAGACAAAGCAAGGCCCGAGCAGAUUGUUGAAGGAUGGUGUAAAGUACCACAUCGAAUCCACCAAACUUAGUGGCGAACCCCUCACGCCUAAGAACGUUGCAGACAAGUGGACUCAUCAGUGCGGAGUUCUUGUGAAGGACAAACUCCCGAUCUCCAUUCAAGAAUGGAAAGAGCCAAAGACUAAACGUCCAGGUGUUACUUGGGUUGAUGCCAGAUACAAAGAAGACCUGGUGAAAUCUCUGAUGGAACAUUUCACCCGACCAGAUUAUUUCACUAAAGCAGAUGUGGAGAAAGUCAAGGCCGCUGCUCUUAAGAAGAUGGCAAUUGCAUUCAACACCCACAAGAAAACUGUAUGGGCUAACUACCUCGCUAAUGAAAGGAAGACUCCAGAUUUCCAGGGAACAUUAGAGAAGCAAAGAGAACACUGGGACGAUUUCGUGACCUUCAAGGAUUCAGAAUUAUCUAAGGAACGGUCGAUGAAAAACAAGUCAAAUGCCGCAAGAAAUAUGCAGUUCCAUAGGCUGGGUCCAGGUGGCUACGCGGUGGGAUUGCCAAAGUGGGAUAAGUCUGAUCAAGAGAUGGAGGGUGCAGGGGUCACUCCGAUUACUAGGAGCUGGCCCCCCAGGUGCAGAACUUGGUUCUAUGCGCAUGGGGGGCGUUGGACCCAAAGAUAGGCCUGGUUUCGAAGAAGACAAGUCUAAAAGGAGCCGAACAAAAGAUACUUGACGCAAUAGAAGAAGCUCGAGCGGGGGUGUUCACGCCCAACAGAGAGAACGACGAGCUUACGCGUGCCCUGGGAAAUCCUGAAAACCCGGGAAGAACAUGAGGCAUGGGUGUUAUUCCCUGGUAUGAGGGCUUUUCGGACUGGAAUGACGACUACAGGUCCCGUGCAAGAAAGAAGAUGGAGGAGGACAAGAAGAGGAAGCUGGAGGAGGAGCAGAGGAAGCAGGACGCAGAACGUCUUCAAGGCCUAGAAGAAAGGCACGUGGACCUGGCACUCAAAUUCCAGUAGCAGCAGCAGCAGAUCGACUCACUUAGCCAGGAAAGGGGGUCUCAACAGCGACAACAGCAAGAGGAUGAUCGUCCAUCAUUGGAUAGCACCGUCCCAUCCAUGCCGAGAAGCAGCGUUGGUUCUGCCCCGGGCGACACACUGCUGGAUACAUACCCUGUGGAUGACAUCAUAGAGAAAACUAACUGUGAGCUACACUCCAAAAUGAAGAACAUAUCCAUGAAGGUGGCGGAUGGCGUUGCUUUUCCAAUGACCCCUGAAGCAACCUACCAUUGCAUCCCGAUUGCAGAGGGCUAUGCUCGUGCCAUGGUUGAUGAAGUGGUGGACCCAUAUUCGGGGCUAACGCUUGACAUUCCUGGAGGUGAAGACGUGCGCACACUGGGACAGGCCAUACAUCGUAUCAUCCUAUGGAGAAAGGAUUGCAUCAUCUUUCAAAGUCCACCGACACCGCGUCGUCUGCCGACUCCUCGAAGUCCGCCACCGAGUCAGCAGACUCCCGCUCCUCCAAGUCCACGAAUGCACGAGACGACUCCUCCUCGAAGUCCGCCACCUCCUCCAAGUCCCCGAACGCAUGAGCUGACUCCUCCGGUUUCAAGUCCGGCACAGCGUCAUGCCACUUCUCCGGUUUCAAGUCCGGCACCGUGUCAGGCCACACGUCCUGCUUCAAGUCUGGCACAUCAUCAGGCCACUUCUCCUGGUCCAACUCCACGUCAGCCGUCUCCGCCGUCUCAGCAAUCGCAGAAGAGACAUGCCGCAGAUUUGGUGCGUAGCGGUAUGAGUCGAGGUAGUUCAGGAAGUACAGGCGGAGACAAGCGAUAUAAAUAUGGUCCAAGCCUCGCUCCUCUUCCUCAGAGGCCUUACGACAUGACCGAGGAGCAAAACGCAGCCAUAGUGCAGGCCCAAGUGGACGCCCAUUUUGGACCGAAACCGGCACCGCCGCCAAAGGAGAAAGUGCCUGAGAAAACGAUUGACCACUUCAUUCAUAUGGCUAGAGCACCAGCUCCCAAGCCUGUUGACUCGGACUAUGAGCAUCAAAUCAGGAAGCUACAUCGAGCACGGCUACGGAAGGAAGCGAGCUCGAGCUCGAGCGAACAAGCAGCUGGCAAAAAAUGCGGGAAAACCGUUCCCCAGCUGGGAGAACAGGCGGCGCAAGAGAUUCCCCCGCUUGUUGUGCCAACAACACAUGAGAGGAGUACGCGCGCCAAAUAUUAUUGUGGGUAAACCGUUAGCGUUCCCCAGCAGGGCGAUGUGGUAAUAGUGGAGGAGCAUAUAAUGCAGGCUGAAAUGCUCAAGAUCUCUGCUGGACAACUCUUCGAAAUCGAGCCCAUGUCUCCGCUUAAAGAAUCAGAAAUAAAAUGGAAAUAUGUCUGUGGCCAACCUUUGGUCCAUCCAGACAAGGUCAAGGACCUCCCAAUGAGAAUGUAUGAAUUGCAUCAAUGGUACAUGAACAUGACCAAGAUUUCCAAUCGAGUGUCCCUCAUGGUGAAUGUCAAGAAGGAUCAUUAUUACCAUGAGAAAGCUCUGUCCAUUGAGUAUUCAGAACUAUAUCAGUUAUUCAAUCAAGACGCACUCGACAAGUCUAUCGUCAGUUGCUAUUGUCUGUAAGUGAUUUCUUUUUGUAAUUUAAGUCUCAAGCUAAUUAUGUAGUGAUAAUUUUGAUCAAUCAUUACAUGUAAUUAUCCUCACUAUAUUCUUUUCUAUGGUAUUAUAUGCAGGAUGAAGAUGUAUGAAAUGAAAAAAUCUGGACGCUAUGGCAUUGGGUUCAUAGACCCAAAUACCAUUAAUGAGGACAUAUGGAAGUAUCCAUUUUAUCAAGCAGGUGUAGAGGAAAGCAUGAUAGAGUUCUUGAAGCGCCUCAAUAGCAAUGAAGAUAUACUACUUCCUUACAACUUCCCGUGAGUCACAUUGUCUUGUACUACAAAUUCUGUUUUUUACUUACUAGCUAGCUAGAUGUUAAUAAUUAAGUGUAUACGGUUUACGGUAGUUGAUUAAUUUUAUGCACAUGCCCGCUUAUUUAAGACAUGCAAACGUGUGCGCAUGCAGUUGGCACUGGGUCUUGAUAGACAUUAAAGUUGAGGAAGGAAAAGUUGAAUUACUGGACUCGCUAACUAAAAAAGAAAGUGACUUCACCAUCGUGAAGGGGAUAGUCAGCAGGUAAUUUCAAUCAUUAUUNNNNNNNNNNNNNNNNNNNNNNNNNNNNNNNNNNNNNNNNNNNNNNNNNNNNNNNNNNNNNNNNNNNNNNNNNNNNNNNNNNNNNNNNNNNNNNNNNNNNNNNNNNNNNNNNNNNNNNNNNNNNNNNNNNNNNNNNNNNNNNNNNNNNNNNNNNNNNNNNNNNNNNNNNNNNNNNNNNNNNNNNNNNNNNNNNNNNNNNNNNNNNNNNNNNNNNNNNNNNNNNNNNNNNNNNNNNNNNNCGGCCUAUUAUUAGUUCGUCAUUUUCUGAUAUGAACUAUUUAAUAACCCCUUUAUUAAUUUUCUUUGUUGGCGGGCAGGGCGUGGGCAAAAUUCAUCGCGAUGACUCCAGGCGAAUGGAAACAAAAGUUGUUUUGGCAUCGACCAAAGGUAAGUAAUUAAGUAGUACUAGCUAGCUACCAUCUCUUUAAUUCUUGUUUCAAUAUCAUUAAUUAAGUAUCAUGCUUGAUUAAUCAUUAUCUGAUUCAAUUCCAUUCUCGUAAAUGCACCGAAGCAGGCGUCGGGGAAUAAUCUGUGUGCAUUCUACGUUUGCGAGAACAUUCGCAUGAUGACGUCCGAAAGGAGCAGAUCUGAUAGAUAAGACUGGGUACGUUUGUCAGAACACUAUUCACACCAUUAUCGAUAUCUAGUCACACAACUAACACACAUGCAUAUUGAUCUCCUUCUUAACAGUUCAGAGAGGUGCGGGAUAAGCUCCUACCAUCGGACCGCAUACUAGCACUUCAAGAGGAAAUAGCCGGAUUUUUGCUCGACUAGGUCAUAAAUCCCGAAGGAGAAUACUAUUACCCGCUACCGCCCCAUGAACCACUUGUCAUUGUGCUCCGGAGGCACCAAGGCAACAUAUGUAGGAGAAAUUGUAUAUGUAUACAUGUGUAUGUGUGAAUAAUGGUGUUGAUUGUGAGACAUUCGAUGAUAUANNNNNNNNNNNNNNNNNNNNNNNNNNNNNNNNNNNNNNNNNNNNNNNNNNNNNNNNNNNNNNNNNNNNNNNNNNNNNNNNNNNNNNNNNNNNNNNNNNNNNNNNNNNNNNNNNNNNNNNNNNNNNNNNNNNNNNNNNNNNNNNNNNNNNNNNNNNNNNNNNNNNNNNNNNNNNNNNNNNNNNNNNNNNNNNNNNNNNNNNNNNNNNNNNNNNNNNNNNNNNNNNNNNNNNNNNNNNNNNNNNNNNNNNNNNNNNNNNNNNNNNNNNNNNNNNNNNNNNNNNNNNNNNNNNNAUAACGUGUACAAUUUGUAGUAUCGUGAAAUACCAGGAAACAAAAAAAAAUGUAAUGGAAAAUAAAAAAAACACCCAAACAUUUAGUACCGGUUGAUGUUACCAACCGGUACUAAAGCCCUACGCGCACCCGGGCCUGGCUCGUGCCACGUGUUCGCACUUUAGCGCCGAUUCGUGACGAACCGGUACUAAAGGGGAGGGGGACCUUUAGUCCCCACUCUUUAGUGCCGGUUGUAGAACCGGCACUAAAGGCUGUUACGAGCCGGCACUAAAGGCCGAUUCUGCACUAGUGCGACUACAUGCCGAUGUCAUCAAUGCAUGUGACUCACAACCACUCACUCAGUGCCAUCAUUCACUUUGGAACUGUUAUCGACAUGGUCAUGCCAGCCCCGGUAUAGGAGUGGCGACCGCGGCACAUCGCAUGACUCGUUCACACAUAGUUAAAAAAAAUUACCAUGUUUCAAGUGCUUUGUAUUCUUUGGUGAACUUUUGGAAUUUAUUUGAUUCUUUUUCAGAAGAACAAAUAAAAGGAACACGCAGUUUGAAUCCAUUGGGCACGGAUGGAACGUGGCAUGUCUCCUGGCCAAGAUACAAGCGCGGUGGGCACGCUGCAAGGGCGACGUGGCAGUUUGGACGCCGAUGUGGCGCAUUCUCGCCACCAAUACGGACGGCCUGGUGUGUGUCACGCACCAAUAUAUAAAACAUCCAGAUCCAGGGCAGCUACGUCGAGCGAUGCGAUUGGCCAGCUCGACGAUAUGCCGGCGCAAGGAAAUAUGCCGAUCCAGACAAGAAACACGACGGCGAGAAUCGCGCGUACGCCCCACAUGCAUGCGACGUCGGACACCGCUCACCGAGUACCACUAUUAUUGGGGUCCAUGCACGCACGGCACCACAGGCUACACGUAAAUGCCAUGUGAUGCCUGGCACCACAGCAGGCCACAGACCAUCCAUGGACCGCGAUCACUGAGUACGUUUACUCUCUUUUGCAUUAUGCUUAAUAUGGCCAUGUGAUGUGUACGUGUUUAGCCUUUAUUAGGGGGGCAGAUCCUUCAUGCUCCCCCAUAUGCAGAUCCAGAUCGAGAGCCCACCGCCCAAUCAGUAGCCACGGCUGACCGCCAUAUCCUCAGCAGCUGGUUCUCUCUAGGAUUUAGUCGACUUAGACAUGGCGAAGUCUAAGUCGGCUGAUGUCACCUGUUUAUUUUUUCGUUUAUGUUCAAACUAUAUCCCGACGUUGCAUCUUGUGGCUUUUUGGCUGGCUCCUCUUUUUGUCUUUAGUCUGUGCGUUCAUCAAGUUGUGUUGAGCCAGAUAUUUUGGGCAGUUAUUUUUUGUUUGGUGCUGCUGCUCGUUGAUUAUGUAAUCUUUAGCUAUUGUUUGAGCAUUUUUUCUGAAACCUUUAGAUAUUGUUCGAGUAUAUUAGCUUUGUGGUACACCGGCCAGCUAUAUUAGCUGUUGUUCCUACAGUUUUCUUAACAUGCUAUUUAUUUCGUUUUGUUUGGAUUUCUUUUUCAUUUUUAUUUACAUUUUCACAUUUUGUUUCUAAAAAUUGUAAACAUUAGUUAACGCUCGUUUCUUUUUCAUUUUGUUUCACUAGAAAAUGUUUAAUAUUAUUUAAAAAUAUCCUUCAUGCCAUUACAAAAAUAUUCAAUGUUAGUUAACGCUCGUUUUUAGCUUACAUUUUCUUUAUUUGAUUGGGUUGAGUCGGGCAUUGUUUUACUUGUCUGUUUGUAAUUUCUCUAUCAUCCACAAAUUGAAAAAUGGUACUAACAAAAAUAAAGAGAGCUCAUCAUAUGUUGUUUCACAUGCGAUGCGGGCGUGCGACUAGGUUUGUGUGGCAUGCUUAAAAAAAAUUCCAAACAUCUCUUUUUUGAUAAAAAACAAAAUAUAAUAUAAUAUAAAAUAUAAAAUUAAUUUAAUAAUAGGGUGUGGAUACGACUCGGUCGAUUGAGACUUAGAAAGAAGUCUCAGUCAGCUGGCAUCAUGGCGGCAUGCAGUAGUAGCCCGAGGCGGCAGUUUCAGAUGCAGGUCUAGUGGCAUGCAUGCAAUUCUCCAUCUUCCGACAAAAACACCAGGAGUUGCACUCGUGGGCGACACAUGCAGUUGCAUGCCAAGUGUCGGACAUGCAACUUCUCCCUCCCAGACAAAAUACCACAGAGUUGCAGUCUGGUUUUAGACAUGCAGUUGCAGUCUGGGGCAACACUUGCAGUUGCAUGCGUAGUGUCGGGCAUGCAACUACCCCCUCCUCUCCCCGUUGCUCUUCGACAAUAACACAAAGGACAUUUGCAGUUGGGAGGGAGGCGUGCAAUUGCAGACGAGGGCAGCACGUGGAGUUGCAAGCCUAGUGUCGGGCAUAGAACUACCCCCCUCUCACGGUGCCCACCGACCAAACAAAAGGUUGGGUGCGGUUGGGUGUGUUGACAUGCAGUUGUAGUUGACGGCGACACUUGAGUUACAAGCUUAGUGUCUGGCAUGCAACUGCCCCUCUCCCUCCGCCCUCAAACAAAAACACAUGGCCAAUUGCAGUCAGGGCGGAGGUGUGCAAUUGCAUUUGAGGGUGGCACUUGUAGUUGCAGCCAUUUUGGGAGAUAUGAAGUUGCAGCCAGGGUGACACUUGCAGUUGCAUGCCUAGUGUUGGACAUGCAAUUGCCCACCUCUCUCGCCGCUUACUUGAAAAAAGGUCAGUUGCAGUCAAGUGCGUAGGCAUGCAAUUCAGUCAAGGGCGACACUUGCAGUUGCAAGCCUAGUGUCAGACAUCUAACUACCGCCCCCUCUCUCGCUGCCCACCAUAAAAAAGGUCAGUUGCGGUCGGAUGUAUGUACAUGACGUUGCACUCGAGGGCGACACUUGCAGUUUCAAGCCUAUUGUCGGACAUGCAACUUCCCCCUUCUCCCACCGCCCUCCGACAAAAACAUAAGGCUAGUUGCAGUCGAGAGGGAGGCAUUCAGUCGGGGGUGACACUUGUAGUUAUAUGGCUAGUAUUGGACAUGCAACCCCGCCCCCACCCCCGCCUACUCCUGUAGCCCACUUACAAAACAAAGGUCAAUUGCAUUCGGGUGUGUGAGCAUGCAGUUUCAGUCGGGGGCAACACUUGCAGCUGCAUGCCUAGUGUUACCCCCGCCCUCCCUACUGCCCACUAACAAUUGCAGUUGCAAGCCUAGUGUUGGAGCUGCAACUGCCCCCUUCUCCCGAUAAGAAAAGGAGGAAAUAUACACAAAAUCCAGUCCUUCAUCAAUUGCAUGUGGAGUAAGAUGUGUGUAGUUAUGCAUGUGUAAGCGAACUUGCUACACACAAUUAAUAUUUCCUUUGAGGCUAAAAAGUAAAGAAUAAGUAACAGCAUAGUUACACGCCGAUACGAUGUGUGCAGUCACGUGUGGAUGGAUGUACAUGUAGCUGAUAGUAUGAUUUGAAAAAUGACAAAAAUAAAUGUGAACAAUUAAGAAUUAAUAAAAUAUAAAAAUUAAAAUGAAAAAAACCACACAAACAUACUUCAAAGAAAUAAUUAUGAGAGAAAAGAGAACAAGAAAAGAAUGAGAAGAAUGGAAAUAAGUAAUAAUUUCAAAAGAAGCAACAAAAAUAAAAUUAGAAAGGAAAACUAUCCUUGAAAUCCAAAAUGAAUUGGCUCAAGCCAUUCUGAAAAAUAUUAUAAACAAUGUUGCGAUCGGAAAAAGGAAAUGCAACACAAAUUUGCACCAAUCUUGGCGCAUAGAGAUUGAACGGUUUAUCGUAUAACCAAAUCUUAUAUGAGCAAACCUUGACAUACAACAUGGAGGAAAAUAAAAAAAACGUGGAGAAAAAUUAAGAGUGUGCAUUGACCAUGACAUGCUAAAAGAUAUAGGGGAAGACACUGAGCGUGGAGGACACACAUGCUGGUCUAGUAGAAAAAAUGAGAAAAAACAAGACAACACACUUCCUCUUUGCGGUUUGAACGGUCUAUUUCUAACCACAACCCACCAAACAAACAAAAAGAAACAAGCUGGACGCAUCAUCCUAACAGGCCGAUUUAAACCAGACAAGCAGUUAGCAUAAAAAAUAUUCAAUGGAGGCGUCGACUGAGACUUGGAUAGAAAUCAGUCGACUGAUUUUUAGUCCCUCCGUUCCGUUAAAUCGCAGCUCCACCGCUCCCAUCAACCCUCGAACCUCGAUAAAAUGUUGUUUUUCUUUCCCGAAAAGAAGGUGAAAACACCGCAGCUUCUGCAUGGAUCCAUGUAGGAUCUUUCAUUCUCUUAUUGUAAUAUAAGGUUUAUUUAAGAUCCAACAUCUCGCACUAGGAGUACAAAAGGCCACCAAGGCCAUAAGAGCAUCUACGCACGCUCAUCACUCGAAUAUGUGUUAUAGCCGCACAUCUAACAUAGAGUGUUCAUCGGGGCAUACUCAUAGAAAUUUGCUGAUCGAUUCUUCUUACCUAACCCCCUAUGUGUCUAGUACUCUACAUGAUAUGUUAGGGCAUCUCCAACACCGACCUGUAAAUAUGCUCCCGCAUCCGUCCAUGAACAAGGGGACCAGUCCGCGGACAUGAAUGCGGGAGGCGGCCAUCCAACACUGCCAAUAUACAUUUCAACAACUUUUUAAAUCAGUCGAAUGAGAUUUUUGCAAACACGAUGGAAUUCAUUGUUCGGUUAUCUAUACAUAAUAUUAAAGGACGGAUUGUUUCUUCACUAUUUUUGGUCCAUCGAUGUUUUUUGUAUGUUUUUCGGUUUUCGUCCGUCGCUGUUUUAUGUUAAAAAAGAAUUUAGUCUCAAACGGACUCGAACCGCUGCCCACUUAUGUCAAGGUGCAAUUCAACAACUGUUGGGGAACGUAGCAGAAAUUCAAAAUUUUCUACGCAACACCAAGAUCAAUCUACGGAGAGACUAGCAACGAGAGAGAGGGGAGUGCAUCUUCAUACCCUUGAAGAUCGCGAUGCGGAAGCGUUACAAGAACGCGGUCGGUGGAGUCGUUCACGAAGCGAUUCAGAUCGCGACCGAAUCUGAUUUAAGCACCGAAGAACGGUGCCUCCGCGUUCAACACACGAGCAGCCCGGUGACGUCUCCCAUGCCUUGAUCCAGCAAGGGAAGAGGGAGAGGUUGGGGAAGACUCCGUCCAGCAGCAGCACGACGGCGUGGUGGUGGUGGAGGAGCGCGGUACUCCAGCAGGGCUUCGCCAAGCACUACGAGAGACAAGGAGGGAGAGAGGUAGGGCUGCGCCUUGGGAGAGAGAGACUCAUGUGUUGGGCAGCCCCAAAACCUCCACUAUAUAUAUGGGGAAGGGAGAGGGGGAGGCGCCCUAGGGUUUCCCCUAGGGGGGGCGUCGGCCAGGGCAGAUGGGAUCUCCCCUUUGGGUGACUUGGCCCCAAAGCCAGGAGGUGGGAACCCUAGAUGGGGCGCCCCAAACCCCCCGGUCACGUGGGAAUAGGUGAGGGGGCGCACAACCCCUUAGUGGGCUGGUUUGCCCCCUCCCCUUGGCCCAUGAAGCCCCCCCAACACUUGCUGGGGCUCCCGAAACACCUUUCGGUCAUGCUGGUCAUCACCCGGUACCUCCGGAACACUUCCGGACUCCAAAACCCUUCGUCCAAUAUAUCAAUCUUCACCUCCGGACCAUUCCGGGACUCCUAGUGACGUCCGGGAUAUCAUCCGGGACUCUGAACAACAUUCGUUAAUCACGUACAUACCUUCCCUAUAACCCUAGCGUCAUCGAACCUUAAGUGUGUAGACCCUACGGGUUCGGGAACCAUGCAGAAAUGACCGAGACAACUCUCCGUCCAAUAACCAACAGCGGGAUCUGGAUACCCAGUUGGCUCACACAUGUUCCACGAUGAUCUCAUCGGAUGAACCACGAUGUCAAGGAUUCAAUCAAUCCCGUAUGCAAUUCCCUUUGUCUACCAGUAUAGUACUUGCCCGAGAUUCGUUCGUCGGUAUGCCGAUACCUUGUUCAAUCUCGUUACCGGCAAGUCUUUUUACUCGUUCCGUAACACAUCAUCCCGUGAUCAACUCCUUGAUCACAUUGUGCACAUUAUGAUGAUGUCCUACCGAGUGGGCCCGGAGAUACCUCUCCGUCACACGGAGUGACAAAUCCCAGUCUCGAUUCGUGCCAACCCAACAGACACUUUCGGAGAUACCCUUAGUGCACCUUUAUAGCCACCCAGUUACGUUGUGACGUUUGGUACACCCAAAGCUUUCCUACGGUAUCCGGGAGUUGCACAAUCUCAUUGUGUAAGGAAAAGAUACUUGACAUUUAGAAAAGCUUUAGUAUACGAACUACACGAUCUUGUGCUAGGCUUAGGAUUGGGUCUUGUCCAUCACAUCAUUCUCCUAAUGAUGUGAUCCCGUUAUCAAUGACAUCCAAUGUCCAUGGUCAGGAAACCAUGACCAUCUGUUGAUCAACGAGCUAGUCAACUAGAGGCUCACUAGGGACAUGUUGUGGUCUUUGUAUUCACACAUGUAUUGCGGUUUCCGGUCAAUACAAUUAUAGCAUCAAUAAUAGACAAUUAUCCUGAACAAGGAAAUACAAUAAUAACCAUUUUAUUAUUGCCUCUAGGGCAUAUUUCCAACCGUCUCCCACUUGCACUAGAGUCAAUAAUCUAGUUCACAUCACUAUGUGAUUGUAAUGAAUCGACACCCAUGGGGUUUGAUCAUAUCUCGCUUAUGAGAGAGGUUAUUAGUCAACGGAUCUGAACCUUUCAGAUCCGUGUGUGCUUUGAAAAUCUCUAUGUCAUCUCCUAGAUGCAGCUACCACGCUCUAUUUGGAGCUAUUCCAAAUAACUGUUCUACUAUACGAAUCCGGUUUACUACUCAGAAUAAUCCGGAUUAGUGUCAAAGUUUGCAUCGGCGUAACCCUUUACGACGAACUCUUUUACCACCUCCAUAAUCGAGAAAAUUCCUUAGUCCACUAGUUACUAAGGAUAAGUUUGACCGCUGUCCUGUGAUCCAUUCCUGGAUUACUCUUGUACCCUUUGACUGACUCAUGGCAAGGCACACUUCCGGUGCGGUACACAGCAUAGCAUACUAUAGAGCCCACGUCUGAAGCAUAGGGGACGACCUUCGCCCUUACUCUCUCUUCUGCCGUCGUCAUGUCUUGAGUCUUACUCAAUACUCACACCAUAUAACACAGCCAAGAACUCCUUCUUUGCUGAUCUAUUUUGAACUCCUUCAAAAUCUUGUCACGGUAUGUAUUCAUUUGAAAGUACUAUUAAGCAUUUUGAUCUAUCCUUAUAGAUCUUGAUGCUCAAUGUUCAAGUAGCUUAAUCCAGGUUUUCCAUUGAAAAACACUUUUCAAAUAACCCUAUAUGCUUUCCAGAAAUUCUACAUCAUUUCCGAUCAACAAUAUGUCAACAACAUAUACUCAUCAAAAAUGCUAUAGUGCUCCCACUCACUUCUUUGGAAAUACAAGUUUCUCAUAAACUUUGUAUAAACCAAAAAAUCUUUGAUCUUCUCAUCAAAGCGUAUAUUCCAAGUCUGAGAUGCUUACUCCAGUCCCUAGAAGGAUUGCUGGAGCUUUGCACACUUGUUAGCAUCUUUCAGGAUUGACAAAACCUUCUGGUUGUAUCACAUACAACCUUUCCUCAAGAAUAUUGUCGAGGAAACAAUGUUUUGACAUCCUUUCUGCAAGAUUUCAUAAAUCAUGCAGUAAUUGCUAAUAUAAUUCCAACAAACUCUUAGCAUCGCUACGAAUGAGAAAGUCUCAUCGCAGUCAACUCCUUGAACUUGUCGGAAAACAUCUUAACGACAAGUCGAGCUUUCUUAAUGGUGAUACUUACCAUCAUUGUCCGUCUUUCUUUUAAAAUCCAUCUGUACCCAACAGCCUUACGACCAUCAAGUAGUUCUUCCAAAGUCCACACUUUCUUUUCAUACAUGGAUCCUCUCUCGGAUUUUAUGGCCUCUCGCCAUUUGUUGGAAUCCGGGACCACCAUCGCUUCUCCAUAGCUCGUAGGUUCAUUGUUGUCUAGCAACAUGACUUCCAAGACAGGAUUACUAUACCACUCUGAAGUACUACGCAUCCUUGUCGACUUACAAGGUUUGGUAGUGACUUGAUCCGAAGUUUCAUGAUCACUAUCAUCAGCUUCCACUUCAAUUGGUGUAGGUGCCACAGGAACAACUUCCUGUGCCCUGCUACACAUUGGUUGAAGUGAUGGUUCAAUAACCUCAUCAAGUCUCCACCAUCCUCCCACUCAAUUCUUUCAAGAGAAACCUUUUUCUCUAGAAAGGACCCGUUUCUAGAAACAAUCACUUUUGCUUCCGGGUCUGAAUUAGGAGGUAUACCCAACUGUUUUGAGUGUCCUAUGAAGAUGUAUUUAUCCGCUUUGGGUUCGAGCUUAUCAGGAUGAAACUUUUUCACAUAAGCGUCGCAGCCCCAAAUUUUCAAGAAACGACAGCUUAGGUUUCUCUAAACCAUAGUUCAUACGGUGUCAUCUCAACGGAAUUACUGGUGCCCUAUUUAAAGUGAAUGUGGUUGUCUCUAAUGCCUAACCCAUGAAUGAUAUUGGUAAUUCGAUAAGAGACAUCAUGGUAUGCACCAUAUCCAAUAGGGUGCAGCUAUGAUGUUCGGACACACCAUCACACUAUGGUGUUCCAGGCGGUAUUAGUUGUGAAACAAUUUCCACAAGGUCUUAAUUGUGUACCAAACUCGCAACUCAGAUAUUCAUCUUUAUGAUCAUAUCAUAGACAUUUUAUCCUCUUGUCACGAAGAUCUUCAACUUCACUCUGAAAUUACUUGAACCUUUCAAUAAUUCAAACUUGUGUUUCAUCAAGUAAAUAUACUCAGCAUCUACUCAAAUCAUCCGUGAAGUAAGAACAUAAUGAUAUCCACUGCGUGCCUCAGCACUCAUUGGACUGCACACAUCAAAAUGUAUUACUUCCAACAAGUUGCUUUCUUGUUCCAUCUUACUGAAAACGAGGCUUUUCAGUCAUCUUGCCCAUGUGGUAUGAUUUGCAUGUCUCAAGUGAUUCAAAAUCAAGUGAGUCCAAACGAUCCAUCUGCAUGGAGUUUCUCCAUGCGUACAUACCAAUAGACAUGGUUCGCAUGUCUCAAACUUUUCAAAAAAUGAGUGAGUCCAAAGUUCCAUCAACAUGGAGCUUCUUCAUGCGUUUUAUACCAAUAUGACUUACAUGGCAGUGCCACAAGCAGGUCGUACUAUCAUUACUAUCUUAUAUCUUUUGGCAUGAACAUGUGUAUCACUACGAUCGAGAUUCAAUAAACCAUUCUUUAUGGUGCAAGACCAUUAAAGGUAUUAUUCAAAUAAAUAGAGUAACCAUUAUUCUCCUUAAAUGAAUAACCGUAUUGCGAUAGACAUAAUCCAAUCAUGUCUAUGCUCAAUGCAAACACCAAAUAACAAUUAUUUAGGUUUAACACCAAUCUCGAUGGUAGAUGGAGCAGGCGAUGCUUGAUCACAUCAACCUUGGAAACACUUCCAACAUGCAUCGUCAUCUCACCUUUAGCUAGUCUUCGUUUAUUCUGUAGCUCUUUUAUUUCGAGUUACUAACACUUAGCAACCGAACCAGUAUCUUAAUACCCUGGUGCUACUAGGAGUACUAGUAAAGUACAAAUUUAAUUCAAUGUAUAUCCAAUAUACUCAUGUCAACCUUCCAGCCUUCUCAUCUACCAAGUAUCUAGGGUAGUUCUGCUUCAGUGACCGUUCCCUCAUUACAGAAGCACUUAGUCUCGGGUUUGGGUUCAACCCUGGGUUCUUCACUGGAGCAGCAACUGAUUUGCCAUUUCAUGAAGUACCCCUUCUUGCCCUUGCCCUUCUUGAAACUAGUGGUUUCACUAACCAUCAACAAUUGAUGCUCCUUCUUGAUUUCUACUUUUGCGGUGUCAAACAUCAUGAAUAUUUCAAGGAUCAUCAUAUCUAUCCCUGAUAUGUUAUAGUUCAUCACGAAGCUCUAGUAGCUUGGUGGCAAUGUCUUUGGAGAAACAUCACUAUCUCAUUUGGAAGAUUAACUCCCACUCGAUUCAAGUGAUUGUUGUACCCAGACAAUCUGAGUACAAGUUCAACGAUUGAGCUUUUCUCCCUUAGUUUGUAGGCCAAGAAGCUCGUCGGAGGUCUUAUACCUCUUGACGUGGGCACGAGCCUGAAAUCCCAUUUUCAGCUCUUGGAACAUCCCCUAUGUUCCGCGACAUUUCAAAAUCGUCUUCGGUGCCUCAAUUCUAAACCGUUUAACAUUACUGAACUAUCACGUAGUCAUCAAAACAUGUAUGUCAGAUGUUCGCAACAUCCACAGACGGCGUUCGAGGUUCAACACACCGAGCUGUGCAUUAAGGACAUAAGCCUUCUACGCAGCAAUGAGGACAAUCCUCAGUUUACGGACCCAAUCCGCAUAAUUGCUACUAUCAACUUUCAACUAAAUUUUCUCUAGGAACAUAUCUAAAACAGUAGAACUAAAGCGCGAGCUAUGACAUAAUUUGGAAAAACCUUUUGACUAUGUUCAGGAUAAUUAAGUUCAUCUAAUGAACUCCCACUCAGAUAGACAUCCCUCUAGUCAUCUAAGUGAUACAUGAUCCGAGUCAACUAGGCCAUGUCCGAUCAUCACGCGAGACGGACUAGUCAUCAUCGGUGAACAUCUUCAUGUUGAUCGUAUCCACUAUACGACUCAUGUUCGACCUUUCGGUCUCUUAUGUUCCGAGGCCAUGUCUGUACAUGCUAGGCUCGUCAAGUCAAACUAAGUGUUUCGCGUGUGUAAAUCUGGCUUACACCCAUUGUAUGUGAAUGUUAGAAUCUAUCACACCCGAUCAUCACAUGGUGCUUUGAAACAACGAACUUUCGCAACGGUGCACAGUUAGGGGGAACACUUUCUUGAAAUUAUUAUGAGGGAUCAUCUUAUUUACUACCGUCGUUCUAAGCAAAUAAGAUGCAUAAACAUGAUAAACAUCACAUGCAAUCAAAAAGUGACAUGAUAUGGCCAAUAUCAUUUUGCUCCUUCUGAUCUCCAUCUUCGGGGCUCCAUGAUCAUCAUCAUCACCGGCAUGACACCAUGAUCUCCAUCAUCAUGAUCUCCAUCAUCGCGUAUCCAUGAAGUUAUCUUGCCAACUAUUACUUCUACUACUAUGGCUAACGGUUUAGCAAUGAAGUAAAGUAAUUACAUGGCGUUAUUAAGUGACACAUAGGUCAUACAAUAAAUAAAGACAACUCCUAUGGCUCCUGCCGGUUGUCAUACUCAUCGACAUGCAAGUUGUUAUUCCUAUUACAAGAACAUGAUUAAUCUCAUACAUCACAUAUCAUUCAUCACAUUCUUUUUGGCCAUAUCACAUCACAUAACAUACCCAGCAAAAACAAGUUAGACGUCCUCUAAUUGUUGUUUGCAUGUUUUACGUGGCUGCUAUGGGUUUCUAGCAAGAACGUUUCUUACCUACGCAAAAGCCACAACGUGAUAUGCCAAUUGCUAUUUACCCUUCAUAAGGACCCUUUUCAUCGGAUCCGGUCCGACUAAAGUGGGAGAGACUGGCACCCGCUAGCCACAUUUUUUUAUGCAACAAGUGCAUGUCAGUCGGUGGAACCUGUCUCACGUAAGUGUGUAAGGUCGGUCCGGGCCGCUUCAUCCCACAAUACCGUCGAAACAAGAUAGGACUAGUAACGGUAAGCAUAUUGAACAAAAUCAAUGCCCAUAACAACUUGUGUUCUACUCGUGCAUAGAAACUACGCAUAGACCUAGCUCAUGAUGCCACUGUUGGGGAACGUAGCAGAAAUUCAAAAUUUUCUAUGCAACACCAAGAUCAAUGUAUGGAGAGACUAGCAACGAGAGAGAGGGGAGUGCAUCUUCAUACCCUUGAAGAUCGCGAUGCGGAAGCGUUACAAGAACGCGGUCGGUGGAGUCGUUCACGAAGCGAUUCAGAUCGCGGCUGAAUCCGAUCUAAGAACCGAAGAACGGUGCCUCCGUGUUCAACACACGUGCAACCCGGUGACGUCUCCCAUGCCUUGAUCCAGCAAGGAGAGAGGGAGAGGUUGGGUAAGACUCCGUCCAGCAGCAGCACGAUGGCGUGGUGGUGGUGGAGAAGCGUGGUACUCCAGCAGGGCUUCGCCAAGCACUACGAGAGACGAGGAGGGAGAGAGGUAGGGUUGCGCCUUGGGAGAGAGAGACUCAUGUGUUGGGCAGCCCCAAAACCUCCACUAUAUAUAUGGGAAGGGAGAGGGGAGGCGCCCUAGGGUUUCCCCUAGGGGGGCGGCGGCCAGGGCAGAUGGGAACCCUAGAUGGGGCGCCCCAAACCCCCCGGUCACGUGGGAAUAGGUGAGGGGGGCGCACAACCCCUUAGUGGGCUGGUUUGCCCCCUCCCCUUGGCCCAUGAAGCCCCCCCAACACUUGUCGGGGCUCCAGAAACACCUUUCGGUCAUGCUGGUCAUCACCCAGUACCUCCGGAACACUUCCGGACUCCAAAACCCUUCGUCCAAUAUAUCAAUCUUCACCUCCGGACCAUUCCGGGACUCCUCGUGAUGUCCGGGAUCUCAUCCGGGACUAUGAGCAACAUUCGGUAACCGCGUACAUACCUUCCCUCACUACUAGGGAAAAUCCUAGUAGUAGCGCGGGUUUUGAGGCUAUCAGCAGCGCGGGCACCCGCGCUACCAAUAAGGUGCUACAGCUAACUGUUAGUAGUAGCGCUAUAUGUACCCGCGCUACUACUAUUGACUAUAUCAGCAGCGCAUUUUUGAAACACGCUAUUAUUAGUUAGCUGUAGCGAUUUCCUGAGCCCGCGCUACUCUUAUAUCUUUCACCAUUUCCCCAUUCCAGCUUCAAUAAAUUGCAAUUUCUAGAUACUAGGUACUACUAGAUAUCAAUUUCAUAAAGCAUUAUAGGUACUAGGUAGUACUCCCACGGUUCCAAAUUACUCGUUGUGGUUUUAGUUCAAAUUUGAACUAAAACCACGAUGAGUAAUUUGGAACCGAGGGAGUACUAGAUAACAAUUUCUUAUAUACUCAACAUGCAUCCUCAAGUAGUACAAGGUGACAUCGACGACGAUCAUCAUAUUUAGUUCUAGAUGAUAUCGACGACGAUCAUCAUAUGUAGUUCUACAUGAUAUUGACGACGAUCAUCAUAUGUCGUUCUAGAUGAUAUAGCCAUACACACAUAUGUAGUUCUAGAUGAUAUCGAUGAUGAUCAUCAUCCUCAAGCCUGGGCGGUGGGUGUUCCUGAUAGUAAUUAGGAUGGCCUGUCCAACACGAAGAUUCUUGCCAAUAAGGAAUCUCUAACACCCAACCGAGUUUAAGUGUGUGCGACUGUCUGUGUCCAUGCGGUAUGUACAUAUGGUAACGGAGCCCCUUGCGGUAAGGCGUAGUCCAGCUGAGCCUUUUUCAUCAGGCUCGAUACCACAACUCACAGAUAGGUUCUUUGGCAAUUUCUGAAUAAGAAAAACAUAUCAAUUAAUAAAUAGCCUCACACAUACUCUUGCAAAUAUAUUUCUAUUAAGUCUAGAUUUCUACGCUAUCAAAAGACACAGUACUAUGCAUUUGUACUAAUUAAUCAUGAAUUCUACUAAUAAGUAUAUAUGGAUUAUCUACACUAUUAAUAGUUCCUUGGAUUCUACACAAAUAAGCAUGUGAUCAGACUCUACACUGAAGCAUAUCAAUGACUAGAUUCCACAGAACAUAUCAUUGGACUCUACACUAAGCAUAUCAUCGGAUAAUUUGCAUUUGCAAGUAUAACAUACCAUAUCAUGUCGAUCGACCAUGGUACUUGUCAGGCGGGUCACGAAUGGCACCCCGACAAAGUCAGCACGUGGUGGAAUUAUGUCCCAUAGGUUGCACACCUCCUCCUCGCUCGGCCUCAUUCAUUGAGCUACGAUGGCUUCAUGAAGUGGGUUCUCAUCACCUUCAUCGAGUGGGUCCUCAUUAUCUUCAUCAUCUUCUUCAUCUGCAUCAUCUUUGUCAUCUUCAUCAUCUUCGUCAUCUUCAUCAUCUUCCACCAGGUUGAGAUAAAUGACAGCUGUUGAACUCACCACCAGUAAGACGCAUGCGGGCGAGGAAACGGGCCCAUCCAUCUCCUCCAAUUUGCGACAUAUUGCGUCCUUUCUCGACAUCCAUAGUGUACGCCCCCCAGGAGCCUCAAAUGUCAUAGUGUCUGCUGUCAGCUUGUUGAAUGUCAACCUCACAUUGCAUGGGACGGUCUGUGUAAGAAAAUAAAAAUGACACAAUGCAGUAAUGCCAACACUAAAAAUAAAAUAGUUGUUACAUUUCAUCUAAUUUCUUACCGCCACAUGACAAAAACUCGGCUGGAAGUAGAUGCCAAACAGCUUGCCAGUUGCAAGGCUGCUGGCGCACCUUGACUUGCACAGUCGACAUAGUGGUGGUGGUGGUGGCGCCAUUUUCCUAAAGCAAUAUGAGCAAAGGAUUAAUGAUUCACUUCACAGGAAAGAAAAACAGUAGCAUGUGAUAUUUUCCUAAAGCAAUAUGAGCAAAUGAUUAAUGAUUCACUUCACAGGACAGAAAAAUAGUAGCAUAGUGGUGGUGGCGCCAUUUUAUGGACAAUUAUAAUCCUAAGAUCUAAUAACAUAUUAGAUGACAAAGUACCAUGUACCAAAGCAUUUCGGUGGCACCUAUUGCCGAAAAAAUAACAAUAAAAAUGGUGCAUACUAAAUCAACUAAAUCAACUAGCAUACUAAAUCCACUAGCAUACUAAAUCAACUAAAUCAAAAUGUUCUAAAUCAACUAAAUCAACUAGCCUACUAAAUCAACUAAAUAAACUAGCCUACUAAAUCAACUAAACCAACUAGCCUACUAAAUCAACUAAAUCAAAAUGUUCUAAAUCAACUAAAUCAACUAGCCUACUAAAUCAACUGAAUCAUAUCAACUAAAUCAGAAUGUUGCAUAUGAACUAGCCUACUAAAUCAAAAUGUAGCAGGGAGGAGGGAGAAGGAUGGGCGACUCGAGGAGGGAGAAGAGAGUAGGACGGAGGAGGAAGGCGGAGCAAGGAGGGGCUGGCCGGCGGCGAAUGGAGGGAGAAUGGAGGAGGAAGGCGGAGCGAGGAGGGGUCGGCCAGCGGCGAGUGGAGGGAGGACGGAAGAAGAGGCCGGUACCGAGUCCAGCGAGGAGGAUGAGAUGACGGCAUCGCAGAUCGGAGUAGGGGCGACAGAGGAGGACUGGCAGCACGGGGGUUGAGGGGGAGAUCGAGUGUGUGUGUGAGUGUGAUCUGGAUCGGAUAGGUAGGGGGGAGAUGGAAUGGCUUAGCAGUAACGCGCUAUAGCAACAUGCGCUACUGCUAAAUGACCUAUCAGUAGUGCCUUUCACUAAUAACGCGCUACUGCUAUGUUAGACAUAGACAUAAAAAAUACAUUGAUCAUCAAUUGUCUUUUUGUGUACAAUCUGAUUUGUCAAUAGGAAUCCUCGACGGUUGGUUUAAGAACAAGCGAGGAUUCUUAUUGCGGCCACAGAUCCUACACAUAGAGUUCAAUGAAGACCAAGUGCUUUUGAAAGUUGUGGAAGUAACAUAUUUAAGUUGGUAGAAACUCCCUUCACGGAGCGUGGUGGGACUAAAUUUUUGUAGUAACCUUAGUAGUAGCGAUUAUUGCAUAAAUGCGCUGCUGCUACGAUCCGUAGCAGUAGCGCUCUUUGUAUUAACGUGCGGCUGCUAUAACUGGCCUCGCAGCGGCCUCGUGGGAAUUUUAGCAGUAGCGCGUCCUAGAGUGUGCGCGCUACUGAUAAACUUGUUUCAACAGCGAGUUUUGAAAGCGCGCGCUACUGCUACAUAGCAGCAGCGCCUGCUUUUAAAGCGCGCUGCUGGUAAGAUUCUGUGUAUAGGCUUUUCCCUAGUAGUGCCGAUAACCCUAGCGUCAUCGAACCUUAAGUGUGUAGACCCUACGGGUUCGGGAACCAUGCAGACAUGACCGAGACAACUCUCUGGCCAAUAACCAACAACAGGAUCUGGAUACUCAUGUUGGCUCCCACAUGUUCCACGAUGAUCUCAUUGGAUGAACCACGAUGUCAAGGAUUCAAUCAAUCCCGUAUACAAUUCCCUUUGUCUACCGGUAUAGUACUUGCCCGAGAUUCGAUCGUCGGUAUGCAGAUACCUUGUUCAAUCUCGUUACCGGCAAGUCUCUUUACUCGUUCCGUAACACAUCAUCCCGUGAUCAACUCCUUGAUCACAUUGUGCACAUUAUGAUGAUGUCCUACCGAGUGGGCCCAGAGAUACCUCGCCGUCACACGAAGUGACAAAUCCCAGUCUCGAUUCAUGCCAACCCAAAAGAUACUUUCGGAGAUACCCAUAGUGCACCUUUAUAGCCACCCAGUUACGUUGUGACGUUUGGUACACCCAAACCAUUCCUACGGUAUCUGGGAGUUGCACAAUCUCAUGGUUUAAGGAAAAGAUAUUUGACAUUUAGAAAAGCUUUAGCAUACGAACUACACGAUCUUGUGCUAGGCUUAGGAUUGGGUCUUGUCCAUCACAUCAUUCUCCUAAUGAUGUGAUCCCGUUAUCAAUGACAUCCAAUGUCCAUGGUCAGGAAACCAUGACCAUCUGUUGAUCAACGAGGUAGUCAACUAGAGGCUCACUAGGGACAUGUUGUGGUCUAUGUAUUCACACAUGUAUUGUGGUUUCCGGUCAAUACAAUUCUAGCAUGAAUAAUCGACAAUUAUAAUGAACAAGGAAAUACAAUAAUAACCAUUUUAUUAUUGCCUCUAGGGCAUAUUUCCAACAACAACAACCAGUACACCCAAACACAAUGUUUCUUGAAAAACUGAGGAAUACUACCCCAUAUAUGGUACUCUCCUGCGCGCCCAAUUGAGCCGUCCCAUUAGCGGGGAGGGACUCCCCUUUUUUAUUUCGUUUUAUUUCUAUUUUCCUUAUUUAAAAUAAUUUGGGAUUUCAGAAAGUUCCAAAUUUCAAAAGAAAAUGAGAGUAUUNNNNNNNNNNNNNNNNNNNNNNNNNNNNNNNNNNNNNNNNNNNNNNNNNNNNNNNNNNNNNNNNNNNNNNNNNNNNNNNNNNNNNNNNNNNNNNNNNNNNNNNNNNNNNNNNNNNNNNNNNNNNNNNNNNNNNNNNNNNNNNNNNNNNNNNNNNNNNNNNNNNNNNNNNNNNNNNNNNNNNNNNNNNNNNNNNNNNNNNNNNNNNNNNNNNNNNNNNNNNNNNNNNNNNNNNNNNNNNNNNNNNNNNNNNNNNNNNNNNNNNNNNNNNNNNNNNNNNNNNNNNNNNNNNNNNNNNNNNNNNNNNNNNNNNNNNNNNNNNNNNNNNNNNNNNNNNNNNNNNNNNNNNNNNNNNNNNGAAGUAGUAAAAUGUUUAUGAAUUAAAAAAUCUGCGAUUUCAAAACAUGUUCAUCAUUUUUAAACAAUGUUCAUGAAAAUAAAAAAUUAUCAUGAAUUUCAAAAAAAGUUCACUCAUUGCAGAAAUAUUUGCCGAGUCAAAAUCUUCAUGCAUUAAAAAAAAUGUUCAUCAAACAAAAAAUGUUCACUAAUUUAAAAAAUGUUCACCCAUUCCAAAAAUGUGUGCCUAUUGAAAACAAUGAUCACAAGUUAUAAAAAAUGUUCAUCCAUUAAAAAAAUAAUCAUCUUGCUCUGUAAGAAAAUUUCCAAUUACUCACAACAAUAUUCAUCGAGAUGCGGUCAACCUCCUAGAUUUUGUUGAUGGUUUGAUUGUUGUCGUUAGCUGCAUGCAACAUGAUCCGUGCAAUCCAUGGGCAUGAACCAGAUGUUGCAGACUCUGUCAUUGCCUCGAUGAGGUCACUGAAAUUUUGCCCUGAUGUAAAAUUCAUGUCACUUUGUUGCCCUAAUCCCUUUUUUAUAUGUACUAAUUAUUCUAUUAGUAUUAAAGGAAGGAAGGAUUCUUCCCUUCAAUUAUAGUUUCGGUCGUCAUCUAUCUACCAAUGUACCACACACCUUUUAUGUUUCUCCGACGUGUGGGCCGAGCUAGGCUGCUCCACACUUUUUUCUUUGUUUGAUUCAAUUGUGGAGCAUCGAAAAAUAAUACGUUUCUAUUUCUCUCCUACGUUGGCCAAGAUGGGCCUAUUCCGAUACAUUUUAUUCUUCUUCUCAUUUGAUUGUGGCAUGUAGGUGAGAAUGAAACUAUGAAGCCGCAAACUGAACUGUGAUCAUUUUGCAAAGACGGUAUGAUUGAAAGCAUAAUUCUUUUUCAUCUCAACAAUAAUUGUCGUCGAUCAUAAAUUAAAUAUUUUUUUAUAUUUUAGUAUAUGCUAGGGAAGUUAAAUUUUCUCCUGUUGCAACGCACGGGCAUUUUUGCUAGUAAUAUACAUAAAAAGAUCGAUAUUUCAACUGUUUAACAAAAAAACUAGGAAAAAAAACCUAAACCCUAUACUGGACAACCACCACGUAUGUGUGGCCGCGCUGCACUGCCGCACGGCCGUCGCCGUCUGUGCCACCGAUGUCGUCGUCGUUGUCGUCCCUCCAGCGGCGGAACAACGCAGGAUGACCAUGACAGUCUUGUCCAACGGUUACCUGCCGCUCAUGGAGGAGCCGCUCCGCCUCUUGUUGCGCGGUGCGGAGGGCCUCCGCGGCCACUGUCGUGACCGGCAUUGGCAGAGUAGUCGCUAAGAUACCCCUCCUCACUGUCAAGGCGGCGGCGGCGCCUGGUGACGGUCUCUGUGGUGGUGUUGGAGCGGUUGAGCACCCACUCGGCAGAAAGGUCAGGGUCAUUACCAGCCCAUUCCGGCGCCACGUCCGACUUGGCGAACGCGGAUCGGUGACCGACAUUGCAUAGGUCGUAUCUCGCCCGCUACCUCGCCGCGAGCUCCGCCUCGAAAACAGUUGGUUCGUCGGUCGUUUUGCCCUGUUUUACAAAUUCACUAACUUUUUUUAAUACUUUCUAAAAAAUUGUAUUGAGCCAGCAAACAUUUUUCGAAAUUUGGGAACAAUAUUUGAAAUUUAGGUACAUUUUUAGUUUCUGAGGAAUAUUUUUUUGAGUUCAUGAAUACUUUUUGAAUCAGCAAACAUUUCUAAAUCUUUUGCACAUUAUUGGAAACACAAGAAUAGUUAUCAAAAUUCCUCAUUUUUUCAAUAUUGUGACAUUUUUCUAAAUUCCUAAAAAAACUCAGAAAUUCAUGAACAGUUUAUGAAUAUUGAACAUUUACUACUUCACGACCAAUUUUUACCAAUUCGUGAACAUUUAUUUCAAAUUGCGUUAUUUGUUUUUGAAUAUUUGAACACUUCCUAAAAAUCCUCAAAUUUUUAAGAAAAUUUAUGAACAUUUGUUUAAUACACGAACAUAUUUUGGAAAUCAUGAACCUUUUCUGAAUCUGUGAGCAUCUAUCAUUUCCUGAACAUUUUUUCAAUCAUGAAAUUUCUUUGAAUCUACAAACAAUUUUUUACAGUCUGCAACAUUUUGGAAAUCAGGAAUUAGUUUUUGAAAGGAAAAUACUGAUAACAGAAAAAAGAACAAACAAAGGGGCAACCCACCGCCACAUGGGUCGGCCCAUGAGGGUUUGCUGGGGAGACGGGUGGGGUAUAAGCACGGACGCGGGGAGCUCCAAUUGCGUGCGUCAGAAAAAAAGGAAAAGAAAGGUAAAAGAAAGAAAAAGUGGAAAGUUACCAGAUCAUGCUGGUGGCGGGUUGGUUACGCCCGGGGUACACGAUUAGGGUGGUUGCUCAACAUGACAAUGAGUACCCGCGAAUCCGACGGGUCAAAACACUAGUGGGUAAGGGUUUGAGAAAGUUAAAUACCCAUGGGUUUUUAAAUGGCACAAAAAUGUAACCUUCGGGUAAGCCUGGUAUAGGUACGGGAAGGCAAUACCCAUACCCGUAUACCCGCGUACCCGCUGCAUAUUAGUACAUCUCAUACGUAGGUCCCCUAUGUCAUUCACUUAAAAAAAGAAAAACCCUAGCCUAACCCAGCCGCAGCCUGCACACAAAAUGCCCUCCCCUUACCCACCCAUCGCUCCUCACUCAUAGAACACAAACACCGUAUACCCAUCUCACCUCGGCUGAAAUGCUAAAUAAACAGACUGAAAUGUUGUGUUUUAUCUACUAAAAUAUUGAAAUUAUACAUUGUACAAUUUGAAUUGAAAGGUGACCGAGAUGGGUAUUACCCGCACACGGUCAAGAUUGGCGAUUUGAAUUGAAAGGUGACCGAGAUGGCUGUGAAAAAAGUUGAUCAUGUAUUUAAAAUAUGUUAAACAACUAUUAGAAAAAUGUUAAUCAAGCUUUUGAACAAUGUUGAAUGUGUAUAGGAAUAAUGUUGACCAUAUAUUAAACAAAUGGUAAAAUAUUUUGAUCAUGUCUAUGAAAAUAUGAAUCAAGCAUUUAAGAAAAUGUUGAACAAGUAUUUCAAAAAAGUUAAUCAAGCAUUCGGAAAAUGUUAAAUGUGUAUAAAAAUUGUUUACCAUGCAUUCAAAUAAAUGUUAAUCUUGAAUUUGGAAAAUGUUGGUAAAGCAUUUAAAAAAUGUUAAUUAUUCAUUCAAAAAUUGUUGACCCUGUAUAAGAAAAAUGUUGACCAUGUAUUAGGAAAUUCUUGACCAUGUAUUUGAAAAAAUGUUAAUCAAUCAUUUGAAAAAAAAUUAAAGUGUGUAUAGGAAAAAUGUUGAUCACGGACACAAAAUAUGUUAAUCUUGUAUUUAACAUAUGUUAACCAAGCAUGGUGGUGAUGGUGGUGGUGGAGUCGGAAUACCGGUAGGGCUUCAUUAAGCGAAAAAACCGUGGACGAGAACUAUGCCGGGAGAGAGAGAGACGGGGCAGUAGUUAAGGCCAAUGUAUUGGGUACCUUUGCUGCGCCCCUCCCCCAUUUUUAUAUGCAUCGGGGGGGCUUGGAGUCCAGCCCUACUCCUAAUUAAUACGUGUUGGGGCCAAAGGGGUAGAGGACUUGGACUCCAAGCCAAUUCUAUUCCUACUAGGACUCCCCCUUUUCCCUUCCCCGGCUAUAUGGGCUUUUGAGGACUUGGUGCGCCUAGCCCAAUAAAGCCAGGGCGCCUCCCCUUAGCCCAUGUCAGCCCUUGGGACGUGGUGAACCCACUUGUGGACUUCCGGACCCCUCCGGAACCUUUUGGAAGCUUCCCAAUACAAUACCAAAAAAACUUCACCUUUUCCGAAACCCAACAUAUGACUUCCCAUAUAUAAAUCUUUACCUCUCGACCAUUUCCGAGACUCCUCGUGACGUCCGAGAUCUCAUCCGGGACUCCGAACAACAUUUGGUUACCAAUAUUACUCUAGCGUCACCAAACGUUAAGCGUGCGGACCCUACGGGUUCGAGAAUGAUGUAGACAUGACUAAGACACUUCUCCGGUCAAUAACCAAUAGCAGAACCUGGAUGCCCAUAUUGGUUCCUACAUAUUCUAUGAAGAUCUUUAUCGGUCGAACCUUUUAUGACAAUGAUACGUCUCCAAUGUAUCUAUACUUUUUGAUUGUCCAAUGCUAUUAUAUUAUCUAUUUUGGAUGUUUUUUAUGCAUUAAUAUGCUAUUUUAUAUUAUUUUUGGGACUAACCUAUUAACCUAGAGCCCAGUUGUCAGUUUCUGUUUUUUCUUUGUUUUUGAGCCUAGCAAAAAAGGAAUACCAAACAGAGUCCAAACGGAAUAAAACCUUCACAAUGAUUUUUGUUGUACCAAAAGACACCCGUUGGAUCUGGACUCCAAGUCAGAAGACCUUAGAGUACACGACAAGCCACAGGGGCGCGCCCUCUACCUUGUGGCCUACUCCAACACCCCCUGACCUAAUUCUUCAUCCUAUAUAUUAACAAAUAUUCCCAAACCACCAAAGGCAUCCACAAAAACACUUUUCCACUGCCGCAACCUUCUGUUCCCGUGAUAUCCCAUCUAGGGGCCUUUCCGGCAUCCUGCCAGAGGGGGAUUUGAUCACAGAGGGCUUCUACAUGAACUCUAUUGCCCUUCCGAUGAAGCGUGAGUAGUUUACCACAAACCUACGUGUCCAUCGCUAGUAGCUAGAUGGCUUCCUCUCUCUCUUUGAUUCUCAAUACCAUGUUCUCCUCGAUGUUCUUGGAGAUCUAUUCGAUGUAAUCUUCUUUUGUGGUGUAUUCGCCAAGAUCCGAUGAAUUGUGGAUUUAUGGUCAGCUUAACUAUGAAUAUUAUUUGAAUCUUCUCUGAAUUUUUAUAUGUAUGAUUUGAUAUCUUUGUAAUUCUCUUCGAACUAUCGUUUUAGUUUGGCCAACUAGAUUGCUUUUUCUUGCAAUGGGAGAAGUGCUUAGCUUUGGGUUCAAUCUUGCAGUGUCCUUUCCCUGUGACAGUAGGGGCAUCAAGGCACGUAUUGUAUUGUUGCCAUCGAGGAUAAAAAGAUGGGGUUUACAUCAUAUAUCUUGAGUUUAUUCCUCUACAUCAUGUCAUCUUACUUAAUGCGUUACUCUGUUCUUUAUGAACUUAAUACUCUAGAUGCAGGCAGGAGUCGGUCGAUGUGUGGAGUAAUAGUAAUAAAUGCAGGCAGGAGUUGGUCUACUUGACACAGACGUGAUGCCUAUAUUUCAUAAUCAUGGCCUUGGAUAUCAUCAUAACUUUGCGCUUUUCUAUCAAUACUCGACAGUAAUUUGUUCACCCACCGUAAUAUUUGCCUUCAUGAGACAAGCCUCUAGUGAAAUCUAUCUCCCCUUGGUCUAACUUCCAUCAUAUUAGUUUCUGAUCUAUUAUUUUGCAAUCUUUUACUUUCAGAUCUAUAAACCAAAAAAAUCCAAAAACAUUUUGUCUUUUGUUUAUCAAUCUCUAUCAGAUCUCACUUUUGCAAGUGACCGUGAAGGGAUUGACUACCCCUUUAUCAUGUUGGGUGCAAGUUGUUUGAUUGUUUGUGCAGGUAUUGGUGGCUUGUGCGUUGUCUCGUACUGGAUUGAUACCUUGGUUCUCUAACUGGGGGGAAAUACUUAUCUCUACUUCACCGCAUCACCCUUUCCUCUUCAAGGGAAAAACCAACGCAAUCUCAAGAAGUAGCAGGAAGAAUUUCUGGCACCGUUGCCAGGGAGAUCUGCGCAAAGUCAAGACAUACCAAGUGCCCAUCAUAAAACUCUGAUCUCUUGCAUUACAUUAUUCAUGAUUUGCCUCUCGUUUUCCUCUCCCCCACUUCUAAAACAAUUUUCGAAAAGAUUAGCCUUUUUAUUCGCCUUCUUUCCGUUUGACUUUUUGCUCAUUGGCUAUCUUUGCUUGUGUUCCCAUGUGCCCUCUAUUUUCUUGCAUCUUUGCUUGCUAAAAAUCUUUUGAUAUGGAACCACUUAAAGUUUUCUACUUGGAUCAUCUUUGAUCCAUAUGUGCUCGUGUUGAAACCCUAACUAGUUUAGUUGAGGGAAAAUCUUUAGAUGAGUAUGCUCAUUUUGUGUGUCAUUGUUUCUCUGAAAAAGGGAGACUCUUAUGGAAUCAAAUAAAUUGUUUGCUAUGUUAUGCUUGGAAUCUUUGUGAACUUUGUGAUUUUACUUGUUGCUCUAAGAACCCUAAAAAACACCUUCCCUACCUAUGUGAGUUUAAUGAUAAUGAAAUCUUAUCUUCUUAUGAAAAGGGUGUUUACAAUUACUAUGAUAUCGAACAAACGGAAGAAUUUGUUGCUUUUAAGGGUGCUUAUGAAGUUGCUUCUUUGAUUAAAAAGUAUGAUAUUACUCUCUACAAAUCUGAAAAUUUUGACAUACUUAAAUAUUGCUAUGAGAACUAUGCUCAUAAUGCCUAUGUUAAGGAAUUUAUUGAGAGAAUGACCGUUGAUUUGGAAUAAUAAUAAUGAUAUGCAUGAAUCCAUAGAUAAUUAUGAUUCUGAUGAUUUGAUUGAAAUAUCCCUUGAUGAACAUGAUGCCUGCUAUUCUUAUGGCCAUGAUGCCAAUAUUAAUUAUGCUUAUGGAGAUGAACUUGCUAUAGUUCCUUAUGUUAAACAAUGAAUUAUUUCUUUUGCAACCACACUUGAUAGUUCCUUCGAUGAAAAGGAUGAUCGUAAUGAUGUUAUUAUAAAUUCUAUUAAGGUCAAUUGUGUUAAUGAUAUGCAAAACACUAAGCUUGGAGAUGCUAGUUUUGUUAUGUCCACUACUUGUUGCAAUGAUCAUGAUUGGGGUGAUUCUUCUCAUGAUCUUGAAAAUAUAUUUAAACCUCAUGAUGAAUAUGUUUGCUAUAAUAUUGAAAGUGGGUUUGGAAGAGUGUCAACUUUAGAUCCCACAUAUUUGGAUAAUUUUCAAUCUUAUGAAGUUUUGAUAAAAGUGGGUUUGGAGAGGUCAUGACUUUAGUUAAUGUUAAUCCCACUAUUUUGGAAGAGUGUCAACUUCGCAUGCAUGUGGAUCUUGCUGAGAAUAUGUUAUGUGAUAGCUAUAUUGUUGAAUUUGAAUAUGAUCCCAUGUGCAAUAACUAUAAGAGAGGAAAAUAUGGUUUUAGAAAUUUUCAUGCUACUAAAUUACCUCUCUUCAUGUUGAGAUUGUCUAUGUUUUAUUCUUUCUUUGCAUAUGCUAGUUUUUGCUUGCCUUGAUAAUUCGUUUGCUUAUAAAAUGUCUAUGCAUAGGAAAUAUGUUAGACUUAGAUGUGUUUGUAACGUGUUUUAUGAUGCUCUCUUUGUGCUUCAAUUCUUCUCUUUUAUGUGAGCAUCAUUGAAAUUAUCAAUGCCUAGCUAAAAGUCUUUAAAGAAAAGCGCUUGUUGGGAGACAACCCGAUAUUUUUCAUUCGAGUUUUUCAAUAAAUAAUUCAUCUAGCCUCUGUUAUAUGUGUUUUUGUGUUUUAGUUAGUGUUUGUGCCAGGUAAGACCUUUGGAAUGGCUUACGGUGAUAGUUGUUUUGAUCUUGCUGAAAACCAGAAACUUUUGCGCCCAGGAAAAUAAUUUUCACUUUUUAUAGAAGCAUGCUUUUGAUCUAAUUAUUUUUGCACAAGAUUGGUUCACAAAUUUCCCAGGGUGUCCUAAUAUGUUAGAAUAUUUGUAGUUACAGAAGUAUUUGAAGAUUCCAGAUUGCUAUAUACUAUUCUGUUUUUGAUAGAUUUUGUUUUCUAUUGGUUGUUUGCUUAUUUUGAUGAAUAUAUGGGUAGUAUCGGGGGUAUGAACCAUGGAAAAGUUGGAAUACAGUAGAUAUUACCACUAGUAGAAAACAGGGCUACCGUUCGGCCCUGGCCAGCCCAUUAGUCCCGGUUGAUCAAGAACCGGGACCAAUGGGGGGUAUUACACCCGGUUCGUGAGCCCAGGGGGGCGACCGGGGCCUCGUGGGCAUUGGUCCCGGUUCGUGUGGAACCAUUUGUCCCGGUUCAAGCCACAAACCGGGACCAAUGGUCCUCGCUGCUGGCCCACAACCAUUGGUCCCAGUUCGUGGCUUGAACCGGGUAGAAGGGUUGGCUUUAGUCCCUGUUCAUGCCACGAACCGGGACAAAUAACUUGCCUACAUAUACCCACCGCUGGGCAGAGCACUCCACAGUGCUCUCUUUUUGUCAAGCCGGUGAGGGGAGGGCAUUUGGGUGCUGUAGUUCACCUCCUAUGCACAUGAGAUGUUCGACGAAAUGCCCGAGCCACACUAGUUAAGCUUUCUCCUCUCGAAACUCGACCUCCAAGCUCCAUUUUCAACGAGAUUUGUCUAGAUUUAGCGGUCCGUCACGCCCCGUCCCCGCCCUGUCUUCACCGCCGUCGACCGCCCGCGCCGAUCUCGUCGCCGGCACCAGCAUGGUGAGUCUCUUGUUCUUAUCUUCUUUCUGAAAGAAAAAAAUUCUGACUUCAGAUAGAUACUUGUCUAAUUUUCUUACUUUUAUUAUUCCUUUUUAUUAUAUAGUGCGAUGGUUUUGGUAUCCGCCCCCGUCGGCCCUCGUCCUGUCUAUGAUUCAGAUGCGGUAUAUAUUAUCUUUUCAUAACUAUUUGGUUCAUUUAUUGUUUAUGACAAUUAUGCCGACCAAUGUGACAUAGAUUUUAUUUAUCUAGGAGGUUGUUGAACCGGAAAUCCCAACCGACCCUAUUGUCGAGAGGUUAAAUUUAGUUGAAGAAGAAAACAAUUACUUGAAGGAAAAAAUAAGAAAAAUUGAGGAGGAGAAGAUGAUAUUGGAGUUGCAUGUUGCGGAUGUCGUCGAUGAUCACAAGAUCAAGAUGGAUGCAAUGCGGUUGAAGAUUAAAAAGAUUAGAAAAUAUGCCAUGCAUAUUGAGGCUUGGAAUCAUUAUGCAGUUGGAUCAGCUGCUACCUUGGUUGCGGUUAUGAUCGCAUUUGUUUUUGCAUUGAAAUGUUUUACAUAAUUUCAAUGUAUGGUUUAAUUAGAUGCUCUGGAGAGCUAUAUGUUGUUCAAUGAGAACUACGUAUGUACUUUGGUUUUAAUGCCAUGGAUAACUAUGUAUGUACUUUGGUUUCAGAGUUCAUUUCAAAUGCUUUUCAACUUCAUGGUCUUACAAGGAGAUUCCGUAUGAAACCCUGAUACUUCGAAGGAGAUUGUCUGUUUUGUACAUGAAGUGCAUCAAGUUUUUGCCGUAAGCCUCUCUACUUUCUUGCACAUGCUAUGUGGGUGAAAUGAUGACACCAUGCCAACUUGGAACCUUCUCAGAGUUCAUUUCAAAUGCUUUUCAAUUUCAUGGUCUUAUAGCUCAAAAUAAUCAGUAAAUGCAUGAAAAAUAACACAUGAAGUCAGAAAAGGUUGUAAAUUGAUGAUGUGGCUUUGAAUGGUGGAUUUUGAACACAGAAAAACAAGGGGGUUCAAAUAAGAUCAAAAAAUGAAAUCCCUUUGUAACAGAUGAGUUUUCGUAUGAAACCCUGAUACUUCGAAGGAGAUUGUCUGUUUUGUACACGAAGUACAUCCAGUUGUUGCCGUAAGCCUCUCUANNNNNNNNNNNNNNNNNNNNNNNNNNNNNNNNNNNNNNNNNNNNNNNNNNNNNNNNNNNNNNNNNNNNNNNNNNNNNNNNNNNNNNNNNNNNNNNNNNNNNNNNNNNNNNNNNNNNNNNNNNNNNNNNNNNNNNNNNNNNNNNNNNNNNNNNNNNNNNNNNNNNNNNNNNNNNNNNNNNNNNNNNNNNNNNNNNNNNNNNNNNNNNNNNNNNNNNNNNNNNNNNNNNNNNNNNNNNNNNNNNNNNNNNNNNNNNNNNNNNNNNNNNNNNNNNNNNNNNNNNNNNNNNNNNNNNNNNNNNNNNNNNNNNNNNNNNNNNNNNNNNNNNNNNNNNNNNNNNNNNNNNNNNNNNNNNNNNNNNNNNNNNNNNNNNNNNNNNNNNNNNNNNNNNNNNNNNNNNNNNNNNNNNNNNNNNNNNNNNNNNNNNNNNNNNNNNNNNNNNNNNNNNNNNNNNNNNNNNNNNNNNNNNNNNNNNNNNNNNNNNNNNNNNNNNNNNNNNNNNNNNNNNNNNNNNNNNNNNNNNNNNNNNNNNNNNNNNNNNNNNNNNNNNNNNNNNNNNNNNNNNNNNNNNNNNNNNNNNNNNNNNNNNNNNNNNNNNNNNNNNNNNNNNNNNNNNNNNNNNNNNNNNNNNNNNNNNNNNNNNNNNNNNNNNNNNNNNNNNNNNNNNNNNNNNNNNNNNNNNNNNNNNNNNNNNNNNNNNNNNNNNNNNNNNNNNNNNNNNNNNNNNNNNNNNNNNNNNNNNNNNNNNNNNNNNNNNNNNNNNNNNNNNNNNNNNNNNNNNNNNNNNNNNNNNNNNNNNNNNNNNNNNNNNNNNNNNNNNNNNNNNNNNNNNNNNNNNNNNNNNNNNNNNNNNNNNNNNNNNNNNNNNNNNNNNNNNNNNNNNNNNNNNNNNNNNNNNNNNNNNNNNNNNNNNNNNNNNNNNNNNNNNNNNNNNNNNNNNNNNNNNNNNNNNNNNNNNNNNNNNNNNNNNNNNNNNNNNNNNNNNNNNNNNNNNNNNNNNNNNNNNNNNNNNNAUGCUUUUCAAUUUCAUGGUCUUAUAGCUCAAAAUAAUCAGUAAAUACAUGAAAAAUAGCAAAUCAAGUCAGAAAGGGUUGUAAAUUGAUGAUGUGGCUUUGAAUGGUGCAUUUUGAACACAGAAAAACAAGGGGGUUCAAAUAAGUUCAAAAAAAAUUAAAUCCCUUUGUAACAGAUGAGUUUCCGUAUGAAACCUUGAUACUUCGAAGGAGAUUAUCUGUUUUGUACACGAAGUGCAUCCAGUUUUUGCCGUAAGCCUCUCUACUUUCUUGCAUAUGCUAUGUGGGUGAAAUUAUGAUACCAUGCCAACUUGGAACCUUUUUAGAGUUCAUUUCAAAUGCUUUUCAAUUUCAUGGUCUUAUAGCUCAAAAUAAUCAAUAAAUGCAUGAAAAAUAACAAAUGAAGUCAGAAAGGGUUGUAAAUUGAUGAUGUGGCUUUGAAUGGUGCAUUUUGAACACAGAAAAACAAGGGGGUUCAAAUAAGUUCAAAAAAAUGAAAUCCCUUUGUAACAGACGAGUUUCCGUAUAAAACCCGUAUACUUCGAAGGAGAUUGUCUGUUUUGUACACGAAGUGCAUCCAGUUUUUGUCGUAAGCCUCUCUACUUUCUUGCACUUGCUAUGUGGGUGAAAUGAUGAUACCAUGCCAACUUGGAAUCUUUUUAGAGUUCAUUUCAAAUGCUUUUCAAUUUCAUUGUCUUGUAGCUCAAAAUAAUCAGUAAAUGCAUGAAAAAUAACAAAUGAAGUCAGAAAUGGUUGAAAAUUGAUGAUGUGGCUUUGAAUGGUGCAUUUUUAACAUAGAAAAUCAAGGGGGUUAAAAUAAGUUCAAAAAAAUUGAAAUCCCUUUGUAACAGACGAAUUUUCGUAUGAAACCCUCAUACUUCGAAGGAGAUUGUCUGUUUUGUACACGAAGUGCAUCCUGUUUUUGCUGUAAGCCUGUCUACUUUCUUGCACAUGCUAUGUGGGUGAAAUGAUGAUACCAUGCCAACUUGGAACCUUUUCAAGGUUCCUUUCAAAUGCUUUUCAAUUUCAUGGUCUUAUAGUUCAAAAUAAUUAGUAAAUGCAUGAAAAAUAAUGAAUGAAGUCAGAAAGGGUUGUAAAUUGAUGAUGUGGCUUUGAAUGAUGCAUUUUGAACAUAGAAAAACAAGGGGGUUGAAAUAAGUUCAAAAAAAUUGAAAUCCCUUAGUAACAGACGAGUUUUCGUAUGAAACCCUGAUACUUCGAAGGAGAUUGCCUGUUUUGUACACGAAGUGCAUCCAGUUUUUGCCGUAAGCCUCUCUACUUUCUUGCACAUCCUAUGUGGGUGAAAUGAUGAUACCAUGCCAACUUAGAACCUUUUCAGAGUUCAUUUCAAAUGCUUUUCAAUUUCAUGGUCUUAUAGCUCAAAAUAAUCAGUAAAUGCAUGCAAAAUAACAAAUGAAGUCAGAAAGGGUUGUAAAUUGUUGAUGUGGCUUUGAAUGGUGCAUUUUGAACACAAAAAACAUGGGGGUUCAAAUAGGUUCAAAAAAGUUGAAAUCCCUUUGUAACAGACGAGUUUCCGUAUGAAACCCUGAUACUUCGAAGGAGAUUGUCUGUUUUGUACACGAAGUGCAUCCUGUUUUUGCCGUAAGCCUGUCUACUUUAUUGCACAUGCUAUGUGGGUAAAAUGAUGAUACCAUGCCAACUUGGAACCUUUUCAGAGUUCAUUUCAAAUGAUUUUCAAUUUCAUGGUCUUAUAGCUCAAAAUAAUCUGUAAAUGCAUGAAAAAUAACAAAUGAAGUCAGAAAGGGUUGUAAAUUGAUGAUGUGGCUUUGAAUGAUGCAUUUUGAACACAGAAAAACAAGGGAGUUGAAAUAAGUUCAAAAAAAUUGAAAUCCCUUUGUAACAGACGAGUUUCCGUAUGAAACCCUGAUACUUCGAAGGAGAUUGUCUGUUUUGUACACGAAGUGCAUCCAGUUUUUGUCGUAAGCCUCUCUACUUUCUUGCACUUGCUAUGUGGGUGAAAUGAUCAUACCAUGCCAACUUGGAACCUUUUCAGAGUUCAUUUCAAAUGCUUUUCAAUUUCAUGGUCUUAUAGCUCAAAAUAAUAAGUAAAUGCAUGCAAAAUAACAAAUGAAGUCAGAAAGGGUUGUAAAUUGUUCAUGUGGCUUUGAAUGGUGCAUUUUGAACACAAAAAAUCAAGGGGGUUCAAAUAGGUUCAAAAAAGUUGAAAUCCCUUUGUAGCAGACGAGUUUCCGUAUGAAACCCUGAUACUUCGAAGGAGAUUGUCUGUUUUGUACACGAAGUGCAUCCUGUUUUUGCCGUAAGCCUGUCUACUUUAUUGCACAUGCUAUGUGGGUGAAAUGAUGAUACCAUGCCAACUUGGAACCUUUUCUGAGUUCAUUUCAAAUGCUUUUCAAUUUCAUGGUCUUAUAGCUCAAAAUAAUCAGUAAAUGCAUGAAAAAUAACAAAUGAAGUCAGAAAGGGUUGUAAAUUGAUGAUGUGGCUUUGAAUGAUGCAUUUUGAACACAGAAAAACAAGGGGGUUGAAAUAAGUUCAAAAAAAGUGAAAUCCCUUAGUAACAGACGAGUUUUCGUAUGAAACCCUGAUACUUCGAAGGAGAUUGCCUGUUUUGUACACGAAGUGCAUCCAGUUUUUGCCGUAAGCCUCUCUACUUUCUUGCACAUCCUAUGUGGGUGAAAUGAUGAUACCAUGCCAACUUGGAACCUUUUUAGAGUUCAUUUCAAAUGCUUUUCAAUUUCAUGGUCUUAUAGCUCAAAAUAAUCAGUAAAUGCAUGCAAAAUAACAAAUGAAGUCAGAAAGGGUUGUAAAUUGUUGAUGUGGCUUUGAAUGGUGCAUUUUGAACACAAAAAAACAAGGGGGUUCAAAUAGGUUCAAAAAAGUUGAAAUCCCUUUGUAGCAGACGAGUUUCUGUAUGAAACCCUGAUACUUCGAAGGAGAUUGUCUGUUUUGUACACGAAGUGCAUCCUGUUUUUGCCGUAAGCCUGUCUACUUUAUUGCACAUGCUAUGUGGGUGAAAUGAUGAUACCAUGCCAACUUGGAACCUUUUCAGAGUUCAUUUCAAAUGCUUUUCAAUUUCAUGGUGUUAUAGCUCAAAAUAAUCAGUAAAUGCAUGAAAAAUAACAAAUGAAGUCAGAAAGGGUUGUAAAUUGAUGGUGUGGCUUUCAAUGGUGCAUUUUGAACACAGAAAAACAAGGGGGUUCAAAUAAGUUCAAAAAAAUGAAAUCCCUUUGAAACAGACGUGUCUCUGUAUGAAACCCUCAUACUUCGAAGGNNNNNNNNNNNNNNNNNNNNNNNNNNNNNNNNNNNNNNNNNNNNNNNNNNNNNNNNNNNNNNNNNNNNNNNNNNNNNNNNNNNNNNNNNNNNNNNNNNNNNNNNNNNNNNNNNNNNNNNNNNNNNNNNNNNNNNNNNNNNNNNNNNAUGAUGUGGCUUUGAAUGGUGCAUUUUUAACACAGAAAAACAAGGGGGUUAAAAUAAGUUCAAAAAAAUUGAAAUCCCUUUGUAACAGACGAAUUUUCGUAUGAAACCCUCAUACUUCGAAGGAGAUUGUCUGUUUUGUACACGAAGUGCAUCCAGUUUUUGCCGUAAGCCUCUCUACUUUCUUGCACACGCUAUGUGAGUGAAAUGAUGAUACCAUGCCAACUUGGAAUCUUUUCAGAGUUCAUUUCAAAUGCUUUUCAAUUUCAUUGUCUUGUAGCUCAAAAUAAUUAGUAAAUGCAUGAAAAACAACAAAUGAAGUCAGAAAUGGUUGUAAAUUGAUGAUGUGGCUUUGAAUGGUGCAUUUUUAACACAGAAAAACAAGGGGGUUAAAAUAAGUUCAAAAAAAUUGAAAUCCCUUUGUAACAGACGAAUUUUCGUAUGAAACCCUCAUACUUCGAAGGAGAUUGUCUGUUUUGUACACGAAGUGCAUCCAGUUUUUGCUGUAAGCCUCUCUACUUUCUUGCAUAUGCUAUGUGGGUGAAAUGAUGAUACCAUGCCAACUUGGAACCUUUUCAAGGUUCAUUUCAAAUGCUUUUCAAUUUCAUGGUCUUAUAGUUCAAAAUAAUUAGUAAAUGCAUGAAAAAUAAUGAAUGAAGUCAGAAAGGGUUGUAAAUUGAUGAUGUGGCUUUGAAUGGUGGAUUUUGAACACAGAAAAACAAGGGGGUUGAAAUAAGUUCAAAAAAAUUGAAAUCCCUUAGUAACAGACGAGUUUUCGUAUGAAACCCUGAUACUUCGAAGGAGAUUCCCUGUUUUGUACACGAAGUGCAUCCAGUUUUUGCCGUAAGCCUCUCUACUUUCUUGCACAUCCUAUGUGGGUGAAAUGAUGAUACCAUGCCAACUUGGAACCUUUUCAGAGUUCAUUUCAAAUGCUUUUCAAUUUCAUGGUCUUAUAGCUCAAAAUAAUCAGUAAAUGCAUGCAAAAUAACAAAUGAAGUCAGAAAGGGUUGUAAAUUGUUGAUGUGGCUUUGAAUGGUGCAUUUUGAACACAAAAAAACAUGGGGGUUCAAAUAGGUUCAAAAAAGUUGAAAUCCCUUUGUAGCAGACGAGUUUCCGUAUGAAACCCUGAUACUUCGAAGGAGAUUGUCUGUUUUGUACACGAAGUGCAUCCUGUUUUUGCCGUAAGCCUGUCUACUUUAUUGCACAUGCUAUGUGGGUGAAAUGAUGAUACCAUGCCAACUUGGAACCUUUUCAGAGUUCAUUUCAAAUGCUUUUCAAUUUCAUGGUCUUAUAGCUCAAAAUAAUCAGUAAAUGCAUGAAAAAUAACAAAUGAAGUCAGAAAGGGUUGUAAAUUGAUGAUGUGGCUUUGAAUGGUGCAUCUUGAACACAGAAAAACAAGGGGUUCAAAUAAGUUCAAAAAAAUGAAAUCCCUUCGAAACAGACGAGUCUCUGUAUGAAACCCUGAUACUUCGAAGGAGAUUGUCUGUUUUGUACACGAAGUGCAUCCAGUUUUUGCCAUAAGCCUCUCUACUUUCUUGCACACGUUAUGUGGGUGAAAUGAUGAUACCAUGCCAACUUGGAAUCUUUUCAGAGUUCAUUUCAAAUGCUUUUCAAUUUCAUUGUCUUGUAGCUCAAAAUAAUCAGUAAAUGCAUGAAAAACAACAAAUGAAGUCAGAAAUGGUUGUAAAUUGAUGAUGUGGCUUUGAAUGGUGCAUUUUUAACACAGAAAAACAAGGGGGUUAAAAUAAGUUCAAAAAAUUGAAAUCCCUUUGUAACAAAUGAAUUUUCGUAUGAAACCCUCAUACUUCGAAGGAGAUUGUCUGUUUUGUACACGAAGUGCAUCCAGUUUUUGCUGUAAGCCUCUCUACUUUCUUGCAUAUGCUAUGUGGGUGAAAUGAUGAUACCAUGCCAACUUGGAACCUUUUCAAGGUUCAUUUCAAAUGCUUUUCAAUGUCAUGGUCUUAUAGUUCAAAAUAAUUAGUAAAUGCAUGAAAAAUAAUGAAUGAAGUCAGAAAGGGUUGUAAAUUGAUGAUGUGGCUUUGAAUGGUGGAUUUUGAACACAGAAAAACAAGGGGGUUGAAAUAAGUUCAAAAAAAUUUAAAUCCCUUAGUAACAGACGAGUUUUGGUAUGAAACCCUGAUACUUCGAAGGAGAUUGCCUGUUUUGUACACGAAGUGCAUCCAGUUUUUGCCGUAAGCCUCUCUACUUUCUUGCACAUCCUAUGUGGGUGAAAUGAUGAUACCAUGCCAACUUGGAACCUUUUCCGAGUUCAUUUCAAAUGCUUUUCAAUUUCAUGGUCUUAUAGCUCAAAUAAUCAGUAAAUGCAUGCAAAAUAACAAAUGAAGUCAGAAAGGGUUGUAAAUUGUUGAUGUGGCUUUGAAUGGUGCAUUUUGAACACAAAAAAACAUGGUGGUUCAAAUAGGUUCAAAAAAGUUGAAAUCCCUUUGUAGCAGACGAGUUUUCGUAUGAAACCCUGAUACUUCGAAGGAGAUUGUCCGCUUUGUACACGAAGUGCAUCCUGUUUUUGCCGUAAGCCUGUCUACUUUAUUGCACAUGCUAUGUGGGUGAAAUGAUGAUACCAUGCCAACUUGGAACCUUUUAAGAGUUCAUUUCAAAUGCUUUUCAAUUUCAUGGUCUUGUAGCUAAAAAUAAUCAGUAAAUGCAUGAAAAACAACAAAUGAAGUCAGAAAUGGUUGUAAAUUGAUGAUGUGGCUUUGAAUGGUGCAUUUUUAACACAGAAAAACAAGGGGGUUAAAAUAAGUUCAAAAAAAUUGAAAUCCCUUUUUAACAGACGAAUUUUCGUAUGAAACCCUCAUACUUCGAAGGAGAUUGUCUGUUUUGUACACGAAGUGCAUCCAGUUUUUGCUGUAAGCCUCUCUACUUUCUUGCACAUGCUAUGUGGGUGAAAUGAUGAUACCAUGCCAACUUGGAACCUUUUUAGAGUUCAUUUCAAAUGCUUUUCAAUUUCAUGGUCUUAUAGCUCGAAACAAUCAGUAAAUGCAUGAAAAAUAACAAAUCAAGUCAAAAGGGUUGUCAAUUGAUGAUGUGGCUUUGAAUGGUGCAUUUUGAACACAUAAAAACAAGGGGGUUCAAGUAAGUUCAAAAUAAUUGAAAUCCCUUUGUAACAGACGAGUUUCCGUAUGAAACCCGUACNNNNNNNNNNNNNNNNNNNNNNNNNNNNNNNNNNNNNNNNNNNNNNNNNNNNNNNNNNNNNNNNNNNNNNNNNNNNNNNNNNNNNNNNNNNNNNNNNNNNNNNNNNNNNNNNNNNNNNNNNNNNNNNNNNNNNNNNNNNNNNNNNNNNNNNNNNNNNNNNNNNNNNNNNNNNNNNNNNNNNNNNNNNNNNNNNNNNNNNNNNNNNNNNNNNNNNNNNNNNNNNNNNNNNNNNNNNNNNNNNNNNNNNNNNNNNNNNNNNNNNNNNNNNNNNNNNNNNNNNNNNNNNNNNNNNNNNNNNNNNNNNNNNNNNNNNNNNNNNNNNNNNNNNNNNNNNNNNNNNNNNNNNNNNNNNNNNNNNNNNNNNNNNNNNNNNNNNNNNNNNNNNNNNNNNNNNNNNNNNNNNNNNNNNNNNNNNNNNNNNNNNNNNNNNNNNNNNNNNNNNNNNNNNNNNNNNNNNNNNNNNNNNNNNNNNNNNNNNNNNNNNNNNNNNNNNNNNNNNNNNNNNNNNNNNNNNNNNNNNNNNNNNNNNNNNNNNNNNNNNNNNNNNNNNNNNNNNNNNNNNNNNNNNNNNNNNNNNNNNNNNNNNNNNNNNNNNNNNNNNNNNNNNNNNNNNNNNNNNNNNNNNNNNNNNNNNNNNNNNNNNNNNNNNNNNNNNNNNNNNNNNNNNNNNNNNNNNNNNNNNNNNNNNNNNNNNNNNNNNNNNNNNNNNNNNNNNNNNNNNNNNNNNNNNNNNNNNNNNNNNNNNNNNNNNNNNNNNNNNNNNNNNNNNNNNNNNNNNNNNNNNNNNNNNNNNNNNNNNNNNNNNNNNNNNNNNNNNNNNNNNNNNNNNNNNNNNNNNNNNNNNNNNNNNNNNNNNNNNNNNNNNNNNNNNNNNNNNNNNNNNNNNNNNNNNNNNNNNNNNNNNNNNNNNNNNNNNNNNNNNNNNNNNNNNNNNNNNNNNNNNNNNNNNNNNNNNNNNNNNNNNNNNNNNNNNNNNNNNNNNNNNNNNNNNNNNNNNNNNNNNNNNNNNNNNNNNNNNNNNNNNNNNNNNNNNNNNNNNNNNNNNNNNNNNNNNNNNNNNNNNNNNNNNNNNNNNNNNNNNNNNNNNNNNNNNNNNNNNNNNNNNNNNNNNNNNNNNUUGUACACGAAGUGCAUCCAGUUUUUGCCGUAAGCCUCUCUACUUUCUUGCACAUGCUAUGUGGGUGAAAUGAUGAUACCAUGCCAACUUGGAACCUUUUCAGAGUUCAUUUCAAAUGAUUUUCAAUUUCAUGGUCUUAUAGCUCAAAAUAAUCAGUAAAUGCAUGAAAAAUAACAAAUCAAGUCAGAAGGGUUGUAAAUUGAUGAUGUGGCUUUGAAUGGUGCAUUUUGAAUACAGAAAAACAAGGGGGUUCAAGUAAGUUAAAAAUAAUUGAAAUCCCUUUGUAACAGACGAGUUUCCGUAUGAAACCCGUAUACUACGAAGGAGAUUGUCUGUUUUGUACACGAAGUGCAUCCAGUUUUUGCCGUAAGCCUCUCUACUUUCUUUCACUUGCUAUGUGGGUGAAAUAAUGAUACCAUGCCAACUUGGAACCUUUUCAGAGUUCUUUUCAAAUGCUUUUUAAUUUCAUGGUCUUAUAGCUCAAAAUAAUAAGUAAAUGCAUGAAAAAUAACAAAUGAAGUCAGAAAGGGUUGUAAAUUGAUGAUGUGGCUUUGAAUGGUGCAUUUUGAACAUAGAAAAUCAAGGGGGUUCAAAUAAGUUCAAAAAAAUUAAAUCCCUUUGUAAGAGACGAGUUUCCGUAUGAAACCCUGAUACUUUGAAGGAGAUUGUCCGUUUUGUACACGAAGUGCAUCCAAUUUUUGCCGCAAGCCUCUCUACUUUCUUGCACAUGCUAUGUGGGUGAAAUAAUGAUACCAUGCCAACUUGGAACCUUUUCAGAGUCCAUUUCAAAUUCUUUUCAAUUUCAUGGUCUUAUAGCUCAAAAUAAUCAGUAAAUGCAUGAAAAAAACAAAUGAAGUCAGAAAGGGUUGUAAAUUGAUGAUGUGGCUUUGAAUGGUUCAUUUCGAACACAGAAAAACAAGGCGUUUUAAAUAAGUUCAAAAAAAUGAAACCCCUUUGUAACAGACGCGUUUCCGUAUGAAACCCUGAUACUUCGAAGGAGAUUGUCUGUUUUGUACACGAAGUGCAUCCAGUUUUUGCUGUGAGCCUCUCUAAUUUCUUGCACAUGCUACGUGGGUGAAAUUAUGAUUCCAUGCCAACUUGGAACCUUUUCAGAGUUCAUUCCAAAUGCUUUUCAAUUUCAUGGUCUUAUAGCUCAAAAUAAUCAGUAAAUGCGUGAAAAAUAACAAAUGAAGUCCGAAAGGGUUGUAAAUUGAUGAUGUGGAUUUGAAUGGUGCAUUUUGAACACAUAAAAACAAGGGGGUUAAAAUAAGUUCAAAAAAUUGAAAUCCCUUUGUAACAGAUGAGUUUCCGUAUGAAACCGUGAUACUUCGAAGCAGAUUGUCUGUUUUGUACACGAAGUGCAUCCAGUUUUUGCCGUAAGCCUCUCUACUUUCUUGAAAAUGUUAUGUGGGUGAAAUGAUAAUACCAUGCCAACUUGGAACCUUUCCAGAGUUCAUUUCAAAUGCUUUUCAAUUUCAUGGUCUUAUAGCUCAAAAUAAUCAGUAAAUGCAUGAAAAAUAACAAAUGAAGUCAGAAAGGGUUGUUAAUUGAUGAUGUGGCUUUGAAUGGUGCAUUUUUAACACAGCAAAACAAGGGGGUUCAAAUAAAUUUCAAAUCCCUUUGUAACAGACGAGUUUCCGUAUGAAACCCUGAUACUUCGAAGGAGAUUGUCUGUUUUGUACACGAAGUGCAUCCAGUUUUUGCCAUAAGCCUCUCUACUUUCUUGCACCUUCUAUGUGGGUGAAAUUAUGAUACCAUGCCAACUUGGAACCUUUUCUUAGUUCAUUUCAAAUGAUUUUCAAUUUUGUGGUCUUAUAGCUCAAAAUAAUCAGUAAAUGCAUGGAAAAUAAGAAAUGAAGUCAGAAAGGGUUGUAAAUUGAUGAUGUGGCUUUGAAUGGUGCAUUUUGAACAUAGAAAAACAAUGGGGUUCAACAAGUUCAAAAAAAUGAAAUCCCUUUGUAACAGACGAGUUUCCGUAUGAAACCCUCAUACUUCAAAGGAGAUUGUCUGUUUUGUACACGAAGUUCAUCCAGUUUUUGCCGUAAGCCUCUCUAUUUUCUUGCACAUGCUAUGUGGGUGAAAUGAUGAUACCAUGCCAACUUGGAACCUUUUCAAAGUUCAUUUCAAAUGUUUUUCAAUUUCAUGGUCAAAAACAAAAUGAAGUCAGAAACAAAAUAAAAUAAAAUAAAUAUGUAAUUUGAAACAAAAUAAUAUAAACUUUAAUAAAAUAGAUAAUAGAAACAAAAAAAACUUUAAUAACAUAAAUAAAAAGUAUUUUCUAUUCAAAACAUUAUAAGCAACUUNNNNNNNNNNUGAUGUGGCUUUGAAUGGUGCAUUUUUAACACAGCAAAACAAGGGGGUUCAAAAAAAUUUCAAAUCCCUUUGUAACAGACGAGUUUCCGUAUGAAACCCUGAUACUUCGAAGGAGAUUGUCUGUUUUGUACACGAAGUGCAUCCAGUUUUUGCCAUAAGCCUCUCUACUUUCUUGCACAUUCUAUGUGGGUGAAAUUAUGAUACCAUGCCAACUUGGAACCUUUUCAUAGUUCAUUUCAAAUGAUUUUCAAUUUUGUGGUCUUAUAGCUCAAAAUAAUCAGUAAAUGCAUGGAAAAUAAGAAAUAAAGUCAGAAAGGGUUGUAAAUUGAUGAUGUGGCUUUGAAUGGUGCAUUUUGAACAUAGAAAAACAAUGGGGUUCAACAAGUUCAAAAAAAUGAAAUCCCUUUGUAACAGACGAGUUUCCGUAUGAAACCCUCAUACUUCAAAGGAGAUUGUCUGUUUUGUACACGAAGUGCAUCCAGUUUUUGCCGUAAGCCUCUCUAUUUUCUUGCACAUGCUAUGUGGGUGAAAUGAUGAUACCAUGCCAACUUGGAACCUUUUCAAAGUUCAUUUCAAAUGUUUUUCAAUUUCAUGGUCAGAAACAAAAUGAAGUCAGAAACAAAAUAAAAUAAAAUAAAUAUGUAAUUUGAAACAAAAUAAUAUAAACUUUAAUAAAAUAGAUAAGUAGAAACAAAAAAACUUUAAUAACAUAAAUAAAAAGUAUUUUCUGUUCAAAACAUUAUAAGCAACUUCUAGUAUUAUUGAAACUAAAAUUAUAUAAAAUUCAUGCAACUAAAAUUAUCAAAGUAUUUUCUGUUCAAAAUCAUUAAAAGCAAAAAGAAAUUUCAUAAAGAACUUUUUUUGUUAGAAACUUCAAUAGCAAAAAGAAUAAUCAUAAAAUAAAAUUAAUAAGUAAGUAUAAACAAAACAAAAUAAAAUAAAUAAGUAUUUUGUUGUAAGUAGAAACAAAAAAAUAAAGAAAAAAGAAAACAAAAAAACUGGGAAAAAAUAAAAAAUUUGCCACCAACUGGGCCACCACGGCCUGAAUACGACUAGAAACCCAUCCAUGGGCCAGGAUUCAGGCCCGCGGUAGGCCCAGAAGGCCCAGAAGGCAAAGCAGUAGCAAGUAGGCCCAUAAGCCUGCAGUGGAAGGAGCUCGAGAGGGGUGCGGCAGUGGGGCUUAUAAACCACUACACGCCCCUCUCAGCUAGCGAGGUGGGACUAAACUUUCGUGCCGCACCGCACCAGCACACGACCUUUGGUCCCGGUUGGUGCCACCAACCGGGACGAAAGGCCGCCGCUUCCCGCCCUUUGGGCUGCUGAAAAGAGACCUUUGGUCCCGGUUGGUGACACCAACCGGGACUAAAGGGGGGCAUUAGUCCCGGUUGGUGCCACCAACCGGGACUAAAGGCUUUGCUAUAUAAGCAACACUUAGCGGUUUCUGCAAAAAUCACUCCUCUUCUCCGCCCCGACGCCCCCACGCUGCUCCUUGUCGCCGUCGCUGCCGAGCCCUGCCCUGACGCCGUCGCCCGCACCCUCGCUCGACACUGUCGCCGCUCGCCGCCCUGCCCCGACGCCGUCGCCCGUGCCCUAGCCCGACGACGUCGCCGCUCGCNNNNNNNNNNNNNNNNNNNNNNNNNNNNNNNNNNNNNNNNNNNNNNNNNNNNNNNNNNNNNNNNNNNNNNNNNNNNNNNNNNNNNNNNNNNNNNNNNNNNNNNNNNNNNNNNNNNNNNNNNNNNNNNNNNNNNNNNNNNNNNNNNNNNNNNNNNNNNNNNNNNNNNNNNNNNNNNNNNNNNNNNNNNNNNNNNNNNNNNNNNNNNNNNNNNNNNNNNNNNNNNNNNNNNNNNNNNNNNNNNNNNNNNNNNNNNNNNNNNNNNNNNNNNNNNNNNNNNNNNNNNNNNNNNNNNNNNNNNNNNNNNNNNNNNNNNNNNNNNNNNNNNNNNNNNNNNNNNNNNNNNNNNNNNNNNNNNNNNNNNNNNNNNNNNNNNNNNNNGACGCCGUCGCCGUCGCCGCUUGCCGCCCUGCCCCGACCCCGCGCCCCUGCCCCUCCUCACCUUGGUCCGGCGGCGCCCUCCCCUAUUUUUUUAAUAUAUGUGAUAAUUGUUUUUGUUCAUAUAUAUGAUGAUUUUUUUUAUGGAAUAUGAUGUUUUUUUCAGAUUAUAUGUAUAUGAUUUUUUUAUAGAAUAUGAUGUUUUUGCUUUUUUAUAAAAAUGUAUAUAUGUUUGUAUGUUCUUUGUGUAUAUAUGUUCACAUAUGCAAAAGUUAGCUUUAGUACAUUUUAGGUUAGUUUAAUUUUUAGAAAAAAUUUAAAUAUCUAGCUAGGAAAGGAAGAAGAAGAAAAAUAAUGAGAGGAGAAAAAGGAAAAUAAGAAGAGGAAGAAAGGAGAAGAAGAGGAGAGGAAGAAGAGGAGAAAUAAAUAAGAAGAGGAAAAAAGAAGAAAAAAAGAGGAGAAGAAGAAAGGAAUAGAGGAGAAAGAAGAAAAAAUAGAAAUUUUCUAUUUUUUUUCUUCUUUCUCCUCUAUUCCUUUCUUCUUCUCCUUUUUUUCUUAUUUUUUUUCUUCAAUUGCUUCUCUUCUAUUCCUUUCUUCUUCUCCUCUUUUUAUUUCUUCUUUUGUCUUCUUAUUUUUUAUCGGGUAUGUCGUUGUCGAUAUACCCCCUCCCGAGAGUUUCAACACGAGGGGGGGGGUACCGAUAUACCCUCUCCCUGAUAACAUUAUUUUCCCACGUAUAUGUAUGUCGCGUCGUUGUCGAUAUAACCCCCUCCCGGAUAACUUCGACAUGAGGGGCGGUCGAUAUAUAUAUAUACCCACUCUCGACUGUGAUAACUUAUACCACGAGAGCACCCCCCUCGGCCCUCUCGCUCGACCAAAACUCUCGAGGACACCCAAACCCUAGAGAAAAAAUGAUGUUGGUCUCCAACCCCCUCCCGCCGCGCCCCUACCCGACAAACUCUCUCGAGGCCACCCAAAUUUACCAAGUUAAAAGAGCGUUGUCGUCGAGGCCACCCCAAACCCUUGAAGCAUUGUGUCGAGUACACCCCAAACCCUUGAAGCAUUGUCUAGGCCACCCCAAACCCUAGAGAAGCAGCGUCGAGGCCACUAACAUGAUUCCUUAUUGUGAUUAGCUAGCUAGUUCUACGUUUGCCACUAAAAUAUAUCCAUCUGUACCAUGUUUGAAUAAUAAUUGGCAUGUUGUAAAUAUUUGCAGAAACUAUGGAUCACUCCCGAGACGAAGCAACAGAAGCGAUGUUGGGGGAUAUGAUCGCACAAGGAAGUGAUGUCAUUGCAUCGUUUCUCUACGACACCGAUGGUCAGGAAGGACAAGGUGAAGAAGAGGGCUAUGUUCAUUAUGGCUCCGGUGACCCAUUAAUGCCGGUACAAGAAGAGUGAUAUGUUCAUGAUGGCUCCGGUGACCCAAUGGAGGUACAAGAAGGAGACCGUGUUGACUGCUCCGGUGACCGAACCGAGUCCGACCAGGUAUAUAUAUAUAUAGUUAAGCCCAUGCUGACUAGUUAAUUAAUGCAUUCAUUGUUUUCAUAUGUACACAUAUUAAUUAACUCUCGUCUUUCUUCUUUUUUCUCUAGCCCUCCGGAUCGAGCUCAACUUCGGUAAAGAAACGAGGCCCGAAGAAAAAGUUGCGCUCGGAUGAAAGGUUUGAGAUAACAGCAACCGCACGCGAUGGUAAGCCGAUUGAACCCAUCCAGAAAAGGGAUGCAUUUCAUGCUCAGUGCGGGGUUCUUGUUAGGGACAAGAUCCCGAUCAGUAUCCAGCAAUGGUUAAAGCCAAAGAAGAAGACCCUGAGGUGUCUUAUGUCUCCGAUAUGCAGAAAGAAGAUCUUUGGACAAUGCUUAAGGCAAAUUUCACCCUACCGCCAGAGGAGGAUCCAGAGAAGCCAGUUAAAGAGGAAUUCAUCAAGUCUCAUGCUCUUAAGAAGAUGGCAGAACUAUUCAGGAGGUGGAAGAAUGACCUGAAAAUGUUUGUCGACAAAGAAGAGACACCAGAAUUCACCGGCCGACUUGAGAAGAUCAGAGAUCAAUGGCCCGCAUUUGUGGCCCACAAGACAUCGGAAAAGAGUAAGAAGAUGUCAGCGACAAACAAGAUUAAUGCUGCGAAGAAGAAGCAUCACCGUCGCACGGGGUCAGGUGCUUACCUCAAAGCCCCACCUUUGUGGGACAAGGCUGAGAAUGACCUAAUUACUAAAGGGGUCGAACUAGAGACAUUGAGAUGGCCAGACCGUUGCCAGAUUUGGUUCUUCGGGGUUGGCGGAACCUUGGACCCUGUAUCAGGGAAGUGCGUUUGGACGGAUGAGCAACUGCGAAUACCCGUCAGGAAGCUUCGACACUAUAUCGCCGUAGCACAGGAAGGGACGUUCGUUCCAGACAGAGAGAAGGACGAGCUCACAAUGGCCCUCGGGAAUCCUAAGCACCCUGGACAGACACGAGGCACACCAGGCUCCCUUUCAUGGAAGGCUGGGUUUCCGGACACAGGGGGUUACAAAAACUAGGAGAGGAGGAAGAAAGUGGAGCACAGCCAACUGCAGGUGCUGCAUGAAAGGGUACAAGGGCUAGAGGAAUGAGAAGCAGAUCACAGCGAACGACCUAUCGAAGCUUCCCCUGAAGCUACCCCGCCAUCUCAGCGGAGAAGCAAUGUGGCUUCCACCGAGCAGACUCAGCAGCUGGAGCCUGUCUUCAUGGGCUACCCCGUGGAUGCUAUCACAGAGUCUCAACAUUGUCACCUUAUGACGCGAUGGAUGACAUUGAAAGUCAAGGCGGUUGUUGGCUCUGUUAUACCUAAUGAACCUGGCUCAACCUACCAUGGCCAGCCGAUUCCAGAAGGAUAUGCUAGGGUGAUGGUGGAUCAAAUAACGGACGGAUUUGAGGACCUUGAGCUUGACCACCCUACGGGUGAAGGGGAGAUUCGGCUGGCUUCCUCUCUGAAGACUCCAUGCCUAUGGCGGAAGGAGCUCAUCAACCUUCCGAACUGGACGCCUCUGCCUCCUCCUCCUCAUCCGGCGAGUCAGGGCACUCCGCCUCCUCCUUUGCCUUCUCCAGCGAGUGAUCAGGGCACUCAGCCUCCUUCUUCGGUGCGUGGCGGCACUCCGCCUCCUUCUCCGCCUGCGCCGGCGCGCCCGAGCAGCCAGCUGCCUCCUCCUUCUCCACCUCACCAGCAAGGGUAGAAGAGACCCGCCGCCGCCCCGGCUGCUCCGGCGCGUCGUAGUCCUUCUCCUCCACCUCGUAAGCAAGCACAAAAGAAGACAGUCGCAGCCGCUCCGUCUGCUCCGGCGUCUAGCAGUACAGCCAGAGGUGGGAGGCAAUACAGAUAUGGUCCAUCUCUCAAGCCUCUAGAGAAGUUACCGUACGAGAGGACCGAGGAGGAAAACGCGAAGAUCAUGCAGACCGAAGUGAAGGACUUCUUUGAAGGGUUGAAAGCAAAGAGACAUCCACCUCCGGAGGAGAAGGUAGAUCCGGUGAAAGCAAAGCGCACUAUCGAUGCCCUGAGCAAACUACCAAAGUCUCCGCCGAAAACCAACUAUGAGCGCAUUACUAAAAAGACAUAUCUCGAAGCUAACUGGCCGGGAAGUACUGUGAGUGAUCAAAGGUUAAAAGAACGAGCAGCUGGGAAAAAAAUUGCCCAGCUCGGCGAACAAGCAAAGCAAUCGUGCCCCCCGCUCAAUGUGUCUAGCGACAUCGUCGCUAAUGCGCCGGGGAUGGUGCCCGGUUAUAACAAUCUUGGAGGUUAGCUGCAUGAUGAUGUACAUUUUGAUUUCUUGGAGGUGGACAAACACAGAUACGAGUACGGGAAGCCUCUCGUUAAAGAUGAAAAAUCUCUAACAACGAUGAUGCAAAGAUUCCAUAAUUGGUACAUGAAAACCUGCAGAGAGUCUGGGGGGACGAAUACUUUGUAUCUGAGAAUUAAAGAGGAGCACGACCUCGUUGGAACUGAUCUGUUGCCUGUUCCAUUUGAGGAGUUCUUCGAGUUCUUCAAUCAAAAGGCCCUCGAUAAAUUAACGGUCUUUUGCUACUGUCUGUAAGUACUAUUUCUGUCAUUAAGUCUCUAUAUAUAGCUCGGCUCUUUCAUUGCAUGUAUUUAUAAUUAAUUAUCCUCACUAUAUUAUGCAGAUUGAAGAUCGUCGAGUGCAAAAGACAAGAAAUGUAUGAUAUUGGGUUCACUAACACAAAUAUCAUAGAUGAAUUUCAGGUUAAAAAGAACGCCGCAGAGGCCGAGGCCAACUUGCUACAAUCAUUGAUCAAAAAUCAAAACAAAGAUUUAAUACUCUUUCCUUACAACUUCAAGUGAGUGUUACUGUCGUGUGCAUAUUCGGUUUCCCUUAUUACUCGAGCGAGUUUAUAGUAAUGUAAUUGAUGAGUUAUGCAUGCGUCCGCAGCUUCCACUAUGUUCUUCUGGAUAUUAAGCUUGAGCGGGGACUAGUAACCGUCUUAGACUCGAGACGAAAAGAUCCCAAAACUUAUGUGGACAUGACUAAAUUGCUCAACAAGUAAUUUCAAUCGAUCAUUAUCGCACCAUAUCGGCAACUUUUUGUUCAUUUCCUGAUAUCUCAAGUAAUAAUAAUAAUUUUCUUUGUCUUGCAGGGUUUGGAAACAGUUCACCGCAGAAGCUCCGGGACUGCCGAAGGAGCUGCGAUAUACAUACCCGAAAGUAAGUACUACUAGCUAGCUAGUUGCGCGCAUCUCCCGUUGAUUCUAUAGCUAUACUUUCAUCAAUGCCAUUUAUAAUGCUUCAUUAUCAGUUUGAUUGACCUCUAUUUCUCGUAAAGUGCUUGUGGCAGGAAGAAGGGAAUAAUUUCUGUGGAUACUACGUGUGUGAGUUCAUCUACAACGCGACUUUCAAAAAUAAGCGGGGCUACUCUAAAAGACAAUAUGAAGUGCGUAAGCAAUAAUAUUCACAAUUUCAUUUUAUUACACCAUCAUUUCUGUUGAGUUUCAUUCAUAUACGUAUUAACCCCCUUCUUCAAAUUAGACGUGGCAGAUGCGGAAUGAACUCCUACCACAAGAUUGCAUGAAAGCAAUUCAAGAGGAAUUGGCGGGAUUCUUUCUUGACCACGUCAUCAAUAAAGCCGGAGAAUACCAUGUGGAAGUUGAUUUCAAAUGCUAGGGGAUUGUAAGAGAUCUUACAUAUUGUAUAUGUAUGUAGCCAGUAGCAUCGGAUAGAUAAUACAAAAAGUUGUUGUUCGACCAAUCUCUCAGAGAAGGAGAGGUCGAUCGAUCACUUCUCUCGGUAUGCAUGACGAACUUCUGUACUUGAUGGUUUCCGUCAUUUUCUUACUAGCUAGCAUGUCAAGGGCCUCUCUAUGUACAGUACGUAGCGUCGACCAAGCACGGACAUAAGAGAGGACACUUCUCUCUAUUAAUUAGCUAGCUAACACAAUAUAUGAAACACCUAAAUUAACCCCCCAAAAACCCCAACCCCCCUCCCCUUUCAAAAAAAACAAAAACCCCAACCCUGAAAAGCUCACGCGUGGAUGCCUUUGUUAGGGAACGUUGCAGAAAAUAAAAAAUUUCUGACGGUUUCACCAAGAUCAAUCUAUGAGUUCAUCUAGCAACGAGAGAGAGGAGUGCAUCUACAUACCAUUGUAGAUCCAGCGGAAGCGUUCAAGAGAACGGGGUUGAGGGAGUCGUACUCGUCGUGAUCCAAAUCAUCGGAGAUCCUAGCGCCGAAUGGACGACACCUCCGCAUUCAACACACGUACGGUCAGGGAGACGUAUCCUCCUUCUUGAUCCAGCAAGGGGGAAGGAGAGGUUGAUGAAGAUCCAGCAGCCCGACGGCGUGGUGGUGGAUGUAGUAGCGAUCUCGGCAGGGCUUCGCCAAGCGUCUGCGAGAGGGAGACGUGUAGCAAGGGGAGAAGGAGGCGCCAAGAGCAUGGGUGCGGCUGCCCUCCCUCCCUCCUCUUUAUAUAGGGCCCCUAGGGGGCGCCAGCCCUAGGAGAUGGGAUCUCCUAGGGGGGCGCCGGCCAAGGGGGUGGCUUUCCCCCCAAGGCAAGUGGAGGCGCCCCCCACCCCUAUGGUUUCCAACCCUAGGAGCAGGGGGGCCCAAGGGGGGCGCACCAGCCCACCAGAGGCUGGUUCCCCUCCCACUUCAGCCCAUGUGGCCCUCCGGGAUAGGUGGCCCCACCCGGUGGACCCCCGGGACCCUACCGAUGGUCCCGGUACAAUACUGGUAACCCCCGAAAUUUUCCCAAUGGCCGAAACUUCACUUCCUAUAUAUAAUUCUUUACCUCCGGACCAUUCCGGAACUCCUCGUGACGUCCGAGAUCUCAUUCGGGACUCUGAACAACUUUCACUUUACUGCAUACUCAUAUCUCUACAACCCUAGUGUCAUCGAACCUUAAGUGUGUAGACCCUAUAUGUUUGGGAGACAUGCAGUCAUGACCGAGACGCCUCUCCGGUCAAUAACCAACAGCGGGAUCUUGAUACCCAUGUUGGCUCCCACAUGCUCCUUGAUGAUCUCAUCGGAUGAACCACGAUGUCGAGGACUCAAGCAAUCCCGUAUACAAUUCCCUUUGUCAAUCGGUACGUUACAUGCCCGAGAUUCGAUCGCCGGUAUCCCAAUACCUUGUUUAAUAUCGUUACCGGCAAGUCACUUUACUCGUACCAUAAUGCAUGAUCUCGUGAUCAUACACUUGGUCACAUUGAGAUCAUUAUGAUGAUGCAUUACUGAGUGGGCCCAGAGAUACCUCUCCGUCAUACGGAGUGACAAAUCCCAGUCUCGAUUCGUGCCAACCCAACAGACACUUUCAGAGAUACCCGUAGUGGACCUUUAUAGUCACCCAGUUACGUUGUGAUGUUUGGCACACCCAAAGCACUCCUACGGUAUCCGGGAGUUACACGAUCUCAUGGUCUAAGGAAAAUAUACUUGACAUUGGAAAAGCUCUAGCAAAACGAACUACACGAUCUUGUGCUAUGCUUAGGAUUGGGUCUUGUCCAUCACAUCAUUCUCCUAAUGAUGUGAUCCCGUUAUCAAUAGCAUCCAAUGUCCAUAGUCAGGAAACCAUGACUAUCUGUUGAUCAACGAGCUAGUCAACUAGAGGCUCACUAGGGACACAUUGUGGUCUAUGUAUUCACAUGUGUAUUAUGAUUUUCGGAUAACACAAUUAUAGCAUGAAUCAUAGACUAUUACCAUGAACAAAGAAAUAUAAUAAUAAUCAUUUUAUUAUUGCCUCUAGGGCAUAUUUCCAACAGUCUCCCACUUGCACUAGAGUCAAUCAUCUAGUUACAUUGUGAUGAAUCGAACACCCAUGGAAUUUUGGUGUUGAUCAUGUUUUGCCCUAGGGAGAGGUUUAGUCAACGGAUCUGCUACAUUCAGGUCCGUGUGUACUUUACAAAUAUCUAUGUCUCCAUCUUGAACAUUUUCACGAAUGGAGUUGAAGCGACGCUUGAUGUGCCUGGUCUUCUUGUGAAACCUGGGCUCCUUGGCAAGUGCAAUAGCUCCAGUGCUGUCACAGAAGAGUUUGAUCGGCCCCGACGCAUUGGGUAUGACUCCUAGGUCGGUGAUGAACUCCUUCACCCAGAUUGCUUCAUGCGCUGCCUCCAAGGCUGCCAUGUACUCUGCUUCACAUGUAGAUCCCGCCACGACACUUUGCUUGCAACUGCACCAGCUUACUGCCCCACCAUUCAAAAUAUACACGUAUCCGGUUUGUGACUUAGAGUCAUCCAGAUCUGUGUCGAAGCUAGCGUCGACGUAACCCUUUACGACGACCUCUUCGUCACCUCCAUACACGAGAAACAUGUCCUUAGUCCUUUUCAGGUACUUCAGGAUAUUCUUGACCGAUGUCCAGUGUUCCUUGCCGGGAUUACUUUGGUACCUUCCUACCAAACUUACGGUAAGGUUUACAUCAGGUCUGAUACACAGCAUGGCAUACAUAAUAGACCCUAUGGCUGAGGCAUAGGGGAUGACACUCAUCUCUUCUAUAUCGUCUGCCGUGGUCGGACAUUGAGCCGAGCUCAAUUUCACACCUUGCAACACAGGCAAGAACCCCUUCUUAGACUGAUCCAUAUUGAACUUCUUCAAUAUCUUAUCAAGGUAUGUGCUUUGUGAAAGACCUAUGAGGCGUCUCGAUCUAUCUCUAUAGAUCUUGAUGCCUAAUAUAUAAGCAGCUUCUCCAAGGUCCUUCAUUGAAAAACACUUAUUCAAGUAGGCCUUAAUGUUGUCCAAGAGUUCUAUAUCAUUUCCCAUCAAAAGUAUGUCAUCUACAUAUAAUAUGAGAAAUGCUACAGCGCUCCCACUCACUUUCUUGUAAACGCAGGCUUCUCCAUAAGUCUGCAUAAACCCAAACGCUUUAAUCAUCUCAUCAAAGCAAAUGUUCCAACUCCGAGAUGCUUGCACCAGCCCAUAAAUGGAUCGCUGGAGCUUGCAUACCUUGUUAGCAUUCUCAGGGUCGACAAAACCUUCCGGCUGCAUCAUAUACAGUUCUUCCUUAAGAUGACCAUUAAGGAAUGUCGUUUUGACGUCCAUUUGCCAUAUCUCAUAAUCAUAGUAUGCGGCAAUUGCUAACAUGAUUCAGACGGACUUUAGCUUCGCUACGGAAGAGAAUGUCUCAUCGUAGCCAACCCCUUGAACUUGCCGAUAACCCUUAGCGACAAGUCGAGCUUUAUAGAUGGUAACAUUACCAUCCGCGGCCGUCUUCUUCUUAAAGAUCCAUUUGUUUUCUAUUGCUCGCCGAUCAUCGGGCAAGUCUGUCAAAGUCCAUACUUCAUUUUCAUACAUGGAUCCUAUCUGGGAUUGCAUGGUUUCAAGCCAUUUUUUGGAAUUUGGGCCCUCCAUCGCUUCUUCAUAGUUCGAAGGUUCACCGUUGUCUAACAACAUGAUUUCCAAGAUAGGGUUGCCAUACCACUCUGGUGUGGAACGUGUCCUCGUGGACCUACGAAGUUCAGUAGUAACUUGAUCCGAAGUACCUUGAUCAUCAUCAUUAACUUCCUCUUUAGUUGGUGCUGGCACCACAGGAACAUCUUCCUGAGUUGCGCUACUCACUGAUUCAAGAGGUAGUACUUCAUCAAGUUCCACUUUCCUCCCACUUACUUCUCUCGAGAGAAAUUCUUUCUCCAGAAAGGACCCGUUCUUGGCAACAAAGAUGUUGCCUUCGGAUCUGAGGUAGAAGGUAUACCCAAUGGUUUCCUUAGGGUAUCCUAUGAAGACACAUUUUUCCGACUUGGGUUCGAGCUUUUCAGGUUGAAGUUUCUUGACAUAACCAUCGCAUCCCCAAACUUUUAGAAACGACAACUUAGGUUUCUUCUCAAACCAUAAUUCAUAUGGUGUCGUCUCAACGGAUUUAGACGGUGCCCUAUUUAAAGUGAAUGUAGCUGUCUCUAGAGCGUAUCCCCAAAAAGAUAGCGGUAAAUCGGUAAGAGACAUCAUAGAUCGCACCAUAUCCAAUAAAGUGCGAUUAUGACGUUCGGACACACCGUUACACUGAGGUGUUCCAGGCGGCGUGAGUUAUGAAAUGAUUCCACAUUUCCUUAAGUGCGUACCAAAUUCAUGACUUCAAUAUUCUCCUCCACGAUCUGAUCGUAGGAACUUUAUCUUUCGGUCAUGUUGAUUCUCUACCUCAUUCUGAAAUUCCUUGAACUUUUCAAAGGUCUCAGACUUGUGUUUCAUCAAGUAGACAUACCCAUAUCUACUCAAGUCGUUAGUGAGAGUGAGAACAUAACGAUAUCCUCCGCAAGCCUCAACGCUCAUUGGACCGCACACAUCAGUAUGUAUGAUUUCCAAUAAAUUGGUUGCUCGCUCCAUUGUUCCGGAGAGCGUAGUCUUGGUCAUUUUGCCCAUGAGGCAUGGAUCGCAUGUGUCAAAUGAUUCAUAAUCGAGAGACUCUAAAAGUCCAUCAGCAUGGAGCUUCUUCAUGCACUUGACACCAAUGUGACCAAGGCGGCAGUGCCACAAGUAUGUGGGACUAUCGUUAUCAACUUUACAUCUUUUGGUAUUCACACUAUGAAUAUGUGUAACAUCACGUUCGAGAUUCAUUAAGAAUAAAGCAUUGACCAUCGGGGCAUGACCAUAAAACAUAUCUCUCAUAUAAAUAGAGCAACCAUUAUUCUCCGACUUAAAUGAGUAGCCAUCUCGUAUUAAACGAGAUCUAGAUACAAUGUUCAUGCUCAAACUUGGCACUAGAUAACAAUUAUUGAGGUUUAAAACUAAUCCCGUAGGUAAAUGUAGAGGUAGUGUGCCAACGGCGAUCACAUCGACCUUGGAACCAUUCCCGACGCGCAUCGUCACCUCGUCCUUCGCCAGUCUCCGUUUAUUCCGCAGUUCUUGCUUUGAGUUACAAAUAUGAGCAACCGCACCGGUAUCAAAUACCCAGGAGCUACUACGAGUACUGGUGAGGUACACAUCAAUUACAUGUAUAUCACAUAUACCUUUAGUGUUGCCGGCCUUCUUGUCCGCCAAGUACUUGGGGCAGUUCUGCUUCCAGUGACCACUUCCCUUGCAAUAAAAGCACUCAGUUUCAGGCUUGGGUCCAUUCUUUGACUUCUUCCCGGCAACUGGCUUACCGGGCGCGGUAACUCCCUUGCCGUCCUUCUUGAAAUUCUUCUUACCCUUGCCUUUCUUGAACUUAGUGGUUUUAUUCACCAUCAACACUUGAUGUUCUUUCUUGAUCUCUUCCUCCGCUGAUUUCAGCAUUGAAUAUACCUCAGGAAUGGUCUUUUCCAUCCCCUGCAUAUUGAAGUUCAUGACAAAGCUCUUGUAGCUUGGUGGAAGCGACUGGAAGAUUCUGUCAAUAACCGCGUCAUCCGGGAGAUUAACUCCCAGCUGAGUCAAGAGGUUGUGCAACCCAGACAUCUUGAGUAUGUGCUCACUGACAGAACUAUUCUCCUCCAUCUUACAGCUGAAGAACUUGCCGGAGACUUCAUAUCUCUCGACCCGGGCAUGAGCUUGGAAAACCAUUUUCAGCUCUUCGAACAUCUCAUAUGCUCUGUGUUGCUCAAAACGCUUUUGGAGCCCCGGUUCUAAGUUGUAAAGCAUGCCGCACUGAAUGAGGGAGUAAUCAUCAGCACGAGACCGCCAAGCGUUCAUAACGUCUUGGUUCUCUGGGAUGGGUGCUUCACCUAGCGGUGCUUCUAGGACAUAAUCUUUCUUGGCAGCUAUGAGGAUGAUCCUCAGAUUCCGGACCCAGUCUGUAUAGUUGCUGCCAUCAUCUUUCAGCUUGGUUUUCUCUAGGAACGCGUUGAAGUUGAGGGUAAUGUGGGCCAUUUGAUCUACAAGACAUAUUGUAAAGAUUUUAGACAAAGUUCAUGAUAAUUAAGUUCAUCUAAUCAAAUUAUUUAAUGAACUCCCACUCAAAUUAGACAUCCCUCUAGUCAUCUAAGUGAUACAUGAUCCGAGUCGACUAGGCCAUGUCUGAUCAUCACGUGAGACGGACUAAUCAUCAUCGGUGAACAUCUCCAUGUUGAUCGUAUCUUCCAUACGACUCAUGUUCGACCUUUCGGUCUCUUGUGUUCCGAGGCCAUGUAUGUACAUGCUAGGCUCGUCAAGUUAACCUAAGUGUUUAUGCAUGUGUAAAUCUUUCUUACACCCGUUGUAUGUGAAUGUUAGAAUCUAUCACACCCGAUCAUCACGUGGUGCUUUGAAACAACGAACUUUCGCAAUGGCACACAGUUAGGGGGAACACUUUCUUGAAAUUAUUAUGAGGGAUCAUCUUAUUUACUACCGUCGUUCUAAAUAAACAAGAUGCAAAAACAUGAUAAACAUCAUAUGCAAUCAAAUAGUGACAUGAUAUGGCCAAUGUCAUAUUGCUCCUUUGAUCUCCAUCUUUGGGGCUCCAUGAUCAUCUUCGUCACCGGCAAGACACCAUGAUCUCCAUCAUCAUGAUCUCCAUCAUCGUGUCUCCAUGAAGUUGCUCGCCAACUAUUACUUCUACUACUAUGGCUAAUGGUUUAGCAAUAAAGUAAAGUAAUUACAUGGCGUUGAAUCAAUGACGCGCAUGUCAUACAACAAUUAAGACAACUCCUAUGGCUCCUGCCGGUUGUCAUACUCAUCGACUUGCAAGUCGUGAUUCCUGUUACAAGAACAUGAUCUCAUACAUCACAUAUAUAUCAUCCAUCAUUCAUCACAACUUUUGGCCAUAUCACAUCACAAUCACAUGCUGCAAAAACAAGUUAGACGUCCUCUAAUUGUUGUUGCAUGUUUUAUGUGGCUGCAAUAGGGUUCUAGCAAGAACGUUUUCUUACAUACGUAAAAGCCACAAUGUGAUUUGUCAACUUCUAUUUACCCUUCAUAAGGACCCUUUUUAUCGAAUCCGCUCCAACUAAAGUGGGAGAGACAGACACUCACUAGCCACCUUAUGCAACUAGUGCAUGUCAGUCGGUGGAACCUGUCUCACGUAAGCGUACGUGUAAGGUCGGUCCGGGCCGCUUCAUCCCACAAUACCGCUGAAGCAAAAUAAGACUAGUAGUGGCAAGAAAGUUGACAACAUCUACGCCCACAACAAAUUUGUGUUCUACUCAUGCAAAGAGAACUACGCAUAGACCUAGCUCUGAUACCACUAUUGGGGAACGUUGCAGAAAAUAAAAUAUUUCCUACGGUUUCACCAAGAUCAAUCUAUGAGUUCAUCUAGAAACGAGAGAGAGGAGUGCAUCUACAUACCCUUGUAGAUCGAGCGGAAGCAUUCAAGAGAAUGGGGUUGAGGGAGUCGUACUCGUCGUGAUCCAAAUCACCGGAGAUCCUAGCGCCGAACGGACGGCACCUCCGCGUUCAACACACGUAUGGUCAGGGAGAAGUCUCCUCCUUCUUGAUCCAGCAAGGGGGAAGGAGAGGUUGAUGAAGAUCCAGCAUCACGAUGGCAUGGUGGUGGAAGCAGCAGCGAUCUCGGCAGGGCUUCGCCAAGCGUCUGCGAGAGGGAGAGGUGUAGCAAGGGGAGAGGGAGGCGCCAAGAGCAUGGGUGCGGCUGCCCUCCCUCCCCCCUCUUUAUAUAGGGCCCCUGGGGGGGCCUAGGAGAUGGGAUCUCCUAGGGGGGGCGGCGGCCAAGGGGGUGGCUUGCCCCUCAAGGCAAGUGGAGGCGCCCCCCACCCCUAGGGUUUCCAACCCUAGGCGCAGGGGGACCAAGGGGGGCGCACCAGCCCACCAGGGGCUGGUUCCCCUCCCACUUCAUCCCAUGUGGCCCUCCGGGAUAGGUGGCCCCACCCGGUGGACCCCCGGGACCCUUCCGGUGGUCCCGGUACAAUACCGGUAACCCCCGAAACUUUCCCGAUGGCCAAAACUUCACUUCAUAUAUAUAAUUCUUUACCUCCGGACCAUUUCAGAACUCCUUGUGAUGUCCGGGAUCUCAUCCGGGACUCCGAACAACUUUCGGUUUACUGCAUACUCAUAUCUCUACAACCCUAGCAUCACCGAACCUUAAGUGUGUAGACCCUACGGGUUCGGGAGACAUGCAGACAUGACCGAGACACCUCUCCGGUCAAUAACCAACAGCGGGAUCUGGAUACCCAUGUUGGCUCCCACAUGCUCCUCGAUGAUCUGAUCGGAUGAACCACGAUGUCGAGGACUCAAGCAAUCCCAUAUACAAUUCCCUUUUUCAAUCGGUACGUUACAUGCCCGAGAUUCGAUCGCCGGUAUCCCAAUACCUCGUUUAAUCUCGUUACCAGCAAGUCACUUUACUCGUACCAUAAUGCAUGAUCCCGUGACCAGACAAUUGGUCACAUUGAGCUCAUUAUGAUGAUGCAUUACCGAGUGGGCCCAGAGAUACCUCUCUGUCAUACGGAGUGACAAAUCCCAGUCUCGAUUCAUGCCAACCCAACAGACACUUUCGGAGAUACCCGUAGUGGACCUUUAUAGUCAUCUAGUUACGUUGUGAUGUUUGGCACACCCAAAGCACUCCUACGGUAUCCGGGAGUUGCACAAUCUCAUGGUCUAAGGAAAUGAUACUUGACACUUGGAAAAGCUCUAGCUAAACGAACUACACGAUCUUUGAGCUAUGCUUAGGAUUGGGUCCUUUCCAUCACAUCAUUCUCCUAAUGAUGUGAUCCCGUUAUCAAUGACAUCCAAUGCCCAUAGUCAGGAAACCAUGACUAUCUGUUGAUCAACGAGCUAGUCAACUAGAGGCUCACUAGGGACACGUUGUGGUCUAUGUAUUCACACGUGUAUUACGUUUUCCGGAUAACACAAUUAUAGCAUGAAUAAUAGACUAUUACCAUGAACAAAUAAAUAUAAUAAUAAUCAUUUUAUUAUUGCCUCUAAGGCAUAUUUCCAACAGCCUUUUGGUCCCGGUUGGUGCCACCAACCGGGACCAAAGGCCCUCCUACCUGGGCUCAGUGCACCGGCCACGUGGAGGCCCGUCUGUCCCGGUUUAUGCAAGAACCGGGACUAAAGGUUUAGGGCAUUAGUACCGACACUUUAGUCCCGGUUCAAAAACCAGGACAAAUGGCCCUCACGAACCGGGACUAUAGGUCCUUUUUAUACUAGUGUACACAAAUACAAAUAAAGAAUGACUUCGGAAUAGUACCAAAAGUGGUGAUUUAUUUUCUUAUACUAACGAAUCUCAUAAGAUUUUCUGUUGAGUUUUGUGUUGUGAAGUUUUCAAGUUUGAGUAAGGAUUUGAUGGACUAUGGAAUAAGGAGUGGCAAGAGCCUAAGCUUCGGGAUGCCCAAGGCACCCCAAGGUAAUAUUCAAGGACAACCAAGAGCCUAAGCUUGGGGAUGCCCCGGAAGGUAUUCCCUCUUUCAUCUUCGUCUAUCGGUAACUUUACUUGAAGCUAUAUUUUUGUUCACCACAUGAUAUGUGUUUUGCUUGGAGCGUCUUGUAUGAUAUGAGUCUUUACUUUUUAGUUUUCCAUAAUCAUACUUUUUGUACACACCUUUUGAUAGGGACACACAUGAAUCGUGAUUUAUUAGAAUACUCUAUGUGCUUCACUUAUAUCUUUUGAGCUAGGCAAUUUUAUUCUAGUGCUUCACUUAUAUAUCUUUAGAGCACGGUGGUGGCCUUAUUUUGUAGAAAUUGUUGUACUCUCAUGCUUCACUUAUAUUAUUUUGAGAGUUUCUCUAUACAGCGUGGUAAUUUUCUUUGGUUAUAAAUUUAUUCCUAAUAUGAUAGGCAUGCAAGAGGGAUAUAAUAGAAAUUUUUCAUAUAAAGUGCAUUGAAUACUAUGAGAAGUUUGAUUCCUUAUGAUUGUUUUGAGAUAUGAGGAUGGUGAUAUUAGAGUCAUGCAAGUGGAGUAAUUGUGUAUUGUAGAAAUACUUGUGUGGAGGUUUGUGAUUCCCGUAGCAUGCACGUAUGGUGAACCGUUCUGUAACGAAGUUGGAGCAUGAUUUAUUUAUUGAUUGUCUUCCUUAUGAGUGGCGGUCGGGGACGAGCGAUGGUCUUUUCCUACCAAUCUAUCCCCCUAGGAGCAUGCGUGUAGUACUUUGUUUCGAUGACUAAUAGAUAUUUGCAAUAAGUAUGUGAGUUCUUUAUGACUAAUGUUGAGCCCAUGGAUUAUACGCACUCUCACCCUUCCACCAUUGCUAGCCUCUCUAGUACCGGACAACUUUCGCUGGUACCAUAAACCCACCAUAUACCUUCCUCAAAACAGCCACCAUACCUACCUAUUAUGGCAUUUCCAUAGCCAUUCCGAGAUAUAUUGCCAUGCAACUUUCCACCGUUCCGUUUAUGAUGACACGCUUCAUCAUUGUCAUAUUGCUUUGCAUGAUCAUGCAGUUGACAUAGUAUUUGUGGCAAAGCCACCGUUCAUAAUUUUCAUACAUGUCACUCUUGACUCAUUGCACAUCCGGGUACACCACCGGAGGCAUUCAUAUAGAGUCAUAUUUUUCUCUAAGUAUCGAGUUGUGAUUCUUGAGUUGUAAGUAAAUAAACGUGUGAUGAUCAUCAUUAUUAGAACAUUGUCCCACGUGAGGUAAUUAAAAAAAAGAGGAGGCCAAGGAAGCCAUUGGAAAAAAUGAGAUAAAAAGAGAGAAUGGGCUAUGUUACUAUCCCUUUUCCACACUUGUGCUUCAAAGUAGCACCAUGGUCUUCAUGAUAGAGAAUCUCCUAUUUUGUCACUUUCAUAUACUAGUGGGAAUUUUUCAUUAUAGAACUUUGGCUUGUAUAUUCCAAAAAUGGGAUUGCUCAAAUUUCCCUAGGUCUUCAUGAGAAAGCAAGUUGGAUGCACAACCACUUAGUUUCUUUUUGAGCUUUCAUAAACUUAUAGCUCUAGUGCAUCUGUUGCAUGGCAAUCCCUACUCACUCACAUUGAUAUCUAUUGAUGGGCAUCUCCAUAGCCCGUUUAUACACCUAGUUGAUGUGAGACUAUCUCCUUCUUUUUUGUCUUCUCCACAACCACCAUAUUCAUUCCACCUAUAGUGCUAUGUCCAUGGCUCACGCUCAUGUAUUGCGUGAAAGUUGAAAAUGUUUGAGAACAUCAAAGUAUGAAACAAUUGAUUGGCUUGCCAUCGGGGUGUGCAUGAUUUGAAUAUUUUGUGUGAUGAAGAUGGAGCAUAACCAGACUAUAUGAUUUUGUAGCGAUAGAUUUCUUUGGCCAUGUUAUUUUGAGAAGACAUGAUUGCUUUAUUAGUAUGCUUGAAGUGUUAUCGUUUUUAUGUCAAUAUUAAUCUUUUGUUUUGAAUCUUAUGGAUCUAAACAUUCAUGCCACAAUGAAGAAAAUUACAUUGACAAAUAUGUUAGGUAUUAUUUCACAUCAAAAAUUAUGUUUUUAUCAUUUACCUACUCAAGGACGAGCAGGAAUUAAGCUUGGGAAUGCUUGAUACGUCUCCAAUGUAUCUAUAAUUUUUUUUAUUGUUCCAUUCUAUUAUAUUAUCUGUUUUGGAUGUUUUAUAUGCAUUAAUAUGCUAUUUUAUUUUAUUUUUGGGACUAACCUAUUAACCUAGAGCCAGUGCCAGUUUCGUUUUAACUUGUUUUUGAGCCUCGCGGAAAAGGAAUACCAAAUGGAGUCCAAGCGGAAUAAAACAUUCACGAUGAUUUUUCUUGGACCAGAAGACACCUAUUGGACGUGGACUCCAAGUCAGAAGACCUUGGAGUAGACGAAAAGCCACAGGGGCGCGCCCUAGGGGGUGGUGCGCCCCCUGCCUUGUGGCCUACUCCAACACCCCCUGACCUAAUGCUUCGUCCUAUAUAUUCUCAAAUAUUCCAAAACCACCAGAGGUAUCCACGAAAACACUUGUCCACCUCCGCAACCUUCUGUUCCCGUGAGAUUGCAUCUAGGGGCCUUUUCCGGCAUCCUGCCGGAGGGGGAUUAGAUCAUGGAGGGCUUCUACAUGAACUAUAUUUCCCUUUCGAUGAAGCGUGGGUAGUUUACCACAGACCUACGGGUCCAUAGCUAGUAGCUAGAUGGCUUAUUCUCUCUCUUAGAUUCUCAAUACCAUAUUCUCCUUGAUGUUCUUGGAGAUCUAUCCGAUGUAAUCUCCUUUUGCGGUGUGUUUGUCGAGAUUCAAUGAAUUGUGGAUUUAUGAUCAGCUUAUCUAUGAAUAUUAUUUGAAUCUUCUCUAAAUUCUUAUAUGCAUGAUUUGAUAUCUUUGUAAUUCUGUUCAAACUAUUGGUUUAGUUUGGCCAACUAGAUUGUUUUUUCUUGCAAUGGGAGAAGUGCUUAGCUUUGGGUUCAAUCUUGUGUGUCCUUUCCUAGUGACAGUAGGGGCAACAAGGCACGUAUUGUAUUAUUGCCAUCGAGGAUAAAAAGAUGGGGUUUUCAUCAUAUUUCUUGAGUUUAUUCCUCUACAUAAUGUCAUCUGAAUGUGUUACUCUGUUCUUAUUGAACUUAAUACUCUAGAUGCAGGCACGAGUCGGUUGAUGUGUGGAGUAAUAGUAGUAGAUGUAGGCAGGAGUCGGUCUACUUGACACGAACGUGAUGCCUAUAUUUCAUCAUCAUUGCCUUGGAUAUCGUCAUAACUUUGUACUUUUCUAUCAAUUGCUCGCCAGUAAUUUGUUCACCCACCGUAUUACACUAGUAGAAAACAGGGCAUACGUUCGGGCCAGAUAAGCCCAUUAGUCCUGGUUCAGUCACGAACCGGGACCCAUGGGGGCAUUAGUCCCGGUUCGUGUCUCAAACCAGGACUAAAGUCCCAGUUCAAAUGAGCCCUUUGGUCCCAAUUUGAGACACGAACCGAGACUAAAGGUUAUGCUCAAAUUCUAAAAGGAAAAAAAGUUAUGCUCAAAUUUCUUUUUUUUGAAUUUUUGUUAAAUCUGGUCAAACUACUUAUUCAAGAAGUAUUAGUGUUACUAAAUAAUUAUUCAAUAAUAUUAGUGUUAAUAAAUAAUUAUUUCAGUUUUUUUCAAUUUUGGUCAAAUCUGGUCAAACUGUGGUCAAACAUAGUCAAACUAUGGUCAAACUUAUUAUUCAAGAAAUAUUAGUGUUACUAAAUAAUUAUUGUUUUUUAGAAUAAUAGUUUCAAACUCAAAUAGUGAAACAUGUGACUUCAUGCUCAAGCUAAACUCCGGAGGGUAAUAGGAUUGACAUCUUACUAUUGUCAGGAAAACAACAAAUGCGGACUUGGAAACAAGGAGGAAUAGAACCCGGAGGUUAAGCGUGCUCAGGCUUGAGUAGUGAGAGGAUGGGUGACCGGCAGGGAAGUUAGAUGAUUUGGAAUGAUCAAGGGUGAUCAGAGAUUAGAGGAUAAAUUGAGCAGUGAUGAGGGGGGUGAGGGGUGAUUAGAGAUUAAAUUGUAAAAUAAUUCGGAAAUUUGAAAAUCCUGGAAAAAAAAUUAAUUUAAAAAAAAUCAAAAAAAUCGUAAAAAUACCUUUAGUCCUGGUUGGUGUUACCAACCGGGACUAAAGCUGGAGCUCCAGACAGCGACCACAUGGAGGGGCUUUAGUCCGGGUUCAUAAAAGAACCGGGACUAAAGGGGUGCCUUUAGUGACGACCCUUUAGUCCCGGUUCAAGAACCGGGACUAAAGGCCCUCACGAACCGACGCGAAUGGGGCUUUUUCUACUAGUGUUAUUUGCCUUCAUGAGAGAAGCCUCUAGUGAAACAUGUGGCCCCCGGGUCUAAUUUCCAUCAUAUUAGUUUCCGAUCUACUAUUUUGCAGUCUUUUAAUUUAAGAUCUAUAAACGAAAAAAACCCAAAAAUAUUUUAUCUUUUGUUUACCUAUCUCUAUCAGAUGUCACUUUUGCAAGUGACCGUGAAGGGAUUGACAACCCCUUUAUCGUGUUGGGUGCAAGUUGUUUGAUUGUUUGUGCAGGUAUUGGUGGCUUGUGUGUUGUCUCCUACUGGAUUGAUACCUUGGUUCUCUAACUGAGGAAAUACUUAUCUCUACUUUGUUGCAUCACCCUUUCCUCUUCAAGGGAAAAACCAACGCAAGCUCAAGAAGUAGCAGACAACAUAUGUAGUUCCAUUUCUCUGUCGGUAUGUUACUUGCCCGAUAUUUGAUCGUCGGUAUCUCCAUACCUAGUUCAAUCUCGUUUUCGGCAAGUCUCUUUACUCGUUCCAUAAUACAUUAUCCCGUAACUAACUCCUUAGUCACUUUGCUUGAAAGCUUCUUAUGAUGUUGUACUACCGAGAGGGCCCAGAGAUACCUAUCCAUCAUACAGAGUGACAAAUCCCAGUCUCGAUCCAUGCCAACUCAAUAGACACCUUCGGAGAUACCUGUAGAUCACCUUUAUGAUCACCUAGUUAUGUUGUGACGUUUGAUAGCACACAAGGCAUUCCUCUGGAGUCCGGAGUUGCAUUAUCUUAUGGUCGAAGAAACAUGUAUUUGACAUUAAGAAAGCAGUAGCAAUAAACUGAACGAUCAUAUGUUAUGCUAACGGUUGGGUCUUGUCCAUCACAUCAUUGUCCUAACACUACUAGGAAAAAGCCUAGUAGUAGCGCGGGUUAAAAGCUAGUAGUAGCGCGGGUGCCUGUGCUGCUACUACGGCGCUACAGCUAACUAGUAGUAGUAGUGCGGUGCAUCCCGCACUACUAGUACAUGUGUUAGUAGUAACCCGUGUUCGACACGCACUACUACUAACUAUCUGUAACGCGUGUCUGUGACCCGCGCUACUACUAUUAAUUUGAAAAACCAAAAAAAAAUCUCGACCCCGUGUGUGCUGUCAAUCAUGCAAGGAGAUCUCGACCAUGACGCGCACCUCGUGGAAGCCAUUGAGGACGGCCGCGGAGGCCAGCCCGGCGUGGGCCAGGAGCUGGAGGACUUGGAUCUUGGCAUCGUGCAUGGAGAGCAGCACCUCGCAGCGGCCGUCGCCGUUGAGGUCGGUGGCGGGAGGCGGUCCACGUCAUGCUCGAUUGGGAACCCGUCGUUUGACAGGUGGUACCAUGCCUCCUGGAAUGAGAAGUCACCCUCGUGCUGCCGAAGGAGGAGGGGGAUGGUUCAGCUAGGGUUCCGGGUUGAAUCGGAGAGGGGGGAAGGAGGAGGAGGGCUGACCUGGAGCGAGAAGAAGACGGUGAACGUGGAGAGGAGGAGGAUGCCGAGGUCGCACUUUCGCAUCUUGGCGGCGGCGAGGAGCUCAAGUGACCGCCCACCAGAGGGAUCUCAGAGAGGGAGGGGGAAGAAAGCAGAGUGUACCAGUGGCGGCAACCGCUGGAGUACGAGGGAGAGAGGAGGAAAGCGAGAGCGGGGGAAAGUGAGGGAGAGAGGAGGGAUUCAGCCGAGGAUAUGGGGAUUUCACCUACCUCGUACUUAGUAUUGGCGAGGGGUAUAAAACCGCGCUACUACUAUCAACUUAGUAGUAGCACGGGUUUGUACUCCUCGCUACUACUAUGGCAUGUCCAGGGAGGGCACGGUAGAGACCGCUUAGUAGUAGCGCGGGUUAAAAACCCGCGCUACUAGUAUCAACUUAGUAGUAGCGAGGGGUAAAAACCCGCGCUACUAGUAAGUAGCAGUAGCGAGGGUUAUAAACCCUCGCUACUAGUAAGCGUCUGCCUAUAAGCUUUUCCCUAGUAGUGUAAUGAUGUGGUCCCGUUAUCAAAUGACAACUCAUGUCUAUGGUUAGGAAACCUGAACCAUCUUUGAUCAACGAGUUAGUCUAGUAGAGGCUCACUAGGGACAUGCUAUCUGUUUAUGUAUCCACACAUGUAUUUAAGUUUCCGGUCAAUACCAUUCUAGCAUGAAUAAUAAACCUUUAUCGUGAAUAUGGAAAUAUGAUAAUAACAACUUUAUUAUUGCCUCUAGGGCAUAUUUCCAUCAUUUGAAUUGAUUAAGUUUGAUCUCCACCAGAAAGAGCCAACCUUAUGAUCUCCUGGGAGUUGUCCAUUACUAUAGUGUGUCUCCCAAAUUAAAUUAACCCAGGGUAUGUCAUGCCUAUUGAAGAACUUAUGGAGGUUUUUCAUGAGCAGAGUCUUGUUUUGUGUGUAGAUAUCCAUGACUCCCAAGCCUCCUUGACGUUUGGGUCUACAAACUGUGUGCCAUGCAAGUAAAGUUGGUCUGUGAUCUUCCAAAUCAGGGCUUCUCCAUAGACAGUGUAUCAAGUACUUAUGAUCUGUUUCUUGAUGGUAAUAGGUAUAUCUAGGCAACACAUGAAGAAAAUUGGUAAUGAUGCAAGCACUAAUUUUGACUAGGAGGAACCUUCCUGCCUGAGUCAUAUAAGUAGAAAUACCUGCUAAUCUCUUAGCAAUUCUGUUGACUAGGGGCAAACAUUGUUCCACAGUUGGUUUAUAGAUUCCUGAAGGUAGACCCAGGUAAGUAAAAGGGGAUUGUCCUCUUGCACAUUGCAGUGUGUGAUUGAAAAUAUGUAUUCUGUCUUCUACAAUGUUUAUGGGCACCAUGAUUGAUUUCCCAUAAUUGACUUUCAGUCCAGUGGCUGAGGCUAAUGUGAUUAACAAGGCUUUGAGACAUAUCAACUUCUUUGUAUUUGCUUGUAUAAGAAACAGUGUAUCAUCUGCAUACUAUACUACUGGAAAAUCAGGACGGGAGUUGACUUGCAGUGGUGGAGUAAUUAUACCCAGUCUCAUGGCCUUAUUAAGUAUUGAUUGUAGGAGAUCAGCAGCCAACACAAAAAUCAAUGGGGAAAGGGGAUCACCCUGCCUCACUCCUCGUCUAUAGUAGAUUUUUUUGCUAGAGACUCCAUUCAACAUCACAGCAGAUGUGGCAGAUGUGAAAAUUAAGUGCAUCCAGGAAAUCCAUUUCUUUGCAAAUGCCUUUGCUCUGAGUAUAUCAAUAAUUGCCUGAUGUUCAAUAGUGUCAAAAGCUUUCUCAAAAUCCAGUUUAAUCAUUAGCAUCUCUUCUUUUGAUUUAUGACAUUGAUGGAUAUAUUCAUAUGCCCAACCAAGGCAGUACUGGAUCAUUCUAGCUUUGAGGAACCCAUGUUGAUUGAUAUGUACCAUCUAGAGAAUAAUUCUUUGUAAUCUAUUGGCCAGUAGUUUGGUAAUUAUCUUAAGUACUGCAUUGAGCAGUGAGAUUGGUCUGAAAUCAUUGGGUGAGACUGGCACUUCCUUUUUGGAAUCAAUGUAAUGAAUGAUGUAUUGAUGCUUUCAAGAUUUAUAUUACCAGCAUGAAAAGCCAUGAUAAGCUCAGUGAUAUCCACUUUAAUGAUGUCCCAACAAGCUUUGAUGAACUCAUUAUUAAAUCCAUCAAGAACUGGAGAUUUAUCUGUACGAAGGUUUUUUACCACUUCAUCAAUUUCCUCCUAUGUAAAUUGCUUCUCAAGAUCUUGGAAGAUCUUAGGCUCAACUCUAUGUUCAUAUAGAUCAUUCAAAUCAAAGUGCAUUGUGUGACCAUUAGAUUGUCCCAAUCUUUUUUAAGGCCUCCCAAAGAAUAGUUGUUUUUCCUUCAUAGUCAGUAAUUUCCACUUGAUCAUCAUUCAGAAGCAUACAAUUUUAUUAUGUCUAUGAUUAAAAGAGGAUUUGGUAUGAAAGAAUUUGGUGUUCUCGUCACCAAACUAAACACCUUUUAUUUUCCCUCUUUGCUUCCAAUAAAUCUUCUAAUUAUUAAGUACUAUCAAUAGGAAUUCCUUCAGCAUAGACCUACAAUUCCCUUCAAAUACUGAGAGAUAUCUAUAUUCCUCAAUCAAGUCCCAGUGGAAAAUACAAGCAUUUAAAUCCUCAUACUGCUUUAUAAGACAGGACAAACUCUUGGCCGACAAUUUUAAAGAUCUUCUCAAAUUCUUAAACUUUGCAUUGAUUUUUUUUGGCUGGAUCAGUGUAACCCACAGGAAUAUUCCAGGCUGCUUGAACAAUGUCUUUGAAAGAGCUGUGUUUCAGCCAAUAACUUUCAAACUUGAAUACCUUGGACUUGGGAAUGUAGUCCAAACCAAUAUUCCACAUUAAACAAUGUUUAUUUGCGGACCAAUUUCAGAAGUGUCGCUUCUAUUCAUUUCCGUUCUCUAAUCUACUAGUCAAUUAAGUCUGAACCGAGAACCGAACCUAAAUCUCGGUCGACUGAAUCUUUGGUUAGGAAUUUUCCCGGUGACCAAUCGGUCAUCCUAUUUUGAAAACCAAAUUUCUUCAAAAGCUGAAGAACCGAACCGAACGUUUCGGUUACACAGAAUGCCAAGCUCUCCAAACACCUCCACUUUCUCCCAGUUGAACAUGUGAUAUUUCUUACACCGAGUCUUCUUGCCAAAGCAAUCUUCUCCCAAAACAAUCAAAUAUUUUAUUUACUCCCUUUGGCAAGCCAUAAAAGUAAAGCAUGCACAACGGUUUAUAUUUUCUAGACUACUUACUCUGGAGCAAAGCCCCGGUCCUUUAUUCAAAACCAAAUAGUAUGUACAGGGGUCAAGUAGUCAGCUACUAAGGGAGGCUGGCAAUCUAAGCCAGAAGAUUCGGCCUACCACAAGCCUUCACUCUAAAAGAAAGAAGGGUUAUAUCUUGUACAAAUUUACAACACCAUGAGCCAAAAGUGGCAUAGCUCUAAAUGUCCUUCCAUUUAUAACAAUCCAGAUAUUCCAAUUCCAAGCAGAGUCGGCAUAACCUCGAAGAAAGGAAGAUCAAACCUCAUGUUUGCCCCGGCAAUGCAUGGUCUGAUCUCAGACCCAUGUGGUUGAACUAGCGGGAGAGAAGAGAUGAAGUCUGUAACACAUUACACAUUGGUUAAUUGCUCAAAGAAGCAGUGAGCAAAGAGAACAUGCCUCCAAUGGAUACUAAUUUUCCUUGCGAAUAUUCUAAUCUCACAAAUACACGCCAUCAUUAUUGUAGAUUUAUGGAUGGUUGAGCCUUUGAAGGCAGAAUCCAACAACAAAUAACAUAAGUUUUUCCUCGACAUUUGCUUUUGCCCCUCAAUUUUAUUUUAUUUUAUUAAAAAAGGAGGAUUACCCCCGGCCUCUGCAUCAGAAUGAUGUACAUCAUCUAUACUAAUUCAACAUUAGAAAACAAGCACAAGGCCUCACUUUAUAUAGAUCGACGAGCUCCACAAGAACACGAUUAUUGAAUACAAAGGUUCAGCAAGCAAAAGGGAAAUAGUUCGGGCUGGGCAACAGCUUGCACAGGUAAUCUCGACAUAAAGAGAAAGAAAACAAGCUACGGAGCCGGGAGCUGCUGGCGAGCCACACCCUCGGCAGGCCAAGAAGGAGCCCAUCCAAUCCGCCGUGAUCCCGACGCCAAGCCAAGCGAGCAUCCGCCAUUACAGAAUCGAUCGAGGCUACUAAUUCAACAUCCUCGACAGUGAACUGAAACUGCCACAUCAUCCCUUCAUUUUAUUGCACCCAUCCGAUUAUUAAUUUCUUCAAACUAACUGCAUGCCAUGCAUCCAGCAUUGGAUUAUUUGUUCGAACAUAGCACCACUUCUCCAUCAUACGGAAACGGAGGCAGUCACGGUUGCGUUGUUAUUGGUAGUCUUAAGCAAGGGUUUUGGGACGGAGUUGAACUUGGCGAACCACUUGGCCGACUUCUUGAGCUUGCGCUUGUUGCCGUCCUUCUUGUCGAUGUAGACCAGGCCGAAUCGUGAGCUGUAGCCCAGGCUCCAUUCGAAGUUGUCGAUCAGACCCCACGUGAAGUGGCCCCGCACAUCCGCGCCCUGGCUGAAAGCACAGAUACAUACAUGAAAGCGCGCUUAGCAAGAAUUCAACAAUGUGUCUGUGUGUAUGUAUACACAUUUGAGUAAUCAGUGUGCCAUUAGGGUAUGUAUGUAUGUAUGUGGGUAAGAGUACAAAAUAAGUGAAAAAAAGAGGCAGGGUUUUAGCGUCUGUAGUUACUCUAUUGCGUCCUUGACGGCUGAGAUGUGACGCUGGAGGUAGUCUAGCCUCUUCCAGUCAUCCAAAGGAUCUCUCAUGGUUGGGUCGCUGUCCACAUCAGCGAUUCCUGCACACACACAAAUUAAGAAGUAAUCCAUCACACUUUCUUCAAAAAAAACCUCCCAUGAACCAUUACAUCAUAUCCAUGGAUUAGGUUCUUGUCUGAUUUAAGGGAACUAGUACCAGUUGAGCACAAAGAUUGCUUACACAUUAGUGUGUGUCAAUCUUCAUGAGGAUUAGUGUAAUGACGUCAGAUUUUCAACUAGUUACUUUUGAUGUCACUUUUGAUGUAAUUAGGGGAUCAUGGAAAUUUAACUAGUUACUUUUGAUGUCAGAUUUUCAACCUUUUUAUUAACUAAAAACUAGUACCUAAGCAACCCCUUGACAAAAGGUUUACAGAUUUGCUGUAGGUCAACUAAAGUUUGAUAUGAACCGAUGAUUGAUCAUUGGAUUACUACAAAAUCCAAUGCUACACACACACACACACACACACACACACACACAAAUGUCACUACUUACCAUUCUCAGUGAUGAAGAUGGGUGGGUUUCCGUAUUUCUCCUUCAUGAUCAGAAGGAGGUCUGUUAGGCCUUUUUGGUACAUGUAAAUCCAAUAAGUCCCUGUCUGCAAAUGGGUGUCCAAACUUUUAAUUAAUAACGAGAAAAAACUUCAGAUUUGUUUAAGCUUUACUUCAGAAACAAAGCAUUAUCAUGUCUAUGCCACUUAACCUUUUUGUUCAAAAGUUUAACUAGAGUCCUGGCUGACUAGUUCUACCGUAAGAAUUUGGUGAAAAUAAUCUACAUUAUCACUAUCAUCAUAUAUGUCGUAUGCAAAAUUAACCAGGUAGUAGGAAGAUACAUACUAUAGGACCGAUGUCAUUCCCAUCACUCCCUUUAGCUGCUCGAAGAGAAGAAAAAGGUGCAGGAUUAGCAUGAGGACAUGAAAUUUCUCAAAGGAUCUGUAAAGUACUAAGGUUUGUCCUCAACCAUAUUUUCUUACUUUCUGAACUGGCGUAAGCGUCGUCGGUGUUCAGCUUUGGCGUAAAGUCUGAUGAAAUGUCAACAUGCUUGGAGAACCUGGAGGUGUAAUAGUUGAGCCCCAUGAUGUCACAUGAGGACGCUAGCUUCUCCUGCUCCUCCUUAGUGAACAUGGGUAGACGAUGUCCAAUCAGUGAUCUCAUGGAGAAGGGGUAGUCACCACGAACAACUGGCUCCAGGAACCAUCCGAGGUUGUAGUCGAUGGAUCUUUCCCGGGCCUGGUCGUCGAGGAAGGAGUCUUGGAAUGGCUCGUAACCCAUUACAUCAAAGGCCAUCCCUAUCUUGGAAUCCCCAUGCUGCAGUUGGUCCAUCAAUAUAACUAAAUUAAAUACACAAAUACAUACGACUAGUUGUUGCUUGUUUAUUAGAUAAUGUAGAUGUCUCUCUUUGUGUAUGUACCUUGUUGUAACAAGCUUUGAACAGCUCAACAGCCUCAGCAUGAGCUAAGAGGAUGUGGUGACCAGCAGUGUAUGGCUCUCUGAGCGAGUCUCCUUUUGGGACGGCACAAUCCAUCCCUGGCGAGCACCUCCCAGGAGCAUGAAUCCCCUCACCAUAGGAGAAACAACAAUAUGUAUGUGGCUUGUUAAAGGUGAACCAGUUCUUCACCCUGUCGCCGAAGUUCUUAAAGCACACCUCGGCGAAUUGUUUGUAAUCAUCUCUGGAAAAAAAAACCAAACCCGAGCGAUGUUCAACAAAAUUGUUUCUUAGCUUAACAAUAAGUACUCCCUCCGUUCGGAAAUACUUGUCAUUAAAAUGAAUAAAAGGGGAUGUAUCUAGAUGUAUAUUAGUUUUAGAUACAUUCCUUUUUAUCCAUUUUGAUGACAAGUAUUUCCGGACGGAGGGAGUAGUUAUGUUAGUUUACUGAUGCAUCAUUGAAUGACAGUACAACAUUGUUUGUGUUCUGAAAAGAAACGUUUUUCUACUCAUGGUCCAAUAAUGGCCUUCCUCCAAUCGAAUUUAACAAUAUUAUAGUUCGUAGUUUUUAUACAUAUUGUAAUUGCAAUUACUGAUCUUUCUUUAGACCAUUUUCUUACAAAUCAAUUUUCUUUUGUUUGCUGCAUACUUACACAAUCUGCCUAUUUAAGAAGCUGCCGUACUUGUCCUCCAGUGCUUGAGGAGUGUCCCAGUGCCAAAUUGUAACAUAUGGCACUAUGUCUGAGUUUCAAAAAACAAAUAAUUAUUUGUGCAAGCCCUUGCGAGUCUGACUCAUUAAGCACUAAUCAAACAAAGAAGAAAAUGGUUUUCACCGUUAUCUAUCAGCGAGUUGAUCAGCUUAUUGUAGUAGUCGAUGCCUGCCUGGUUUACUUUUCCCGUCCCAUCUGAAAGCCAUAGUAAACAUGUGCUGAAAUUAGGACCCAAAUAUUAUAACAAGUCUUAUUGGCUGCGUCUAAUUUGUAGAGGACAUCUUUAUUGUUCCUAACUUAUUCACCAUACAAAAUAUACAUGGUUAUUUUGUAUUUACCUGGCAGUAUUCUGGACCAAGCGAUGGAGAACCUAUACACUUUCAUGCCCAUGUCCUUCAGCGCUUUGACAUCCUCCUGUCAGCCAUAAAUGAUGACAUGAAUAAUGAUGACAACGUAUUGUCAUGCAUAUCUUUAUUUUUAUUAGAAGUGCAUAUUCCAAAUGGUUUUUCCAAAAAAAAAAAUGCAACGACAUAACAUCAAUGCUGUCAUAAGAUUUGUUAGAUUUUUGUUUGGAAAAACCAUUGGUCCCGUCGGAGUACUUACUUCAUAUAGAUGGUAGGAGUUUGCUGCAACGUCCCCAUUGGUCUUGUCGGAUAUGCGCUCUGUUCGUAUAUAUACACAUAAAAUGAAGGAGAAGGACGCACGAAAGAAUAAUAUGAUAUAUAUGUUUAUUACACUCAAAAGGUAUAUGUUACCAGGAUAUGUGUGGCAGAAGUGGUCCCAAGUGCUUGGCCCCUUGCCAUCUUCAUUCCAAGCACCUUCAAUCUAAACGGAUGACGACAUAUAUAACAUUUUGUGCAAUCGAACAACCCACUAAACAUGCAUUUUGACAUCAUGUUUUCCCUUAGGUAUUUGUUAUCAUUGAAACAGUUGACACCAUUAUUUUCUUUUAAAUUAACAGAUAUACGGUUGUGCAAGAAAAUAAUUAGUACCUGGUACGCUGAAGUGGAGGCACCAAAGAGGAAGUCCUUGUUGAACCAGUCCCUUUUAGGGAUUUGCCGGGGCUUGAGCUUAGUGAACACAGGCCCAAUGGGCUCUGCUGGCUUUGAUGGUGUGCCUGCCCUGAUGGUGAGGUUACAAUGUUAGAGUUAUAAUAUAAGUCAUGUACCCCUUUGUAUUUAUCCCGUUGUAUAAACGGUUUCCUGCAUAUGUUCCACACCUGUACAUGUAUAUAUAUCGGCCUAUGGCCUCAUGGGAAUACAAGUUGCAUAUUUCCUAACAUGGUAUUAGAGCUAGGUCAAUUUUUUGCACGCUGCAACUCGUGCGAUUGAUCCAUCUGAUCGAUUUCCACCUGAUCGAUCUCCAACCGAACCGGGCCGCUCGAAGCUCAUCCUUCUCGAUCGAAACAGGGCCCCGCCCCGCAGGUCUUCGGCCCCGAUCUCCUCCCGCUUCCGUCCGGCCCGGAUCUCCUGCUGCUCUCGUCCGGCUGCCCCUCCCGUCCGGCCCCGGUCCCGUUCGUCCCCGGGUGCUGUCGAUCCGGCUGGAUCGCACCUCCAGCCAGUACUGCCUCCAGCCCGAUCGUCCUACUUCCGCUUGCCGUUGGUGUCCCAGCCGGCCCCAAGCAAUGAAGGUCCUCCCUCCAGCCGGCCCCAAGCAACGCAGGUCCUCCCUCCAGCCGGCCCCGCCUGCCCAGGACUCCCGCAGCCCUGCUCCAGCCGGCCCCGCCUGCUCUCUCUCGUCAGAUUCCACAAAAAAUGUCUGCUGCAUCGGGCUAUGUUGCUGUCCCUCGCUAUCCGGUGAUCUUUCAUGGUACUAACUACACCGAGUUCACUGGCUUUAUGCGCAUUCACAUGCGUGGCAUCCGUCUCUGGGGUGUUCUUUCUGGCGAGGUCUGCUGUCCGCCGCGUCCGGUUCCUCCAGUUGCCCCUACUCCGCCGACUCCACUGGUUCUUUCUACGGAUGCUAAUCAGGCCGCCAAGGAUGCGGCUAAGCUUGCUGAUGAGGCUGCUGAUCGUGCUUAUGAUGAGAGGGUUUUGGCUUAUGAGGAGGCUCUUCAGACGUAUCAUGGUGCUUUGUCUGUUUACAUCCAGUGGCUUGAUGAUGAUGCUCGUGCUGCAGCUGUUCUCACUGCUAGUGUUCUGCCUCAGUUUGCUUCUGAGAUUCUGGGUCUUCCUACUGUCUUUUAGAUGUGACCUGUCUUCGUCAGCGCUAUGAGCCCUCUGGUGAUGUCUUAUACCUUUCUGUGGUUCGUCAGGAGCAUGCUCUUCAGCAGGGUGACUCUACUGUUGAUGAUUUCUAUCGACAGAGUUCUGCUAUCUGGCACCAACUUGAUUCUCUCCACAGUGCUGGUUGUCGUACUUGCCCCUGUUGCCAGGCUGUCCAGGCUAAUUUGAAGUUUCAUCGCGUCUAUGAGUUCCUGUCUCGGCUCCCUAAGGAGUUUGAGCCCCGGCGUGCUCAGUUGUUUGCUCGUGGCCGUAUUUCUCUCAUGGAGGCGCUUUCAGAGAUACGUGCUGAGGAGACUCGCUUACGUGGUGCUGGUUUGCUGGAGGUUCCCUCUGUGCUCGCUACUCGGGCUUCUUCCACUCCACCUGCUGCACCAACCCCUUCUCGCUCGAGUGCUCCGCCGCUCUUGCCCACUCCUUCUGGAGGCUCAGGUGGCCCCCGUCCACAUUGUGACUACUGCAACAAUGAUGGUCAUAUUGAGUCCUAGUGCUACACGAAGCGGAAACACCUGCGCAAGGCACGAUCAUCAUCUUCAGGGACUUCGGCAUCUCCCUCGGCAGCUUCAGCCAUUGCUUUGACAGAGCAGGAUAUUCUAAGACUUAAGCGUCUGCUCGCGGCUUCAGGUUCUUCCUCGAUGGGUACUGCUGGUUCUGUGACUGAUGCUUUCCGCACUGAGCAACCAACCUCUACACAGUCAGGUACAUCCCCAUGGGUUCUGGACUAUGGAGCUUCUUUUCAUAUGUCUUCUCAUUCUUCCACUAUGACGCCCGGGUAGUCAAGCUACAGUAACCCUAUGGUAAUGAUGCCAUGUCACCACGAUUACCGUUGAUAAUCUUGUAUUAGUUCAGAACCGAUCCAUAUUCAAAUUUGAAUUAAAGUCAAACAAUAAAAGUUUUCAAUUGUCAAAUCUAAAAUGUUCAAAUUGCAGAAAAUAAAUCAUAGAUGAUUAUGGUGGAGAAACCGCACCUAUAUAUAAUGUUUAAGUACUACAAGAUGAAUAAAACAGUAGCAAAAACAAUUAUUUAAAUUCCUUUUGUAAUUAAUAAAAUUUCAAACUAAUUUAUCUGAGGACUAGACCUUUUGUGACUAUGGACUAAGCUGAAAUACUAAUUUAGAUAAUAAGUGUAUAUUUUACCAAAACUAAGAAAAAAUAGGAAACAAAACUAAAUCAAAAAAAGGUGAAAUAAAUAAAAAAAAGGGUGAAACCAAAACAAAACANNNNNNNNNNNNNNNNNNNNNNNNNNNNNNNNNNNNNNNNNNNNNNNNNNNNNNNNNNNNNNNNNNNNNNNNNNNNNNNNNNNNNNNNNNNNNNNNNNNNNNNNNNNNNNNNNNNNNNNNNNNNNNNNNNNNNNNNNNNNNNNNNNNNNNNNNNNNNNNNNNNNNNNNNNNNNNNNNNNNNNNNNNNNNNNNNNNNNNNNNNNNNNNNNNNNNNNNNNNNNNNNNNNNNNNNNNNNNNNNNNNNNNNNNNNNNNNNNNNNNNNNNNNNNNNNNNNNNNNNNNNNNNNNNNNNNNNNNNNNNNNNNNNNNNNNNNNNNNNNNNNNNNNNNNNNNNNNNNNNNNNNNNNNNNNNNNNNNNNNNNNNNNNNNNNNNNNNNNNNNNNNNNNNNNNNNNNNNNNNNNNNNNNNNNNNNNNNNNNNNNNNNNNNNNNNNNNNNNNNNNNNNNNNNNNNNNNNNNNNNNNNNNNNNNNNNNNNNNNNNNNNNNNNNNNNNNNNNNNNNNNNNNNNNNNNNNNNNNNNNNNNNNNNNNNNNNNNNNNNNNNNNNNNNNNNNNNNNNNNNNNNNNNNNNNNNNNNGAUCCACCUCGUCUCCCCACCUCGCCCCGAGUGAAUCUGGAUCGGGGCAACCGACGCCCCCGACCCCGCCCGUCGCACGCCCUGUCGCGCCUCCAUCCUCCUCCACGGCGUCACCUCACCGGCGCCGCUUCGCCACCGGAUCGCCACGUCUCCCCCACCUCUGCUUCGCCAGGACCGCCACUGCGCUCCCCCGUCCUCCUCUAGACCCCGCCGCCCCGAUGCCGUGCCGUCGUCCAUCGCCCUCGACGCGCCACCUCGCCGCAUUCGACCUCGUCUUUGCCCACGGCCACCGCAUGACCUCACGGUCGAUCUACUUCGCCGGAGCCUCCCCACCGGUCCGCCUCCUCGCCGCACGUCGUCCCUGACGACCUCCUCGACCCUCGCUGCCCGAAUCCCUACCGCCCCUGUGAGCUCCCCCUCUCCCUCUCCUCGUCGAACCUCGCGCUCGUCGCGCUCCCACUCGCCCCGUGCCCCGCUUCCACCUCUAGCCCUGUGGGCUACCGCCGUUUCGGCGGCCAGCUCCAGCGCCCGCCGCGCACUCUCUCCUCCUCGCUGCCGUCCUGUUCGUCCACCACGCCAGCCACAGCCCCCUGCUCUGCUCGGCCGCGACCGUUGCGCCCGCUGCACCCGCCACCACCUUCGGCGUCCAGCGCCGGCGUCACACCGGCUCCCUNNNNNNNNNNNNNNNNNNNNNNNNNNNNNNNNNNNNNNNNNNNNNNNNNNNNNNNNNNNNNNNNNNNNNNNNNNNNNNNNNNNNNNNNNNNNNNNNNNNNNNNNNNNNNNNNNNNNNNNNNNNNNNNNNNNNNNNNNNNNNNNNNNNNNNNNNNNNNNNNNNNNNNNNNNNNNNNNNNNNNNNNNNNNNNNNNNNNNNNNNNNNNNNNNNNNNNNNNNNNNNNNNNNNNNNNNNNNNNNNNNNNNNNNNNNNNNNNNNNNNNNNNNNNCGCCCCGAUUCGCCCGUCGCCCGCUAAGCCACUGGGCCCAUGACAUGAGGGCCCCACGCCCCCUGAACGUUUUAAAAAAAGAAGAAUUAAAAAUAAAUAGAUAAAUAAGUAAAUACAAAUAUUAAUUAAUUAAUUAAUUAACUUAAUGAAAUCCUGAUUAGUUAACUAGUUAAAUUUACUUAACCUGCUAAUUAAACUAAGUAAUUGUUAAUUAGUUAUUAGUCUAUGGCAGAAUGGACUCGCGCGUCAGUUUGACCAGUCAACACCUCGGUUGACUGCUGACGUCAUGAUGACGUCAGCAUACACUAUUCUGGAUGGAAAAACUUAGUACAUGAAAGUUGCUCAGAACAACGAGACGAAUCCAGAUACGCAGCCCGUUCAUCCGCCACACAUCCUAGCAUAGCAAACACGCAACUUUCUUCCUCCGGUUCAUCUGUCCGAAAACGCGGAACACCGGGGAUACUUUCCUGGAUGUUUCCCCCUUCGCCAGUAUUACCUCCUACUGCCUUAGGUCACCUCUAGCACCGCGUAUUGCCGCGUCUCGCUUUGUGAUGCUUUGAUUGCUCUGUUAUUUAUUGUGUUCCCCCUCCGUUACUUCUUUCUGGUAGACCCCGAGACUACCGGCGACCCCAGUUCGACUACGGAGUUGAUGACCCUACUUGCUAGAGCAACCAGGCAAGCCUCCCCCCUGAUCACCAGAUAUCGCCUAUUCUUCUCUAUACUGCUUGCAUUAGAGUAGUGUAGCAUGUUACUGUACGGUUACUCCUAUUCUGUUGCAUAGCCUGUCAUUGUUGCUACAGUCGUUGAUACAUUACCCGCAAUCCUAAAUGCUUAGUAUAGGAUGCUAGUUAUCAUCAUUGGCCCUACAUUCUUGUCAGUCUGCCUUGCUAUACUCUCGGGCCGUGAUCACUUGGGAGGUGAUCACGGGUAAAUACUAUACAUAUAUACAUACUAUACAGAUGGUGACUAAAGUCGGGUCAGCUCAUUGAGUACUUGCAAGUGAUUCCGAUGUGGGGGCUGGAAGGACAGGUGGCUCCAUCCCGGUAGAGGUGGGCCUAGGUUCCCGACGGCCCCCAAUUGUUACCGCGUAUUGCGACAGGGCGGGUUGAGACCACCUAGGCAAGAGGUGGGCCUGGCCUUGGUCGGUGUUCGCGGUUACUUCAUAAUAACAGGCUUAACGAGAUCUUGGUAUUUGAUCUGAGUCUGGCCAUUGGCCUAUACACAGUAACCAACUACGCGGGGAAGAUAUGGGCACUCGACGUCGUGGUAUCAGCCGAAGCCUUCGUGACGUCAGCGACUGAGCGGCGCGCGCCGGGUUGGACUGCGUUAACGCAACAUCCUUUGUAAUGGAGGUUGCUAGGUCGGCUUCCGGCCGCCCACGCAACGUGCAGGUGUGCAAUGUGCGAUGGUCCCAGACCCCUGCGCGCAUAGGAUUUAGACCAGCGUGCUGACCACUCUGUUGUGCCUAGGUGGGGCUGUGACGUGUUGAUCUUCCGAGGCCGGGCAUGACCCAGGAAAGUGUGUCCGGCCAAAUGGGAUCGAGCGUGUUGGGUUAUGUGGUGCACCCCUGCAGGGAAGUUUAUCUAUUCGAAUAGCCGUGUCCCUCGGUAAAAGGACGACCCGGAGUUGUACCUUGACCUUAUGACAACUAGAACCGGAUACUUAAUAAAACACACCCAGACAAGUUCCACAGACAAUCUGGUGAUCACUUUUCCACAGGGUGACGAGGGGAGGAUCGCCGGGUAGGAUUAUGCUAUGCGAUGCUACUUGGAGGACUUCAGUCUACUCUCUUCUACAUACUGCAAGACGGAGGCUGCCAGAAGCGUAGUCUUCGAUAAGACUAGCUAUCCCCCCUUAUUCUGGCAUUCUGCAGUUCAGUCCACCGAUAUUGCCACUACACAUAUACCCAUGCAUAUGUAGUGUAGCUCCUUGCUUGCGAGUACUUUGGAUGAGUACUCACGGUUGCUUUUCUCCCUCUUAUCCCCCCUCCCUUCUACCUGGUUGUUGCAACCAGAUGUCGGAGCCCAGGAGCCAGACGCCACCGUCGAUGACGACUCCUACUACACCGGAGGUGCCUACUACUACGUGCAGCCCGCUGACGAUGACCAGGAGUAGUUUAGGAGGAUCACAGGCAGGAGGCCUGCGCCUCUUUCGAUCUGUAUCCCAGUUUGUGCUAGCCAUCUUAUGGCACUUGUUUAACUUAUGUCUGUACUCAGAUAUUGUUGCUUCCUUUGACUCGUCUAUGAUCGAGCACUUGUAUUUGAGCCCUCGAGGCCCCUGGCUUGUAUUAUGAUGCUUGUAUGACUUAUUUUACUUUUAGAGUUGUGUUGUGAUAUCUUCCCGUGAAUCCCUGAUCUUGAUCGUACACAUUUGCGUGCAUGAUUAGUGUAUGAUUAAAUCGGGGGCGUCACAUCCACUUUGUCCUCUCUUCGAUCGCUGGAUUCUCCUGUUCAUGUUUUCACUACUUAUGGUACUCCACUUUCUGUUGCUAGUAGAGGCAAUCUUUCCACUCCUUAUUAUGUUCCUGAUGUUGCUCAUGUUCCUCGACUUACCAUGAAUCUGUUUUCUGCUGGUCAACUUACUGAUUCUGGUUGUCGCGUCAUCCUUGACGUUGACUCUUGUUCUGUCCAGAACCGUCGCACGCACAGUUUGGUUGGGGCUGGCCCUCGCCGUCGUAAUUCUCAGGGUCUUUGGGACUUGGACUGGCUUCAUGUUACUUCCGCUACCACCACCAUCGCCAGUUCCUCCGCUUCUGUCGCCUCCAUUACUGGUUCCUUCAAGCAGUGGCAUCAUCGACUUGGUCAUCUCUGUGGUUCUCGGUUGUCGUCUUUAGUUCAUCGAGGUCUUCUAGGGUCUGUCUCAGGAGAUUUCUCUUUAGAGUGUCAGGGUUGUCGUCUUGGCAAGCAGAUUCAGUUACCAUAUUCACAUAGUGAGGCAGUGUCUAAGCGUCCCUUCGAUUUAGUCCAUUCUGAUGUAUGGGGUCCGGCUCCUUUCGCUUCGAAAGGUGGUCAUAAAUACUAUAUUAUUUUCAUAGAUGAUUUUCUCUCGUUACACAUGGCUUUAUUUCAUGACUUCUCGUAGUGAGGUGUUGUCUAUUUAUAAGCAUUUUGCUGCCAUGGUUCAUACUCAGUUCUCUUCACCUAUUCGUGUCUUUCGUGCUGACUCCGCUGGCGAGUAUAUCUCUAAGAUGUUGCUUUGUGUUCUUGCUGAGCAAGGAACUCUCUCUCAAUUCUCUUGUCCUGGUGCUCAUGCUCAAAAUGGUGUGGCUGAGCAAAAGCAUCGACAUCUUCUUGAGACGGCUCGUGCAUUGAUGAUUGUUGCCUCUCUCCCGCCUCAUUUUUGGGCUGAGGCUGUCUCCACCUCCACCUAUUUUAUCAAUAUACAGCCUUCUGCUGCUCUAUAGGGUGGUGUUCCUUUCGAGCAUCUUUUUGAUCGUUCUCCCAAUUAUUCGAUGCUUCGUUUGUUUGGUUGUGUUUGCUAUGUUUUUCUUGCCCCUCGCGAAUGCACCAAACUGACCGCUCAGUCUGUUGAGUGUGUCUUCUUAGACUACAGUGAUGAGCAUAAGGGCUAUCGUUGUUGGGAUCCUAUCGGUCGUCGGAUGCAUAUCUCUUGAGACGUGACUUUUGAUGAGUCUCGUCGCUUCUACCCACGCCCAUCUUCAUCGACUCUUUCAGUGGAGGAUAUUUCUUUCCUCACUUUUCCUGACUCACCUAUCACCCCCGUCGAGCCUGUGCCUAUUCGUUCCACUCCUUCUGCUUUCUCCACCUCUAGUUGAUUUGCAGCCACCAUCUUCCCCGGUCUCCUCGCCUAGCAUGUCACCGGAUUCUACACCUUCAUCUCCGGUGACUUCUUCGUCGCCACCCCUCGAUUCUCCCUUGGCGAUUCCUCCUUCUAUUGUUCCCUCUUUUCCUCAGCAAUACACUCGUCGUUCCCGACCUGUGGAUGCCUCUAUGGAUGAGUUGUCAUCUUCCUCUCAGCCUACUUAUGGCUUGCGUUCUCGUCCUCGUCCUCCUGUUGAUCGCUUUGGAUUUCCCACCGCUGGUGCUGCUGUUCUUGAGCCGACUUCUUAUCGUCAGGCUGUUGUUCAUCCUGAAUGGCAGUUUGCGAUGGCAGAGAAGAUUGCUGCUCUUGAACGCACUGGUACCUGGGAUCUUGUUUCUCUUCCUCCCGGAGUCCGUCCCAUCACUUGUAAGUGGGUCUACAAGGUUACGACUCGCUUCGAUGGUUCUCUUGAGCGUCACAAAGCUCGUCUUGUGGCUCGUGGUUUUUAGCAAGAGCAUGGUCAUGAUUAUGACGAGACUUUUGCUCCUGUGGCCCAUAUGACCACUGUUCAUACACUUCUUGUUGUUGCUUCUGCACACCACUGGUCUAUAUCUCAGCUUGAUGUUAAGAAUGCCUUUCUUAAUGGUGAGCUGCGUGAGGAGGUGUACAUGCAGCCACCACCUGUGUAUUCUGUUCCUGAUGGCAUGGUAUGUCGUCUUCGUCGCUCUCUCUAUGGCCUUAAGCAAGCCCCCCGCGCCUGGUUUGAGCGUUUUGCCUCUGUGGUCACUGACGCUGGUUUUUCAGCAAGUGCUCAUGAUCCAACAUUGUUUAUUCACCUUUCUCCUCGUGGUCGGACUCUUCUUCUUCUCUAUGUUGAUGACAUGAUCAUCACUAGGGAUGACCCCGAGUAUAUUGCCUUUGUAAAGGCCCGUCUUAGUGAGCAGUUUCUUAUGUCUGUUCUUGGACCUCUUCGCUACUCUCUUGGGAUGGAAGUCUCUUCUUCCUCUGAUGGCUUUUUUAUAUCCCAGGAAAAGUAUAUCUAGGAUCUUCUUGCUCGUGUUGUUCUUACUGACGAGCGCAUUGUUGAGACUCCUAUGGAGCUCAAUGUUCACCUCCGUGCUACUGAUGGUGAUCCUCUCCCUGACCGGACGCGUUAUCGUCAUCUUGUUGGCAGUCUUGUCUAUCUAGCUGUCACUCGUCCGGACCUCUCUUAUCCGGUUCAUAUUCUGAGUCAGUUUGUCUCUGCUCCCACAUCGGUUCACUAUAGUCAUCUCCUUCGUGUUCUCCAAUAUCUUCGGGGCACGAUCUCUCACCGUCUAUUCUUUCCUUGCUCCAGUUCUUUACAGCUUCAGACCUAUUCGGAUGCUACGUGGGCUAGUGAUCCUUCAGAACCGUUCACUUUGUGCUUACUGUGUUUUUCUUGGUGGUUCUCUCAUUGCCUGGAAGACAAAGAAACAGAUUGCAGUUUCCCGUUCGAGUGCCGAGGCUGAGUUGCGAGCAAUGGCUCUUUUGACGACAGAGGUGACUUGGUUACGGUGGUUACUUUAGGAUUUGGGUGUUUCUGUCACUACACCAACUCUGCUCUUAUCUGACAGUACAGGUGCUAUUAGCAUUGCGCGGGAUCCUGUGAAGCAUGAGCUCACCAAGCAUAUUGGUGUUGAUGCUUUUUAUGUGCGCGCUGGUGUGCAGUAUCAGGUUAUUGCUCUUCAGUAUGUGCCUUCCGAGUUACAGUUGGCGGAUUUCCUGACGAAGGCCCAGACUAGAGCACAACAUGGUUUUUAUCUCUCCAAACUCAAUGUUGUUCAUCCACCAUAAGUUUGAGGGGGGUGUUAGAGUUAUAAUAUAAGUCAUAUACCCCUUUGUAUUUAUCCCGUUGUAUAAGGGGUUUCCUGCAUAUGUUCUACACAUGUACAUGUAUAUAUAUCGGCCUAUGGCCUCAUGGGAAUACAAGUUGCAUAUUUCCUAACAACAGAACCUUCCCUUGCUCUUCUGUGACGAAGCAGCAGACCGGAGCCAUAGGUUCUCACUGUUGUGUCCUGCACGGGGCUAAGGUGGGUGGUGGGAUUCAGGGUAGCAGCAGUAAGUAGAGCCAUCUCUUGCUAGCAGCUGCCUGAAAGUGUUGUGGGCAGCUUGAGGAGUGAGUUCCCUUGCAGGCUUAUGCAUCUAUUUAUAGAUGAGGAUGGAGAAUCUGUCAAGUGGGGCUGGUGGUGGGAUGAGAAUGAAGCUACGGCUAGAACCCUAAGACACAAGGCAGGGACGCCACUGAGUUGGCUAACCUGGUGGGAGCUCUUUGUAACUUACCACCAUGCAUUCCUGUAGCCCACAAAAAAAUUGGCAGAGGAGCUUAUCUCCAUGGGUCAAAUGCAACAAAAAAAAAGGUAGCGCUUUGUACAUAAAUUAAAGAGAACAGUGAAAAGUUGUACCUAUAGACAUUCGAAUGGCACACAUAUAAAUUUGAACACACUAAGUUAAAGAGAAAUGGCCAAACUCGGCUCUUUAAAUAUCAAUCUCUCUACCCGAAUCUGACAUGCUGAAAUUCUUCUUAUCUUAAGCUAAUUAACAGUAGUUUCAAAAUCUUAAGCAUGUAAUAUGUUCGGCAAUUGGUUUCGGGGUAUUGACAAACAAUUUUUUACACACAUUCUUGUGGGGCCGGGCGGCUACCUUAUGUUAGGCAGUGUGCCCUAUCAGGAAUGACCUGGUUUUUAAUAAUAAAUUUAUUUCAUAUCCUUUGCAGGUUAUUCAUGCAUGUAAGCGAUAGCUACGUACAUGGUCUAUCCUGCAGAGGCCAGAGGAUAGAAAUAUUUUUAUGGUGGCGCCUACCUGGCUAGAGCAUACGGCCAGGGAGGUUUCUCCAUUCAUGGAUGGUGGAGUAAUCUCCGGAUAGGAUCUACCCCACCUUAGGUUGGACUUUUUAUUAUUGUUGUAGAACAAUAUUUUAUUUUUGGUUGUGUUGGACGUGUUAGUUGUGUGCAUCGUGCUACGCUUAAGAUGAGCUUUCUUUUUAAUGUGGUUGUAUCACCUCGAUAAGUCAAUUGAAUGAAAUGUCCUUUAUUGAAAAAAAUGCUAAUUAAUGAUAGACAAAAGGCUUGACUUGACUCUACCUCCUAUAGAAAGUAAAUAAAGCAAAGUUGAUGGGUAUUGGGCCAUCUCUCGCUGAGCGUAUAUGGGCGGUGCAGGCGGAUCUGCAUAUUUGGGAUCGCGAUAUUCUUAAGGGACCGAAAAAAGAAUUUACAAACUAAAAAAAGAACUAGAAAGGCUGCGGAGGGGACCUAUGUGUGCGAAGUCUCAAGCGUGACAAAAGGAGAUUCUUGUCGUCAUUGAAACUCUGUCGGAACAAGAGGAGAUUUACUAGCUACAACGUGGUCGCGCAAACUGGCUAUUGCAUGGGGAUCGUAGCACCUCCUUUUUUCAUAAUGCGGCAACGGCCAGAAAGAAAAGAAAUCAGAUUAAAAAAUUGCUUGAUGAUAAUGGGCUAUGGGUGCAAGGUACAGAGAUGAAGAAUCACAUUACGUCAGAAGUUUCCCAUCCUAACUCGGAGGUUCUAUCUCUUGUCCAAUGAAAAGUGACCGAUGAAAUGAAUGAUGCUCUUCUAGCCCCCUAUACGGUCGAGGAGGUUCGAAAGGCCCUAUUUGAUAUUGGUGAUUUAAAAGCGCCAGGUCCCGUCGGCCUCCAUGCUAUUUUUUACAAAGUAUUUUGGUCUAUGUCGGGAGAUGACUUGACUGAAGAGGUUCUUCAAGCGGUAAAUACUUGUUCUAUACCAAAUGGGUGGAUGAUACUGCAAUUGUAAUGAUCCCAAAGAUUAACUCUCCUGAAAAGGUAACCCAAUUUAGACCAAUCAGCUUGUGCAAUGUGGUGUAUAAGGUUAUUUCAAAAAUUAUUGCUGCUCGUCUAAAGAUAAUCCUAUCAGAUAUUAUUAGCCCAACUCAGAGUGUCUUUGUGCCUGGAAGAUUGAUUACAGACAAUAUAUUGGUGGCAUAUGAAUGUUUCCAUACAAUAAAAAACAAAAGGGCGGGUAAAGAGGGUUUGUGUGCCAUCAAAUUAGAUAUGCACAAAGCAUAUAACCGAGUGGAGUGGUGUUUCUUAAAGGAAAUUAUGCGGAAGUUGGGUUUCAAAGAGAUUUGGGUGAACUUAAUUAUGAAAUGUGUAUCCUCUGUGGAGUACCGGGUCCAUAUUAAUGAUGAUGAGACGGAGAGUUUUAAACUAACUAGAGGAUUGAGGUAGGGAGAUCCCCUUUCUCCCUACUUAUUCUUGUUAUGUAAAAAGGGUUUGACCGCCCUUUUAGCUAAUGCGGAGGAGAAUGGAAACAUUUCCGGUAUAAAGGUAUGGGUCGUACCAAUGUUAAUCCUAUUUUGGGUAAGAUUUGGAAAUUAUCGUGUCCUGCAAAGGUAAAAAUAUUUAUCUGGCGAACGUUGCAUGGAACUCUACCGUGUCGUGUUACACUUGCCAAUAGACAUAUGAAAGUUUCGCCUCUUUGUCCAUCAUGCUCAAAUGGGCAAGAAGAUACAAAACACAUCUUGUUUUUGUGUCAGAAGGCAAAAGAGGUUUGGGGUAAGCUGGGGAUGUACGAGGUAAUUAAGAAAGCUUGUGUUAUUGAUCGUGCGGGUGAGCCGGUUAUUGAAUUCUUACUUCUUAUGACGCACCAAGAACUAUCUAUACGAGGUUGCCAGAAUGCAAGUGAAUUAAUCGCGAUAACCACUUGGUAUUUAUGCUGGGAGAGACGCAUGUUGGUUCAUGAAGGAAAGUCUCAAGAUUGGAACCAGAUUUUGAUGGGGGUUCGUGCUAUAACAACAAACUAUGUGAAUGCCCACUUCCCUAGUGCGACUAGUAGAAAAGAAGGAUGGAGCCGAUCUCCUAUGGGUUUUGUUAAACUAAAUGUUGAUGCUUCUUUUGACCAUGAUCUACUCAGGGGCACGACAGGUGCUGUAGUCAGAGAUGACAAAGAAAAAUUCAUUGUUGGCGGAAAUUAGAAGAUCGAUUGUUGUGCUGAUGUACUAACAGCAGAAGCGAUGGCUCUGAGGCUUGAUUUAAUUCUUGCACAAAAGGCGGGAUGCAAUCGUCUUAUUAUUAACUCUGAUAAUAUGGAAGUCAUUGACACAAUGAAAAAUGGAGGACAAUCGGCAGGAGUUGCGGCGGCGGUCUUCGAGGAUUGCUACUUCAUGGCAUGUGAUUUUCCGUUGACUAGAUUUGAACAUUGUAAUAGGAUAGCUAAUAAGGUUGCUCAUGAACAUGAUAGGCUAGCGAAAGUUUCUGUAACUAGAGAUUGGUUUGAGGAGCCUAUGGAGAAUAUUGCACCUCUUCUUAUAGACGACGUAACCAUUAGUUCCAAUUAAUAAAGUGCAUGUUUUCUUUAAAAAAAGAGUAAAAAGUAUAUAUGUUUAGCUUGGAAUCCAUCUCUACAUGCAAGUAUUAAGAUUUCAUAAACUUGUUUUUCAUAACUUUUAGUGCAUCAAUCCAUUAGCUUAACUUAGCAAUGUAACCAAUGCUAGCUCCGCCCCCGAUGAGAUCUAUUGUGUUUGCUAGAGAAAUACACACAUUUUGCAGUUCGAAAUUAUCUAAAGUAAGUAACCCUUAAUUGUAUAUAUCCCAUCAUACUACCCUAUAGAAGAAAGAAAAGACCCUAAAUCCACAUCAUUCAUUUAUCUGACAAGUAUUUCCAAACAGAGGGAGUACAUUAUCAGAAUAGUCUAGCCCCCUAAAUUUGCAUCUAAAUCAUGUGCCUAUCUCCACGUCCCCAUCUCUGUCAGAAAUAUGCCGACGAUUCCCUUCAAAAAAAAAAAGAAAUACGCCGACGAUGCUAAAAAAAACAGAGGCAUUUCCGGUGGCCUGUGGUGGUGACAUGCAUGAAUCCGAACAGUGGGCCUUUUCACCUUGUUGUUACUCACCGUCGUGGUCCGAACGCGUGGCUCGUGUAACGCGUGGCUCUUCCAUUUGUUAGUGCGGUCCAUACAUUCUGUGUGUGGUUGUGAGUUAAUUGUACAGAAGUAUCAAUUGAAGCAUCACAUAUAGAUUGGUAUCAAGAUUGCUAAUUUUUGCAUAUCAGUAUUAAGAUUGUGCCAGGCUGUUGCAAAUAGGUCUAAACUGCGUAUAAACGCGUAUUGACAGUGUAUCUGACUGUUGGGGCCCAUCUGUCAGGUGCCGAUGUGGCAUAUUUUUUGCAGAAAACCCCUUGCUUUAUACGUAAUCACAUAAAUACCAUUUUUUUGCGGAAAAAGUUAACGUGAGAGACUUGUAUUUUCGUUCGGACUUGUUUGGAAGUCGGCCCAACAAAUGUUACCGUCCAAUUCGACAAAUCUUUAUCUUUAUCUUUACCUAAUAUUAAAGGGAGGAUCGUUUCUCCACAUUUUUUGUCAUACCUAAUAUUAAAGGGAGGAGCGUUUCUCCACUUUUUUCGUCACUAGUAUAAAUGCCCGUGCGUUGCACCGGGCAAAAAAUGAAAUGUAACCUGCUUCACGUGCCAUUAUGCAACAUUUUUAUAAUCUAAUUUUCGCAAACAUCAGAAAUGAGGUUACACUGAGUAUUUUUUUUGUAUGAUGAAAUUUUGAAUAAGAAAUAAGGCUACAUGUGCACGGAUCUUCUAAGACUGCUCUGCGGCAAUGAACUGCACUUGUUGAAAGUCAGAGAAGAAACCAACGCCAGUCACCACAAAACUAUGGGGGUGAUAAUGGAAGCCACCCCCCCAACCAAAUCUUUGGAAUGUCAUCCAGCCUAACAGCAUCAUCAUGAAAGUUGCAAGUCCAGUUGCGGUAGAGAAAUCACCCAUGAAAGAUGAGUGCUCGUUUGGACUGGGGAACUGCCAAAAUGAAUAAGGAACCAUGAAAAGGUUAAAGGAGUACAAGGAAAGAAGAAAAACAAAAGCCGGAAAAAAUUACAUGUGCCUUGAGCUUCGAUUUCCAUGUGACUUACACAAAAUUGAUUAUAAUGCCAUAUGCAACAACUAAGGUAGCAAGGCCCCUCACAUAUUUUGAAGAGAUCAGAACUUUCAUACUCUCUUUCAUGCUAAGCUUAGGUUUGUUCUGUUGAAACAAUGGCUAUAUUCACAACUGUGGUGAUCUGAAAAUGAUUUAAUCAAAUCAACUUGAGCAAAAAGGGCUAUCAUUUGAUAAGAAAGCUGACCAAAGAUAAACUCAAAAUUCCAUAUGGCAGGCACAAUAAUGACAUGGACAAAUAAAGGCAUCACAAAGGUACCUCAAGGAAUUAGAACUGAAAGGUAAGGCUUGCGGCCAGUGACCGGAAGUAGAAUAUGCUUAACUUGGGACAGAGCAUUAAUCACUAAAGCACUUCCAGAUUCGUUCACUUCAGCCCUCACUGGUUACAAAGCAAAGGCAAACAAAUAUCAAACAGUGGUCUCAGCUCAACCAUCCAUCGUACCUCUUCAAACAUAAUCAGAAGUAAGGAUGUUCUUUGCAAGUUUGAUUAUGAAUCACCACAAAUUUCCCUGCUAAGAACAAAGUCAAGCAUGGUGAACAAUUCACUAACUUCGGUGCAGCAAAGGAAGGCCAAUACAUUGUCAGAAGCGCAACUACGCUUGGUCAGACACACAAUCAUUCAAACAUCACAUGAAAAUAUUAGCAUCAGCAACCUGAAACCACUGCACCUCGCUCCAAGUCAAAGCGAAGUAACUAAUCUUCAGUACACGUAGUGACAGCACAAAGAGACGACCAAGCAAUCGACGUACAAAUCUCAAGAAGACUUCAAGUCAGAGGCCGCCACCCACACGCCUCCGCAGGGAGCCCGGCCGGGGCCAGUGGACCAUGGCCAUAGGCACCACCGUCUGGGAGGAGCAGCGCUGGUGGCCGGUAGCACUGCCCCCGCGGUGUGUUCCGAAGGCCACGGCUGCGCCGUGGGCGCCGCCUCAAUUGCGGGCUGGUGCGCUUAAGAACGAGCCUUGCCGGCCAUGUGCCAUCGCCUCGCGGAGCGUCUUGGCCAAAAAUAUGAAACCUAAUGCUAUGCCCUGUUUAAAACUUUUUAUAAAGUAAAAAUAUUUCAAAAAAAAUAGACAUCACAAUUUUCCAUAUGUAUCACACACUAACGUUUAGACUUUGUAGUUUCUCUACAAAGAUUGACCACAUAUUCAAUACCAGUUGGUGAAAUAGGAACAUAUAGUUCUGCAUUUCCACUCUACACAAUGUUAUUUCUCCAAAAACGAAUCCAUUUUUAGAUCUUUGUCAUAUUUCUGAACUUCAAAUUGCUCAUUGUUUGAAGUAUUCAACAGUCUAUACACAGUCAGGGCAAGAUUGGACAGAUGAUGCUAAAAUUGCAAGGGUAAGAAGAUGGACCAGACACCAGAUUAGUGGACAACCAUGGGAUGACCUCAUAAUUCAGAAGGGAGUCAGACUAAUACAUGAUCAGUCAGCCUUAAAUUCAGCAUUCAAGGUAGUAACAAUACCCUGAUACUACAGAUACGCUGAUAGCAGAGCAUGGUGUCCGUACCAAGUGGAACCAAACUUGUAGGCAAGUAAACCUAACACCAUAUCAUAAUAUGAGCACGGUGUCUUUUACACUGUUAUAUUGUUCUGUCUACUUGGGCUGGCCCAACAGAUGCUUACAAAGAUGUUGGAUAAAAUAAAUAAAAAAUGCUGGAUGAAAGCUAGAUGCAAAUGAGGUUAUACAUCAUCAACAAUUCACUGCUAUAGUUUAUUUAGAUUCACGGACAUGCUGUUUUUAUAUGUUCACUGGCAGAAUCUACGGGACUGUAUAUGCCAAUAUCUGUGCAACUGUCUCUUCGAGCCUUGGCGCAGUGGUAAAGCUGCUGUCUUGUGACCAUGAGGUCAUGGGUUCAAGUCCUGGAAACAGCCUCUUACAGAAAUGUAGGGAAAGGCUGCGUACUAUAGACCCAAAGUGGUCGGACCCUUCCCUGGACCCUGCGCAAGCGGGAGCUACAUGCACCAGGUUGCCCUUUUUUUUUGUCUCUUCAAAUUGCUAGCCUGCAGGUUGACAUGAUCAGCAAAACAUUCCUAGAGGUACGGAUCAGCAAUGUAGUAGCAAUCUAAUCAAGUUUGUGUCUAGCCCGUGGCGCCAACGACACCUCCCGUGCCACUGCCGGCCUUAGAAAUACCAAAGAAUUAUCACCCAACAACUAUUGUAUGCUUGAUUUUUAUUGCUUAUAGCAAAAUAAGGCCAAAUUUAAAUAACACUAAUUUUACUAUUUUCUAUGUUCUUUGACGACUCUUGGUGAUGAUCUAGAUUGUGUCUAACAAAUCAAAGUAAUUUACUUCACUCUGUUUUGCAAGUUUCAGUUUCUAUAGCAUGGCUUGCAUGCGUCAAGGCAACAUAGAGUAGUCAUGAAUGUAUUACCAAUCAUAUCAUUAUUAGUAAUGAUCUUUGUAUGAAUUAAUAUAGGCAUCUACCUUACUGAUACACUCAACAUAAGCAACUUGGUCCAAUGUUAUUUGGUUGAUCAUCCCAUUUUACAUAAUCCAAUCGAAGAACUGAAUUUUAUGGGCACAACUGUACUACGUGCGAAGAAUUGUACAUAAGCAGAUUUGGUAAAUGAAUACAGAGGCAUGCUCUCCAUGAAAAGUAGGAUCAAAAUAAUGCCCCCCCCCCCGCAAUCAAUAUAUAUUGUUGUACUUAGUAUAGUGAAUUUUGGGGACAUCAAUGGCUGGUUUCGACAUAGAUAUGUGCAAGAUUUUCACCUGCAAAUAACAAUGGGUUUCUAUAUCUGUCCAUCAGAGUGCAUCAUCUCCAAUAAUUAUCCAACAGACUGCUAAAAAGAUUAUUUGUCCAUAUGAUGGCUCUAGUCAGAUAUAUAUUCAGAUGUCAUACCAGUCGAUGCAAUAUAUGUACUCCGAAACUAAGCCUGGUGUUUGUACUGUUUAUUAGCCUACAGAUGUUCUCACGUACUCACAAGUAUCUAUGCAAGAUUGUGGUAGUGGGCAGUAGCAGCGGGCUAUGGGAAAGUUGUUUCAUCAAUGCGAAUGCGCACUCCUUAUUCCAGCUCUGAGGUUGGUGUUGACACAACUCCUGACAGAAAAAAAUCAUGAAAAUGUGUUAGACACACAACUGUUCAUGUCCUACCGAGCACGUCAACAUAUUGCCAAUUGGUGGGUGAAUACAAAGGUACAAACUGCAUGCAUAUUAAGAAUGACGUACAUUAUGGAAACUAUGGUAACAGCCAAUACUUUGUCGCCUCCCACUACAGGCUCCCUUGCAACGUUGGGCAUGACUCCAUAUAUUCUGUAACCGUAUAACUGAGGACACCGGUGCCCCCUUUAACGAUUUCCACUGCAACCACCACUUCACCAUCCCAGACCAAGCAGCAAAGGCCCAUGUUGUUUCCGCACAGAUCUUAGUAAAACAUGAAAGCGAUACUGAAAAGAUAUAAGGACAAAAGAGUUUUGAAUAUAAACGCUAGCCAGAUAGAUAAAACGCCAUGUGCAUCUACAAAUUUGUAUGGAGACUUGGAUAGGCAAUGCGUCGUCUUUACCUCUAAUAAAAAGCAUGUAGAGAUCAGUACAUGUUCACUUAGUAAAAUUAUAGGCCCUCUAAGCAUGUCUUCUCCGUAAUAAUUACACUAAAAGCUGUAAAUCUGCAAGGGCUCUCUUGCUGGCAGGAAGACUUUUAUGAGAAGCCAUUGAUCAGGACUGAAUUAUUCAACAUCCUCACUCAAAGAUUUUUCAUCAUUCCCAUGGGAUAAAUCAUGUAGUUCAAUCCAUCUCCUUUUAUUACUCAAUGGCCGUUAGGUAGUAUACAUCAUCUUCAUCCCCUAUCUAACCAGCCUGAAAGUUUACUACUGGAACACCACGAUACAACCAUAGAGCCUCGUAAUCUUAGCAUGGAGCCGACGACUGCGACAUGUAAGUUGCGACGGCAUCUCCGACCACUACACGCUGACAGCCUGCUCAUACUUGACCUUGCUUCUCGAUCACACAUGUAAGGAGCGGCCGUUUGCAAAUUCAGCAUGAUGUGGUGAAGCAAUUUGAAGAAGGAAGUAGUGUGCGUACGCAUCUGAAGAUGGUGGUGGCGUCGGGGCUGAUCUCAAGGUGGGCAAUGAUGGAGCGACAGAAGAUGUGGCUUGGGCUGGGCCUUGGCUUGAUGCCGGGACGACUGGGGCGGCGGCACAUGCGAUUGCUGCAAGCGAGCGGGACGAGCGUCGUCCUCGUGCAGACGCGGGCAAGGAUAGACAGCGCCGACGCUGUUGGUCGAGCGGGGCGGUGCUCCAGUGACGAGGAUGGCGGGGCCCGGUCGGAUCCGGCCGGAUCUGGACGGGACGGAUCCAUUUUCGGCGGAUUUGGCGUGCAGGCGGCCGGAUCCGGCGAGAUUAAGGGCUGGUGGCGCCAUGGCCCUUCUGGAGGUCCCUGUUCAGCGAGAAAGAGAGAAAGAGGUGAGAGGAGAUCGAGAGGAAGGAGGAGAGGGGCGAGGCGGCGGAGCGGACGGAGCUCCGGCGGUGAGGCGCGGCGGAGGUGUGGGGUCGCCGGCGAGGCGGCUUGCGGGGGCGAGGGGAGCUCGGGCAAGAUGGAGCUGCGGGAGGCAGAGCGGUCUGGUUCGGGCUGGGUUUCCAGCGUUAUUUUUGUAAAAGUGAAAUGUUAUAUAGAGACCCAGUAAAACAGGGACUGCGGAUUAAUUUCUUACAAACUGAGGGACUUUUAUGCAAAAUUGCUAACGGCGACGGACGAGAGAAACCCAAUUUUCGAAAGUAUGACGCCCCACAUAUUCUUAUUCCUUUGUCUCAAAAAAAACAUAUUCUUAUUCUUUUGUUUGUACCUUUUAUUUUUAUUUUUUUUCUCUUAUUUUUUUUAGUUUCCUUUUUCCUAUUUAGGUUUGUAAACUAUUCAUCGCACUUUAAAAAAAAUUAAAUCAUGUAUUUAAAAAAUGUUAAACAUGUAUAAAAAAAUAUUUUUGAUGUAUAGGAAAAAUGUACAGUGUGUAUGAAAAAAUAGUGAUCAAAACAUGUAUUUGAAGAAAAUGUUAAUCAUCUAUUAAAAUAAUAUUAAACACAAAUAAAUAGGUUUCACAUGUAUAUGAAAAUUGUACAAUAUGUAUGAAAAAAAAGGUCAUCAAAAUAUAUAUUUCACGCAAUUUUAACCAUGUAUUUAAAACAAACCUGUGUAAUCAAUAUUUCAUAUGUAUGCAAAAGAUAUACAAUAUGUAGAAAAAACUAGACAUCAAAACGUAUAUAUGAAAAGAUGUUAAUCAUAUAUUAUAAAAAUGUUAAACAUGUAUAAAAGUAUGUACAAUGUGUAUCACAAAAUGUAGACAUGUGUUGAAAGAAAGUAGGCAUGAAAGAUUUAUUUCAAAAUAAUGUAAUUAUUUAUUUGAAAAAUGUUAAACAUGUAUAAAGAAAUGUUCCUAAUAUAUACAAACAAAUGUAUAAUGUGUAAGAAAAAACAUAGACAGUAAAACCUAUAUUAAAAUAAUGUUAACCAUGUAUUUAAAAAAGGAUAAACAUAUGCAAUAAAAAUGUCCCUUAUGUAUAAGAGAAAUGUACAUUAUGCGUAAAAAAAGUAGACAAGUGUUGAAAAAAAAAUGAAAAAAAUGGGGAAAACCAACUCUACCCCAAGGGUUCAUGGAGCACAUGUUGAACCUCAAUCAUCCAUCUCUGAUCUGUCCUUGCCCCCAUGAAUCGCAUCGUCGCGGACAUCUUAUAUGCGUGCAGUGUGAUCAGACACCACCCUUACCGAAUUGAUUGCUAAUUGGUACAGGCAAUCACAACAUCUCGGCCUACCAUCAAUAUUGAUACUACUGUGUACCUCAUGCUAGAUGUCCAAAUACAAGCAGAUACGCUAAUUAUCGUGACAAUUUUCAUUUUUCAAUGAAAGUUCUCAUUGAUAAACUAGACAUAUGAAAUCGUUCACGAGUCAUGUCCAAGGCGGUAGCAUUAGAUAGGCAGGUGUGAACAUGUACAAAGUUAGGUCCAUUUAGAUGCCACCUCUUUUCACCCAUGCCUUAUUUCUCUCUGCUUCCCCCCAUUCUCGAGAUCCAGCGCCCAAGUUCUCAUCUUUUCCGCCCCCAAAAAACAAUUCAGCCAUAUCCAGAUCCGGAGCGCAUGGCAAGUGGAUGGUCUCCUCCGUUAAGGACAAGGACAUUACAAAGCUCUGGGAGGCCGGGUAUCUGGCCAAGGAAAUCGCCCACCGACUUCUGGCCGAGGGACAGAUCGUCCCCACUCCGGAACCCCAGGAGAGGGUCGUAUUCCUCUCUCACUUCAUUCGCGGGCUGGUAUUUCCUCUCCACCCCUUCAUCCACGGACUCAUGUACUACUACGGGUUAGAUUUCCAUGAUCUAUCCCCAAAUUCAUUCCUCAACAUAUCGGCAUUCAUCAUCGUGUGUGAGGCUUUCCUCCACAUCCCACCACACUUCGGAUUGUGGCUAAAGACCUUCAUGUGAAGCCGAAGGUGGUGGGCGGCCAACACGCAGAGUACGGAAGCUCCAUGGUGAGCAAGAUGCCUAACGUUACAUGGCCAUCAGGUACAUUUAUUGAGACCGUCAAAGGGUGGCAACAAUAGUGGUUCUAUGUCACUGAGCCGCGCGACACCACCUGGGUCGCAGCCCCCGAAUUCCAAUCUGGAGCUCCGAUGCGGCUCACCUCCUGGCCCGAGAAGGGUCUGGACGGGUCUUCGUCAGACGAGCUGACAGUGCUUCAGGAGCGCAUCAAGAGCAUGGUGGACAAGAACAUCAAGCUUGUCAACAUGAUCCAGGUGAUGCUAGCUUGCCGAAUACUUCCAUGCCAAAGUCGGACUUGCCAUCCAUGGGAGUUCGAUCCGGCCAAGCACCAGACACUACUGGAGUUCUUUGGCACUAUGCACGAAGACAUCUGGAAGGUGCUAUUCAAGUCAAGCAAGACAUGGCCGGACACGGCCGAGGAUCAUGGGCACAACUUGGCCCGUCCCGCUAGUCCGGUAAGCCUUUACAUGUUUUCAAGGUGUAUCCUUUACUUGCAUACUUGAGGAAAAUGCCUAAACUUCCCUACCGAUUCUCUCGGGGAUAGACAAAGAUGGCGGAGUAGAUUUACUGUCCGGCCCCGCUGCCGAAGACCCAGCAAUUCUACUUCUGACAAAGAUGCUGAUUCUGGCGCCCUAUAAAGCGCCGGAGAAGAAGGCCAAGAAGAAGGCCAAGGAGACCGAGGAGACCAGAAGCGGUCUCCGUCACAAGAGUGCUUCGGACAUGACGUCCGAAGACGCCGAGACUCACUCCUCCGCCUCCGAGGACGACAAGGAAGAGGAGGAAGAAGAAAGCCAUUCCCCUCCUGGGGGGGAGGAAGAAGAUGGCGGCCUCCACGCGUCUGGAGGCCGAAGCGUCCAAGAAGGGAAAAACUUCCUUCCUGGACAACUCCACAAUGGCCACCGACAGCAGCUUGGAAUGGUGCCCGAGGGUCAACCCCCUGGCCAAAUCGUGAGUACUCAAAAACCCAAACACAUUCAUAUAUCUGGCCUCUCUACUUUAUAGUCUUAACAUGUUAAGUUAUUCAUCUGCAGUCUGGCUCGGUCCGACCUUGAGCGGUCCUCGUCUUUGGGAGAUUCGCUGGACCUGGAGGCAAUGGACAGUGGGCCCUCCCGGCGGCCUCCUCUCCCAAGGCCAUGGAUGGUGCCGAGGCGCUGUCCUGAAGGAUCCCAGGCCAAGAAGAGACUCGGGAGGCCGUCAAGGCGGUGCCGGAGGGUGAAACCUCGGCCGCCAGACACAUGGAGGAGUAGAUCCCCAGGGAGACUGGCAAUGAGGGCCAUAUCCAAUUCGGUCCCCAGCCGAAUACGAUUCCGGAGAUCUAUACGGCUCCGGAAUCAGGCAAGCAGCCUCUUUCAAAAGAAGGAGGUGUGCCUAUUCCAUCGGUAUCCUCUGUCCAUCCGGAGGCACCGAAUCAUUUGCUGGAAGCGCUGCGAGGCGCUUCCAUUGUUGAGGAACACCGUAAACUUAUGGGUACGGUGGUUGAGAAGGUCCAGUCUACCAAGAGCGGACUGACCGAAGCCUGCACAAGCCUUCUAACAGGCUUUGAGGUAAGCAAAGAAAUUAUGUAAAAAGAAUGUCACAGUUUAGACAGUAGCCCCUUAGACGAUGUCCGGUGUUCGGAAAGAAAAGCCAAACAGAGGAUCAAAUAACUAUCGCAGGAGAACAAACUAACAUGUCUAUAUGUAUAAGCAGGCAUCAUUGCUGGUUGCAACCUGUCAUGCUACUAAGGUCUCCGGACUGAAGCAAAGUAUGGAGCGGACCGAGGGAGAGGUCGGCCAUGUGAAGAAACAGCUGGAGGAUAAUCAAGGUAUGCAAUAAUGCGAUAACCUUGUCCAUAUUUCAGGAAGGAUGAAUGUUUUGUACUGACUAAAGUGCCAUGACAUUUAUUAGGCGCGGCGACCAAGGUGGAGACCCUUAAGAAGGCGCUGGACGAGGCCGAGGAGAGAGCGGUGAAGGAAAAAGCCUCCCGUGAAAGGCAUGAGGCCAGGGUCGUUGAGGUCCAGCAGGAGAUCCAGGACGCCGUGAAGAGAUGUGAGUCCUUGGAGCGCGACAUUACAAAUCAAGAGACCGAACUGACCAAGGCUCGCCAAAGCGCACACGAUACCCGGGUUGAAGCCCAGGGCGCCCUCCAGGAAGUCCAGGAGGCAAGAAAAAUCACGGCGGGUAAGGCAUUCAUAAUGCAGAGCAAAUAUGUAAGAAAAGGUUCCUCUUAUUGACCCGAAUUUGGAGUUCUCCAGGGGCAUUCGCGGAUCUUCCGCGCAGCAUUUUAGAUGCUGCGGAGUUCUUCCGAGCCGAAGAGGGGAGCUCUACGGAGAAGUUGUUUUGGUCGCAAUAUCUUGCGCCAGAACAUCUGGUGCCCUUUAGCGACCAGUUAAAACAGUUGGUCGAACUGCAUAGGGUGGCCGAACUAGCCAUGAAGGAUUUAAUAAUCUGGCUAUGGCCUGCCGAAGUCAUACCCAGCAGCUACUUCGGGCUCAUGAAGCGGCUGGUCAAAGCCUGCCCUUGGCUUAAUGACAUCAAGCGGUCGGUCUGCAUCGAAGGCGCGCGAAUGGCCUUUGCACGAAUCAAGAUGCAUUGGGUCAAGAUGGACGCCGUGAAGCUUGUAACCGAGGGACCACCCGUGGGCAAGGAGCAACGCACGCCCGAGCUGUAUUUUGACAAUGUCCUGGAGGGGUCCCGCAUUGUAGCAGAGAAAUGUACGAAGGAUAUUAUCUUGGAGUGACUACAUUCAUGUUAUCCUGUCCUGUACAAUGAAACAGAAUCGCUAUGUAAUAUAAUGCCUGUUACUUUAAAAUUUUACCUCAUGUGUGGCCCUUUUGUUAAAUCUGAGAGUUGGCCAGUCAUCGGCUUCAGCCCCCACGUAGAAAGUACGGGGGUGUUCAGGAUGAAUCUAAACAUUCUUUACUCCAGAGUUUGGUCCUUCAAGGAGGUGUUUAGCGCGACGAACCAGGCAAUCAUACUAUAUGGCUUUAUCACUCUCACUUAGCCAUAGGAGUUUGACAAUAAAAAUUUAGGCACAACCCCUAGUAUUCGGACUUGGGGUACUGUAAAUACCUCAUCGGGUAAAAACCGAUUCGUCGUAUAAUGCGAAAAAAAUCGCAAAAGAUUUGUGACCUCUCAAACAACUGACCGGCUCAUGCCGCAUCAUGACAGUCAGUUUUCGGCUUUCUCUACUGAGGUGCUCAUCCGGAAUAAUCAGGACACAAUCGCAGUAGUUCUCCCUUUACUACCUUAGCCGAUAUAGCGGAAUGUAAGGUAGCAAGCACAGGAGCAGGGAAACCCAACUAUUGAGCAAAGACAUGAUUCGGAGCCAAUGCAUAUAAUACUAUAAGUUCGGGGUGCCGAACUAUACUUAAAAAAGCAUUCAGACUUUGUUGCCGUAUUGUGGGGCGUAAUGAAGCCCCUGGCGAAUUUAAAGUGUACCAAAGUGUACGGGUGCAUUCAAUAAGAAUAACGAAAUAAAAUGAAAAAGCAAGUUAAUGCCACAUAAGUUGGGCCGCGGACUAUUUUUAUCGUAAUUUCAUUGAUACGUCGAAGCAUAUUUGCAUAGAUAGUGUGUUAAACAAUAUAGCCGAUUAACCUGCCCAGACCAGGGGGAGCUGCAUGCGGUUCCCAAAGACAGGUUGAAUGAUCAUAGAAGAGAACAUCUAUAGAUUCCCUCGCGCGUCCAUACUACUUCCCGCCUUGGUAUGUGUAUAUCAUUCGAAAGGAUCGACAAUCAGGACACCAGGAAAACCUGGAAAAAAGAAACCUGAAAAGAAAAAAAAAGUAAAAGUAUGUGGGUCCACGGGAGGUUGAGCCGUAUUAGGGACCACAAUAAUGUUACGCUCCGUCUAUGCCCAUGGUAUUUUGUGUGCCUAGUUAUGUACGCCCGGUACGUAUGCCGCCAUUUGAUCGGGAUUGCGGCGGUGGCCAAAUUGCUUAUCGAGCUCUUGAUGAGCUGGGUUGUCCUUCUGCAGAGUAGUCCGGACUCGUUUGACGGUGUCCGGGAGCCUGGCCGCCGAAUUGAAGUUCUACUUGUUAAGGCUGCUCUGUAUCUCUGCUGCCAGCGCGGCGGUGUGCUCCUCAGUAUGAAGGGAGAGUUCUGUGUUUCCAUUGACUGUUAUAACACCGCGUGGUCUAGGCAUCUUAAGUUUGAGAUAAGCAUAGUGUGGCACCGCAUUGAAUCGGGCAAAUGCUGUUCGUCCGAGCAAUGCGUGAUAGCCACUGCGGAAGGGGAAGAUAUCGAAGAGCAACUCUUCGCUUCGGAAGUUAUUCGGGGAUCCAAAGACCACUUCCAGUGUGAUUGAGCCCGUACAGCGGGCCUCUACACCUGGUAUGACUCCUUUAAAGGUGGUUUUCGUGGGCUUGAUUCUUGAGGGAUCGAUGCCCAUUUUGCACACUGUAUCCGGAUAGAGCAGGUUCAGGCUGCUGCCACCGUCCAUGAGGACAUGUGUGAGAUGGAAUCCAACAAUGAUUGGACCAAGGAACAAUGUGGUUGAACCGCCAUGAUGGAUACUGUUCAGAUGGUCCCUGCGAUCGAAAGUGAUCGGGUAGAAUGACCGUGGGUUGAAUUUUGGGGCGACUGGCUCCAUCGCAUAGACAUCCCUGAGCGCGUGCAUGUGCUCCCCCUUGGGGAUAUGGGUAGCGUAUAUCAUGUUAACCGUUUUAACAUGGGGGGGGGGGACUUCUUCUGUCCCCCUGUGUUCGGUGGCCGGGGCUCCUCAUCAUCUUCCUCGCUUUGUGACCCCUUCUCCUUAUUCUCGGCAUUUAACUUGCUAACCUGUUUAAAAACCCAACACACUCUGUUGGUAUGAUUGUCUAGUUUAUCAGGAGUGUCGUGGAUUUGACAUGGACGAUCGAGUAUGCGCACCAAGUUGGACGGGCCCAGAUUGUUUAUUUUUUAUGGCUUCUUCCGCUGACCGGACUUACAGCCGCUGAAUUGGUGUUCACCGCCGUGUAUUCGGUGUUGUCACCGUUGCUUCGACGCUUGUGUCUGUUGCGUCGGGGCUUGCCAUUGCUAUUUCUGGCUUCAGAAAUGCCAGGUUCGCUUAUAUUGUUGUUGCUACGGACCAGCCAGCUAUCCUCACCCGCACAGAAGCGGGUCAUAAGCGUCGUGAGGGCUGCCAUAGACUUCGGCUUUUCUUGGCCGAGGUGUCGGGUGAGCCAUUUGCCGUGGAUGGUGUGUUUAAAGGCCGCUAGGGCUUUGGCAUCCGGACAGUCGAUGAUCUGGUUCUUUUUAGUUAAGAAUCUAGUCCAAAAUUUCAUGGCGGACUCUCCGGGUUGAUGAACUAUGGGACUCAAGACAUCGUCGUUUCGAGGUCGGACGUAUGUGCCUGGAAGUUAUCGAGGAAGGCAUCCUCCAGGUCGUCCCAGCUGCCAAUUGAGUUCUUUGGCAAACUGUUCAACCAGUGCCGAGCAGGUCCCUUGAGUUUUAGCGGGAGGUAUUUGCUGGCGUGAAGGUCAUCACAGCGGGCCAUAUAUAUGAAUAUGUAGGAGAAAAUCCUCGAUCCAUACCGCGGGGUCUAUUGUCCCAUCAUAUGAUUUGAUGUUCAUGGGUUUAAAUCAUUCUGGGAAUUCAUGUCCCAUUACUUCAUCAGUGAAGUAGAGGGGGUGUGCGGCACCUCUAUGUCGGGCCACGUCGCGAUGUAGCUCGGAUGGAGUUAGUCUGCGGUAUUCGGCCCGUACAGGGUUAUAUUUGUCACGUCCGGCCUGAUGGCCAUCGUCAUGCAUCGAGGCACGCCCCCGCGAUGCAUAGAUUGAUCUGGUCUGACAUGCUCUGUUUUCCAGGAAAUGCCGCAGGUCAUAUGUGUAUCCUCGAGCUGUUGUGUCUUUGUUUUUUCGGAAAAGUAAUGCGAGAUGGUGUUCGGCUUGAGUUGCCGCUUUGUCCCGUCCACGCAGUGGCCGGUCAGCCGCAUUGUGCGCUCGUAGGACGGGCUCCAGCCCCUCGUCAUUGAAUUGGGGCAGCAAUUCGCACUUCGGGUAACUUUUGGUUGGCGCUCGAGAUCUUAUUCCAUGGCUGCCAGGACAUUAGUCCAUCUGUCAUUGAGUAGAUCUUGAUUAGCUUGAAGCUUCUGCUGCUUCUUUUUCAGGCUCAUUGCAGUGGCUAUUAGCUGGCGCUGAAAGCGCUCCUGGUCGAUGGGCUCCUCAGGCACGAUGAAGUUUUCGUCGCCGAGGCUCGACUCAUACUUGAAGGGUGGAAGAUAAGUGCUGUCCUCCGAGUCUUCGUUAGUGGCCUGUUCGUUAGGGCUGACUCGCCCAUCCUCCCGUUCAUCCUAUUCGGAAGUUGGCUCAACGGGGUCUUCGUUGUCUUCGGCAUCGUCCGGAGUAUUUUCUCCUGUGCCGAUGUUGCUGUUUUUUCCAUGGCAUGGUCUAGAGCGGCGCCGCUGACGUCGGCGCUUUGGCUGCUUCUCAAGAGGCUUAUCCUCAACUGGAUCCUUUCUGUUGUCCUUGUUAUCUUUGGGUGUAUCCACCAUGUAUACGUCAUACGAGGAGGUGGCUGUCCAGCGCCCUGUACGCGGUGGUUCUUGAGCCUGCUCCUCUCCGGCAUCAUCGUCCAUACCGUUAAUGUCUUGAUACGUCCAUUUUGCAUCAUGCUUUUAGAUCAAUAUUUAUUGCAUUAUGGGCUGUCAUUACACAUUAUAUCUCAAUACUUAUGGCUAUUCUCUCUUAUUUUAAAAGGUUUACCAUGAAGAGGGGGAAUGUCGGCUGCUGGAAUUCUGGCUGGAAAAGGAGCAAACAUUGCAAACCUAUUAUGCACAACUCCAAAAGUCCUGAAACUCCAUGAAACAAAUUUUUGGAUUUAUUAAGAAUUUAUGAGCGAAAGAAAUAGGCCACGGGCCCACACCCUGUCCAGGAGACAGGGGGCGCCCCCCUGUAGGGCGCGACCCCCUAUCUCCUAGCCCCCCUGGUGGGCCUCCGGUGUCCAUCUUCUGCUAUAUCAUCACUUUUACCCUGGAAAAAAAUUGGGGGCAAGCUUACGGGAUGAAACUCCACCGCCACGAGGCAGAACCUUGGCGAAAUCAAUCUAGGGCUUUGGCGGAGCUGUUCUGCCGGGGACACUUCCCUCUGGGAGAGGGAAAUCAUCACAAACAUCAUCACCAACGAUCCUCUCAUCGAGAGGGGGUCAAUCUCCAUCAACAUCUUCACCAGCACCAUCUCCUCUCAAAACCCUAGUUCAUCUCGUGUAUCCAAUCUUGUAUCAAAACCACAAAUUUGUACAUGUGGGUUGCUAGUAGUGUUGAUUACUCCUUGUAGUUGAUGCUAAUUGGUUUACUUGGUGGAAGAUCAUAUGUCCAGAUCCUUUAUGCAUAUUAUUACUCCUCUGAUUAUGAACAUGAAUAUGCUUUGUGAGUAGUUACGUUUGUUCCUGAGGACAUGGGUGAAGUCUUGCUAUUAGUAGUCAGGUGAAUUUGGUAUUCGUUCGAUAUUUUGAUGAGAUGUAUGUUGUCUUUCCUCUAGUGGUGUUCUGUGAACGUCGACUACAUGACACUUCACCAUUAUUUGGGCCUAGAGGAAGGCAUAGGGAAUUAACAAGUAGAUGAUGGGUUGCUAGAGUGACAGAAGCUUAAACCCUAGUUUAUGCGUUGCUUCGUUAGGGGUUGAUAUGCACCCAUAUGUUUAAUGUUGUGGUUAGGUUUACCUUAAUACUCUUUUUUGUAGUUGUGGAUGCUUGCAAUAGGGGUUAAUCAUAAGUGGGAUGCUUGUCCAAGUUAGGGCAGUACCCAAGUGCCGGUCCACCCACAUAUCAAAUUAUCAAAGUACCGAACGUGAAUCUUACGAACGUGAUGAAAACUAGCUUGACGAUAAUUCCCAAUGUGUCCUCGGGAGCUCCUUCCUCAUUAUUAGAAUUUGUCCAGUCUUUGAUACAUAAAGGAUUGGGCCACCUUGCUGCACUUUAUUUACUUUAUUUACUUUUUGCUCGUUACUAUUUAUCUUAUCACAAAACUAUCUAUCACCUAUUAGUUCAGUGCUUGCAGAGAAAACCUUACUGAAAACCGCUUAUCAUUUCCUUCUGCUCCUCGUUGGGUUCGACACUCUUACUUAUCUAAAGGACUAUGAUAGAUCCCCUACACUUGUGGGUCAUCAAGACUCUUUUCUGGCGCCGUUUCCGGGGAGUGUAGCGCUUUUGGUGAGUGGAACUUGGUAAGGAAACAUUUAUAUAGUGCGCUGAAAUUUUCUAUUACUUGUCACUAUGGAAACUAAUCCUUUGAGGGGCUUGUUUGGGGUAUAUUCACCCCAAACAGAAGAGAAAAGAGAUGCUCCUCAACCUACUGAACCUUAUGAAAAUAUUCAUUUUGAGAUUCCUUCGGGUAUGAUAGAAAAACUGCUAGCUAAUCCUUUUGCAGGAGACGGAACAUUGCAUCCCAACUUACACCUUAUCUUUGUGGAUGAAGUUUGUGGAUUAUUUAAUCUUGCAGGUAUUCCCGAUGAUGUUUUCAAAAGGAAGGUCUUCCCUUUAUCUUUGAAGGGAGAUGCAAUGACAUGGUAUAGGCUAUGUGAUGAUACGAGAUUUUGGAAUUAUAAGCGACUAAAGUUGGAAUUUCACCAAAAGUUAUAUCCUAUGCAUCUUGUACAUCGUGAUCGUAAUUACAUAUACAAUUUCUGGCCUCGCGAAGGAGAAAGCAUUGCUCAAUCUUGGGGGAGGCUUAAUUCAAUGUUAUAUUCAUGCCCCCAAUCAUGAGCUCUCUCGGGAAAUGAUUGUUCAGAAUUUUUAUGCUCGGCUUUCUCUUGAUAGUCGCAACCUGCUCGAUACUUCCUGUGCUGGUUCCUAUAUGCUGAAGACUAUUGAUUUCAAAUGGGACUUAUUGGAAAGAAUUAAACGCAACUCUAAAGAUUGGGGUUCCGACGAUGGUAAGGAGUCAGGUAUGACACCUAAGUUCGAUUGUGUUAAAUCUUUUAUGGAUACCGAUGCUUUCCAUGGAUUUAGCUCUAAGUAUGGACUUGACUCUGAGAUAGUAGCUCCUUUUUGUGAAACUUUUGCUACUCACGUUGAUCUCCAUAAAGAGAAGUGGUUUAAAUAUAAUCCUCCUGUUGAAGUGAAGGUAGUUGAACCUAUUACAGUCGAAGAAAAGACUAUUACAUAUAGUGAUCCUAUUAUUCCUACUGCUUAAGUCAAAAAACCUCCUUUUCAUGUUAGGAUAAAAGAUCAUGUUAAAGCUUCGACUGUUGUUCUUAAGAGUAAUACUAGGACUUAUACACCUCCUGAGGAAAUUAAUGUUGAACCUGGUAUUGCUAUGAUUAAAGAUCUCUUGGAUGAGGACUUAGAUGGGCAUUUUAUCUCUUUCUUGGGUGAAACUGCUAAUAUUGCUAGGCCCGAUACUAAGACACGUCGGCCUGUUGUAGGCACGCCUGUUAUUUUUGUUAAAAUAGGAGAUCAUUGUUAUCAUGGCUUAUGUGAUAUGGGUGCUAGUGCUAAUGCGAUACCUUAUGAUCUUUAUAAAGAAAUUAUGCACGAUAUUGCACGUGUUGAAUUAGAAGACAUUGAUGUUACUAUUAAGCUUGCUAAUAGGGACACCAUUAAACCUAUUGGGAUUGUUAGAGAUGUUGAAGUCUUGUGUGGGAAGAUUAAAUACCCUGCUGAUUUUCUUGUUCUUGGUUCCCCACAAGAUGAUUUUUGUCCCAUUAUUUUUGGUAGACCCUUCUUGAAUACUGCUACUGCUAAGAUUAAUUGUGAAAAGAAUAUUGUCACUGUUGGCAUAGAUGGUAUGUCUCAUGAUUUUAAUUUCGCUAAGUUUGGUAGACAACCUCGUGAAAGGGAACCACCUAGUAAGGAUGAAAUUAUUGGUCUUGCUUCCAUUGUUGUUCCUCCAAUUGAUCCAUUAGAACAAUAUUUGUUAGACCAUGAAAACGAUAUGUUUAUGAAGGAAAGGGAAGAAAUAGAUGAUGUGUUCCUUAAACAGGAACCUAUGCUGAAACAUAACCUUCCGUUGAAAUUCUUGGGGAUCCCCCUCCACCCAAGGGUGAUCCCGUGUUUGAACUCAAACCAUUACCUGAUAAUCUUAAGUAUGCUUAUCUUGAUGAAAAAGAAAUAUAUCCUGUUAUUAUUAGUGCUAACCUUUCAGAGAAAGAAGAAGAAAGAUUAUUGAAAACUCUGAAGAAGCACUGAGCAGCUAUUGGAUAUACUCUGGAUGAUCUUAAGGGCGUUAGUCCCACGUCAUGUCAACACAAAAUUACAUUGGAGGACGAUGUCAAACCAGUUAGAGAUCCCCAAAGACGAUUAAAUCCCAAGAUGAAGGAAGUGGUAAGAAAGGAGAUACUAAAGCUCCUUGAGACAGGUAUUUUUUAUCCCGUUGCUGAUAGUGAAUGGGUAAGCCCUGUCCAUUGUGUCCCUAAAAAGGGAGGUAUUACCGUUGUUCCUAAUGAUAAACAUGAAUUGAUCCCGCAAAGAAUUAUUACAAGCUAUAGGAUGGUAAUUGAUUUCUGUAAGUUAAAUAAAGCUACUAAGAAAGAUCAUUACCCUUUACUUCUUAUUGAUCAAAUGCUAGAAAGGCUAUCCAAACACACACAUUUUUGCUUUCUAGAUGGUUAUUCUGGCUGCUCUCAAAUACCUGUGUCCGCGAAGGAUCAAUCUAAAAUUACUUUUACUUGCCCUUUUGGUACUUUUGCUUAUAGACGUAUGCCUUUUGGUUUAUGUAAUGCACCUGCUACCUUUCAAAGAUGCAUGAUGGCUAUAUUUUCUGAUUUUUGUGAAAAGAUUUGUGAGGUAUUCAUGGAUGACUUCUCCGUCUAUGGAUCCUCUAUUGAUGAUUGUUUGAGCAACCUUGAUCGAGUUUUGCAGAGAUGCGAAGACACUAGUCUCGUCCUGAAUUGGGAAAAGUGUCACUUUAUGGUUAAUGAAGGCAUUGUCUUGGGGCACAAGAUCUCCGAGAGAUGUAUUGAAGUUGAUAAAGCCAAAGUUGAUGCUAUUGAAAAGAUGCCAUGUCCCAAGGACAUAAAAGGUAUAAGAAGUUUCCUCGGUCAUGUCAGCUUUUAUAGGAGGUUCAUUAAGGACUUUUCUAAAAUCCCUAGGCCUCUGACUAAUUUAUUGCAAAAAGAUAUUCCGUUUUUCUUUGAUGAUGAUUGUGUAGAAGCAUUUGAAACACUUAAGAAAGCCUUGAUCACUGCACCUAUUGUUUAGCCACCUAAUUGGAAUUUACCUUUUUAAAUUAUGUGCGAUGCUAGUGAUUAUGCUGUAGGUGCUGUUUUAGGACAAAGGGUCGAUAAGAAAUUGAAUGUUAUCCAGUAUGCUAGUAAGACUCUUGAUACUGCCCAGAGAAAUUAUGCUACUACUGAAAAAGAGUUAUUAGCAGUUGUGUUUGCAUGUGAUAAGUUUAGACCUUAUAUUGUUGAUUCCAAAGUUACUAUUCACACUGAUCAUGCUGCUAUUAAAUAUCUUAUGGAAAAUAAAGAUGCUAAGCCUAGACUCAUUAGAUGGGUUCUCUUGCUCCAAGAAUUUGACUUGCAUACUAUUGAUAGAAAGGGAGCUGAGAACCCCAUUGCAGACAACUUGUCUAGGUUAGAGAAUGUUCUUGAUGACCCAUUGCCUAUUAAUGAUAGUUUUCCUGAUGAACAAUUAGCGGUUGUCAAUGCUUCUCGUACUGCUCCUUAGUAUGAUGAUUAUGCUAAUUACAUUGUUGCUAAAUAUAUACCGCCUAGUUUCACAUACCAGCAAAAGAAAAAUUCUUUUAUGAUUUAAGACGUAACUUCUGGGAUGAUCCACACCUUUAUAAAGAAGGAGUAGAUGGUAUUAUUAGACGUUGUGUGCCUGAGCAUGAACAGGAACAAAUCCUACGCAUGUGUCACUAUGAAUCUUAUGGAGGACACCACGCUGGAGAUAGAACUGCACACAAGGUACUACAAUCUGGUUUUUAUUGGCCUACUCUUUUCAAAGAUGCUCGUAAGUUUGUCUUAUCUUGUGAUGAAUGUCAAAGAAUUGGUAACAUUAGUAGACGUCAAGAAAUGCCUAUGAAUUAUUCUCUUGUUAUUGAACCGUUUGAUGUUUGGGGCUUUGAUUAUAUGGGACCUUUUGCUGCCUCCAAUGGUUAUACAAAUAUUUUAGUUGCUAUUGAUUACGUUACUAAGUGGGUAGAAGCUAUUGCAACUAGUAGUGUUGAUCAUAACACUUCUAUUAAAAUGCUUAAACAAGUUAUUCUUCCGAGGUUUGGAGUCCCUAGAUAUCUUAUGACUGAUGGUGGUUCACACUUUAUUCAUGGUGCUUUCCGUAAGAUGCUUGCUAAAUAUGAUGUCAAUCAUAGAGCCGCAUCUCCUUAUCACCUGCAGUCUAGUGGUCAAGUAGAGUUGAGCAAUAAUAGAGAGCUCAAAUUAAUUUUGCAAAAGACUGUGAAUAGAUCUAGAAAGAAUUGGUCCAAAAAAUUUGAUGAUGCAUUAUGGGCCUAUAGAACUGCAUACAAAAGUCCUAUGGGUAUGUCUCCAUAUAAGAUGGUUUAAGGAAAAGCAUGUAAUUUACCUCUUGAACUUGAACAUAAAGCAUAUUAGGCUAUUAAAGAGCUCAAUUAUGACUUCAAACUUGCCGGUGAGAAGAGGUUGUUUGAUAUUAGCUCACUUGAUGAAUGGAGAACCCAAGCAUAUGAAAAUGCCAAGCUUUUCAAAGAAAAAGUCAAACGCUGGCAUGAUAAGAGGAUACAAAAGCGUGACUUUAACGUAGGAGAUUAUGUGUUAUUAUUUAACUCUCGUUUAAGAUUUUUUGCAGGAAAACUUCUCUCAAAAUGGGAAGGUCCCUACGUUAUCGAGGAGGUCUAUCGUCCUGGUGCUAUAAAAAUCAACAACUUCGAAGGCACAAAUCCGAGGGUGGUUAACGGUCAAAGAAUUAAACAUUAUAUUUCGGGUAAUCCUAUCAAUGUUGAAACUAAUAUUAUUGAAACCAUAACCCCCGAGGAAUACAUAAGAGACACUUUCCAGAACGUUCCAGACCCCGAAAAGGCAUGGGUACGUGGUACGGUAAGUAAACCGACUCCAAAACAACUCUAAUGGCAAUUUUUAUCAGUUUUGGAUUAUUUAAGAAUUUUAGGAAGAAAGAAGUAGUCCGAAAGGGACACGAGGCUCCCACGAGAGUGGAGGCUGCGCGCCACUUUGUAGGGCGCGCCCCCUGUCUCAUGGGCACCUCGUGUGCCUCCCGGACUCCAUUUUCUUGUAUGUUACGUAUUUUGGUCGGUAAAAAUUCAUUAUAUAUACUCCCGAAGGUUUUGACCACCGUAUCGCGCAAAUAUCCUCUGUUUUCAUUUCGAGCUGUUUCCGUUGCAGAUCUAGAGCACCAUGACUUCUCCAUCCUCCAACAACGAAGACAAGGAUGCUUGGCUAUUGAAGAUAGAGUUGAAAAGAGAGGAACCAGAAGAGAUCAACAAGGAUGAAGGUAACAAUAAGGCCAUGGCGGUUCAAGCUCCGGUGGUAAAAAAGAAGACAUCCCUCAACCUUUACCUAACCUUUUCACUCCAACAGAGAUUGAAGCUUUCAAGAUGAUUGAGUUAGCCCGCAUACAGAACAAGUAUCUCACACAGGAGAAUAUUUUGUUGAAGGAUGAUAUUGUUGGGCUCAAGGGCAUUAUCCGCAAGUUGGAGGAGCUUUUACGCUCGAUGUGCGAUUAUCCACCGUCAUCAUCACCACCUCCAUCUCCUCCGAGGAAAUAAUCACAUGGGUAUGGGCACUCCCCUUGGCAACUGCCAAGCUUGGGGAGGUGCCCAGAUAUCGUAUCACCAUCACACUCCUAUCUUUACCGCUUUAUUUAGUUUGAUCCUUUUAGUAGUAUCUUGAUCUAGUAGAUUGAAGUUUUGAUAUCAAGUAGUUUUGAGUUUUGCAUUGUGAUCUCUUUAUGUAAGCGAGUCUGUGUGCUAUCUAUAAUAAAGGUUAGUGUUGAGUCAAGGGCUUUGCUAUCUUGCUAUGAUCUUAAGAAAGUAGAAAGAACAAAAGAGUUCAUAUUGAUCUUAUGGAUAGUGAUAACUUCACACAUAGAAAGUAUGAGGCAUAAAAAUUGUUGAGAGUUGACGAACGUAGCCUUGAUCAUCGUUGCAAUUAAUAGGAAGUGAUAAGGAAAGAGGGGUUCACAUAUAGAUAUAUUAUCUUGGACAUCUUUUAUGAUUGUGAAUCACUCAUUAAGUAUGACAUGCUAAAAGAGUUGAUGUUGGACAAGGAAGACAACGUAAUGGUUUAUGUUUUCCGACAUCUCAGUUAAAGUAUAUUGUCAUUAACCUUCCAAACAUGUUGAGCUUGCCUUCCCCCCUCUUGCUGGCCAAAUUCCUUGCACCAAGUAGACAUACUACUUGUGCUUCCAAAUAUCCUCAAACCCAGUUCUGCCAUGAGAGUCCACCAUACCUACCUAUGGAUUGAGUAAGAUCCUUCAAGUAAGUUGUCAUCGGUGCAAGCAAUAAAAAUUGCUCUCUAAAUAUGUAUGACUUAUUAGUGCAGAGAAAAUAAGCUUUGUAUAAACUUGUUGUGGAAGUAAUAAAAGCGACGGAUUGCAUAAUAAAGGUCCACAUACAAGGGGAAAUAUAAAGUGACGUUCUUUUGCAUUAAGAUUUCAUGCAUCAACCCUAAACGCGCAUGACAACCUCUGCUUCCCUCUCCGAAGGCCCUAUCUUCUACUUUAUGUUUUCACUUUAUGUUUGAGUCAAGGUGAUCCUCACCUUUCCCCUUUUUCAUCUUAUCCUUUGGCAAGCUCCUCGUCUUUGAAAGAUCAUGAUACAUAUAUCCAAUUGGAUGUAAGUUGGCAUAGGCUAUUAUUGUUGACAUCACCUAAAGGUGAAUACGUUGGGAGGCAACACAAUAAGCCCCUAUCGUUCUUAGUGUCCGGCUGAAACUCUAUAACCACGAGUAUUGAGUGAGUGUUAGCAAUUAUGGGAGACUACGAGAUAGUUGAGUAUGUGAGCUUGUUGAAAAGCUCUAUUAUUGACUCUUUCUGAUGUUAUGAUAAAUUGCAAUUGCUUCAAUGACUGAGAUUAUAAUUUGUUAGUUCCCAAUGAAGUUUAUGAACCAUACUUGACAUUGUGAAUUGCUUAUUACUUUAGCAUAGGAGAUCAUAUGACAAAAUCUAUUUAUGUUACUGUUAUUAGAAUGAUCAUGAUGCCCUCAUGUCCGUAUUUUAUUUUUAUCGACACCUCUAUCUCUAAGCAUGUGGACAUAUUUUUCGAUUUCGGCUUCCGCUUGAGGACAAGCGAGGUCUAAGCUUAGGGGAGUUCAUACAUCCAUUUUGCAUCAUGCUUUUAUAUCAAUAUUUAUUGCAUUAUGGGCUGUCAUUACACAUUAUAUCUCAAUACUUAUGGCUAUUCUCUCUUAUUUUACAAGGUUUACCAUGAAGAGGGGGAAUGCCGGCAGCUGGAAUUCUGGCUAGAAAAGGAGCAAACGUUGGAAACCAAUUCUGCACAACUCCAAAAGUCCUGAAACUCCACAAAACAACUUUUCAGAUUUAUUAAGAAUUUAUGAGCGAAAGAAAUAGGCCAGGGGGGUGCCCCCCCUGUAGGGCGCGGCCCCCUAUCUCCUGGGCCCCCUAGUGGGCCUCCGGCGUCCAUCUUCUGUUAUAUCAUCAAUUUUACCCUGGAAAAAACCGGGGGCAAGCUACGGGACUAAACUCCGCCGCCAUGAGGCGGAACCUUGGCGGAAUCAAUCCAGGGCUCUGGCGGAGCUGUUCUGCCGGGGACACUUCCCUUCGGGAGGGGAAAAUCAUCACCAACGUCAUCACCAACGAUCCUCUCAUAGAGAGGGGGUCAGUCUCCAUCAACAUUUUCACCGGCACCAUCUCCUCUCAAAACCCUAGUUCAUCUCUUGUAUCCAAUCUUGCAUCAAAACCACAAAUUGCUACUUGUGGGUUGCUAGUAGUGUUGAUUACUCCUUGUAGUUGAUGCUAAUUGGUUUACUUGGUGGAAGAUCAUAUGUUCAGAUCCUUUAUGCAUAUUAUUACUCCUCUGAUUAUGAACAUGAAUAUGCUUUGUGAGUAGUUAUGUUUGUUCCUGAGGACAUGGGUGAAAUCUUGCUAUUAGUAGUCAUGUGAAUUUGGCAUUCAUUCGAUAUUUUGAUGAGAUGUAUGUUGUCUUUCCUCUAGUGGUGUUAUGUGAACGUCGACUACAUGACACUUCACCAUUAUUUGGGCCUAGAGGAAGGCAUAGGGAAGUAAUAAGUAGAUGAUGGAUUGCUAGAGUGACAGAAGCUUAAACCCUAGUUUAUGCGUUGCUUCAUUAGGGGUUGAUAUGGACCCAUAUGUUUAAUGUUGUGGUUAGGUUUACCUUAAUACUCUUUUUUGUAGUUGUGGAUGCUUGCAAUUGGGGUUAAUCAUAAGUGGGAUGCUUGUCCAUAUUAGGGCAGUACCCAAGUGCCGGUCCACCCACAUAUCAAAUUAUCAAAGUACCGAACGCGAAUCUUACGAACGUGAUGAAAACUAGCUUGACAAUAAUUCCCAAUGUGUCCUCGGGAGCUCCUUCCUCAUUAUUAGAAUUUGUCCAGGCUUAUCCUUUGCUACAUAAAGGAUUGGGCCACCUUGAUGCACUUUAUUUACUUUAUUUACUUUUUGCUCGUUACUAUUUAUCUUAUCACAAAACUAUCUAUCACCUAUUAUUUCAGUGCUUGCAGAGAAAACCUUACUGAAAACCGCUUAUCAUUUCCUUCUGCUCCUCGUUGGGUUCGACACUCUUACUUAUCGAAAGGACUACGAUAGAUCCCCUACACUUGUGGGUCAUCAUGUCUUCGGUGCCGUAAUCGAGCAUGUCGGUUAAGUCUUCGAAAGUGGCUAUGAAGUGGGCGGUGGGUGGGAAGCGGAAUUAUCCGCCCUCAGCUUCCAAUUCGAAAUGGAUAUAUUUCGGCUGAGAGUUCCCCAACAAGGAGAGGGCUCUUAUUGAGUUUAGCACAUCGUGGAAUGGUGAGUGCCGGACGAUGUCCACGGAGCUAAACUCAAAGAUCGGCGCCUGAUCAGGUUCGAUGGGCGCGGAUCUACGCAGUUGGGAACUUAUGACCGGAGACGAUUCUGAAAUUCCGGUAACACAGGUUCCGCUCGAGGUCGGAUCUGUGUGCGGCUCUAACGCCGAUGAGUCAGGGGCUUCCGUGGCGGGGUUGAGCUUCCCGUCCUCGGACGAUGCAGUCUGCUCCAGACCUGGGAGCAGAGCAGUUACAGGAGCUAUCUCCUGGGCACGAUCCGAUGACAGAUUUAGGUCAUGUUCAUCGUUGAGGUGGGGAGCGGCUGUCAUGGGCUCGAAUCCGUCGAAGAUCAAGUCUCCGAGGAUAUCGGUGACAUAAUUCAAGCUUCCGAACCUAGCCUGAUGGCCAGGGGCGUAGCUAUCGAUCUGCUCUAGAUGGCCAAGCAAGUUGGCCCGUAGUGCGAAACCGCCGAAUACGAAGAUCUGUCUGGGGAGGAAAACCUCACCCUGGACUGCAUUGUUGUAGAUGAUUGAUGGAGCCAUCAAGACCUUCUCGUGACGACGCAGCGGAACUCUCAAUGAAAGCACCAAUGUCGGUGUCAAAACCGGCGGGUCUUGGGUAGGGGGUCCCGAACUGUGCGUUUAAGGUUGAUGGUAACAGGAGGUGGGGACACCAUGUUUGCCCAGGCUUGGACCAUCUCUAUGGAGAUAAUACCCUACUUCCUGCUUGAUUGAUCUUGAUAAAUAUGAGUAUUACAAGAGUAGAUCUACCACGAGAUCGUAAUGACUAAACCCUAGAAGUCUAGCCUGUAUGAUUAUGAUUGUGUAUAUGCCUCUACGAACUAAGCCCUCCUGUUUAUAUAGACACUGGAGGGGACUAGGGUUGUACCACUACAAGAAAUCUCCUAAUACAUGACGGACCUUGUCCGUCACAAAUCAAUGGAAAACUGUCAUGGGUAACCUUUCAUGACGAACUUGCAACCCGUCAUGUAUAUCGCGUCAUAAUUUGACAUCGCACCUUACAUGACGGUACUUGUCCGUCAUGGAUCUGCCCCAAGCCCGCCCUGGCACAAUUCAUUGUGACAGAACAAACCGUCACCGAUUAACGCCACGUAGGAUUUUUUAUUGACCAAUUUGAAUGACAUGGCUGCCUACGUGGAUACAUUUUCCGCCACAAAAUUCGUCAUGGUUGAGCACAUUAACCCAUAUCAUUUGGCCCACUUUUUACAUGAUACAUUUUUAGCAUAAUGCGUUACACAAAUUCCAGUGCCAAUUUUGGCCGAAGAAGAAGUAUUUGCAAAUUGUAUAACAUUACACUGAUCAACCAAUAUGCACCCAUCUAUAUAUAUGUAAAACGUAGCAGUUAACAAAAUCAUCUACAAAAAUGAUAACUUACAAUAUAGAUUGAAAACAAAAUCACACAUCAGGGUUAUGAAUGAGUACAAUUCAUUUUAUAUCAAUGUAACAUACAAACUAUAGAGGUCAUUAUUUAGGUUCUUGCUAUCGGCCCUCCUGAUGGCAACCAUCAUAUCGUGGCUGAUUGUGAUGUGCAGAAACAAGUAGCCAGCUUCCCAAUCUUACCUGCAUGUUUAUAAGAACCUUAGAUUUUUUUUAGGGAUAUGACUAGAUACUAGAAAUAAUAUAAUUGCAAAAAUAUAAAAAUGAAUUACAUGUCCAACAUUCUUAAAUCUUAUAGUUCCUACAAAUGAGAACAACAUUGUAUCCACUAUAAAACAAGAGUAAACAUGAGGUUUCUUAAAAUUAAUCCAAAGAAAAGUGUGGCGAAGUAACAAAACACACAUCACAUCUAUCUAUAUCUAUCUAUCUAUCUAUCUAUCUAUCUAUACCUAUACUAAUUUGUGACUCCCUAGAAAUUACCAUGUUAAUCAGUAAUUAGGAGCCGUUAAUCUGGUGGGACCAAAUUAUUAUGGUGUAGAUCUCUCUUCAAUCUCUCCCAAAAAGAAAAAAAAUCUCAUGGUUAUCUCCCCCACGAUUGAAAUCUCUUAGGUGUAAAAAAACUCACGUACCUAUCUCUCUCCCACAACCAAAUCUAUCUAUCUAUUCUAUACCUAGGCUAACAAAAAAAAGAAUGCUAACUAACCACGUAAUAGUCUUGCGAGACCGUCUCUCCUGAUUAUGUGCUCGACCUAUACGCGGCGACGUACCACAAAGCCCGCCGCCGCCGCCGCCGCCGCCGCCAGUGCCAUCCAUCGUCCGCAGGCACAACCCCAUUGCCGGCAGCAUAAGAUGCGUUGCAGCCAAGAAGUAGAUUCCAUCGCACAGGAGAAGGUCAGAUUCAUAUCCAUAGCAUAAACAUCAUCACGUUAUGGAUGCACAUGCAUAUGUGAAUAGUGGCGUCAAUUGGGCGUAUUUUGUACAUGUACAUGUCCAAGUAGUAGUCUAAGUCUGUAAUCAAUGCAGUGAUUCUGCGUGCGUGUAUUGUGUGUGCAUCUUGCUAGAAUCAAGCACUCUAUGUUAGCUAACUAGCAACCUUUACGUUGAUGCAUCCUUCUUCGAUUAAUACAGAUUUUAUCACAGAGGAACUGUCGCCGUCGACGUCGUCAUCGGGCCUUGCCGGGAGUAUCAACAGGUUUACGCUGCGUCCAUGUCUCUGGGCAUCAGGAGCUUCACAUAAGUGCUAAUUCCGUGACUGGGAUUUUCAAUAACUUUUAUACAUUAUCUGUAGUUGCACUAUGAUAAAAUUUAGAUUGCUUUACUAAUGUUCAAGCAUGCAAAAUAAUGCUUAGUUUAAUACACCGGCAUGUGGUUGUCAUUAUUUCUGAACUUAUUCCCUGCAGAGACUGUAGCAACAGAUCAAUAGCCUGCAUGUUACUACUUCGAUUCUGUUGUUUCCUAGAGACAAUAGCUAUGUAACCUAGCCGUCCUCUCUAACCUCAUCUAGGAAUUUGGUUUAUUAGAGUUCAACCAUGUCUUUCAAAAAUCAUACUUAAACAUAUUCCAUUUAUUUAUCACACUGUUUAUAGGUAAUAUGGUCAUCCCUUUGUAGUUCAAUUUGGAAGACAGUCACAGAACAUUAUUAGCUGGCAAUAGCAGCACUGUUUUAUGUCCGGCCAGGACAUCAAUAUGGCUGCUGCGAGCAGGCCGGUAGAGACCCAGAACAACAGUUUCGGGACUCCACCUCCAAUCAUCGUCAUGUGGUAUCUUGAGGUGCCCAAGUGUUAGGCCGUGGUGCAGCAGCUGGCGACGGCGUGUCUGGACGCCAUGGGCAGACAGUAUAGAUGUAUGUUUUUCUCACUUUAGCUGGUUUAUGAUGAAAUUGGGGAUCAUGUAUCCUAUGCAUGCAUGAUAACUACGUACAGUUUUUAUGUACAGAUGGUGUGUUGCACUGCUAUUUUGUUGAAAAGACAUUAUCCAUCAGUCCUUUUAUUUCUUAGUUUCUUUCCCUUCUAAUAAUUGAUUUGGUUGGUUUCUAGACUAAAGUAUUUGAAGGCAUGAAUAAUUGGUUAGAAGUAUAGUAUGUCUUGCGAUCUAAGUUUCCAAUUGUAUGUCAGAUCAACAUUCUGUAGGUGGCCGAUUGCUAUGUCUGCACGUAAACAUGCUAAAUUAUACAUGUUAUCUUCCAGUGAAGAGACGAUAAAAAUAGAGGAAUUUAAAUCUACGGACACUAGCAAUUUCCAGUUUUAUAUAUGAGCACAUGGAGCUCUUUCAGAUCAAUCUGCAAUAUUUAUUGUUCUGCUAUGUCUAAAAGUAUAUCGAAAUUUUGUCCCCCUCUGUUCUUUAAAGAGCAUAUUGUGCUAGGCAUUAAUUUGAACAAGCCUGUGAUUGGGAAUUUUACGUUACUCAUAUUUUCUAAAUGCCUACAGUUUUGUCCUAUAAUUUGUACUGCAUAUAAUUAACUUAGGCUUGAGCAGCAGUUUUUCCAUAUUUACAAUUUAAUUAGGUGUAUGCAAAAAUAUGACAUGAUGUUAUUAAGGCAUAGGAAACACAUGGAGGACAUAUUUGUGAUAAGAAAAAUCAAACUUAUCUACCUAUACAUUUAUUAUUUUGUUUUCAUUAUCUUCCUUAAAAAUAUACUAAUAAGACCAUAUCAAGUGCAAACAUUUUUCUCACAGCCUUCUUUUAGACAAAAAAUUCAACAAAAUAAUACCAAUCAAAUCCCUCCUUAAAUAUGAGAAAUCCUGACUUUUUUCCUCACAUGUAAAUGUUUAUGCUAUCAUUUAAAUAUGGAAUACACUUAUUUGCACGUUACACAAACAAUACUAAUGUGUGGGUCAUAAUUAUGAGACAAUAAAUGAAAUACGCACUCAUUUGUAUUUUUGUUAACAUACACACAGAAAUAUUAACUAUAAAGUUUUAUUAUUUCAGCCAACUACAUUAAUAUAUUUUUCUGAAACUUAGCAUGUAAACAUCUACAUUUGCAGUUUACAUGCAAUAUCAUGACAUUUGUUGCCAUUUAUGUUUAUACAGUGAAUUUUGCAAGCACGCGAGAUUUUGACUCACCUUUUUAUGAGAGGAAACGAUAGUAACUUUUCGUAAUGAAAACUUAUUUUCCCUUUUUCAGAGUAUAAGGUAUGUUACAAAGAAUAAGUUUGAGUUCUAGGAAAGGGAGAGAAAUAUUGUUUUUGCCACUUUCGUAGUAACAUGCAUUCAUGUAUACGAUAUUUCCUUUCAUUAAAAUUGUCACGAGGAAUAAAAGCAGAGAUGAGUCAUGUACUAUACUCUACAUGUGUGUAUUCCUUCCACAUAUAUUAAUUUAAAUAUUUAAUGAAGCUUCACACUUUACUGCAGCAUCAACAACUUACAUCACAAAAUAUUUUUAUGCUUGCUAUAGGUUUGGUAGUUGGCACUGGAUCAUUGAUCAUGACUUCAUUGCACCAAGGCGUAAUUCUUCACCUCAUAUUUAUAUAUUAAAUUAUAUACUCUAUGAAUUACGUGAGCUAUAAUUUAUUUUGGAGAGUAAUUUUGAAAGUUAUAUUUACAUUCCUCUUUUAUCCCCCCUUCAUGUACAAGUACCUAACUUCUAAAAAAUAUUGCAUGCAGCAAAAUGUUAAUAGAAGUACAAUGUAUAUACGUCUACCUAAAAUAGGCUAGCCCGCGCGCAUGCACGGGUUGACGACUAGUAACUAAUAAUAUAGCAGGAGUAGUUGAGGCCAUAUAAACAUGUCAACAAAAUUUGGUAUAAUCAUUUCGUACCAGAAGUGCAAACAUAACGCCUACUAAUGAUGCCUACACUCAAGAUACCUAUGCUCAUUAUUAAACGAACAAAUGAAAAUGAACAAUUUUAUCUUACAGUCAAUGCACUAACGCUCACUGAAUGAUAAAAGCUACGAAGAAGACCAUUUACCUGGUAUAGUUAAGAGUUAGCUUUUGUCAGGUUUAUAAGAUUACCAAAUGUUGGGCACCGUAUAUAAUUAGGAGGAAGAAUCUUCAAGCACUACACAUAUCUAACUCUGCACCAGUUUCUACUGUAAAUAAAUAAAACAGAGUAAAGGGUGGGAAAAGUUUAUGUCUACAACUUGUCUAGAUGGAGGCAUUUAGUACGUAACAUCCUCAACAUGGUGACAUGUACUAGGAACAAGAAAUUCAUCAUUGUGAUAUAUAUUAAAUUGAGCAAAAAUCUGGAGCUACUUGUACGCAUCAAUUAUAUAAGCUGAUAAAGUAAAAGGACAACAGCUACUUGUAGUUAUGCAUAUAAAAAAUAAUACCAACGAUUUGUAUAAGCAGCUUGGCAUUAACCCAGGAACAAUCAAGAGUGAGUUGUACCAGAUUUUGAUGUUAACAAUAACCAAGAAAUCAGGGGGCGGCUGUUUGGUUUGUGCCCCAACUUGCCCUGCCUAAAUUUUGGCAUAACCAAAGCAAGGGCAAAAAAUUUGUGUGCUAGUGUUGUUUGGAUUAUAGCCAUAGCAUCUAUCAAUUUUUGGGCAAAAUGGCUGGGUCUCUGUUUUGUUUCUACCAAAUAGAAAAAAGGGCAGAAAAAGGUUCGAUGAAGCAGCAUGCACACGUGUUUGCCGAGUGAAACACACACAUAAUAGCUGGCUGACCGAUACGAUCGAUGGAGGCAUAAGCGUAUGGGCUAGCUAAUUGAUUUUCUGGCUCAUGUAACAGCCAAGCAUAAAAUAGCUUUGGCUCAAAACCAAACACACCCCAGAAUACAUAGUCAUCAGCUAUUUUGGCUUCCCCCUUUUCUUCAAGUAGUGUUUUUCUUGCAAAGGGACAUGUCUUUCAUAACAAAACAUACAAAAAAAACACGUAUAUUUGCAGAUAACAAAUGUGAUCAACCAAGCAUUCCACCAUCAUCUCGGUACAAUAGCAUGAAAAUUCAUGUGGUGUAAAUUUAUCAACUUAGAUUGUGUGGAAACUGAUAUGAUGGCUAUUUUCACCACAUAACACAUAGAAAGUUUGCACAUAAUAUAUAACAGAGAAGCAGUGUAAUAGCAGGCCUAGUUAACAAACAAUCUACUCUUGGUCAAUGGAUUCAGUGAGAUAGAUGAAUUGCUUUCCCUCCAUAAACAAGAAAAUUCGAAGGAACCAACAGGAGCAUCUCAUGGGCAUUUACUUAUAAACUAGUACUCCCUCUGUAAACUAAUAUAAGAGCGUUUAGAUCACUACUUUAGUAUUCUAAACGCUCUUAUAUUAGUUUACGGAGGGAGUAGUUGCUUAACUAACUAGCAGAUCUCACAAAUUUUACAUUGCUAGACUCGCACCGUGAGAGACGAAAAAUAAAAUAGCCAGCAGUGAUAAUCUAUCGCUGGCUGUAAUAUGCGAGUAUCAGGAAAGGAAGUGGCCACGUUUUCCGCAUCAGGUUCAGUCCAAGCAAAUUUGAGAGCCCCCGGAGAAUUAUGCUAGAGCAGAGCAGCCAUCAUUUGGAAAGAAAAGAAAAAAAACAGAGCGAGAGGAUCGACCUUCUUGUUCUGUGGGGAAUCAUAGUGGGCAGGGCGGACGACCUUGCCGUCGAGCUCGCCCAGCUCGUCGGGCUUGAGCGUGGGGUCCCAGUCAUCGCAAUCCAUGGAACUGGAGAGGCGGAGAGCUCCUGUUCAUCUAAAUCAAAGCAAAAAAAUUGAUUGGGGAUGGAGAGAGAAUGAAAGAAAGAUGAGACGAGGGGGCAAGUAGGGAGGGACCUUGUGCAGGGUAUCAUCAAGCUCGGGCCUCCGGCAGGUCACGGUCGUCAUCCUCUGCUAGUCCGACCCUUGCUGCUCCGAAUCUGCAUAUGGCGAGCCAAAUGCGGGGCCUGGGAGUCAGAGGAGGGAGGCCCGUGGUGAGAUCCAUGGCCCUGGCAGUUGGUUUUGAGCAGCAGAGGCACGCUGCGGCGGCUAGUGUUGGCCCCCGCUCCCAUGGGGUUGCUGCAACCGCAGCCACAAUGGAUCUCGGGCCACCAUCAUCGGUUGGAGUCGGGGAAGUGGAAGCGGGGAGGUGGAGGCGGAGGACGGGGAUGAGGAGACGAGAGGUGUGGUGGCGGAGGACGGGGAUGAGGAGACGAGAGGCGUGGCGGUGAGGACAGGGACGAGCAGAGGCAACGUGUGGCGGCGGCGGAUGGAGAAAUAGACUGGGGACGGGAAAGUGUGUUAGGGUUAGGUUUUAUAUGGGGCAAAGUUUAGGGCUUUAGGCGGGCUUUUUGCGGGUUUGCGGAGCUGUACUGGGCCGUUCAUGACGGUUUUAGAACUGUCAGCGAAAAUUUGUCAUGCAUUAACAGGUUUCUUGUAGUGUACGAAGUCGGUUACAGAGGAAGGAAUCUUCAUAUCCGGUCACCAAGCUUGGUUUCCACGUCAAGAAGAGUCUCAUCCGGACAUAGGACGAAGUCUUCUGUCUUGUAUCUUCAUAGCCCAUCAGUCCGGCCCACAUCAAGAGUCCGGCUGUCCGAGGACCCCUUAAUCCGGGACUCCCUCAGUCAUGAUCUCCGACAAGGAGUAGGUUGGAUCAACGUAGUGCAUAGGUUUAUUUUAGUUUGCAUGUCUUUGUAUGGAUUUAAGAAUCGGAUAGAAGAUAUCCGGAUGUAACAAGUGAAGUUUGGGGUGUGUCUGGUCAGAAUGACGCGUCCGCCGGCAUUUAAGGUGCUGGAUUUGCCAUAUGUGUCUCUAGAUGCUCUGAUCAAAUGUUGAUUUAAAAUACGAGGGGCACAAUAAACCAAGAUGGAGGAAGUAUGUGUCAGUGUGGAGUAGCAUACAGGCAUAUAUGUUUACGGAUGUGAAACACUAGCUGGACGACACUAGUAGAAAAAGGACCUUAUAUGAGACACAUUAGUGCCGGUUUGAUUUUGAGCCGGCACUAAUGUGUCCAAUAGUGUCGGUUCCAACGGCUAGCCGGCCGUUCUCAUUAGUACCGGUUCGUGGCGAACCUUUAGUACUGGUUCGUGCCACGAACCGGUACUAAAGAGAGUGGUGGCAGGGUGUUGUCAGUCUGGGGCCCCUCCAGCACCUUUAAUACCGGUUCGUGGCACGAACCGGUACUAAAGGUCGACCUACAUAAACCCUUCGUCCACCCGAGCCACUCUGUUCUUCCCCUUUCCCCUCACUUCCUCUGUUCUUCCCCUCUCUUCCUCGAGCUCCUCACAAAUUUUGCCCAAAAUUUUUCAAGAUUUGAAGGCCCCCAUCCAUUCAAAUGAUCACAAAGGUUAGCAACUUUGUCCUUUCAACUCUCAUUGCUAGAUUAGCUCUUGCAAUGCUUUGUAUAGUGAUUAAUUUUGGGAGGAAUUAUAUUAGCUAGUAUUUGAUUUAUAUGCAAUUUGAGGUCAAAAAUAACACUUAGUUUGCAUAUGUAGGUGUGGUUUACUUAGUGCCUUCUAAAUCUCCGUCGUAACACCGUCGAUCGCCGGCACCGUCCCGUCGCCGGCACCACCUUGUGGUGAGGCUCUUGUUCAUGAAUGUUUUACAUUACCAAAUUGAUAUUUGUGUGAUUUGGAUAUAUAGUUACUCGUAUAAUUAUCUUAUCCAUACGUUGUUUGUUAUACAUAGUGCCAUGGUUUUGAUAUCCGUCCCCGUCGGCCCUCGUCCUUGUUAUGAUUUAGAUGUGGUAUAUUCUGAUUUAAAACUAGUUGUUGCAUUUCGUGUUUAUGACAAAUUAUGCCCAUCAAGUUGACAUAGAUAUAUUUAUCUAGGAGGUAUGUGAACCGGAAAUUCCAACCGAGCCUAUUGUCGAGAGGUUAAAUUUAGUUGAAAGAGAAAACGAGUAUUUGAAAGAAAAAUUGAAAAGAAUUGAGGGGGAGAAGAUGAAAUUGGAGUUGCAUGUUGCCGAUGUCGUCGAUGAUCACAAGAUCAAGAUGGAGAAAAUGAGGUUGAAUAUUAGAAAGAUUAGAAAAUAUGCCAUUGAUAGUGUGGCUUGGUAUCAUUAUGCUGUUGGAUCAAUUGUUACCUUACUUGCGAUCUUCAUCGCAUUUGUUGUUGCAUUUAAAUUCUUUAGCUAGAGAGUUAUUUGUAUGUUGCAUUUAAUUAAGUGUUGUAUAUGAACUUUAUGUAUGAACUUGUAUUAAUUUGGUCUAUUCGGUGUUGUGUAAUGAAGAUGAGCCGACAAUGGAUGUAUGAUGACAGAUGCUCUCCCGAGUUCAUUAAUGGCGUGCAUACUUUUCUGCUUGCCGCUGAGGCAAACAAGCGGGCGGAUGGUUUUAUGCCUUGUCCAUGUGCUGGCUGUAAGAAUGGUCACAGUUACUCUACAUCAAGAACCAUUCACAUCCACCUAUAUGAGUACGGUUUCAUGCCCCACUAUAAUGUUUGGACCAAGCAUGGAGAAAUAGGGGUUAUGAUGGAAGACAAUGAAGCAGAAGAGGACGACGACGGCUAUCCUGGCCAUGGGUUCCCUGAAUACGAUGAUACAACAAUGGGGGAAGAAGCUGAGCCGACAAUGCAGAAAGAAGCUGAAGAAGAGGCAUCAGAUGAGCCCGCUGAUGAUCUAGGUCGGGCCAUUGCCGAUGCAAAGAGAAACUGCGCAAGUGAUCUGGAGAGGACGAAGUUGUAGCGCAUGUUAGAGGAUCACAAGAAGUUAUUGUACCCGAAUUGCGAAGCUGACAAAAAAAGUUGGGCACCACACUUGAAUUGCUGCAAUGGAAGGCAGAGAAUGGUGUAUCUGACAAGGGAUUUGGAAAGUUGCUGGUAAUGAUAAAGAAUAUGCUUCCAAAGGACAACAAAUUGCCUGAGAGUACGUAUGAAGCAAAGAAGGCUGUCUGCCCUCUAGGGUUAGAGGUGCAAAAGAUACAUGCAUGCCCUAAUGUCCUCUACCCCGGUGAGUAUGAGGAUUUGAAUGCUUGCCCAGUAUGCGGUGCAUUGCAUUAUAAGAUCAGUCGCGAUGACCCUGGUGAUGUCGAGGGUGAGCGCCCCAGGAAGAAGAUUCCUACCAAGGUGAUGUGGUAUGCUCCUAUAAUACCAUGGUUGAAACGUUUGUUCCAAAACAAAGAGCAUGCGAAGGCGAUGCGGUGGCACGCACAAGACCGUAAGAAAGACGGAAAGUUGAGUGUACCCGCUGAUGGUUUGCAGUGGAGAAAAAUCGAGACAAAGUACUGGGAGGAGUUUGCAGGUGACCCAAGGAACGUAUGGUAAGUCUAAGCGCAGAUGGCAUUAAUCCUUUUGGCGAGCGGAGCAGCAACCAUAGCAUGUGGCCUGUGACUCUAUGUUUGUAUAACCUUCCUCCUUGGUUGUGCAUGAAGCGGAAGUUCAUUAUGAUGCCAGUGCUCAUCCAAGGCCCUAAGCAACCCGGCAACGACAUUGAUGUGUACCUAAGGCCAUUAGUUGAAGAACUCUUACAACUGUGGAAUGGAACAGGUGUACGUGCGUGGGAUGAGCACAUGAGGGCAGAAUUUGACCUAAAGGCGUUGCUGUUCGUGACCAUCAAUGAUUGGCCUGCUCUUAGUAACCUUUCAGGACAGACAAACAAGGGAUACCGCGGAUGCACGCACUGUUUGGAUGAUACCGACAGUAUAUAUUUGAAUAGUUGUAAGAAGAAUGUGUACUUGGGACAUCGUCGAUUUCUUUCGAGUAGGCAUCCCGUAAGAAAGAAAGGCAAGCAUUUCAAAGGUGAGGCGGAUCACCGGACGAAGCCUCGCCACCGUACUGGUGCUGAUGUACAUGAUAUGGUCAAGGAUUUGAAGGUAAUCUUUGGAAAGGGUCCUGGCGGACAACCAGUUCCGAAGGACGCUGACGGACGCGCACCCAUGUGGAAGAAGAAAUCUAUAUUUUGGGACCUGCCAUAUUGGAAAGACCUAGAGGUCCGCUCCGCAAUCGACGUGAUGCACGUGACGAAGAAUCUUUGCGUGACCCUGCUUGGCUUUUUGGGCGUGUAUGGGAAGACAAAAGAUACACCAGAGGCACGGGAGGACCAGCAACGUAUGCACGGAAAAGACGACAUACAUCAGGGUCAGGCCAGCUACGCUCUUACCAAAGAAGAGAAGGAAAUCUUCUUCCAAUGCCUGCUCAGCAUGAAGGUACCGUCUGGCUUCUCGUCGAAUAUAAAGGGAAUAAUAAAUAUGGCAAAGAAAAAGUUCCAGAACCUAAAGUCUCAUGACUGCCACGUGAUUAUGACGCAACUCCUUCCGAUUGCAUUGAGGGGGCUUCUACCGGAAAACGUUCGAUUAGCCAUUAUGAAGCUAUGUGCAUUCCUCAAUGCAAUCUCUCAGAAGGUAAUCGAUCCAGAAAUCAUACCAAGGUUACAGAAUGAUUUGGUGCAAUGUCUUGUCAGUUUCAAGUUGGUGUUCCCACCAUCCUUCUUCAGCAUCAUGACACACGUCCUAGUUCACCUUUGCGAAGAGAUUAACAUUUUGGGUCCUGUAUUUCUACACAAUAUGCUCCCCUUUGAAAGGUUCAUGGGAGUCUUGAAGAAAUAUGUUCAUAACCGUGCUAGGCCAGAAGGAAGCAUCUCGAAGGGCCAUCAAAAUGAGGAGGUCAUUGAGUUUUUUAUUGACUUUAUUCCUGACCUUAAGUCGAUUGGUGUUCCUGAAUCGCGGCAUAAGGGCAGACUGGAAGGAAAAGGCACGCUAGGAGGGCAUCAAAUAAUAUGUAUGGGCGGGCAUUCUCUCACUGAAGCACACUACACAGUUCUACAGAAUUCCGCCUCUGUGGCUCCGUAUAUGGAGGAACACAAGAAUUUUCUACAGUCCAAACACCCGGAGAAGUCUGACGACUAGAUUACACACGAACAAACUAGGACUUUCGCCUCUUGGUUGCAGAAACGUGCCCUGAAUGAUGGCGAUAUUCAAAAUGACCUGUACUCGAUGUCCCAGUUACCAUCUUCGAAUAUAAUGACUUUCAAAGGGUACCAGAUAAAUGGGAAUACAUUUUACACGAUCGCCCAAGAUAAGAAGAGCACCAACCAAAACAGUGGUGUCCGCUUUGAUGCAACAACCAACACGGGAAAGGAAACAUAUUAUGGUUACAUAGAGGACAUAUGGGAACUUAACUAUGGAUCAGGUGAUUUGAAGGUCCCUUUGUUUCGGUGCAAAUGGGUCAAUAUGACACGAGGCGGGGUAACGGAAGACCCGCAGUACGGAAUGACAACAGUGGAUCUCAACAAUCUUGCGUAUGCAGACGAACCAUUCUUCCUAGCCAAUGAUGUGGCGCAGGUUUUUUAUGUGAAAGACAUGUCUACCAGGCCGAGAAAAAGAAAAGAUAAGGAAGCGAAUGGAUCAUACGACGACCAAAGUGCCACAUAGUUCUUUCAGGUAAAAGGAACAUCGUGGGAGUGGAUGACAAGACAGACAUGUCAGAAGAUUAUGAAAAGUUUGAUGAAAUUGCUCCAUUCACAGUGAAUAUUGACUCGAGCAUCCAGUUAAAUGAUGAAAAUUUUCCAUGGCUACGGCGCAAAGGGACACACCAGAAGAAAAAGUUUCACACCCAAAGAUCUGGGAUGUGAUCGGCUUCACUAUCAUCACUUUCUUGUGUGUUUCACACCCAGGAGGGAAUGUCUGUAGUAGUUAGGGUAGUUAAUUAUGUGUUUUGGCAUUUGAAACGCGAAGAAAUUUUAUGUGCAAACAAAUCCUUUUCAUGCAUUACUGAUUUUUUUUCCAGCUAAAUGACCAUGAAAUUGAAAAGCAUUUGAAAUGAACUCAGAAAAGUAGAGAGGGUUACGACAAAAACUGGAUACACUUCGUGUGCAAAAUGGACAAUCUUUUUCGAAGUAUCAGGGUUUCCGACGAAAACUGAAAUGUUACAAAGGCAUUUCAUUUUUUAAAUAACCUAAGCAUUACCAAACUGAAUAUACUGAUAAAACACACUAAUAUUAAACAUAAGGAAAAAGAAUCACUGAAAAAACUUUUUUCAAAGUUAAGUUAUUCACAAACUAGUGAUUCACACAAAUUUCAAAUAAUUCAAAAUUUAAACUAUUCAAAAUUAAAAACUACCGGCACUAAUAGAAAGUUUGUAAUUUUUUGUACCUAAAGCAAAAAUAUUCACAAAGAAACUCUAAAUACAGCAAAAACAACUCAAAAAUAAAUAAAACAAAAAUAAAUAAAGCGGAAAAAAUUAAGAAAAUAAAAAAGCCCACCUACUGGGUCAAAGCGGCCUGCAUACGACUAGGAACACAACCUUUAGUUGGGCCAGGAUGCAGGCCCGCAAAGGCCUAGUAGGCCCACAUGGCAGAAGAGGACAGGUAGGCCCAGUAGGCCUGCUUAAGAGAGGAGCUCGAGAGAGCUACCGCACUGGGGCUUAUAAACCAGUGCGGUAGCCCCUCGGGUAGCGAGGUGGGACUAAACUUGCGCACCGCUUGGAGCCAGCGCACCCCUUUAGUACCGGCUCGUGGCUUCAACCUGUACUAAAGACUCCCCUCCCCCUUUAGUACCGGUUGGAGCCACCACCCGGUACUAAAGUGGGUGCGCUUCCCGCCGCUUGGCCAGGCCAAAACAGACCUUUAGUACCAGUUGGUGACUCCAACCGGUACUAAAGGUCCAUCCUAUAUAUACAACACUUAAAAAAAUUCAGUUUCCCUCUGUUUCUUCCCUCUGUUUCCUCCCUUCGUCGCGCCUCCCUACCCCGAUCGACGCUGUCCCCGUCGACGUCGCCGCCCCCGCCCCUCGUCACCGACCCCGGCCGUCCCCGCCCCUCGUCGCCGCCCCCGUGGACGUCGCCGCCCCGGCCGUCCCCGUCCCCGUCGUCNNNNNNNNNNNNNNNNNNNNNNNNNNNNNNNNNNNNNNNNNNNNNNNNNNNNNNNNNNNNNNNNNNNNNNNNNNNNNNNNNNNNNNNNNNNNNNNNNNNNNNNNNNNNNNNNNNNNNNNNNNNNNNNNNNNNNNNNNNNNNNNNNNNNNNNNNNNNNNNNNNNNNNNNNNNNNNNNNNNNNNNNNNNNNNNNNNNNNNNNNNNNNNNNNNNNNNNNNNNNNNNNNNNNNNNNNNNNNNNNNNNNNNNNNNNNNNNNNNNNNNNNNNNNNNNNNNNNNNNNNNNNNNNNNNNNNNNNNNNNNNNNNNNNNNNNNNNNNNNNNNNNNNNNNNNNNNNNNNNNNNNNNNNNNNNNNNNNNNNNNNNNNNNNNNNNNNNNNNNNNNNNNNNNNNNNNNNNNNNNNNNNNNNNNNNNNNNNNNNNNNNNNNNNNNNNNNNNNNNNNNNNNNNNNNNNNNNNNNNNNNNNNNNNNNNNNNNNNNNNNNNNNNNNNNNNNNNNNNNNNNNNNNNNNNNNNNNNNNNNNNNNNNNNNNNNNNNNNNNNNNNNNNNNNNNNNNNNNNNNNNNNNNNNNNNNNNNNNNNNNNNNNNNNNNNNNNNNNNNNNNCAAACACACACACACACACACACACACACUACACACACACACUACACACACACAAACAUUAUUAGUUUAUUUGUUAAUUUUUUUUCUGUUUUUUAGUUAUAGAAAUGUUAGGAAAUUAUUCUGUUUUUUAGUUAUAUAAAUAUUAGAAAUGUUAGUUAUAUAGAAAUGUUAUAAAUGUUUUCUGUUUUUAGUUAUAGAAAUAUUUAUAGAAAUGUUAGCAAUUUUUUUGUUUUUUAGUUAUAUAAAUAUUAGAAUUGUUAUAGAAAUGUUAGUUAUAUAAUCAGGAAAUUUUAGAAUUAGUUUUAGUUAGAUAAAUUAGAUUAAUGUCAAAUUGUUAGAAUUUGCAUAUAUAAAUAUAGAAUUUUAGUUAUCACAAUCCAAUCAUUUAAAAAAUGUUACUUUUUGCGGGCAUAUAGUAUGUGUUCUCGACGAUAUGCCCGGCCCGCAUCCUCGCCGUCGACCCAUUCGCGACGACGUCAUGCUUCAGAGGACCCAUGUCCGGGACUGGAAUCCGCCGGGCUGGCACUGGGAGGUGCUACCUGGAGGGGCGCGCCGCUUGGUGAGGAACCCGACCUCCGGUCCCGUCGUCGACCCUGAUCUUCUUAUGUGGCGUUCACGUGGGCCACAUUCGGUGCAGAGGCAGCCGGCCCCGCCGGAGGUAGUGCGUCGCCGUGUCAGGGAGGAAGAUGAGCACGUCCAUCGCUACAUGGCUGCUAUGGACGACGUCAGGUUCUCCACUACUUGGCGGGUUCUUUGGGCAGAUGACCGGAGAUAUGAUCCUGUGAUGGUUCCUUCUCUUUGGGUGUGCACCGCCCGCGCCCCAGGAAUUGCGAGUGGCGCCCUAGAUUCUUCUGUAGUACUCGAUCUUUAUUAGGUACCUAGCCAGUGAUGUAUUCGAUAUAUAAUAUUCGAGAUGAUGUAUUCGAGAUUAUAUAUAUUAAGACGAUGAUGUAUUCGAGAUUAUAUAUUCGAGACGAUGUAUUCGAGAUUCAGUUUUUCCUUAUUGAUUAAUUGCAUCCAUGCAUUGUAAUUUGAAUACUAAAUUGUUUUAUAUUUCUUCUGUAUUAAUUAGUAAAGUAAAAGCUAUGGCGGACAAUACCGGCAGAGAGAGAGAGAAGAGGAAUUGUUCGACAUCAUAUGGAGCCCUCAUAGGCUAGAUGAUCUGAAUGAUGACGGCUCCCAAUAUCUGAACAAUACCGGAGAGGGUGAUGAAAAGAUAUUCGAUCUCGACGACCGAGCUGAUGAAGUCAUGAACUAUGAUUAUGAUGACACAGACAAUGUUAGUGAUGACACAGACAAUGCUGAUCUUCAAAUAACAAAGACUUCCGGCGAGGUAUAUAUUUAUAUAAGCAUGCAUCCUGGUGAUCAUCACAUGUUUUUUUAUUGAAGAUAUAUUAACGAAUCGAUCUUUCUUCUUUCAGCCCUCCGGAUCGAGCAAAUCUGCUUCUACAGACAGCAAGACAAAGCAAGGCCCGAGCAGAUUGUUGAAGGAUGGUGUAAAGUACCACAUCGAAUCCACCAAACUUAGUGGCGAACCCCUCACGCCUAAGAACAUUGCAGACAAGUGGACUCAUCAGUGCGGAGUUCUUGUGAAGGACAAACUCCCGAUCUCCAUUCAAGAAUGGAAAGAGCCAAAGACUAAACGUCCAGGUGUUACUUGGGUUGAUGCCAGAGACAAAGAAGACCUGGUGAAAUCUCUGAUGGAACAUUUCACCCUACCAGAUUAUUUCACUAAAGCAGAUGUGGAGAAAGUCAAGGCCGCUGCUCUUAAGAAGAUGGCAAUUGCAUUCAACACCCACAAGAAAACUGUAUGGGCUAACUACCUCGCUAAUGAAAGGAAGACUCCAGAUUUCCAGGGAACAUUGGAGAAGCAAAGAGAACACUGGGACGAUUUCGUGACCUUCAAGGAUUCAGAAUUAUCUAAGGAACGGUCGAUGAAAAACAAGGCAAAUGCUGCAAGAAAUAUGCAGUUCCAUAGGCUGGGUCCAGGUGGCUACACGGUGGGAUUGCCAAAGUGGGAUAAGUCUGAGCAAGAGAUGGAGGGUGCAGGGGUCACUCCGAUUACUAGGAGCUGGCCCCCCAGGUGUAGAACUUGGUUCUAUGCGCAUGGGGGGCGUUGGACCCGAAGACAGGCCUGGUUUAGAAGAAGACAAGUCUAAAAGGAGCCGAACAAAACAUACUUGACGCAAUAGAAGAAGCUCGAGCGGGGGUGUUCACGCCCAACAGAGAGAACGACGAGCUUACGCGUGCCCUGGGAAAUCCUGAACACCCGGGAAGAACAUGAGGCAUGGGUGUUAUUCCCUGGUAUGAGGGCUUUUCGGACUGGAAUGACGACUACAGGUCCCGUGCAAGAAAGAAGAUGGAGGAGGACAAGAAGAGGAAGCUGGAGGAGGAGCAGAGGAAGCAGGACGCAGAACGUCUUCAAGGCCUAGAAGAAAGGCACGUGGACCUGGCACUCAAAUUCCAGUAGCAGCAGCAGCAGAUCGACUCACUUAGCCAGGAAAGGGGGUCUCAGCAGCGACAACAGCAAGCGGAUGAUCGUCCAUCAUUGGAUAGCACCGUCCCAUCCAUGCCGAGAAGCAGCGUUGGUUCUGCCUCGGGCGACACACUGCUGGAUACAUACCCUGUGGAUGACAUCAUAGAGAAAACUAACUGUGAGCUACACUCCAAAAUGAAGAACAUAUCCAUGAAGGUGGCGGAUGGCGUUGCUUUUCCAGUGACCCCUGAAGCAACCUACCAUUGCAUCCCGAUUGCAGAGGGCUAUGCUCGUGCCAUGGUUGAUGAAGUGGUGGACCCAUAUUCGGGGCUAACGCUUGACAUUCCUGGAGGUGAAGACGUGCGCACACUGGGACAGGCCAUACAUCGUAUCAUCCUAUGGAGAAAGGAUUGCAUCAUCUUUCAAAGUCCACCGACACCGCGUCGUCUGCCGACUCCUCGAAGUCCGCCACCGAGUCAGCAGACUCCCGCUCCUCCAAGUCCACGAAUGCACGAGACGACUCCUCCUCGAAGUCCGCCACCUCCUCCAAGUCCCCAAACGCAUGAGCUGACUCCUCCGGUUUCAAGUCCGGCACAGCGUCAUGCCACUUCUCCGGUUUCAAGUCCGGCAUCGUGUCAGGCCACACGUCCUGCUUCAAGUCUGGCACAUCAUCAGGCCACUUCUCCUGGUCCAACUCCACGUCAGCCGUCUCCGCCGUCUCAGCAAUCGCACAAGAGACAUGCCGCAGAUUUGGUGCGUAGCGGUAUGAGUCGAGGUAGUUCAGGAAGUACAGGCGGAGACAAGCGAUAUAAAUAUGGUCCAAGCCUCGCUCCUCUUCCUCAGAGGCCUUACGACAUGACCGAGGAGCAAAACACAGCCAUAGUGCAGGCCCAAGUGGACGCCCAUUUUGGACCGAAACCGGCACCGCCGCCAAAGGAGAAAGUGCAUGAGAAAACGAUUGACCACUUCAUUCAUAUGGCUAGAGCACCAGCUCCCAAGCCUGUUGACUCGGACUAUGAGCAUCAAAUCAGGAAGCUACAUCGAGCACGGCUACGGAAGGAAGCGAGCUCGAGCUCGAGCGAACAAGCAGCUGGCAAAAAAUGCGGGAAAACCGUUCCCCAGCUGGGAGAACAGGCGGCGCAAGAGAUUCCCCCACUUGUUGUGCCAACAACACAUGAGAGGAGUACGCGCGCCAAAUAUUAUUGUGGGUAAACCGUUAGCGUUCCCCAGCAGGGCGAUGUGGUAAUAGUGGAGGAGCAUAUAAUGCAGGCUGAAAUGCUCAAGAUCUCUGCUGGACAACUCUUAGAAAUCGAGCACAUGUCUCCGCUUAAAGAAUCGGAAAUAAAAUGGAAAUAUGUCUGUGGCCAACCUUUGGUCCAUCCAGACAAGGUCAAGGACCUCCCAAUAAGAAUGUAUGAAUUGCAUCAAUGGUACAUGAACAUGACCAAGAUUUCCAAUCGAGUGUCCCUCAUGGUGAAUGUCAAGAAGGAUCAUUAUUACCAUGAGAAAGCUCUGUCCAUUGAGUAUUCAGAACUAUAUCAGUUAUUCAAUCAAGAUGCACUCGACAAGUCUAUCGUCAGUUGCUAUUGUCUGUAAGUGAUUUCUUUUUGUAAUUUAAGUCUCAAGCUAAUUAUGUAGUGAUAAUUUUGAUCAAUCAUUACAUGUAAUUAUCCUCACUAUAUUCUUUUCUAUGGUAUUAUAUGCAGGAUGAAGAUGUAUGAAAUGAAAAAAUCUGGACGCUAUGGCAUUGGGUUCAUAGACCCAAAUACCAUUAAUGAGGACAUAUGGAAGUAUCCAUUUUAUCAAGCAGGUGUAGAGGAAAGCAUGGUAGAGUUCUUGAAGCGCCUCAAUAGCAAUGAAGAUAUACUACUUCCUUACAACUUCCCGUGAGUUACACUGUCUUGUACUACAAAUUCUGUCUUUUACUUACUAGCUAGCUAGAUGUUAAUAAUUAAGUGUAUACGGUUUACGGUAGUUGAUUAAUUUUAUGCACAUGCCCGCUUAUUUAAGACAUGCAAACGUGUGCGCAUGCAGUUGGCACUGGGUCUUGAUAGACAUUAAAGUUGAGGAAGGAAAAGUUGAAUUACUGGACUCGCUAACUAAAAAAGAAAGUGACUUCACCAUCGUGAAGGGGAUAGUCAGCAGGUAAUUUCAAUCAUUAUUNNNNNNNNNNNNNNNNNNNNNNNNNNNNNNNNNNNNNNNNNNNNNNNNNNNNNNNNNNNNNNNNNNNNNNNNNNNNNNNNNNNNNNNNNNNNNNNNNNNNNNNNNNNNNNNNNNNNNNNNNNNNNNNNNNNNNNNNNNNNNNNNNNNNNNNNNNNNNNNNNNNNNNNNNNNNNNNNNNNNNNNNNNNNNNNNNNNNNNNNNNNNNNNNNNNNNNNNNNNNNNNNNNNNNNNNNNNNNNNNNNNNNNNNNNNNNNNNNNNNNNNNNNNNNNNNNNNNNNNNNNNNNNNNNNNAACCCCUUUAUUAAUUUUCUUUGCUGGCGGGCAGGGCAUGGGCAAAAUUCAUCGCGAUGACUCCAGGCGAAUCGAAACAAAAGUUGUUUUGGCAUCGACCAAAGGUAAGUAAUUAAGUAGUACUAGCUAGCUACCAUCUCUUUAAUUCUUGUUUCAAUAUCAUUAAUUAAGUAUCAUGCUUGAUUAAUCAUUAUCUGAUUCAAUUUCAUUCUCGUAAAUGCACCGAAGCAGGCGUCGGGGAAUAAUCUGUGUGCAUUCUACGUUUGCGAGAACAUUCGCAUGAUGACGUCCGAAAGGAGCAGAUCUGAUAGAUAAGACUGGGUACGUUUGUCAGAACACUAUUCACACCAUUAUCGAUAUCUAGUCACACAACUAACACACAUGCAUAUUGAUCUCCUUCUUAACAGUUCAGAGAGGUGCGGGAUAAGCUCCUACCAUCGGACCGCAUACUAGCACUUCAAGAGGAAAUAGCCGGAUUUUUGCUCGACCAGGUCAUAAAUCCCGAAGGAGAAUACUAUUACCCGCUACCGCCCCCAUGAACCACUUGUCAUUGUGCUCCGGAGGCACCAAGGCAACAUAUGUAGGAGAAAUUGUAUAUGUAUACAUGUGUAUGUGUGAAUAAUGGUGUUGAUUGUGAGACAUUCGAUGNNNNNNNNNNNNNNNNNNNNNNNNNNNNNNNNNNNNNNNNNNNNNNNNNNNNNNNNNNNNNNNNNNNNNNNNNNNNNNNNNNNNNNNNNNNNNNNNNNNNNNNNNNNNNNNNNNNNNNNNNNNNNNNNNNNNNNNNNNNNNNNNNNNNNNNNNNNNNNNNNNNNNNNNNNNNNNNNNNNNNNNNNNNNNNNNNNNNNNNNNNNNNNNNNNCAAUUUGUAGUAUCGUGAAAUACCAGCAAACAAAAAAAAUGUAAUGGAAAAUAAAAAAAACACCCAAACAUUUAGUACCGGUUGAUGUUACCAACCGGUACUAAAGCCCUACGCGCACCCGGGCCUGGCUCGUGCCACGUGUUCGCACUUUAGCGCCGAUUCGUGACGAACCGGUACUAAAGGGGAGGGGGACCUUUAGUCCCCACUCUUUAGUGCCGGUUGUAGAACCGGCACUAAAGGCUGUUACGAACCGGCACUAAAGGCCGAUUCUGCACUAGUGCGACUACAUGCCGGUGUCAUCAAUGCAUGUGACUCACAACCACUCACUCAGUGCCAUCAUUCACUUUGGAACUGUUAUCGACAUGGUCAUGCCAGCCCCGGUAUAGGAGUGGCGACCGCGGCACAUCGCAUGACUCGUUCGCACAUAGUUAAAAAAAAUUACCAUGUUUCAAGUGCUUUGUAUUCUUUGGUGAACUUUUGGAAUUUAUUUGAUUCUUUUUCAGAAGAACAAAUAAAAGGAACACGCAGUUUGAAUCCAUUGGGCACGGAUGGAACGUGGCAUGUCUCCUGGCCAAGAUACAAGCGCGGUGGGCACGCUGCAAGGGCGACGUGGCAGUUUGGACGCCGAUGUGGCGCAUUCUCGCCACCAAUACGGACGGCCUGGUGUGUGUCACGCACCAAUAUAUAAAACAUCCAGAUCCAGGGCAGCUACGUCGAGCGAUGCGAUUGGCCAGCUCGACGAUAUGCCGGCGCAAGGAAAUAUGCCGAUCCAGACAAGAAACACGACGGCGAGAAUCGCGCGUACGCCCCACAUGCAUGCGACGUCGGACACCGCUCACCGAGUACCACUAUUAUUGGGGUCCAUGCACGCACGGCACCACAGGCCACACGUAAAUGCCAUGUGAUGCCUGGCACCACAGCAGGCCACAGACCAUCCAUGGACCGCGAUCACUGAGUACGUUUACUCUCUUUGGCAUUAUGCUUAAUAUGGCCAUGUGAUGUGUACGUGUUUAGCCUUUAUUAGGAGGGCAGAUCCUUCAUGCUCCCCCGUAUGCAGAUCCAGAUCGAGAGCCCACCGCCCAAUCAGUAGCCACGGCUGACCGCCAUAUCCUCAGCAGCUGGUUCUCUCUAGGAUUUAGUCGACUUAGACAUGGCCAAGUCUAAGUCGGCUGAUGUCACCUGUUUAUUUUUUCGUUUAUGUUCAAACUAUAUCCCAACGUUGCAUCUUGUGGCUUUUUGGCUGGCUCCUUUUUUUGUCUUUAGUCUGUGCGUUCAUCAAGUUGUGUUGAGCCAGAUAUUUUGGGCAGUUAUUUUUUGUUUGGUGCUGCUGCUCGUUGAUUAUGUAAUCUUUAGCUAUUGUUUGAGCAUUUUUUCUGAAACCUUUAGAUAUUGUUCGAGUAUAUUAGCUUUGUGGUACACCGGCCAGCUAUAUUAGCUGUUGUUCCUACAGUUUUCUUAACAUGCUAUUUAUUUCGUUUUGUUUGGAUUUCUUUUUCAUUUUUAUUUACAUUUUCACAUUUUGUUUCUAAAAAUUGUAAACAUUAGUUAACGCUCGUUUCUUCUUCAUUUUGUUUCACUAGAAAAUGUUUAAUAUUAUUUAAAAAUAUCCUUCAUGCCAUUACAAAAAUAUUCAAUGUUAGUUAACGCUCGUUUUUAGCUUACAUUUUCUUUAUUUGAUUGGGUUGAGUCGGGCAUUGUUUUACUUGUCUGUUUGUAAUUUCUCUAUCAUCCACAAAUUGAAAAAUGGUACUAACAAAAAUAAAGAGAGCUCAUCAUAUGUUGUUUCACAUGCGAUGCGGGCGUGCGACUAGGUUUGUGUGGCAUGCUUAAAAAAAAUUCCAAACAUCUCUUUUUAGAUAAAAAACAAAAUAUAAUAUAAUAUAAAAUAUAAAAUUAAUUUAAUAAUAGGGUGUGGAUACGACUCGGUCGAUUGAGACUUAGAAAGAAGUCUCAGUCAGCUGGCAUCAUGGCGGCAUGCAGUAGUAGCCCGAGGCGGCAGUUUCAGAUGCAGGUCUAGUGGCAUGCAUGCAAUUCUCCAUCUUCCGACAAAAACACCAGGAGUUGCAGUCGUGGGCGACACAUGCAGUUGCAUGCCAAGUGUCGGACAUGCAACUUCUCCCUCCCAGACAAAAUACCACAGAGUUGCAGUCUGGUUUUAGACAUGCAGUUGCAGUCUGGGGCAACACUUGCAGUUGCAUGCGUAGUGUCGGGCAUGCAACUACCCCCUCCUCUCCCCGUUGCUCUUCGACAAUAACACAAAGGACAUUUGCAGUUGGGAGGGAGGCGUGCAAUUGCAGACGAGGGCAGCACAUGGAGUUGCAAGCCUAGUGUCGGGCAUAGAACUACCCCCCUCUCACGGUGCCCACCGACCAAACAAAAGGUUGGGUGCGGUUGGGUGUGUUGACAUGCAGUUGUAGUUGACGGCGACACUUGAGUUACAAGCUUAGUGUCUGGCAUGCAACUGCCCCUCUCCCUCCGCCCUCAAACAAAAACACAUGGCCAAUUGCAGUCAGGGCGGAGGUGUGCAAUUGCAUUUGAGGGUGGCACUUGUAGUUGCAGCCAUUUUGGGAGAUAUGAAGUUGCAGCCAGGGUGACACUUGCAGUUGCAUGCCUAGUGUUGGACAUGCAAUUGCCCACCUCUCUCGCUGCUUACUUGAAAAAAGGUCAGUUGCAGUCAAGUGCGUAGGCAUGCAAUUCAGUCAAGGGCGACACUUGCAGUUGCAAGCCUAGUGUCAGACAUCUAACUACCACCCCCUCUCUCGCUGCCCACCAUAAAAAAGGUCAGUUGCGGUCGGAUGUAUGUACAUGACAUUGCACUCGAGGGCGACACUUGCAGUUGCAAGCCUAUUGUCGGACAUGCAACUUCCCCCUUCUCCCACCGCCCUCCGACAAAAACAUAAGGCUAGUUGCAGUCGAGAGGGAGGCAUUCAGUCGGGGGGUGACACUUGUAGUUAUAUGGCUAGUAUUGUACAUGCAACCCCGCCCCCACCCCCGCCUACUCCUGUAGCCCACUUACAAAACAAAGGUCAAUUGCAUUCGGGUGUGUGAGCAUGCAGUUUCAGUCGGGGGCAACACUUGCAGCUGCAUGCCUAGUGUUACCCCCGCCCUCCCUACUGCCCACUAACAAUUGCAGUUGCAAGCCUAGUGUUGGAGCUGCAACUGCCCCCUUCUCCCGAUAAGAAAAGGAGGAAAUAUACACAAAAUCCAGUCCUUCAUCAAUUGCAUGUGGAGUAAGAUGUGUGUAGUUAUGCAUGUGUAAGCGAACUUGCUACACACAAUUAAUAUUUCCUUUGAGGCUAAAAAGUAAAGAAUAAGUAACAACAUAGUUACACGCCGAUACGAUGUGUGCAGUCACGUGUGGAUGGAUGUACAUGUAGCUGAUAGUAUGAUUUGAAAAAUGACAAAAAUAAAUGUGAACAAUUAAGAAUUAAUAAAAUAUAAAAAUUAAAAUGAAAAAAAUCACACAAACAUACUUCAAAGAAAUAAUUAUGAGAGAAAAGAGAACAAGAAAAGAAUGAGAAGAAUGGAAAUAAGUAAUAAUUUCAAAAGAAGCAACAAAAAUAAAAUUAGAAAGGAAAACUAUCCUUGAAAUCCAAAAUGAAUUGGCUCAAGCCAUUCUGAAAAAUAUUAUAAACAAUGUUGCGAUCGGAAAAAGGAAAUGCAACACAAAUUUGCACCAAUCUUGGCGCAUAGAGAUUGAACGGUUUACCGUAUAACCAAAUCUUAUAUGAGCAAACCUUGACGUACAACAUGGAGGAAAAUAAAAAAAACGUGGAGAAAAAUUAAGAGUGUGCAUUGACCAUGACAUGCUAAAAGAUAUAGGGGAAGACACUGAGCGUGGAGGACACACAUGCUGGUCUAGUAGAAAAAAUGAGAAAAAACAAGACAACACACUUCCUCUUUGCGGUUUGAACGGUCUAUUUCUAACCACAACCCAUCAAACAAACAAAAAGAAACAAGCUGGACGCAUCAUCCUAACAGGCCGAUUUAAACCAGACAAGCAGUUAGCAUAAAAAAUAUUCAAUGGAGGCGUCGACUGAGACUUGGAUAGAAAUCAGUCGACUGAUUUUUAGUCCCUCCGUUCCGUUAAAUCGCAGCUCCACCGCUCCCAUCAACCCUCGAACCUCGAUAAAAAUGUUGUUUUUCUUUCCCGAAAAGAAGGUGAAAACACCGCAGCUUCUGCAUGGAUCCAUGUAGGAUCUUUCAUUCUCUUAUUGUAAUAUAAGGUUUAUUUAAGAUCCAACAUCUCGCACUAGGAGUACAAAAGGCCACCAAGGCCAUAAGAGCAUCUACGCACGCUCAUCACUCGAAUAUGUGUUAUAACCGCACAUCUAACAUAGAGUGUUCAUCGGGGCAUACUCAUAGAAAUUUGCUGAUCGAUUCUUCUUACCUAACCCCCUAUGUGUCUAGUACUCUACAUGAUAUGUUAGGGCAUCUCCAACACCGACCUGUAAAUAUGCUCCCGCAUCCGUCCAUGAACAAGGGGACCAGUCCGCGGACAUGAAUGCGGGAGGCGGCCAUCCAACACUGCCAAUAUACAUUUCAACAACUUUUUAAAUCAGUCGAAUGAGAUUUUUGCAAACACGAUGGAAUUCAUUGUUCGGUUAUCUAUACAUAAUAUUAAAGGACGGAUUGUUUCUUCACUAUUUUUGGUCCAUCGAUGUUUUUUGUAUGUUUUUCGGUUUUCGUCCGUCGCUGUUUUAUGUUAAAAAAGAAUUUAGUCUCAAACGGACUCGAACCGCUGCCCACUUAUGUCAAGGUGCAAUUCAACAACUGUUGGGGAACGUAGCAGAAAUUCAAAAUUUUCUACGCAACACCAAGAUCAAUCUACGGAGAGACUAGCAACGAGAAAGAGGGGAGUGCAUCUUCAUACCCUUGAAGAUCGCGAUGCGGAAGCGUUACAAGAACGCGGUCGGUGGAGUCGUUCACGAAGCGAUUCAGAUCGCGACCGAAUCCGAUUUAAGCACCGAAGAACGGUGCCUCCGCGUUCAACACACGAGCAGCCCGGUGACGUCUCCCAUGCCUUGAUCCAGCAAGGGAAGAGGGAGAGGUUGGGGAAGAUUCCGUCCAGCAGCAGCACGACGGCGUGGUGGUGGUGGAGGAGCGCGGCACUCCAGCAGGGCUUCGCCAAGCACUACGAGAGACGAGGAGGGAGAGAGGUAGGGCUGCGCCUUGGGAGAGAGAGACUCAUGUGUUGGGCAGCCCCAAAACCUCCACUAUAUAUAUGGGGAAGGGAGAGGGGGAGGCGCCCUAGGGUUUCCCCUAGGGGGGGCGUCGGCCAGGGCAGAUGGGAUCUCCCCUUUGGGUGACUUGGCCCCAAAGCCAGGAGGUGGGAACCCUAGAUGGGGCGCCCCAAACCCCCCGGUCACGUGGGAAUAGGUGAGGGGGCGCACAACCCCUUAGUGGGCUGGUUUGCCCCCUCCCCUUGGCCCAUGAAGCCCCCCCAACACUUGUUGGGGCUCCCGAAACACCUUUCGGUCAUGCUGGUCAUCACCCGGUACCUCCGGAACACUUCCGGACUCCAAAACCCUUCGUCCAAUAUAUCAAUCUUCACCUCCGGACCAUUCCGGGACUCCUAGUGACGUCCGGGAUCUCAUCCAGGACUCUAAACAACAUUCGUUAAUCACGUACAUACCUUCCCUAUAACCCUAGCGUCAUCGAACCUUAAGUGUGUAGACCCUACGGGUUCGGGAACCAUGCAGAAAUGACCGAGACAACUCUCCGUCCAAUAACCAACAGCGGGAUCUGGAUACCCAGUUGGCUCACACAUGUUCCACGAUGAUCUCAUCGGAUGAACCAUGAUGUCAAGGAUUCAAUCAAUCCCGUAUGCAAUUCCCUUUGUCUACCGGUAUAGUACUUGCCCGAGAUUCGUUCAUCGGUAUGCCGAUACCUUGUUCAAUCUCGUUACCGGCAAGUCUUUUUACUCGUUCCGUAACACAUCAUCCCGUGAUCAACUCCUUGAUCACAUUGUGCACAUUAUGAUGAUGUCCUACCGAGUGGGCUCAGAGAUACCUCUCCGUCACACGGAGUGACAAAUCCCAGUCUCGAUUCGUGCCAACCCAACAGACACUAUCGGAGAUACCCUUAGUGCACCUUUAUAGCCACCCAGUUACGUUGUGACGUUUGGUACACCCAAAGCUUUCCUACGGUAUCCGGGAGUUGCACAAUCUCAUUGUGUAAGGAAAAGAUACUUGACAUUUAGAAAAGCUUUAGUAUACGAACUACACGAUCUUGUGCUAGGCUUAGGAUUGGGUCUUGUCCAUCACAUCAUUCUCCUAAUGAUGUGAUCCCGUUAUCAAUGACAUCCAAUGUCCAUGGUCAGGAAACCAUGACCAUCUGUUGAUCAACGAGCUAGUCAACUAGAGGCUCACUAGGGACAUGUUGUGGUCUUUGUAUUCACACAUGUAUUGCGGUUUCCGGUCAAUACAAUUAUAGCAUCAAUAAUAGACAAUUAUCCUGAACAAGGAAAUACAAUAAUAACCAUUUUAUUAUUGCCUCUAGGGCAUAUUUCCAACCGUCUCCCACUUGCACUAGAGUCAAUAAUCUAGUUCACAUCACUAUGUGAUUGUAAUGAAUCGACACCCAUGGGGUUUGAUCAUAUCUCGCUUAUGAGAGAGGUUAUUAGUCAACGGAUCUGAACCUUUUAGAUCCGUGUGUGCUUUGAAAAUCUCUAUGUAAUCUCCUAGAUGCAGCUACCACGCUCUAUUUGGAGCUAUUCCAAAUAACUGUUCUACUAUACGAAUCCGGUUUACUACUCAGAAUAAUCCGGAUUAGUGUCAAAGUUUGCAUCGGCGUAACCCUUUACGACGAACUCUUUUACCACCUCCAUAAUCGAGAAAAUUCCUUAGUCCACUAGUUACUAAGGAUAAGUUUGACCGCUGUCCUGUGAUCCAUUCCUGGAUUACUCUUGUACCAUUUGACUGACUCAUGGCAAGGCACACUUCCGGUGCGGUACAUAGCAUAGCAUACUAUAGAGCCUACGUCUGAAGCAUAGGGGAUGACCUUCGCCCUUACUAUCUCUUCUGCCGUCGUCAUGUCUUGAGUCUUACUCAAUACUCACACCAUAUAACACAGCCAAGAACUCCUUCUUUGCUGAUCUAUUUUGAACUCCUUCAAAAUCUUGUCACGGUAUGUAUUCAUUUGAAAGUACUAUUAAGCAUUUUGAUCUAUCCUUAUAGAUCUUGAUGCUCAAUGUUCAAGUAGCUUAAUCCAGGUUUUCCAUUGAAAAACACUUUUCAAAUAACCCUAUAUGCUUUCCAGAAAUUCUACAUCAUUUCCGAUCAACAAUAUGUCAACAACAUAUACUCAUCAAAAAUGCUAUAGUGCUCCCACUAACUUCUUUGGAAAUACAAGUUUCUCAUAAACUUUGUAUAAACCAAAAAAUCUUUGAUCUUCUCAUCAAAGCGUAUAUUCCAAGUCUGAGAUGCUUACUCCAGUCCCUAGAAGGAUUGCUGGAGCUUUGCACACUUGUUAGCAUCUUUCAGGAUUGACAAAACCUUCUGGUUGUAUCACAUACAACCUUUCCUCAAGAAUAUCGUCGAGGAAACAAUGUUUUGACAUCCUAUCUGCAAGAUUUCAUAAAUCAUGCAGUAAUUGCUAAUAUAAUUCCAACAAACUCUUAGCAUCACUACGAAUGAGAAAGUCUCAUCGCAGUCAACUCCUUGAACUUGUCGGAAAACAUCUUAACGACAAGUCGAGCUUUCUUAAUGGUGAUACUUACCAUCAUUGUCCGUCUUUCUUUUAAAAUCCAUCUGUACCCAACAGCCUUACGACCAUCAAGUAGUUCUUCCAAAGUCCACACUUUCUUUUCAUACAUGGAUCCUCUCUCGGAUUUUAUGGCCUCUCGCCAUUUGUUGGAAUCCGGGACCACCAUCACUUCUCCAUAGCUCGUAGGUUCAUUGUUGUCUAGCAACAUGACUUCCAAGACAGGAUUACCGUACCACUCUGAAGUACUACGCAUCCUUGUCGACUUACAAGGUUUGGUAGUGACUUGAUCCGAAGUUUCAUGAUCACUAUCAUCAGCUUCCACUUCAAUUGGUGUAGGUGCCACAGGAACAACUUCCUGUGCCCUGCUACACAUUGGUUGAAGUGAUGGUUCAAUAACCUCAUCAAGUCUCCACCAUCCUCCCACUCAAUUCUUUCAAGAGAAACCUUUUUCUCUAGAAAGGACCCGUUUCUAGAAACAAUCACUUUUGCUUCCGGGUCUGAAUUAGGAGGUAUACCCAACUGUUUUGAGUGUCCUAUGAAGAUGUAUUUAUCCGCUUUGGGUUCGAGCUUAUCAGGAUGAAACUUUUUCACAUAAGCGUCGCAGCCCCAAAUUUUCAAGAAACGACAGCUUAGGUUUCUCUAAACCAUAGUUCAUACGGUGUCAUCUCAACGGAAUUACUGGUGCCCUAUUUAAAGUGAAUGUGGUUGUCUCUAAUGCCUAACCCAUGAAUGAUAUUGGUAAUUCGAUAAGAGACAUCAUGGUAUGCACCAUAUCCAAUAGGGUGCAGCUAUGAUGUUCGGACACACCAUCACACUAUGGUGUUCCAGGCGGUAUUAGUUGUGAAACAAUUUCCACAAGGUCUUAAUUGUGUACCAAACUCGCAACUCAGAUAUUCAUCUUUAUGAUCAUAUCAUAGACAUUUUAUCCUCUUGUCACGAAGAUCUUCAACUUCACUCUGAAAUUACUUGAACCUUUCAAUAAUUCAAACUUGUGUUUCAUCAAGUAAAUAUACUCAGCAUCUACUCAAAUCAUCUAUGAAGUAAGAACAUAAUGAUAUCCACUGCGUGCCUCAGCACUCAUUGGACUGCACACAUCAAAAUGUAUUACUUCCAACAAGUUGAUUUCUUGUUCCAUCUUACUGAAAACGAGGCUUUUCAGUCAUCUUGCCCAUGUGGUAUGAUUUGCAUGUCUCAAGUGAUUCAAAAUCAAGUGAGUCCAAACGAUCCAUCUGCAUGGAGUUUCUCCAUGCGUACAUACCAAUAGACAUGGUUCGCAUGUCUCAAACUUUUCAAAAAAUGAGUGAGUCCAAAGUUCCAUCAACAUGGAGCUUCUUCAUGCGUUUUAUACCAAUAUGACUUACAUGGCAGUGCCACAAGCAGGUCGUACUAUCAUUACUAUCUUAUAUCUUUUGGCAUGAACAUGUGUAUCACUACGAUCGAGAUUCAAUAAACCAUUCUUUAUGGUGCAAGACCAUUAAAGGUAUUAUUCAAAUAAAUAGAGUAACCAUUAUUCUCCUUAAAUGAAUAACCGUAUUGCGAUAGACAUAAUCCAAUCAUGUCUAUGCUCAAUGCAAACACCAAAUAACAAUUAUUUAGGUUUAACACCAAUCUCGAUGGUAGAUGGAGCAGGCGAUGCUUGAUCACAUCAACCUUGGAAACACUUCCAACAUGCAUCGUCAUCUCACCUUUAGCUAGUCUUCGUUUAUUCUGUAGCUCUUUUAUUUCGAGUUACUAACACUUAGCAACCGAACCAGUAUCUUAAUACCCUGGUGCUACUAGGAGUACUAGUAAAGUACAAAUUUAAUUCAAUGUAUAUCCAAUAUACUCAUGUCAACCUUCCAGCCUUCUCAUCUACCAAGUAUCUAGGGUAGUUCUGCUUCAGUGACCGUUCCCUCAUUACAGAAGCACUUAGUCUCGGGUUUGGGUUCAACCCUGGGUUCUUCACUGGAGCAGCAACUGAUUUGCCGUUUCAUGAAGUACCCCUUCUUGCCCUUGCCCUUCUUGAAACUAGUGGUUUCACUAACCAUCAACAAUUGAUGCUCCUUCUUGAUUUCUACUUUUGCGGUGUCAAACAUCAUGAAUAUUUCAAGGAUCAUCAUAUCUAUCCCUGAUAUGUUAUAGUUCAUCACGAAGCUCUAGUAGCUUGGUGGCAAUGUCUUUGGAGAAACAUCACUAUCUCAUUUGGAAGAUUAACUCCCACUCGAUUCAAGUGAUUGUUGUACCCAGACAAUCUGAGUACAAGCUCAACGAUUGAGCUUUUCUCCCUUAGUUUGUAGGCCAAGAAGCUCGUCGGAGGUCUUAUACCUCUGACGUGGGCACGAGCCUGAAAUCCCAUUUUCAGCUCUUGGAACAUCCCCUAUGUUCCGCGACGUUUCAAAAUCGUCUUCGGUGCCUCAAUUCUAAACCGUUUAACAUUACUGAACUAUCACGUAGUCAUCAAAACAUGUAUGUCAGAUGUUCGCAACAUCCACAGACGACGUUCGAGGUUCAACACACCGAGCAGUGCAUUAAGGACAUAAGCCUUCUACGCAGCAAUGAGGACAAUCCUCAGUUUACGGACCCAAUUCGCAUAAUUGCUACUAUCAACUUUCAACUAAAUUUUCUCUAGGAACAUAUCUAAAACAGUAGAACUAAAGCGCGAGCUAUGACAUAAUUUGGAAAAACCUUUUGACUAUGUUCAGGAUAAUUAAGUUCAUCUAAUGAACUCCCACUCAGAUAGACAUCCCUCUAGUCAUCUAAGUGAUACAUGAUCCGAGUCAACUAGGCCAUGUCCGAUCAUCACGCGAGACGGACUAGUCAUCAUCGGUGAACAUCUUCAUGUUGAUCGUAUCCACUAUACGACUCAUGUUCGACCUUUCAGUCUCUUAUGUUCCGAGGCCAUGUCUGUACAUGCUAGGCUCGUCAAGUCAAACUAAGUGUUUCGCGUGUGUAAAUCUGGCUUACACCCAUUGUAUGUGAAUGUUAGAAUCUAUCACACCCGAUCAUCACGUGGUGCUUUGAAACAACGAACUUGCGCAACGGUGCACAGUUAGGGGGAACACUUUCUUGAAAUUAUUAUGAGGGAUCAUCUUAUUUACUACCGUCGUUCUAAGCAAAUAAGAUGCAUAAACAUGAUAAACAUCACAUGCAAUCAAAAAGUGACAUGAUAUGGCCAAUAUCAUUUUGCUCCUUCUGAUCUCCAUCUUCGGGGCUCCAUGAUCAUCAUCAUCACCGGCAUGACACCAUGAUCUCCAUCAUCAUGAUCUCCAUCAUCGUGUAUCCAUGAAGUUAUCUCGCCAACUAUUACUUCUACUACUAUGGCUAACGGUUUAGCAAUGAAGUAAAGUAAUUACAUGGCGUUAUUAAGUGACACGUAGGUCAUACAAUAAAUAAAGACAACUCCUAUGGCUCCUGCCGGUUGUCAUACUCAUCGACAUGCAAGUCGUUAUUCCUAUUACAAGAACAUGAUUAAUCUCAUACAUCACAUAUCAUUCAUCACAUUCUUUUUGGCCAUAUCACAUCACAUAACAUACCCUGCAAAAACAAGUUAGACGUCCUCUAAUUGUUGUUUGCAUGUUUUAUGUGGCUGCUAUGGGUUUCUAGCAAGAACGUUUCUUACCUACGCAAAAGCCACAACGUGAUAUGCCAAUUGCUAUUUACCCUUCAUAAGGACCCUUUUCAUCGAAUCCGGUCCGACUAAAGUGGGAGAGACUGGCACCCACUAGCCACAUUUUUUUAUGCAACAAGUGCAUGUCAGUCGGUGGAACCUGUCUCACGUAAGUGUGUAAGGUCGGUCCGGGCCGCUUCAUCCCACAAUACCGUCGAAACAAGAUAGGACUAGUAACGGUAAGCAUAUUGAACAAAAUCAAUGCCCAUAACAACUUGUGUUCUACUCGUGCAUAGAAACUACGCAUAGACCUAGCUCAUGAUGCCACUGUUGGGGAACGUAGCAGAAAUUCAAAAUUUUCUAUGCAACACCAAGAUCAAUGUAUGGAGACACUAGCAACGAGAGAGAGGGGAGUGCAUCUUCAUACCCUUGAAGAUCGCGAUGCGGAAGCGUUACAAGAACGCGGUCGGUGGAGUCGUUCACGAAGCGAUUCAGAUCGCGGCUGAAUCCGAUCUAAGAACCGAAGUACGGUGCCUCCGUGUUCAACACACGUGCAACCCGGUGACGUCUCCCAUGCCUUGAUCCAGCAAGGAGAGAGGGAGAGGUUGGGUAAGACUCCGUCCAGCAGCAGCACGAUGGCGUGGUGGUGGUGGAGGAGCGUGGUACUCCAGCAGGGCUUCGCCAAGCACUACGAGAGACGAGGAGGGAGAGAGGUAGGGCUGCGCCUUUGGAGAUAGAGACUCGUGUGUUGGGCAGCCCCAAAACCUCCACUAUAUAUAUGGGAAGGGAGAGGGGGAGGCGCCCUAGGGUUUCCCCUAGGGGGGCGGCGGCCAGGGCAGAUGGGAACCCUAGAUGGGGCGCCCCAAACCCCCCGGUCACGUGGGAAUAGGUGAGGGGGGCGCACAACCCCUUAGUGGGCUGGUUUGCCCCCUCCCCUUGGCCCAUGAAGCCCCCCCAACACUUGUCGGGGCUCCAGAAACACCUUUCGGUCAUGCUGGUCAUCACCCAGUACCUCCGGAACACUUCCGGACUCCAAAACCCUUCCUCCAAUAUAUCAAUCUUCACCUCCGGACCAUUCCGGGACUCCUCGUGAUGUCCGGGAUCUCAUCCGGGACUAUGAGCAACAUUCGGUAACCGCGUACAUACCUUCCCUCACUACUAGGGAAAAUCCUAGUAGUAGCGCGGGUUUUGAGGCUAUCAGCAGCGCGGGCACCCGCGCUACCAAUAAGGUGCUACAGCUAACUGUUAGUAGUAGCGCUGUAUGUACCCGCGCUACUACUAUUGACUAUAUCAGCAGCGCAUUUUUGAAACACGCUAUUAUUAGUUAGCUGUAGCGAUUUCCUGAGCCCGCGCUACUCUUAUAUCUUUCACCAUUUCCCCAUUCCAGCUUCAAUAAAUUGCAAUUUCCAGAUACUAGGUACUACUAGAUAUCAAUUUCAUAAAGCAUUAUAGGUACUAGGUAGUACUCCCACGGUUCCAAAUUACUCGUUGUGGUUUUAGUUCAAAUUUGAACUAAAACCACGAUGAGUAAUUUGGAACCGAGGGAGUACUAGAUAACAAUUUCUUAUAUACUCAACAUGCAUCCUCAAGUAGUACAAGGUGACAUCGACGACGAUCAUCAUAUUUAGUUCUAGAUGAUAUCGACGACGAUCAUCAUAUGUAGUUCUACAUGAUAUCGACGACGAUCAUCAUAUGUAGUUCUAGAUGAUAUAGCCAUACACACAUAUGUAGUUCUAGAUGAUAUCGAUGAUGAUCAUCAUCCUCAAGCCUGGGCGGUGGGUGUUCCUGAUAGUAAUUAGGAUGGCCUGUCCAACACGAAGAUUCUUGCCAAUAAGGAAUCUCUAACACCCAACCGAGUUUAAGUGUGUGCGACUGUCUGUGUCCAUGCGGUAUGUACAUAUGGUAACGGAGCCCCUUGCGGUAAGGCGUAGUCCAGCCGAGCCUUCUUCAUCAGGCUCGAUACCAUAACUCACAGAUAGGUUCUUUGGCAAUUUCUGAAUAAGAAAAACAUAUCAAUUAAUAAAUAGCCUCACACAUACUCUUGCAAAUAUAUUUCUAUAAAGUCUAGAUUUCUACGCUAUCAAAAGACACAGUACUAUGCAUUUGUACUAAUUAAUCAUGAAUUCUACUAAUAAGUAUAUAUGGAUUAUCUACACUAUUAAUAGUUCCUUGGAUUCUACACAAAUAAGCAUGUGAUCAGACUCUACACUAAAGCAUAUCAAUGACUAGAUUCCACAGAACAUAUCAUUGGACUCUACACUAAGCAUAUCAUCGGAUAAUUUGCAUUUGCAAGUAUAACAUACCAUAUCAUGUCGAUCGACCAUGGUACUUGUCAGGCGGGUCACGAAUGGCACCCCGACAAAGUCAGCACGUGGUGGAAUUAUGUCCCAUAGGUUGCACACCUCCUCCUCGCUCGGCCUCAUUCAUUGAGCUACGAUGGCUUCAUGAAGUGGGUUCUCAUCACCUUCAUCGAGUGGGUCCUCAUUAUCUUCAUCAUCUUCUUCAUCUGCAUCAUCUUUGUCAUCUUCAUCAUCUUCGUUAUCUUCAUCAUCUUCCACCAGGUUGAGAUAAAUGACAGCUGAUGAACUCACCACCAGUAAGACGCAUGCGGGCGAGGAAACGGGCCCAUCCAUCUCCUCCAAUUUGCGACAUAUUGCGUCCUUUCUCGACAUCCAUAGUGUACGGCCCCCAGGAGCCUCAAAUGUCAUAGUGUCUCCUGUGAGCUUGUUGAAUGUCAACCUCACAUUGCAUGGGACGGUCUGUGUAAGAAAAUAAAAAUGACACAAUGCAGUAAUGCCAACACUAAAAAUAAAAUAGUUGUUACAUUUCAUCUAAUUUCUUACCGCCACAUGACAAAAACUCGGCUGGAAGUAGAUGCCAAACAGCUUGCCAGUUGCAAGGCUGCUGGCGCACCUUGACUUGCACAGUCGACAUAGUGGUGGUGGUGGUAGCGCCAUUUUCCUAAAGCAAUAUGAGCAAAGGAUUAAUGAUUCACUUCACAGGAAAGAAAAACAGUAGCAUGUGAUAUUUUCCUAAAGCAAUAUGAGCAAAUGAUUAAUGAUUCACUUCACAGGACAGAAAAACAGUAGCAUAGUGGUGGUGGCGCCAUUUUAUGGACAAUUAUAAUCCUAAGAUCUAAUAACAUAUUAGAUGACAAAGUACCAUGUACCAAAGCAUUUCGGUGGCACCUAUUGCCGAAAAAAUAACAAUAAAAAUGGUGCAUACUAAAUCAACUAAAUCAACUAGCAUACUAAAUCCACUAGCAUACUAAAUCAACUAAAUCAAAAUGUUCUAAAUCAACUAAAUCAACUAGCCUACUAAAUCAACUAAAUAAACUAGCCUACUAAAUCAACUAAACCAACUAGCCUACUAAAUCAACUAAAUCAAAAUGUUCUAAAUCAACUAAAUCAACUAGCCUACUAAAUCAACUGAAUCAUAUCAACUAAAUCAGAAUGUUGCAUAUGAACUAGCCUACUAAAUCAAAAUGUAGCAGGGAGGAGGGAGAAGGAUGGGCGACUCGAGGAGGGAGAAGAGAGUAGGACGGAGGAGGAAGGCGGAGCGAGGAGGGGCUGGCCGGCGGCGAAUGGAGGGAGAAUGGAGGAGGGAGGCGGAGCGAGGAGGGGUCGGCCAGCGGCGAGUGGAGGGAGGACGGAAGAGGAGGCCGGUACCGAGUCCAGCGAGGAGGAUGAGAUGACGGCAGCGCAGAUCGGAGUAGGGGCGACAGGGGAGGACUGGCAGCACGGGGGUUGAGGGGGAGAUCGAGUGUGUGUGUGAGUGUGAUCUGGAUUGGAUAGGUAGGGGGAGAUGGAAUGGCUUAGCAGUAGCGCGCUAUAGCAACAUGCGCUACUGCUAAAUGACCUAUCAGUAGUGCCUUUCACUGAUAACGUGCUACUGCUAUGUUAGACAUAGACAUAAAAAAUACAUUGAUCAUCAAUUGUCUUUUUGUGUACAAUCUGAUUUGUCAAUAGGAAUCCUCGACGGUUGGUUUAAGAACAAGCGAGGAUUCUUAUUGCGGCCACAGAUCCUACACAUAGAGUUCAAUGAAGACCAAGUGCUUUUGAAAGUUGUGGAAGUAACAUAUUUAAGUUGGUAGAAACUCCCUUCACGGAGCGUGGUGGGACUAAAUUUUUGUAGUAACCUUAGUAGUAGCGAUUAUUGCAUAAAUGUGUUGCUGCUACGAUCCGUAGCAGUAGCGCUCUUUGUAUUAACGUGCGGCUGCUAUAACUGGCCUCGCAGCGGCCUCGUGGGAAUUUCAGCAGUAGCGCGUCCUAGAGUGUGCGCGCUACUGAUAAACUUGUUUCAACAGCGAGUUUUGAAAGCGCGCGCUACUGCUACAUAGCAGCAGCGCCUGCUUUUAAAGCGCGCUGCUGGUAAGAUUCUGUGUAUAGGCUUUUCCCUAGUAGUGCCGAUAACCCUAGCGUCAUCGAACCUUAAGUGUGUAGACCCUACGGGUUCGGGAACCAUGCAGACAUGACCGAGACAACUCUCUGGCCAAUAACCAACAACAGGAUCUGGAUACCCAUGUUGGCUCCCACAUGUUCCACGAUGAUCUCAUUGGAUGAACCACGAUGUCAAGGAUUCAAUCAAUCCCGUAUACAAUUCCCUUUGUCUACCGGUAUAGUACUUGCCCGAGAUUCGAUCGUCGGUAUGCCGAUACCUUGUUCAAUCUCGUUACCGGCAAGUCUCUUUACUCGUUCCGCAACACAUCAUCCCGUGAUCAACUCCUUGAUCACAUUGUGCACAUUAUGAUGAUGUCCUACCGAGUGGGCCCAGAGAUACCUCGCCGUCACACGAAGUGACAAAUCCCAGUCUCGAUUCAUGCCAACCCAAAAGAUACUUUCGGAGAUACCCAUAGUGCACCUUUAUAGACACCCAGUUACGUUGUGACGUUUGGUACACCCAAACCAUUCCUACGGUAUCUGGGAGUUGCACAAUCUCAUGGUUUAAGGAAAAGAUACUUGACAUUUAGAAAAGCUUUAGCAUACGAACUACACGAUCUUGUGCUAGGCUUAGGAUUGGGUCUUGUCCAUCACAUCAUUCUCCUAAUGAUGUGAUCCCGUUAUCAAUGACAUCCAAUGUCCAUGGUCAGGAAACCAUGACCAUCUGUUGAUCAACGAGCUAGUCAACUAGAGGCUCACUAGGGACAUGUUGUGGUCUAUGUAUUCACACAUGUAUUGUGGUUUCCGGUCAAUACAAUUCUAGCAUGAAUAAUCGACAAUUAUAAUGAACAAGGAAAUACAAUAAUAACCAUUUUAUUAUUGCCUCUAGGGCAUAUUUCCAACAACAACAACCAGUACACCCAAACACAAUGUUUCUUGAAAAACUGAGGAAUACUACCCCAUAUAUGGUACUCUCCUGCGCGCCCAAUUGAGCCGGCCCAUUAGCGGGGAGGGACUCCCCUUUUUUAUUUCGUUUUAUUUCUAUUUUCCUUAUUUAAAAUAAUUUGGGAUUUCAGAAAGUUCCAAAUUUCAAAAGAAAAUGAGAGUAUUGAAAAUGUUNNNNNNNNNNNNNNNNNNNNNNNNNNNNNNNNNNNNNNNNNNNNNNNNNNNNNNNNNNNNNNNNNNNNNNNNNNNNNNNNNNNNNNNNNNNNNNNNNNNNNNNNNNNNNNNNNNNNNNNNNNNNNNNNNNNNNNNNNNNNNNNNNNNNNNNNNNNNNNNNNNNNNNNNNNNNNNNNNNNNNNNNNNNNNNNNNNNNNNNNNNNNNNNNNNNNNNNNNNNNNNNNNNNNNNNNNNNNNNNNNNNNNNNNNNNNNNNNNNNNNNNNNNNNNNNNNNNNNGUAGUAAAAUGUUUAUGAAUUAAAAAAUCUGCGAUUUCAAAACAUGUUCAUCAUUUUUAAACAAUGUUCAUGAAAAUAAAAAAUUAUCAUGAAUUUCAAAAAAAGUUCACUCAUUGCAGAAAUAUUUGCUGAGUCAAAAUCUUCAUGCAUUAAAAAAAUGUUCAUCAAACAAAAAAUGUUCACUAAUUUAAAAAAAUUUCACCCAUUCCAAAAAUGUGUGCCUAUUGAAAACAAUGAUCACAAGUUAUAAAAAAUGUUCAUCCAUUAAAAAAAUAAUCAUCUUGCUCUGUAAGAAAAUUUCCAAUUACUCACAACAAUAUUCAUCGAGAUGCGGUCAACCUCCUAGAUUUUGUUGAUGGUUUGAUUGUUGUCGUUAGCUGCAUGCAACAUGAUCCGUGCAAUCCAUGGGCAUGAACCAGAUGUUGCAGACUCUGUCAUUGCCUCGAUGAGGUCACUGAAAUUUUGCCCUGAUGUAAAAUUCAUGUCACUUUGUUGCCCUAAUCCCUUUUUUAUAUGUACUAAUUAUUCUAUUAGUAUUAAAGGAAGGAAGGAUUCUUCCCUUCAAUUAUAGUUUCGGUCGUCAUCUAUCUACCAAUGUACCACACACCUUUUAUGUUUCUCCGACGUGUGGGCCGAGCUAGGCUGCUCCACACUUUUUUCUUUGUUUGAUUCAAUUGUGGAGCAUCGAAAAAUAAUUCGUUUCUAUUUCUCUCCUACGUUGGCCAAGAUGGGCCUAUUCCGAUACAUUUUAUUCUUCUUCUCAUUUGAUUGUGGCAUGUAGGUGAGAAUGAAACUAUGAAGCCGCAAACUGAACUGUGAUCAUUUUGCAAAGACGGUAUGAUUGAAAGCAUAAUUCUUUUUCAUCUCAACAAUAAUUGUCGUCGAUCAUAAAUUAAAUUUUUUUUAUAUUUUAGUAUAUGCUAGGGAAGUUAAAUUUUCUCCUGUUGCAACGCACGGGCAUUUUUGCUAGUAAUAUACAUAAAAAGAUCGAUAUUUCAACUGUUUAACAAAAAAACUAGGAAAAAAAACCUAAACCCUAUACUGGACAACCACCACGUAUGUGUGGCCGCGCUGCACUGCCGCACGGCGUCGCCGUCUGUGCCACCGAUGUCGUCGUCGUUGUCGUCCCUCCAGCGGCGGAACAACGCAGGAUGACCAUGACAGUCUUGUCCAACGGUUACCUGCCGCUCAUGGAGGAGCCGCUCCGCCUCUUGUUGCGCGGUGCGGAGGGCCUCCGCGGCCACUGUCAUGACCGGCAUUGGCAGAGUAGUCGCUAAGAUACCCCUCCUCACUGUCAAGGCGGCGGCGGCGCCUGGCGACGGUCUCUGUGGUGGUGUUGGAGCGGUUGAGCACCCACUCGGCAGAAAGGUCAGGGUCAUUACCGGCCCAUUCCGGCGUCCGACUUGGCGAACGCGGAUCGGUGACCGACAUUGCAUAGGUCGUAUCUCGCCCGCUACCUCGCCGCGAGCUCCGCCUCGAAAACAGUUGGCUCGUCGGUCGUUUUGCCCAGUUUUACAAAUUCACUAACUUUUUUUAAUACUUUCUAAACAAUUGUAUUGAGCCAGCAAACAUUUUUCGAAAUUUGGGAACAAUAUUUGAAAUUUAGGUACAUUUUUAGUUUCUGACGAAUAUUUUUUUGAGUUCAUGAAUACUUUUUGAAUCAGCAAACAUUUCUAAAUCUUUUGCACAUUAUUGGAAACACAAGAAUAGUUAUCAAAAUUCCUCAUUUUUUCAAUAUUGUGACAUUUUUCUAAAUUCCUAAAAAAACUCAGAAAUUCAUGAACAGUUUAUGAAUAUUGAACAUUUACUACUUCACGACCAAUUUUUACCAAUUCGUGAACAUUUAUUUCAAAUUGCGCUAUUUGUUUUUGAAUAUUUGAACACUUCCUAAAAGUCCUCAAAUUUUUAAGAAAAUUUAUGAACAUUUGUUUAAUACACGAACAUAUUUUGGAAAUCAUGAACCUUUUCUGAAUCUGUGAGCAUCUAUCAUUUCCUGAACAUUUUUUCAAUCAUGAAAUUUCUUUGAAUCUACAAACAAUUUUUUACAGUCUGCAACUUUUUGGAAAUCAGGAAUUAGUUUUUGAAAGGAAAAUACUGAUAACAGAAAAAAGAACAAACAAAGGGGCAACCCACCGCCACAUGGGUCCGCCCAUGAGGGUUUGCUGGGGAGACGGGUGGGGUAUAAGCACGGACGCGGGGAGCUCCAAUUGCGUGCGUCAGAAAAAAAGGAAAAGAAAGGUAAAAGAAAGAAAAAGUGGAAAGUUACCAGAUCAUGCUGGUGGCGGGUUGGUUACGCCCGUGGUACACGAUUAGGGUGGUUGCUCAACAUGACAAUGAGUACCCGCGAAUCCGACGGGUCAAAACACUAGUGGGUAAGGGUUUGAGAAAGUUAAAUACCCAUGGGUUUUUAAAUGGCACAAAAAUGUAACCUUCGGGUAAGCCUGGUAUAGGUACGGGAAGGCAAUACCCAUACCCGUAUACCCGCGUACCCGCUGCAUAGUAGUACAUCUCAUACGUAGGUCCCCUAUGUCAUUCACUUAAAAAGAGAAAAACCCUAGCCUAACCCAGCCGCAGCCUGCACACAAAAUGCCCUCCCGUUACCCACCCAUCGCUCCUCACUCAUAGAACACAAACACCGUAUACCCAUCUCACCUCGGCUGAAAUGCUAAAUAAACAGACUGAAAUGUUGUGUUUUAUCUACUGAAAUAUUGAAAUUAUACAUUGUACAAUUUGAAUUGAAAGGUGACCGAGAUGGGUAUUACCCGCACACGGUCAAGAUUGGCGAUUUGAAUUGAAAGGUGACCGAGAUGGCUGUGAAAAAAGUUGAUCAUGUAUUUAAAAUAUGUUAAACAACUAUUAGAAAAAUGUUAAUCAAGCUUUAGAACAAUGUUGAAUGUGUAUAGGAAUAAUGUUGACCAUAUAUUAAACAAAUGGUAAAAUAUUUUGAUCAUGUCUAUGAAAAUAUGAAUCAAGCAUUUAAGAAAAUGUUGAACAAGUAUUUCAAAAAAAGUUAAUCAAGCAUUCGGAAAAUGUUAAAUGUGUAUAAAAAUUGUUUACCAUGCAUUCAAAUAAAUGUUAAUCUUGAAUUUGGAAAAUGUUGGUAAAGCAUUUAAAAAAUGUUAAUUAUUCAUUAAAAAAUUGUUGACCCUGUAUAAGAAAAAUGUUGACCAUGUAUUAGGAAAUUCUUGACCAUGUAUUUGAAAAAAUGUUAAUCAAUCAUUUGAAAAAAAAUUAAAGUGUGUAUAGGAAAAAUGUUGAUCACGGACACAAAAAAUGUUAAUCUUGUAUUUAACAUAUGCUAACCAAGCAUGGUGGUGAUGGUGGUGGUGGAGUCGGAAUACCGGCAGGGCUUCACUAAGCGAAAAAACCGUGGACGAGAACUAUGCCGGGAGAGAGAGAGACGGGGCAGUAGUUAAGGCCAAUGUAUUGGGUACCUUUGCUGCGCCCCUCCCCCAUAUUUAUAUGCAUCGGGGGGGCUUGGAGUCCAGCCCUACUCCUAAUUAAUACGUGUUGGGGCCAAAGGGGUAGAGGACUUGGACUCCAAGCCCAAUUCUAUUCCUACUAGGACUCCCCCUUUUCCCUUCCCCGGCCAUAUGGGCUUUUGAGGACUUGGUGCGCCUAGCCCAAUAAAGCCAGGGCGCCUCCCCUUAGCCCAUGUCAGUCCUUGGGACGUGGUGAACCCACUUGUGGACUUCCGGACCCCUCCGGAUCCUUUUGAAAGCUUCCCAAUACAAUGCCAAAAAAACUUCACCUUUUCCGAAACCCAACAUAUGACUUCCCAUAUAUAAAUCUUUACCUCUCGACCAUUUCCGAGACUCCUCGUGACGUCCGAGAUCUCAUCCGGGACUCCGAACAACAUUUGGUUACCAACAUACAUAUCCCAAUAUUACUCUAGCGUCACCAAACGUUAAGCGUGCGGACCCUACGGGUUCGAGAAUGAUGUAGACAUGACUAAGACACUUCUCCGGUCAAUAACCAAUAGCAGAACCUGGAUGCCCAUAUUGGUUCCUACAUAUUCUAUGAAGAUCUUUAUCGGUCGAACCUUUUAUGACAAUGAUACGUCUCCAAUGUAUCUAUACGUUUUGAUUGUCCAAUGCUAUUAUAUUAUCUAUUUUGGAUGUUUUUUAUGCAUUAAUAUGCUAUUUUAUAUUAUUUUUGGGACUAACCUAUUAACCUAGAGCCCAGUUGUCAGUUUCUGUUUUUUCUUUGUUUUUGAGCCUAGCAAAAAAGGAAUACCAAACAGAGUCCAAACGGAAUAAAACCUUCACAAUGAUUUUUGUUGUACCAAAAGACACCCGUUGGAUCUGGACUCCAAGUCAGAAGACCUUAGAGUACACGACAAGCCACAGGGGCGCGCCCUCUGCCUUGUGGCCUACUCCAACACCCCCUGACCUAAUUCUUCAUCCUAUAUAUUAACAAAUAUUCCCAAACCACCAAAGGCAUCCACAAAAACACUUUUCCACUGCCGCAACCUUCUGUUCCCGUGAUAUCCCAUCUAGGGGCCUUUCCGGCAUCCUGCCAGAGGGGGAUUUGAUCACAGAGGGCUUCUACAUGAACUCUAUUGCCCUUCCGAUGAAGCGUGAGUAGUGUACCACAAACCUACGUGUCCAUCUCUAGUAGCUAGAUGGCUUCCUCUCUCUCUUUGAUUCUCAAUACCAUGUUCUCCUCGAUGUUCUUGGAGAUCUAUUCGAUGUAAUCUUCUUUUGUGGUGUAUUCGUCAAGAUCCGAUGAAUUGUGGAUUUAUGGUCAGCUUAACUAUGAAUAUUAUUUGAAUCUUCUCUGAAUUCUUAUAUGCAUGAUUUGAUAUCUUUGUAAUUCUCUUCGAACUAUCGUUUUAGUUUGGCCAACUAGAUUGGUUUUUCUUGCAAUGGGAGAAGUGCUUAGCUUUGGGUUCAAUCUUGCAGUGUCCUUUCCCUGUGACAGUAGGGGCAUCAAGGCACGUAUUGUAUUGUUGCCAUCGAGGAUAAAAAGAUGGGGUUUACAUCAUAUUUCUUGAGUUUAUUCCUCUACAUCAUGUCAUCUUACUUAAUGCGUUACUCUGUUCUUUAUGAACUUAAUACUCUAGAUGCAGGCAGGAGUCGGUCAAUGUGUGGAGUAAUAGUAGUAAAUGCAGGCAGGAGUUGGUCUACUUGACACAGACGUGAUGCCUAUAUUUCAUAAUCAUGGCCUUGGAUAUCAUCAUAACUUUGCGCUUUUCUAUCAAUACUCGACAGUAAUUUGUUCACCCACCGUAAUAUUUGCCUUCAUGAGAUAAGCCUCUAGUGAAAUCUAUCUCCCCUUGGUCUAACUUCCAUCAUAUUAGUUUCUGAUCUAUUAUUUUGCAAUCUUUUACUUUCAGAUCUAUAAACCAAAAAAAUCCAAAAAUAUUUUGUCUUUUGUUUAUCAAUCUCUAUCAGAUCUCACUUUUGCAAGUGACCGUGAAGGGAUUGACUACCCCUUUAUCAUGUUGGGUGCAAGUUGUUUGAUUGUUUGUGCAGGUAUUGGUGGCUUGUGCGUUGUCUCCUACUGGAUUGAUACCUUGGUUCUCUAACUGGGGGGAAAUACUUAUCUCUACUUCACCGCAUCACCCUUUCCUCUUCAAGGGAAAAACCAACGCAAUCUCAAGAAGUAGCAGGAAGAAUUUCUGGCACCGUUGCCAGGGAGAUCUGCGCAAAGUCAAGACAUACCAAGUGCCCAUCAUAAAACUCUGAUCUCUUGCAUUACAUUAUUCAUGAUUUGCCUCUCGUUUUCCUCUCCCCCACUUCUAAAACAAUUUUCGAAAAGAUUAGCCUUUUUAUUCGCCUUCUUUCCGUUUGACUUUUUGCUCAUUGGCUAUCUUUGCUUGUGUUCCCAUGUGCCCUCUAUUUUGUUGCAUCUUUGCUUGCUAAAAAUCUUUUGAUAUGGAACCACUUAAAGUUUUCUACUUGGAUCAUCUUUGAUCCAUAUGUGCUCGUGUUGAAACCCCAACUAGUUUAGUUGAGGGAAAAUCUUUAGAUGAGUAUGCUCAUUUUGUGUGUCAUUGUUUCUCUGAAAAAGGGAGACUCUUAUGGAAUCAAAUAAAUUGUUUGCUAUGUUAUGCUUGGAAUCUUUGUGAACUUUGUGAUUUUACUUGUUGCUCUAAGAACCCUAAAAAACACCUUCCCUACCUAUGUGAGUUUAAUGAUAAUGAAAUCUUAUCUUCUUAUGAAAAGGGUGUUUACAAUUACUAUGAUAUCGAACAAACUGAAGAAUUUGUUGCUUUUAAGUGUGCUUAUGAAGUUGCUUCUUUGAUUAAAAAGUAUGAUAUUACUCUCUACAAAUCUGAAAAUUUUGACAUACUUAAAUAUUGCUAUGAGAACUAUGCUCAUAAUGCCUAUGUUAAGGAAUUUAUUGAGAGAAUGACCGUUGAUUUGGAAAAAUAAUAAUGAUAUGCAUGAAUCCAUAGAUAAUUAUGAUUCUGAUGAUUUGAUUGAAAUAUCCCUUGAUGAACAUGAUGCUUGCUAUUCUUAUGGCCAUGAUGCCAAUAUUAAUUAUGCUUAUGGAGAUGAACUUGCUAUAGUUCCUUAUGUUAAACAAUGAAUUAUUUCUUUUGCAACCACACUUGAUAGUUCCUUCGAUGAAAAGGAUGAUCGUAAUGAUGUUAUUAUAAAUUCUAUUAAGGUCAAUUGUGUUAAUGAUAUGCAAAACACUAAGCUUGGAGAUGCUAGUUUUCUUAUGUCCACUACUUGUUGCAAUGAUCAUGAUUGGGGUGAUUCUUCUCAUGAUCUUGAAAAUAUAUUUAAACCUCAUGAUGAAUAUGUUUGCUAUAAUAUUGAAAGUGGGUUUGGAAGAGUGUCAACUUUAGAUCCCACAUAUUUGGAUAAUUUUCAAUCUUAUGAAGUUUUGAUAAAAGUGGGUUUGGAGAGGUCAUGACUUUAGUUAAUGUUAAUCCCACUAUUUUGGAAGAGUGUCAACUUCGCAUGCAUGUGGAUCUUGCUGAGAAUAUGUUAUGUGAUAGCUAUAUUGUUGAAUUGGAAUAUGAUCCCAUGUGCAAUAACUAUAAGAGAGGAAAAUAUGGUUUUAGAAAUUUUCAUGCUACUAAAUUACCUCUCUUCAUGUUGAGAUUGUCUAUGUUUUAUUCUUUCUUUGCAUAUGCUAGUUUUUGCUUGCCUUGAUAAUUCGUUUGCUUAUAAAAUGUCUAUGCAUAGGAAAUAUGUUAGACUUAGAUGUGUUUGUAACGUGUUUUAUGAUGCUCUCUUUGUGCUUCAAUUCUUCUCUUUUAUGUGAGCAUCAUUGAAAUUAUCAAUGCCUAGCUAAAAGGCUUUAAAGAAAAGCGCUUGUUGGGAGACAACCCAAUAUUUUUCAUUCGAGUUUUUCAAUAAAUAAUUCAUCUAGCCUCUGUUAGAUGUGUUUUUGUGUUUUAGUUAGUGUUUGUGCCAGGUAAGACCUUUGGAAUGGCUUACGGUGAUAGUUGUUUUGAUCUUGCUGAAAACCAAAAACUUUUGCGCCCAGGAAAAUAAUUUUCACUUUUUAUAGAAGCAUGCUUUUGAUCUAAUUAUUUUUGCACAAGAUUGGUUCACAAAUUUCCCAGGGUGUCCUAAUAUGUCAGAAUAUUUGUAGUUACAGAAGUAUUUGAAGAUUCCAGAUUCCUAUAGACUAUUCUGUUUUUGAUAGAUUUUGUUUUCUAUUGGCUGUUUGCUUAUUUUGAUGAAUAUAUGGGUAGUAUCGGGGGUAUGAACCAUGGAAAAGUUGGAAUACAGUAGAUAUUACCACUAGUAGAAAACAGGGCUACCGUUCGGCCCUGGCCAGCCCAUUAGUCCCGGUUCUUCAAGAACCGGGACCGAUGGGGGGUAUUACACCCGGUUCGUGAGCCCAGGGGGGCGACCGGGGCCUCGUGGGCAUUGGUCCCGGUUCGUGUGGAACCAUUUGUCCCGGUUCAAGCCACAAACCGGGACCAAUGGUCCUCGCUGCUGGCCCACAACCAUUGGUCCCAGUUCGUGGCUUGAACCGGGAUAGAAGGGUUGGCUUUAGUCCCUGUUCAUGCCACGAACCAGGACAAAUAACUUUCCUACAUAUACCCACCGCUGGGCAGAGCACUCCACAGUGCUCUCUUUUUGUCAAGCCGGUGAGGGGAGGGCAUUUGGGUGCUGUAGUUCACCUCCUAUGCACAUGAGGUGUUCGACGAAAUGCCCGAGCCACACUAGUUAAGCUUUCUCCUCUCGAAACUCGACCUCCAAGCUCCAUUUUCAACGAGAUUUGUCUAGAUUUAGCGGUCCGUCACACCCCGUCCCCGCCCCGUCUUCACCGCCGUCGACCGCCCGCGCCGAUCUCGUCGCCGGCACCACCAUGGUGAGUCUCUUGUUCUUAUCUUCUUUCUGAAAGAAAAAAAUUCUGACUUCAGAUAGAUACUUGUCUAAUUUUCUUACUUUUAUUAUUCCUUUUUAUUAUAUAGUGCGAUGGUUUUGGUAUCCGCCCCCGUCGGCCCUCGUCCUGUCUAUGAUUCAGAUGCGGUAUAUAUUAUCUUUUCAUAACUAUUUGGUUCAUUUAUUGUUUAUGACAAAUAUGCCGACCAAUGUGACAUAGAUUUUAUUUAUCUUGGAGGUUGUUGAACCGGAAAUUCCAACCGACCCUAUUGUCGAGAGAUUAAAUUUAGUUGAAGAAGAAAACAAUUACUUGAAGGAAAAAAUAAGAAAAAUUGAGGAGGAGAAGAUGAUAUUGGAGUUGCAUGUUGCGGAUGUCGUCGAUGAUCACAAGAUCAAGAUGGAUGCAAUGCGGUUGAAGAUUAAAAAGAUUAGAAAAUAUGCCAUGCAUACUGAGGCUUGGAAUCAUUAUGCAGUUGGAUCAGCUGCUACCUUGGUUGCGGUUAUGAUCGCAUUUGUUUUUGCAUUACAUAAUUUCAAUGUAUGGUUUAAUUAGAUGCUCUAGAGAGCUAUAUGUUGUUCAAUGAGAACUACGUAUGUACUUUGGUUUUAAUGCCAUGGAUAACUAUGUAUGUACUUUGGUUUCAGAGUUCAUUUCAAAUGCUUUUCAACUUCAUGGUCUUACAAGGAGAUUCCGUAUGAAACCCUGAUACUUCGAAGGAGAUUGUCUGUUUUGUACACGAAGUGCAUCAAGUUUUUGCCGUAAGCCUCUCUACUUUCUUGCACAUGCUAUGUGGGUGAAAUGAUGACACCAUGCCAACUUGGAACCUUCUCAGAGUUCAUUUCAAAUGCUUUUCAAUUUCAUGGUCUUAUAGCUCAAAAUAAUCAGUAAAUGCAUGAAAAAUAACAAAUGAAGUCAGAAAAGGUUGUAAAUUGAUGAUGUGGCUUUGAAUGGUGGAUUUUGAACACAGAAAAACAAGGGGGUUCAAAUAAGAUCAAAAAAUGAAAUCCCUUUGUAACAGACGAGUUUUCGUAUGAAACCCUGAUACUUCGAAGGAGAUUGUCUGUUUUGUACACGAAGUACAUCCAGUUGUUGCCGUAAGCCUCUCUACUUUCUUGCACAUCCUAUGUGGGUGAAAUGAUGAUACCAUGCCAACUUGGAACCGUUUCAGAGUUUAUUUCAAAUGCUUUUCAAUUUCAUGGUCUUAUAGCUCAAAAUAAUCAGCAAAUGCAUGCAAAAUAACAAAUGAAGUCAGAAAGGGUUGUAAAUUGAUGAUGUGGCUUUGAAUGGUGCAUUUUGAACACAGAAAAACAAGGGGGUGAAAUGAAAUCCCUUUGAAACAGACGAGUUUCCGUAUGAAACCCUGAUACUUCGAAGGAGAUUGUCUGUUUUGUACACGAAGUGCAUCCAGUUUUUGCCGUAAGCCUGUCUACUUUAUUGCACAUGCUAUGUGGGUGAAAUGAUGAUAGCGUGCCAACUUGGAACCUUUUCAGAGUUCAUUUCAAAUGCUUUUCAAUUUCAUGGUCUUAUAGAUCAAAAUAAUCAGUAAACGCAUGAAAAAUAACAAAUGAAGUCAGAAAGGGUUGUAAAUUGAUGAUGUGGCUUUGAAUGAUGCAUUUUUAACAUAGAAAAACAAGGGGGCUAAAAUAAGUUCAAAAAACUUGAAAUCCCUUUGUAACAAACGAGUUUCCGUAUGAAACUCGUAUACUUCGAAGGAGAUUGUCUGUUUUGUACAUGAAGUGCAUCCAGUUUUUGCCGUAAGCCUCUCUACUUUCUUGCACAUGCUAUGUGGGUGAAAUGAUGAUACCAUGACAACUUGGAACCUUUUCAGAGUUCAUUUCAAACGCUUUUCAAUUUCAUGGUCUUAUAGCUCAAAAUAAUUAGUAAAUGCAUGAAAAAUAACAAAUGAAGUCAGAAAGGGUUGUAAAUUGAUGAUGUGGCUUUGAAUGGUGCAUUUUGAACACAGAAAAACAAGGGGGUCCAAAUAAGUUCAAAAAAAUUGAAAUCCCUUUGUAACAGACGAGUUUCCACAUGNNNNNNNNNNNNNNNNNNNNNNNNNNNNNNNNNNNNNNNNNNNNNNNNNNNNNNNNNNNNNNNNNNNNNNNNNNNNNNNNNNNNNNNNNNNNNNNNNNNNNNNNNNNNNNNNNNNNNNNNNNNNNNNNNNNNNNNNNNNNNNNNNNNNNNNNNNNNNNNNNNNNNNNNNNNNNNNNNNNNNNNNNNNNNNNNNNNNNNNNNNNNNNNNNNNNNNNNNNNNNNNNNNNNNNNNNNNNNNNNNNNNNNNNNNNNNNNNNNNNNNNNNNNNNNNNNNNNNNNNNNNNNNNNNNNNNNNNNNNNNNNNNNNNNNNNNNNNNNNNNNNNNNNNNNNNNNNNNNNNNNNNNNNNNNNNNNNNNNNNNNNNNNNNNNNNNNNNNNNNNNNNNNNNNNNNNNNNNNNNNNNNNNNNNNNNNNNNNNNNNNNNNNNNNNNNNNNNNNNNNNNNNNNNNNNNNNNNNNNNNNNNNNNNNNNNNNNNNNNNNNNNNNNNNNNNNNNNNNNNNNNNNNNNNNNNNNNNNNNNNNNNNNNNNNNNNNNNNNNNNNNNNNNNNNNNNNNNNNNNNNNNNNNNNNNNNNNNNNNNNNNNNNNNNNNNNNNNNNNNNNNNNNNNNNNNNNNNNNNNNNNNNNNNNNNNNNNNNNNNNNNNNNNNNNNNNNNNNNNNNNNNNNNNNNNNNNNNNNNNNNNNNNNNNNNNNNNNNNNNNNNNNNNNNNNNNNNNNNNNNNNNNNNNNNNNNNNNNNNNNNNNNNNNNNNNNNNGAAAAACAAGGGGGUGAAAUGAAAUCCCUUUGAAACAGACGAGUUUCCGUAUGAAACCCUGAUACUUCGAAGGAGAUUGUCUGUUUUGUACACGAAGUGCAUCCAGGUUUUGCCGUAAGCCUGUCUACUUUAUUGCACAUGCUAUGUGGGUGAAAUGAUGAUAGCAUGCCAACUUGGAACCUUUUCAGAGUUCAUUUCAAAUGCUUUUCAAUUUCAUGGUCUUAUAGCUCAAAAUAAUCAGUAAAUGCAUGAAAAAUAACAAAUGAAGUCAGAAAGGGUUGUAAAUUGAUGAUGUGGCUUUGAAUGAUGCAUUUUUAACAUAGAAAAACAAGGGGGCUAAAAUAAGUUCAAAAAACUUGAAAUCCCUUUGUCACAGACGAGUUUCCGUAUGAAACUCGUAUACUUCGAAGGAGAUUGUCUGUUUUGUACACGAAGUGCAUCCAGUUUUUGCCGUAAGCCUCUCUACUUUCUUGCACAUGCUAUGUGGGUGAAAUGAUGAUACCAUGACAACUUGGAACCUUUUCAGAGUUCAUUUCAAAUGCUUUUCAAUUUCAUGGUCUUAUAGCUCAAAAUAAUCAGUAAAUGCAUGAAAAAUAACAAAUGAAGUCAGAAAGGGUUGUAAAUUGAUGAUGUGGCUUUGAAUGGUACAUUUUGAACACAGAAAAACAAGGGGGUUCAAAUAAGUUCAAAAAAAUUGAAAUCCCUUUGUAACAGAAGAGUUUCCAUAUGAAACCGUGAUACUUCGAAGGAGAUUGNNNNNNNNNNNNNNNNNNNNNNNNNNNNNNNNNNNNNNNNNNNNNNNNNNNNNNNNNNNNNNNNNNNNNNNNNNNNNNNNNNNNNNNNNNNNNNNNNNNNNNNNNNNNNNNNNNNNNNNNNNNNNNNNNNNNNNNNNNNNNNNNNNNNNNNNNNNNNNNNNNNNNNNNNNNNNNNNNNNNNNNNNNNNNNNNNNNNNNNNNNNNNNNNNNNNNNNNNNNNNNNNNNNNNNNNNNNNNNNNNNNNNNNNNNNNNNNNNNNNNNNNNNNNNNNNNNNNNNNNNNNNNNNNNNNNNNNNNNNNNNNNNNNNNNNNNNNNNNNNNNNNNNNNNNNNNNNNNNNNNNNNNNNNNNNNNNNNNNNNNNNNNNNNNNNNNNNNNNNNNNNNNNNNNNNNNNNNNNNNNNNNNNNNNNNNNNNNNNNNNNNNNNNNNNNNNNNNNNNNNNNNNNNNNNNNNNNNNNNNNNNNNNNNNNNNNNNNNNNNNNNNNNNNNNNNNNNNNNNNNNNNNNNNNNNNNNNNNNNNNNNNNNNNNNNNNNNNNNNNNNNNNNNNNNNNNNNNNNNNNNNNNNNNNNNNNNNNNNNNNNNNNNNNNNNNNNNNNNNNNNNNNNNNNNNNNNNNNNNNNNNNNNNNNNNNNNNNNNNNNNNNNNNNNNNNNNNNNNNNNNNNNNNNNNNNNNNNNNNNNNNNNNNNNNNNNNNNNNNNNNNNNNNNNNNNNNNNNNNNNNNNNNNNNNNNNNNNNNNNNNNNNNNNNNNNNNNNNNNNNNNNNNNNNNNNNNNNNNNNNNNNNNNNNNNNNNNNNNNNNNNNNNNNNNNNNNNNNNNNNNNNNNNNNNNNNNNNNNNNNNNNNNNNNNNNNNNNNNNNNNNNNNNNNNNNNNNNNNNNNNNNNNNNNNNNNNNNNNNNNNNNNNNNNNNNNNNNNNNNNNNNNNNNNNNNNNNNNNNNNNNNNNNNNNNNNNNNNNNNNNNNNNNNNNNNNNNNNNNNNNNNNNNNNNNNNNNNNNNNNNNNNNNNNNNNNNNNNNNNNNNNNNNNNNNNNNNNNNNNNNNNNNNNNNNNNNNNNNNNNNNNNNNNNNNNNUGGUGCAUUUUGAACACAGAAAAACAAGGGGGUUCCAAUAAGUUCAAAAAAAUGAAAUCCCUUUGAAACAGACGAGUCUCUGUAUGAAACCCUGAUACUUCGAAGGAGAUUGUCUGUUUUGUACACGAAGUGCAUCCAGUUUUUGCCGUAAGCCUCUCUACUUUCUUGCACAUGCUAUGUGGGUGAAAUGAUGAUACCAUGCCAACUUGGAAUCUUUUCAGAGUUCAUUUCAAAUGCUUUUCAAUUUCAUUGUCUUGUAGCUCAAAAUAAUCAGUAAAUGCAUGAAAAAGAAUGAAUGAAGUCAGAAAUGGUUGAAAAUUGAUGAUGUGGCUUUGAAUGGUGCAUUUUUAACACAGAAAAACAAGGGGGUUAAAAUAAGUUCAAAAGAAUUGAAAUCCCUUUGUAACAGACGAAUUUUCGUAUGAAACCCUCAUACUUCGACGGAGAUUGUCUGUUUUGUACAUGAAGUGCAUCCAGUUUUUGCUGUAAGCCUCUCUACUUUCUUGCAUAUGCUAUGUGGGUAAAUGAUGAUACCAUGCCAACUUGGAACCUUUUCAAGGUUCAUUUCAAAUGCUUUUCAAUUUCAUGGUCUUAUAGUUCAAAAUAAUUAGUAAAUGCAUGAAAAAUAAUGAAUGAAGUCAGAAAGGGUUGUAAAUUGAUGAUGUGGCUUUGAAUGGUGGAUUUUGAACACAGAAAAACAAGGGGGUUGAAAUAAGUUCAAAAAAAUUGAAAUCCCUUAGUAACAGACGAGUUUUCGUAUGAAACCCUGAUACUUCGAAGGAGAUUGCCUGUUUUGUACACGAAGUGCAUUCAGUUUUUGCCGUAAGCCUCUCUACUUUCUUGCACAUCCUAUGUGGGUGAAAUGAUGAUACCAUGCCAACUUGGAACCUUUUCAGAGUUCAUUUCAAAUGCUUUUCAAUUUCAUGGUCUUAUAGCUCAAAAUAAUCAGUAAAUGCAUGCAAAAUAACAAAUGAAGUCAGAAAGGGUUGUAAAAUGUUGAUGUGGCUUUGAAUGGUGCAUUUUGAACACAAAAAAACAUGGGGGUUCAAAUAGGUUCAAAAAAGUUGAAAUCCCUUUGUAGCAGACGAGUUUCCGUAUGAAACCCUGAUACUUCGAAGGAGAUUGUCUGUUUUGUACACGAAGUGCAUCCUGUUUUUGCCGUAAGCCUGUCUACUUUAUUGCACAUGCUAUGUGGGUGAAAUGAUGAUACCAUGCCAACUUGGAACCUUUUCAGAGUUCAUUUCAAAUGCUUUUCAAUUUCAUGGUCUUAUAGCUCAAAAUAAUCAGUAAAUGCAUGAAAAAUAACAAAUGAAGUCAGAAAGGGUUGUAAAUUGAUGAUGUGGCUUUGAAUGAUGUAUUUUGAACACAGAAAAACAAGGGGGUUGAAAUAAUUUCAAAAAAAUUGAAAUCCCUUAGUAACAAACGAGUUUUCGUAUGAAACCCUGAUACUUCGAAGGAGAUUGCCUGUUUUGUACACGAAGUGCAUCCAGUUUUUGCCGUAAGCCUCUCUACUUUCUUGCACAUCCUAUGUGGGUGAAAUGAUGAUACCAUGCCAACUUGGAACCUUUUCAGAGUUCAUUUCAAAUGCUUUUCAAUUUCAUGGUCUUAUAGCUCAAAAUAAUCAGUAAAUGCAUGCAAAAUAAGAAAUGAAGUCAGAAAGGGUUGUAAAUUGUUGAUGUGGCUUUGAAUGGUGCAUUUUGAACACAAAAAACCAUGGGGGUUCAAAUAGGUUCAAAAAAGUUGAAAUCCCUUUGUAGCAGACGAGUUUCCGUAUGAAACCCUGAUACUUCGAAGGAGAUUGUCUGUUUUGUACAUGAAGUGCAUCCUGUUUUUGCCGUAAGCCUGUCUACUUUAUUGCACAUGCUAUGUGGGUGAAAUGAUGAUACCAUGCCAACUUGGAACCUUUUCAGAGUUCAUUUCAAAUGCUUUUCAAUUUCAUGGUCUUAUAGCUCAAAAUAAUCAGUAAAUGCAUGAACAAUAACAAAUGAAGUCAGAAAGGGUUGUAAAUUGAUGAUGUGGCUUUGAAUGAUGCAUUUUGAACACAGAAAAACAAGGGGGUUGAAAUAAUUUCAAAAAAAAUUGAAAUCCCUUAGUAACAGACGAGUUUUCGUAUGAAACCCUGAUACUUCGAAGGAGAUUGCCUGUNNNNNNNNNNCCUGUUUUGUACACGAAGUGCAUCCAGUUUUUGCCGUAAGCCUCUCUACUUUCUUGCACAUCCUAUGUGGGUGAAAUGAUGAUACCAUGCCAACUUGGAACCUUUUCAGAGUUCAUUUCAAAUGCUUUUCAAUUUCAUGGUCUUAUAGCUCAAAAUAAUCAGUAAAUGCAUGCAAAAUAACAAAUGAAGUCAGAAAGGGUUGUAAAUUGUUGAUGUGGCUUUGAAUGGUGCAUUUUGAACACAAAAAAACAUGGGGGUUCAAAUAGGUUCAAAAAAGUUGAAAUCCCUUUGUAGCAGACGAGUUUCCGUAUGAAACCCUGAUACUUCGAAGGAGAUUGUCUGUUUUGUACACGAAGUGCAUCCUGUUUUUGCCGUAAGCCUGUCUACUUUAUUGCACAUGCUAUGUGGGUGAAAUGAUGAUACCAUGCCAACUUGGAACCUUUUNNNNNNNNNNGGCUUUGAAUGAUGCAUUUUGAACACAGAAAAACAAGGGGGUUGAAAUAAUUUCAAAAAAAAUUGAAAUCCCUUAGUAACAGACGAGUUUUCGUAUGAAACCCUGAUACUUCGAAGGAGAUUGCCUGUUUUGUACAUGAAGUGCAUCCAGUUUUUGCCGUAAGCCUCUCUACUUUCUUGCACAUCCUAUGUGGGUGAAAUGAUGAUACCAUGCCAACUUGGAACCUUUUCAGAGUUCAUUUCAAAUGCUUUUCAAUUUCAUGGUCUUAUAGCUCAAAAUAAUCAGUAAAUGCAUGCAAAAUAACAAAUGAAGUCAGAAAGGGUUGUAAAUUGUUGAUGUGGCUUUGAAUGGUGCAUUUUGAACACAAAAAAACAUGGGGGUUCAAAUAGGUUCAAAAAAGUUGAAAUCCAUUUGUAGCAGACGAGUUUCCGUAUGAAACCCUGAUACUUCGAAGGAGAUUGUCUGUUUUGUACACGAAGUGCAUCCUGUUUUUGCCGUAAGCCUGUCUACUUUAUUGCACAUGCUAUGUGGGUGAAAUGAUGAUACCAUGCCAACUUGGAACCUUUUUAGACUUCAUUUCAAAUGCUUUUCAAUUUCAUGGUCUUAUAGCUCAAAAUAAUCAGUAAAUGCAUGAAAAAUAACAAAUGAAGUCAGAAAGGGUUGUAAAUUGAUGAUGUGGCUUUGAAUGAUGCAUUUUGAACACAGAAAAACAAGGGGGUUGAAAUAAGUUCAAAAAAAUUGAAAUCCCUUAGUAACAGACGAGUUUUCGUAUGAAACCCUGAUACUUCGAAGGAGAUUGCCUGUUUUGUACACGAAGUGCAUCCAGUUUUUGCCGUAAGCCUCUCUACUUUCUUGCACAUCCUAUGUGGGUGAAAUGAUGAUACCAUGCCAACUUGGAACCUUUUCAGAGUUCAUUUCAAAUGCUUUUCAAUUUCAUGGUCUUAUAGCUCAAAAUAAUCAGUAAAUGCAUGCAAAAUAACAAAUGAAGUCAGAAAGGGUUGUAAAUUGUUGAUGUGGCUUUGAAUGGUGCAUUUUGAACACAAAAAAACAUGGGGGUUCAAAUAGGUUCAAAAAAGUUGAAAUCCCUUUGUAGCAGACGAGUUUCCGUAUGAAACCCUGAUACUUCGAAGGAGAUUGUCUGUUUUGUACACGAAGUGCAUCCUGUUUUUGCCGUAAGCCUGUCUACUUUAUUGCACAUGCUAUGUGGGUGAAAUGAUGAUACCAUGCCAACUUGGAACCUUUUUAGAGUUCAUUUCAAAUGCUUUUCAAUUUCAUGGUCUUAUAGCUCGAAACAAUCAGUAAAUGCAUGAAAAAUAACAAAUCAAGUCAAAAGGGUUGUCAAUUGAUGAUGUGGCUUUGAAUGGUGCAUUUUGAACACAGAAAAACAAGGGGGUUCAAGUAAGUUCAAAAUAAUUGAAAUCCCUUUGUAACAGACGAGUUUCCGUAUGAAACCCGUAUACUUCGAAGGAGAUUGUCUGUUUUGUACACGAAGUGCAUCCAGUUUUUGCCGUAAGCCUCUCUACUUUCUUGCACAUGCUAUGUGGGUGAAAUAAUAAUACCAUGCCAACUUGGAACCUUUUCAGAGUUCUUUUCAAAUGCUUUUUAAUUUCAUGGUCUUAUAGCUCAAAAUAAUCAGUAAAUGCAUGAAAAAUAACAAAUGAAGUCAUAAAGGGUUGUAAAUUGAUGAUGUGGCUUUGAAUGGUGCAUUUUGAACACAUAAAAACAAGGGGGUUCAAAUAAGUUCAAAAAAAUGAAAUCCCUUUGUAACAGACGAGUUUCCGUAUGAAACCCUGAUACUUCGAAGGAGAUUGUCUGUUUUGUACACGAAGUGCAUCCAAUUUUUGCCGNNNNNNNNNNNNNNNNNNNNNNNNNNNNNNNNNNNNNNNNNNNNNNNNNNNNNNNNNNNNNNNNNNNNNNNNNNNNNNNNNNNNNNNNNNNNNNNNNNNNNNNNNNNNNNNNNNNNNNNNNNNNNNNNNNNNNNNNNNNNNNNNNNNNNNAAAAAUAACAAAUGAAGUCAUAAAGGGUUGUAAAUUGAAGGUGGCUCUGAAUGGUGCAUUUUGAACACAGAAAAACAUGGGGGUUCAAAUAGGUUCAAAAAAGUUGAAAUCCCUUUGUAGCAGACGAGUUUCCGUAUGAAACCCUGAUACUUCGAAGGAGAUUGUCUGUUUUGUACGCGAAGUGCAUCUAGUUUUUGCCGUAAGCCUCUCUACUUUCUUGCACAUGCUAUGUGGGUGAAAUGAUGAUACCAUGCUAACUUGGAACCUUUUCAGAGUUCAUUUCAAAUGAUUUUCAAUUUCAUGGUCUUAUAGCUCAAAAUAAUCAGUAAAUGCAUGAAAAAUAACAAAUGAAGUCAGAAGGGUUGUAAAUUGAUGAUGUGGCUUUGAAUGGUCCAUUUUGAACACAGAAAAACAAGGGGGUUCAAGUAAGUUAAAAAUAAUUGAAAUCCCUUUGUAACAGACGAGUUUCCGUAUGAAACCCGUACACUACGAAGGAGAUUGUCUGUUUUGUACACGAAGUGCAUCCAGUUUUUGUCGUAAGCCUCUCUACUUUCUUGCACUUGCUAUGUGGGUGAAAUAAUGAUACCAUGCCAACUUGGAACCUUUUCAGAGUUCUUUUCAAAUGCUUUUUAAUUUCAUGGUCUUAUAGCUCAAAAUAAUAAGUAAAUGCAUGAAAAAUAAUAAAUGAAGUCAGAAAGGGUUGUAAAUUGAUGAUGUGGCUUUGAAUGGUGCAUUUUGAACAUAGAAAAUCAAGGGGGUUCAAAUAAGUUAAAAAAACGAAAUCCCUUUGUAAGAGAUGAGUUUCCGUAUGAAACCCUGAUACUUUGAAGGAGAUUGUCCGUUUUGUACACGAAGUGCAUCCAAUUUUUGCCGCAAGCCUCUCUACUUUCUUGCACAUGCUAUGUGGGUGAAAUAAAGAUACCAUGCCAACUUGGAACCUUUUCAAAGUCCAUUUCAAAUGCUUUUCGAUUUCAUGGUCUUAUAGCUCAAAAUAAUCAGUAAAUGCAUGAAAAAAACAAAUGAAGUCAGAAAGGGUUGUAAAUUGAUGAUGUGGCUUUGAAUGGUUCAUUUUGAACACAGAAAAACAAGGCGUUUCAAAUAAGUUCAAAAAAAUGAAAUCCCUUUGUAACAGACGCGUUUCCGUAUGAAACCCUGAUACUUCGAAGGAGAUUGUCUGUUUUGUACACGAAGUGCAUCCAGUUUUUGCUGUAAGCCUCUCUAAUUUCUUGCACAUGCUAUGUUGGUGAAAUUAUGAUUCCAUGCCAACUUGGAACCUUUUCAGAGUUCAUUCCAAAUGCUUUUCAAUUUCAUGGUCUUAUAGCUGAAAAUAAUCAGUAAAUGCGUGAAAAAUAACAAAUGAAGUCUGAAAGGGUUGUAAAUUGAUGAUGUGGAUUUGAAUGGUGCAUUUUGAACACAUAAAAACAAGGGGGUUAAAAUAAGUUCAAAAAAUUGAAAUCCCUUUGUAACAGAUGAGUUUCCGUAUGAAACCGUGAUACUUCGAAGCAGAUUGUCUGUUUUGUACACGAAGUGCAUCCAGUUUUUGCCGUAAGCCUCUCUACUUUCUUGAAAAUGUUAUGUGGGUGAAAUGAUAAUACCAUGCCAACUUGGAACCUUUCCAGAGUUCAUUUCAAAUGCUUUUCAAUUUCAUGGUCUUAUAGCUCAAAAUAAUCAGUAAAUGCAUGAAAAAUAACAAAUGAAGUCAGAAAGGGUUGUUAAUUGAUGAUGUGGCUUUGAAUGGUGCAUUUUUAACACAGCAAAACAAGGGGGUUCAAAUAAAUUUCAAAUCCCUUUGUAACAGACGAGUUUCCGUAUGAAACCCUGAUACUUCGAAGGAGAUUGUCUGUUUUGUACACGAAGUGCAUCCAGUUUUUGCCAUAAGCCUCUCUACUUUCUUGCACCUUCUAUGUGGGUGAAAUUAUGAUACCAUGCCAACUUGGAACCUUUUCUUAGUUCAUUUCAAAUGAUUUUCAAUUUUGUGGUCUUAUAGCUCAAAAUAAUCAGUAAAUGCAUGGAAAAUAAGAAAUGAAGUCAGAAAGGGUUGUAAAUUGAUGAUGUGGCUUUGAAUGGUGCAUUUUGAACAUAGAAAAACAAUGGGGUUCAACAAGUUCAAAAAAAUGAAAUCCCUUUGUAACAGACGAGUUUCCGUAUGAAACCCUCAUACUUCAAAGGAGAUUGUCUGUUUUGUACACGAAGUUCAUCCAGUUUUUGCCGUAAGCCUCUCUAUUUUCUUGCACAUGCUAUGUGGGUGAAAUGAUGAUACCAUGCCAACUUGGAACCUUUUCAAAGUUCAUUUCAAAUGUUUUUCAAUUUCAUGGUCAAAAACAAAAUGAAGUCAGAAACAAAAUAAAAUAAAAUAAAUAUGUAAUUUGAAACAAAAUAAUAUAAACUUUAAUAAAAUAGAUAAUAGAAACAAAAAAAACUUUAAUAACAUAAAUAAAAAGUAUUUUCUAUUCAAAACAUUAUAAGCAACUUNNNNNNNNNNNNNNNNNNNNNNNNNNNNNNNNNNNNNNNNNNNNNNNNNNNNNNNNNNNNNNNNNNNNNNNNNNNNNNNNNNNNNNNNNNNNNNNNNNNNNNNNNNNNNNNNNNNNNNNNNNNNNNNNNNNNNNNNNNNNNNNNNAGCAAAAAGAAAUUUCAUAAAGAACUUUUUUUGUUAGAAACUUUAAUAGCAAAAAGAAUUAUCAUAAAAUAAAAUUAAUAAGUAAUUAUAAACAAAACAAAAUAAAAUAAAUAAGUAUUUUGUUGUAAGUAGAAACAAAAAAAAUAAAGAAAAAAGAAAACAAAAAAAGUGGGAAAAAAUAAAAAAUUUGCCACCAACUGGGCCACCACGGCCUGAAUACGACUAGAAACCCAUCCAUGGGCCAGGAUUCAGGCCCACGGUAGGCCCAGAAGGCCCAGAAGGCAAAGCAGUAGCAAGUAGGCCCAUAAGCCUGCAGUGGAAGGAGCUCGAGAGGGGUGCGGCAGUGGGGCUUAUAAACCACUACACGCCCCUCUCAGCUAGUGAGGUGGGACUAAACUUUCGUGCCGCACCGCACCAGCACACGACCUUUGGUCCCGGUUGGUGCCACCAACCGGGACGAAAGGCCGCCGCUUCCCGCCCUUUGGGCUGCUGAAAAGAGACCUUUGGUCCCGGUUGGUGGCACCAACCGGGACUAAAGGCUUUGCUAUAUAAGCAAAACUUAGCGGUUUCUGCAAAAAUCACUCUUCUUCUCCGCCCCGACGCCCCCACGCUGCUCCUUGUCGCCGUCGCUGCCGAGCCCUUCCCUGACGCCGUCGCCCGCACCCUCGCUCGACACUGUCGCCGGUCGCCGCCCUACCCCGACACCGUCGCCCGUGCCCUAGCCCGACGACGUCGCCGCUCGUCGCCCUGCCCCGACGCCGUCGCCGUCACGCCNNNNNNNNNNNNNNNNNNNNNNNNNNNNNNNNNNNNNNNNNNNNNNNNNNNNNNNNNNNNNNNNNNNNNNNNNNNNNNNNNNNNNNNNNNNNNNNNNNNNNNNNNNNNNNNNNNNNNNNNNNNNNNNNNNNNNNNNNNNNNNNNNNNNNNNNNNNNNNNNNNNNNNNNNNNNNNNNNNNNNNNNNNNNNNNNNNNNNNNNNNNNNNNNNNNNNNNNNNNNNNNNNNNNNNNNNNNNNNNNNNNNNNNNNNNNNNNNNNNNNNNNNNNNNNNNNNNNNNNNNNNNNNNNNNNNNNNNNNNNNNNNNNNNNNNNNNNNNNNNNNNNNNNNNNNNNNNNNNNNNNNNNNNNNNNNNNNNNNNNNNNNNNNNNNNNNNNNNNNNNNNNNNNNNNNNNNNNNNNNNNNNNNNNNNNNNNNNNNNNNNNNNNNNNNNNNNNNNNNNNNNNNNNNNNNNNNNNNNNNNNNNNNNNNNNNNNNNNNNNNNNNNNNNNNNNNNNNNNNNACGCCGCCCCAGAACUGCCCCGACGCCGUCGCCGUCGCCGCUUGCCGCCCUGCCCCGACCCCGCGCCCCUGCCCCUCCUCACCUUGGUCCGGCGGCGCCCUCCCCUAUUUUUUAAUAUAUGUGAUAAUUGUUUUUGUUCAUAUAUAUGAUGAUUUUUUUUAUGGAAUAUGAUGUUUUUUCAGAUUAUAUGUAUAUGAUUUUUUUAUAGAAUAUGAUGUUUUUGCUUUUUUAUAAAAAUGUAUAUAUGUUUGUAUGUUCUUUGUGUAUAUAUGUUCACAUAUGCAAAAGUUAGCUUUAGUACAUUUUAGCUUAGUUUAAUUUUUAGAAAAAAUUUAAAUAUCUAGCUAGGAAAGGAAGAAGAAGAAAAAUAAUGAGAGGAGAAAAAGGAAAAUAAGAAGAGGAAGAAAGGAGAAGAAGAGGAGAGGAAGAAGAGGAGAAAUAAAUAAGAAGAGGAAAAAAGAAGAAAAAAAGAGGAGAAGAAGAAAGGAAUAGAGGAGAAAGAAGAAAAAAUAGAAAUUUUCUAUUUUUUUUCUUCUUUCUCCUCUAUUCCUUUCUUCUUCUCCUUUUUUUCUUAUUUUUUUUCUUCAAUUGCUUCUCUUCUAUUCCUUUCUUCUUCUCCUCUUUUUAUUUCUUCUUUUAUCUUCUUAUUUUUUAUCGGGUAUGUCGUUGUCGAUAUACCCCCUCCCGAGAGUUUCAACACGAGGGGGGGUACCGAUAUACCCUCUCCCUGAUAACAUUAUUUUCCCACGUAUAUGUAUGUCGCGUCGUUGUCGAUAUAACCCCCUCCCGGAUAACUUCGACAUGAGGGGCGGUUGAUAUAUAUAUACCCACUCUCGACUGUGAUAACUUAUACCACGAGAGCACCCCCCUCGGCACUCUCGCUCGACCAAAACUCUCGAGGACACCCAAACCCUAGAGAAAAAAUGAUGUUGGUCUCCUACCCCCUCCCGCCGCGCCCCUACCCGACAAACUCUCUCGAGGCCACCCAAAUUUACCAAGUUAAAAGAGCGUUGUCGUGGAGGCCACCCCAAACCCUUGAAGCAUUGUGUCGAGUCCACCCCAAACCCUUGAAGCAUUGUCUAGGCCACCCCAAACCCUAGAGAAGUAGCAUCGAGGCCACUAACAUGAUUCCUUAUUGUGAUUAGCUAGCUAGUUCUACGUUUGCCACUAAAAUAUAUCCAUCUGUACCAUGUUUGAAUAAUAAUUGGCAUGUUGUAAAUAUUUGCAGAAACUAUGGAUCACUCCCGAGACGAAGCAACAGAAGCGAUGUUGGGGGAUAUGAUCGCACAAGGAAGUGAUGUCGUUGCGUCGUUUCUCUACGACACCGAUGGUCAGGAAGGACAAGGUGAAGAAGAGGGCUAUGUUCAUUAUGGCUCCGGUGACCCAUUAAUGCCGGUACAAGAAGAGCGAUAUGUUCAUGAUGGCUCCGGUGACCCAAUGGAGGUACAAGAAGGAGACCGUGUUGACUGCUCCGGUGACCGAACCGAGUCCGACCAGGUAUAUAUAUAUAUAGUUAAGCCCGUGCUGACUAGUUAAUUAAUGCAUUCAUUGUUUUCAUAUGUACACAUAUUAAUUAACUCUCGUCUUUCUUCUUUUUUCUCUAGCCCUCCGGAUCGAGCUCAACUUCGGUAAAGAAACGAGGCCCGAAGAAAAAGUUGCGCUCGGAUAAAAGGUUUGAGAUCACAGCAACCGCACGCGAUGGUAAGCCGAUUGAACCCAUCCAGAAAAGGGAUGCAUUUCAUGCUCAGUGCGGGGUUCUUGUUAGGGACAAGAUCCCGAUCAGUAUCCAGCAAUGGUUAAAGCCAAAGAAGAAGACCCUGAGGUGUCUUAUGUCUCCAAUAUGCAGAAAGAAGAUCUUUGGACAAUGCUUAAGGCAAAUUUCACCCUACCGCUAGAGGAGGAUCCAGAGAAGCCAGUUAAAGAGGAAUUGAUCAAGUCUCAUGCUCUUAAGAAGAUGGCAGAACUAUUCAGGAGGUGGAAGAAUGACCUGAAAAUGUUUGUCGACAAAGAAGAGACACCAGAAUUCACCGGCCGACUUGAGAAGAUCAGAGAUCAAUGGCCCGCAUUUGUGGCCCACAAGACAUCAGAAAAGAGUAAGAAGAUGUCAGCGACAAACAAGAUUAAUGCUGCGAAGAAGAAGCAUCACCGUCGCACGGGGUUAGGUGCUUACCUCAAAGCCCCACCUUUGUGGGACAAGGCUGAGAAUGACCUAAUUACUAAAGGGGUCGAACUAGAGACAUUGAGAUGGCCAGACCGUUGCCAGAUUUGGUUCUUCGGGGUUGGCGGAACCUUGGACCCUGUAUCAGGGAAGUGCGUUUGGACGGAUGAGCAACUGCGAAUACCCGUCAGGAAGCUUCGGCACUAUAUCGCCGCAGCACAGGAAGGGACGUUCGUUCCAGACAGAGAGAAGGACGAGCUCACAAUGGCCCUCGGGAAUCCUAAGCACCCUGGACAGACACGAGGCACACCAGGCUCCCUUUCAUGGAAGGCUGGGUUUCCGGACACAGGGGGUUACAAAAACUAGGAGAGGAGGAAGAAAGUGGAGCACAGCCAACUGCAGGUGCUGCAUGAAAGGGUACAAGGGCUAGAGGAAUGAGAAGCAGAUCACAGCGAACGACCUGUCGAAGCUUCCCCUGAAGCUACCCCGCCAUCUCAGCGGAGAAGUAAUGUGGCUUCCACCGAGCAGACUCAGCAGCUGGAGCCUGUCUUCAUGGGCUACCCCGUGGAUGCUAUCACAGAGUCUCAACAUUGUCACCUUAUGACGCGAUGGAUGACAUUGAAAGUCAAGGCGGUUGUUGGCUCUGUUAUACCUAAUGAACCUGGCUCAACCUACCACGGCCAGCCGAUUCCAGAAGGAUAUGCUAGGGUGAUGGUGGAUCAAAUAACGGACGGAUUUGAGGACCUUGAGCUUGACCACCCUACGGGUGAAGGGGAGAUUCGGCUGGGUUCCUCUCUGAAGACUCCAUGCCUAUGGCGGAAGGAGCUCAUCAACCUUCCGAACUGGACGCCUCUGCCUCCUCCUCCUCAUCCGGCGAGUCAGGGCACUCCGCCUCCUCCUUUGCCUUCUCCAGCGAGUGAUCAGGGCACUCAGCCUCCUUCUUCGGUGCGUGGCGGCACUCCGCCUCCUUCUCCGCCUGCGCCGGCGCGCCCGAGCAGCCAGCUGCCUCCUCCUUCUCCACCUCACCAGCAAGGGCAGAAGAGACCCGCCGCCGCCCCGGCUGCUCCGGCGCGUCGUAGUCCUUCUCCUCCACCUCGUAAGCAAGCACAAAAGAAGACAGUCGCAGCCGCUCCGUCUGCUCCGGCGUCUAGCAGUACAGCCAGAGGUGGGAGGCAAUACAGAUACGGUCCAUCUCUCAAGCCUCUAAAGAAGUUACCGUACGAGAGGACCGAGGAGGAAAACGCGAAGAUCAUGCAGACCGAAGUGAAGGACUUCUUUGAAGGGUUGAAAGCAAAGAGACAUCCACCUCCGGAGGAGAAGGUAGAUCCGGUGAAAGCAAAGCGCACUAUCGAUGCCCUGAGCAAACUACCAAAGUCUCCGCCGAAAACCAACUAUGAGCGCAUUACUAAAAAGACAUAUCUCGAAGCUAACUGGCCGGGAAGUACUGUGAGUGAUCAAAGGUUAAAAGAACGAGCAGCUGGGAAAAAAAUUGCCCAGCUCGGCGAACAAGCAAAGCAAUCGUGCCCCCCGCUCAAUGUGUCUAGCGACAUCGUCGCUAAUGCUCCGGGGAUGGUGCCCGGUUAUAACAAUCUUGGAGAUUAGCUGCAUGAUGAUGUACAUUUUGAUUUCUUGGAGGUGGACAAACACAGAUACGAGUACGGGAAGCCUCUCGUUAAAGAUGAAAAAUCUCUAACAACGAUGAUGCAAAGAUUCCAUAAUUGGUACAUGAAAACCUGCAGAGAGUCUGGGGGGACGAAUACUUUGUAUCUGAGAAUUAAAGAGGAGCACGACCUCGUUGGAACUGAUCUGUUGCCUAUUCCAUUUGAGGAGUUCUUCGAGUUCUUCAAUCAAAAGGCCCUCGAUAAAUUAACGGUCUUCUGCUACUGUCUGUAAGUACUAUUUCUGUCAUUAAGUCUCUAUAUAUCGCUCGGCUCUUUCAUUGCAUGUAUUUAUAAUUAAUUAUCCUCACUAUAUUAUGCAGAUUGAAGAUCGUCGAGUGCAAAAGACAAGAAAUGUAUGAUAUUGGGUUCACUAACACAAAUAUCAUAGAUGAAUUUCAGGUUAAAAAGAACGCCGCAGAGGCCGAGGCCAACUUGCUACAAUCAUUGAUCAAAAAUCAAAACAAAGAUUUAAUACUCUUUCCUUACAACUUCAAGUGAGUGUUACUGUCGUGUGCAUAUUCGGUUUCCCUUAUUACUCGAGCGAGUUUAUAGUAAUGUAAUUGAUGAGUUAUGCAUGCGUCCGCAGCUUCCACUAUGUUCUUCUGGAUAUUAAGCUUGAGCGGGGACUAGUAACCGUCUUAGACUCGAGACGAAAAGAUCCCAAAACCUAUGUGGACAUGACUAAAUUGCUCAACAAGUAAUUUCAAUCGAUCAUUAUCGCACCAUAUCGGCAACUUUUUGUUCAUUUCCUGAUAUCUCAAGUAAUAAUAAUAAUUUUCUUUGUCUUGCAGGGUUUGGAAACAGUUCACCGCAGAAGCUCCGGGACUGCCGAAGGAGCUGCGAUAUACAUACCCAAAAGUAAGUACUACUAGCUAGCUAGUUGCGCGCAUCUCCCGUUGAUUCUAUAGCUAUACUUUCAUCAAUGCCAUUUAUAAUGCUUCAUUAUCAGUUUGAUUGACCUCUAUUUCUCGUAAAGUGCUUGUGGCAGGAAGAAGGGAAUAAUUUCUGUGGAUACUACGUGUGUGAGUUCAUCUACAACGCGACUUUCAAAAAUAAGCGGGGCUACUCUAAAAGACAAUAUGAAGUGCGUAAGCAAUAAUAUUCACAAUUUCAUUUUAUUACACCAUCAUUUCUGUUGAGUUUCAUUCAUAUACGUAUUAACCCCCUUCUUCAAAUUAGACGUGGCAGAUGCGGAAUGAACUCCUACCACAAGAUCGCAUGAAAGCAAUUCAAGAGGAAUUGGCAGGAUUCUUUCUUGACCACGUCAUCAAUAAAGCCGGAGAAUACCAUGUGGAAGUUGAUUUCAAAUGCUAGGGGAUUGUAAGAGAUCCUACAUAUUGUAUAUGUAUGUAGCCAGUAGCAUCGGAUAGAUAAUACAAAAAGUUGUUGUUCGACCAAUCUCUCAGAGAAAGAGAGGUCGAUCGAUCACUUCUCUCGGUAUGCAUGACGAACUUCUGUACUUGAUGGUUUCCUUCAUUUUCUUACUAGCUAGCAUGUCAAGGGCCUCUCUAUGUACAGUACGUAGCGUCGACCAAGCACGGACAUAAGAGAGGACACUUCUCUCUAUUAAUUAGCUAGCUAACACAAUAUAUGAAACACCUAAAUUAACCCCCCAAAAACCCCAACCCCCCCCUCCCCUUUCAAAAAAACAAAAACCCCAACCCUGAAAUGCUCACGCGUGGAUGCCUUUGUUAGGGAACGUUGCAGAAAAUAAAAAAUUUCCGACGGUUUCACCAAGAUCAAUCUAUGAGUUCAUCUAGCAACGAGAGAGAGGAGUGCAUCUACAUACCAUUGUAGAUCCAGCGGAAGCGUUCAAGAGAACGGGGUUGAGGGAGUCGUACUCGUCGUGAUCCAAAUCAUCGGAGAUCCUAGCGCCAAAUGGACGACACCUCCGCAUUCAACACACGUACGGUCAGGGAGACGUCUCCUCCUUCUUGAUCCAGCAAGGGGGAAGGAGAGGUUGAUGAAGAUCCAGCAGCCCGACGGCGUGGUAGUGGAUGCAGUAGCGAUCUCGGCAGGGCUUCGCCAAGCGUCUGCGAGAGGGAGACGUGUAGCAAGGGGAGAAGGAGGCGCCAAGAGCAUGGGUGCGGCUGCCCUCCCUCCCUCCUCUUUAUAUAGGGCCCCUAGGGGGGCGCCAGCCCUAGGAGAUGGGAUCUCCUAGGGGGGCGCCGGCCAAGGGGGUGGCUUUCCCCCCAAGGCAAGUGGAGGCGCCCCCCACCCCUAUGGUUUCCAACCCUAGGAGCAGGGGGGCCCAAGGGGGGCGCACCAGCCCACCAGGGGCUGGUUCCCCUCCCACUUCAGCCCAUGUGGCCCUCCGGGAUAGGUGGCCCCACCCGGUGGACCCCCGGGACCCUACCGAUGGUCCCGGUACAAUACUGGUAACCCCCGAAACUUUCCCGAUGGCCGAAACUUCACUUCCUAUAUAUAAUUCUUUACCUCCGGACCAUUCCGGAACUCCUCGUGACGUCCGAGAUCUCAUUCGGGACUCUGAACAACUUUCACUUUACUGCAUACUCAUAUCUCUACAACCCUAGUGUCACCGAACCUUAAGUGUGUAGACCCUAUGGGUUUGGGAGACAUGCAGUCAUGACCGAGACGCCUCUCCGGUCAAUAACCAACAGCGGGAUCUUGAUACCCAUGUUGGCUCCCACAUGCUCCUUGAUGAUCUCAUCGGAUGAACCACGAUGUCGAGGACUCAAGCAAUCCCGUAUACAAUUCCCUUUGUCAAUCGGUACGUUACAUGCCCGAGAUUCGAUCGCCGGUAUCCCCAUACCUUGUUUAAUAUUGUUACCGGCAAGUCACUUUACUCGUACCAUAAUGCAUGAUCUCGUGAUCAGACACUUGGUCACAUUGAGAUCAUUAUGAUGAUGCAUUACUGAGUGGGCCCAGAGAUACCUCUCUGUCAUACGGAGUGACAAAUCCCAGUCUCGAUUCGUGCCAACCCAACAGACACUUUGAGAGAUACCCGUAGUGGACCUUUAUAGUCACCCAGUUACGUUGUGACGUUUGGCACACCCAAAGCACUCCUACGGUAUCUGGGAGUUGCACAAUCUCAUGGUCUAAGGAAAUGAUACUUGACACUUGGAAAAGCUCUAGCUAAACGAACUACACGAUCUUUGAGCUAUGCUUAGGAUUGGGUCUUGUCCAUCACAUCAUUCUCCUAAUGAUGUGAUCCUGUUAUCAAUGACAUCCAAUGCCCAUAGUCAGGAAACCAUGACUAUCUGUUGAUCAACGAGCUAGUCAACUAGAGGCUCACUAGGGACACAUUGUGGUCUAUGUAUUCACAUGUGUAUUAUGAUUUUCGGAUAACACAAUUAUAGCAUGAAUCAUAGACUAUUACCAUGAACAAAGAAAUAUAAUAAUAAUCAUUUUAUUAUUGCCUCUAGGGCAUAUUUCCAACAGUCUCCCACUUGCACUAGAGUCAAUCAUCUAGUUACAUUGUGAUGAAUCGAACACCCAUGUAAUUUUGGUGUUGAUCAUGUUUUGCCCUAGGGAGAGGUUUAGUCAACGGAUCUGCUACAUUCAGGUCCGUGUGUACUUUACAAAUAUCUAUGUCUCCAUCUUGAACAUUUUCACGAAUGGAGUUGAAGCGACGCUUGAUGUGCCUGGUCUUCUUGUGAAACCUGGGCUCCUUGGCAAGUGCAAUAGCUCCAGUGCUGUCACAGAAGAGUUUGAUCGGCCCCGACGCAUUGGGUAUGACUCCUAGGUCGGUGAUGAACUCCUUCACCCAGAUUGCUUCAUGCGCUGCCUCCAAGGCUGCCAUGUACUCUGCUUCACAUGUAGAUCCCGCCACGACACUUUGCUUGCAACUGCACCAGCUUACUGCCCCACCAUUCAAAAUAUACACGUAUCCGGUUUGUGACUUAGAGUCAUCCAGAUCUGUGUCGAAGCUAGCGUCGACGUAACCCUUUACGACGACCUCUUCGUCACCUCCAUACACGAGAAACAUGUCCUUAGUCCUUUUUAGGUACUUCAGGAUAUUCUUGACCGAUGUCCAGUGUUCCUUGCCGGGAUUACUUUGGUACCUUCCUACCAAACUUACGGUAAGGUUUACAUCAGGUCUGGUACAUAGCAUGGCAUACAUAAUAGACCCUAUGGCUGAGGCAUAGGGGAUGACACUCAUCUCUUCUAUAUCGUCUGCCGUGGUCGGACAUUGAGCCGAGCUCAAUUUCACACCUUGCAACACAGGCAAGAACCCCUUCUUAGACUGAUCCAUAUUGAACUUCUUCAAUAUCUUAUCAAGGUAUGUGCUUUGUGAAAGACCUAUGAGGCAUCUCGAUCUAUCUCUAUAGAUCUUGAUGCCUAAUAUAUAAGCAGCUUCUCCAAGGUCCUUCAUUGAAAAACACUUAUUCAAGUAGGCCUUAAUGUUGUCCAAGAGUUCUAUAUCAUUUCCCAUCAAAAGUAUGUCAUCUACAUAUAAUAUGAGAAAUGCUACAGCGCUCCCACUCACUUUCUUGUAAACGCAGGCUUCUCCAUAAGUCUGCAUAAACCCAAACGCUUUAAUCAUCUCAUCAAAGCAAAUGUUCCAACUCCGAGAUGCUUGCACCAGCCCAUAAAUGGAUCGCUGGAGCUUGCAUACCUUGUUAGAAUUCUCAGGGUCGACAAAACCUUCCGGCUGCAUCAUAUACAGUUCUUCCUUAAGAUGACCAUUAAGGAAUGUCGUUUUGACGUCCAUUUGCCAUAUCUCAUAAUCAUAGUAUGCGGCAAUUGCUAACAUGAUUCAGAUGGACUUUAGCUUCGCUACGGAAGAGAAUGUCUCAUCGUAGUCAACCCCUUGAACUUGCCGAUAACCCUUAGCGACAAGUCGAGCUUUAUAGAUGGUAACAUUACCAUCCGCGGCCGUCUUCUUCUUAAAGAUCCAUUUGUUUUCUAUUGCUCGCCGAUCAUCGGGCAAGUCUGUCAAAGUCCAUACUUCGUUUUCAUACAUGGAUCCUAUCUGGGAUUGCAUGGCUUCAAGCCAUUUUUUUGAAUUUGGGCCCUCCAUCGCUUCUUCAUAGUUUGAAGGUUCACCGUUGUCUAACAACAUGAUUUCCAAGAUAGGGUUGCCAUACCACUCUGGUGUGGAACGUGUCCUCGUGGACCUACGAAGUUUAGUAGUAACUUGAUCCGAAGUACCUUGAUCAUCAUCAUUAACUUCCUCUUUAGUUGGUGCUGGCACCACAGGAACAUCUUCCUGAGUUGCGCUACUCACUGAUUCAAGAGGUAGUACUUCAUCAAGUUCCACUUUCCUCCCACUUACUUCUCUCGAGAGAAAUUCUUUCUCCAGAAAGGACCCGUUCUUGGCAACAAAGAUGUUGCCUUCGGAUCUGAGGUAGAAGGUAUACCCAAUGGUUUCCUUAGGGUAUCCUAUGAAGACACAUUUUUCCGACUUGGGUUCGAGCUUUUCAGGUUGAAGUUUCUUGACAUAACCAUCGCAUCCCCAAACUUUUAGAAACGACAGCUUAGGUUUCUUCUCAAACCAUAAUUCAUAUGGUGUCGUCUCAACGGAUUUAGACGGUGCCCUAUUUAAAGUGAAUGUAGCUGUCUCUAGAGCGUAUCCCCAAAAAGAUAGCGGUAAAUCGUUAAGAGACAUCAUAGAUCGCACCAUAUCCAAUAAAGUGCGAUUAUGACAUUCGGACACACCGUUACACUGAGGUGUUCCAGGCGGCGUGAGUUGUGAAAUGAUUCCACAUUUCCUUAAGUGCGUACCAAAUUCGUGACUUCAAUAUUCUCCUCCACGAUCUGAUCGUAGGAACUUUAUCUUUCGGUCAUGUUGAUUCUCUACCUCAUUCUGAAAUUCCUUGAACUUUUCAAAGGUCUCAGACUUGUGUUUCAUCAAGUAGACAUACCCAUAUCUACUCAAGUCGUCAGUGAGAGUGAGAACAUAACGAUAUCCUCCGCAAGCCUCAACGCUCAUUGGACCGCACACAUCAGUAUGUAUGAUUUCCAAUAAGUUGGUUGCUCGCUCCAUUGUUCCGGAGAGCGCAGUCUUGGUCAUUUUGCCCAUGAGGCAUGGAUCGCAUGUGUCAAAUGAUUCAUAAUCGAGAGACUCUAAAAGUCCAUCAGCAUGGAGCUUCUUCAUGCACUUGACACCAAUGUGACCAAGGCGGCAGUGCCACAAGUAUGUGGGACUAUCGUUAUCAACUUUACAUCUUUUGGUAUUCACACUAUGAAUAUGUGUAACAUCACGUUCGAGAUUCAUUAAGAAUAAAGCAUUGACCAUCGGGGCAUGACCAUAAAACAUAUCUCUCAUAUAAAUAGAGCAACCAUUAUUCUCCGACUUAAAUGAGUAGCCAUCUCGUAUUAAAUGAGAUCUAGAUACAAUGUUCAUGCUCAAACUUGGCACUAGAUAACAAUUAUUGAGGUUUAAAACUAAUCCCGUAGGUAAAUGUAGAGGUAGCGUGCCAACGGCGAUCACAUCGACCUUGGAACCAUUCCCGACGCGCUUCGUCACCUCGUCCUUCGCCAGUCUCCGUUUAUUCCGCAGUUCUUGCUUUGAGUUACAAAUAUGAGCAACCGCACCGGUAUCAAAUACCCAGGAGCUACUACGAGUACUGGUGAGGUACACAUCAAUUACAUGUAUAUCACAUAUACCUUUAGUGUUGCCGGCCUUCUUGUCCGCCAAGUACUUGGGGCAGUUCUGCUUCCAGUGACCACUUCCCUUGCAAUAAAAGCACUCAGUUUCAGGCUUGGGUCCAUUCUUUGACUUCUUCCCGGCAACUGGCUUACCGGGCGCGGUAACUCCCUUGCCGUCCUUCUUGAAAUUCUUCUUACCCUUGCCUUUCUUGAACUUAGUGGUUUUAUUCACCAUCAACACUUGAUGUUCUUUCUUGAUCUCUUCCUCCGCUGAUUUCAGCGUUGAAUAUACCUCAGGAAUGGUCUUUUCCAUCCCCUGCAUAUUGAAGUUCAUGACAAAGCUCUUGUAGCUUGGUGGAAGCGACUGGAAGAUUCUAUCAAUAACCGCGUCAUCCGGGAGAUUAACUCCCAGCUGAGUCAAGAGGUUGUGCAACCCAGACAUCUUGAGUAUGUGCUCACUGACAGAACUAUUCUCCUCCAUCUUACAGCUGAAGAACUUGCCGGAGACUUCAUAUCUCUCGACCCGGGCAUGAGCUUGGAAAACCAUUUUCAGCUCUUCGAACAUCUCAUAUGCUCUGUGUUGCUCAAAACGCUUUUGGAGCCCCGGUUCUAAGCUGUAAAGCAUGCCGCACUGAAUGAGGGAGUAAUCAUCAGCACGAGACCGCCAAGCGUUCAUAACGUCUUGGUUCUCUGGGAUGGGUGCUUCACCUAGCAGUGCUUCUAGGACAUAAUCUUUCUUGGCAGCUAUGAGGAUGAUCCUCAGAUUCCGGACCCAGUCUGUAUAGUUGCUGCCAUCAUCUUUCAGCUUGGUUUUCUCUAGGUACGCGUUGAAGUUGAGGGUAAUGUGGGCCAUUUGAUCUACAAGACAUAUUGUAAAGAUUUUAGACAAAGUUCAUGAUAAUUAAGUUCAUCUAAUCAAAUUAUUUAAUGAACUCCCACUCAGAUUAGACAUCCCUCUAGUAAUCUAAGUGAUACAUGAUCCGAGUCGACUAGGCCAUGUCUGAUCAUCACGUGAGACGGACUAAUCAUCAUCGGUGAACAUCUCCAUGUUGAUCGUAUCUUCCAUACGACUCAUGUUCGACCUUUCGGUCUCUUGUGUUCCGAGGCCAUGUAUGUACAUGCUAGGCUCGUCAAGUUAACCUAAGUGUUUAUGCAUGUGUAAAUCUUUCUUACACCCAUUGUAUGUGAAUGUUAGAAUCUAUCACACCCGAUCAUCACGUGGUGCUUUGAAACAACGAACUUUCACAAUGGCACACAGUUAGGGGGAACACUUUCUUGAAAUUAUUAUGAGGGAUCAUCUUAUUUACUACCAUCGUUCUAAGUAAACAAGAUGGAAAAACAUGAUAAACAUCAUAUGCAAUCAAAUAGUGACAUGAUAUGGCCAAUGUCAUAUUGCUCCUUUGAUCUCCAUCUUUGGGGCUCCAUGAUCAUCUUCGUCACCGGCAAGACACCAUGAUCUCCAUCAUCAUGAUCUCCAUCAUCGUGUCUCCAUGAAGUUGCUCGCCAACUAUUACUUCUACUACUAUGGCUAAUGGUUUAGCAAUAAAGUAAAGUAAUUACAUGGCGUUGAAUCAAUGACGCGCAUGUCAUACAACAAUUAAGACAACUCCUAUGGCUCCUGCCGGUUGUCAUACUCAUCGACAUGCAAGUCGUGAUUCCUGUUACAAGAACAUGAUCUCAUACAUCACAUAUAUAUCAUCCAUCAUUCAUCACAACUUUUGGCCAUAUCACAUCACAAUCACAUGCUGCAAAAACAAGUUAGACGUCCUCUAAUUGUUGUUGCAUGUUUUAUGUGGCUGCAAUAGGGUUCUAGCAAGAACGUUUUCUUACAUACGUAAAAGCCACAAUGUGAUUUGUCAACUUCUAUUUACCCUUCAUAAGGACCCUUUUUAUCGAAUCCGCUCCAACUAAAGUGGGAGAGACAGACACUCACUAGCCACCUUAUGCAACUAGUGCAUGUCAGUCGGUGGAACCUGUCUCACGUAAGCGUACGUGUAAGGUCGGUCCGGGCCGCUUCAUCCCACAAUACCGCUGAAGCAAAAUAAGACUAGUAGUGGCAAGAAAGUUGACAAUAUCUACGCCCACAACAAAUUUGUGUUCUACUCGUGCAAAGAGAACUAUGCAUAGACCUAGCUCUGAUACCACUAUUGGGGAACGUUGCAGAAAAUAAAAUAUUUCCUACGGUUUCACCAAGAUCAAUAUAUGAGUUCAUCUAGAAACGAGAGAGAGGAGUGCAUCUACAUACCCUUGUAGAUCGAGCGGAAGCGUUCAAGAGAACGGGGUUGAGGGAGUCGUACUCGUCGUGAUCCAAAUCACCGGAGAUCCUAGCGCCGAACGGACGGCACCUCCGCGUUCAACACACGUACGGUCAGGGAGAAGUCUCCUCCUUCUUGAUCCAGCAAGGGGGAAGGAGAGGUUGAUGAAGAUCCAGCAUCACGACGGCAUGGUGGUGGAUGCAGCAGCGAUCUCGGCAGGGCUUCGCCAAGCGUCUGCGAGAGGGAGAGGUGUAGCAAGGGGAGAGGGAGGCGCCAAGAGCAUGGGUGCGGCUGUCCUCCCUCCCCCCUCUUUAUAUAGGGCCCCUGGGGGGGGCCUAGGAGAUGAGAUCUCCUAGAGGGGGCGGCGGCCAAGGGGGUGGCUUGCCCCUCAAGGCAAGUGGAGGCGCCCCCCACCCCUAGGGUUUCCAACCCUAGGCGCAGGGGGGACCAAGGGGGGGCGCACCAGCCCACCAGGGGCUGGUUCCCCUCCCACUUCAUCCCAUGUGGCCCUCCGGGAUAGGUGGCCCCACCCGGUGGACCCCCGGGACCCUUCCGGUGGUCCCGGUACAAUAUCGGUAACCCCCGAAACUUUCCCGAUGGCCAAAACUUCACUUCAUAUAUAUAAUUAUUUACCUACGGACCAUUUCGGAACUCCUUGUGAUGUCCGGGAUCUCAUCCGGGACUCCGAACAACUUUCGGUUUACUGCAUACUCAUAUCUCUACAACCCUAGCAUCACCGAACCUUAAGUGUGUAGACCCUACGGGUUCGGGAGACAUGCAGACAUGACCGAGACACCUCUCCGGUCAAUAACCAAUAGCGGGAUCUGGAUACCCAUGUUGGCUCCCACAUGCUCCUCGAUGAUCUGAUCGGAUGAACCACGAUGUCGAGGACUCAAGCAAUCCCAUAUACAAUUCCCUUUUUCAAUCGGUACGUUACAUGCCCGAGAUUCGAUCGCCGGUAUCCCAAUACCUCGUUUAAUCUCGUUACCAGCAAGUCACUUUACUCGUACCAUAAUGCAUGAUCCCGUGACCAGACAAUUGGUCACAUUGAGCUCAUUAUGAUGAUGCAUUACCGAGUGGGCCCAGAGAUACCUCUCUGUCAUACGGAGUGACAAAUCCUAGUCUCUAUUCGUGCCAACCCAACAGACACUUUCGGAGAUACCCGUAGUGGACCUUUAUAGUCAUCUAGUUACGUUGUGAUGUUUGGCACACCCAAAGCACUCCUACGGUAUCCGGGAGUUGCACAAUCUCAUGGUCUAAGGAAAUGAUACUUGACACUUGGAAAAGCUCUAGCUAAACGAACUACACGAUCUUUGAGCUAUGCUUAGGAUUGGGUCUUGUCCAUCACAUCAUUCUCCUAAUGAUGUGAUCCCAUUAUCAAUGACAUCCAAUGCCCAUAGUCAGGAAACCAUGACUAUCUGUUGAUCAACGAGCUAGUCAACUAGAGGCUCACUAGGGACACGUUGUGGUCUAUGUAUUCACACGUGUAUUACGUUUUCCAGAUAACACAAUUAUAGCUUGAAUAAUAGACUAUUACCAUGAACAAAUAAAUAUAAUAAUAAUCAUUUUAUUAUUGCCUCUAGAGCAUAUUUCCAACAGCCUUUUGGUCCCGGUUGGUGCCACCAACCGGGACCAAAGGCCCUCCUACCUAGGCUCAGUGCACCGGCCACGUGGAGGCCCGUCUGUCCCGGUUUAUGCAAGAACCGGGACUAAAGGUUUAGGGCAUUAGUACCGACACUUUAGUCCCGGUUCAAAAACCAGGACAAAUGGCCCUCACGAACCGCGACUAUAGGUCCUUUUUCUACUAGUGUACACAAAUACAAAUAAAGAAUGACUUCGGAAUAGUACCAAAAGUGGUGAUUUAUUUUCUUAUACUAACAAAUCUCAUAAGAUUUUCUGUUGAGUUUUGUGUUGUGAAGUUUUCAAGUUUGAGUAAGGAUUUGAUGGACUAUGGAAUAAGGAGUGGCAAGAGCCUAAGCUUCGGGAUGCCCAAGGCACCCCAAGGUAAUAUUCAAGGACAACCAAGAGCCUAAGCUUGGGGAUGCCCCGGAAGGUAUCCCCUCUUUCAUCUUCGUCUAUCGGUAACUUUACUUGAAGCUAUAUUUUUGUUCACCUCAUGAUAUGUGUUUUGCUUGGAGCGUCUUGUAUGAUAUGAGUCUUUACUUUUUAGUUUUCCAUAAUCAUACUUUUUGUACACACCUUUUGAUAGGGACACGCAUGAAUCGUGAUUUAUUAGAAUACUCUAUGUGCUUCACUUAUAUCUUUUGAGCUAGGCAAUUUUAUUCUAGUGCUUCACUUAUAUAUUUUUAGAGCACGGUGGUGGCCUUAUUUUGUAGAAAUUGUUGUACUCUCAUGCUUCACUUAUAUUAUUUUGAGAGUUUCUCUAUACAGCGUGGUAAUUUGCUUUGGUUAUAAAUUUAUUCCUAAUAUGAUAGGCAUGCAAGAGGGAUAUAAUAGAAAUUUUUCAUAUAAAGUGCAUUGAAUACUAUGAGAAGUUUGAUUCCUUAUGAUUGUUUUGAGAUAUGAGGAUGGUGAUAUUAGAGUCAUGCAAGUGGAUUAAUUGUGUAUUGUAGAAAUACUUGUGUGGAGGUUUGUGAUUCCCGUAGCAUGCACGUAUGGUGAACCGUUCUGUAACGAAGUUGGAGCAUGAUUUAUUUAUUGAUUGUCUUCCUUAUGAGUGGCGGUCGGGGACGAGCGAUGGUCUUUUCCUACCAAUCUAUCCCCCUAGGAGCAUGCGUGUAGUACUUUGUUUCGAUGACUAAUAGAUAUUUGCAAUAAGUAUGUGAGUUCUUUAUGACUAAUGUUGAGCCCAUGGAUUAUACGCACUCUCACCCUUCCACCAUUGCUAGCCUCUCUAGUACCGGACAACUUUCGCUGGUACCAUAAACCCACCAUAUACCUUCCUCAAAACAGCCACCAUACCUACCUAUUAUGGCAUUUCCAUAGCCAUUCCGAGAUAUAUUGCCAUGCAACUUUCCACCGUUCCGUUUAUGAUGACACGCUUCAUCAUUGUCAUAUUGCUUUGCAUGAUCAUGCAGUUGACAUAGUAUUUGUGGCAAAGCCACCAUUCAUAAUUUUCAUACAUGUCACUCUUGACUCAUUGCACAUCCGGGUACACCACCGGAGGCAUUCAUAUAGAGUCAUAUUUUUCUCUAAGUAUCGAGUUGUGAUUCUUGAGUUGUAAGUAAAUAAACGUGUGAUGAUCAUCAUUAUUAGAACAUUGUCCCACGUGAGGUAAUUAAAAAAAAGAGGAGGCCAAGGAAGCCAUUGGAAAAAAUGAGAUAAAAAGAGAGAAUGGGCUAUGUUACUAUCCCUUUUCCACACUUGUGCUUCAAAGUAGCACCAUGGUCUUCAUGAUAGAGAAUCUCCUAUUUUGUCACUUUCAUAUACUAGUGGGAAUUUUUCAUUAUAGAACUUUGGCUUGUAUAUUCCAAAAAUGGGAUUGCUCAAAUUUCCCUAGGUCUUCAUGAGAAAGCAAGUUGGAUGCACAACCACUUAGUUUCUUUUUGAGCUUUCAUAAACUUAUAGCUCUAGUGCAUCUGUUGCAUGGCAAUCCCUACUCACUCACAUUGAUAUCUAUUGAUGGGCAUCUCCAUAGCCCGUUUAUACACCUAGUUGAUGUGAUACUAUCUCCUUCUUUUUUGUCUUCUCCACAACCACCAUAUUCAUUCCACCUAUAGUGCUAUGUCCAUGGCUCACGCUCAUGUAUUGCGUGAAAGUUGAAAAUGUUUGAGAACAUCAAAGUAUGAAACAAUUGAUUGGCUUGCCAUCGGGGUGUGCAUGAUUUGAAUAUUUUGUGUGAUGAAGAUGGAGCAUAACCAGACUAUAUGAUUUUCUAGCGAUAGAUUUCUUUGGCCAUGUUAUUUUGAGAAGACAUGAUUGCUUUAUUAGUAUGCUUGAAGUGUUAUCGUUUUUAUGUCAAUAUUAAUCUUUUGUUUUGAAUCUUAUGGAUCUGAACAUUCAUGCCACAAUGAAGAAAAUUACAUUGACAAAUAUGUUAGGUAUUAUUCCACAUCAAAAAUUAUGUUUUUAUCAUUUACCUACUCAAGGACGAGCAGGAAUUAAGCUUGGGAAUGCUUGAUACGUCUCCAAUGUAUCUAUAAUUUUUUUUAUUGUUCCAUUCUAUUAUAUUAUCUGUUUUGGAUGUUUUAUAUGCAUUAAUAUGCUAUUUUACUUUAUUUUUGGGACUAACCUAUUAACCUAGAGCCAGUGCCAGUUUCGUUUUAACUUGUUUUUGAGCCUCGCGGAAAAGGAAUACCAAAUGGAGUCCAAGCAGAAUAAAACCUUCACGAUGAUUUUUCUUGGACCAGAAGACACCUAUUGGACGUGGACUCCAAGUCAGAAGACCUUGGAGUAGACGAAAAGCCACAGGGGCACGCCCUAGGGGGUGGUGCGCCCCCUGCCUUGUGGCCUACUCCAACACCCCCUGACCUAAUGCUUCGUCCUAUAUAUUCUCAAAUAUUCCAAAACCACCAGAGGUAUCCACGAAAACACUUGUCCACCUCCGCAACCUUCUGUUCCCGUGAGAUUGCAUCUAGGGGCCUUUUCCGGCAUCCUGCCGGAGGGGGAUUAGAUCAUGGAGGGCUUCUACAUGAACUAUAUUUCCCUUUCGAUGAAGCGUGGGUAGUUUACCACAGACCUACGGGUCCAUAGCUAGUAGCUAGAUGGCUUAUUCUCUCUCUUAGAUUCUCAAUACCAUAUUCUCCUUGAUGUUCUUGGAGAUCUAUCCGAUGUAAUCUCCUUUGGCGGUGUGUUUGUCGAGAUUCAAUGAAUUGUGGAUUUAUGAUCAGCUUAUCUAUGAAUAUUAUUUGAAUCUUCUCUAAAUUCUUAUAUGCAUGAUUUGAUAUCUUUGUAAUUCUGUUCAAACUAUUGGUUUAGUUUGGCCAACUAGAUUGUUUUUUCUUGCAAUGGGAGAAGUGCUUAGCUUUGGGUUCAAUCUUGUGUGUCCUUUCCUAGUGACAGUAGGGGCAACAAGGCACGUAUUGUAUUAUUGCCAUCGAGGAUAAAAAGAUGGGGUUUUCAUCAUAUUUCUUGAGUUUAUUCCUCUACAUAAUGUCAUCUGAAUGUGUUACUCUGUUCUUAUUGAACUUAAUACUCUAGAUGCAGGCACGAGUCAGUUGAUGUGUGGAGUAAUAGUAGUAGAUGUAGGCAGGAGUCGGUCUACUUGACACGAACGUGAUGCCUAUAUUUCAUCAUCAUUGCCUUGGAUAUCGUCAUAACUUUGUACUUUUCUAUCAAUUGCUCGCCAGUAAUUUGUUCACCCACCGUAUUACACUAGUAGAAAACAGGGCAUACGUUCGGGCCAGAUAAGCCCAUUAGUCCUGGUUCAGUCACGAACCGGGACCCAUGGGGGCAUUACUCCCGGUUCGUGUCUCAAACCGGGACUAAAGUCCCAGUUCAAAUGAGCCCUUUGGUCCCAAUUUGAGACACGAACCGAGACUAAAGGUUAUGCUCAAAUUCUAAAAGGAAAAAAGUUAUGCUCAAAUUUCUUUUUUUUGAAUUUUUGUUAAAUCUAGUCAAACUAUGGUCAAACUACUUAUUCAAGAAGUAUUAGUGUUACUAAAUAAUUAUUCAAUAAUAUUAGUGUUAAUAAAUAAUUAUUUCAGUUUUUUUUCAAUUUUGGUCAAAUCUGGUCAAACUGUGGUCAAACAUAGUCAAACUAUGGUCAAACUUAUUAUUCAAGAAAUAUUAGUGUUACUAAAUAAUUAUUGUUUUUUAGAAUAAUAGUUUCAAACUCAAAUAGUGAAACAUGUGACUUCAUGCUCAAGCUAAACUCCGGAGGGUAAUAGGAUUGACAUCUUACUAUUGUCAGGAAAACAACAAAUGCGGACUUGGAAACAAGGAGGAAUAGAACCCGGAGGUUAAGCGUGCUCAGGCUUGAGUAGUGAGAGGAUGGGUGACCGGCAGGGAAGUUAGAUGAUUUGGAAUGAUCAGGGGUGAUCAGAGAUUAGAGGAUAAAUUGAGCAGUGAUGAGGGGGAUGAGGGGUGAUUAGAGAUUAUAUUGUAAAAUAAUUCGGAAAUUUGAAAAUCCUGUAAAAAAAUUAAUUUAAAAAAAUCAAAAAAAUCGUAAAAAUACCUUUAGUCCCGGUUGGUGUUACCAACUGGGACUAAAGCUGGAGCUCCAGACAGCGACCACGUGGAGGGGCUUUAGUCCGGGUUCAUAAAAGAACCGGGACUAAACGGGUGCCUUUAGUGACGACCCUUUAGUCCCGGUUCAAGAACCGGGACUAAAGGCCCUCACGAACCGACGCGAAUGGGGCUUUUUCUACUAGUGUUAUUUGCCUUCAUGAGAGAAGCCUCUAGUGAAACAUGUGGCCCCCGGGUCUAAUUUCCAUCAUAUUAGUUUCCGAUCUACUAUUUUGCAGUCUUUUAAUUUAAGAUCUAUAAACCAAAAAAACCCAAAAAUAUUUUAUCUUUUGUUUACCUAUCUCUAUCAGAUGUCACUUUUGCAAGUGACCGUGAAGGGAUUGACAACCCCUUUAUCGUGUUGGGUGCAAGUUGUUUGAUUGUUUGUGCAGGUAUUGGUGGCUUGUGUGUUGUCUCCUACUGGAUUGAUACCUUGGUUCUCUAACUGAGGAAAUACUUAUCUCUACUUUGUUGCAUCACCCUUUCCUCUUCAAGGGAAAAACCAACGCAAGCUCAAGAAGUAGCAGACAACAUACGUAGUUCCAUUUCUCUGUCGGUAUGUUACUUGCCCGAUAUUUGAUCGUCGGUAUCUCCAUACCUAGUUCAAUCUCGUUUUCGGCAAGUCUCUUUACUCGUUCCGUAAUACAUUAUCCCGUAACUAACUCCUUAGUCACUUUGCUUGAAAGCUUCUUAUGAUGUUGUACUACCGAGAGGGCCCAGAGAUACCUAUCCAUCAUACAGAGUGACAAAUCCCAGUCUCGAUCCAUGCCAACUCAAUAGACACCUUCGGAGAUACCUGUAGAUCACCUUUAUGAUCACCUAGUUAUGUUGUGACGUUUGAUAGCACACAAGGCAUUCCUCUGGAGUCCGGAGUUGCAUUAUCUUAUGGUCGAAGAAACAUGUAUUUGGCAUUAAGAAAGCAGUAGCAAUAAACUGAAUGAUCAUAUGUUAUGCUAACGGUUGGGUCUUGUCCAUCACAUCAUUGUCCUAACACUACUAGGAAAAAGCCUAGUAGUAGCGCGGGUUAAAAGCUAGUAGUAGCGCGGGUGCCUGUGAUGCUACUACGGCGCUACAGCUAACUAGUAGUAGUAGUGCGGUGCAUCCCGCGCUACUAGUACAUGUGUUAGUAGUAACCCGUGUUCGACACGCACUACUACUAACUAUCUGUAACGCGUGUCUGUGACCCGCGCUACUACUAUUAAUUUGAAAAACCAAAAAAAAAUCUCGACCCCGUGUGUGCUGUCAAUCAUGCAAGGAGAUCUCGACCAUGACGCGCGCCUCGUGGAAGCCAUUGAGGACGGCCGCGGAGGCCAGCCCGGCGUGGGCCAGGAGCUGGAGGACUUGGAUCUUGGCAUCGUGCAUGGAGAGCAGCACCUCGCAGCGGCCGUCGCCGUUGAGGUCGGCGGCGGGAGGCGGUCCACGUCAUGCUCGAUUGGGAACCCGUCGUUUGACAGGUGGUACCAUGCCUCCUGGAAUGAGAAGUCGCCCUCGUGCUGCCGAAGGAGGAGGGGGAUGGUUCAGCUAGGGUUCCGGGUCGAAUCGGAGAGGGGGGAAGGAGGAGGAGGGCUGACCUGGAGCGAGAAGAAGACGGUGAAGGCGGCGAGGAGGAGGAUGCCGAGGUCGCACUUUCGCAUCUUGGCGGCGGCGAGGAGCUCAGGUGACCGCCCACCAGAGGGAUCUCAGAGAGGGAGGGGGAAGAAAGCAGAGUGUACCAGUGGCGGCAACCGCUGGAGUACGAGGGAGAGAGGAGGAAAGCGAGAGCGGGGGAAAGUGAGGGAGAGAGGAGGGAUUCGGCCGAGGAUAUGGGGAUUUCACCUACCUCGUACUUAGUAUUGGCGAGGGGUAUAAAACCGCGCUACUACUAUCAACUUAGUAGUAGCACGGGUUUGUACUCCUCGCUACUACUAUGGCAUGUCCAGGGAGGGCACGAUAGAGACCGCUUAGUAGUAGCGCGGGUUAAAAACCUGCGCUACUAGUAUCAACUUAGUAGUAGCGAGGGGUAAAAACCCGCGCUACUAGUAAGUAGCAGUAGCGAGGGUUAUAAACCCUCGCUACUAGUAAGCGUCUGCCUAUAAGCUUUUCCCUAGUAGUGUAAUGAUGUGGUCCCGUUAUCAAAUGACAACUCAUGUCUAUGGUUAGGAAACCUUAACCAUCUUUGAUCAACGAGUUAGUCUAGUAGAGGCUCACUAGGGACAUGCUAUCUGUUUAUGUAUCCACACAUGUAUUUAAGUUUCCGGUCAAUACAAUUCUAGCAUGAAUAAUAAACCUUUAUCGUGAAUAUGGAAAUAUGAUAAUAACAACUUUAUUAUUGCCUCUAGGGCAUAUUUCCAUCAUUUGAAUUGAUUAAGUUUGAUCUCCACCAGAAAGAGCCAACCUUAUGAUCUCCUGGGAGUUGUCCAUUACUAUAGUGUGUCUCCCAAAUUAAAUUAACCCAGGGUAUGUCAUGCCUAUUGAAGAACUUAUGGAGGUUUUUCAUGAGCAGAGUCUUGUUUUGUGUGUAGAUAUCCAUGACUCCCAAGCCUCCUUGACGUUUGGGUCUACAAACUGUGUGCCAUGCAAGUAAAGUUGGUCUGUGAUCUUCCAAAUCAAGGCUUCUCCAUAGACAGUGUAUAAAGUACUUAUGAUCUGUUUCUUGAUGGUAAUAGGUAUGUCUAGGCAACACAUGAAGAAAAUUGGUAAUGAUGCAAGCACUAAUUUUGACUAGGAGGAACCUUCCUGCCUGAGUCAUAUAAGUAGAAAUACCUGCUAAUCUCUUAGCAAUUCUGUUGACUAGGGGCAAACAUUGUUCCACAGUUGGUUUAUAGAUUCCUGAAGGUAGACCCAGGUAAGUAAAAGGGGAUUGUCCUCUUGCACAUUGCAGUGUGUGAUUGAAAAUAUGUAUUCUGUCUUCUGCAAUGUUUAUGGGCACCAUGAUUGAUUUCCCAUAAUUGACUUUCAGUCCAGUGGCUGAGGCUAAUGUGAUUAACAAGGCUUUGAGACAUAUCAACUUCUUUGCAUUUGCUUGUAUAAGAAACAGUGUAUCAUCUGCAUACUAUACUACUGGAAAAUCAGGACGGGAGUUGACUUGCAGUGGUGGAGUAAUUAUACCCAGUCUCAUGGCCUUAUUAAGUAUUGAUUGUAGGAGAUCAGCAGCCAACACAAAAAUCAAUGGGGAAAGGGGAUCACCCUGCCUCACUCCUCGUCUACAGUAGAUUUUUUUGCUAGGGACUCCAUUCAACAUCACAGCAGAUGUGGCAGAUGUGAAAAUUAAGUGCAUCCAGGAAAUCCAUUUCUUUGCAAAUCCCUUUGCUCUGAGUAUAUCAAUAAUUGCCUGAUGUUCAAUAGUGUCAAAAGCUUUCUCAAAAUCCAGUUUAAUCAUUAGCAUCUCUUCUUUUGAUUUAUGACAUUGAUGGAUAUAUUCAUAUGCCCAACCAAGGCAGUACUGGAUCAUUCUAGCUUUGAGGAACCCAUGUUGAUUGAUAUGUACCAUCUAGAGAAUAAUUCUUUGUAAUCUAUUGGCCAGUAGUUUGGUAAUUAUCUUAAGUACUGCAUUGAGCAGUGAGAUUGGUCUGAAAUCAUUGGGUGAGACUGGCACUUCCUUUUUGGAAUCAAUGUAAUGAAUGAUGUAUUGAUGCUUUCAAGAUUUAUAUUACCAGCAUGAAAAGCCAUGAUAAGCUCAGUGAUAUCCACUUUAAUGAUGUCCCAACAAGCUUUGAUGAACUCAUUAUUAAAUCCAUCAAGAACUGGAGAUUUAUCUGUACGAAGGUUUUUUACCACUUCAUCAAUUUCCUCCUAUGUAAAUUGCUUCUCAAGAUCUUGGAAGAUCUUAGGCUCAACUCUAUGUUCAUAUAGAUCAUUCAAAUCAAAGUGCAUUGUGUGACCAUUAGAUUGUCCCAAUCUUUUUUAAGGCCUCCCAAAGAAUAGUUGUUUUUCCUUCAUGGUCAGUAAUUUCCACUUGAUCAUCAUUCAGAAGCAUACAAUUUUAUUAUGUCUAUGAUUAAAAGAGGAUUUGGUAUGAAAGAAUUUGGUGUUCUCCUCACCAAACUAAACACCUUUUAUUUUCCCUCUUUGCUUCCAAUAAAUCUUCUAAUUAUUAAGUACUAUCAAUAGGAAUUCCUUCAGCAUAGACCUACAAUUCCCUUCAAAUACUGAGAGAUAUCUAUAUUCCUCAAUCAAGUCCCAGUGGAAAAUACAAGCAUUUAAAUCCUCAUACUGCUUUAUAAGACAGGACAAACUCUUGGCCGACAAUUUUAAAGAUCUUCUCAAAUUCUUAAACUUUGCAUUGAUUUUUUUUGGCUGGAUCAGUGUAACCCACAGGAAUAUUCCAGGCUGCUUGAACAAUGUCUUUGAAAGAGCUGUGUUUCAGCCAAUAAUUUUCAAACUUGAAUACCUUGGACUUGGGAAUGUAGUCCAAACCAAUAUUCCACAUUAAACAAUGUUUAUUUGCGGACCAAUUUCAGAAGUGUCGCUUCUAUUCAUUUCCGUUCUCUAAUCUACUAGUCAAUUAAGUCUGAACCGAGAACCGAACCUAAAUCUCGGUCGACUGAAUCUUUGGUUAGGAAUUUUCCCGGUGACCAAUCGGUCAUCCUAUUUUGAAAACCAAAUUUCUUCAAAAGCUGAAGAACCGAACCGAACGGUUCGGUUACACAGAAUGCCAAGCUCUCCAAACACCUCCACUUUCUCCCAGUUGAACAUGUGAUAUUUCUUACACCGAGUCUUCUUGCCAAAGCAAUCUUCUCCCAAAACAAUCAAAUAUUUUAUUUACUCCCUUUGGCAAGCCAUAAAAGUAAAGCAUGCACAACGGUUUAUAUUUUCUAGACUACUUACUCUGGAGCAAAGCCCCGGUCCUUUAUUCAAAACCAAAUAGUAUGUACAGGGGUCAAGUAGUCAGCUACUAAGGGAGGCUGGCAAUCUAAGCCAGAAGAUUCGGCCUACCACAAGCCUUCACUCUAAAAGAAAGAAGGGUUAUAUCUUGUACAAAUUUACAACACCAUGAGCCAAAGGGGCAUAGCUCUAAAUGUCCUUCCAUUUAUAACAAUCCAGAUAUUCCAAUUCCAAGCAGAGUCGGCAUAACCUCGAAGAAAGGAAGAUCAAACCUCAUGUUUGCCCCGGCAAUGCAUGGUCUGAUCUCAGACCCAUGUGGUUGAACUAGCGGGAGAGAAGAGAUGAAGUCUGUAACACAUUACACAUUGGUUAAUUGCUCAAAGAAGCAGUGAGCAAAGAGAACAUGCCUCCAAUGGAUACUAAUUUUCCUUGCGAAUAUUCUAAUCUCACAAAUACACGCCAUCAUUAUUGUAGAUUUAUGGAUGGUUGAGCCUUUGAAGGCAGAAUCCAACAACAAAUAACAUAAGUUUUUCCUCGACAUUUGCUUUUGCCCCUCAAUUUUAUUUUAUUUUAUUGAAAAAGGAGGAUUACCCCCGGCCUCUGCAUCAGAAUGAUGUACAUCAUCUAUACUAAUUCAACAUUAGAAAACAAGCACAAGGCCUCACUUUAUAUAGAUAAAUCGACGAGCUCCACAAGAACACGAUUAUUGAAUACAAAGGUUCAGCAAGCAAAAGGGAAAUAGUUCGGGCUGGGCAACAGCUCGCACAGGUAAUCUCGACAUAAAGAGAAAGAAAACAGGCUACGGAGCCGGGAGCUGCUGGCGAGCCACACCCUCGGCAGGCCAAGAAGGAGCCCAUCCAAUCCGCCGUGAUCCCGACGCCAAGCCAAGCGAGCAUCCGCCAUUACAGAAUCGAUCGAGGCUACUAAUUCAACAUCCUCGACAGUGAACUGAAACUGCCACAUCAUCCCUUCAUUUUAUUGCACCCAUCCGAUUAUUAAUUUCUUCAAACUAACUGCAUGCCAUGCAUCCAGCAUUGGAUUAUUUGUUCGAACAUAGCACCACUUCUCCAUCAUACGGAAACGGAGGCAGUCACGGUUGCGUUGUUAUUGGUAGUCUUAAGCAAGGGUUUUGGGACGGAGUUGAACUUGGCGAACCACUUGGCCGACUUCUUGAGCUUGCGCUUGUUGCCGUCCUUCUUGUCGAUGUAGACCAGGCCGAAUCGUGAGCUGUAGCCCAGGCUCCAUUCGAAGUUGUCGAUCAGACCCCACGUGAAGUGGCCCCGCACGUCCGCGCCCUGGCUGAAAGCACAGAUACAUACAUGAAAGCGCGCUUAGCAAGAAUUCAACAAUGUGUCUGUGUGUAUGUAUACACAUUUGAGUAAUCAGUGUGCCAUUAGGGUAUGUAUGUAUGUAUGUGGGUAAGAGUACAAAAUAAGUGAAAAAAAGAGGCAGGGUUUUAGCGUCUGUAGUUACUCUAUUGCGUCCUUGACGGCUGAGAUGUGACGCUGGAGGUAGUCUAGCCUCUUCCAGUCAUCCAAAGGAUCUCUCAUGGUUGGGUCGCUGUCCACAUCAGCGAUUCCUGCACACACACAAGUUAAGAAGUAAUCCAUCACACUUUCUUCAAAAAAAACCUCCCAUGAACCAUUACAUCAUAUCCAUGGAUUAGGUUCUUGUCUGAUUUAAGGGAACUAGUACCAGUUGAGCACAAAGAUUGCUUACACAUUAGUGUGUGUCAAUCUUCAUCAGGAUUAGUGUAAUGACGUCAGAUUUUCAACUAGUUACUUUUGAUGUCACUUUUGAUGUAAUUAGGGGAUCAUGGAAAUUUAACUAGUUACUUUUGAUGUCAGAUUUUCAACCUUUUUAUUAACUAAAAACUAGUACCUAAGCAACCCCUUGACAGAAGGUUUACAGAUUUGCUGUAGGUCAACUAAAGUUUGAUAUGAACCGAUGAUUGAUCAUUGGAUUACUACAAAAUCCAAUGCUACACACACACANNNNNNNNNNNNNNNNNNNNNNNNNNNNNNNNNNNNNNNNNNNNNNNNNNNNNNNNNNNNNNNNNNNNNNNNNNNNNNNNNNNNNNNNNNNNNNNNNNNNNNNNNNNNNNNNNUCACUACUUACCGUUCUCAGUGAUGAAGACGGGUGGGUUUCCGUAUUUCUCCUUCAUGAUCAGAAGGAGGUCUGUUAGGCCUUUUUGGUACAUGUAAAUCCAAUAAGUCCCUGUCUGCAAAUGGGUGUCCAAACUUUUAAUUAAUAACGAGAAAAAACUUCAGAUUUGUUUAAGCUUUACUUCAGAAACAAAGCAUUAUCAUGUCUAUGCCACUUAACCUUUUUGUUCAAAAGUUUAACUAGAGUCCUGGCUGACUAGUUCUACCGUAAGAAUUUGGUGAAAAUAAUCUACAUUAUCACUAUCAUCAUAUAUGUCGUAUGCAAAAUUAACCAGGUAGUAGGAAGAUACAUACUAUAGGACCGAUGUCAUUCCCAUCACUCCCUUUAGCUGCUCGAAGAGAAGAAAAAGGUGCAGGAUUAGCAUGAGGACAUGAAAUUUCUCAAAGGAUCUGUAAAGUACUAAGGUUUGCCUCAACCAUAUUUUCUUACUUUCUGAACUGGCGUAAGCGUCGUCGGUGUUCAGCUUUGGCGUAAAGUCUGAUGAAAUGUCAACAUGCUUGGAGAACCUGGAGGUGUAAUAGUUGAGCCCCAUGAUGUCACAUGAGGACGCUAGCUUCUCCUGCUCCUCCUUAGUGAACAUGGGUAGACGAUGUCCAAUCAGUGAUCUCAUGGAGAAGGGGUAGUCACCACGAACAACUGGCUCCAGGAACCAUCCGAGGUUGUAGUCGAUGGAUCUUUCCCGGGCCUGGUCGUCGAGGAAGGAGUCUUGGAAUGG